rnacentral:lncRNA from 1 species
GCUGCCGUGCCACGAGGCACGACCAUGGAAGUAAUGAAAAAGAAAAAUUUAUGUAGUUGGACCAUCUGUUCUAUCCGUUCGAGUUUUGCUUCACUAGAGAAGAUGAGAGGCUAAAAAUGAAAGCGUUCGCAACACAUACCGAAAGGGUACUAAUUAAGCCGACCAUUAAUGACUAGUUAAAACACCAGGAGUGGUCUGAUCCCCUAUUUGAUCAGACCGCUCUGAGAAAGAUAAAAAGCAAACUCUCAUAGUUCGGAGCCCAGCUCCAACAACUUCUUCGUAAGUGAGGUGAGGUACUUUUUUUGGUUUGAAUAGGGGGUCGCCCUUAUUUUGGUUGAAGUAGCCACGACUUUGGUCGUAGUUAGUUUAAACCCAUAAACCCAGUCCACUUGCAGCCAUGUUGAUCAAAAUGACUAAUUUUAAUGACUUGACCAGUCACUAGCCCUCGUAUUAUAAGAUUCUCUCACCCUGUGGUCGACAUUCCAUUCCCCUUAGUCGUAGGUGCUCGUUCUAUUUUGAUUUGAAUGGGCCGGGGCUCUCGAGGUACAUAUGGUCGGCCUUUCGGGUGUCUCGGUGAUACAAACAAAGAAAAGACGAUGGUUUUUAACAUACCCUUGAACAAAAAGCCAAUCCUUACCAAAGGAGGAAAUAGAAUAAUCUACCUUCUUUUUUCCUUCCCGUUGAUUCCCCCCGACAAUCAAGCUACACUUUCUUCUAACAAGUGGCUGAGAGUUAGCAAGCAACCUUGGCCUCUUGGCAGGAGGUUCGCUGUCCCCCUUCUUUCCGAUCCGACCGCAGUACGGCACCUGAACUCAAAGCUAUGAUCAGAUCCGAUUGGAUCUGGUCCUAUCCGACCCAACCCCAAAACUUAGAACUGCCGGCCUAUUUGGACGGUAGAACGGGGAGAGGGGGAGUCGUGCCCAUUCUCUAUCCGGGCACGAGCAGGAACAUCCCAAAAAAUAGAAAAGCAAAUACAUGUACAUGAUGUAACAGCAUAUUCAAAAAUACGUGAUCCAAUUUGAUUGGCUGCCCACAGAAAGGAAAGAGUUUACCGACCGCAUAACAAUUCAUUCUUGUGUGUAGCGCGUGGGCCCAUGUCUCCCGAACGAUCAUAGUACGGCCACUCAUCUAAUAUAAAAUCAAUGAGUAGAUCUCACCUCCCUUCCCCAUACCAUAGCCGGAAGGGAUAGCGUAUCCACAGAAAAGAGAGUGCAGGCCCUUGCCCAACAUUUCGUUUAGACGCGGCUCGAAUACCUUUAUGCUAUAGGCUGUGUUAAGCAUGCUUCUUUGACAGAAAACAAACUCUUUUUCCAUGAAAACAGUCGCAACUAUAAAUGGUGGUAAGCUCUCUAUCAACUAUAGGGGGCUCUUCAUAGUAAAAAACUACGUCACUAUAUGGAUUCCAACUGAACUUCAACUUCUACUUGGUUGAUUAAUUCAGGGGCAGUGCUGGAACAUAAUGUUGGCCGAUCUCCAUUUCCAUAUGGUAAUUGAAGUCAAACAGGAGAAAACCAGGUGCAAUUCAAUCCUUAUUCCUAGCAAUGAUUCCCAAAAAAGCAAAACCUCACUAGACUAAGGCCCAUUGCUAUGGGGACUACACUAUAUAAGAGAAUGACUAAGGCAAUUGCCAAUAGUUUCUAUUGAAAGACAGGCUGACUCUUUAAAAAGGGCGCCCUCCUAAUCUCAUUUUGAUAGGAAGAGAUAUUGAUAAUUAUCCCAAAGAGGCUUACUACUUAGCUGAUAGAUCAGGUGAGCCAGCCAUGAUCACUAAACUCACCAAAGAAGCAGCAUAUGCAAAUUGGAAUCAUAGGUUUCUAUAUGCUUAAGGAAAAUGGGAUUUGCAGAGUAGGAUACGAAAGUGUAUUUAUAUACAAUGGAAAGCCCCUAUAAUCCAUGGAUGACCAGUGGAGUUCAUAAAAGAAAGCAAAGAAAGAUCCGCGACAAAGCUGUCCCCUCUCUCCAUAUCUCUACUUAUUAGCUGGGUGUAGAUAACACUGUAAUAAUAACAAAGCCAGAUAGAGAUACUGUUCAUUCUGAAUUGAUUCAGAUGGCGAGGACCCACGGAAAAAUCCACCUUAUUCAUGCUCCGCACAGCAACUUGCCCGGUCAAUAUUAUAUGUCUAUGCUAAACUUGGUGAUCUAUUUUCGUUGCCCCCUUUAAGCGUAUGUGAUAUAAUCAUUCUUAUCUCAGAAGAGAAGUAUGCAUUGUCCCCACUUAAGUUAUUAAGUAUUUCCAAAGACAAGGCGAUUUCUUUUUAUGUUGAAACUUUAUGUCAGCCAGGGAACCCUGAUCAUAAAUGGGUUAUUUGUCCCGAUGAAAGGGACGCUCUCCUUUUAAUCGCUCUGGCGCAUAUGUUGAAUAGUUGUUUUAUGCGUUCAUCUAUCUUUCAGGAGCAGUCGUGUGGUUUUCCCAGAGAUCGCCGUGAGUUCUUUGCCAAAUUAGGUGGAGUGGGGAAGAAACUAACUAUUUUCAUCUUGAAUCUAGCACCCUCACAAGGUACUAUUCCUCAUAAAAGAAUUUUACGAAAGCUGGCACCCUUGGUGCGUGAUAGCUACGUAAUAUCCUUAGUUUCAUCCUUUUUAAAGAUACCAAUGACCAAAAUGGAAUUAAUUGUUCUAUUACGGAAGUUGGGAUCCCACACGCUGGGUUAAUCACUAAGGUCUUAUACAAUUUGAUGUUGGAUGAUUUCGACCGGGGAUUUAAACAGCUAUACCCUAGUCUUUCUUAUUAUCGUUACUUGGGUUACUGUUACGUAUUAUUUCCAUGUUUUAGUCUCCAAAGCGAGCAGCAGUGUGAAGAAGAAAUGAAUAGUAGCCUCUUAGAGUUAGAUCUUGAUGGGGAUAUCACAACUAUUCUACCUGGUGGGGGUGCCCAUGUGACUCGUGAUGGGCGUUUGAUUAUUCUAAGUCGAGAUUGCGGUCUUCACGUUGUCGAACAGUCAACAUUCUUUCUUUAGUUCAAUUUGUAGUCAAUAUGUUUUAUACAAAAAGGAACCCAUGCAACGAUAGGAAAUCCUUUUAUUAGAGAGCCAAUGCCUUAAGACAGACCCUAAUAGCAGUUGUCGCCUACUUCACCCUCUCUUCCCUCACCACAUCCACCUUCUUUUGUUUUCUUCUGGGCAUGUUCUUGAUUUUUGAUCAGCCACCUAACCUAAUUAUUAUUACCAUUUAUGACUUUGAAGUAGGACUUUGGAAUGAUGCUACUCCUCUUCUUCUAUAUAUAUAAGUGAAUAGAUCUUUGUGAUUCAAUCGAUUCGAUUCUCGUUCUCACCCUCAGCAAACUCCCUUUAAGGACAGAAGCGCAUCCAAACCACGUUAUUUUGUAUUAUUUGUCGGAAUAGAUAAUACAUAUAUGAUCAGAUGCAUAUGUAGGUAAGGACUGCUUAGAGUUGGACACAGAAUGCAUAAUUCAAAUUAAAAUGUACAAUGAUCCGGGAAAUAAGAUUUUUCUUUUCUUAAAAGAGAAAAAAAUGAAAUAGAUCCACUUUCUGGAUUAUUGCCGCUGUAAUCAUAAAAAGCAAAUUUUUCAGGGACCGGAUAAACUUUGAUUUUUGGCUAAUCUUGUUGGAGUUCUGUCCUUUAAGCCAGGGAAGCUGCAUCUACUUUAAUUGAUGAUUUCUCGCCUUUAGCCUCUAUACUAUAUUACAUCAAAUAGAAGCGAUGGUACAGAUAUUGACCUAACCAAGCUAGUAUGAAUCAUCUUAGCUCCGAUCAUGGUGGGUGACUGCGGGAGAUUAGUUUCAAGCCACUGCCUCGAGAGCUACCUACGAAAGAGUUCCGACUAUGCCUGGCCAUCAUAACAUUCAUAAACGUGAUUGAUAGAUGAAUAGAGGAGUCCAGCCACAAUCAUUAUUGAUUCGCCUGGGAGGAGUUCAACCGCUCGAACUCAGAGAGAUGAGCCUAACAGUGCCCCAAGCCAAAAUAGAGAGAGGAUAAGAAUGCAACUAUCUAAUCGGGAUCACAGUUCCAACCAUUUCUUUGAAGGCCGAAAGGUGAAGAAGUGUUUAGCCAUACUCUCUGCAGAACAGUCUUAUCAAAGCGCUCUCUUUAACCAAUCAAGCAAGACAGAUGGAAUGAAAGAAAGAAAAAGUAGCUCCGCAGCUCGCCCAGAAGAAGAUAGACCAACCACUAUAGAUUUGUCAAUCCCUGGGCUUGGCCAAAGACAUACCCGGCAUACUAAGACUAAGAUGAAUUAUCUCAAUCCCUCAACAGGCCUAGUCCUUAAAUCCCUAAACUAAAUAGGACGCUUAUAAUUGUGAUCAUGCCGCAUCAGCUCUUUUAGUCACUACUACCUGUGUCGCACCUAUAGUGGCAGAGAGUUUGAUAAGACUCUCGGAUAAGAAAGAUCAAUCCUGAAUAAGCUUCAGCUGAUUCUCAAACUAAAUCUUUUUAUAAGAAAAGAGCUAUCUAUAGGAAGAUAAUUGCCAGGUCAGUCUAAAUAGAAGUAGACCAACAUAGGAAGAAAUGUGAAAGUAGGGGCUGCUAAGCGCCCAGACCCAGAAUUCAGUAAAAAUAGAGUUCUUGGUACCGUUCAAGCAGAAAUAAUAUGUAUAGCGAGCUAGUACUAUAUUUAUAGAUUGGAAAGAAGGGACUCUCCAAAAAGAGGCCCGAGCAGAAUGAAGUUGUGCUAAAUGAACGAGUUGUCCUAAAUGCCCCUUGUUAGCUGUCGCAGGAAGUGGUGAGGGCUCAGGAAGUGAAGCAAACUCGACCAAAGGACAAGUCUGUUCCUGCUUCGUUUUCGAUUCCCGAUUCAAUCUUCACCUUUCCUGAAUGAAGAAAGAGAGCGAAAGAGAAGAUAUCAGUGCAAUAGGUACAGAGAUAGGAGAAACUGUCUUCGUUUGGUUCGGCAGAAGAAAGCCGAGAAAACAAACUAAUAGGAAGAGCACAAUGCAAGAUUAUAAUUAAGCAGAUAUAUAAAACCUAUCACCACCUCAAGCAAUAAAACAAAGUUGUUAUGGCUAUGUUACUAACAUAGACAACUAUGAAUGGUAUUCAUUGACAGGAGUAACUGUUUUCUAAAGGAAGCAAGCAAUUCGGACAGAAUAUUAAGGGCUUGAAAGAAUAAGAUACGAACAGCGUGAACCAAGGUUCAUAGGCGGAUCAAAGUCAAAAGGCAAAGCUGUUGGUUAGACGUAGACGAAGCCAAAGUAUAGUUAGACGAAGCCGUAGGAACUCUUGCAACGCAAUCCCAGCUACAGGAAGCUAACUCCCUAAGACGAAUGAGUCACUUUCUGAUCCUUACUCCCCGAAGGAACUCUUAGCCUCAUAGCUACAUUAGGUUCAGUAGGGUUAGCAAUACAAGAAUCUCGAUUUGAAAAUACCUGAGGUAGGAUUACUCAACAAUCUUUGUUACCUUAACUCCCUUCUCCCGGGAUGAAGCCUUAGAAGGAAAAGUAUAGGCCAAAAACUCUUUAGCUUUAGAUGUUAUAUGAACCCCUAACAAGGAACCGUACUCGUGACAGUACCUAACAAAUAUGCCCAAAACUUUUUAAAAGCAUACAUAACUGCUAGAAGUUCCUGCUCAGUCACGGUAUAAUUCUAUUGUUCCUCAUUCAAGGCCUUUCUUUCAUAAUAUAUUGGAUGGAAUAGCUUCUCUUACUUUUGGCCAAGAACAACUCCAAGUGCCUCUCCACUGGCAUCACACAUAAUCUCGAAUGGUUUCGUCCAGUCAGGAGCAAUAAUAAUUAGAGCCACUACUAGUUUCAUCUUAAGGCAUUCAGAAUCCUUUCUGCAGUCAUCAUCAAAAGUAAACUUAGCCUCCUUCUCCAGAAGUUUGCAAAGUAGGUUUGUAAUAUUUUAGAAGUCUUUUAUUAAUCUGCGAUAGAAUCCCGCAUGACAAAGAAAGCUAUGUACCCCUUUGACUGAGAUAGGAGAAGGUAGUUUCUCAAUCACUUCAACCGUUGCCUUAUCUACCUUAAUACCUUUAUCUAAAAUUUUGUGACUGAGAAUAAUGGCUUCCUUCACCAUGAAGUGGUACUGUUCUCUGUCAAGGACAAGGUUAAACUCUUCACACCACUGCAACACCCGACUAAGAUUCAGUAAGCAGAGCUUAAAAGAAUCACCAACAACCAAAAAAUCAUCCAUAAACACCUCCAAGGUGUCUUCAACCAUAUCCAAAAAUAUCGACAUCAUGCAAUGCUGAAAAAUGGCAGGUGCAUUUCACAAAUUGAAAGGUAUCCACUUAAAAGCAAAUAUACCAUAUGCGCACGUGAAUGUUGUCUUUUCUUGAUCUUCAGGAGCAAUAGAAAUGUGGUUGUAACCAGAAUACCCAUCUAAUAAACAGCACCAACCCCUUCUCGCUGGCCGAUCAAGCAUCUGAUCCAUGAAAGGCAUUGGGGAGUGGUCUUUCAAUGUCCAUACGUUGAGUUUUCUAUAAUACACAUCCAACUUCUUGGGUGCAUAUGACUAAGACCCCAUUCCUGUUAAAGUCUUUAAUAUCGUCAUGAUCAAAAUUCAUCAAUACAGCUGCUAAAGACUCCACAACAAAUUUUUCUUAUAUAGGCACUUCCUGCUCCUCCUCAUAAUAAAUAUCCACAAUAAAAAAUAUGCACAUAUCUUUAUGCUGUUUCAUGGACUAGCAUACAUCGAAUCAAACUACUUAAUCUUUUAACCUAAAUAGUAGCUCAUUUGCCCUCAAAUCAAUAAGUACACUCCCGAUUGCGAGGAAAAGUUGACCCAAGAUUAUGGGCACCUUGAAAUCCACCUCACAAUUGAGAAUGCCAAAAUCAGCAGAAAAAAUGAAACUAGCCACCUUAACUAAUAUAUCAUUUAGAAUCCCCAUGCGUCGAUUCACAGACCUGUCCACCAUAACUAAUCUCGUGUUUGUGGGAGUAGGAUCCCCUAAAGCUAAUUUCUUAUAUACAGCAAGCAGCAUCAAGUUUAUACUAGCUCCCAAAUCACAUAGAACUUUUGCAAAAUCAAGAGGCCUAAUAGUGGACGGGAUGGUAAAUGCUCUUGGGUAUGCCUUCUUCUGCACCAACGACCUUAUGUAAAUUACCCAUAGUGAUAUAAAUUGUCCAUCAGCUCAAAACUGACUGUCUGCUUCUUUGUAACAAGGUCUUUCAUGAAAUUUGCAUACCCGGGCAUUUGCUCCAAUGCCUCCACCAAUGGCAAAUUAAUUGUCAAUUUCUUAAACAUGGCUAUAAACUUGCCAAACUUUGUGUUGUCAGCCUUCUUCUUCAACCAAUGGGGAAAUGAAAUAGGUGGUUUUGGGAGCGUAAUAACCACUACUUCAGCCUCAUUUUCCUUGCUCUUCUCCAAGUCAUCAACCUGCUUAUGGUUGGAUGAUGUAUCAUUAAUAACCUUAUACAGUUUCUCAGAUGCCACUAGAUGAUCAAUCUCCACUUCAUCAAUAUCAUCUACCAUAAUAUCAACCAUAGGCUUGCCAACAGGAGAGCUUUCUAAUACCUUACCACUCCUAGUAGUGACUAUCAUACAUAAACCAUCCUUCCUCAGGUUCUGAACUAUGUCUCUUGGUAAGUUGCCACUCUUCCUCUGAUUUAAUAUGGAAAAUAGUUGGUUCAUCUGCUGCUCCAACUAUUUUAUCAAAGUAGAGUGUGAAUCAACCAACUAACCUCAGUAUUCUUCCAAACAGUUAUCUACCCCAGUAUUAGUUGCUUCUACUCCCUUCAAUAACUUAGCCAUUAUGUACUUUAUGGACAUCUUUCUCGAACUAGUCGCAGCAGCCUCACGGUUUCCAAGAGAAACAUACAACCCACUCCUAUCAUUUUUAUUCUUCUAAUUCCCUUGAUCGCGGUCUUUAUAAACACAUUUGUUAUAAUAGUUCCAACCUUGGUUUCCUUGGACACCGCCUCGAAAACUCCCUUGAUUGUUCCAAUAUUUGGCUUUCUCCUUAGAAUUGGAUUCAACCCUUCCCUGUGAUGCCACAUAUUUAACCUUCUCUGUAUUUCUGGAUAAUAAGUACUUAGUAAGAAGAUCUAUCUGUGUCUUUAUGUGUGCUAAGUCUUGGCAAUAUUCUUCUUCCUUUAGCCUCUGCUCUGCAGUCAUGCUAAUAGAUACAGUAUAGCUUGCUACCUUAGAAUCCCUAGUAUGCUAAUCUCUACUUUACUUUGUUAUAAGAUCAAGCAUCUCAGCUGCUUCGGGAAAAGUGAGGUCCAUGAAUGACCCACCCGCAGCAUUAACCACUACUGGCUUUGUCAGGGAGUUCAAGGACCAAUAUAAGAUCUCCAUCAAAUGGACAUUGGUCAUUUGAUUAUUUGGACACUGCAUAAGCUUCUUCUUGAAUUUGUCCCAAGUCUCAUGGAGAGAUUCAGUUGGAAGCUGUCUAAAGUUACUAAUUUCAUCUCUCAACUGUGCCUUCUUAGAUGGUGGAAAGAAACUUUCUAGGAAAACAUCUUUUAGUUGUCUCCAAUUGGUAAUAGAGUCGGGAGUUAGCCCAUUCAACCAUAAAGUUGCCUCCCCAGACAGAACAAACGAGAACAACCACAAUCGAAUAGCAUUUUUCCUAACUCUUGGGUUGUCAAACAAUUUGUAUGUCAAGAUAAAUUGACCAAAUGCAUAUUCAGGUCAUCACACACAAGUCCACCAAACAACUUUUUGAGGUGCAACAAAUGGAUCAUAGUACUUGUAAUAUUAAACUUAGCUUUGGGUGCUAAGGAUGGAGGAAUAAUAGUUAGCUCCGAGUGAUAAGGGCGGAGGAAUAAUAGCCCCUGUUGCACCAAAUACAUCCAAGUUAUCAUCAUCAUCCACAAGAUUAAAUUUGACGGCCUGGUUCUCUAGUCUCGCCCUAGCAAGGUGAUUUCUGUUGACAUUCCUAUUUGCUGGUGCAGGCACAUCAUCUGCAUGUCACUAUUUGACCAGAUUUAAUAAAUCAUCAUCACCCAGAACAUCAUCAUCUGGGUUUAGUUCCCGACCUAGAUUAUCUGCAUUCUACUGAUUCAGUUAUGCAGCUGCAAAGGAAGCUAGUCUAGUUUCUUCUCACUGAGCAACUACCUUCCCUGGGUCCUGUUGACCAUCCAUUCUACCAAUAAGUUGAGGUUCUAAAUGAAUAGGUAAUAAAGGUUCACCUGAUCUCCAUGUACUUAGCAUACAAGACAAUCAACCUAUGAAAAAUAAAAACAAUAGACAAAGAGUAAAAUUUGGGAAACUUUGACCAAAGGUAAAUUAACAAUCACAGACUUCAUAGACAACCGUAUUCUCCGGCAAUGGAUCCAAGAUUUGAUACACCCAAAUUACAAAUCUCGUUAGAAAGUGUAGGCAGUCGCUGUCAAAUAUAAAACCCAACUGGGUUAGAUGUCGAAUGGCAUAGGGAAUAUUGUGCUCACUAAGUAUUGUGGUUGUUAUUAGACUAUUGAUCAAGGGUUCAAUAAUAAAAUAGGGGUUUUUCUUUAUCAACAAUAUUCAAAUGUUUGUCAUAGAAAGUAAUCCAAAUAUUGAUUUGUAUUGCAAAUAGUGAUUCAGUAUGAGUAGAAAAACUAGAGUUACGAUUACCAAGAUGCUUAAGCAGCUAGGGUUGUGAACUACUUUGAAUUCCCAAUGAUUAAUUCUAAUUGCAAGAGUAAUUGAAUUCUAAGGUUUACUCAUUAGUUUCUCAACCUAAAUGAGUAGUUUAUCCCUUAAUUCUUUCAUACUUAAGGAACGUAUUAUUAAUUCAACUAUAUUCUCACAUGGGUUGAUCCAGUUAAGGAAUCUACCCUCCAUCCAAAGGUUAAAUCCUUUAGAUUUAUGUAAACCCUUUCUUUUCCCAAUAAACACUUUUCUAUUUGAACAAGUGAUGUUGUUGGGCUCACUUUUCAAGUUUGCAACCAAGAAAAGUCAUUAAAGUGAAGAAGGGUUUAUGCAAUAUCAACUAAUCAUGGGAAUCUACUAGAUUCACAACCCCCAAUCAACUAUUCAUAUCAAGGCUCCCAUAACCCUAGUUAUGGGAGCUUACUACACAUCUCCACCACAGAAAGAGAAGAAAUCAUUUUGUUAUUCAUAAACUAAUUCAGAAUUUACUUACACAAGUCACAAUUAUUGUUCUUCAAUCUUCAAUGGAGGAAAUGAUAAUGAAAUCUAAAUCUACAACUCUAUAAAUGAAUCUCCGAGAAAAACUACGUGCAAUCUGUUUCAAGUAUGAAAAACUCUGAUAAAAGAUUCCUAAUAAAACCUAAAACUAGGUAUUUAUAUGUUCCUAGGAAAAAAGGAUUUAAAAUUCAAAAUUAUAAAAAAAUUUGCAUCCAAAGUGAAAGCCAAAGUGAUGGAACGUCGGAAUUCUGGCUGUCUACCAUAUCAACUGUCUCUGGUGAUCCUUGAAAUCCAAGUUUUCAUUAGCGCUGACGGCCAAAGUGGUGGUCCGUCGGAAGACUGACGGUCCACCAUAUGGGCCGCCACUGAUGACUUUGCAGAGGCUGGUUCUGCUUAGCGCUGAUGGCCAAAGUGGUGGUCCGUCAUAGGAUUGGUGGUCCACCACUUAGGCCAUCGCUGAUGAUCCUUGAGAGGUUGGUUCUGCUUAGCACUGAUGGCCAAAGUGGUGGUCCGUCGCAAGACUGGUGGUCCACUAUAUUUGUCGACACUGAGUAUUUUAGGAUGCUUGGUUCUGGUUAACACUGCCAAACUGGUGGUCCAUCGCAAGACUGAUGGUCCACCAUUUUGACCGUUAGAAGUCUUUUUCUACUACUUUUCUGAGUGUUUUCUUUCAGCUAGCUCCUUACCCUGAAACACUAAAAUCCAACAUUAAAUGCAACAUUGGUUGGUUGAAAACAUACAAUUUUCCCAAGAACACGGUGCAAAAUAUUCCAUCAAAAGACGAAACAUCAGCCAUCGUGGUGAGCCACUAAAAUUUAGAUGAAAAUGUAUUCCAUGGAUAAGUAUGAAAAUAUACUUUGAUGUGACUUGGUGAAAUCACGUUGCAUCACUGGAAAUUGACGAGUAUGAACUGGCACUCUGGCGUGAUGCAGUGCUUUCAUGUUGCGUUACUGGAAAAAUAUAAUUUUGAACUAGCGUUCUGGCAUGACGCGGUGCCAAUCGCGGAGCCUUACUGUAAUGAAAAAAUUGUAAAAUGUCACAUCAACGCAAUGCGAUGCUACUCGUAUUGAGCUACUGCUUUCACGAAAAGUCUCAUAACUUCUCACCCGAGUAUCGGAUUUGGGCAAAAUUGGAAUACUUGGAAAAUUAAUUCAAUUUCCUACCAUUUGGUGGGUCUUGAGAUGGAAAAUUCUGAGUAGAGAAAUAUAUAUGCUUAUUUAAAGUUGACUAAAUAAACAUUCUUAUGAGAAAUUAAUCGGUAAGGAUUAUUUUGAUUCGUCUAAUAGCUAGGAGUUAUUUGAGGCCUUAAUAUACCUCAAACUAACUCAUAAAACUAUCAAACAAUGAUAAUGUACUAUGCAUAAGCUUGAAACAUAGAGCUAACAUUGGUUUGGAUUUUUGGGGUAUUGCUUAUUCCUACCUUACUUGUAUCACAUUCAGCCUCAAACAUCUUAACAAAAUUGGGUAAUUGCAAUAAGAAGACUGAACUAAGCAUAGACUUCAAAGCUUUAAAUGCAUUGGCUUUAUCAUCACCCUAUUUAAAAGAUUUAUCCUUACAGAAUGGGGUGAUAAUAAAGCCAAUGCAUUUGACAUAUUGCCAAUGGAUAGGGUGAUGUUAAGGGAGCAGGGAUGGUACUAAAUCCUUUGACAAACCGCCUAUAAAAACUAGCCAACCCAAGGAAGCUUCUUACUUCACCAAUGGAUUUUGGUGUUGGCCAAUUCUUGAUGGUGACUCUCUUAAAUUUAUCAACAUCGACUCUUUUUGAGCUUAUAACAAAUUGACAUAACCCAAAAUUGGGCCUAAUUGUAUGGGCAUCUCGAGCCCAUCAAGGAUCGAAGAUUGCCUCGUUAACCUAACCUAAUAUAUCAAAUUAAUCUAUAAGUGUCGGAUAAACUCUGAAUAUACAGCAAGGUAGCAGAAAAAUGACUAACAAUAAUCAAUUAAGAAGUGUCUAAUCUAUCCAUUAAUAUCAACAUACUAAACAACAUACCCAAGUCCAUAGCCAUCCAUAAAACCUUUACAAAUUUGAUGCCUAUAAUAUGUCGGGACAAGCCCCCCACAAUAGCCAAAACCAAGUCUAAUACAAUUCUAUGACAUAAGAUAAAAAGACCCUAAAAUUCAUGCCUUCUGAAGUAUGGAAGCUCACCACUUCAAAGUCAACACACGAACUACUCGAACAGAUGGUCAUUGCGUAGAAAAAGAAGAAGAAGCUUCGGCCCCUAUGUUGCAUGGGGACACAGCGUCCGAAGACAAUUAGCGAUUGGAAUGCUAGCAUGAAAAUCAUGGGUAAGGAUAAAAUAAUGUCAACAUUUAAAACCAAAUCAAACCACUAUACAUAGGCAUAUAUGUAGAUAUAUAGAUACAUCGAGUGUCGAUAAAGGAAACAAGCCCUUAGCAUGCAUUCCAAAAUAUCUAAUCAUGAUACAUGAAGAGAAGGACUCUAAUAAAGAGGACUCUAACCACAAGCCAUCGAAUCUAUUACUAGUUAACAUUAGGACUCUAACCCUUUGUCGAUGCAUUCACAUCCCCUUGCUGUAACAUCCAAGGACUCUAACCUACUUGGCCAAUUCAAGCCUUCAAGGCUACAAUUCAACACCAUACAUGACCACAAGGUCUUUAUGAACCAUUUAUCAAUCAAUCACAUUAAUUGACUAAUGCCUUAGUUUCGAUCACCAUUAAAGUAAAAUUGUCAUCCUUAAGACCUUUGCCAAACCAUUCAUUCUUCAUUAGCAUUCUUACACCAAGAUUUAUUUCAACAUAAUUCAACUUCAUAUUUUGGGGACUCAAACUCCUUUUUAACUUACCAAUUAACUCAUUACAUGGCCAAUAAGUCCUUUACAAAGUCAUUUACCAAACACCCUUACUCAUUAAGCCAUUGUAUUAGUUCAAGACACUAUUAACAAGUAAAUAGUUGUUUCUCUUAGACAUUUUCAUAAACACCAUGAGGGCAUACCUUUACCAUGACAAAAAUUAAAGUAAAAAUUAUCGAGCUUAGGGUUACUUAUGAUCCAUUUGUUAAACCACGAUCAAUAAGCACCCAUAUAUACAAACCAUCACCAAAAAUAUGUAUAGAAACAAGUUUAAACAAGAGUAAAUAUUACUCAUCACUAUGCAUCAAAACCCUCAACAUUUGGUUUAAAAAUCCACCAUUAAAGAAUCAAAAUCAUUGUUUAUGAUACAUGAUAUUUAAGAAAUAACAACAAGGAAAGAUUCAUAUGCCUUAUAAAAGAUGAUUCACGAAAAGAACUUGACUUUUUAGCCUCUAGAAGAACAUAUCUUAAAACCCUAGCCUCCAAAAUUGUUAGAGAAGUUUUGAGAGUGUUUUAGAAUGUUUUGAUCUUGUCCAAGAGAAUAAUAAAGGGCCAAACAAUGUUAUAAGUUUUUGGUCAUAAAGGUUUAGGGGUAGGAAAUGUCUAAAAUGUCCUUAGCUUAAAAGCUGAAAAUUGAACCCGAGAGGGUAUGACUCACCUUACUCAACCGUACCCUAGGAUACGACUAGUACCCUUACUUGUACCAUAGGCCUUACCAUGAACCCCUAAAUUGUCCAACAUAUGACUACACAUGCAUAAAUCAUACCCUACGAUAUGAGAAGUAACCUACAACUCAUACCUAGGCAGAAUACACUAGAUCAAACACAAGACAACAUACGACUUGCCAUUUUAUGACUCUACCUUAACAUACGAUUAGGGAGAGGCCAAACUGUACCUUUGACAUAAUGUUAUCAACCUAGACUGAUCAUUAUAUGAGAAGGUGGGUACUAUCCAUACCCUAAAAGAUGAGAUGUAUGCUUAAUCGUACCCUACCUAGAAUCUCAAACUUAGGAAAAUCUCUAAAGAUUCAAAGCCAAGGUGUUUCAAUUAUCCCCCAAAUAGAUCAUUCAUUCUUGAAUGACGGGUAGGCUAUAACGCCUUAAAUCUGGUACCCAGAAUGCUACACGGUGCUCAUGACCCCGACGGACCAUAAGCUAACCCAUGACUGAUAUCUCUACUUGUACACUACAUAAUCUACUGUAUAAAUGCAAAAAUAGAGGUUCAAUGGCCAUAAGGUUCAGAACUGUAACAUAACAUCUAGAGAUAUGGUAUACCAAUACCAAAACAACUGAAAUAAUUGUCCGAAAAUAUUAGUCUGAACAUGAUAGUCUGAAAAGCCUCUACUGACUGAACUGUCUAAAUAAAUAGUUGAUGGGACAUGUCCCCAGCUAACUCCAAAUACUAAAAUAAAUUAAUUAAUGAGAUAAUAAAGUAUUGCUCAUGUCCUCAAAAGAUGAGGACUCACAGCUAACUCUGACUGUUGAGACUGGAAUGCUAUUGAUGCUUUGGAACUUGUGCUUCUGAACCUAUGGUAUAAAAUACCAUAGCACAAAUAUGUCAGUACGUUUGAAUGUACUGGUAUGCAUGUGAGGUAGGCUCAAUGGAAAGGGCUCAUAUACAUGAACUAUACUAACUGACUGAAUAACAUGAGCAUGAGAAUACAUGCAUAAAUAUAUAAUAACUAUAACUGAGUUCAUGAUAACAUAAUUACUGAGUUUGAGUACUGAUAACAUAAGAUAUUGAUAUCUGUAUAACUGAAAUAACUAAUACUAAGUGACUAUAUCUGAUAUUCUAGUUUCUGAUAGAACUGGCUGAGUUUCGUUUUAUUCUGAGUUGACUGUAUCUAAUAGUCUUAAAUUCUGUAGAACUAUCUGAGUUCUAUUAAUGAUCUAAUUAACUAUAUCUGACAGUCUUGAUCUGUAACUGAAACUGUGGGAAGUAGUCAUCUAACCGAUAUUCCCCUAAUAUGCCAUUAUGGCUGAUUUGGGGUCCAAUCUGUAACCCCAAUUGGAAGGGUGUCAAUACUGUACUAUGUGUGAUCGUUGAGACUUAUAUCAUGUUAUUGGCCUGGUAUCUUUGUAAUUAGUUGUUCUCUUCUUGGUGAAAAUUGUCUAAAUUGGGAAUUAUGUGGUAUCAAAUGGCAUAUUAUGGUAUAUCUUACUCCAUUAGUAUAUAAAUUAUAUUGGAUCACGGAUGGUUGGCUUAUUUAGUGAGUUUUGGUUCACAUGCUUGGUAUAUUGGUUGGAUUUGGAAAUACUCAUUUGGGUUGGUUGUGAAUAUUACAUCCUAAUAUCAUAUACAUUAAUGAAACACUGGUACCACUAUGGAAAUAUCGGCUUUUUCUUACAGAAAAAAUAUGACAUCUUUAAGAACCCUCUAUCGAUUUAUGCGUCAGAUAGGAGUUAUGGAUACUAAUUGGUAUUGGUUAUUGGAUUUUGUUUGGGUUGACGACCCUCUAUAGGUCCUACCAUGAGAGCAUAGUUUGUUAGGUGUAUAUGGAGGUUGUGCCAUAACCUCGUGUAUCAUAUUAUUAUCAUCAUCUUUAUUACAUUUUAUAUAUUGUGCAUACUUUGUGUUGUAUUUUUGUUCUUGACUUGAUAUCUAUAUAUUUGUGUUUCUUUUUCUUACAUGUAUUUGAUAUGUAUCUGUACUAUAAAUUUGUUAGUGGAGAUUGUGUGGGAUAACGGUUGGGAAAUUUUAUGAUUGCAAGUGACGUACCCAUAGUGUAUAUUUUAUAUACUUUAUGUUCUACUUCGCUCAAUUGGCCUAUGAUACCUAUUGAGUACAAGUGGAUGGUACUCACCCCUACUGUGCUCUUUCGAUGCAGAUCCAAGUAUGAGUACACUACAGAAUAGCUGACUCGGGCUGUAUUUGGAGUGUUCUUUGAGGUAGAGAUUGGUCAAUGUUUCUAAAGUUGAUCUACUACCUCAUUUUAUUUAGUUUAUUUCUUAUUUUUGUACUUAGAGACAUAUUAUGUUUCUUUUGGACUAUCAGCUGUAUAUUUUUUCAUCGAGAUAUAUUUAGUUUGCACUUACACUUUGACAACAGAUUUUGGGAGAUUUACGGAAUUUUAUUAUGUAUUUUUCCGCUAUUAUUAUAUAUGUUUGGUUCAGCUUAAUUCUAAAAGUCUUACCUCAGGUUUUAGUGUUGUUUUCCCCUUUCAUAUUAGUUUGGGUGAUAGGAUUACUUGUCAAGGCUUACCACGACAAAUGCCAUCAUGGCCCUUGAUUUUUGGGUCGUGACAACAACAAUAUUCUUGUUGUUGUUGUAUGAAUAAAGACAAUAUUGAGUUUGUGGCCAAGUGUUUGUAUUGUCAGCAAGUAAGCAUAAAUAUCAGCGAUCGAGUGGUACUACACAGAUGAAGCUUGUUCCUUAGUGAAAGUGGGAACGGAUCACUAUGGAUUUUGUUUUUGGUCUACCCUGACUUUGAAGGAGUUUGAUUUUAUGUGGGUAAUUAUGGAUAGGUUGACUAAUUCUGUGCAUUUUAUACCUGUGAGCCUAAGUUUAAUAUGGAGACGAUGGCUAAGAUCUAUAUUUGAGAGAUUAUUCGAUAGAAUGGUGUGACUAUCUCUAUUAUUUCUAAUACAGAAACAAAAUUUACAUUGAGUUUUUAGAGUUUUAUGAAAAGUAAGUUGGGUACUCAACUAGUUAUGAGCACAACUUUUAUCCCUCAGAUGGAUGGCCAGCAAAAGUGGACCAUUUUGAUUUUAGAGGACAUGUUUCAAGUGUGUGUUAUGGAUUUUGAUGGUCAUCGGGAUCAUAAUUUCUAUUAGCAGAGUUCACCUACAGCAACAUUACUAUUCCAGUAUUCACAUGGCACCUUUUCAGGCUUUGUAUGGGAGAAGGUGUCUAUCUCCGAUAGGGUGGUUUGAUUCAAUUGAGGUUAGGCAUUGGGCCACCAAUUUUUAGUAAACUCACUGGACCGAGUUUGAUUAAUUCAGCAGAGGUUAUGGAUGUGUUGAGUAGGUAGAAGAGUUGUGCCAACUGUCGAGUUUGUGAUGUAGCAUUCAUGCUUGGUAAGUGGGAUUUAUUAAAAGUAUCACCCAUGAUAGGUUUGAUGAUAUUUGGAAAGAAAUAAAAGAUUAGUCCCGAAUUUAUUUAGACUUUUUAGAUUCUUAAGAAGUUUGGAGAUAUGGCGUAUAAGCUAGAUUUACUUUCAUAUUUAUCAUCUAUUGAUCCAACAUUCCAUGUUUUCACAUAAUACUGUCCAAAUGAUUUGCAUGUGAUUCAGUAGGACUCAGUUGCAUUGGAUCAUGACUUGUCCUAUGAGGGGUGCCCAUUGCUCUUCUAGAUAGGCAGACUAGGAAGUUAAAAUCUAAGUAUAUUGAUUUUGUAAAAGUCCAGUGGAUAUAUCACCCUAUCAAAAUGUCCACAUAGGAGGUUGAAUCCAAUAUGCGGAGUAGAUACCCCCAGCUUUUUACUGAUUCAGGUACCUUAUUUGCCUUUUUUGAUAAUGGACUUGUGUUUUAGUGAAGGAUAUGUCACAAUCCUUGUUGUGAUUUUUAGCUUCUGCCGUAUUUUGACUAUUUUGCCUUUUCCUACAGUCGUUAUAUGUUAUUUAUGAGUUAUGGGGUUGGUUGGCACAGUCUUUGAAGUAUUUGAAAGUGAUGUAAGUGAGUUUGAGCUUUUGAGAAGCCUUUAAAAUGUUUAGUUUGACAUUUUUCAAUAUUUUGUGAUUCGAGCAUGAGAUGGUUUCCAUUAGAUUUGAAAUGUUGAUCUUGGUUUAGUAGAAUAGAUGGUUUUGGUUUCCAGCUUUUAUAUUUAGUUUACACUUAUUGCAUGAUAAACUAGUUAAACUAGCUUAAAAACAACCUCUUUUCAUAAAAUUGAUAGUUUCAUAGAGUUUGAAAUAUCAAAAUUAACCUAGUAGCUUUAUUAAAUAAUUUUUAUGGGGUCCCAAAGAAAUCACAAGGGUUCAAUCGAGACUAUACACAUCCCAAAGUAUUGGUGUAGCUUUUUGGUGCACAGUAAAAUCCUUUUCCAUGUUCGCAAGCCCAUGGUCGCAAUUGAGGAGAAAUAAAUAACUGUUCAUCGUGAAUGUAACUAUAGAACCAUAUUUAUGAAGGGUCACCUAAUUCAUUCAUUGUGAUUGGGAGGUAGUGACAGCAUUUACGAAGAGAUAAAUGGUCCAAGUCUAGAUUAAUAUUCAUCCUUCUCGUGAUGGUUUGAUCGAGAUCGCAGGUUUUGGGUCAGGUUGGUCUUUGCAUUUGACACCUGAGGCUCGUGUUUGCAAAGAACAAAAUAUGCCUGGACAGAAUUUAAAUUAUUUUCCCUUCCAAAACCGUAUUUUUACCAUUAUUAUAAUUUAGAAGCUUUGCUCUUGGCUGUUUCAAAGAGAAAUUUCAUCAAUCUUGUAUAGGGAAUUCUAAACUCCUAUUUUCAUCAUUUUCUAUUGAUUUAAUCUUCAAAAGAACUUCAAAUCUUUAAUUUCAAACUUGAAUUUGGGGGAUUUCAUUCAGUAAAGUAUAAAAUAUGUUUUUUGUAUGUUAAGAUCGAUUUCAACUCAAUUUUCAUUGGGUUUUCAAAUUUAGAACCCCCUUAGUACUAGGAAUAUGAUUCUUAAAUAAAAUUUAAAUUUCAUCAUUUUCAAUUCAGAGUCAAUUUUUGAACUAUUUUGGAUUCAAAACGAAUAUUGCUAAUAUGGGUAUCAUUAGACUCAUUUUAAUGUUUAGAUUGUAUUUUGAUAGAUUUGAUUUAUUUCAAGGCAGCUCAUAAAGGAAAGGCUCUGUGUUGAAGUGUCCAUGCUCGUAUUUUGAUAUUUCAAAGUAGGUUAUGGCUUAACUUUCUUCUUACUGGACUAGAUAGUUAACCAUUCAUUUAAAAUAUUCUAUGGGUUGGGUAUUGCAUCGUGAGAUUCAUAUUUUGAGAUAGUUAUUUUAUUGUGUUGCUCGUGUGAGUGCUUAUUUAAAUAUUAUUGUUGACUUGAGAUAACAUUAUUUUCAUGAUGCCCUAUUUGGGGCCUAUUUGAGCAUCAUACUUGACUUGAUAUGUUAUUAUCAUGGUGAUACCAAAGUGUGGUUUGAUAUUGGUCAUGUUUGAACAUUAUUUGCCAUCUUUUUUAUUAAGAUGCUUAAGUGAGGCUUGUAUUGAUACUAUUAAUGUCAUCCUUGAUUAUUUUUUACUAUGGUGCAAUGCAAUGGCUUGUAUCAUGAUUUAUUGACAUAUUGAGGAGAUUUGAGCUCAUUUGACACCAUCAUUGAAUUGAUUCAUUAUGUAUAAUACUUUAUUGGUUGUUGAGCAUGUAUACUCAUAUCAUUCAUUUAUAUACAUACAUGGAAUUGCUAUGAUAGAGAAACACUAAUUUUUGAAAAAAAAAAACAUGAAACACUUUAUAAAAUCCUUGACCAAAGAUUUUACCGACAAGGUUGAUUGAGAUACGAAAUUGAGAUUGUGAAAGUUUUUGUGUUGAAAACCACUCAUGGGUCCUGCCAUGGAAGUUUAUUUUCGGAACAUGUAUAUGAAGCCAUGUCAUGGUUACCAUGAGAAAUAUUAUGUCAUUAUCAUCCCACUACAUUUGCAUUGCAUUGCAUCAUAUGCACUUUUAAUUACCUGUUUGUGUUUGUAUAUUUAGCCUUGUCUUAUAUAUUCGUAUAUUUUAUUCUUAUAUAGAUAUUAUACUUGUAGAAUAGUUAGGAGAUAUGAUUUAAUCACCAUGGGGAACUUUUUUGUAUGUAGGUGGAAGCAUGUUAAUAAUAUUCUUGUCUUGUUUUUUACUUUGCUCAGUAGGCCUAUGAUACCUACGGAGUACGAGUAUAUGAUACUCCUACUUUUAUGCCUUUUAGUACAAAUCCCUAGACGAGUGUAACUGAUAGUAGCUGAUUUUUGUAGUGAAAGUUGAACCUGAGUACUAGUGAACUCCCCUUUUUUAUCCUCGUUCCAGCCUCCAUCUAUCCUUUAUAUCCUUAUUGAUAUUCAAAGACAGUAAUGUAUUAUCACAUUUAGUAUUGCCUUAGAUGCUCUUUAUAUGAAUGAACUAGGUUUUAAGAUCCGAUUAUAUUUUUAUUCACAUGUUUCAGCUUCUAUGAUUAUUAUGGUCUGACUUCGUCCUAAAAUUAUCGUAUUGCUUUAAUUAUUCUUCUUCUUUUUUCAUAUUUUAUAUUUGUUGCGGAUCUUUGACUUACCUACCAAGAUUGGGUCGAGAUAGGUGUCAUUAUUACCUCAGUUUUAGCGUUGUGACACAUAUUAGGAUUACAAUAGAAGUUUUAUUAACUUGUAAUAUAGGUUUGGGGACGGGUAUGGUAGAUAUGGAUGAAGUGCUUCAACCUUUCUUGACGCUACACUAUUUUUUGCUCUACUAUUUAACCCUCUUUUUUCUUUCCCUUAUUCUCCUUUUGUUUUUCCUCAAAUUUUGGUUGUGGUUUCUAUUUUUGAACUCAUUUUUUUUUUUGAAGAUUUAUUCAUUUUGCACUUUUUUCUUUUAUUUUUUUACACAUAUACCACACUUGAAUCCAUUUUUGAUUGGUAUCUUCUUCUUCAUACCUAAUUUUCAUUUGCGCACCCCUACGAUAGCCACCCUAAAGUUAGUCAAUUUCCUUGAACCAAGCUCUAUAAUGUCCAAGAAGGGACCAAGGCCAAAGCUAGUUCAUUAUAAUUAAAAUGGGAAGAUGAAUGACUUAUGCUCAGAAUCAGAAUCAAAGGAUAUCUAUUCCAUUUGGUAAGACAUUUAAACUAAAAUAGAUUGUUCAAGAAUGACCUAUGAUCAUUUUUUCAUGACCAAAAAAGUUAAGGGUCAUGAUGACACUUGUCGCAGUGAACCUUGAAAAGUAAGACUAUCACACAAGCAGGUAGAAAUGAGAAAUGAUGCUUAAAUCCCAAGGUAAGACUUCAAGAACGAAGCCGAACCAUACAAGUACAGUAAAUACGGUAAGGAACAUAACAAAUAACAAUACCAUAACUACCCAAAACCUGCUGUUAGCAAUGUAAAAACAUACUAGUACAACUCGACUACAAAUGAAAUAUUUAAGAUAUCCACAACAGGACAAACUCUACCUCUAAAAUGCAAGUAAAUAUAUCAACUAAAAUCAACUAUAAGGUUCUCAGAGCCGCCAAAAAUCUCAAAAGAAUCCAUUCAAUACUAAAAUAGUAGCUAUUCUUAUAUCUUCCAAGAACUGGUUAGUUAGCUCUGACUGACCGUCAGUCUUGCGGUGAAAUUCUGGACUAAGAUCAACCCGAGUAGUCAAUUCCACUUUAAUGGUUUUCCAAAAGUGAGAAGUGAACAUAGAACCUCAAUCGCAUAAUUUCUCAAAUAUAGAUACGGGCCAACCACUCAAAACUGAAAGAGACAUGUACGGGAAUAAAAUGUGCAUACAUGGUAAUCGAUCUACGAUGACCCAAACACUAUUCGAUCCAUAAGAAGGGUAAGGCAAUCCGAUCACAAAUUCUGUAGUGAUCCAUUCCCACUUCCACUCAAGAAUGGGUAAUCUCUUAAGCAAUCCACCAAGUCUCAAAUGUUUGGCCUUCACUUGCUAGAAAAAAAGACAAAGAGCUACAACAUCCGCUAAAUCAUUCCUCAUACCACCCCACCAGUAAUACUAUUUCAAGUCACGAUACAUCUUAGUCAUUCCCGGGUUGAUGGAAUACUUGAAACAAUGUGCCUCCUCCAAAAUCAAUCUAAUCGAAUCACCCACUCUUGGCACAUAAACUUGGCCCCCAAUCCUCAAAAACCAUCAAAAUCAAUUGAGGCUACCUUAGCCUCACCACUCAACACCUUAUCCUGAAUCAACCUCAACCCCACAUUGUUAAACUGAUGAACUCAAAUCUUGUCCAUCAAAGAAGACCUAGCAUCUACAAAUACCAAAACAUACCCAGUUUUCAAAAUGUCAAGCUUAACCAUCUGGUUAGCUAAAGACUGAACCUCCAAGUCUAAAGGCCUUUCUUAGGUCAAAAAAUAUGGCAAGCUACCCAUGUUAGUUGACUUUUGGCUCAAGACAUUUGCAACCACAUUAGCCUUGUUCGGAUGAUAGAGAAUAUUCAAGUCAUAAACCUUAAGCAACUCAAGCCAACAACAUGCCUCAUAUUAAGAUCUCAGUAGGUGAAGAAGUACUAAAGGCUACGAUAGUCAGAGAAAAUCUCACAAUGGAAGAAGUACUGAAGGCUACGAUAGUCAGAGAAAAUCUCACAAUGGACUUAUAAAAGUAGUGCCUCCACAACUUCAAAGAAAAAAUAACCAUGCAUAACUCCAAAUCAUGGGUACAGUAAUUCUUAUCAUGGGGAUUCAACUGACGAGAAACAUAAGCAAUCACCUUACCCUCUAGCAUCAACACAACACCAAAGCCUACACCUAAAGCAUUACAAAAGAAGGUAAAACCCACGCCCUUCUUAGGCAAAGUCAAAAUAGGAGCUGAAGUUAAGAAAUCCUUGAGCUUUUGAAAGCUCGCCUCAAAAGAAUCAGACCACUGAAAGGAAAUAUUUUUCUGAGUCAAAUUGGUCAGUGAAGUUGCUAUAGAUGAAAAACCCUCAAUAAAAUACUGAUAAUUACUUGCCAAUCUAACAAAACUCUAAAUCUCAUUGGGUGAAAUAGGUCUAACCCAAUCAGUAAUUGUCACAAUCUUAGUUGGAUCAACCAUGACACCCUCCUCAGUCACUACAUGACCCAAGAAAGAAAUGGUCUUCAACCGAAACUCACACUUGGAGAACUUGGCAUACAACUUCUCAUCCCUCUAUCUAUACAGCACAAUCCUUAAAUACUACUCGUGCUCAGCCCCACUCAUGGAAUAAACCAAGAUAUCAUCUAUAAAUACAAUAACAAAGGAGUUAAUAUAUGAUCAAAACACCCGAUUCAUCAACUCCAUAAUUGCAGUUGGGGCAUUGGUGAUACUUGAAUCUCCAAUCAAUCUUCAAAAAUACUACUACAUACUAAAGUUGAUCUAACAAAUCAUUAACACGAGGAAGAGAAUACUUAUUCAAAACUGUUACCUUGUUUAAUUGCUAAUAAUUGAUACACAUUUGCAUAGACCCAUCCUUCUUCUUCAUAAGCAAGACAUAUGCACCCCAAGAUGAUACACUAAGUUUGAUAAAUCCCUUAUCUAACAACUUCUGCAGUUUAUCCAUUAAUUUCUUCAACUCGAUUGGGCCAUCCUAUAAGGAGGAAUAGAAAUAGGCUUGGUGAUCAGCUCAACAUCAAUGGAAAAAUCAAUAUCUCGAUCUGGAGUCAUACCAGGCAAAUCUAUAGGGAAAAUAUCCAUGAACCCAUAGACAACACGAACAAAAUCCAAAGAAGGAGGUGAAACAACACUAGUAUCACGAAUAUGAGCCAAAAAAGACCAGCAUCCCCUCUUAACUAAUCAUUGAGCCUGAACAUAAGAUAUAACCUUCUUAAGACCUGAAUAAAGCACAUCCUCCCAAGUUAUUCACCACACACCCUACAAAGCUAAGGUCUCGAUCUUAGCAUAAAAUCUAGGAUGGCAAAAUAUUGAGCCAACCAAUCCAUACCCAAAAUAACAUCAAAAUCAACCAUAUCUAACAUAAGCAAAUCUACCCAAGUCUUAUUCCCAAAGAAAGUCAUAGUGUAAGACUCGUAUACCCAAUCAACCACUAAAAAAUCUUCUAAUGGGUAGAUACAUAAAUUGGCAAGGCAAGAGGCUUACUAUUAGAAUCAAAUCCCAAGUAAAAAUAUAUAGACAUAUGAGAAAAAGUUGAUCGUGGAUCAAAUAACAUAGAUGCAAAUCUAAAACAAAUAGGGAAGAUGCUUAUGAUCAAAACAUCAGCAGACUCUACCUUUGUUCUUGAGGGUAUAGAAUAGCACUGUCUGCGACCACUAACUGGAUGAGUAGCCUUGCAACCACUACCACAGGCACGAUUAGCUCUAUGUCUAAAAACUUUUCCUCAAACAUCCAAAAUAGAAGUAACUUUAAUUAUACGGUGGGAUAGUAAUUGGCCAAAUAACAAAUCUCACCACACAUAAAGAAACCUUUAUGGCCUGACUAAAUAGAAAAAUGUACCGUGGUCCUUGAUGGCUACCUUAAACUGCUAGACCAGAAGCCUCACUACCCAAACUUUAUAAGGUUGCCUGAACCAAUAUAUCAUGAUACCUAUGAGAACCUCUAAAAUCUCUACCUUGAGAAGAAUGACAUCUGAACUCACCAAAAUGGUGCACCAUGUUAGCGUCUCCCUGAGAUGCUCACACUAUACCCUCAGUUAUCUUAGAAUGAUCUACUAUACUCCAAAAGGACAUUCUAAAUAAAACCAUCUGAGAUGUAAACAACUGAAGAGAAACAUCCAAACCCUUCAAAAUCUUUCAAAUUUUAUUAUAAUUUUAGGAAACAUUAGCAUAAGUUUACCUAGACAAGGUAUGGAAGUAUGCCUCAUACUCUAGAAAAGUUAUGGAGCCCUUCUCCAAGCAAUUAAAAUUAUUUUUCAUCCAAUCCCUCAGACUGUAAGGAAAAAAUAUCUCAUAAAAGGAAUUGGGAAACUGAUCCUAAGCCAUCUCGGUAGAAUAAAGAGGUCUGCAACUAAAUAGUGACCUUCACUAAUCUCUAGCAGCAUCUCUCAACUGAUAAGUAGUAUAAGUGACCCUAUGCAACUCCACCAAACCCAAGAUAUGCAUCUUCUCAUGAUAGUCAAUCAAGAAUAUUUAGGUAUCUUCACCUAUAGAACCACUUAAUCUGGUCAUGAUGACCAAAACUAAUAAAUAUCUCAAAACUCUUUUAAUCCUCAAAAUACAUAACUAUACUUACAAUAAGAGGAGACAUGAUAAAUCUGGCUAGCUAGGAUCCAAUCUGAGGGGGUAACAUAGAUGAAGGUUGAACUUCUAAUCUAGGAACACCAUAUUCACUAUCGGUAUUGAUGGAGAAAUAGUACAUGAUGUCUGAGGAGUACCUAAAAUAAAAGUAGAUGCCAUAGGGGGUCUAAAUUAAGGGCUGAAGGAACACCUUCCAUAACUAAAAAAAUAACCCUCUAAGUAGGUCAGGAAAUGCCCAACAACCCCUUAAAAACUAUGGCAAAUGAACUUUGAGGAUCUAGAACUAAACCUACAGCCCAACAUACUCAACAUAAGGCUGAGGAGAGAGCCCCCUAGAACUCCCUCUAGAUGGGGCUAAUCCACAGGCCCAUUCACUCCCUUGAGUUAGUCCAUGACUCAAAGAUCUUCCUCUGUACAAAGGCUCUACAUUUAUACUCUAGCAGUACCUAGUCAGCACCAUCUGUAAAGACAGAGUAAAACACAACUUAAAUUAAAAGGUAUAAAUAAAAAUUCUAACUAUAAAGGAUAAAAUAUGGGGGGCUUCUUAAAGACAUCUUUUAGCCUCUAAAAGAUAGAUACAGAUGUCUAUAUAUGGAUCCUCGAGACUCUAUUAGGCAUCUCAUUCCUACACUAUUGAGACUAAUGAACCUAGCUACUCUAAUACCAAUUUGUCAUGACCCAAAAAGAAAAAGGUCAUGAUGGUAAAAACAAAAGGUCAUAAUGGUACUUGUUGCAGUAAACCUUGACAAGUAAGACUAUCAUACAAAUUUCUACAAAAGGGAAAUGAUACUUAAAUCCUAAGGUAAGGCUUCUAUAACAAAGACAAACCAUACAAGUAUAAUAAAUUUAGAAAGGAACAUAGACAAUAACAAUAUCAUAACUUCCCAAAACAUGAUAUCAAUAGUGUAAAAAAAUAUCUAGUACCACUCAAAUAUAAAUAACAUACUUAAUAUGUCUACAAUAGGAUAAACUCUAUUACUAAAAUACAUGUAAAUAUAUUAAAAAACCUUGGGUUUUAACCCUUAGAAAGAUUUCCCUAUUUUCGACUUUAAAUAUCAUACAAUUUUUGGUACUAGUUAUAUAAUAGGGUACAGGUUAGGUAGCCCAGUCAUAUAUUGUCUACUAGAGUGGUGUUGGGUGGUUGAGUUUCUGAAAUGGGUACGACUAGGUAGGUACGAGUCAUAUGGUUGGUGAUGGGUCAUUAGUUUGGGUUUCUCUUUACUUAAUUUGAAAAUUAGUAACUUAACUUGGAUUUGAGUAUGAAUGGAUCACCAUGAGUUAUGAGGAUAGGGUAUGAGUCGUAUAGUCCAACACGUAUGUUGGAUAGUGUUCAAACCCUUAUAAUUCUACCUAGGGUACGAUUUUAUGGUACUAAUCAUAUGGUUGAGUACGAUUUGGCUUAGGUGAUCAUAUAUUGGAUAGUGUUAUGGUCCAAGGUAAGGCCCAAGGUAUGAAUGGCGGGUACCACUCGUAUGGUAGUAUACAAUUGGUAUAGGGUGGUUGUACCAUCCUAUGGUUAUUUUAAGCAGUUUAAUUUAGAGGUAAUCUGGAUAUUUUAAUCAUAACCUCUUAAGGUCCCAUGACUUAUAAUCCUCUUGGGACAUUAUUUAACUUAUUUGCAAUCACUCAAACUCUUUUAAAACACUCUCAACUUUUCUCUAAGGCUCUUAGGAUAAGAAAUGCCAAGGUUUUAUUAAUAGGAGAAAAUUAGGACUUACAAUGGUGAUUUCUCUCCAUUAUUUUCUUAAUCUAAGGCAUGCACUCCUCUCUUAUUAUUAUUUCCAACUAAAGGCAUGUUUUAUGAAUUCUUUCAUGGCAUAAAUGUUGUUUGGCAUUGGGUUUUCAAAUAUAUGUUGGGGGUUUUGGUUAAAAUGGUUGGCUAUGGCUUUCCCAUGUCUUUUACAUAUAGUUUUAUUACUAUUAUGAUGGUUUAAACAUUUAGUUGCAUAGGAAUGGUUAAUUAGUACUUGAUUUAGGCUUUGAAAACACUAUGCCCCCAACCUGCUUGUUAAAAUGCCUAUGAUGAUGCUUUUGGUUAAAUUAUUGGACUUUCAUUAAACUAUGAAUGGUAUAACUUGUUAAUGGAACACUAAAUAUUAUAAAUGGAUUAAAUGGUUUAGAAUGGUUAAAUGGUAAGGUCUUAGUGGUUAUGGUUGGUCUAAUUGAAAGCCUUGUGGGUACAAGGGAAUCUCCCUGAAAAACAUAAUAAUAGUCACUGGUGAGGUACAUGUGAUUCCCCCAAGUCAACUUGAUAAUCUAUGGGUACAUGGGAAUCCCUUCUUCUUAAAAAGGAUAGCGAAGCAUAUUACAUGUAAGCUAUAGUCUGUAUGAUGAUACCAUUACUUAUAGCCUUGGUUAAUAAGAUAUGGUAUAAUGGUUGGGUUGUGUUGUAAUAAUUUUAAUUGGGCAAUAAUGGUGGGGUGUGAUAGAUAACCGUGAAGGUGUGAGUCUAAUAGAUGGACGCUAGAGAUAUAUUUGUCGACAUGAGGAUUGGUCAUGGUGACCAUAUAUGAUACUUAUGGGGUAAACAGGAAUCCCCUAUGUACACUUGAAUAUAUGUAUCAUGGAGAGCGAAGGAUACUCGGAAAUCCCUUACUUCUAUGGUAUCUCCAGUUCAUGUGGCUACAUACAUCGGAGCCCAUUCAGAGGGUUACACUGAACCCAAAUAGCCUGUGGGUAAUUCUAGGAUAGUUAAGCUAUACAUACCCAGGAUAAUGGUUUUAAUGGCAUGCUAAAGACAACUCGUUUUCCCAACAUGGUUAUAUAUAUAUAUGUAUGUAUGGUUGUGAAUGAAUAUGAUUGGUUUACUUAUUUUUAAAGGUUGGCAUUAUUUUAUCCUGGUCCUAGUUGCAUGCUAGUGUUCACCCACUAACCCAUCUUUGGGCGAAUGUAUCCCAACAUGAUACAAGAAUUGGCCAUUUUACUAUUCCUGCUUAGUUAUUGAAUUCGAGAUCAGCUCGAUUAGAUUGAAGUGGUGAGCUUUCAUAUUUUAGAUGGCUCCAUUUUAAGUUAUGGAUGUUUUUACAUACUUUGUUUUUUCAUAGACAUUGGUUUUGGCAAUGGUUAGGAGUAUGUUCUAACCAAAUAUAGGUAUUAUGGAACUACUGUGAGGUUUGUAUGGGCAAUAUCGAUAGUGGUAUCAUUCUUAGUAUUGUCAUUGGUAUUGGGAGUGAUACCAUUUGACUUUAUUUAUGAUUGUUCCAUCCUAUUAUUUUAAUUUGGUAUAGGAUAUAUGGAUUAAUUUAUGGUUUUGUUUUAGUUUUAGUUUGAUAAUGGUUGGUUGGACUUGUUUGGCUUGGUCACGGUCAUGGAACUAUCUUAUAGUCUGGAAUCAUAAUAAAUGCUAUCUAUUUAUACAUUUAAAAUUUAUCCACGACAGGGUAUGCAUAUUUGGAGAUUGGGUUGGGUAAAGAGGGUGGUCCCCGAUCCUGGUUAGACUUGGGAUGCCCAUUAUGAUAAGGCCUGGGUUUGGGUCAUAUCAAUUUGGUAUCAAAGCAUUAGGUUCACUUCCAAUUAGGAGUCCAUGAAUCCGUGUUAAGUAGAGUCUCUUUUAAGAGUGUGCAACUCACCACACUAAUAAGAGAGAGGCUCAAGGAAUUUAGGAAAUGUUUCUCUUCUUUGUGUUCCAUUUUCAAGCUUGGAGUUGAAGCCCUAGAAUCUUCUCUAAUUCCUAUUUGUUUGCCUUUUAGAUCAUACCGCGAUGAUAUGAUGUGCAUAAAAACUCCUCUGUACCAACUGAGGAUAAUAUUGAUGGGAUAUGUUCUACUUAGUGGAUCCAUACUCGAUCUAGGAGUCUAGUCCCUGAUUUCUUUAGAGUUCCACCGGUUGGUUCUAGUCCUCAUUAGGCUCCUCAGGCAAACGUGAUGAAUGUGGAGUUUCGUUAGUUGAUUUGUAUGAUUGCUCAGUUUUUAGCUUACUAGAUUGAGCAUGGUGCAUCUGGUAUUGCAUUUUUUGAGGCUAGAAGGGUUGGCCACUUUAUGAGGUUGAAUCCUCUAACUUUUACUGGUAUUAAGGUGGAUGAAGAUCCUCACGGUUUUCUGGAUAAGAUAGAAAAGAUCUUCAAGGUCAUGCAGGCCAUGAAUGUGGAAGGGGUGAAUUUUCCUGCCUAUCAGCUAAAGGAUAUGGCAUACUAAUGGUACGAGUAAUAGGAUCUUGAAAGAGGUAAGUUUGAUGAGUCUUCUCUGUGGUAGACUUUCUCUAAUAUAUUUUUAGACUGCUUCAUUCCUUAGGAGUUGAGGUAAGAAAAAGUGGAGGAAUUUGUUAAUAUGAAAUAGGGGAAGACGUCAAUCAAGGAAUAUUCAUUGAAGUUUCACCAGUUGUCUAGGUAUGCUCUGGAAUUAGUGUCUAAGAUAAGGGCCAGGAUGAGAAUGUUUACUUCAGGAAUAUCUCGUGAGUUGGUCCUUGAAAGCAAGGCUGCCUUACUGAUCAAGGGCAUAAAUAUUUCUAGGUUGGUUAUUCAUAUGUAAUAGGUGGGGAAGGAAAAGAGGAAGCAGCCUAAAGUAGGGGAGAGGCAAGGGAAGAAGUUCAGGUUCUCUGAGUAGGAUGGACAAAGUUCAUCAUGUCUUUUUUUUAGGUUCUAUUUUCGGUUACAAAGGGGCUUCUAUAAUGAAGAUAGGGGCAGAUACUUCAAAUAUGGUCAACUAGGCCAUAUGCUUCAAAAUUGUUCAGUUGGUAAGGACGUUUCGGGAGCGAACAAGGUUCUGGUUGCCUCUUCAUCUGCUCUUGCACCUAGAGGUGCUUCAUAUGUAUUUGUUUCUGCUUUUGGUAUCUACAUAGGCAAGAACAGGUAUAUGCUAUUUUAUUCCGAUAGAAGUCUGAGGCAUCGCCUGAUGUCUUGACUGGUAUGUUAUGACUAUUUCUUAUGAUAUGUAUUGUUUACUUGAUUCGGGAUCCACUCUCUCUUAUACAACCCUAUUUGUGCCUGUGUAUUUUGAUAUUGAUUUUGAUCCCGAGGUUAUUUUAGAUCCUUUUUCUAUUUCUACCCCGGUAGGUAACUCUGUGGUUUGUAAAUGAGUCUAUAGGAGGGUGUGGUAUCAGUUGGUAGUAAGGAUUAUUUGGUGGAUUUGUUCGAAUAAGAAAUGAUGGAUUUUGAUGUCAUUCUAAGGAUGGAUUAGUUAUAUUUGUGCUACACGUCCUUAGAUUGUCGAACCUAUAAGGUUGUAUUUUGGUUCCCCGGUUGUAACGCUCCGAAUCUGUACUCCAGAUGCUACAUAAUGCUCAUAAUUCUGAAGGAACACAAGCUAACCCAUGACUGGUACCUGCUGUAAUAACUGAAUAAUAAUAUGGUAAAUAUGCAAAAAGUAGGUGAAAAACUAGCCAUAAGGUUCAAUACUGUAAAUAAUACUGGAUAUGGUGUCACAAUACGAAAACUGAACGUCAAUACUGAAUGCUGAACAACUAUUUGAAAAUACUCUAGUCUAGAAAACCUCUAAAUUGUCUGAACUGUGGAGUUAAUGGGACAAGUCCCAUACUAACUUCGACUACUAAAAAUGAACUAAAUAUAUAAUAACGUCCUCAAUCUAUGGGGACUCACCACUAACUCUGUAUGCUGAGAAUCUGAACUGCUAAAGGUGCUAGCGAGCCCGUGCAUCUGAACCUAUGAUAUAAGAUAUCAUAGAGAAAAAGAAAGGUAUGCGUCAAUACUCUAAAUAUACUGGUAUGCUCAGUAAAAUAGGCUGGGUUCAUUGUAUGGACAAUACUAAUUGAAUAUCAUGAGUAUGACUGAAUGAGAGUACAUGCAUGAAUAUGGAAACUGUACUAAGAUCGUAAUAACAUUGAAUACCAAAUCUGAAUACUGAUUAACUAAUAUCUGAGAAUACUAAUACUGAAUUACCGGUAAUUGAAUGACUGUAUCUAAUAGUCUUGAUUCUGAGGAACUAUACUAAAUCCCGUACUGAGCUGAGUGGUUGUGUCUGACAGUCCUGAAUCUACAGAAUAGAACUGAGUUCCAUACUGAGACUGAAUCUGAAACUGAGAAUAUGGGAAGUAAUCAUCAAACCAACAUCCCCCUUCUCUAACUAAUUUGGGGUCCAAUCUGUAACCCCAGUUGGAUGGGUGUCAAUACCGUGCCAUGGAUAAGGACAAGUGCUAUGUCACCCUCAUCUGGCAGGUACUCUGAACAAGAAUGGUGGUACCCUCAACUGGCAGGUAGAUCACCUAAUCAACCCUCAACUGGCAGGUUGAUGUCUCAGCCUACAUUGGCUACGUAGUUCUGGAAUGCAAGGACUGCUUCUAGGAAUUUCACCCUCUACUGGAAGGAGAGUCCCCAUCAUUGGGUUCACUCGGUGCUGAAUCCUACUCCCAACUGAAUAGACACUGGACUGAAUUCUAAACUGUACUAGGAUAGACUAAACUGUUACUGAUCGUACUUUAUAACUGAACUAAACUGAUUUAAGUAAACUGAGCUGGACUGAUUCUGAGUUCACUGUGUUUUCCUAAGUUCUGUAACUGACUGAAUUCUACUGAUCAACACAUGACUGAUUCUACUCUGUGACUAACCAUGGCUCAAGAUAACCAGCUAAAUUAUCGGGUAUUAAAUAGCCCUAGGACUCGAUAGUAUAUGCUUAAAAGACAUGGCAUAAUCUAGAGACAUGGUAACAAACUACUUAAUCAUCAUUUAUUCAUUUGGGCAUUCAAGCAAACACUUGCAUACAUGCCAACAUGAUAUAACUUCACUAUUAAACUCACAUGGACAAUUCAUCAAACACUUGUGGGGCACAAUAUAUGCGCAUAAUACUAAAACAAUAGGUAGGCAUCUUGAUUUAAUUCCAAUUACACAAUUCCAAAAGUUCCAACAUGAAUUCACAUGAUGAAGCAGACAUAUCAAUUAACUCUAUAUGAAUCUUGAAAUAAAUUAUGAAUACACUUUAAUUCAAAUCAUGGAAAUCAUGAAAUCACUAUAUAUGAGCUUUAAAAGAGUUUCUUGGACACCAAGGUUGGAAGGAACCCUUGGAUAAACACUUUACAUACCUUAGUUGGUGAAUUCUAGAAAAUUAAUGGUGGAAUCUUGAGCCCUGAAUUUGAAUCUAAUUCACCUAGGGUUUUUGUUCUUGAGCAAUUUGUGAAAGAAUGAAUAUAACUUGCUAAAAGAGGGCUAAAUUUUUUGUUAUAAGGGAUGAAGGGUGUUGGAAAAAGAUUUAAUUAACCCUGAGGAUGCGACUUUUAAAAAGACUAUAAACUAAACCAUCGAUGUGCAGGCCGAUACGCCGCAUCAUUGGCAUCGACACGAUAGCCAAUGCACCAUGUCUAGUCUGCCUCGGUUCACUAGAAUUUGACACUGGGAGCUGGGGAAAACAUUUAUCAACUAGAUAGUUGACACGACGUGUCAAGAUCACGUUGAUUCACUAGUUUAGGAUUCCAAAGGUUUUUCAAACAAAGUUUGAAAAAUCCUAAACUUGUCCGGGAAAACCUAUUGACAUUCCUGAUCAUGAAUUAACUCAAAUAUCAACAUUUAAAGGAUGUAAAGUUUGCGAAAUAAUAUUUCCAACUUUUGAAAGCUAAAAUAACACUAAGUCUGAAUACUUAGCUAGAAUUUUUUAUAUUUGGGACACCUUAACAAUCUUAAAGGACUGUAUAAAGCUAAGAAUUUUUUGGGGUCUUACAAUACCUUCCCCAUGGUACCAUUCUUCCUCUAAUGAGACUGACUAAGUUGAGAAUACUGGUAGACUGAACUUACUUACUGAACAUGAUCAUCUGAAACAUGAUUAUCUGACUUACAUUACUAACAUACUGAAUUUCAUACUGAACAUGAAUAUCUGAUGCAUGAAUACAUGACUGAACUAACUCAUGAACAUAUGACUAAAUAUACAAUGGUAACUAAUACCAAGUUCGUAAUGGAAAAUCUGAGCAUGAACUGAAUAAGAUUAUGGAAAACUAUUACCUUGAUCUAAGUCUGAGUUUGAAGAGAAGAGGUGAGGAUACUUGGUCCGCAUAUCUACUUCUGCUUCCUAAGUAGCUUCCUCAACGAAAUUAUUCCUCCAAAGAACUUUAAUUAGAGGGACUUCUUUGUUCCUCAGUCUGCAAAUUUGAUAAUCAAGGAUUUUGAAUAGAAUCUCUUCAAAAAAGAGAAUGCUCCAAACAUCUAUGCCUUUUAUGGGGACUACGGCUGAUGGGUCACCUAUGCAUUUCUUUAGCAAGGAGACAUGAAACACCGGAUAGACUGAAGAUAGAUCUAAGGGCAACUUAAGCUUGUAAGCUACCUUUCCAAAAUGGCUAUGAAUUUGGUAUGGACCGACCUAUUGGGGACUAAGUUUCCCCUUCUUGCCAAACUACUUCAGUCCUUUCAUAGGAGAGAUUUUCAAGUACACAUAUUCACCAAUCUCAAAAUCGAGAUCCUUUCUGUGCACAUCUGCGUACAAUUUUUGUCGGCUCUGAGCUGUCUUAAGUCUUUUCCUGAUCAACUUGAAUUUCUCUAAGGUAUCAAAUUUCAAGUCAGGCUCUACCACUGCGGCCUCAGCCACUUCAAAUAACUAAUGAAAGAUCUACACCUCCUCUGUAACACCCCAAAAUUUAGGUCCUAGGACGUUACACGGUUCUUAGGGGCACAAGUGACCCUAAGCUAACCCUCCUACUGUCAUAACUCACAAACAACUGGAUAAAAUACUUAAAUCUAUAUAAAGUUAGCAAAAAUAUAGAACUUCUCUGAACUUGAUCAAUAUAAACAUGAACUUUACAAGAUUACAACUCUACUUUUACAAAUAAAACUGAAACUGAAUACAUCAACUUCUACUGACUGCCUAUUAAGCCUCUACUGGUACUGACUUCAGAUAGAUGGGUCUUGACUCCUAACUACCCAAUCUCAAUACAACUAAAGUGAGAAAAAUACAACACUUCUCAAACUAUAUAGCUGACUCAUGCCCUCGAAUCAAAAGGACUCAUCACCUGCUGACUGGAAGCUGUGAACUAACUGAAUGUGGUAUCUGCGCUAUAACUUGUACCUACAUUAUAAGGCGCUAUAGCAUAUAGAAAUAUAUGGGGGUCAGUACUUUAAGGAAUGUACUGAGUAUAUGGGGGUGCAAUGCAACAUUAUAAAUAAUAUCAUAAAUGAUUAUGAAAAUCAUGCAUGCUGACGAUAACAACUUUCUUCGCUUGAAUUAACUGAAAAACAUUCCUUGUAAAUCAUCAAUAGUAAUACAAGCAUUAGAAAUCUCAUAAAUAAUUAUACUUAACUCAAACACUUUAAAUCAUGACUUAGAGUGACUCGAUAACUCAAGAAACUUGAACUCUUAUAGACUUGGGAGUUUCUUAUAACUGAGAUACCUACACCAUGUGAGCCGCAUAGAGUCCAACAUUUUGCCCUCCUACAGAGAAAACCCCACAUUGGUAGGGGUGUCGUACUCUUGCCAAGGAGUACAACCUUAAUUUCUUAAUCACUAUCCCAUACUCGGCCUUUGGCCUAAAAUCAUCAAUAUCAAUCCUACGGUGGCACAUAGUUUUGGAGAAAUACCACAUUUCCCGCUCGUUGGUAAAUACUUUUCCAAGACUCAGCUCAGAAUGCAUUAGGAAAUCCACCUUAAACAAUAUCAAUUCGUAGGUCCAUUAUAAAGACUAAAAGAUAAUUAUAUAUCUCAUCAGUAAAUCAUAUACAACUAUAGAUUCCUAACUCAACUCAAAAUCAAACAAUCUUUCUCAAUAUCAAGAGGUAUCAAUUCAUUUAGUCAUGGCAACAUCAAUAACUUUGAGGAAAUAUCAAGACUCAUUAUAACAACUCAAUCUCAUGAAUCAAUAUACUCAAUAAUCCAAUUUUUCAUAAGGAAGCUUAAAGAUUGACACAUGUCUUGAAAGCACUUGAAAUACCAACUCAUGGUAGAACAUGAAAUUCACAAUAUUAAAUAUCAAGUCAUAAUUUGGAAGUUGUAAAAUAAUCAUGUAUCAAAAACUUCAAGAAAACAUCAUAGAACUCAUUCUUGACUUUCAAGCUCAAAUAUGAGUAGUCAUUUAAGAUUUGUAACAUUCCGUAGUUGUAACACUCAAAUAAUGCAUAAAAAAUGACCUCUAGGACCCCCAUUUUGAUGGUAGGCCAUGUUUAGAUGUUAUGGGUUGUGUUGGGUGUUUCUGGACGUUAGGAUUAGGUGUACGUCGCCAAAUAAAUCAUCCACUAAGGUUGUGUGUCACAUGACAAACAUCAAUAACCCCUAGAUGGGGUGUGCUUUUUGUGUGCUUCGCACACCCUCAGGUGUUCUUGGCUGAACGCCACCCAGCAAAAGCAAAGUGCCAAAGUUGCUCCAUUUUGAAUUAAUUUAAGGGCGUUGAGGUCUUUUCACACCCCUAAACCAUUUCAAAUCAUUCUUAAAUGAAUUGAGAGGUCUCAAAAUACGUAAUUUAUACUCUCUUAACCCCAAACAUCCAGUAUACGAUUCAAAACCCUUCCCCUCUUCCCAAUAAAAAAAAUCAAGUUUCUUCUCUCAAGAACUCAAGAAGUUAAGUUCCAAUUUUAGGCUUUCUUCAAGAAUUCGUCCAAUUGAGGUAUGUAGGGUUUAUGAACAAGUAUAAUCUUCCAUCGUUGUGCCCAAAGUGCAUAAUUUCAAUAUUGAACUUCUUUAUUAGGGUCAUACCCAGAAAGUAUAUUGCCAUGAGAUUGAAAGCUUUAAGUAUAUAAAGAAUUGCAUAUGCUCAUGUUUUAACUUAUAAGAUUCAUAUUGUGGUUGUAGUUUCAUUAUUUUGGCUGAGAUUGUUGAAGGAUUUUAAUGUGAUUAUUAAGCAUGAAAUUUUGUUAUGAAUUUUUGUGAAUUUAAAGCAUAAAUUAUCAACCCUAAGUAUAAGUAUUCAGUUUACAAUAAGAUUAUUCUCUUAAGCUCCAUUGACAAGUUUUACAUCAUGAUUUAAAGUAAACAUUGAUAUUUUAAUCUUAAGAUAAGAUACGAAAUCCACAUUUGUUCAUCUUGAUUAAGAUUUAAAGAGAAGUAUAAUUAGGUUUUCAUUCUAUAAGCCGUUAUUCUAGUUUAAGGUGGAUUUCCUAAAGUACGAGCAUAUAAGUAUUCUGGGAGUAGUAUUUAGCACCGAGAAGGGAAUGCAGAUAAGCAUAUCCUUAAUUCCUAAAAACUACGAGCCACCAUAGGUUAAACUUUUUCCCUAUAUGGAUAAAGUAAAGUGAUCACCUAAGAUUAACGUUCUAUUUCGAUGGAAAGGGCAGAAUAGCUCUCCCCAACAUUGGUAAGAUAUUGGACUCCAUGGUAGCUUACAUGGUUUAUGUCGGUUAUAAAAAACUCACAAGGAAAGAAUAAUACGUAAAUCUUUUAGAAACUAAGUGUUAUGGCUCACAAAUUUUACUCUUAUGCUUCUUUUUUUCUGAUUAUGAUCUUACAUCUUUUGUUUUAAUCAUGUUCAAGGUGAGUCAUUUACACCUAGCAUGCAUCAUUGAAAGUUUAUUUGGACAUUCAGUUAUCAUUUUACUUAUGCAUUCACGCCCAUAUACUCAGAAUAUUCCAGAGGUACUAACUCACAUAUAUGCCUGUGUGCAACAUUAUCUUAUAAUAUAGGUUCUAGUGCUCAUUUCUAGUAGUAUGAUUGACUACGGGAAUCACUACCUAGAUCCCGACUUUUGGUAAGUCCUUAUAGUCCGGGAACCUAGUUUACCAGACUCUUGUUAUUGCUAAAGUGUUUUAUUUAUUUGAUUUUUGUUUAUGUUUGGGUUAGCAGGAGUUUUCCCAUUGGCUCUCAGGUCAAUAUCAGAGACUUAUCAUACUAUUAAUGUUUUUAGUAUUUUAAGAGUUUUCUAAAGACUUCCAAGUUAAAGACUUUAGUUAAGAUAUGAAUUCAUUUACCUUCAUAUUCUAGUAGGUAUUUCUCUUUUCAUAUGAGAUCUAAUUUAAGUAAGAAUUAUGGGUUAUCUUCGGAGUAUUAGUAGCUUAGACCACAAUGUGACAUCCAUGGGAGUACUUUGGGGGCGUUACAAAAUCAGUCUCCUAGGAUGAAAAUUCCUAGUAGCAGACGGUUAUUAUGUAUUUGUUUCCAUGGAUUAACAUUCGUAGUAGCAGAUGGUCAUCUUGCAUUCGUCUCCUAAGAUGAAUAUUCAAAAUAGCAGACCAAUAAUUUUUCUUCAUUCCCAAGGAUACACAUUCUUAGUAGCAUAAAAAUCAUUUUGCAUUAUUCUCCCAAGAUAAAUGUUUCCUAUUCUGUGAAUUUCUUUUUCUUUCUCUGGGAAUAAACACUUUGAUUCUGAGAUAUUUAUUUCCUUUUUCUCCUCGAAUAAACACUUCCUAGGCCAAGUUCACAAUUUCUAAUAACUCACAAUAUUUUUCCAGUUAAAAUUAGGCAAAAAAUUAUUUGUUUCUUUUGUUUGUGAUGUCUUGUAGUUUUUAUCCACCAAAAACAAUUUGAUUCUCAUCUUUUCUAGAAUGUUCACUCUCAAUGACAAUCAGAUUUAGCAUGUAGCAGCAUAGAACUUGCACAUCUAUUUCUAUCCAACUACUGAUCAUAAGAAAAAAGAUUCAAGAACAUUCUCAAAGUGCCAUUUGGAAGAGUGUCAAUGUCCCAGUCAGGUCAAGUAUCAAAUCUCAGCUUCAAGAUCAAUGCACUUACCAAAAAGCAACAUGAUAUGUGAAACUCUAGACUCAAGUGAAGAUUCAAGUAAAGAUUCAAAAGAAGCUACAUAUAGGAUCUUCUACUUGUAAUUCUUUCAUAAUCCAAUUUCUCAGGUCAUAAUUGCACCUACUAUAACCGAUAGUAGGUAAAAGAACCCAUAACCAAAAACAAGUAGUAACAGACUAUCCAGAAAAUUAAAAGAAGCAAUGGAAAAUAAUCAAGUAAAGAAACUAAUAUAGAACACAAACCCAAGAUCUGGUGAAGUCAGUACAAGAGCUUCUACUACAACAGGAGUAAAAAAUAAAAUACAGAGUAAAUAUAUAUGUACAAACCAUCUACAAAAUACAAAGUAGAGAUGUAUAAUCAAAAUAAGGGAGAGCAAUAAUACUCCGAACGUCAGGAGCUCACCCUAAGUUUCCAAUAUAUAGUUUCUCUGCACGAUGCAUACAUCAAUAGUAAAAAUGUAUACUAUGAUUUGCAAGUUGCAGAAGUGUAGCAUAAGUACCAAACACGUGGUACUCUGUAGGUAUUAGCCAAUUAUGUUAUAAAGAUAAUGUAAAAAUAAAUAUUAUGUAAAGCAGGAGUAUAAGCUUCAAGAAACUAUCCAAAAAACUAAACAUGAUAAUAAUAAUGUAGCAAUAAUGGUAAACUAUCCUAUUCUAACAGUAUUUGGGAACUAGGGUGCAAUACUAUAUAUCAUUAGCUAAUAUACAACUGAAGAGUGAAAGAAGGAUGUAUUGUAGUAGUACAAGCCUAAAGGAUUCAUAUACAAUGUGAAUAGAUAAAGAAAAAGAGGGAUAUUGAAACACCCCAAGUCUUGGACCCUUUUAAAUUUCCUUGAUUUUGGACUUACUAGGCUUGGUACGACUCAAGGUUACCAAUCGUACCCUUAGAUACAAGUUAGGGAGGCUUGGUGGCUCACUCGUACACUAGGCAGUAUGUUUGGUAUAGCUACUGCCCAAGAUAUGACUAAUCUUAGUACGAGUCUUAUAGGAACAUAUGAUUUGUGCAAGAUAAGUCGUAUGGUGCUUGUUUGAGUUAUCUUAUGGAAUCUUCCCAAGGUACGGUUGGUUGGUAUGAUUUACCAUACUACUUUUAUCCUUAGGUACAAAUUAGAGAGGUGUGAUUCAUAUAGGAACUAGUUUGUAGGGUCUUAUCAUGGUCUUGCAUACAAGUUGGGGUACCUAUCUGUAAUGACCCAAGACUACGCCCUAGUCGUUACACGAUGCUUACGAUCCCGAGAGACCACAAGCAAACCCAUUAGUUGCUACCUGCUAUGAGUACUGAAUAAUAUGAUUAUAAAUAUGGAAGAAUACCGACAUGCCAUAAGGUUUUAAUAACUGAAUUUAAAACUGAAAUAUGAGUCUAUAGAAACAACUAACUAAAUUUGAUAAAAUAAAGAUAAACUGGAUCACUAACUGUAAUAUCUGAAUACUAAAUAACUAACUCUAAUAUCUGAAAAGCCUCUAUAACUGAUUAACUGAAUAUGAGUUUAUGGGAUAGGCCCCAACUAACUCCAACUAACUACUAACUGAGACAUAAAGUAAAGCAAGCUUGUCCUCAAAGUAUGAGGACUCACCACUGCUACUAUUGAGAAUCUAUCCAAGAAAGUCGUGGUAAAUACUUCCCAUUCUAUAGGCCCUACAUCAACACCUCUAUCAACUUUCCACUGCUUAAACCAAGUAUGGGCUACGUCCUGCAAUUGAUAUGCAGCUAACUCGGCACUCUAACUAGCCAUCAUCCCCAUAGCAUCUGUGACCUUCUAAACUAUAUCUAAUAUUUCCUGUGGAUCUUCUUCAGAAUUGGAUCCCGUGAAAGAAGGAGGAUUUAUUCAAGUGAAAUCCCAAAUUCUAGUUGCAGUAGUAUUGGUCACUGGGUUGGCUGAAAUGGUGGUUGGCUAUUCAUUUUGUGUUACAAUGGAGUUUCCUAGAGUAGUGAACGCAGCCCUAAAUUCUGUGUGAGAGACAUAUUCGUCUAGAGGAUCAUCCUAGAUGUGCUGAGGGUUGGCUGAGUUCCUAUUCUUCUUCCGUUCUUUUUCAGAGGCAUGUUCUGUAAACGAAAAGAAGAAAUGGAUUAGACUAAGAGUUUAAAUUAAGCUCAUGCUCAAUCACACGACAUGAAUACAUGAAAGAAGGGAAACUUUUCCUAAACACCUUGUAGCCUCUCGUCCAUAAGUGUAGCAUGCUACACACCCAUGAACAAGACUCUACUCGAUACAGAUUUCAAACCUCCCAGGACGUUUUAAAUCCUUAGGAUUUGAUACCAAGUUUAUAAUGAUUCGAGACUACCCCUAGUCAUUACACGGUGCUUACAGUCUCAAGAGACCACAAGCUAACCUAUGAGCUGGUACCUGCUAUGAGCACUGAAUAAUAUGAUCAUAAAUGUGGAAGAAUACUGAUAUGUCAUAAGGUUUUAAUAACUAAAUUUAAAACUGAAAUAUGAGUCUAUAAAAAUAACUGACUAAAUCUGAUAAGAUAAAAAUAAAAUGGAUAACUAACUGUAAUAUCUGAAUACUGAAUAACUGACUCUAGUGUCUGAAAAGCCUCUAUAACUGACUGACUGAAUAUGAGUUGAUAGGAUAGGCCCCAACUAACUCCAAGUAACUACUAACUGAGAUAUGAAGUAAAGUAAGCAUGUCCUCUAAGUAUGAGGACUCACCACUACUACUGCUGAGAAUUUGAUGAGUCUACUCAUGAGCUGAGAACUGAGCGCCAGAACCUAUAAUAUAAUACAUCAUAGAGCAAAAUAAAAAUUAAGUGGUCAGUACUUUGAAUGUACUGGUAUGCUAAAUGAGGUAGGAUGAUAUAUAUGGUUUCAUGAACAGAACUAAUUAUUAACUGGAUAUGCAUGUAAAGCAUAGAGUACUAAUUAGAGAACAUGUAAUCUGUAGAUACUGAUAAUGCAUGAAAAUUUGUAAAUACUGAGGAUGUAUGACCAAGCAUAUAACAUAACAAAGUAAAAUAUGUAAACGGAAAUACUGAGAUAACUAAAAUCUGUAUGCUUUGAUCAAGCAACACUAAGACUGAAUAACUGAACAGGGAUUGUAACUGAGACCAUAUCUGAGACUGUGGGAGGUAUCAUCUAACCGACAUUCUACCUAUAACCCCAGCUGGAAGGGUGUUAAUACUGUGUCACGGGUACUAACAAUGGAUGUUUGGAUCCACUGAACUGAUAUAAUGUCGAAGGACUAAGUGUGUCAAGCCUGAACUAAUGGGUAACCCCUACAAGAUAAUCAAGCCUAAUAUGAUGGGUGACUACUUAUAUCCUAUGCUAGCUAUAUAGUUCUGGAGUAUAGGGACUGGUACUAAUGACUUUUUCUAUCUGAUGGGGAAGCCUCCAUCCCUACACUCUCUCGGUGCUAAAUCCUACUCCCAAUUGAAAGAAACUGAGGUACUAGACUAUUCUGAGUUGAAUAACUGAUAUUUGACUAUUCUGAUAAUGUUCAUAAUAUAAUUUGUAGACUAUUCUAUAAUAUACUAAGGCUAGAUUAAAUGAACAGCUAUGGUUUUCAGGUAUUCAAUACCCCCAGGACUCAAAGCAACAAUACUGAAAUGACACUAAAGCUUGAAGACCAAAACAUGAAGGCUCUUAAUAAAUAAAUCACUCUAGUAGGCAUUUUACAAACACUUGUAGUUCAUGGUUUUGAAACAAUCAUAGGAAUGUCAUGGACCUUGUAGAAAUAGCAUGAAUUCAUCAUAAUAGCUUUAAAUCAUGGUUUAAUUUAGUAAAUCAUAAUUUUUAAAACAUGGAAGAUUGAGUAAUAAUAAUAAUUUCAUCGUAACAUGGUAUAGAAUCAUAGUUCAUGGAGAUUCAUGUAUGAAAUCAUACCUUAAAAUAUGAUAACUUGAAAAGAUCACAAUUUUAUAGUUUAAAAAGGUUUCUUGGACUCUAUGUAUGAAAGGGAUCCAUGGAUGAACAUCUAACAUACCUAGGUUAAUAAAUUUGAAGAGAUGAAUAGAGAGUUCUUGAGAAAUUACCUUGAAUUUGAGAGCUAGAGUUUCUUGUUCUUGAAAGAGGGAUUUUUUAUUGUGAGAGGAAUUGAAAUAAUGAUGACUACUUAGAGUAUGUAAGGGUUAAAUUUUGUGUUUUAGGUUAAUUAGGGUCGUGGAAAAAACCUAAAUACCCUUAAACAAAUUUAAAAAUUAAAGCUGAAAACUGACCAUACCGAUUUUUAGCCUUGGCGUAACACGCCACUAUCGCGCCAAGCCACUGGAAAAGGGAUAACUGGGACCUGGUCAGACGGCAAGAUGCGCCACCAUCUUGGUAAGCCUGUGGAUGCCAUUUUGGCCACCUCCAUGACGCGCCAUGAUUACGGAGCCUCACUGGAAAUAGAUAAACAGGAAUUGACUUGGUCCACGAUGCACCAUGAUUGUGGGAUCACACUGGAAAUUGACAAUUGUCAUUUGGAAUGUCUAUGUAACACACUGAGGGUUAAAAUGAUGGUGUUUAAUGACUGAAACUUAAAAUCUCCAUAACUUCUUACCCCAUUAUAAGAUUUGGUAAAAUUUUAUAUCGUUGGAAAGCUGACAGAAUUUUCGAUGCAAUGGUAGGCUCUAAACUUAAAAAUAAUGAGUGUUUCAAAAAUUUCAUAUACAAAUACUCAUGUAUUGGGACUUAGAUUAUGAUAGGGAAAUACAGGGUGUUACAAUAUCUCUCCCUUGGGAUCAUUCAUCCCUGAAUGAAACUGGUUAAGCUAAAAGAACUAAUGGACUUAGCUUACACAUUGAAUAUGCAUGUUUGAUGCAUGGAAUGCAUGACUGAACUGAUUCAUGAAUGCACGACUGACAAGAAAAAUAUGUACAGUUGAAACUGAGCAUGACAGAGAAAAGAAAAUCUUAAGAAGAUUAGUACGUUAUAAUGAAUUUGGAUUCGCACAAAAAAAAUGAGGGUACUUGGUCAGCAUAUCUACUUAUACUUCCCAAGUGGAUCCCUCAAUGGACUGAUUCUGCCAAAGAACUUUGACUAGUGGAACUUAUUUGUUCCUUAGUCUACGAACUUGAUGAUCAAGAAUUUUGAUUGGAACUUCCUCAAAGGAAAGACUGUUCUGAAUAUCUACAAUUUCUAAGGGAACGACUACAGCUGAAUCACCAAUACAUUAUUUUUAACACUGAGACAUGAAACACUGGGUGUACUGUGGCUAAAUCUAAAGGCAACUUAAGCUCGUAAGCUGCCUUUCUUAAAUGAAUGAGAAUUCUAAAGGGACCGAUAUAUCGGGGACUGAGUUUCCCUUUCAUGUUGAAUCUCUUCACUCCUUUCAUGGGAGAGAUUUUCACGUACACGAAGUCACCAACCUGAAACUUGAGAUCCUUUCUCCUUACAUCAGCAUACAUUUUUUAUCAAGUCUGGGUAGCCCUAAGACUUUCUCUGAUCAACUAAACCUUUUCUAAUGCAUUAAACACCAAGUCAGGCCCUACUAAUUUAACCUCACCUACUUCAAACCAACCAAUUGGAGGUCUAUGUCUCCUACCAUAGAGAGCCUCAAAUGGAACCAUAAAAAUACUGUAAUGAUAGUUGUUAUUGUAUGCGAAUUCAAUCAAAGGAAAAUGGUAAUCCCAACUAACCUUGAAUUUAACAAUGCACGCUCUCAAUAUAUCCACAAGAGUCUGAAUGAUUCUUUUUGCUUGACCAUCUAUCUGAGGGUGGAAGGCUAUAUUGAGGUGGACUUAGGUACCAAGACCCUUUUGAAAUGCUCUCCAGAAGUGAGAGGUAAACUAAGUACCUCUAUCUGAGAUGAUAGAUAAGGGAAUACUAUGUAACCUAACCAACUUUCUGAGAUAGAGAUUGGCAUAGUCCUCGUCUAAGUAAGAGGUAUGGAAUGGCAAGAAAUAAGGUUAUUUGGUCAUCCUGUAUACAAUAACCCAAAUAGAGUUAUACUGACGAUGGUUACGAGGCAAACCUGUCACAAAGUCCAUGUUCACUUCCUUCUAUUUUCAGAUGUUAAUACUAAACUCCUGGAUGGACCCACUAGGUUUUUGGUGCUCAACCUUAACUUGCUGACAUGUAGAGACUUUAACUACAAACUCUGAAAUAUCUCUAUUCAUCCCACUCCACCAAUAGAUCUCCCACAAAUCAUGAUAUAUCUUUGUAGCCCCUAGAUGAAUAGAGUAAUGCUCACCAUCCACUUCUGCAAGAAUUCAUUGCCUCAAUCAUCUACACCAGGAACACACAAUCUACCCUGACAACGCAAAACACCAUCUCCCUCUUGGGAGAAAACCUCCACUUUCUGAUCUCUGACUGAUUCUUUCAACCUAACUAGAGUGCGAUCUCUAUCCUGCUUUUCCUUCACCUCAAAAACUAGAGAUGACUCUAAGCUACUCUAUACCCACACACUACCUUCUACUAAAUUGAUUAAAUGGAAACCUAGUCAGGCAAGCUAAUGCACUUCCUGAGCUAACUUCUUCUUACCAUCCUCAACAUGCGUUACACUACCAAUAUACAUUCUACUGAGAGCCUCAGCCACUACAUCAGCCUUGCCAAGAUGAUACAGAACACUCAUGUCAUAAUACUUCAACAACUCUAACCAUCUUCUAUGACACAAAUUCAAAUCUUUUUGAGAGAACACAUACUGAAGGAUUUUGUGAUCUAUGAACAUAUCCACAUGCACCCCAAACCAGUAAUGUCUCCAAAUCUUUAAGGUAAACACUACAGCUGCUAGCUCAAGAUCAUGAGUCAGAUAAUUAUUCUCAUGAGGCUUAAGCUAUCUGGAGGUGUAGCUAUGACCUUACCUCUCUGCAUGAGGACAUAACCCAAACCUACUCUGGAUGCAUCACAGUACAUGACAAAACCAUCUGAACCAUCUAGUAGAUUCAAGACUAGGGAUGAGGUGAGUCAAGUUUUCAACUUCUAAAAACUUUUCUCAUAUGAAUCUAACCACUGAAACUUAACUUUAUUAUUAGUCAAUAUGAACAUAGGGGAUGAAAUUAAAGAAAACCCUUCAAUAAACCGAUGGUAAUAGAAAGGUAAACCUAAGAAACUCUUGAUAUCUAAUGGAGAAAAAGGUCUAGGCUAAUUUUGUACUGCUUUAGUCUUUUGAGGAUCAACUUUAAUACCAUCACCAAAAAUAAUAUGACCAAGGAAUGCUACUAUCUUAACCAGAAUUAACACUUACUGAAUUUAGCAAACAACUGAUGGGAUCUAAGAGUCUAACGCACUAUGCUAAGAUGGUUUGCAUGAUCGCUUUCACUAUGAGAAUAGACAAGAAUGUUAUCAAUGAAGACUAUGAUCAACAUGUAUAAGUACUUCUUGAACACUCAGUUCAUCAAGUCCAUAAAGGCUGCUAGGGCAUUUAUGAGACCAAAGAACAUGACUAGAAAUUCAAAGUGACCAUACCAAGUUUGAAAAGCUAUUAUUGGAAUGUCACGUUCUCUGACUCUAAGCUGAUAAUAGCCUGAUCUGAGGUCUAUCUUGGAAAAGUAACUAGCACCUUGAAGUUGGUCAAACAAGUCAUCAAUUCUAGGAAGUAGAUAGUUAUUCUUGACUGUGACCUUGUUCAACAAUGGUAGUCUAUACACAUUAUAAGAGAACCAUAUUUCUUAUGCAAGAACAGAAUAAGUGUGCCCCAUGGGGAGAUGUUGGGUUUGAUGAAUCCCUUAUCUAAGCGAUCCUUCAAUUGUUCUUUCAGUUCUUUGAGUUUUGCUGGAGCCAUUCUAUAUGGAAGAAUAGAUUUAGAUUGAGUAUCUGGGAGAUGGUUUAUUCCGAAGUUGAUUUCCCUUUUGGGAGAACCUUUGGGAAGAUCUUCAUAAAAAAACAUCUGAGAAUUCAUUUACUACUGGGACUGACUCAAGAGUAGGGGUUUCUGAGUUAGAGUCUUUGACUCGCACAAGAUGGUAAAUACACCUCUUUGAUAUCAUCUUUCAAUCUCUAAGGUACGAAAUCAACUGAACCCUAAGAGCUGUAGUAAUACCCCUCCAAUCAAGGACUGGUUCAUUUAGAAACUAAAAGUAAACUAUUCCGUUUCAACAAUCAACUGAGGCAUAGCAUUAGUAGAGCCAAUCAAUGUCGAUAAUAAUGUCAAAAUACGUCAUCUCUAACUCUAUGAGAUCAACUGAAGUAAAUUUUUAAGCUAUUGUGACCGGAUAGCUCUUGUAAACCUAUCUGGCUAUAAUGGAAAUGCCUACUAAGGUUGACACUGAAAAGAACUCUGCUAGAGUUUUGGUACUGACUCCGAAAUUAACAGUUAUAUAUGGAGUUACAAAAGAAAAAAGCUCCAGGGUAUAGUAAAUCAUAAACAUGUAAGUGAAAGACCUACAACGUACCAGUAGCUACGUUAGGAGAAUUUUCCUAAUCUUAAAGGAUUGAAGAGCAUAUAAUCUAUUCGAACACUGACCACUGGUAGCACUAGAAAUGGUAUCCUGCUAGGUUAGGCGACUGGAUGAAAUUAACGAUUGAUGGGACUGGCCCUGUUGGCACACAUCCCUACCUUAUUGAGCAAUUACCCGACACUCUCGAAUCUAAUGGCCUAUGUUUCCACACCCAAAGCACAUAUCACUACCUGCUCUAUACUUACCCUGAUGGUGUCUGCCAUAUUUUUGACAUAGAGGAUUUGUACGAGCAUUGCCAACACUGAACUGGACUUAGAGUCGAGUUCCCUAUCCCUAUUAUUAUUUUUGAAUUUGGGUACUGGGGUAGUGGCUGAAUAAGGUACUGGAUUUGAACACCUCUGAUGAAACUGAGAACAGCUACCACCUUCUGACUUUGGCUAAUUGAAAUUAAAACUACCUUUCCUAACUCUCUUAUUUUCUCUCUCCCUCUCCUUAAUCUUUUUCUUCUCUAUCUAUUAAGCAUGAAACAUCAGUCUAGAUAAGUCCAUCUCACUAAUCAACAUUGCUGUCCUACACUCCUUAACCAUACUAUCAGACACGCCAGACAUAAACUUACUCAUCUUAGACCUACUGUCAGCCACCAAAAGAGGAGCAUAUCUAGAUAACUGAGUGAACUUGAGAGAAUACUCCCUCACGCUCAUGCUUUCUUGCCUCAAAUUAAUGAACUCCAACACUUUGGCUCUCUUAACUCCAAUGGAAAGAAUCUAUCCAAGAAAGCCGUGGCAAAUUCUUCCCAUUCUAUAGGCCCUGAAUCAACAGCUCUCUCAACUUUUCAUUACUUAAACCAAGUGUGGGCUACGUCCUAUGAUUGAUAUGUAGCCAACUCGAAACUCUGACUAGACAUUAACCCCAUAGCAUCCGUGACCUUUUGAACCAUAUCUAACAUUUCCUGUGGAUCUUCUUUAGACUUGGAUCCUGUGAAAGGAGGAGGAUUUAUUUUGGUAAAAUCCCAAAUUUUAGUUGCAGCAAUAUUGAUAACUAGUUUGGCCAAAAUAGUGGUAGGCCAUUCAUUUUGUUCUACAACAGAGUUCGCUAGAGUAGUGAACGCAGCACUAAAUUCUGUGUCAGAGACUUGCUCAUUUAGAAGAUUAGCCUAGAUAGGCCAAGGGGCUGGCUGAGUUCUUGUUUUUCUUCUGUUCUUCUUGGAAGGCAUGUUAUGUAAAUGGAAGGAAGAAAUAGAUUAGACUGAGAGUUUAACAUGAGCUCAUGCUCAAUAGCAUGACAUGAAUACAUAAAAGAAGGAAAACUUUUCCUAAAUGACUUUUAGCCUCUCAUCCAUAAGUGUGGUGCGCUACACACCCAUUCACAAGACUCUACUCGAUACAUCUUUCAGACUUCCUAGGAUUUUUUAAAACCUUAGGAUUUGAUACCAAGUUUAUAAUGAUAUGAGACUACCCCCUCGUCAUUACAUGGUGCUUACGGUACCGAGAGACCAUAAGCUAACCCAUGAGCUGGUACCUAUUGUCAGCACUAUAUAUAUAAUCAUAAAUGCAAAAGAAUAUUGAUAUGCCAUAAGGUUUUAAUAACUAAAUUUAAAAAUAAAAUAUGAGUUUAUAAAGACAACUGACUAAAUUUGAUAAGAUAAAAAUAAAUUGGAUCACUAACUGUAAUAUCUAGAUACUGAAUAACUAACUCUAAUAUUUGAAAAGCCUCUAUAAUUGGCUGACUGAAUAUGAGUUGAUGGGAUAGGCCCCAACUAACUCCAAUGAACUACUAACUGAGAUAUGAAGUAAAGUAAGCAUGUCCUCUAAGUAUGAGGACUUGCCACUGCUAUUGCUGAGAAUCUAAUGAGUCUACUCACGGUCUGAGAAUUGAGCAUCAGAACCUAUGAUAUAAUACAUCAUAGUACAAAAUAAAAAGUAUGUGGUAAGCACUUUGAAUGUACUGGUAUGAUAAAUAAGGUAGGAUGAUAUGUAUGGUUUCAUGAAUAGAACUAAUGAUUAACUGGAUAUGCAUGUAAAGCAUAGAGUAAUGAUUAGAGAACAUGUAAUCUGUAGAUACUGAUAAUGCAUAAAAAUUUAUAAAUACUAAGGAUGCAUGAUCAAGCAUAUAACAUAACUAAGUAAAAUAUAUAAACUGAAAUACUGAGAUAACUGAAAUCUGUAUGCUUUGAUCAAGCAACACUAAGACUAAAUAACUGAACUAGACUAUAACUAAGACCAUAUCUGAGACUGUGAGAGGUAUCAUCUAACCGACAUUCCCUAAUUUGAGCUAAUUAGGGUCUAACCUAUAACCCCAGUAGGAAGGGUAUUAAUAUCGUUCCAUGAUUACUAACAAUGGCUGUGUGGAUCCACUAAACUAAUAUAAUGACAAAGGACUAAGAGUGUCAAGCCUGAACUGACGAGUGACCCCUGCGAGAUAGUCAAGCCUACUCUAACGGGUGACUACUCAUAUCCUAUACUAGCUACACAGUUCUAGAGUAUAGGGACUGCUACUAACAACUCUACCUAUCUGAUGGGGAAGCCACCAUCCCUACACUCUCUUGAUGCUAAAUCCUACUCCUAAUUGAAAGACACUGAGGUACUAGACUAUUCUGAGUUGAAUAACUGAUAUCUGACUAUUCUGAUAAUGCUCAUAAUAUAAUCUGAAGACUAUUAUGUAACGUACUAAGUCUAGACUAAAUAAACAGCUAUGGUUUUUAGAUAUUCAAAAUACUGCCAGGACUCAAAGCAAAAAUAUAGAAAGAACACUAAUGCUUGAAGGUCAAAACAUGAAGGAUCUUAAUAAAUAAAUCACUCUUGUAGGCAUUUUAUCAAACACUUGUAGUUCAUGCUAUUAAAACAAUCAUAGAAAUGUCAUGGAACUUAUAGAAAUAGCAUGAAUUCAUCAUAAUAGCAUUAAAUCAUGGUUUAAUUUAGUAAAUCAUAAUAUUAUAACUUGGAAGAUUAAGUAAUAACAAUAAUUUCAUGGUAACAUGGUAUAGAAUCAUAGUUCAUGGAGAUUUAUGGAUAAAAUCAACAUUUAAAACAUGAUAACUUAAAAAAUCAUAAUUUUAUACUUUAAAAAGGUUAAUUGGACUCCAUGGAUGAAAGGGACCAUGGAAGAACAUCUAACAUACCUGGGUUAAUGAAUUUGAAGAGAUGAAUAGAGAUUUCUUAAAAAGUUGCCUUGAAUUUGAGAGCUAGGGUUUCUUGUUCUUGAAAGAGGGAUUUUUCAUUAUGAGAGGAAUUAAAAUAAUUAUGACUAUUUAGGGUGCUUAGGGGUUAAAUUUCAUGUUAUAAGUUAAUUACGGCCAUGAAAAAAGACCCAAAUACCCUUAAACAAAAUUAAAAAUGGAAGAUGAAAACUGACUAUCCCAAUUUUUAUCCUUAGCACAACGCGCCACUAUCUCCCCAAGCCAAUGAAAAAGGGAAAACUGGGACCUGGACAGACGGCGUAAUGUGCCACCAUAGCCGUAAGCCUGUGGAUGGCAUUUUGUCAACCUUUGUGAUGCACCAUAUUCACGGAGGCACACUAAAAAUUGAUAAAUAGGAAAUUGUCUUGCUUUGCGAUGUACCAUGAUCGCGGAGUCACACUAGAAAUCGACAAUUGUUAUUUAGACUAUCUAAGCAAUUCACUGAGGUUUAAAAUGAUGGUGUUUAACGACUUAAACUUAAAAUCACCAUAAUUUCUUACCCGGUUAUUGAAUUUAGGGAAAUUUCAUAUUGUUGGAAAUCUAACUAAAUUUCCUAUACAAUGGCAGGCUCUAAACUAAAAAAUAAUGAGUGUUUAAAAAAUUUCAUACAUAAUCCCAUAUUUUGCGACUUAGAAUAUGCUAGGGAAAUACUGGGUGUUACCUACUUAUGCCUUAGGAUACUGAUGGUAAGGGUAAGUUGUACCCUCAAUCGUGUCUUGUUUAAAUUUCAAGUCAAGGGUAGUCCAGACAUUUCCUACUUCAAAGCCCUUAUGUUCUCAUAUUAUAUGACCCACGGUGGCCUCUCAUAACACUUUUUAAGGGAUAAAAAUACUCCAAAUACUCUCUCCCAAACUUACUUUUAAAGAUUGGAGGCAAGGGUUUCUUUAUGUGUUCUUCAAAGGGAUCAAGAGUAAUGUUUCUCUUUGGAAUCUUCUUUUAUAACGUAUGUAAUCCUUUCCUCAUUGUUAGUUCCAACUAAAAGCACGUGUAUUGUGUUUUAAACAUUGAUUUAUGAAUAAUAAAUAGUGGUUCACGAACUAUAUAUGUUGAGGGUCUUGAUGUAUAUGGUUUGGUAUUGGUUUAAACUAUAUUUUUACAUAUUUUUUGUAAAGGUUUUGUUAUUUUGUUAGUUGUUGGUUAUGGUUUAAUAAAUGGGUCUUGAGUAACCUUAAUUAUGGUGAUUUAUGCAUUGGUUUUAGUCUUGGUAAAGGUAUUCCCUCAACAUGUAUGAUAAAAUGUCUAAAAGAAUGUUUUCACUCUAUUGUUGAACUUUCAUUAGAAAUUUUGCAUGGUUUGGUUUGGUAAUGGAACGUUAAAUGGAUUUGGAUAGUUUUACAUGGUUUAAAUGGUUUAAAUGAUAUAAAUGCUUAAAAUAUUUUGCAUGGUCAUAAAUGAUUUGUAAUGGUUUUAAAGGGUAUAAAUGGUGUACAUAUUUGGAAGGAUUAAAUGGUAAAGCCUUGGUGGCUAUGAAAUUAGUUAUGCUUGUAGGGUACAUGGAAAUUCCCCAAGUAGUUUAAUAUGGUUAAUGAAAGGGUACAUGGAAUCCCUUAAACCUAUACAUUGUUGGCUAUGGAUAGUACUUGACUCUAUAGUAGGUAUGACGAUAUCACUACUAAUGGCCUUGGUUAAUAAAUAGUUAAUGGAUUGGUUAGUUGCUUGGUAAUGGUUUAAAUUUUUCAAUAAUGGCAGGGUGUGUUAAAAAUUCAUGGAAGGUAUGUUGAAAAUUUAUGGAAGGUAGAGGUCUCAGAGGGACCAAAUUUUGAAGCUUAUAUUUUUUUAUGUGAGGUUUGGUCUUGGUGACCGUGUGCAUGAUGUCACACUUUAUAUUUGGGGGAUGUACUAGUUAUCCCAAGUUGUCUUUCCUGGUCUUACGGCUCCAUGCACUGGGCCUUUUCAGUAGGGGGAGAUGAACCCAUAUAUCCCAUAGGUAGUUUAGGAAGGCAAAGCUACACAGCCCAGGAAAAAGUUAUAAAGGCAUGCUAAAGCCGGUCCCUUUUCCUAGCAUGUACAGUUGUAUGGUUGUAUACAUUAUGGAUGGUUUUACUUGGAUUUAUAAAUGGUAUUAUUUUAUCCUUAUAAUAAGUGUAUGUUAAGUGUUCACUCACUAACCCAUUUUCGGACAGUUGUAUACCCACUCUAUGUAGGGACCAACUAUUCUGCUUCUCCUGCUUAGUGAUCGAAUUUAGGGACAGUUUAUGUAGGAUUGAAUUGGUGAUCUUUCAUAAUUUAGAAGGCAUCUAUUUCAUGUCAUGGGUUACUUUAGAUAUUUUUGGUCUUUUAUAGACUUUGGUUUUGGCUAUGGUCGGGGGAAUAUCCCAACUAUGUAUUCUACGGUCCUUAUAGAGGUUUUGUAUGGACAAUUGUGGACUUAGGUAUGGUAUGGAUUGGUUAUAUUAUAUAUAUAUACAUGAAUCAAAUUAUUAUAAUUAGUUUUAGUUUAUGGGAUUUGGCAUUAGUUUGGUUCGUCAUUGGGUGGUUAGACUUGGUUGGUUGGUCUCGGAUAUAGACUUAUCCCAUAGUCACAACAUGGUUGGAUACUCUAUCUUUUUAUAUGUUUGGAAUUUAGUCAACUCAAGGUAUGCAUUCGAUAGUUUGGUUGGGUAAAGGGGGAGGUUCCUAGUCUUAGUUGGGCUUGGGAUUGCCCAUUAAAACAAUGCCCUAGUUUGGGUCAUGUCAGGUUGGUAUUUAGCUUUAGGUUUUGGUCUCAUAGGGUGCCCACAAAGCUGUGUCGAGUAGGCUUUUUCUUAUGGGUGUGUCAUGCACCAUACUUAUAACCAAGAGGCUACGAGGCAUUUAGGAAUGUAUCACUUUCUUGGUUAUUCUACUUUCGAGCUAUGGAGUCUAAGGUCUUGAACACUUCUCUGAAUCUUCCUUGGUUCACUCUUCAGAUCAUGUCUUCAAAUCUAGUCCAACUCAUAGGAGACAAAUCUGGUCAAGGGUCACAACUCUGGUUUUCCCCAUGGAGUCCUACUAGUCUCUAUUGACUCUAUCUCAGAAUGUGAUACUUAUACUCGGUAACCUUAAGGACAGGUUACCAAUAUUAAGUUUUGUCAUCCUAAUAAUUUAUUGACCCAAAUAGUGAUAACUCUGCCAUACCAGUCUUUUCCUAUUGGUACGAGGAGGAAUAAGGUAAGGUUAGUAAAUGGGAAAGGUAAGAGGGUCUUAGUCUUCUGAACAAAAGAGAAGGUCAGCGGUAUGGUGGUACAUAGUCUAAAAAAGAAGAGUUGGGUGAGUCCUAACUCCUAUUCUAUGUCUUGUAUUCCCUACUUGAAUUCAAUUAGGAGGCAGGUAUUUUCUGACUGGUAAAUUCUUCUAGGGCACAAGGUGCCCAAUCUCGGGCCAAUAGGGCCAUUCAGUAUCAUCCCAUUUUCCUUAUAAAUUUUAUGGGUGGUCGCAUUAUAGUUGUUAUAAGGAAGGAAGGAAUUAGUAUUUUGGUUGUGAUUAGUGGAGUCUCGUAUGAUGGGGGGUUGUCUCUUGGGAAAAUAGAGUAUUGGUUGCUACUUUUGGUUCAAACACUGCUCGAAAUUAUCUCAAUGUUCUUAUUAUUCCCCUUAAGUCUGAAGCAUCUUUUGAUGCCGACACUGGUAUGUUGAAAUCUUCUUUUCUUGUGGUAUGUAUGGUUCACUUGGUUUGGGUUCUCUCUUUUGUGGCCCUAUUAGUGGCUGUGUAUUUUGAGUUUAGGUCCCAAGGUUAUUUCAAACUCUUUUCUUCUUCUGUUUAUAUCUUGGUAGGUUACUCUAGGAUUACCAAAAGAGUCUAUGGAGGUGUGUGGUAUUUGUUGGUAAUAAAAGAGUCUUAGUGGAUUUUUUUGACUCAGAUGUGGUAGAUUUCAAUGUAAUUUGGGGGUUGGAUUAGUUGUACUCAUGCUUUUUAUUGUUAGAUUAUUGGACUUGUUAGGGUCCCUAGUGAGUCAGUUUUGGAAUGGGAUAAUAGCUUCUUCCUUAGCUAUUGAGGGAAAGGUUAUAUCUUGGAAUUUAGAGAUUGGUCUCCAAAAGGACGUCUUUAUUAUUAGUCGGUUUGGGUUAAAGAUCCUAACUCGGAAGGUCCUUAUUUGGUUUGGUUUUGGUGGUGGAUAAAUUUCCUAAUAUCUUCUUGACACCCUCAUUAAUUCUUUCUAACUGGUAGGUUGGUUUGGGAUUGGUUUGAUUUUGGACACUUUUCCAAUUUCUAUUCUUUCAUUAUAGAAUAGUUUUGGUGGGGUUAAAGGAGCGUAAAGGAGGAAUUUAGGGAUUUAUUAGAUAAAGGUUCUCUUCGUCUUAAUGUUCCCCUGUGGAGUAUUUUAUUCUUGUAUGCAUAAGGGGAGUGGGUUUCCCUAGGAAUGGAUAGGUUGUCGGUGGGUAACUAAGGAAUUGGGAGCGUCCUCCCUGUGGGGUGUAUCUUAUAUGUAUAUUCCAUUCUAUAUGGGGUACUCUACUAGUAGUACAUGGUGAUUCGUAGAUCCUAGGCUUGAAUCAAGAUGCUUGAUUUUGAUAAAAGGGAGUAUGAUAAGCUCUAAAAUAGAAAUGUGGGAGUUGUGGAGGUAAACUGGUAGGUUGGAUGAGGUUAAUAAUUUGGGAAAUACAAUAGUGGGAAAGGUUGUAACCUUUAGGUUAGAGCUCAGGCCAAAUUGAUGGAUAUGAAUUGUGGGUUAAUUCAUUAGAUAGGCUAGCUCAUUGAGCUUGCAUGUAUCUUUGUCCUUGUAUUUGUAUUUUAUUGUUGGAAUGAAAUUGAUUAUUAAAUUCAUGAUUUUGAAUUUGGGUUUUGGUACAACUGAGGGCUUUGACAUGAUUACUCAUUUAAUUGAUUUUCCAUGGAUUAUGAUACAUUAUUCUCACUUUAUUUAUGUUUUUUAACAUUGUGAGGUGCUUAGGAAUGUUAAAUAGAUUUUGGGCUAGUAUGGAUUCCCCAAUUAAUUGGUUUUUGUCUUAGAAAUUAUAUGCCCUUAAACUAUUUGAGAAAUUAUCGUUAAAUAUAAUUUUGUCAUAUGGUUUGACUAUUCUUAAAUCUUUGUAUUGCAUAAAUGAUUAAAGGAACAUGAAAUAGUUUUGGUUGGUUUCAAAUGAUUCUAAAAGGCCUUGGUUUCCAUGUUUUGAUUUUGAAUGGUUUUGGUUUAAUUGGAAACCUUGGAGUUAAUUUGGUCACAUAGUUUUUGCAUGUCUGUGUUAGUCUCUAGGUAGCAUUUGGUUGAAUGAGGUUUUGGGUAUAAGAGAACGAAGCAUCCCUGGAAUACGUCCUUGGUGAUACCUUAUAGAGCAGAGUAUUGUGCUUGUAGGUAUAAUGGGGUGAAGGUUGAUAAUUAAUCUAGAAUUCUCUUUUAGUUGUGGACUUCAAGGGAAGGUCGGGUUGCAUAUUCUAGGGAUGCCCUUCUCUCUUAGUUAAGAGAUUACUCUAUUAGUGUUGCAUAAAUUCUUAUACCACUGAUGACUAAGGUUUACCUUUUACAUUCAUCUUGUUCCCUGAAUAUGAGCCUUGACCUUGUGUUAAGUUACUCAUGGUAUGUGUGGAUGUGUUUCUUUUGGUGUCCAGUCUUAAGGACUCCUCUUAUAGAAUGGUAUGGUUUGGUUGGGAUGUUUCUUCAUUAUGGUCUAAGUGGUUGUUGUGAAGUAAUUCGUGCCUAUAGUUUCAUGUCUAGUCUUUGGAAUCCUGCCUUGGGAGGCAUGGAUAACUCUUGUAAUUUAGUUUCUUAAAUGACACUUCUUAUAUUAGGGGGGUAGUGGCAUUGAAGAUCAUGGUGAUGUUGUGAAAUGGGGAAUAUAGAAGUCCCUAAGUGGGGGAGAGUCUAGGGUAACAAGAAUUAAGGACUUGGAAAGCAGGAUAAGGUUGUUGUCAUGGGAAAUGGUUAGGAAAGGAAUGGGUGGUGAAAACCUUGUGAAGGUUGUAAAAGGUGCUAGAUCUUUUGAUGAAUAGAUCAUAUUGUGGGUUUAUAAGUCCCAGGCUUGAAUGUUGUGGUUGGUAGAUAUACCAAUAAGUUGUGUUGGGUAAUUGAGAGGUCCGGGAAGGUAUGGUUUUAUGAAUUAUUUUCAUGGCAUCGUAGUGUAUGGUUUUAGAUGUUCAAUUAUAGGUUGGGGGUUUUGGUUAUAGUGGUUGGACAUGGUUUGCCUAUGUCUUUUACUUAUGGUUUUCUUGUUAUAAUGGUGAUGGAAGCGGUGUGGUAUUUCGAGAUAGAUGUAAGGAAUAGAGCCCGGUGGCCUAAUUUAACUCCUUUUACCUUUGUAUAGGCUUAAACAUAGAGGUAGUGUAUAGCUAGACUCAAACUCUGAUUGUGGUGUGUCUUGGUAAAUUCUAAGUUGCAUUGGACUUGCCUUGUUAUGAGUCCAUUCAGCUGGCUUUCUGUGAGUUUGUGUUGGGGUAAGAUGUGGAUGGUCCUUGGUUGGUUGGUUCCUUUAGGUGGUAUUGGUAUCUCGGAUUCCUUAUUUUUAAGGGAGGUCCCAAUAAGGAUCUUGGAUUAAAAAGUUCGCCGGUUGCGAACAAAGGUUGUGGCUUCUGUAAAGGUUCCAUGGUGGAACCAAAAGUCCGUGAAAGUGAUUUGGAAUACAGAAGGGACGUGGAGUCCAAGUAUCCGCGUUGGUUCUUUGUUCUGGAAAUUUGUGCGUACGAUGUGUGCUCUUCAAUAUGUCUUUUUGUUUUCUAACUUGGUUAAAGGGGAGGAGUUUCUCUUGUAUCUUUGUUUUCCAACUUUGUUAGAGUUCAAAAUGAAAGUGUAGCAGUUUAAAUUAUGCUUGGGAUAUGUUAUGAUCUUCUUAUCCUGGUUUACGUCCUUGUCUUUUAUUCUUGGUUAAGGGAAAACUUGAUGGGUGUUAGUGUGAUAACUCAUGCAUGAUCUUAUCCUUACCCGUCAUAUGAGGAUGAAUGAUCCUAGUGGGGGAGACUAAAACACCCAAGUCUUAGACCCUUGCAAAAUUUCCUUGGUUUUGGACUUACUAGUCUUCGUACGACUCAAGGGUACCAAUCGUACCCUUGGAUAUAAUUUAGUGGGAGGCUUAGUGGUUCACUCGUACACUAGGCAGUGUGUUUGGUAUAGCUACUACCCAAGAUACGAAUCAUCUUGGUACGAGUCAUAGAAGAACAUACGAGUGGUGCAAGGUAAGUCGUAAAUUAUUUGUUUGAGUUGUCUUAUGGAAUCUGCCCAUAGAUUGGAUGGUGGGUAUGAUUUGGUAUACCACUCAUACCCUUAGGUAUGAGUUAGGGAGGUGUUAUUCGUAUAGGAACUAGUGUGUAGGGUAUUGGCAUGGUCUUGGCAUAGUCUUGGGUAUGAGUUGGGGUACCACUCGUACCCUAGGAUACGGAUGGUAAGGGUGAGUCGUACCCUAGAUCGUGGCUUGUUUUAAAUUUAUGUCAAGGGUAAUCCAGACAUUUUCUACUUCAAAGCCAUUAUGUUCUCAUGUUAUAUGACCCUUGGUGUCCUUUCAUAACACUUUUUAAAGGAUGGAAACACUCCAAAUACUCUCUCUCAAGCUUACUCUUGAAGAUUGGAGGUUAGGGUUUCUUCAUGUGUUCUUAAAGGGAUUAAGAGUCAUAUUUCUCUUCGAAAUCUUCUUGUAUAAGGCAUGUACUCCUUCCCUCAUUGUUAGUUCCAACAAAAGGCAUGUGUAUUAUGUUUUAAACAUUGACUUAUGAAUCAUGAAUGGUGGUUUUCGAAAUAUAUUUUGAGGGUCUUGAUGUAUAUGGUUUGGUAUUGGUUCAAACUACGCUUUUAUAUGUUUUUGGUAAUGAUUUGCAUAUGUUGCUACUUGUUGGUUAUGUUUUAACAAAUGGGUCUUUAGUAACCCUAAUUAUGGUGUUUUAUACAUUGGUUUUGGUCUUGGUAAAGGUAUGCCCUCAAUAUGUUUGAUAAAAUGCCUAAAAGAAUGUUUUCACUCUAUUGUUGAACUUUCAUUGGAACUCUUGCAUGGUUUGGUUUGGUAAUGGAACCCUAAAUUGAUUUGGAUAGUUUUGCAUGGUUUAAAUGAUAUAAAUGCUUUCAAAGUUUGGCAUGUCCAUAAAUGGUUUGGAAUGGUUUUAAAGGGUAUAAAUGGUGUACAUGGUUGGGAAGGAUUAAAUGGUAAAGCCUUGGUGGAUAUGAAAUUGGUUAUUCUUGUGGGGUACAAGUUCAUUUUUGUUUAUUCCACGAACCAGAAGUUCAAGAGAACCAUUAUUACCUUUCAAUCCUGAACCUCAUCUCAUUGAAUGAAUGGCUAACCAACAGGAAGCUGAAAGAUUUACCGCUUUGGCUAAUGCUCAAUUAAAUCUACAAAAUAUAGAUAACCCCGGUCGGGUACCUAAUCUAGAUGAAGAGGACCUGGAGAUGAUGAUUUAAUUGACCAGGCUAAUAGGAGGCGUGCAGCAGGGGUAGUUCCACUUGUAAAUUAAAAUCAUAAAUUCAGAGGAAGACCAGACCGCCAAGCUGCACAAUUUGAUGUUGACAAUGAUGAGGAUGAUUUAUGUGGAACUGGAUCUAUAAGGGCAAUCUUUCUACCGCCACUAGCUCCUGGGGUGAAAUUCAACAUCACUAAUACUAUGAUCCAACUACUGAAUCUGAAAAAACUAUUUAGUGGAUUACCUGGUGAUGAUCCAAAUCUACCUUUGGUAAAUUUCAUCAGUAUUUGUAAGUCAUUUGAUAAUCCUGGAGUGGUACAAAGUGCUAUUCAUCUAAGAUGGUUCCCACUAUCUCUGUCUGGAGAGGCAACGAUGUGGUUGAAUGAGCUGACUCCUGAUUCUAUAACAAACUAGAGGCAAUUGAAAGGAGCUUUCCUAGAAAGGUUCUUUCCACCCUCCAGAAUGUUACAGUUGAGGGAUGAGAUCAACAACUUUAGUCAAUUGGCCAAUGAAGCUUUGCAUGAGACUUUGGAGAGGCUUAAAAAGAAGUAGACUCAAUGCCUAAACCAUAAAAUGACUGACGAACACUUGAUGGAAAUAUUCUACAGAGCUUUGAACUCACUUAUAAAGCUAAUAGUGGAUAAUGCUGCAGGAGGAUAUUUUAUGGUUCUUACCUUCAUUGAGGCUGCGGAUAUGUUAAAAAAAUUACUAAGAUAGGUAUAGCUUUACAUACUAGAGAUUUUGUGGUAGCAAGUAAUACUGGGUCUAAUAUAAUACCAAUAGAGCAGCGUAGGAGAGAAUAGGAGCAUGAUCAGGAUAUGGCUACAUGAAAUCCCAGAUGGAUCUGCUCACGAAACAUUUACUAGCAGGGAAUAUAGAAAAGUUAAAAGUUAUGGGGUCCCAUGGUAAGGGACCUAAAUCAAAUAUCGAGGAAGAGCCUAACUACUUGCAUAACCAAGGGGGUUUCUAGACCGGUGGUCAAGGAAAUCAAGGUUGGAACCAUCAUGGAGAUUGGAAGAAUAAAAGUGACAAGAGUGGACUAUAUGUGCCUCCUGGAAGCCAUGAUAAUGCUGCCACCAGUUCAAGAAAAAUAUCCAUCGAGGACAUGAUAGAGAAACUAUUAAAGAGAGUUGAGGUAAAUAAUUCUGGUGUGAAUACCAUGAAGAGUGACAUAUCUUCCAUGAUUCAACUAGUAAAUUCGCACUCAAUGGCUAUUAAACAACUGGACCAGCAGAUGAGCCAAUUAUCUGCAGCAUUCAACCAAAGACAGAAUGGGACUCUGCCAAGUGAUACAGUUCAGAAUCCGAGAACUAAUGGUUCAUGUAUAGCCAUUACCACUAGGAGCGGUAAGAUGUUAUCUAGUCUAGGUUUGGGAGCAUCCUCUUAUACUCAUGAGAUCAAAAUAGAUUGGGAGAUUGUUGAUGAAUCUCUAGUGGUGCCUGUGAAGUUGGGAGGUUCAGAAAAUAAGAGUGCAGAAAUGGAAUAACCACCUAAGUAGAAACAUGUUAGUGAUAUGGAGCAAGGCACAAGAAAAGAGGUAGAAGUUGUUCCAACUAAAAUUCCAAGGCCACCACCCUAUUUGCACAACGAUUAAAGAAGAAAGAAUAUGAUGGCAAGUUUAGCAAAUUCAUGGCUAUGUUGAAGUAAUUAAUAGUAAAUGUGCCCUCAGUUGAAGCACUGGAAUAGAUGCCCGGAUAUUCUAAGUUUAUGAAAGCCCUAUUGACGAGGAAAAGGACUGUGAUCUAUGAAAUGGUAGACAAUCUUCAUCAUUGUAGUGCUAUUGCUACAAGAUCUAUUGUCCAGAAGAAAGCUGAUCUAGGAGCAUUUACUGUUCUAUGUAUGAUUGGAUUGCUAAAGUUUAAAAUGGCCCUUUGUGAUCUUAGGGCCAGUAUAAAUCUUAUGCCAUUGACGGUUUUCAAGAAACUAUAUUUAGGAUAUCCUACACCCACCAAUAUGCAGCUUCUAAUGGAGGAUAUAUAGGUAAAAAGACCGAUUGGGAUUCUACAUGAUGUACUUGUAAAAGUUGUUGAUUUUAUAUUUCCUGCCAACUUUGUAAUUCUUGAUUGCAAAGUGGACUUUGAAGUACCCAUAAUUUUGGGUAGGCCGUUCUUAGCAAUGGAGAGAGUGUUAGUUGACAUGGAGCUGAAUGAGCUAAAAUUUAGGCUUAAUAAGAAAGAAGUUAGUUUUGAAGUAUGUCGGUCUAUGAAAUAACAAAAGAAGAUGAGUGUCUUAUCGAUUGUUGAUGUAUUCUAAGAAGAUGAGUGAGAUGUACCAGUUAAGGAUAUGUUUUUUGUAGAGACCAUAGCUGGUUUGGUUGAACUUGCAAGCAAGGAUGUGAGUGACUUCAAAGUGGUUGGACUAGGAAUAAAGCAUUGUCUUGAUCCAACAAAUAACGUACAAAUGGUACCAUUGAUGUAUCUUGACGAAGUCUGAGUAGUCAAGAUAAUCGAGUCGUGCCGCAACGUUAAAUCAGGCGCUACAUGGGAGGCAACCCAUGAUUUUAUUUUCACUUUACCAUGUUAAACAAAAAUGCAAAAAAAAAAAAUUGAGCCACGAUUGAAACUACGGUGCUUGGUGGGAGGCAACCCAUCCUUCUAAUCAUUUUUGUUGUUUUUGAGUAAGUGUAGAUGCAUGAAGUACUAAGGAGGAGAUUAGUACCAAAUUUAGUUAAGAAUUGAGUUAUUUUAAUGGUGGAAAGUUUAGGAGUGAUGGGAACAUUACAGGUAAGUUAGAGUGGUCAAAUGUGUAAGGCUCAAGUAUCAUUUGCAUUAGAGUUGUGCCUCGAAUUAUGUUAAUCCAACCCAAAAUAUUUUAUGGUGCGACUUUAUUAUGUUACUGUCAAUGAGGUCUGUGGUGGUAGCAUAAAGAUCGGGCCAAUAGGCCCGAUCCCGAAGCCCACCACUGACCUCGAUAUAGGGUGCAGGGGCAAAGCCCCCACGAUUGGACCUUUUAGACCAAAAGUGUGCAGCACAUUCCAUCGCACAUUCUCACUUGACCAACUAUGCGAUGCAUAAUGCGUUGCACACAUUGAUGUGUACGAUAACUUAUGCAUCGUACACUUUAAUAUGUGCGAUAAGAUAUACAUCGUACACCUAGCUGCACAUGCCCACUGCCUUAAGUCUGUGAUAACUUAUGCGACGCACACCUUGAUGUCUGCGAUAAGUAGUGCAUCGCCCACUUCUCCACUUAGGCUCACUGUCCCAACUGUACGACAACGUAUGCGACGCACACUUUGAGAUGUGCGAUAAGAUGUGCAUCGUACACUUAGUCUAAAUAAGCCUAAAAUCGAACUUCCAACUUUAACUUGGGUCAACCCAACCCAAAUUUUCAUUCUUCAAAUAGACUUCACACCCCAAAUGCCCAAAUUCAUCCUUAUUUCACCCUUAAGCCGCCCAAUAUUGAGCUCUCACCAUUCUCUUUGUCCUUCACUAAUCUUCCAUCUUCGAGGUAAGUUUUACUUUUUUAAUCAUUAGUUACUGUGACUCUAUGUUAUAGUUAAUUGAUUUCUUAAGGAUUACGAAUUAAAUUCUUGUCAUGGCGAUAUUGUGAAAGUGAUGGCGUUUUGUAUAUCUUGAUAUGGUUGAAAGUGUAGGGCAUUAUUUUGUUCAAAAAAGUGUUUCAUUGAAAUAGAAUUGGGGGAAUUGAAGUGAGUGAAUUAUAUUAUGACAAUGUUGAUGCACUAUGUCAAAGUGUAUGUCAGCGAAGUCUGAGUACCUGACAAUAACACUUAUUGGUUGAUACUAAAAAAUUAAGUGUCGGGUGGUGACUUCAUUACCCUCAUCUUAAUUAUAAUUAUUUUCAUUAUGUGUGGUUGACAUGGAUGAUACGAUGAACACAGGAAAAAUGGCUCUGAUGAUGAUCUCAAUGCAGGUGGCAUGACUCCUAAUGUGGAUGAAGAGUACAACUAGCCAGGUUCUUUAUCUUGUUAUUGACACUGACGAUAGUGCUGAGCUUGAUUGUGGGGUGGCUAGUUACUAUGCUACUUGUUUUGUAAGAAAAUAGUACCUUCUCCUUAGCAUUCUUCUGUGAUAGGAUUAGUUAUUUUGUUUAUUUUGUUUCUUGUUAUAUGUUUAUUCUAUUUAGUCAUAAUUAGGUGCCUUUCUCGACGAUGGAUGGAUGACGACCGUCUUAAGAGAAAAUUAGUCAUUUAAUUGCAUAUAGCUAUUCUUGUGGAUCACAUGACAUUAUAACAUAAGUAUGUGCUUGAUUAUUACGUUCGAAACACCUAGGCUCUAGUUGUGACUCUUGUUGUGAUUGUUGGUUUUAUUUGAAUUCAUGUAACUGUUGGGUUGAGAAUCUAUAAUGCUCCUAAUUGAGUUGACCAUAUGCCAUGAGUGUGUAAGACUGUCAUAUAUUCCUUAUUGCAACUAAUCCUAGAACUUGCCUGGUGAGUGUGCAAAGCAAAAUAAAGAUUAUGAGUUUAGGAGAUGAUUUAGGCAUUUCUUUGAUAGCCAUUGUUCAUACCUUCUCUUGACCUACACUUGUACAUUAUCUUAACUAGCCCCGUUAAGCCUUUAUCUUGUUCUUUUGUUAGCCUCAUAUGUAUCCUAAUCCAUUAUUUAAUAUACCAUAAAUUAAUCCAAAAGCUCCUAAGCGCUUUAAUGUAAAAUCAAUUUGAGUUAUGAGUUUGACAAUUAGAGGAAAAAGGUGAAAUUGAUGCCCCAAAGUCUAGUUAUUGGUGUGUGAAAUUGAUGUGGUUGGGAGUAGCUAAACUUGUAAAAAAAAAGUUCUAAAUUUUAUCCCGGACAUGUAACAAUGAACUUAUUUUGGCCCCGGUCCUUCUUGGACAUUGUGCACCUCAACUAAGGCAAAUCGCUUAAUUUGAGGGUGGCUAUUAUAGGGGUGUGUAACAUGAAAAGGGUGUAAAAAAAUAUAUAUAUUUGAAAGGGUUGCAUACUCCCACCAUAGUGUUAUUAAUUGAGCUUAACGAGUUGGGGUGAAAAGCAAAUCUAUGAAGAUAGAAAAAGUGGAAGUUGGUUGUUAGAGAUUGGUCUUAAUUGCAUAAUGUAGUGUAUCAAAGCGCUUAGGGAAUAUAGUCACUAUUUCUAGCUAAAAUAGUUUUUACCCAUCCUUUAGCUUGCAUUGCAACCCGUAAAAAACUUAUUUGAUCCUAAUCUUAGCAUUCUAUUAUUAGUGAAGUAUUACACUAAGGGCAAGCAUAUGGUCAUCAGUUUUAAUUUGAGAAUUCUUUGUGAGAGUGAGCGCAACUUGAUUUUUUGUACCUGUUUUGUUAGAAAUUACAUGAUUGUGAGUGAUUAUGGGCAACUCUCUUGUUGUGAGGGCACAUGGUUGAUGAAGGUUGGGUAAUUUAUAUGAUUUCUUUGCUUAAAUGGUAUGCAUGAAAUUUGCAACUUAAUGAGUCUAUUCUUGAGGGUAGGUUAUCUCUAGUAAUGAUUCAUGAAUCUACUUCUUGUUCAUAAUUGUUGUGUGAGCCUAUUUGAGCAUCUUGUUUUCCUUUGUGGGUGCUAAGGCUUAUGUAGUAUGCAUUAAUAGAUAUGUUGUUCGAGGACGACAAAGCUUUUAGUGUGGGGUGGUGAUCUUGGGUGUAUUUAUACGCCUAAGCACCAUAACUUAUCUAUAUGUUAGCUAAGUUUAUAGAACAAAGUGCCUAGUUUCUUAUGUUUUUACUCUACUUCUAUGUAAUUGAGCUAACUGAUGUGAUUAGCAUGAUUUCAGGUAUUAAUAAAGUAGAUGGAUACAUAAUGGGACUAUGGAAUGUGGAUGGCAUAUGACACAAGAGAGAGUAGCAGUCUAGAUUAAAAGUGCCGCCUAGAAACUAUGUCCAAGACUAGUUUGUCAUUUAUACAUACUUCAAGGAUUUAGAAUGAAAUUAUGAGAGAAAAGAUUAUUAAAAGGCUUAAUGCUGAAUUUUUAGGGAUUGACUUCAUUAUUUUGUAUUAUUGGGAGAGAGGAGAAAUACAGCUUAGCUUGAGGAGAGAGAGAAACAUUUUUCUUUCUUGUUUUCACUAUUCGCACACCAAGAUCGUCUUCUAGUUUUUGGUAUGAUGAAUAUAUUUAUGAUGUUUUUUGUUUUAUUCAUGAGUAGCUAAGUUUAUUAGUUAGGGUUAUGGAAACCUUCUAGCAUACAAUCUAUUACUUUGGGUUUUGAAUUUAUUAUGCAUUGAUUUGUUUACAUCAUACUCUCUUCGCUUAUCUUGAAUUCUCGUGGUGGCAAACAUUGAGGAUAUGCCUUAAAACACAACUUGUUCGAAAGAAAGGUUGAUAUUCUGAAAAGAGAGUAGUGAUAAGAAAAUAGGAUUACCAACCCCUAUUUUAUAAGUUAAUGCCUUAGCAGGAUUAACUACUUGGAGAUAUCAUAUUGUUUUUGGUGAUCAUUUUUUAUUCGAGAGAACUAAAGUGAAUUAGUCCUUGAUGGUUUAGAAACACUAGGAUUAUGUUUUUAAAUACAAUACGUUUCUCUGUUAGCACGAUGCAUGUAUGAAUUCAUAAAGACCAUAGUUAGUAAGUAUUGAAAACUACAAGGUAGACAUAACCCUAGCUUGCUAUUUCUCUAAAUUUGAAUACUACUACACAUACUUCAUCUUGGUAAACUGAAACCAUUAAUUUGUGAACUGAAUCAAAUCCCCCUAUUUAUUUUAUGAAAUCGAACGAUUAAAAGUCAACUAAUCUGCAUAAAACUUAAUUAACACCAUAUUCCCUGUGGGAUUCGACCCCAACCUAGUUGGGUUAUAUAUUUUAGAACGACCACUUACUUUCUCGUAAGAGAGGUGUAAUUUAGGCGUAUCAGUGUGACCGUGUGGGGUCCUAUGUGAUAUUGAUAGCCUUUAACACAUGUGAAUAAUUAUAUUGUGUUAUUAAAAUUCUUAAUGUGGUACCAUUGGUGUAUUGUGAUUAUAUUCAUACUUUAUGGGCAUAAGAGACGUGGAAAUUCAUGGAUGAAACAAAGAUACUUUAUAGGCUUGAAUGACAUUUUGGGAUUGUAGUAGAAGGUCGCAAUAUGCAUUAGCGACUUCAUAUUAAGAGUUCAAAAUGGUCAUUAAAGUGGUAAGGCAUGUUAUGCUUAGGAUGUGAUCUUUAAAAGAGGUAUAGAAGGUGGCAUCAUAUGGUUUAGAAUAAUAGUGUGGUGUAGUAUGUUGUAUUUUUGUGACUUAGAGUUAGGAUUAAUCACGGUGUAAGGAUUAAGUCAUUUUAGACAUUGGUAGAAAAAAAAUUGACAAUGCUCAUAUAAGAAUUUUAAGCUGAAUUGAAUGAAUAUGAUAUUUAUAGGGAAUAGUAUAGUUAAGGGAUAUUCGAGAAGUGUGCUAAGCUUGAAAGUAAGAAGUUGUAUUGCCAAAGGUCUGGUAAUUCUAUCCUAAUUUAGGAGUUAUAUGUCUAUAUUCCAGACUACAGAGUGGUGUCAUUGUGAUGAUUCCUUAGUGGGUGUCUUGUGUAAUCCAUACCCAAGAUUUGUGGCUCCCUAUUACUGCUAGAACUUCCUUAGAGAGAGUGUCGAAGAGAAUACUCCAGUUAAGUAUAAAGGUCAAGCAUAAUUUAGUCUGUAUAGUCAGUAAGUCAGUUUAACAAGCAUAUUCGCAUGGCUUGUUUUCUCGUCUUUUCAUUUAUUUAUGCUAACCGAAAUCUCAAACAUGAUAUUAUUCCAAGAUAAAGAAUACUAGUAAUUGCGAGUAUAGAUCAUAUCAUGCGUCAUGCAUUAGAUUCAGAUUCCAAAGGUUCAGUUAUGAUUCAAUUCGUAGGUGUCUUGUGUAUCUCCUCGGUUCCCCGAGUAUCUUAGUGAAUUGAGCUCAUAGAAGGACAUAGGAUCCCAAGGGGGAGAUACCUCAUUCAGUUGUAUGCAUAGAUUUUUAUUACAUGCCUCACACCAGCUAUCAUUGCGUAUUCAGUCAUACAUUCAUACGUCAGUUCAGUCAGAUAUGCAUGCAUUAGAAAUGCAUGUUCAAUAGAAAAAGUUCAGCUUAUCAGUGUAUUUAGUCUUGCAUUCAUGAGAACAACUCAGUCACAGAUCCAUGCAUCAGAUAUUCAUGUUCAUUAGGAGAAUUCAGCUUAUGAAUAGCUUCAGUCGUGUAUUCCAUGCAUCAGAUAUGCACGUUCGGUAUAAAAAUUUAGAACAUCAGUAGUUCCAGCCUUAUAGUCAUGUUUCAUAUCAGUGUAUUCGUUCUUACACAAACAUAUCAUGUCCGCAUUAUUCCAUACCUCUACGCUUCAAUAUGUUUUUACCCAUCAUUCGAGGACGAAUGAUCCCAAGGGGGAGAUAAUGUAACACCCCAUAUUUUUGGGCUAGAGUUUAGACCGUCGUUCCUAUGUAUAUAGACCCGAACUGACUUAUUCUUUAUUAACAUACGUGGGGUAAACACUCCUACCGUAAUUCCCCAUAAAAUUCUCGAGUCGAUUUCAUUUUUAGUGUUAUGUUUGAGGGGCUAACAACUAGAAUAUUUUUCUAAGUGUAAUGAGGACUUAGAGUCAUUUUAGCUGGCAAUCUUCAGGAUACAACUUUUCAAUCUUCCCGACAUCUGUUUUAGAUUUUCAAGUUGAUUUACGAUUGGGAAAGCUCAUAGUACAUAUUGAAUAAGUUUCGAAAUUUUUUGGAAUGCAUAAGUCUGCGUUUGGAUUUCAAAAUAGUAGCAAAAUGCAUAGCCUAUUGCCCAAUUUUCAGCAUUUUAGGGUCAACUUCAAACAAUCAUAACUCUGAAUAUAAUGAAAUGAGAGAUAUGAUACUUAUCAAAUGAAAGAUCUUUGAUUCUUCUUUCCAAUGCAACUAGUUUUAUCUAAAUCCAACAUCUGAGUAAGGAGUUAUACUCGUUUUACUUCAGCCUGUCAGCUAGUCAACUGAGGGACAGUUUCGAAUUUGUUUGUUUUCUUAGGGGCAUUUUAGUUAUUUCACCUCACCCAAAUUUCAUCUAUAACACCAGAUUUAGCCCCCAAUUCAUCAAAACAUAAUCCUUUUCUCAAAUUUUUGCUCAAGAACACCCCUUAGGAUUUCAAAAUAAAAACCCCAACAACUCAAGAUUCAACCAUGGGUUUUCAAAACAAAUUGAAGAUUUCGAAUCCCCGCAACGUAGGCUUCAAGAAGAACCUAUCAUAUUUGCAUAUAGAGGUACGUGGGGUUAUCUCAAAAAUGUCAUGGGGUUAAAAAUUCAUGUUUUAAAAAUGGGGGUUUUGAAAUUAUAAAUGUAAACAUGUUUCAAGCAUCUUUAUGGUAUUGAUUUGGUCUUUAGGCCGAUUUUCGAAGUGAGUUGAUCUAUUAUAUAUGCAUAUGCUUGUGAUUCAAAAUAUGUUAACUUGAGAGAAUGAAUUAUAUGAAACCCCUCUCUUGAUAUGAAAUUUUUUGAAAUUUUUAUAUGAUGUGAAUUGUUUGAAAUCAUCUUGACAAUCAUGAUAUGAACUAUUUUGAAAGUGGAUAUGAUUUUCGACUUGCAAGGAGAGGGUUAUUAUGUUGAAAUAUGAUGAAUAUAAUGGUUGCAUGAAAGAAUGAUGUGAUAUUGUUGGCUUGCAAGUCGGGUAUGACGAUACUCUACAGAAUAUGAUAUGUGAUUGAAUCAGAUGAAAUUUGAAUGCAUUGAUUUUACAUGAGAUAGGUGGAUGCCUGAAGAAGGCGUUUGAGUGUAAGGGCUCAUCGCUGGAAACCGUGUUUGCCGACAUGGGAACUUGGUACCAUGCUUUGUGAUCUUGCGUACCUGACUUUAUGUCAUUCCCAAAUUGGGACUAUGGUUAGGAGCCCUGCUUUGUGAUCUUGUGCACUACCAUUGGGUCGAGACACCCUGCUGUGUGAUCUUGUGUGUCUUCCCCUCACUUAUACUCUAAUCUUGGCGGCAACCGAGGUUUGACAGUUGGUGUAAAUGUGAUAUGUAGGUAUUCCACCUAGUUCAACUGCAUUGCAUUGUUGUUGAAAACAAUUACAUUAUGCCCAUGGGUUUUCAAAUGAUUUGAUAUGAAACUGCUUUAUAAUGGCUCUCAACUAUAUUUUGUAAAAAUAUUAUGUUUUAUUUUGAUAUCUCUACUUACCAGUACUUUUGUAUUGACCCCCUUCCCUCCCAGGUUCGGAGGCAUAGUCUAGGGUUCUAGAAAAUCAGCAGAUUUCCUCAGACAGAUUUGCAGAGUCACUUGGUGAGCCUUCUAUAUUUCGGAAGGCCUGAUAUCUGGCAGUUUCAUUUAUCAUUUAUUAGUUUUGGGUCUACUAGGGGCCUUGUCCCAACUUUUAGAUAGUAAUUUGUUUCAGUCAUGUAGUAGAGAUUUCGCAGACGGUUGUUCAGAUGUCGAUAGAUGUUGUGGGACAUUAAUUUCCCCUUUAUUGAUUUUUCAUUUGAUUUAUGGCCAUGUUUCCGUAAUAUUGCGUAUCUUCCGCAUUUCUUAUUAUCAUAUGAAUUAUAUGCAUGAUUACAAGAUAGAUAAGGGUGUUUUGGGACUUCAUGGUUCGGAAUGCUCGUCAUGGCCAGGGCCUCAGUUCGGGUCAUGACAACUAUAAAAUAAUAAUCUAAAGGUUAAUAGGAGUAAAAUGAUACCCAUAUUUCAAUAUAAAUCUCUAGGCCCAAAAUUGGAUCAAUAAUUGGCCUUUCAUUUAGAUUUUAGUAUCAUUUCCCUAUUUUGGAGCUUUUGUUGUUAUGGAAUUGGUCUUGAAUCAAAACUCGCAUUAAAUUGCCUUGGAUGAGAAAUCCUAUAAUACCAUCAACUCCGAAAUGUUGAUUUAAGGAUAGAGGGACCCUUAGUUUAUGUACCAAUGCUUUCAAACACAUUUUAAGCUAUUGCAUAGAAUUUCAUUAAAAAGAAACUAGGUGUGAGACCCACAUUUAAUCGAAAUGAUCCUGAAUGAAAUUUUUUAUGGUUUCAUUUAGUCUGGAAUGUCAAAUUUGGUGUUGUAGCAUAGUUCAUUUAACCGCAUAGGGUUUUGAAUAAAUCCAGAAAGGAAGUCAAUUUGGACUUAAGAAAUUUUGGUGUAGCAGUUUUUAGUGAAUCCAAGCCUUGACCUUCCCAUUCGCGAGUCUUGGUUGCAUUCUUGGUGGUUAAGGAAUCUUGAACUUUGCAUUUGCGAGCUAGCCAUCAAGUUUGCAAAAAGAAAGCUGGCUUGACCGACCAGCUUUAUACUUUGCAUUCAUGGUGAACCAGCGGCAUUCGUGAAGGUCUAGUCAAGGAUAAGGUCACAUUUGCGACCCAUGCCCCAUGUUCAUGAAGGGUAAUCUCAGUAUGCAUCACAAAUGAAACCCUCAAGUCUCACAUUCAUAUGGGCCUUCUUUCCUAAUUUCUCCACUAUUUUCUCACAAUUUUCUACCAUUAUUAAACCCUAGUUCUUGGAGAAGUGUGGUUAAUCAUAAGUUAGAGUUAGGGAUAAGAUGAGGUAGUUGAUAUGAUCAUUUUCCACUAAUUGUUUUGUAAGUUUUCAGUGUAAAUCCUCUGUUUAAUUCUUAUUUUCUCUCCUAUUUUAGCCAUUUCUCAGGGUUGUUUGAGCCUCGAUAUGUAGUUCACUUGUGCUAAACUUUUGAGCACACAUUCUUUGUCCUUCGGGGGACGUCAUGAUGAAUUUAGUUUUGGAAUUCCAUUAGCGGGCCCCGUAGGCCAAUUAUUGACCCAAUUUUGGGCCUGGAGUUUUAUAUUGCAAAAUGGGUAUCAUUUUACUUAUAAUAAUGCGUAGUUUAUUAUUUUGAUAGUGUACCAUAUUUUUUGGGAUUAUGAAGCAAAGACGAGCUAGUCGUAGAUGAUUUAAGAUUAUUGUUCUGCAUCGAGGUAGACUUCGGUCUACUUUUCUCUACAAGAUUGUGUAUUGUAUAGAACGGAUGUCAUGUAGGGACCUUAGGAUAGGACUAUGGACAGUAUAUCAUGACUUAACCUAGUUAGAAAAUUUGGGAUAGAAGUGUGACCCAAACCUUAACAUAAGAUACUUGUUAUGGCCUUAAAAUCCCAUUACCUUUGAUUAUAGACAUGAUUAACUACAAAUUGAUGUUAAUGAUAUUUUUUCAUGAGAUUUACUAUUUGGCUUAGUUAAUUGGGUAGAUUUCUCUGAUUAGAUUAUUUUAGUGAUUUAUGCCCUUGAUUGUCAUAGUUUCUUGUGUUAUGAGGAUUUAUGAUGUUGAUUAUAUAUUGUUGGGCCUGAGGCGGUAGUUAAGAUACUAGUUGAGAACCAAGUUAGUAUUCUAUCCCUUGUGAGGAUGUGUUUGUGUUUUAUAGAUGUUUAUAGUUGUAUUGAUUAGAUAUUAGUGAUGGCAUGCAUACUUUUAGGCGCAUUUAUAUUUUUGUAGUGAUACAAUUCAACCAAAUCCUUGUUUUUAUUACUAUUUCCUACAAUGGAAUUUAUUCCCACUUUUCACUUUUAAAAUAGAUUCCUUUACAAUGGGGAUCGUGCCACCUUAAUUAAUGAUUUAUGUGUUUUUAGAACUAAAUAAACUAUUUUGAAAAUUAGAGCGAGUAUGUUUUGGUCCAUUAUUAAUCCAUUCUUUUACAACUAUUAUUUACUUCGGUCGACAGAGGUUUCGACCCUUUCUACAUUAUUUUUUCUGUUUAGUUCCAAACUUGAUUUCAGACAAUGGAUUUAUAAAUUGGCACUCUUUUGGUGUCGUUUCAAGUUAAAGAACCUAUUACAUAUUUAUAUCUCUCCUCUACUGGACGGAGUAGAUCAAUUAUGAUGGUAAUUAUAAUUCCUGGUUCUGGAUCAGAUAGUGUAUACGGAUAUCUCGAGUCUUCUAUGGGUCCCUUCAUUCAUGAACCACAGGUUUGGGGAAGGAUGAUCUCUGUUGGUCUUUUCUUUUCUAGCUAUUGAGCUGGAGGAGGUGUAUACACUUGGUACAUUAUGGCAUUUGGAUUAAGCAUAGCAUUGCUGAUUUAUACUGCAUUCAUUUAUUCAUAUGAAUUAUCUAUCACCAGUAUGAUUGGUUAGUGCUUAUAUCUAUCUUCUUUAUGGGAGGUUGUAUAGGCAUAAACUAUUAUUGUUCUUUGUUGAUUUUUGCUUGAACCUUUUAGACAUAUGGGGACCCGAUUAGGUUAUUAUUUGUCUGGACUAGGCAAUUACUUUAUUGUUGGUUAUUAUGGUUAGUUCAUGGCAUGAGGAUUAUAGAUUAGUACCCAGGAUUAUCCAUAUUUUUCUAAUUCCGUUUCUUUCUUAUAGUAAGAUAUGUUAUUGUUAUAUUAUCUCAUGUUUAGUUAUCCUUUGUCUAGAGAGCCUAAUUAUGUUUGGAUUAGCUUUCCUUCUUGGCUUGGCUCCCUUAAGUAUUUAUCUUUGAGUUUGUCCUAGAUAUGUGUGUGUGUGUGUAUAUAUAUACACAAAUAUAUGGUGUUAACAUAUAUCCCUCUCUUUCUUUGUCUAUUCAUAUUAUAUAUGUAUCAUUUGGUCUUCUAUUACUACUAUAUAAAUCUUUCUCUCACUCUUUAUUUGUAUAUUGGCUGGUGAUAAAUGGUAUUGCACUUUAGUCUUUGAAUACUGUGAGAAUAGGCUAGUUUAUCCUUAUUUUUCUAUUAGCAUUAUUAUGUUUAGUCUCUUGGAUAGUUGCCUAUAAUUUAUAUUCUUACUUUACAUGUUAUUUAUGUUUGAAUUUUCUUUGGAGCUCAAUCGGCCAAUGCCUACUGAGUACCACGUGUUUGGUACUCAUACUACACUUUUGUAGCCUGCACAUCAUAGUGUGAGAGUGUGCCUUAUGUGGAGCAGCUAUGGGGUCAGCUCCUGAUAUUUGGAGUAUUCCUACUCCCCCUCAUAUUGAUUAGCCUUAUCUCUAUUUUAUAUUUCAGAGAUGUUUUGUAGUUGUACAAAAUUUUGUAUUUCUCUUUGUACUCUGAUUGUAUUAAAAGCUCUUGUACUAACUUCACUAGGUCUUAGAGUUGUAUUUUGUAUUAGUCUUUUAUUUGGAUUCUUUCCUCUAUUUACUACAUAUCUAUGGAUAGUCGGUUACUAGUUGUUUCGGACUACGGGUUGGCUUACCUACUGGUGGAUUAUAGUAUGUGUUAAUCAUGACCUGAUAAAUCGGAUCGCGACAAACUUAUUGGCCAUUAGAGAAGUAAAUGAAUUUAAGUUGAAUACUAUUUAAAUAAAAAAAUUUUAAAAAUAAUUUGAAAAAUUAGAUAACCUAUUAACAUUUAUAAAGACGAAAUUUAAAAUCUACUAAUAAAAUUACAAAUAUACUCCAUAAAAAAAGUUAGUUAUGGCAUGCCUUCUUCAUUAUUUUUCUUUCACGUACUGAGUCUCAAAAGAAGUUAUGGCUCCAUUUCUGCUGAAUUUGUUUUGCACUGCGGUUGAAUUUUGAGUCAUUAUGUCACGUUGAUUAUGGAGUACAUAUAAAAAAUAUUCAAAAUAGGAGAGUGUAUACUACAACAACAACAACAUGCCCAGUGUAUUCCUAUCAAGUGGGUCUGGAAAGGGUAAAGUGUACGCAGUGUCCAUCCCACUACCUCAGAUGAAGUAGAGAGGGUUGUUCCCAAUAGUCCCCAUGCUCAGGACAGAUAACAAUAUAACAAACAAAACACAUAAAAGCAUACAACCAUAAGGUAAUACUAUAAUAACAUAUAGUAAGGGAUAAUUACAGAAACAAUCUACGCGUAAGGUAAUACUAAAACAAUAUCUAUUCAAAAACACAGAUAUCAUCAAUACACCACAGCUGAACUCCUACCCACUAACCCUUUACCCUAAUCUGUGUCCUCAUCCACCUCUCUAUCAAGGGUCAUGUCCUCCGUAAGUUGUAACUGCUCCAUGUCAUGUCUAAUCACCUCCCUCCAAUACUUCUUAGGCCUACAUCUAUCCCGCCUAAAACCAUUCAUAGUCAGCCUCUCACACCUCCGUACUAAAGCAUCCAUUCUCCUCUCAUCACAUGUCUGAACCAUCACAACCUCACUUUUCGUAUUGAUCAUUGAUUCCUCUUUUAAAAUACAUUAUGAGUCAUAGAAACAAGAAAUAGUACUAAUCAUUAUGGUAGAAUAACUAAUCGAAUAGUUGUGAAGUAACAAUAAUUUCCAAAAACUUAAUUUGAUAUGUAAAUUACAAAUAUUUAAUACCAAAAGAAUAUCCAUAAGAAAAUUUAAAUUUUAAUUCUAAAUAAAAAAUAUUUUUAAAAUACAAUUGUAAUUUGAGAAUUGUAUCUAUACAAUCUUUUAAUUAACCUUGUAUUUACGAUAAAAGCAUUAGUAAUUAUAUAUCAUUGUAAAAGGAAAGACAAAAAAAAAAUAUUAUCUCAUCCUAACAAUUGUUUAAAUCAAAUAUAUCAGCUCCUAAUAAAUUUUCCUAAUCAGACACUUUCAGUUCAAUUUUCAAAAUUUUCAUUUGUAGAUGAUCUCAUUCUUUUAUUAGGUAAUUAAGUUAAGCACAUAAAACAUGUCAUCUAAAACAAGACGUAAAGUCAUAACUUUUUUUAUCAUUUAUCACUUUGUAAUGAUAUGAUUCAUUAUAAUGUUCAUCAUGUAGGUCGUUAUUUUUGAUUAUUAAACUCCUAUAAAAUGCAUUUAAAUCUAUUCAAAAUUAAUUUAUAUAUGGAUCAGUAUCUAUUUUUUUGUAUGAUUUUAUAAAAUUAUUAAUAUAUUGACACUUAUAAUUUAAAUUUUUUCUCUUUUACAAUUUUAAAAUAAAGUCAAAAAUUAAAAAAAUAUUAAAAUUGGUUUUUUAAUUCAACAGAAUGUGUUUCACUUGAUGUUAAAAUAUGCAUUGAAACAUAUGAUAUUCAAAUGUUAAUUAGGACAAUUUAAAUAAAUAAUAAGUUGCUAUUUCAUUUAUAAAAAUGAUAAAUAUAUUUUAUUAGUCUGAUCUCUAAUAUAUUUUUUUAUCGUGUUUGUUUAAAAAUACUAAAGAUUUGUUUUUGAAAAACUUAUUAAAUACCUAUAUGUUAAAUUAAUUUAAUAGAGUAGUAAUAUGAAAGAAUAAGUAGACAAGAAAAUAAGGAUACAAGUUUAGAGAUGAGAACUUUUCAUUCUUCCAAUUGUUCAAGUGAUACAAGUCUUUCAUCUGUAUCCAAUAUGAACCUUUAUGAAUCUAUUUAUCAUGUUACAUAGAGGUAUAUAAAAGGUUGUCAUAAACAUGACAUUAAGAAAUAAGUUCGUGGAGGAGAUUAAACACAUAGCAUUUAGGAUUUGAGAUCAUAGAGGAGGUAGAACAUAAUGGUGAAUAGUGCUGGAGAGUUAGAGGAAUUACAUUAAGUGGAAAUCUAUAUAAAUAAUCUAUUUUAUAAUACUCCCCCUUGGAUGUAUAUAGAUGAUGUGCUUCGUUAAAACCUUACUAGGAAAAAAAUCCUGUGAAGAAAAUUUUCAGUGAGGAAAAAAAGUACACAUAUCGUUUAGAACGUAUUGCUUGCUGCCUCGUUUAAAACGUUGUCAAGAAAAUUCAGUGAGACAAAACUUGGAUAAAAAAAGAGUCAACUCAUAUUUACUCCACUUGAUAAAGACAUCACUUGAUCUUGUAGAUGUUACAUUUCAAUUCAGCUUUUCAAAGUGUUAGGUUCGGCAAUACCUCCAUCAAAUAUUCAACCGAAAUUGAGUAAAAUAGUCCUUUAUUGAAAUAUAUUUUAUCUUUUCUUCUUCUAUAUAUUCUUCUUUCAUUUGAGCUAUGCAAGAAGAAUCAUCUUCAUACAAUAUUGGAACCUCCACCACAAAGAAAAUCGCAUAUCUUAAGUGAAGAGCCACUUGCUUUAUAAGUUGCUAGUAGUUUGACUAGACUUGAAUAAGUGUGAAUGAUUGACUGCCUUAUAGAAUAACAUGAUAUGAUAAUAUUUUCACAUGAAAAACGAUUGCUUUCUUGAGAUCAAACUUCAUAUAGAUCAAAUAGUUCUUCUGCACUUUCAUAAUCAACAAUCCCUUGAUAAUAUUGGUUAGAAAUAAAUUCUUAUCAAUAUUUGAUUUCAUUCAAAUUCAUAUAAAAGUGAAAUUAUAUCUUUCCUACAUAUUAAAAAAUAUCAUCUCAUUUAUAGAAAUAGCAGGAUACAAAAGUUCACUAAUUGGACUAAUACAUGGUACUUUCUAAUCAUUUUAUGAGAUUGGAAUUGAUCUUUUUUUAUGACAAUUGAUCUUCCAACCAUUGAGAUAUUCAAUGGAUCGAAUCUCUUUUAAAUCCUUCAAGAAUUUUUCUAGAGUACUUACCGUCUAGCUAUACAUGAUAGUCACUCGUUAUACGCAUUCAAGUUUUUCAUACACUAUCAGAUUUAAAGAAACCUUAUUGUAUCCACCCUAGGAGAACACAUCUUCAAACAAUAAUAUCAAGACUUUUGCGAAUAAUCUUUAUACCUCAAGACACAAGUAGUGUUUUAUAUCUUAUGCUUUUACGUUUUGCACAAUCACCUACUUAUACCUCAAUGGCAUUAUACCUUAGUCUAUGGACAAAUUUCAAAAUAUCACUUUUCAUGUCAAAUAUAAUAUACUUGAAUGUGUAUUUUAUCUGUCCACAUUAUUUAACAGAUUUAAAUUCAAGAUCUUCGUUAUCAUUUAAAAUGGUGAGCUCUAUAAUAUACCAAAAAUAUCAUCGACGGUUAUUUGAUAUCAGUUUCAAUGCGGUAUAAUUUGUAGAGAUCUCUUCAUUUCAUCAUUUUCAAGUACUUGAGCUUUUGUCAAGAUUUUAUGAAGUGUUAUGUCAUGGUGCUCUUUUAAAGCAUUUGUCUAAUUAUCAAUACCAUCAUUAUCAAUUUCUUCUAUUCUUCUUUGAGGAGUUUUACAUUUGAAACCAAUUGGUCUAUCAAAUUUAAGGCAUGUAAUAGACGUCCUUCAAGGACUUUUUAUUGGAGCAUUUACAGCUAGAACAUAGGGUUAAUCUGGUGAUGAACUUGUAAUAUUUUACAAAUCAUGAAUUAUCUCUUGAACUUCAAGUUCAUUUUUUUAUAUGGGGAUCUAGAUGAUUCAUUCUAUAUAUGUCAGCUAUUAAAGGUAUCUCCCCCUAAUAUUAAAAAAAUCUAUCAUUACCUCCAACCUUAUUUUGGGGAUCUAUCUUUGUGCGUAAAGGAUGUUGCAUAUUCAAAUUUGUAUAUGAAUUUAUUUGGUUCCUGAUCCUGAUUAAUAAUAUAGGGAAACCUUGUUGGCGUGAUGCAUACAAAUAUUGCUACGUUGAAAUAAAAUUGUCUCAUACCAAUUUUUUUUUGAGAUAUUUGUUCUCAUAAUCAAUGAUUCAACUAUAAUUGGAGGCACAUAAUUUCUGCUAAAUCAAUAAACAUUAUGUCACACCCUUUUUCCGCUCGAGGAAUCGAGGUCGAAGGGUUUUUCAAAUUAAAGUGACGAUAUUGAAUAGGGAUUAUUUUAAUUAUAGAGCCGCCACUUGGAAUUGAGUUUUGGUGUUCCAAGUCACCUUUUUGAAUCCCUAAUCAAAAGGAAAUGACUCUUUAUUGUGGUCUGUGAAAACAGAAGAAUGGGUAAGGAAUUCUGUUGACCGAGGGGAAGGUGUUAGGCACCCCUUGAGUCCCGUGGUUCUAGCACAGUCGCUUUAUUGACUUAUAGUGACUUAAACUAUCUUGACAAAUUAUUUUGAGGCAUAAGUUCGCUCAUUUUUAAUUAUACCAAAUAUCUAUCCACAUCUCUUAUAUUUUAUAUUAAUUAAAUCGGUGAAAAUUAAUUUUUGAAAAAUAUUUGUCAAGGUGCAUUAUUGCAUCCUUAAAUUUUAAAAAUAUCUUGGAAAGAUGCGUAUGCCGCAUUCUUAACCGAGAUUAAUAUUUUAACGUAUUUAAAAUUUACCUAUCAUUAAAAGGAUUUAUUCCAUCUUUUGUGAAUUCAAAAACAACUUUAUCUAAUUUAUUUGAAAUGCUACUUUAUUUUAAUAAUAUUCCUAAUAAUAUUUAAUUUAAGCAAUUGAUAAAUUUAACAAAAUAAUUAUCAAAUUUUAUUAUUGACAAUGAAUAAAACGAAAUAACAAUUAAAAUACACAAAAUAAAAUAAAAUAAAUAAAUAUAUAUGUAAAACAACCCAUAUCACAUUACUUAUAAUUUAUUAAUACCAAAAUUUUUGCUUACAGUAAACUAACGUCAAACUAUCCAUAUUUAUCUUUAAAAUAAAAAUCUAUUUAAAACAAUACAGUAUUCUAACAAAAACGAAACACUAAAAAAAACAGUGCAGAUAUAAUAUCAUCUACGUGAUAUUUUCUUGGUCUUUAAAAAAAACGGCUUCGGUCAGGCUUCACCAGCAGACAGUGACGGGAAAGGGAAGAAGGGGGUGUCAGAGAAGGAGUUUUCCGACGAAACUUGAUCCGCUUUUCGGCGGAUUGGGCCGGUUUUAGUGACUAGAAAUAUCUUCCGAGGAGAUUCCGGUGAAAACGAGUUGUUUCUCGCUAGAUUUUAAAUAUUAAAAAAUCUUGGGAUAGGAUUAUUUCAACAGUGAUAAAUUAUUUCUGAUUUUUACUAAUUUUAAAGGAGUCUUUCGGUUUGACACCUUUUUCGGCGAAUUCAUUGUCAGAACAAUAACAAACAGUGGUCUUACUGUUUCUCUCUUAUUUUUCACUGUGUGUGUGCAGAUUAGUGUAUAUGAGUAUAUGUAAACAGUGUAUGUAAAAGACAGUUUAUGACUAUAUGUUUAUAUCAUCUAGGUAAAAGGAAAAUAUAUAUAUUUUUUAUAUUUCUUAAUUUUUAGACUUGAAUUUAUUAUUCAUAUACAUAUUUUAACAAAAUCUGAUGCAUAGAAUUAUAUAAUUAUAAAUAUAUAUUCAUACACAAAGAACAUAUUGAAUCUUGCAUUCAUACUUUUUCAUAGGAAAUUUACAAUAAUAAAAUAGAAUAAAAAUAGAACCUCUGUUCCAAUUUAAUUGAAUAUGGAAAUUAUCACAGGAAACUUGAACGAGAUUCAAAUUCAACUUGAUUCACUUUUCUCUUCUUUUUUUGCUCUCUAACUGACUUUUUCCUGUCAACUUUCUCUCUGGUUUCUGAUAGUGUUUUUUUUUUUUGCUCUAUGUCAAAAUAGAAUAAUACGUAGAAAAAAUUCUCUUUUUUUAUCUGGGUAGAGAGUCUUUAUAUAAUAGGACUAUUGGGAGGGAACGGUUAAAAGCAGAUAAGGGGAUGGGGGAAAAAUUAAAAUUUAAAAAUCUUUUCCCUAGUAAAACUAUUAAUUUAUUUAUUAAAUUUUAUAAAAGAAAAAUAUAUUUAGAUUUUUAUAUAAUUUAAAAUUAAUAAAAUAAAUAUGUGAUUAAAUAUAAAAAUAUAAUAUAUUUAAUAUCGAUAAACAAGUUAAUAUUUAGGGAGGAUAAAAAAUCACGUGUCUACACAUUAUAAACUUUUAUAGUUUGAAUUUACACUCUUAAAUUAACAAUUUGAGCAAACAACCUCACAAAAAUAAAAUUGCAAGUUGAUAACAAAUCCUAGAUGACUAACUAUAUAUGCAUCGUAUUUCAUAGUAAAUGGUCCACAUGGUAGGUGAAUGGACCCAUAUUCACUUUGCUAUACAUUCUAAAAAUUUAGAAAUACAAUCUCAACCUUAACCCAGAUGGCCAACAAACAUAGGCUUCUAAUUAUCUAAUUUAACCUAAGUUUCAAUUAAUUACAAUUUAUAGUCUCUCUUGCCUAUUAAGUACAAUUCACAGUCUCUCUCCUUUAUUUUCAAUCUUUUUCUAUCUUCUUUUUUUCUUUUUCAGUUUUUUCUUUCUUUCUUUCUUUAUUUUCCUUUUUUUCUUUUUCUUUAUUUUUUCCUUUUCAUUUUUUUGUUUUCUGAUUUUUUUCUUUUCCGAUUUUCUCUUUUAAAAAAAAAUCUUUAUAUUUUUAUAACUUUUUUAUUUCAAUCUUUUCUUUUUCAUUUUUUUAUUUCCUUUUUCUUUACAAUCUUUUUGUAUUUUCUUUUAUUUUUUCAUUUUUUUCUCCUUAUUUUUUUCUCUUUUUUUGUAUUUUUUGUAUUUUCUUUUUUCCCUCUCAUUUUGGUUGUUGUUAUUGUUGUAUUUUAUGUUUUAUAAAUAGAAUACAAAAAAAUAAAUUAAACAACAAAAUACAAAUACAAUGUGCAGUCAAUUAUAAAAUACAAAUACAAAAUAGUGCUUUAAAAUACAAGUGUGAAUUGUAUAAAAUAUAAAUGAUUGUGCGAACUAUGGAUGGGCAUGGUAAGGUGUAUACUGAAUACCAGACCGAUAUCGAAAUUUUUUAUAACGCGGUAUGGAUGUGAUGGUAUUUGGUAGGAAUUUUAAAUUAUUUUGGUAUUUGGUAAGGUAUUUGAUAUUUAUGCAAUAAAUAUUGAAAUACCGUAUACCGCACCAAAGUUUUUUAAUAACAUAUAAAGCUCAUAUAUAUAUAUAUAUAUAUAUAUAUUAUAUUUAAGAUUAUUAAAUUUAUUUAUAUAUAAUCCAUUAUCCAAUUGAACAUAAAAGUAACUUUUAUUCAUAAACAAAUUUUUCGGAAGCUUAUUAUUUAGGAGUACUAUGCUUAAGUUUAGGUAAUGUUGUUCAAAGUUUGCAUCUCGGACUAUUCAAUCGUGAUUGAAAUAUUCUUUUUGUGUAAUUGAUUAACAAUGAUAGUUGUUAGUAUAAUAUGAUUGAAACGUUUUUAAAAUUUAAAGUUAUAGUUUUUUUAUAUGAAUAUAUGUAAGUAAAAAUCAAAUAAAGUAUGGUUAUUGAAUUACCAUACCAUAAAAUACCGAAAUAGAAUUUAAAAAUACCGAACCAUAUACCAAACUAAUUUGGUAUGGUAAUGGUAUUGUUAUUUAAGAUUCCGAAAAUCGAAGUCACCGUACCAAAGUUUAAAAUAUCGGACUGUACCAUACCUUGUCCACCCCCAGAGCAAAGUAACAAACACAAAUACAAGUACGAUCUAUAAAAUUAAAAUACAAAUACAAGCGUGAACUAUGAAAUACAAAUAUAAUUAUAUAACGAAUAAAAAAAUAUAAAUAAUGGUGUGAAUAUAAAUACUAUAAAUAAUCAUGAUAUUUUUGUUAUCAUCCAUAAUUUGUACUCAAGCAGUCAUAUUUUUUGAAAAUACUAGAACAAGAAAGAGAAAAGUACAAAAAAGAAAACCAAAAGGAAAAAGAAAAAAAACAGAAGCUACAGAUAGAAGGGAGAAAAAAAUGAAAAGAAAUAGACCAAAAAAUAGGAAAAAACAAAAAUAGAAAAAAAGGAGAAAUCGCGAAAAAGAAAAAAAAUAUAAAAAGAUGAAAAGAAAUAAUCGAAAAAAGAAAAAAGAAAACGAAAACAAAAAGAAAAAAAAAACAAAAAGUAAAAUGAAUGAAAAAGAAGAAGAAGGAAAUAGCAAAAAAAAUAAAGAAAUGAUGGUGAAUAUAAAUACAAUGCGUGGUUAUGAUGUUUCUGUCAUCAUCCAUGAUUUGUAUUCGAUGUAGUCAUAUUUGCCAAAAGUACAAAAAAAAAUUUUAAAAAUGGAAUUAAUUUAUCUAAAUUUUAUAUAAAAAUAGAUGACAGAGUAAAAUCGAAUACAAUGGCUAUGGAUUGAAUACGUCGACAAUGCAUUGUAAUAUUUCAAACUGUGGCUAUGGAUGCUGGAUUUUGUGCUGAUUGUUUCUGAAAGUAUCCCAUAUUUAAACUCAUUUUGAUUGUAGUUAUAUGAAAAUAUUAAAUAUUCUCAUAAUACACAGCAUCAAUAUAACUUAUUUUUCUCAUCAAUUUCUUUGACACUUAAAAAGUUUCUUUUGGAGACUUACUCCAAUCUCACUAUCAUGAACAAUUUUAUUCCUCUAUGUAGUAACACAUUAACUUUUUUGAAGCUAAAUACUUGUUGUUUUUCUCGGGUUUAGUAGAAUCUGUAUUUUUCAACAAGAACUUCAAACACACGUUCAAAUAGUCAUAUGAACAAUCAAAUGAAGUUUACACUCUGUAUUUAUAACUUUAAGCUUUUAACAAUAAGUUCAACCCAACUUAUGAACAUCAACAAAAUAAAGUUCAAACUAUUUUUUGGAAAAUAGCAAAACCAAACGUUAAGAACUUAAACACAAGUUCAACCAACUUAUGAACUAUCAAAAUGAAGUUUGAAAAACUUUAAAUACUAGCUCAAACAGUUGAAGAACUAUUAAUAUGAAGUUCAAACUAUUUUCUGGAAAAUAGCAAAAUCAACUUUAAGAAAAAAAGAUGAAACAGAAAGAUUCAAGUCCACCUAAUUUAUGGUGUAUCGUUAAAGAAAUUAUUCCCCUCAAGUACCCAAGGUUACAGAAUAUAUCCUCCCAAGAUAAAAUGAAUCACUUCAACAGAAUAGCAAUACCUCAAAUUUUGUCGAACUAUGAACGCACGCAAUGGGACUAAAUCACACUAGAGUUUUUUCAAGAAAGAAGAGUAUUUUUUUUCUUCAAAAUUUCAUGUUUAUACUUGAGAAAAAAUUCAGGUAUUUAUAGCCAUCAAAGUAUUGCUUCACAAAGAGAAUCAAUGAUUUAAAAAGGUGCACCCCUUCAUAAAGGUAAAACUUUUAGGAAAAGUCACAACACUUUGGAAAGGUCAUAACAAUCCAAUCAUAAAAAGUGACUAUUCAAAUUGCAUUCUUUCUCUUGGUGUCUUUUCAGAAAAAUCACCUAUUCAUUUUUCAUUCACACCUUUUAAAAACCUAACAAUCCCCUACAUAAAUGGGAAAUUGCUAUUUUCUAAAGAAAUUUAUCGACAACUGUGUGAUUUACAAGAAAAAGAUUAGUUACAUCUAGAUAAGUGGAUUUCUCUUUGAACUUUUCAUAGUGAACAUCCAUUAGAUGCACUCGAUCUAUUGAUAGAUUUGAUAUCUUUGAACCAUCGAACUUUAAUGUACACCUAGACAACACAAGUUACACAAUCUGCCUUUUACUAUUUAUAGUUCUCACGGCUUUGUUCAUUUUAGCCAUGAACAUAUCUCGAUUUCAUGAGAGAGUAGAGAAUUGGACUAUACUAAUAUUCUCCUUGAAGUGGCUUCCACUUCACCCUCACAUAGGUAAUUUCUAUAUAUUAAUCCUAUAGAUCAAACUAUUUGAACAAACCUACCAAACUUAAAAACCAUUAAAAAUCUUCAAACCAUAAGACAUCCUUAUUCUCUGGACAUUGUCUUCAUUAUGAGAAUGGGAGUAGUAUAUUAACAAUGUUAAACCGUUAGUCACAACUUUGUUUGAUCUUCUUGAACCUAGAUAUUGGGAUCUCCAGUCUAAUAAGUUAUUGUUAUCCUGACUUAUCCUAGGCCUUAAACGCAUUUCCUUUGAUGAUCUCUCAACUCCCUCUUUUGAUAGGUCUUUUUUGUAAGUGGAUCCGACACAUUAUCUUUUGACUUCACAUAAUCAACAGUGAUAAUUCUACUAGAGAGUAGUUCUCCAAUAGUAUUAUGUCUCUAUCUUAUAUGAUAAGAUUUACCAUUGUACAUUAUUGUAAGACCCCGCAAGAUUUCUCAUUGUCUAAGCCCUUUAGAGCAUGCCAAGUAAGGUCUCAUACUUAGAAAAAUUGGGCUAAGUGUUGGGACUCAGUCAUUUUUUUAGACCAUCAAACUUUGAGGAGUUAUUUGAUGACCUUACCGACCUCCGAUAGUUGAUUUCUUUGUUGAUUCAUAAUAAGGCAAUUUCACAAUACAUCUCGGGUGAGUUUUAAAUUUUUUGGACCCCAUUUAGACCAUGUUUCAAGUCCCAAAGCAGUGAACCAACGCAAUCUUGGUGCGUCACAUCAUCCAUCGCGUUGGUUAAUAAUUUCUCCAGUUACCAGUGCCAAAUUCCAGUGAGUCGAUGCUAACUUAACACGAUCCAUCGGGUACCGCAUCGAUACCAUCAAUGUGGUGCAUCGACCUGUGCAUCGCUGAGCGUAUUUUAUUUUUAGUCUUUAAAAAUCCACGUCUAAGGGGACAAUUAAGUCAUUUUCCUCCACCUUUAUUCAAUCAUAACAUGAUAUUAAGCCCCCAAAACACCAAAAUAAAGUCAUUCAACUCAAUUCCCUCAAGAACAAAAGCCUAGGGUUUCAACCCAUCAUUCAAGAAAACUCAAGAUUUUACCUUUUUUUUUCAAAUUGAUUCAAGAUUUGAGAUCCUUAGACUAAGAGCAUCAAGAAUCUCUGUUCAAAAGUACAAAUAGCAUCUCAAAAGCAAGUGUUCAUCCAAAGUUCAUCAUCUAAGGUAUGUGGGGUUUGAACAAGAGCAAUUUUUUUGCCCUUGUACCCAAAGAUUUGAUUUUUAUUAAAGAAUUUCAUGAUUUGCAAGUGGGGUUUAUGCCCAAUUUUCUUUGUUUUGAGUUAAUGAAUUCAUAAGCUAUUUAAGUCUUGACUUGCAUGAUUAUUUUAUUUAUUUAUGUUGUGAAUUGAGAAUUUAUGCUAUGAAUUGCACAUCCCUAUAAUGAUUUGAUGUUUUCUAGUGUUUCUAAGAUUGAUGUAAUGAUUUAAGCUGCAUUAUGAAAUUGAUAUUAUUUGAGUUUGAGUAUUUUCUUUAAGCCAAGCAUGAAUUUUGAUGUUUCAUAAAGCUUAUGUUUUUAGCAUGUUUUAACAAGCAAGUAUCUUGGUUUUAAAGAAAUAUUGAUCUUUGAUCCUAAGCUAAGAUAGGAAUCCAUAUUAUUUAUGAUUUAAAGCAAAGAAAAGCAUAGUUAGGCUUUUAUUAUAUAUAUCAGUGUAUUGUUUUAAGGUGGAUUUCCUAAAUUUUUUGAGCCUAAGUAUGGGGGUAGUAGUUAGCAUCGAGUUGGGUAUGAUUCCAAGGUCUCAUGCCCCAGAACUAUGAGCCAUGUAGGUCUACGAUUUGCUCCUAGUGGGCUAUGACAAGUGAUCACUUAAGUUAAGAUUCUAUUCUGGUGGCAAGGAUAGAACAACUCUCCCCAACGUGGGUAAGACGUUGGACUCUAUGUCAGCUCACAUGGUUUAUGUUGGUUAUAAAAAACUCCCAAAAGUCCCACAGUAUCUUAAAUAUCUAAAAUCCCUAAGUUUCAAAAUAAGUUCCCUAUUCUCCUUAAGAUAAAAGUAUAUGUUUUGAAAGUUAUUAUUUUAAGACUCUCUUUAUUUAUGUGUCUAUGAGCUUUGAGAAACAAGAAGAGCAUACAAAUUUAAGAACUAAGUGAAAUGACUUGCAAGAUUUAUAGUACCUAUUUUAUCAUUCAUGAUUUUCAAGAAUUAGAUUUCAGAUUUACUCAAGCUAUGUAAGCCAUUUAUGUUACCAUGCAUAAUUUUUAUAAAGAUUGAUGAUAUUGUUUACUUAUUGCAUGCACCCCUAUAUACUCAGUACAUUCCCAAAGUACUAAUCCAUAUAUAUGUCUAUGUGUUUGUCUCAUAAUGUAGGUUCAAGUGCUCAACCUCAGCAGUGACAGUGAUUUUCCAGUACCUUUAUCUACACUUUCACAAUUGGUGAGUUCUCAUAGUUUUGGACUUAUUUCUCUAGGAUUUCAGUAUUCAAAGUAGUUGGUUUUAUUGUCUUCAGUUUGAGUCAGUUAGGGGUCUAUCCCAAUGACUCUCUAGUUCCUUAGUAGUAGAGACUUGUCAGACUGUUAGUUGUUUUCUUUAGACUUUUCAGUACUUUAUUAUUCUGAUAGUGUUCUACUUUAUUUCAUUUAAGACGUUAUAUAACAUACUAUUAUUUGAUAUAAUUAAAUUGAAGUAAGUUUCAGAAGUAGUAGCAGGCUUAAAGGGUUAGCUUAGGUCUACUUGUAGCUUUAAGCAUCAUGUGACAUCUCAGGAUGAGAUAUUGAGGCAUUACAAUUAUGAUCCCUGCCCUACAUAUCGCCGAUUGACUAUCAUAAUGUAUCCAUUCCAGUGCCAAAGGUUUGAGAUAAUAAGGAAUAUCUUCCAAGAAAUUUUGGAUCCAUUCAACUUCUUCACCGUUUUUAUCUACUGUGAUAAAUUCAGAUUCCAUUAUAGAGCGGAAAGUACAAGUUUGUUUGGAAGAUUUCCAAGAGAUUGUUUCUCCACCUAAAGUAAAUACAUAUCCACUCAUAAAUUUUACUUUAUUUGAUCCGGUGAUCCAAUUUACAUCACUAUAUCCUUCAAUUACCCCGCUGGAUAUUUGCUAUAGUGCAAAGCAUAGUCUUGAGUAUGUUAUAGAUACCGCAAAACUCUUUUUAUUAUCGUCCAAUGAAUUUAAUUGGUAUUACUCAUGUAUCGACUCAAUUUACUAAUAAAAAAUGCUAUGUCUGAUCACGUAGAAUUCAUGAUAUACAUCAACUUUCAACACUCUUGUGCAGUCCAACUAUGAGUCACUUUCACCUUCAUUCUUUUAAAGUACAAAGCUCACGUCUAAUGGAGUCUUGGCAAUACAAAAAUCCAAAUACUUGAAUUUGUUAAGUACCUUUUCAAUAUAAUGAGACUAUGACAAUGCUAAUCCUUAUGGAGUUUUAUGGAUUCUUAUCCCUAAGACCACAUCCGCAACUCCAAGGUCUUUCAUAUCAAACUUGUUAUCAAGCUUUCAUUUCAUAGCAUUUAUGUUAAAAAUUUCUCUACUAAUGAUCAACAUAUCAUUCACAUACAAAAAAACAAUGACUUUAUGAUUUCGAGUGUCUUUAAUGUAAACACAUUUAUCACAUUCAUUUAUCAUGAAGCCUUGCCAACAUGAUUUUGUCAAAUUUUGCAUGCCACUGUUUUGUAAAGUCCAUAAAGUGAUUUAAAAAUUUUGCACACUUUCUUUUCUUUACCAGGAACCACAAAACCCUCAGGUUGUUUCAUGUAAAUUUCUUACUACAAUUCUCCAUUUAGGAAUGUUAUUUUCACAUCCAUUUGAUGGAUUUUAAGACCAUAUACCAUCGCUAAGGCAACUAACAUCUGAAUAGACUUUAUCCUUAUUACAGACGAGUAUGUAUCAAAAUAAUCAAGGCUUUCUUUUUGUCUAAAGCCUUUCACUACAAGUCUUGCCUUGUAUUUGUCAAUAAUGCUAUCAGCUUUCAUUUUUGUUUUGAAGAUCCAUUUAGAAACUAAAGGUUUAUCUUCUGUAGGAAGAUCAACCAACUCCCAAGUAUGGUUGCUCAAGAUUGAAUCAACCUCAUAAUUGACUGCUUUUUUAAAAAAAAGCAACAUCGUUUCUUUAAACAUUUGAGACUCAUUUUCAAUAAGAAAUGUUACAAAAUCUGAUCCAAAGGACAUUGACAUUCUUUAAUGUGUACUGCUCCUUCGAUUUCAUCAUUAAGUACAUUCUCAUUUCAUUAAUCUCGAGGUUGUUUAGACCCUCCACUAGACUGCUCAUGUCUUUUAUACAGAUAAAUCAAAGAACUCAAAAUAAUCUGAUUUAAUUAUCAUAUUUUCAUUGAUAUUUGGAUGUUUGGAUUUAUGAACUAAAAUUAACAUGCUUUACUACUUUUAGCAUAUCCCGUGAACAUACUGUCCACAGUCUUAGGUCCUAUUUUUACCCUUUUAGGAAUAGGAACUUGGAUUUUUUUAGACACCCCCACACUUUGAAAUAUUUCAAUUUGAGUUUUUUUAUCCAUUUUUCAUAGGAAAUUGAAUGUGUCUUACUAUUGGGUAUUCUAUUGAGUAUUCGGUUAGCUGUAAGGAUAGAUUAGCCCCACAAGUUUUGCAGUAAAUCUGAACUUAUAAGGCAUUCAUUAUUUCCUUUAAUGUUUGGAUUUUUCUUUCCAUAAUCCCAUUUGAUUGAGGUGAAUAAGGGACAGUAGUUUGAUGGAAAAUUACAUUUUCUACAUAUAUCUCUGCAAAAAAGAGAUUCAUAUUCUCCACCCCUAUCACUUUUUAUUGGUUUGAUCUUUUUAUCCAACUAAUUUCCAACUUCUCUUUCAUAUUGCCUAAAUAGAUCUAUUGCUUUUUCCUUACCAUUUAGCAAAUAAACAUAACAAUAUCUAGCGCAAUCGUUAAUAAAAGUAUAAAAUACUUUUUCCCACCACGGAAUGGUAUUGACUUCAUAUCACAAAUGUUUGUGUGGAUUAAAUCUAAGGGAUUGAAAUUCCUUUCAACAUACUUACAUGGAUGCUUCACAUACUUUGAUUUAACACACAUUUUACACUUUGAUUUAUUGCACUCAAAGUUAGGCAAAACUCUUAAGUUAGUUAGCUUUCAUAAAGUUUUGUAAUUGGCAUGUCCUAAAUGUUCAUUUUACAAUUUAUUUGACUCAAGCAAGUACAAAGAAGCCUCGGCUUUCUUUAUCUCAACAGUCAUUACAACAAGCUUGAAAAGAUCGUCAUUGAGGUAGCCCUUUCCUAGAGAUGUUUCAUUCUUGCUUAUUACAAUUUUUUUUUGAAACAAACACACACUUAAACUCGAUUUUAAUGAGAAGUGUUGUCGACACUAAGUUCUUUCUAAUAGUAGGAACAUGGAUAGCAUUAUUGAGAGUCAACAUCUUGUCAAAAUUCAUCUUUAGGAAUAUUUUCCCACUUCCUUCUACCUUUGCUAUUGCAUUAUUUCCUAUGAAGAUCACUUCUUUGGGACCAGCGGUAUCAUAAGUAGCAAAAACUUCUUUGUCCCAAAAAAAAUAUGCAGUGGAUCAUGAAUCAAACCAUCAUUCAUUUGGAUAUCCAACUAGAUUUCUCUAUGUGAUCAUACCACACAUAUUUUCAAUCUUUCCCAUUGUUUCCAACAUAUUAUCUAAUCUCUUUUCUUAUUUUUAUUUAGAAGUUGACUAUUUAGAGCUUUGUCGCCAACAUCACUACAGUUGUAGGACUUACCUUUGAAUGUUUUCUUGUUCUGCUCUAUCUCUUGUCCAGAAGACUUCUUCAUCUUCUUAUUAUUUGGAGCAUCAUCCUUAACAGGAAUUGCAACCAUCAUUAAUGAUUUCUCAUUCAACUCAUUAUCAUCUUCUAUCUUGGGAUGACUGAUAAGAUAUUUUAAACCAAACAAAUGAAUUUUAAUCAUUAUUUUUUCUGGAAUAUGAGGAUCUAUACUUGUGAACAUUUGCAUUUCAAGUUUGGUCAGCCAAAAAUUACAUCAUCUGCUGUCAUUCUUUGAAGUUCACACCAAAAUAUUUUCUUUUUGAUUUCUCUGUCAUUUUCAUUGCUAGAGCAAUGUCUAAAUGACAUAAUGACGCAACAUUGGUUGUUGUUGGGACAACACCGUUCACAACUGAAUCUAUUUGUUGUUCAUUUUCAUUCAUGAUUUUCCUAUCAAUCUUUGACAUACACUUAAGUAUUUUAUAAUACUAACAAUAAAGACUUUAAUCUAAAAACCAACUUAUUUUUAGUCAAUGAUGAAGUUUUUAUACCUUCAAAUCAUUAACAAAAUGAAUUUUAAAACCUGACAAAGUUUUUAUGACUUCAUAUAAGAAUCAAAUUCAAACAUAGUGAAAAUCCAUAGGUUUUAAACUCCAGAAACAAUACAAAGAGUUUAUUGACUUAUAUUCUUCUAACAAAAUUUCCAUACUAAUUUCUCGGUGAAGUUUUUAUAUUCUUCUAGCCGAGGGAGUAGAAACCAAAAGAUUUUAGUCUCCACAAAAUCAGACAAUACAGAUUAACCAAAUACUUGAAAAAAAAACCUUUUUUUUUUUCACCAAACAAAUACAAAAAAAUAAAUAUUUUUCUAAUUUUCUUCAGAUUGUUGUCUUUCUCGAAUUUAGUAAAAUCUGUAUUUUCAACAACAACUUCAAAAACACGUUCAAAUAAUCAUAAGAACAAUCAAAAAAAGUUUACACUCUGUAUUUAUAACUUUGAACUUUUAUCAAUAAGUUCAACCCAACUUAUGAACAUUAACAAAAUAAAGUUCAAAAUAUUUUUUGGAAAAUAGCAAAACCAAAUGUUAAGAACUUCAACACAAAUUGAACCAACUUAUGAACUAUCAAAAUAAAGUUUCAAGAACUUCAAACACAAGAUCAAAUAGUUGAAGAACUAUCAAUAUGAAGUUCAAACUAUUUUCUGGAAAAAUAGUAAAACCAACUUUAAGAAAAUCAGAUGAAACAAAAAUAUUCAAGUCAAUGGUGUGUCCUUACAAAAAUUAUUCCCCUUAAGUACCCAAGGUUAUUGAAUAUAUCCUCCCAAGAUAAAAUGAAUCACUUCGAUAGAAUAGCGGUACCUCAAAUUCUAUCAAACUACGAACGCACUCAGUGGGACCAAAUCACACUAGAGUUUUUUCACGAAUGAAGAGUAUUUUUUCUUCAAAAUUUCAUGUCUAUACCUAAGGAAAAAUUUAGGUAUAUAUAGCUAUCAAGGUGUUUCUUCACAAAGAGAAGCAAUGGUUCAUAAUGGUACAACUCUUCAGAAAAGUCACAACCUUUUGGACAGGUCAUAACUAUCCAAUCUAAAAAAAGUGCUUAUUCAAAUUGCAUUCUUUCUCUUGGUGUGUGAUACGAAACAAAACUACAACACUAGAAACUAACUAUAAAAUCAAGUAAAGACAAUCGAGAGAGAGAGAGAUAAUUAAAUAGAAAAAUAAGGAGUAAUUAAGAACAAAAGGAUAUAUCAAAUCCUAAUGCCCUCAAUUAAAACAAUCCAAACACCUAAUUCUUAUGGUGACCAAGAUAGAGAUGAACGCCCUUUAAACCAAUGUUUCUAAACCAAAGUUCAACAAAAGUUUUUCAACACUCUCACUCAAUGGAAAAGAAUUCAUCAAUUCAUUAAUAAUCUAGCAAAAACUAAGAGAAUGAGCUAGCCUCCAAAGUAUUUAUACUUUAGGCUAAUUAUUACACUUUUAGGGCCCAAAAGUGACCCAAUUGCAAGAAAAGGCCCACUAAGGGAUAUUUUGAUCCACUUUUGAAAUGCUAGAACAGAUCCAAAGUGAAUCCAAUGCGCCUUAGGUGCAAGUCCUUUCCUAGGGGAUUUCUAGCCCUAUUUUGAUUUCCCUUUCCUCCUCCAAUGAUCCUUGGACCAAUGUGAGUAUGAUCAUUAACAAAUGACAUCCUCUUGAUGGUAAAGAGGCUUCUUCAAGUACCUCCUACUUUAUGAACAAUCCUUAGAUCCUUUGAAGAUCCUAGCUUGACUUUUAGUGAAUGUCUUGGAUCUGAUCAAGAUUGUAUAAUCCUCUCCAUCUUGAGGAUAAUUUGACCUUAAAUUCAAGGGGUAAUCAUCUUCUAUCAUGUCAAAGAGUGAAAUAUCGCACACAUUAAAGGUAUUGUGCACUUGAUAUUUUGGAGGAAAGUCAAUCUCAAAGGCAUUGUCAUUUAUCCUUUCAAUCACUUUAAAUGGACCAUCACCUCGUGGCAUCAAUUUGGAUUUUCUUUGGGUUGGAAACCUAUACUUAUGGAGGUAAAUCCAUACCUAAUCACUCAGUUAAAGCACAAGUCGCUUCCUUCUAUGUUUUACUCUUUUGGCCACCUCUUGAUUCUUCUUCUCAAGGCAAAUUCUCACCUUUUCAUGUAACUUCUUCAUGGUUUCCGCUCUCUUGUCUCUGUCUAAGCUUAUCACAAAAUCACUAGACAAUAGAGUAAGAUCUAAAGGGGUAAGGGGGUUAAAACCAUAAACACAUUCAAAGGAAGUCAUACAAAUAGUUGAACGGAUAACAUGAUUAUAAGCAAAUUCGACUAGGGGUAGGUGGCCCUCCCAAAAGGCCAUUUUUAAUUUAACUAAGUCUACAACAUAGAACCCAAGGUUCUAUUUACCACCUCAGUUUUCCCAUUCAUUUAUGGGUUGAAUGACAUUGAGAAAAGCAAUUUGGUGUUAAGCCUGCCUCACAACGACCUCCAAAAGUUACUAAGGAACUUAGAGUCCCUAUCGCUAACAAUAGUCUGAGGAGUUCCAUGUAUUUUGACAAUAUGCUCAAUAGACAAAGAAGACACAUUAAAAGCAUCAUCAAUUUUAUGACAUGAAUUGAAAUAGGCCAAUUUUUAGAACUUAUCAAUCACAACAAAAAUGCAAUUUCUACCUCUUCUUGUCGUAGGCAAUCCCAAAACAAAAUCAAUAGAGAUGUCAAUCCAUGGGCAUUGAGGAGUUUUCAGUGGGGUGUAUAAUCCUUAAGAAAGAAGAUGGGGUUUUGUACGUUUAUAAUCCAUGCAUUGGCCACAAAUUCUAGCAACAUCUUGAUGCAUCUUGGGCCAAUAGAAUUCUUCUUCUAGGAUUCCAAGGGUCUUGUCAAUUCUAAAGUGGCCCAUCAUACCCCCCAUUAUGUUCCUCUCUUACAAAAAAUUCUCUCUAUUAGCUAGAGGGCACACACAACCUUCUUUUUUUGAAUAAGAAGCUAUAAAACUUGGAGUAGGGAAUAGAAGCACUAUCCUUCUCCCACCUUUUCCUACCUCGUGUCUCACAAUCUUGGUAGAUUUAAGCAAAUUUGGGGUCCUCAAGGCAUAUUGUCUUUAAACGCUCAAAUCCUAUUAAUUUAGAAGACAAUGUAGAGAUAAGACCAUGCUUCCUAGGCAAUGCAUCGGCUACCACAUCUUCCUUUCCCUUUUUGUAUUGAAUUAUAUAAGGAAAAGUCUCUAAGAAAGGAAUCCACUUGGCUUAUCUUUUAUUGAGUUUAUCCUGGGCCAGGAGAUGUUUCAAGGACUCAUGACCGAAUAGAAUCAUAGACUCCUUGAAACAUAAAUAAUGUUGCUAAUUACCCAAGGCUCUAAUCAAGGCGUAUAACUCUAUAUCAUAGGAGGAAUAAUUUAAAGUUGCACCCUUGAGCUUUUCACUAAAAUAGGUAAUAGGUUUAUGAUCUUGCAAUAGGAUGACACAUAUUCUAUAACACCCCAAGAGUAUACCCUGGGCGCCAAACGAUGCUUAUAGCCUCGAAGGACCAUAAGCUAACCCAUGAAAUUAUACCUGCUGUGAGCAAUGAGUAAAAAUAAUAAUGACAUAACAUAUGCAGAAUUUAUCUGAGGAAUACCAUAAGGUUUUAAGUCAUAAAUUUGAUAAAAUUUGUCAGGCAUAACUGAUAAUAUUGAUAAAACAUCUGACAAUGACAACUAAAAUCUGAGAAACUUACUAACUGUCUGAAAUAGUCUGAAAAGCCUCUACUGACUAACUGAGGAGCUGAUGGGACAAACCCCCAACUAACUAUGACUGAAUAGAAAUGACUGAAAUUGAUAAAUUAAUCUGAGCUAAAUAAAUCAUGUCCUUGAAAUAUGAGGACUCACCACUACUACGACUGAUAAUCUGGAAUAUUUGUGUGCCACCUAGGAACUGAGCAUUUGAACUUAUGACAUGAUACAUCAUAGCGUAAGAAAAGAGUAUAUGAUCAGUAGUUUGAAUAUACUGGUAUGCUAAAUGAGGUAGGCUGAUAUGCAUGGUUUCAUGAACAUUAAUAAUAACUGUCUGAAUAUAUAUCUAUAUAUAUAACAUGAAGUACUAAAUAGAGUGUAAAAAAUCUAUAGAUACUAACGAUACAUGAAAUUUAUAAAUACUGAGGAUGCAUAAAAUUUAUAAGUACUGAGGAUACAUGAAAUCUAUAAAUACUGAGGAUGCAUGAAAUCUAUAAGUACUGAGGAUGCAUGACCAAAUAUACAAAAUGUUCUGAAUAUAAUCUGUAAAAACUAAAAUCUGAUAACUUAUUUCUUGAUAUCUGUAUGCUAUGGUCAAGCAAUUGAAAUUGAAUUACUGGACUGAGACUGUGGAAACUAUCAUCUAACCAACAUGCCCCAAUCUGAGAUAAUAGGGGUCCAACCUGUGACCCCAGUUGGAAGGGUGUCAGUACCGUUCCACGAGUACUAACACUGGCUGUGUAGAUUCACUAUACUGAUGAACUAUCCUAAAGGACUAAGGGUGUCAAGCCUAAACUAAUGGGUGACCCCUGCGAGGUAGUCAAGCCUAAUCUGACGGGUGACUCCUUAUAUCCUACGCUGGCUACUUAGUUCUAGAGUACAGGGACUUCUACUAAUGACUCUACCUAUCUAAUAGGGAAUGCACCGUCCUUGUGCUCGCUCAGUGCUAAAUCCUACUCCCAACUGAACUGACUCGGAAUGAUGAACUGUUCUAAGGUUAGCUGAUUCUGAUGACUGACUAAACUAAUAAUGCUCAUAAUAUAUUCUUAAACUAUUUUGAAGUUAUUGAUACUAGGUAAACAUCUAAGUUUUGGGGUGUUCAUAACCCCUAGGACUCAAUAGCAAUAAUAGUAAAAUAGUACUUAAGCUUGGAGGAUAUAACAUGAAAGCUUUUAUCAAAUAUUCAUUCUUGUAGGUAUUUUAUAAAACACUUGAUAUUUAUAGUUUAAGAUAAUCAUGAGAAUAGUAUGAAACUAUGAGUAAUUUCAUUAUUUCAACAUUAAUAACACUUAAUCAUGAUUUAAAUCAGUGAAUAAUAACAUUAGAACAUGUGGGGUUUGAUAAACAAUAAUAAUUUCAUGUAAACAUGGAAUAGAAUUGCAAGUCAUGGGAGUUCAAGGUUAAAAUCACAAUUUAAAAUCAUAAUAACUUGUAAAGAUCACAAUUUUAAAUUUAAAAUAUGAUACUUAGAUUCCAUGGGUGAAAGGAACCCAUGGAUAAACACUUAACAUACCUGGGUUGAUGAAUUCGUGAGAAUUGAUGGUGAAUUCUUGAGAUUUGUCUUAAAUUUUUAAAGGUUAGGGUUUGUGAGAGAAUACUCUUAAUUUGAGAGGAAUUGAAUAAAAUGAUGACUAAGUAGGCUUUUACGGCAUUAAUUUUGUGUUUUAGACUACUUAGGGUCAUAGAAAAAGACCCGACUGCCCUUGAAAUAAUUAAACAUUUUCAUCACUGAAAUCCCAUUUUUGGGCUUCACGGUGAUGCGCUGCCAUUGCGGCGAGCCACUAGAAUUUUCCUGACACUUAUUCCAUAGACAAGUGCAAAAAUGUACUUAGACGCAAUGCGAUGGAAUCACAUUGUGUCACUGGAUAUUAACGAGUGCGAACUGGCAAUCUGGCGUGAUGCGGUGCUAUCAUAUUGCGCCAUUGGAAAAAUAUAAUUCUGAACUGGCAUUUUGGCAUGACACGGUUCCAAUCAUAAAGCCUCACUGGAAAGUGACAAUUGCUAAAUGGCACAUCGGCGCGACGUGGUGUUGCUCGUAUUGACCUACUGCUUUCACUAAAAGUGUCAUAACUUCUCACUCGAGUAUCAGAUUCAGAUGAAAUUGGCAUCAUUGGAAAGAUAAUUCAAUUUCCUACCAUUUUGUGGGUCUUGAGAUGAAAAAUUCAGGGUUUAGCAAAAGAUAUGCUAGUUUAAAGUUGACUAAAGCAACAUUCUUACGAAAAAUUCAAUCUGUAAGGAUUAUUUUGAUUCUUCUAAUAGCUGGGAGUUAUUUGAGAUCUUAAUAUACCUCAAACUAUCUCAUAAAACUAUCAAAGAAUAAUAAUGUACUGUGCAUAAGCUUGAAACAUGGAGCUAAUAUUGGUUUGGAUUUUUGGGAUAUUACAAUAUCUCUCCCUUGGGAACAUUCGUCCUCGAAUAAUACUGAUUAAGCUGAAAAAACUGAGGAAUUGAGAUUACAUAUUGAAUAUACGUGAUGAAACAUGAUUACAUAAUUGAGUCUAAAAUGUGAUUCAUGACUUAAAUGGUUCUCUAAAUGCAUGACUGUCAUGAGAAUGAUAUGUAGCUGAAACUGAGCAUGGAAAAGAGAAAUUCUAUGAAGGAUGUUACCUUAAGCUGAGUCUGAGUUUGCGAAGAAAAGAUGAGGGUACUUGGUCUGCAUAUCUUCUUCUGCUUCCUAAGUGGCUCCCUCAACGGACUGAUUCCACCAAAGAACUUUGACUAGGGGAACUUCUUUGUUCCUUAGUCUAUGAACUUGUCGAUCAAGAAUUUCAACUGGAAUUUCCUUGUAGGAAAGACUGUUCUGAACAUGUACAUUUUUUAAGGGAAAAACUACACUAAUACAACUCUUCAAAAAGGAGAUAUGGAAUACUAGAUACACCAAUGCCAAUUCUACAGGAAACUUAGGCUCAUAAGCCACCUUUUUGAAGUGGCUCAAAAUUCUGAAAGAGCCAACAUAUUGGGGACUAAGCUUUCCCUUCUUACCAAACCUCUUCACUCCCUUCAUGGGACAGAUCUUUAGAUAUACUAAAUCACUAAUCUUAAACUUAAGAACUUUCCUUAUCACAUCACCAUAUAAUAACUAUUAGCUCUGGGCUUCCUUAAGCCUCUCCCUGAUCAUCUAAACUUUCUUUAAAGCAUCAAACACCAAGUUAGGCCCUACUAGCAUUGUUUCUCAAACUAUAAAUCAACCAAUUGGAGAUCUACAUCUCCUUCCAUAUAGAGCCUCAAAUAGAGCCAUCUAAAUACUGGAAUGAUAGUUGUUAUAAUACACGAACUUAAUCAAAGGUAAGUAAUUAUCCCAACUACCCUUAAAGUUGCCUACACAUGCUCUCAAUAUAUCCUCAAGGGUCUGAAUGGUCAUUUCUACUUGACCAUCUUUCUGAGGGUGAAAGGUUGUACUAAGGUGAACUUAGAUACCAAGACCUUUCUGAAAAGCUUUUCGAAAGUAAGAGGUAAACUGAGUACCUCUAUCUAAGAUGAUAGCUAACAGAACAUCGUGCAACCGAACCAACUCUUUGAGAUAGAUCUUAGCAUAGUACUUGGCAGAAUAAAAAGUAUGGACUAGCAAAAAAUGAGAUGAUUUAGUCAUUCUAUCCAUAAUGACCUAAAUCAAACCAUGUUGCUGAUGAGUACAAGGCAAACCUGUCAUGAAAUCCAUGUUUAACUUUCUGCCACUUCCAAGUAGGAAUACUGAACUCCUUCAUAGACACUGGGCCUGAUGAAUCCCUUAUCCAGGAGAUCUUUCAACUAUUUUUUCAACUCUUUGAGUUCCGCUUAAUCCAUUCUAUAUGGCGGAAUAGAGAUAGGCUGAGUAUCUAGAAGAAGGUCUAUUUCAAAGUCAAUUUCCCUCUCAGGAGAAACUCUGGGAAGAUCUUCAGGGAACACAUCUAGAAAUUCCCUCACUACUAAAACUGACUCAAGGUUAGGAGCCUCAGAAUUAGAGUCUUUGACUUGGAAAAAAUGAUAAAUACACCCUUUGGAUAUCAUCUUUCUCGUUCUAAGGUACGAAACAAGCUGACCCUUAAGAGUAGUAGUACUACCCUUCCAUUUAAGGACUGGUUCAUUUGGAAACUAAAAAUAAACUAUUCUAUUUCUACAAUCAACUGAAGCAUAGGAUGAAUGAAGCCAAUACAUGCUGAUAAUUACUUCAAAAUCUAUCAGCUCUAACUCCACAAGAUCCACUGAAGUGACUUUCUGAGAUAUUGUGACCGGAUAGUUCAUGUAUACCUGCCUGGCUACAAUAGAGACACCUACUGGGGUAGACACUUGAAAGGGCUCUGCUAAGAUUUUGGGACUAAUUUUGAACUUGACGACUAUAUAAGUGGUUAUAAAAGAAAGAGAAGCUCCAGGGUCUAAUAAAGCAUAAACAUGUAAAUGAAAGAACUGUAACGUACCAGUAACUAUGUUAGGAGAAUUUUCCUAAUACUAUCGAGACUGAAGGGCAUGCAAUCUGUUUGGAUGCUGACCACUAGAAGCACUAGAAGUGGCACCCAGCUGUGUGGGACAGCCGAUUGGAAUUGAUGAAUGAUGGGACUAGCCUUGUUGGCACAAAUCCAUACCUUUCUAAGCAAAUAUCCAACACUCCCGAAUCCAAUAGCUGGCUUGCAUACCCAAAGUAUACAUCACUACCAACUCUCACUCACUUUGAUGGUUUCUACCAUAUUUUUGGCAAAGAGGAUUUUUACGAGCACUAUCAACACUACCCUGCAACUUAAAGCCUGGCGCCCUAUCCCGAUUGUCAUUUUUGAAUUUAGGUACUGGGGAACUAGCUAAAGAUGUAUCUGGGAUAGAAGAUUUCUAAUAGAAAUUAGGACGGUUACCACCUGCUGACCUUGGUUAAUUAAAACUGAAGUUGCCUAGCCCAGCGCUCUUAUUCUCCGCCUCUCUCUUCUUAGUUUUCUGCUCCUCAAUCUAUUGAGCAUGGACCAUCAACCUAUACAAGUCCAUUUUUUUAAUCAGUAUUGCAGUCCUACACUCCUUGACCAUACUUUCAGAUACACCAUACACAAACUAUGGAAUGUGUAUCAGAUAGUCCGUCUCUCUCUUAGAUCUCCUAUCAGCUACCACAUAAGGAGCAUACCUAGCCAAUUGAGUAAACUUGAGGGAAUACUCCUUCAUGCUCAUGUUGCCUUGACUCAAGUUAAUAAACUCUAACACCUUGGAUUUUCUCAGCUACAACUGUAAGAAUAUAUCUAAGAAAGUUAUAACAAACUCUUCCCAUUCUGUUGGCCCUGCGUCUGCCCUCUAUCAACCUUUCAUUGCUUAAGUCAAGUAUGAGCCAUAUCUUGUAACUGAUAGGUAGCUAACUCAUCACUCUCACUAGAAGUUACACCCAUGAUAUUUGUUACCUUCUUCACCAUGUCUAAGAACUCCUAUAGAUCCUCUUCAGAUUUGGAUCCCAAAAUUAGAGGAAGAUUCAUUCGGGUGAGGUCUCGAAUCCUAGUUGUAGCAGUAUUGGCCAUUGGAUUAGCCAGAACAACGGUUGGCUAAGCAUAUUAUGCCAGUACAGAAUGGGAUAGAGUAGUGAAUGCUACCCUGAACUCAGUAUAAGAAACAUGCUCAUUUAGGAUAUUUUCCUGAAUAGGCAGAGAUACUGGCUGGUUUAUGUUUCUUUUUUCAUUUGUCUUUUUAGGAGGCAUGUUCUGUAAACAGAAGAAAGAAAGGAUUAAACAGAGAGUUUAACUUGAGAUCAUGCUCAGUCGCACGAUAUGAACACUGAAAGAAGGGAAACUUUUCCUAAAUGCCUUGUAGCCUCUUUUCCAUAAGUGAGGCACGCUUCACACCAUAUAUAAGACUCUACUUAACGCAUAUUUCUGACUUCCUAGGACACUUUAAAACCUUAAGCUCUAACACCAAGUUUGUAAUGCCCAAGAGUAAACCCUGGGUGACACACGGUGCUUACAGUCUCGAGGGAUCACAAGCUAACCCAUGAGUUGGUACCUACUGUGAGCACUGAGUAAAACUGAUAAUGACAUAAUAUAUGUGAAAUUUAACUAAGGAAUACCAUAAGGUUUUAAAUCAAAAAUUUGACAAAAUCUGUAAGGCAUAACUGAUAAUACUGAUAAAAUGUCUGACAAUGACAACUGAAAUAUGAGAAACUAACUAUUUAAAAUAGUUUGAAAAGCCUCUACUAACUGACUGAGGAGCUGAGGGGAAAAACCCUUAACUAACUCUGACUGGAUGGAAAUGGCAGAAAUUGAUAAAGUAAUCUGAGCUAAAUAAAUCAUGUCCUCAAAAUAUGAGGACUCACUACUACUAUGGUUGAUAAUCUGGAGCAUCUAUGCGCGAUCUAGGAACUGAGCGUCCGAAUUUGUGAUCAUACUUUGAAUGUACUGGUAUUCUAAAUGAGGUAGGAUGAUAUGCAUAGCUUCAUGAACAUGAAUAAUAACUGUCUAAAUAUAUAUAUAACACAUGAAGUACUGAAUAGAGUGCAUAAAAUUUAUAGAUACAAAGGAUACAUGAAAUGUAUAAAUACUGAGGAUGCAUGAAAUCAGGUAUUCAUAACCCCUAUGACUCAAUAGCAAUAAUAGUAAAAUUAGUACUUAAGCUUGGAGGACAUAACAUGAAAGCUUUUAUCAAAUAUUCAUUCUUAUAGUCAUUUUAUCAAACACUUGAUAUUAAUAGGUUAAGCUAAUCAUAGGAAUAGUAUGAAACUAUGAGUAAUAGCAUGAUUUUGACAUCAACAGCACUUAAUGAUGAUUUAAAUCGGUGAAUAACAAUAUUAGAAUAUGUGGGGUUUGAUAAACAACAAUAGUUUCAUGUAAACAUGGUAUAGAAUUUCAAUUCAUGGGAGUUCAUGGUUAAAAUCACAAUUUAAAAUCAUAAUAACUUAUAAAGAUCACAACUUUAAAUUUAAAAGAGGAUACUUGGACUCCAUGGGUGAAAGGAACCCAUGGAUGAAUACUUGACAUACCUGGGUUGAUGAAUUUUCGAGAAUUGAUGGUGAAUUCUUGAGUUUGGAUCUUGAAUUUUUGAAGGUUAAGGUUUUCUAUUUGAGAGAGAAUACUCUUGAUUUGAGAGGAAUUUAAUAAAAUAAGGACUAACUAGGCUUUUAGGGCAUUAAUUUCAUGUUUUGGACUAAUUAGGGUCAUAGAAAAAGACCCAACUGCCCCUAAAAUAAUUAAAUAUUUUUGUCACCAAAAUCCUAUUUUUGGGCUUCACCGCGAUGUGGUGCCAUUGAUGCACCCAAAUUACAACUCUCAUUAGAAAGUGUAAGUGGUCGUUGUCAAAUAUAGAACCCAAUUGGGUUGGGUGUCGAAUCCCAUUAGUUUACCCAUUAGUUUCUCGACCUAAAUGAGUAGCUUAUCCCUUAAUUCUUUCAAACUUGAAGAACGUAUUAUUAAUUUAACUAUAUUCUCACAUGGGUUGAUCCGGUUAAGGAAUCUACCCUCUAUUCAAAGGUUAAAACCUUUAGAUUUAUGUAAACCCUUUCUUUUCCCACAAACACUUUUCUAUUUGAACAAGUGAUGUUGUUCGGCUCACUUUUCAAGUUUGCAACCAAGAAAAGUCAUCAAAGUGAAGAAGGGUUAAUGCAAUAUUAAUUAAUCAUGGGAAUCUACUAGAGUUAGAACCCCCAAUCAACUAUUCAUAUCAUGGCUCCCAUGACCCUAGUUAUGGGAGGUUAGCCAUACAUCUCUACCACAGAAAGAGAAGAAAUCAUUGUAUUAUUCAUAAACUAAUUCAGAAUUUACUCACACAAGUCACAAUUAUUGUUCUUCAAUCUUCAAUAGAGGAAGUGAUAAUGAAAUCUAGAUCUACAACUCUAGAAAUGAAUCUCUGAGAAAAACUAUGUGCAACCUAUUUCAAGUAUGGAAAACUCUGAUAAAAGAUAAAAAAGAUUCCAAAUAAAACUUAAAACUGGGUAUUUAUAUGUUCCAAGGUAAAAAGGAUUUAAAAUUCAAAAUUAUAAAAUCCGCAUCCAAAGUAAUAGCCAAAGUGGUGGUCUGUCGAAAUUCUAACAGUCCACCAUAUUAGCCAUCAUUGAUGAUCCUUGAAAGCCAAGUUCUGCUUAGCACUGAUGGAUAAAGUGGUAGGCCGUCAAAAGACUGGCGGUCCACCAUAUGGGUCAUUGCUGAUGAUCCUGGAGAGGCUGGUUCUGCUUAGCACUGAUGGCCAAAGUAGUGGUCCAUCACAAGACUGGUGGUCCACCACUUGGGUCGUUGCUGAUUAUCAAUGAGAGGUUGUUUUUGCUUAGCACUGAUGGCAAAAGUAGUGGUCCAUCGCAAGAAUGGUGGUUCACCACUUGGGCCGUCACUGAUGAUCCUUGUGAUUCAAGUUCUUGAUAGACCUGAUGGCCAAAGUGGUGGUCUGUCGCAAGACUGGUGGUCCACCAUAUUGACCGUCGCUGAGUAUUUCAAGAUGUAUGGUUCUGGUUAACACUGACGGCCAAACUGGUUGUCCAUCGCAAGAAUGGUGGUCCACUAUUUUGACCGUCAGAAGUCUUUUUCUGCUACUUUUCUAAGUGUUUUCUUUCAGCAAGCUUCUUACCCUGAAACACUAAAAUCCAACAUUAAAUGCAACCUUGGUUGCUUGAAAACAUAUAUUUUUCCUAAGAAAAUGAUGCGAAAUGUUCCAUCAAAAGCCGAAACAUCAAUACCCUCAACUUAAGAUAAUCGUUUGUCCCCAAGCAACUCAGCACCAAAUUGCCAAUAUGAACAAUAUAAUAAUAGACAUUUACUACUGAACCAGUUUUCACACAACCAUUCACUUGUCAUCUAUGUCAUAUAGUUUAACAUGGAUACAAUAAUCUACAGAAAACUGGAUACAAGAAUCUAUAGAAAUCAUCCAAAUAAAGUAUAACUCAGGUUGCCCUAACAAUUAAGGAAAUGCACUACUCAUUAUAUUUUAUGGAUACAGAUCAAAACUUUCUCGCUCAUCAAAGAAGUUACAAAGAUAGUGCAUACACCUAUAAGCUUGCCUUUAUCAUCCAAUGCCCCCUUAUAACUGAGGUCCAAGAUCAAGCAUGUCUUUUCUAGGAUAGUAAUGAGGUAUCAGGCAAGGUCGGGAAGGAAUUUUGGGAAAAGUGACUAAAUACUAGGAUUUAACUCUCUUUACCUUCAAAUUCUUCCUACCAAAAACGUUGCUUUUCUAGCUCACUUACCUCUUUCUCGCUCAUUCAUGAUUCACCAUAAUAACCCUCUUUUCUUUCUUAUCUUUAUAUAUAUAUAUAUAUAUAUAUAUAUAUACACACACACACAAAAGCAUUAUCCACCCUCAACUUAGGAUGAUGCAAUGUGUAAAGGUGCAUAUUUUCUUAAAUAGACCAGGGCCAAAUUCUCUAAUUCAAAUUCUAGACCAACUUUCCAUUAGACGGUUAACAGCCCUACAAUAGCCACCCUCAACUUAGGUGUUUUGCCUAAGUGUAGGUACACAUUUCCCACUAUUGGUCAAGGGCUAGAGCUAAGUGUCAACAGCUUAAAGAGAGUUAACUAGAAUGCUUGGUGAUGAAGAAAAAUUAAUAAAGGCUCAAAGAAGGGUUCAAAAAUAGAAAAUUAUUUUUGGUAGGGUUAAUUACUUUAACUAAGUGGACUACAAGCACAAGGUGGCCUACCAUCCCUUCUUUUCUCAUCAACUACAGAACAACAUCUAUUGAACCAGGCAAGUUCUAGGUACUGUACUAUGUAAGAACUAAUACAAAUACUCACACAUACAGCAAAAAUUAAUUCAAACUCAUUCUAUUGAUCUUAAGAUUUGCAUCACAUAUUAAUGUCAACUACAGAUUCACUAACAGUUGAUCACAUAUCCUAGGAGACAAAAGUAAACAGUCAUAUGGAAAUAGUCAUAGCUUGAUGCCAACAUCAUUCAUCAUCCAUAUUCAUAACAAGAUACUAACACAAAUAGCACUUUUAUUUCAUGGACCAACAUUAACAACAUACUUAAAAAGAAGAAAAAUACAAACCUAAAGUUAAACCUAAAAAAGAAAAACUGCAACAGCGAACUUAAAAUGAUCCUAGACAUGCUGAUUCUCCUAGAUAGCACAUGGUAGGGUCAAGAAUAUCUGUAACACAACCCCCUCCCCCCAUGGUAAAAGUACACCACCCCCAUAUAUAAACAUAUGCAUUGUCCUCAAAUCAAUAAAAUAAAGUACAAAGAAAUGGGUAUACUUAUAUUGCCUUUUAUUUAUCUGACACAAUACUGGAGCAUCCCAAGGAGACAUACUAGGAUGGAUAAAACCUUUAUCUAAGAGAUCCUUUAAUUUCUCCUUAAACUCCUUCAACUCCGCCUAAGUCAUUCUAUAAGGAGGGAUAUAAAUUGGAUGAGUUUUCAGAACAUGAUCAAUCCCAAAAUCAAUUUCCCUAUCGGGAGGAAUAUCAGGAAGUAAGGAUCGCAAUAGGGUGGUGCGGGUGUAGGGCAGUGCGGGUUUUAGGCUAUGUAGGGCAGUUUAGAUUUUAAACUAUGUAGGUGCAGUGCGGGUGUGGGGCGGGUUUAAGUUUUUGGAAAUGGUGCGCGGCAGGGAGGGUUGCGGGUAUAUACGGGUUUAAACUAAUAAAAAUUUAAAAAUUAGUAUUACUCUCGUAAAUAUAACUAAAAUUAUAUUUAUUCUUCACUUAAAAUUUUAUGAUACUUAAACCAAAAUAUAUAACACUAGAAAUAAAUAAUUUUAUAACUUUUUUUAUUUCUUUAUUCAUCUUAAUAAAAAUUUGAUAUUUGAUCAUUACUUGUACAUGUGAUACUUUUCUGGUAAUUUUUUUGUGAAAAGUGAUAUAAUAGAAAUUGAUUGUAACCAAUAGUAUUAAAAAUAUUAUGGUUUUUAGUGGAGUUACAAAUUUUUCAAAAAAGAAAAAAGCAAAAAAUAUAGGGCGGUGCGGUGCGGGUAUACACGAGUAUAUGUGUGGGGUGGUUUUAUGUGGGUUUAAAGAUGUUGCGGGGCAGUUUUAAAAUUCGUGGGUUUAGAAAAAACCUGCACCACACCUGUACCACAACUAUUGCCGCCCCUACCAGGAAGGUCAUCAGGAAAGACCUUGGUAAACUCAUUAACCACAGGAACAGAUUCUAGAGAAAGACCUUCCAAGUUAGAAUCUUUAACUCAAACCAAAUGAUAACACCUUUUAGAAAUCAACUUUCGGACUCUAAGAUACAAGAUGAACCUCCCCUUAGGCAUUAAAGAACCCCUUCCCAUACAAUGACCUGCUCAUUAGGGAAUUUAAAUAUGACAUACAGGACCGACAAUCUAAGGAAGCAUAGCACAAGCGCCACCAAUCCAUCCCCAAAAUAACAUCGAAAUUGACCAUGUCUAACUCUAUCAAGUCUACCAAAGUUUCUCUACCACUAACAGAAACCACACACCCCGUAUAGACUCUUUUAACAACCUCAAAGUCUUCUAUUGAGUUAGAAACAGAAAAAGAAACUAGCAGACACUCAGGACCAAAACAAAAAUCCACAGCCAAAAAUAGGUUCAUAUAAAAGAGGGAGAACCAUGGAUUAAGUAAACAAUACACAUCACGAGAGAAAAUUUUCAACAUACCCGUGAAAAUAUCUAGAGAAGCCUUAGACUCUUGGCGAGUAGUAAGUGAAUAUAACCGAGUUUGACCAGUGCCAAAAUCAAAAAUAAAAGUAGAAGUAGAAGUAUCACCCUUCGGUGUAGGAGCAGAUAAAGUAGCACUAGGGGCCCUAUUGGUCAAAGAAGCCACUAGAGAGGGGCGCUCUCGCUACAUGUUCCUAGUCUAACCACUUCUAAAAUAUUUGUUCCUUAUCUUCUCACAAUGGCCAUGAUGACACUGACCACAGAAUCUAUAAAGAGGGUAGGAUGGAACCAACUGAGCCCCACUAGUCUGAGAUUGGGCACCCUGUGCCCGAAACCCACCAUCAAACUGAGAUCAACGUUUACUGACGGCUUUGGUAAGGAGAACUUGCCGAGGAAAAAGAAUCGAGACUCCCUCAUUUCUUUCUUGGCCACUUACUAACAUCUCUACCACUUUGCUUAGAAGGCCUAAAUUUAUUUCCUUAUUUUUUGCUAAACUCAACCUGUUUCUUUUUCUCUUUCUUCACUUGUUGCAUAUAUAGCACCAACCUAGAGAUACUAUAUCCUUGAUUAACAAGGCAUACUUAAUCUCAAAGAUUAAAUCACAAGACAGUCUCAAAGCAAACUUACGCAUCCUAUCCCUCAUUCUAGAAACUAUCUCUGGAUCAUACCAAGAUAGUUGGUGAAACUUCAAGGCAUACUCCUUAACUGACAUCCUCCAUGUUCUCAAAUUAGCUAAUUCCUUCGCCUUUGCUUCCCUCAACUUUUGAGAAAAGAAUUGGUCCAAAAAUGUGUUAGUAAAAUCUUUUCAUAAAGAUGACUCAUUAACAUCACCCCUCUCCUGAUCCCAUUUCUCGUACCAUUGGUAUGCCAUAUUCUUUAGUUGAUAGGCUGAAAACUUUACCCCUUCCAUAUUCGUGCCAUGCAUAACUCUGAAAAUCUUUUUCUUCUCAUCUAGAAAACUUUAAGGAUCCUCGUCCACCUUAACACCAAUAAAAGGUCGGAGGAUUCAACCUCAUGAAUUGGCCAACCCUUAUGGCCUCAAAGAUGGAGUAAUAGAUACACCACGCUCAGCCUGAGAAGCCACUAAUUGAGCAAUCAUAUGAAUCGACUAACGAACCUCAGCAUUCAUUAUAUUAGCUUGAGAAACUGAAGGAUGACUAGAAAAACCCGGUGCAACUCCAGGACCAUCAGGAACUAGACUUUUAGACUGAGUCUGGACUCUAUAAAUUGGAUAAGCUCUAUCCACAUUGUCUUCAGUCAGGAUAGAAAGGUUUGACUAAACAUCACAUCUUCUUGGAGGCAUGAUCUGAAAGGUAAGCAAACCAGAUGUCAAUAUACUAAACAACAUACCCAAUUUCAUAGUCAUCUAUAAAACCUCUACAAAUUUGAUGCCUAUAAUAUGUUAGGACUAGCCCCCAACUAUUUGAAAAACUAAGUCUAAUACAAGUCUAUGACAUAAGAUAAAAAGACCCUAAAAUAUAUACCUUUUGAAGUAUGAAAGAUCACCACUUUAAAGUGAACACACAAAUUGCUCGAAUACCUGGUCACCAUGUAGGAAGAGAAGAAGAAGCUCCAAACCCUGUGUCACGUAGGGACACAAUGUUCAAAGACAGUUAGCGGUUGGAGAGUUAGUAUGAAACUCAAGGGUAAGGAUAAAAUAGUGUCAUUAUUCAAAACCAAAUCAAACAACCAUAUGCAACCAUAUUUAUAUACAUAGGCAUAUAUGUAGUUAUAUAGAUACAUCGAAUGUUAGGAAAGGAAACAAGGCCUUAGCAUCCAUUCCAAAAUAUCCAAUUAUGAUACAUGAAGUGCAGGACUCUAACCUUCCACUUACGUAGAUUUGGGAGUUUGAACUUCCUGAUUACAUUGAGCAAGAUAAAUCUAACCUCCAGUCACCUUAUUAAGUAAGUAGACUCUAACCACAAGACAUUAUAUUAAGCAAGUGGACUCUAACCACAGGUUGUCUUAUCAAGCAAGUGGACUCUAACCACAAGUCAUUUUAACAAACAAGUAAACUCUAACCACAAGCCAUCUUUUGAAUCAAGUGGACUCUAACCAUAAGCCAUCACGUCCAUACUAGUCGACGUUGGGACUCUAACCCUUUGUCCAUAAAUUCACAUCCACUUAGUUCAACAUUCAAGGACUCUAACCCACUUAGCCAAUUCAAGCCUUCAAGGCUACAAUUCAACACCAUACAUUACCAUAAAUUCUUUGUAAACCAUUUAUCAAUCAAUCACUUUAAUAGGCCAAGGCCUUAGUUUCGAGCACCAUUCAAGUCAAAAUGGUGGUCCUCAAGACCUUUACCAAACCAUUUAUUCUUCAUUAGCAUUCCUACACUAAGUUUUAUUUCAAAUAUAAUUCAAUUUCAUAUUUUUGGGACUCAAACCCCUUUUUAACCAAUCGACCACCAAGGUUACCGAUUAACAUAUUACAUGGAAAAUUAGGCCUUUGUAAACUCAUUUACCAAACACCUUACUCAUUAAGCCAUUGUCUUAGUUCAAGACACUAUUAACAUGUAACUAGUUAUUUCUCUUAGACAUUUUCACAAACACCUUGAGGGCAUACCUUUACCAUAACUAAAAUCAAAGUAGAAAUCAUCAAUCUUAGGGUUACUCAUGACCUAUUUGUUAAACCACCAUCAAAAAUCACCCACAUGUGCAAACCAUCACCAAAAACAUGUAUAAUACAAGUUUAAACAAGAGUAACUAUUACUCAUCACGAUGCAUAAAAACUCUCAAUAUUUGGUUUCAAAACCCACCAUUUAAGAAUAAAAAUCAAUAUUUAAAAUACAUGAUAUUUGAUAAAUAACAAUGAGUGAAGAUUCACAUUCCUUAUACAAGAUGAUUCAUGAAAAAAACUUAACCUCUUAGCCUUUAGAAGAACACCUCUUGAAACCCUAGCCUCCAAUCUUGUUGGAGAAGUUUUGGGAGUGUUUUUGAAUGUUUUGAUCUUAUCCAAGUGAAGAAUGAAGGGCCAAAAAAUGUUAUAAGUCAUGGGUCAUAAGGGUUUAGGGGUGGAAAAUGUCUAAAAUAUCCUUAGCUAAAAAGCUAAAAAUUGAACCCAGGAGGGUACAACUCACCUUACUCAUCCGUACCCUAAGGUACGAGUGGUACCCUUACUUGUACCCUAGGCCUCACCAUGGACCCCUAAACUGUCCAACAUACAACUACACAUGCAUAACUCAUACCCUAAGGUACGAGAAGUACCCUAUAACUCAUACCUAGGCAGACUACACUAGAUCAAACACAAGACAUCAUACGACUUGCCAUCUUACAACUCAUACCUUAAUAUACGACUAGGGAAAGGACAAAUCAUACCUUGGAUAGAAUGUUAUCAACCUAAACUAAUCAUCAUAUAAGGGGGUGGGUACUAGAUGUACCCUAAUAUACGAGAGAUAUACUUAAUCGUACCUUACCCAAAAUCUCAAACUUAGGAAAAUCUUAAAGGUUCAAAGCCAAGGUGUUUCAUAAAUCCCAAGAAAACAACUUCAUUCACACCAAAAGAUCAUUUUUCAAGAUUAUCAUAGAACUUCUAUUUUCUAAGAACUCCAAACACAUUUUCCAAAUAUAAGACAUGUUCUUCAAGAGAUUUGCUAUAAACUAGAACAUCAUUAAAGUAUACCAUAACAAACUUCCCUGUGACAGUUUCAUCACAUGGUUCAUCAAGCAUAUAAAGGUACUAAGGCCUUGGUGAGGCCAAAGGGCAUAACCAAUAUUUAUAUAGACCAAGCUUGGUCUUAAAUGUGGUAUUCCACUCAUCACCCGAUUGCAUCCAGAUUUGGUGGUACCCGCUCCUAAGAUCUAUCCUGGAAAACAUACAAGAACCAUUCAACUGAUCGAGUAUAUCAUCCAAACAAAAAUUGGGUUGUGAUACAUUACUGUUAUUUUAUUGAUGGCUUGCUAGUCAACAUACAUGUGCUACGUCCCAUCUUUUUUUGGCACUAGAAUUAUCAAAAUAGUACAUAAACUCAUGCUCUCUUUGAUUUAUCCCUUGCUAAGGAGUUUAUCAACUUUUCUUUAGAGUUUUUUUUUGUCCUUUGGAUUACUUUGGUAGGUUGGUUUAUUGGUUAAUUGAGAACCUAACACAAAAUUAACUUGAUGCUCAAUUCCCUGAAGUAGGGGUAAUCCUUGAGGAAGAUCCUUUGGUAAUAUAUCUCUAUAAUCUUGUAAAAUAAAGGAAAUAGAAUAGGGGAUAGGAGAAGUAGAGUGGUUUGCAUGAAAUGCAUGGGCUAGGAGAAGCAUGGAUGUUUUUUCAUCAUGCUCUUUUAGAAGAUCUUUGUUCCUAACUAACAUCACCAUGGUACUCUUCCCCUUUAACCUCCCCUUCUUCUCUUCUCCAUUCCUCUCCUUGGUUUGGUUUUUCUUCUCACCUUGUUUCUUAUCUUUCUUUUUUAGUUCUCUCAAUUUUUAGUGACCCUUAUUCACUUGAGAUGACAAAAGUGGAUGGAAAGUGAAUUUCCAACCAUUCAACUCAAAAAAGUACCUAUUAGUUCUCCCACCAUGCUUGGUUGAAUGAUCAUAUUGCCAUGUCUUCCCAAGUAAGAGAUGACAAGCUUGCAUGGGUAUCACAUCACAAUGCACCUCAUUGUGAUAAUUCUCGACUUUGAAUAGAAUCACCACUUACCUAGUCACCUUCAACUCACCAGAAUUAUUUAACUAUUGAAGCUUGUAUGGUGUGCCAUGUUUGGUUGUGGUACACUUUAAGAAAUCAACCAAAGUAGUACUAGCCAUAUUAGCACAACUUCUGCUAUCAAUGAUCAUAGAGCAUACAUUUUUCUUUAUAAGACAUUUAGUAUCUAAUAGAUUCUCCUAUUGACUAGGAUCAUCUAUCAACUUAAUAAUAAUUACAUGCCUCACAACAAAAUUUAGAACUUUAUCUCUCCAUCUUGAGGACAAAUAUAUUUAUUAUCCUCCUCUACUUUCUUAUCUUCUUGGGUCCCUCUACAUCUUGGGAUUUUUUAUCAUUCUCAUCUUCAAUCCCACCUCAUCUCUAAGGUAAUAUAAUUUCCCUUCCCUAAGGAUCAUAUUUCUCUGAUUAGGAAAUUCACUUACCUUAUGUCCACACCCUUGACAUUCAAAACACUGAAAACCUUUAGGAUUGUGAGUAGGAUAUUUGUUACCUUCAUUUCUUGGCUAGUACUUUUGAGGGGUCUUCUCCAUAGGCUUUUUUCUAUUGGACUUAUAGUCCUUGUUAUUUCUCCACCCUGAUGAUGUUGCACUACCUCUUUACUCUUACUCUAAGUUUUGGUAGAUGAGUACCCUUUUGGUUUGUAAGUUUCCCUUUCUUUGAUAUACCUCUCAAUCUUCAAGGUCUCUUAGAAGAUUUCUUCUAUGGUUUCAAACUUGUGGAUAGUCAUAUAUGUGGAGAUAUCUUUGUUCAACCCAACCUUAAAGCAUAUGAUGUCAUGGUUCACGUUUUCUUGAUGAUCGAGCUUCAAGAUUAAUUAUUGGAAUUCAUCAUUAUAGGCCACAACUCUCUUUCUACCUUGCCUCAAGUUGUAUAAUUUGGUAAGUAUCUUAUGUCUAUACCUCUUCGAAACAUACCUUUAUCUCAUAAAUACCUUCAACGCAUCCCAUGAAGGGGGUUGUCCUUCAUUCAACACAUUUCCAAAUCGUUUGACAUAAUCUCACCAUGUAUUAGCAUACCUUUCAAAAUGGGCUAUGGCAUAGCAAUUUUUCUUCUCUUCGAUGAUGUCAUUAACUUGGAAGAUCCUUUCACAAGAGAACUCCCAUGAGAGAUAAUAUUUAGGAUCUCUUUCGACUAAGAAAGUUGGGAGACUAACCUUGAUUGAAUUAAUAGCUGCAUCUCGAUCCUUAUUACCUUGUUAGCUUCAUUAAUCAUAACCUUGGUAUUGGUUUUCUAUGUUUCAUAUUCCAUUACCACCAUAUUGGUUCCAUUAAUAAUUACCUUGGGGUCGGUUUCCCAAGUUUUCUCUACUAUUAGGCAUUGGACCAAAUUUUUCUCCUUGACUUUGAUAACCUCAUUAUCCAUUGGUCUAUCUCUUAUUUUCUCUACCAAUAUGUUGGCUUCAUCGAAUGCUCCAAACUUGACUUAUUGUUCUUUUCUUUUUUCCUCGUCUAUUUAGAUGGGUUGGUUUUGGCUAAGGGGUGCUUAGAAUUAAGGAAUUUGGUUUAGUGGAGGUUGGGGCAUUCAGGUUCGAGAUAGAUUAUGUUGUGUUUGGUUGAAUUGAGGUUGGAGUGCUCAAACGGGAUUUUUCUUUUAUGGAUAUAUAGUGUCUUGAGGAAUGGAAUCAUAUGCUUGUAUUGGUGGAUUAAGCAUUUGGUGAUGAUUUUUCUAGGAAAUGAGAACCAAAGGAUUUGAAGCAUGCCCACUAGUCGAAGCAUGGUAGUGUUGAGUGCAGAUAGGGAUAUGUUUUGUCAACCUUCCACGAUAUCAACUCUUCUACCAAUAAGAGAUACACUCCCUUCAAGAUAAUCCACCUUAAGGUCAAGUGAAUUUAUCUUAUGAUUGAGAGUUUCAAUAGCCGCUAAGAUAGCAUUUGUUGAGUGGUUAUCCAUGGUUUGCGAAGUUUCACCUUCCAUAGCCAUUGUACCUAUAAAGAAAGACACUUACAAAAACAACAAACACGUUACCGUUAGAGAAAUUAACCUCACCAACUCUUCAUUUUACACCUUUGUUUACCUCACACUUGGAUCACAAAUGUUGAAAGAUGGUUUAUACUUCUUGUGGUAAUUGAUAUGUCAAGUGCUACUCUUGAUUGGAUAGGAUUCUUGUUUGAAAUGACUCAAAUAAAAUAUGUACAAACUUGAGUAAAGAAUAUAAGAUGAAUUAAAAACUAGAAAAGCUUGAAAUAAAAGAAUGUUGAAACAAAUAGGACUCAAAAACUAAACAAUCAACUUAGUAGAUGAAUUACUAGUUGAUGAGUAGUUUAAGAAUAAGAAAAAGACUUAAGAAUCAAGAAAUUGAAACUAAGAUCAAAACUUGAGAAAUGGAUUUUUUUAAAAUGUUGAGAUGUGUUUUAGAACUUAAUUGAUAUUGGAGAAGUGUUGAAAUGAGUUUGGGGUACGUUUGGGGAUUUUCGUGUCCAAUUGGGUAAUCUGUAUUUGAGUGCUGAAUUGGGGAGAUACUGCAGCAUGUGGGCCGCAGGUGUAGCAUACCUUGGUCGUAGGAUAGCCUUUCCUUACUGUUUUGACGAGCGGCCACAGGUCAAGGGCAGACCAGACACAUCUUGUACGCAGAUGCAAGGCAGGUUGGCCGCCUCCUCCUUAGUGAAUGGCCGAUUUUUCCCUUAAUUGGUCCCUCUUGUACUCUCUUGUGGAAUAUCCUUUGAAAUCUUCUUUGAUGCUUUAGUACAAACACUUUUUCCACACUUUUCUUCCUUCUUUUUAGAUCAAACACUCACUUUUGAUGAACUUGAAUAUGAAGAUAACAAUCUUUUUAAGAACACACCACGAACGCUUUAGCUCAGAAUGAGUUGAAAAUUCGAGUCUAUGCACCUUUCAUCAUUCUAAACUCAUUCCAUACAUUAUUUUGCUCAAAUUCUGCACCCAACACUUCAAAUCUUGCAACACACCUUAAACUUCUUCUUUUCAUAUCCAAGCUUCCAAUGAUUGUAUAAGGCUCAAUUUCACUCCAAAUAGCUCAAAUUUGAUAUAUCGACUCUAAUAGUGUUAGGGAAUGCAAAUCUAACACAAGAAAAACAAGAAAAACACAAAAUCAAAAACUCAAAAUUUGACCUAAGAACAAAAACAUUAAUAGUAAAAAAAAAUUGUGAUUUUUGAUUGUCUAAGAUGACUAGACCCAAGAUUGACUUCAUAGGAAUAAAAUCAAGCUCGGCUCUGAUACCAAAAGAUACGGAACAAAACUACAACACUAGAAAUGAACUACAAAAGAAAGUAAAGGUAAUCAAUAGAGAGAUAGAUAACUAAACAUAAUAAGAAGGAGUAACUAAGAACAAAAGGAUAUAUCAAAUCCUAAUACCCUUAAUUACAACUAAUUCAAAAACCUAAUUCCUACGGUGACCAAGAGGUAGAUGAACGCCCUCUAAACCAACAUUUCUAAACCAAAGUUUAAUAAAAAAAUUUCAACACUCUCACUCAAUGGAGAAGCAUUCAUCAAUUCAUCAAUAAUCUAGCAAAAACUAAGAGAAUGAGCUAGCCUUCAAAGUACUAAUAGUUUAGGCUAAUUAUUACACUUUUAGGGCUCAAAAGUGACCCAAUUACGAGAAAAGGCCCACUAGGGGCUUUUUUGAUCCGCUCUUGAAAUGCUAGAGUGGAUAAAAAGUGGAUUCAAAGUUCCUUGGAUGCAAGUCCUUUCCAAAGGGCUUUCUAUCCUCGAUUUGCCUUUCCUUUCCUCCUCCAACGAUUCCUGGACCAAUGUGAGUGAGAUCAUCAACAAAUAAUACCCUCUUGAUAGUAAAUAGGCUUCUUCAAGUACCUCCCACUUCAUUAACAAUUCUUGGAUCCUUUGAAGCUCCCGGGCUUGACUUCUAGUGAAUGGCGUGGAGCUAAUCUAGAUUGUAUCAGUGUUUUUUCGUAAAAAAUAAACUAUUUAUUUUUCAUUCAAACCUCUUAAGAAUCUAACAAUACUUAUUCACUACCUCACAUUUCAAAACACUAGUUAUAUGGUGGCCAUCUCCUUUUAGGGAGAAAAUUAUUAUUUUUAUAGUCAAAAUUAUUAUAUACAGGACCUCUUUCUUGCUUUACUUUUGCCUUAAAUAAUAUUUUUAUAAUAUAUUUGACAAAGUUUUUUUGGCGUAUCAUAUUUACCUGAUCAAUGACAAAUUCAUUCGUCCAUACCAUAAUAUACCAUUUUGCUCAUGGCCAAAACUCUUAUAGGUAAGAAUUAUUUCUUUCUUUUAUCCUUUGAUAGAUCAAUGAUAAAACAUACUACAACAUCAAUGACCUUUUUAUACCAAAUUAAAAUUCUUUAUUUCUUUCGAACCUUCUGUAGAAGUGAGUUUUUAGUAUUGAUCAAUCAUACAUAACCACAUCUUUAUUCAUAACCUUUAACAUAUAUAGACAUAUUCAUUUUCAAGAAUGACCGAGCAUUCACGAUAGUUACACACAAGUCACAAUCUCCUGAAGAGAUGGACUUAUCAUAUGUGUUUUAUAAUUUAUUUUCAUUUUCAUGCCUUGACAUUUAUCAUAUUUAUAUGUCAUACCUCAACAUCACUUCAAAAAGUCAAGUAUACCACCACUUUACAUUCCUUUAUUUUGAUGAAGGAUUUAUAAAAUUUAUCAAAUUAGAUCACACAAUCGUGUGCGCAAUUUCUUUCAGACCAAAUUGAUGGUAAAAAUUACCUUCAUCUUUGAAGGACUAUUUGGAGAACCCAUAGUGUUCUUCCUUUUAUUAUAAUCAAAAUGAUGACAAUUAUAAUUUUGUUCCUCCGCGUCCACAUAAAUUAAACGCGUUCUUCUUUCAGACUUAUAUGUCCUUCUAUCACAAUCCCGUCAAGGAAUUAAUCAAAUCAAUGUAGCAGAUUUCAUGAUUUUUUAUCAAAAAUAUAUUAUUUUAUUUAGUCAUAAGUAUAUCAUGCUAGGACUUGAACCCAAUGUAUUAUCAAUAUAAGGGUCAUAAUUCGAUGGUCUCAAACCCAUCUUAUUAUCAUAGUGAAUUGAAACUCAAAUUAAUGUCUUACCCUCUUGAUGGGAUGAGACUUUAACCCAUCAUUUUAUCCUCAAUCAAUGACAUAAUAAGUCAAAUUGUAAGACUCACUCUUGAGCCUUAAUCAUUUUAACGAUAGUGGUAACAAUAAAUAAAAUUUGUAAUCAAGCAACAAUUUGCAAAUGAUAUUGGACAAGCUAAAUCUGUGUAAAGCUCCAAAAUUUUGCAAUUGGACAAGCAAAAACUGUGUAAAGCUCCAAGAUUUUUCAAUAAUAAUUUCACAUUUUUCUCAAAGUAAUUUCACAAAGUAAGCAUAAGAUCAUUUUAACAUAUAUGAAUAGGUUACAUAUUUAAAAAUCCAUAAAAUUUACUAUAAAAUGUUAAAACGUAAGAAUGAAAUUUACAAUUAAUUUUAGCAACUUAUACACAAACACAUAACAAUUAAUACAAUUUCACUAUCAUAAAAGAACUAUACUAGGGACAAAACAUAUAUUUUAAGUCACUGCUAACAAAAUUAUUAUUUAAUAGAUCAAAUUAUCACAAGGCAGUAUACUUCUUUCAAUUGACGAAGAAAGAAACUCAAAAUUGAGUAUAACUAAGAUAAUGGAAGAGAAAUCAUUGCACUUUACAUGAAUAAAGACAAAAACAGUUGAUUACCUUUGUUCAUAUCGACAAUGACAUAGUAAUUUUUAAAAGAAACAUACCAGAUCAAUGAAGCUAUUUUACAGACAUAUAUAACUCAAUUGGAUAUUGGGUUGGGUUAUGCUCUGCCAAAAUUUACUUUGAAUGAAAAUGAAAUGGGUUGAAAUAGGCUAAAAAUUAGGUUGGGUCUAGACCCGCUUAAUCUAAAAAAUAUUAACAUAUUGAUAUUUACCUCUUGUAAACCCAAUUCAAGAAAAUAAAUUUGAAUGAGGAUGAAAAAUUGGGUGGAUGGGUAAGGAGUGGGGUGGGGUGGGUGGUUCAAGAAUAUUUUUAUAAAAAAUUUAAUUUUAUAAACAUAAAAAAAAAUUGAGAGAGGGGUGGAGGGUAAAGGGGUAGGAGGAGUGGGGAUUUAGGAUGGGGUUGAGGUAAGAAUAUUUUUUAAAAUAAAUUUAAUUUUUUAAAAAAAAAUAACUUUUUGGGAAGAGGUAUGCCAUGGGGGGGCGUAGGGGGUGAUGAGGGUUCGGGUAAGAUUUAAAAAAAAAUUAGGAGCGAUUGGGGGAAGGCGGUGUAAGGAAGGGAUGGGUUGAGGUAAGAGAUUUUUUUAAAAAAAAAAAUCUAAAUAAAAUAUAUUUUUGGGGGUGGGGGAGAGGUAUGUCGUAUAAGGAAGGAGGUGUGGGAGGGGGCGGUGCGAAGGGUAGGAGGAGAUAGGAUUGGCAUAAGAAUUUUUUUAAAAAAAAAUUAUUUAUUUUUAAAAAAUAUUUUUUAAAACAAAAUAUUCUUUGGGGGAGGGGGAGGGUAGGGUUUUGACAGUGGAGUAAGAAAUUUUUUUUAUAUUUUUUAAAAAAUAAUUAAAAAUAAAUAUUUUGGGUGAGGCUGGGGGUGGGGUUCGGGGUAGGUAGGAGGGAUGGAGAUGAGGUGGGUAAGGGCGAGAAAAAAAUUUAUAAAGCUUUUUUAAUAAAUAAAAGUAAUUUAUUUAAGAAAAGCGGAGUGAGGGUGGGGUAAGCUAGGGUUGUGGUGGGGUUGGAUUGAGGUGAGGUGAGUGAAUGUUAGAGUGGGAGGACAUAUUGUCACUUGUUUUCUAUACUUUCAUUAAGAGAAUUAUUUUUUUUAUUAAAGGGGUUGAAGUAGAGAUUGAAUUGGGCUCAUUUGAACUCAAUUUAAAAAGGCAAAAAUUUAUAUAUAGACACAUUAGUAUUCCUAUAACUAACUUCCUAGUCUAACUUUCAAUAUUUACAUUUUAUAGACAAGCUAGUUAGUAGUUAUAUGUAUAUAUUGAAGAAUUAUACCAAAAAAAAAAUUCUCCUAACAGAAAACAUUGAUUAAAAAAAUUAAAUGCAAUCAAUUCUCAUAAUUUCCUCCAACUUUUCCACAUAAGUCCCUUCCAUGACAUAUCCCCUCAAAAUAUGGAUUCAAAUUAUUUAUUUUCAUUAUUUCACGUUUUUGCAGUAAUAUUAAUUUUUUUCAUAUCAAUAAAAGUUUAUACUUCCUGAUAUUUUUUCUAUUUUUCCCUGUAAAAUUUUUAUUUCUUCAUCUUUUUCACUUUCCUCCUAAAAUUUCUCCAUUCUAAUCCAUAAAUUUCUUGAACUGAUUCACAAGAAUAUCUGCAAUGUCUAUAUCUUGAUUAAUUAUAUUUUAUGAAAUAUUUUAAUUUUCUUUUUCAAAAAUGUUAUUGAUUAAUUGAAAUUUGUAUGCAUAAUAAUGUAUAUACUUUUAGUUUUUUUAUGUUGAAUUUUGCUUACACAUUUAUAUGCAUCUUAUGAUUGAUUUUUACUGCAGUUGAAAUUAUAAGCAUAAUUCAUGAUAUGUUUUCAAUUACAUAUUUAUAUCAUUAUAUGUAUACAUUUAAAUGUAUAUACUUAUUUUAUCAAAUUAUUUCACAAAAUUUAUAUGAAUAUUUGUAUAUAAAUACAUUUUAUUUGUAUGUAACUAUUUAUAUAUGUAUAAACAUAUAAGUAUAUUGUAUAUUAGUAUUCAUAAAAUUUAUAUGAAUAUAAGCGUAUAUUUAGCGUCUUUUGAAUUGUAUAUUUUUAUUCAUAAAAUUUAUACGAAUAUGUGUAUAAAUAUAUUAUUUGUAUGUAUGUAUGUAUGUAUGUAUAUACAUAUAUAUAUGUGUAUGUAUGUAUGUGUGUGUGUAUAUAUAGACAUAUAUAUAUAUAUAUGUAUGUAUAUAAGCAUUUAAUUUAUAAGUGGAAUACAUGUAUACAUAUAAGCGUUUGUUUAUAUAAGUAUAAUUCAUUAUGUGUUUUCGAUUACAUGUUGAUACCAUUAUAUGUAUAUAUUUAAAUAUAUAUACUUAUUUUAUCAGAUUAUUUCACAAAAUUUAUAUGUCAUAAAUAUAUUUUAUUUGUAUGUAACUAUUUAUAUAUGUAUAAAUAUAUAAGUAUCUGAAAACGUUAUAUGAAACGUUUCAUAUACCAUUAGAAAUAGUUAUAUGAAACGUAUAUAAGCAAAUAAUUAUUUGAAUGUAAGCAUAUAAUUAUAUGGGUAUACAAAAUUUAUAUACUCAGUGUGAUUGAACUGUAUAUUUUAUUCAUACAAUUUAUAUAAAUAUAUGUAUAUAAAUACAUUUUAUUUGUAUGUAGCUAUUUGUAUAUGUAUAAACAUAUAUAUAUAUAUAUAAAAGUGCUUCACGUAAUCAUCCUUGAAUAUACCAUUAGAAAUAGUUUUACUAAAUAUAUAUACAUAUAUAAUUUAUUGAAUGAAAGUAUACAAGAAAAUCAAAACGCAAAAAGAAAUCUAUAUACCCAAAAAUACUAAAGAUUACCGUGAAAUCUUUAAUGCAUAUCCCAAACGGAUGUUUAGGGAUGACAAAUUCCUUCAAAAAAUCUUCAAUGCAAACCCACGAUGGAUAUUUUGGGGAAGAUAAAGAUUCGACUGAUUUGGGAGAAAUUUUUGGGACAAAAAAUUGAAAAUAUCUUUUAGAUUUUUUCAAGAAGCAUGUAUAUGUCAAUGCAGAAAAACUAGUUAAUAAAUAAGAGAGAGAUUAUGAAAAUUUAAUUACAUGAGAGAGCGUAUUAUUUGCUAUAUACAUUGCUUAUUAUAUGUGUAUAUAGGGCCCCAUAAAAAAAUAUUUUGAAACUAACAAAUAACUAUGUAUGUUAAUUUUUUAAAACAUUAAUCAUACCAUAUAAUUAAGAAAUUAUUUUAUCUAUAAAUGUAAAAAAAAUUCAUUUAGGAGUGGGUUAUUGAGAUUUACCCAAUAGUAAAUUAUCUUGAACCCAACCCAUUAAAUUUUGAACGAAUUGGACGAAUCAACUCAAUUUUGGUUCAUUUUGGUACCCCUGAUACAUGUCUUCCAUAUGUAUUCAAUUCAAACUCUUAUGCCUCUAUUUAUAGUGUUAAAUAGAGACAUAUAAAAGGUUGUAAUAAACAUGUUAUUAAGGAAUAAGAUCAUGGAGGAGGUGGAAGUUAUAGCAUUUAGUAUUUGAAAUCACUGAGGAGGUGAAAUAUAAUAGUGAAUAGUGGUGGAGAGAUGGAGGGAUUACAUUAAGUGGAUAUCCACAUAGAUAUAUAUUUUAUAACACUUUAUAAAUAUUUAAAAUUGUAAUAUUGAGCACAUAAAUCAGUCCGUCAUUAUCAAGUAUUAAUAAGAAACUAAACAAUUAUUAACUACUCCUAUUAAUAGGAGGGGAAGAGAUGAGGCUAGCCUCCAGACUCUCUCCCAUUAAGUGCGACAAUACUCGAUAACUUGGAGGGGGGGUGCGGAUCUAUGCGGAUAACUAACUUAUGAAAUAGAUCUAUUAUAUGUAUAAUGAACCUAUUUUUCUUUAUGCGUGGAUAUUUCUUAAAUUUUGUUUCAAUAUCUUUUAAUGAUUUAUUCUUUUCGUAAGAUUUAUUCAUUAAUUUGUGUGGUUUAUUAUUUUAUCCUGUAGUAAUUGCAGAGUUACAGAUUUCUGUAUAAUAAUUUAUCCUAAUUGUACUGUANNNNNNNNNNNNNNNNNNNNNNNNNNNNNNNNNNNNNNNNNNNNNNNNNNNNNNNNNNNNNNNNNNNNNNNNNNNNNNNNNNNNNNNNNNNNNNNNNNNNNNNNNNNNNNNNNNNNNNNNNNNNNNNNNNNNNNNNNNNNNNNNNNNNNNNNNNNNNNNNNNNNNNNNNNNNNNNNNNNNNNNNNNNNNNNNNNNNNNNNNNNNNNNNNNNNNNNNNNNNNNNNNNNNNNNNNNNNNNNNNNNNNNNNNNNNNNNNNNNNNNNNNNNNNNNNNNNNNNNNNNNNNNNNNNNNNNNNNNNNNNNNNNNNNNNNNNNNNNNNNNNNNNNNNNNNNNNNNNNNNNNNNNNNNNNNNNNNNNNNNNNNNNNNNNNNNNNNNNNNNNNNNNNNNNNNNNNNNNNNNNNNNNNNNNNNNNNNNNNNNNNNNNNNNNNNNNNNNNNNNNNNNNNNNNNNNNNNNNNNNNNNNNNNNNNNNNNNNNNNNNNNNNNNNNNNNNNNNNNNNNNNNNNNNNNNNNNNNNNNNNNNNNNNNNNNNNNNNNNNNNNNNNNNNNNNNNNNNNNNNNNNNNNNNNNNNNNNNNNNNNNNNNNNNNNNNNNNNNNNNNNNNNNNNNNNNNNNNNNNNNNNNNNNNNNNNNNNNNNNNNNNNNNNNNNNNNNNNNNNNNNNNNNNNNNNNNNNNNNNNNNNNNNNNNNNNNNNNNNNNNNNNNNNNNNNNNNNNNNNNNNNNNNNNNNNNNNNNNNNNNNNNNNNNNNNNNNNNNNNNNNNNNNNNNNNNNNNNNNNNNNNNNNNNNNNNNNNNNNNNNNNNNNNNNNNNNNNNNNNNNNNNNNNNNNNNNNNNNNNNNNNNNNNNNNNNNNNNNNNNNNNNNNNNNNNNNNNNNNNNNNNNNNNNNNNNNNNNNNNNNNNNNNNNNNNNNNNNNNNNNNNNNNNNNNNNNNNNNNNNNNNNNNNNNNNNNNNNNNNNNNNNNNNNNNNNNNNNNNNNNNNNNNNNNNNNNNNNNNNNNNNNNNNNNNNNNNNNNNNNNNNNNNNNNNNNNNNNNNNNNNNNNNNNNNNNNNNNNNNNNNNNNNNNNNNNNNNNNNNNNNNNNNNNNNNNNNNNNNNNNNNNNNNNNNNNNNNNNNNNNNNNNNNNNNNNNNNNNNNNNNNNNNNNNNNNNNNNNNNNNNNNNNNNNNNNNNNNNNNNNNNNNNNNNNNNNNNNNNNNNNNNNNNNNNNNNNNNNNNNNNNNNNNNNNNNNNNNNNNNNNNNNNNNNNNNNNNNNNNNNNNNNNNNNNNNNNNNNNNNNNNNNNNNNNNNNNNNNNNNNNNNNNNNNNNNNNNNNNNNNNNNNNNNNNNNNNNNNNNNNNNNNNNNNNNNNNNNNNNNNNNNNNNNNNNNNNNNNNNNNNNNNNNNNNNNNNNNNNNNNNNNNNNNNNNNNNNNNNNNNNNNNNNNNNNNNNNNNNNNNNNNNNNNNNNNNNNNNNNNNNNNNNNNNNNNNNNNNNNNNNNNNNNNNNNNNNNNNNNNNNNNNNNNNNNNNNNNNNNNNNNNNNNNNNNNNNNNNNNNNNNNNNNNNNNNNNNNNNNNNNNNNNNNNNNNNNNNNNNNNNNNNNNNNNNNNNNNNNNNNNNNNNNNNNNNNNNNNNNNNNNNNNNNNNNNNNNNNNNNNNNNNNNNNNNNNNNNNNNNNNNNNNNNNNNNNNNNNNNNNNNNNNNNNNNNNNNNNNNNNNNNNNNNNNNNNNNNNNNNNNNNNNNNNNNNNNNNNNNNNNNNNNNNNNNNNNNNNNNNNNNNNNNNNNNNNNNNNNNNNNNNNNNNNNNNNNNNNNNNNNNNNNNNNNNNNNNNNNNNNNNNNNNNNNNNNNNNNNNNNNNNNNNNNNNNNNNNNNNNNNNNNNNNNNNNNNNNNNNNNNNNNNNNNNNNNNNNNNNNNNNNNNNNNNNNNNNNNNNNNNNNNNNNNNNNNNNNNNNNNNNNNNNNNNNNNNNNNNNNNNNNNNNNNNNNNNNNNNNNNNNNNNNNNNNNNNNNNNNNNNNNNNNNNNNNNNNNNNNNNNNNNNNNNNNNNNNNNNNNNNNNNNNNNNNNNNNNNNNNNNNNNNNNNNNNNNNNNNNNNNNNNNNNNNNNNNNNNNNNNNNNNNNNNNNNNNNNNNNNNNNNNNNNNNNNNNNNNNNNNNNNNNNNNNNNNNNNNNNNNNNNNNNNNNNNNNNNNNNNNNNNNNNNNNNNNNNNNNNNNNNNNNNNNNNNNNNNNNNNNNNNNNNNNNNNNNNNNNNNNNNNNNNNNNNNNNNNNNNNNNNNNNNNNNNNNNNNNNNNNNNNNNNNNNNNNNNNNNNNNNNNNNNNNNNNNNNNNNNNNNNNNNNNNNNNNNNNNNNNNNNNNNNNNNNNNNNNNNNNNNNNNNNNNNNNNNNNNNNNNNNNNNNNNNNNNNNNNNNNNNNNNNNNNNNNNNNNNNNNNNNNNNNNNNNNNNNNNNNNNNNNNNNNNNNNNNNNNNNNNNNNNNNNNNNNNNNNNNNNNNNNNNNNNNNNNNNNNNNNNNNNNNNNNNNNNNNNNNNNNNNNNNNNNNNNNNNNNNNNNNNNNNNNNNNNNNNNNNNNNNNNNNNNNNNNNNNNNNNNNNNNNNNNNNNNNNNNNNNNNNNNNNNNNNNNNNNNNNNNNNNNNNNNNNNNNNNNNNNNNNNNNNNNNNNNNNNNNNNNNNNNNNNNNNNNNNNNNNNNNNNNNNNNNNNNNNNNNNNNNNNNNNNNNNNNNNNNNNNNNNNNNNNNNNNNNNNNNNNNNNNNNNNNNNNNNNNNNNNNNNNNNNNNNNNNNNNNNNNNNNNNNNNNNNNNNNNNNNNNNNNNNNNNNNNNNNNNNNNNNNNNNNNNNNNNNNNNNNNNNNNNNNNNNNNNNNNNNNNNNNNNNNNNNNNNNNNNNNNNNNNNNNNNNNNNNNNNNNNNNNNNNNNNNNNNNNNNNNNNNNNNNNNNNNNNNNNNNNNNNNNNNNNNNNNNNNNNNNNNNNNNNNNNNNNNNNNNNNNNNNNNNNNNNNNNNNNNNNNNNNNNNNNNNNNNNNNNNNNNNNNNNNNNNNNNNNNNNNNNNNNNNNNNNNNNNNNNNNNNNNNNNNNNNNNNNNNNNNNNNNNNNNNNNNNNNNNNNNNNNNNNNNNNUUUCUAUUCUUAUUUUUAAUUCUUUACGUUUUUCAGAAAUAAUUUAUUUUAAUUCUUUGUAUUUUUGUACUUUAUUCAUUUAAACCAUAUUUAUAAUAUCUUGGUGGAUAUUUAAAUCUAAUUUUAUCAUAAUUAGGUGGUAUGUGUCUUAUUCUUCUAGAUUUUAAAUGGAUUAUUAAUUUUGCUUCAAUACUAGAUAUUAAGGUAAUUAGGUAGGCUAAUCUUUGUGGGUUUUCUUUUGUUUUAUUUAGACUUAUAUAUUCUGAAUAAUUACUAAUUAAAGAUUCUUUAAUUUUUCUAAAAGUUUCUCUGUUUUUAAAUGGUCUUCUCAUAAUUAAUUCAAUCCAAUCUAAAUUCAAACAUAAAUUCAAACAAACAUAAAUUCAAACAUAUAUAUUACUGGUGUAUUUUUUAAAUAACUGGGCUCUGAUACCAUUUGGAGGGGGUGCGGAUCUAUGCGGAACUAACUUAUGAAAUAGAUCUAUUAGUGAAACAUAUACAGAAAUAUUAACAAAUACAAAAAAUUUAGAAAUCAACGAAAAACAAGAAGUAAUUAAUGAGUAUAACUUAGAAAAUAUCAACACAGAAAUAAACACUCUUGAUAAAAAAGAAGAUGAAAAUAUAAUACCUAGAACAUCAGAAAUAAGAAAACCUACAUAUUAUAAGAAUAAGUUUAAAAGAUAUAAUGAGUAUGACAAAUGGACACCAAAACAAAUAGUUAAUAAAAAUUAUAACUUUUUAGAUUUAGACUGUGUAAUAGAUACAGAAAAAAUAAUACAAUUAUGGAUAGAAUAUAUGACAAAACAAUUAUUAGAUAAUAAUAUAAACAUAACAGAUGCACCAGAAUAUAUAGAAAGAACACUAAUAGGAACAGUGAAAUUAUGGUUUUCAAAUUUAACUGAAAAUAGCAAGAAGGUAUUAAGAACUAAUAAACCUAUAGAAGGAACAUCAUCAACAACAACUAAACUAAUACAUGUCCUUGAAAGUUAAGAGGCCUCUUUGACCUGUAUCAACCUCCCCUUCUUGAAAAGGAUUCGACCUCGAAUCCAAACCUUGCAAAACAAUAGAGGACACAAAAAAACAUACAUUCCUCAAGGCAUGAGGGUUAAUGUUAGCACAAUCAACCAUAGUAUCAAACCACCGGUCUACACACUUCACAUGCCAUGGGAUCUUAGGGAGUAGGAUACCCUUUUAAUCAUAAAAACCCAAACACCCUAAAGAAGAAACAACUUGUCUAUCCACAUAAGUGUGACAAGAAACAAGAGGUGGUAGGAACAUACCUUUGGAGCAAAGACUUGAGCUUGCUCUCAGCUUGGAAGAUGGCACCAUGAUAGUGCCAAAUGUGGUGAACAACAAGUGCUUGAUUUGGACACCAAGUCUUUCUUCUUGAACCUAAAACUCUUCAACUAUACCAUUCAGGUUCUUCUUCAUCAAAAGGUUAAAAUUCAAGACUUCUCUUUCGAGCCAAACAUCCUCAUUAGGGACUUUCAUCAUCAACCCACAAGGUAUAAAGACAUCUCCUUCUUCUGCUACCAAUUCGGCUUCACUAUCAAUGUCAUCAUCCUCUUGACGGAUUUCCUCACUACCAUUAUUUAGGGUCACUUUACCCCCAAUAAAGUAAGGAUCACCUUCCACAAACACAAUGUUUCUUUGGUUGGGGCAUUCACUAGCCUUAUGAUGCCAACCUUGACAUUUAAAAAAAACAAUACCUUUAGGAUUAGAAGUAGAAGAUGUAUUACCUUCAAGCCAUGGUGGAUAUCUUUGGAUGGCCCUAUCAACGGGUUUCUUCUCAAAAGAUUUGUAGGCAUCCUUGUUCUUGUUCCAUCCGAAGGUCUUCUUGGCAUCAUUGUUCCUUUCAACCUCAAUGACUGCUUUAACAAGAUUCUCAAUUCGGUCAAACUUGUGGAUAACUAGUUGAGAAAUAAUCUCAUAGCACAAGCCACAUUUGGACUAAGCUAGGUAAUAAUUUGGAGGUUCAAUAAUAUAAAGACGAAGAAUUAAGUUUGAAACUCCUCAUGAGACUCCUCCACACUUCUAUCACCUUGCCGCAAGUUAUAGAGCCUUGUUAAUUGCUCGUGCUUGAACCUUUCCAUGACAUAUUUCUCUCUCAUAAGUGCUUUCAAUUCAUCCCAAUUCGAAAGGUCAAGCUUGUUAUUUCUUGCUUUUUGCAACCGUUUGGUAUCCCACCAAGUAGAUGCAUACCCUUUAAGUUGAGCAAUGGCAUGGGCGACCUUCUAAUGAGAAGUUAACUCAAUGAGUCAGAAGAUUUGAUUGCAUUGUAACUCCCAAUCAAGAUAGAGAGACGGACUAGUUUCUUUGAAGGUAGGAAGAGUGAUCUUGAUGGAGUUAAAAUCCAUAUAUCUACCCAUAUUUCCUCCUUGGUCCCCUAAACCUUCUUGAACAUGAGGAUGGUGUCCCAAAUUGCCUCUAGCAUGAGGAUCCGGUCCAAACCUUCCCUUCAUGCCCUUAUGUCCUCCGCCAUGAGAUCCUCUUCUAUUUCUCACAAACUUCGCAAAGAGAGUUAUUUCAUCUAACUCCUCACCUUCAUAAGAACCCUUACCUUCCACACCAUCAAUUCAGAUUGGUUGGUUUUGGUUAAGAGGGACUCUCGACAUUUCUUGGUUUUGUGGAGCCUCUUGGUGGAUUUGAUUUUGGUUGUUUGGAUAAGUAGGGACUUGGUUGAUGGGUUCAUGGACUUGUCUAGGCAGAUUGAACAUUUGGUGAAGUGUUUUCGGAGUUAUAGUAGGGGAGAUGUUGGGAGCAUGUCCACUAGAUGAGGGAUGGUAGUUUUUAAGACUUGAGUGGGUGGAGUCUAGAAGAACUUCCAAGGUGUCCAUUCUCCUUGAAAGAGAACCUUCCAUCCCUUCCAUUCUUCCCUCCAUCCUCUUCAUUCGACCACUAAGAUCAUGUUUCACACCCAUUAUGGCUGCCAUCAAAGCAUCUAUAUUUACUCCUCCCGGAGAUCUUGGACUACCUUCACCCGAAGCCAUGAUACCUAAUAAGCAAAUGUUAAAGAAUUUAAACAAAAACAGUAAACACGUUAAAGGUUAGCAAAAAAAAUCAGCCUCACAAACUCUCAAGCUCACACCUUUGAAGCAUCACUUAAUUGGCCUUACAAGUGUUGGUAACUCGCUUAUACUCCAAUGAGGUUACUUGGUUCCAAUUGUGGCUCGAGGUUAGAGUAGAUUCUUGUUUUAAAUGACUCAAGAAGUAUUAUUCGAACUAGAAUCAAGAAUGGCUAUGAUUCAUAAAUGAGAAAGCACAAACAAAUAAUUCUAACACGAAAAAUGUAUUCAAAAACUAAUUCACAACCUAGUAGGUAUUUACUAGUUUGCUAAUUAGUAUGAGAAUCAACAAGAUGGAAACCAAUUGGAAACAAGGAAAAGAAAGUAGGAAUUCCAAAAUUCUUGAGCCUAUGAUAACUAUUGGUCGUUGAAAUGUCGUUGAAGUUGAGAAAAAAAAAUUUCUUACAAACUUGAGUGUUCAAUCUUCAAAUGAUGGAAAGGAAUUUUCGGCCAAGGUAGGUAGACAAACAAGACUUUAGGCUUCCUUUUCAAGAUUCAAAAGUCUUGACCUACUUUCACUCUUUUAGUAAGACAACUUUUUUGGAAGUCUUGUCUCCUUUCUCUUUUUAGUCAAUCUUGAAAAAUGGCCUUACUACUUUAUGGUAACUAGACUUUUUGGAAACCUUUUAUUCUUUUACUACUUUGGUGUUGUCUUGAAAAUAUUUUCAAGACAAACAAGAAGUCACACUCUCCUUUUCUUGACUUAAGAUCAAACAAACUCUUUUGAAGUUUCUUCUUCAACACAACACAAGAAUAUCAAGAACAACAACAACAAUAGCCGUCCAUAAGGUUCAACAACAGCUUGAAAAUUUAGCUCAAGAACUUGAAUCUAGACUCAAGAAGUGCUAGUGAACAAGAAGAUAACAUAAGAAACUACCAAAACACAUAAAGGACACCUAGAUCUAGACUCAAACUUUCGGCCAAGACAACAACAAUAAGAACACACUUCUCGGCCAAGAACACCAAACUCAAGAACACCUUUUUUUUUUAUUUUUCAACUAACCAAGCCCAAGAUUGAUCUUGUGGGAACAAAAUCAGCCUUAACUUUGAUACCAAAUGAUACCAACCAAGCUACGGAAGACACUAAAAAUGACAUAAAACAGUCCACAAAGUAAGAGGAACCCGAGGACCAAAUAAGACCUAGUCUCGACAACAGCAACAACACAAGAAUAAUAAGAUUACAAGGUGUUCAACACCUAUUUUCAGCGAGCCAACAAACUAACAAUAUGAUAACAACAAGAACAAUAAUCUCACGGUUUCCACACAAACCCGAGAACAUGAAAACAAAUGAGUAAUAUGUAUAGAAAGAUAGGUAACUUGACAUACAAAUACAUAAACACUAUGAACCUUAGUGUGUAUCAAACACAAAGACCCAAGAAUUCAUAUAAGAUAACACCAAGUUCUUACGGGACCUCAAGGAAAUUGAAAUUCCCAAGCAACCACCGUUUCUAAGCUAGUUACCAACACAAGUGAUGUCCACAUUUGUCAAAGUGAAAUCCACACUUGCAAGAAUCUCUCAAGAGCACUCAAAAAUAUAUUAUCAAAGUUGUGAGAAAUGACCUAACAGGUUCUAUUUAUAGUCUUGACUACUUAUUACACAAAAGGACCAAAGCCCUUUAAUGAAAGCCACAAGAGGGGCGACUUUGGAAUGUAGACUUGGGUAGCCUUGGAUUGUUUUGAAGGCUUUCUUGACACUUCAAGGUUUGUUCUCUUGGUUGGGCACCCCGUAGCCCGGGUCUCAAUGUAUUGGUUUACAAUCAUGUCCUCGAAAGUUAAGAGGCCUCUUUGACCCGUAUCAUUCACCGACUCAAUCAUUCUUAACGAUCCUUGACUUUCUUUGUGAGAUAUCACCUGUUUUAGCGACUUAAUCAUUCUUCUCGAUUCUUGACUUUCUUGUGAGAUAUCACUUACUACAUCGACUCAAUGAUCCUUAUUAAUCCUUGUCUUUUCCAAUGAUAUAUCACCUGCUUUGCCGACUUAAUCAUUCUUGAUUCUUGAUUUUUUCAGUGAAAUAGCACCUGAUUUAUUGACUCAAAACUUCAUAGGUAAAAGAUUUUAAAGUUAUAAUUCCCUUUUCAAGAACUUAAAGUAAGGAGCAUUAGAAUAACACCAAAAAUCUGUUUGAAACGCACACACCCCACUCCCCCCCGCAACUCCUCCACCCCUCUAAGCACCACCCCAUUCCAACAGAGUAAUACUGAGAGAGCAAAAUACAAAGGAGACACCAACUCAUUUGCCACUCUAUCCCCGAUAUAAAAACCCUAAUUUCCCUCUUUUUAUACCCCUUUUCCAUUCCCACCCCCACCCCCACNNNNNNNNNNNNNNNNNNNNNCACCCCCCUAUCCACCCCAAGCUCUUUCUUGAAUUUCCAUGGUGCUCUCUCCAUAGUCCACCUUAACCCUUUCCGACUUCUACCCAUUUUCAGACUUUCCUUUUUCAUCUCAAAUGCCUCAUUUUUAGUGCUUAACUUCACUCACAUUCUCCCAAUGACUCCUCCUCAAUCUCUCUCUUUACUCCUCCUGGCACUUGUGUUCAUGCUCAAUGGUUGUUCUUCAGCAGUAGAAGAUGAAAUUCGAUCACUUUUGGAGUUCAAAAAAGGUAUUAAAAACGACCCAUUAGGCAAAAUCUUCAGUUCAUGGAUACCAAGUCCUUCAGAUCUAUCAGCGUGUCCCAGUUCAUUCUAUGGCGUUGAAUGCGAUGCCAACUCCAAUUCUGUUGCUUCCAUUACCCUUGACGGACUUGGACUUGUAGGUGACUUGAAGUUCUCAACUCUAAAUGGGUUGAAACAGCUUAAAGUUCUUAGUCUUUCGGGUAACUCUUUUACGGGCCGGAUUGUUCCUGCUUUGGGCACGUUGGUCACUCUUCAGCAUUUGGAUCUGUCGGGGAAUUUGUUUUAUGGGCCGAUUCCAGCUAGAAUUAAUGAGCUUUGGGGUUUGAAUUAUCUUAAUUUAUCAAAUAAUAAUUUUAAUGGGGGUUACCCAAGUGGAAUUGGUAAUCUUCAGCAGUUGAGAGUUCUUGAUUUGCAUAAUAAUGUGUUAUGGGGUGAUGUUGGGGAGUUGUUCUUGGAGUUGAAGUAUAUAGAGCAUCUUGAUUUGAGUAACAACUCGUUUUUUGGGUCGCUUCCUAUGAACCCGGAAAAUGGAUCAUUUGGUUCAACAAUUCAUGUAAUGAAUUUGAGUCAUAACAAUUUGGAUGGUGGUUUUUUUCCUGGAAAAUUGUUGCAGACAUUUGGGAAUUUGCAGGUUUUGGAUUUGGGGUAUAAUGGUUUAACGGGGGAGCUUCCUUCGUUCAUGUUUUUGUAUAAUUUAAGGGUUCUAAGGCUUGGGAAUAAUCAGCUUUAUGGGUUGAUUCCUGAGGAGCUUUUGCAGGGAAUGGGUCCAUUGGAAGAACUGGAUCUUAGUGGCAAUGGAUUUUCAGGUUGGAAAAUGGAUAUCAGUUAUUUCAAAAAUUUGCAUUUAGUAGAUCAGUAUACUGUUGUUCAUAAUCAAAUACACCUUUUAUUUGUAUAGUAUUUUUAUAUGUGUUGCUCAGACUCUUCAAAAAUGUCAACGGGUGCUUGUCGGAUUCUCCAAUGUAUUUUUGGAGAAUCUGUCAUGGAUGCAGCAUUGAAAGUAAAGAGUGCGUGCAACUUAGGAUUUUAUGGAUGCCUUGAACUUCAAGCCUCUAAAUUUUUGGUGGUGGACUUGAAUUGGAAACUUUCUUGUGUUUUAGUCAUUGAAACUUUUACAUAUGUGAAUGUUAAAUCUUGUCUCUUUUUGUUUUUUUGUCGGGUUGUAAUUAGUUUUCUUGUGUGAUUAGUUGGUUGACAAUCUGUAUAACAGAGAAUAGAAAUCUUCAAGGUCUUUCAGCUUAUCCAAAUAUUGAAAAGUUUGUUUUUUUGUAUAAGUAGAUUAUAAAAAUUUCGUUAAACAAAAUCAGAAUUUGGAACAACCUUUUACUGCCUGCUUUUGUCGUUUGCGUCAACGGGCACGUGAAUAGCAUGGACUGCAUAGAGGAAUUUGAAUUGCAAAGCAUGUCAAAUAGAACUUGCCCCUUAUAAGUAAUCAACAAAGUGUUUCCUACUUGAUGUAGUAAAAUUAAUAAUAGCCCGUUAGUUGCAUGACUGCAUUGUUUAGUAGAUAUAAUAUAGUCUUGUUGCAAUGGUAUAACUGUAUGAUCAAAGUUCAAAGUUCAAAGUUCAUGGCAAGCUAGCUGGAGCAAUAUUUAGUCUCCGUUGAAAAGUUGAAAAUGUUCUGCUUUCAAUUUCCUAUGUUUUAGCACAACAUAUGUAUCUACAGUGUAAUGGGUUUUAUUUCAUUAAUGAUCUAUUUGUUCUUAAAAUGUUCAUAUUUCUAUUUAUUUGUCAUGCGUUACACUGUCCAAAGGCUCCCCCCUUCCCCUGCAAUAUAGGAUGCUCAUGAUGACGUUGGGCCUCGGAAAUGGGGAAAUAAUUGAUGACACCAUUUCUUUCUUGAUAAGGAAUUGAUGAUACCAUUCCUGUCUCCGUUGUUAUCAAAUGAGUACUCAAUUGGCGAAAUGAAGGAAGUCAGUGAGACUUGAUUAUAGAAGAAAAGAAAAGCAAAUUUAUGAGGGUGGUAAUUUGGGUCUCUAAGCUUAAAAUUCCUUGAUAACGAUACUUUGUACAAAAGUUGAAUGGUGCAAUUGAUUGAUGACUGAUAUUUAAUUCUUCUAAUUCCUGCAUUUAUUUUUUGAGGAAGUGAAUCUCAGAUUAGCUAGAUAGUUAUGUAUACUUGUCCCACUAUUAUUCUUUUGCCUUCCAAUUUUUUAGGCGAUACAGUUUUUUGUGAUAUUCUAUAGCUAGAAUAGUUGCACUUGGAGUUCAUCUGAAAGUUAAUAUUGGAUGUUUGACAACAAUGCACUUUUUUUUUUUUUAGAAAAAAGAUUAUGUAAUAUCAGUUUUUUUUAUGUUGGACUUGUAAACCUAUUCUUAGAGAUGUUUAAAAUUUAAUAUUUCUUUCUAUGCAUGCAGGUUCAAUUCCUGAAGUGAAUUCAACAAAGUUGAGGGUUCUGAAUAUUUCGUCGAACCACCUAUUAGGUUCAUUGCCAUCUUCUGUAGGAAAUUGUGCAGUUGUGGAUUUGAGCAAAAAUGUGCUACAUGAUGAUAUAUCAGUUAUUGAGAGCUGGGAAACCAAUUUGGAAAUUAUUGAUUUAAGUUCAAAUAGGUUAACUGGAAAUAUUCCCAAUAUCAUCGCUCAGUUUCAACAAUUGACUUCAAUUAAUUUCGGAAACAAUUCUCUUGAGGGAAUGUUGCCUUCAGCACUGGGCACUUCACCAAGACUGGUUAAACUUGAUCUCAGCACCAAUAAACUUGGUGGACCUAUUCCAACUACGUAUUUUACUUCGACAACACUGAUGAACCUAAAUGUAUCUGGAAAUCGGUUGUCAGGAUCAAUUCCUCUUGAAGGAUCUCAUGCUAGCGAAUUGCUUGUUCAAUCACCAUACCAGGUUGCUCUAGAGUCUCUUGAUCUUUCAGAAAACACAUUGACAGGUAAUUUGUCUUCUGCCAUUGGUAAUCUGAGGAGGCUUCAUGUGCUAAAUCUUGCUAAGAAUCAGUUAUCAGGCAUGCUGCCCACUGAAUUGGCUGAACUUAGAAACUUGGAAUUCCUGGAUGUAUCUAAUAACAAUUUUAGUGGUAGGAUCCCUGAAAAGCUUUCAUUGAAUUUGAGGGUGUUUGAUGUGUCCAACAAUGACUUAAGUGGUGCAAUCCCUGAUAAUUUGAAAAACUUUAAUGAAAGUUCAUUUCGUCCUGGAAACUCAGGUUUGGUAAUCCCAGAAGACUGGUCACAUCAUAAUCCUGGUGAUCAUGAUCAAAACAGUCAGCACCAUCAUAACUCGAAAUCCAGUAUCAGGGUAGCAAUCAUUCUUGCCUCAGUUGGAGCUGCUUUAAUGAUUGGUGUUGUUCUCCUUGCUUACCAUCGAGAACGGUUCCAAGAUAUCCGCUUGCCAAGUGGAUUUAAAGGCCAGUCUGGUGGAAGCGAUGUUAAACUUGGGAGGUUCAGCCGGCCUGCUAUUUUCAAGUUCCAUGGCUCCUCAGAACCGCCGCCAACUUCGUUGAGUUUCUCUAAUGAUCACUUGCUCACUGCGAACUCGAGAUCUCUGUCUGGGCAAAUUGAGUCAGGUACAGAAAUUGUUGAGCAUGUUUCUCCAGAGGGAGUAACUGCAGUUUCAGCAUCUACACAUCUUGGUGCUGUGGGUAAUCAUCCUGCACCAUCUGGUCGGAGAUCCUCUCCAGGCUCUCCAAUGGCUUCCUCACCUCGUUUUAUCGACACAAUUGAACAACCGGUGACAAUGGAUGUGUACUCUCCGGAUAGAUUGGCUGGGGAAUUGUUCUUCCUGGAUGGUUCACUGCCAUUUACUGCCGAGGAGUUAUCUCGUGCCCCUGCUGAAGUUCUCGGUAGAAGUAGCCAUGGUACAUUGUAUAAAGCUACUCUGAAUAAUGGAUGCGUUCUUACUGUCAAGUGGUUGCGGGUUGGGUUAGUAAAAAACAAGAAAGAAUUUGCAAAGGAAGUUAAAAAGAUUGGAUCUAUUAGGAACCCCAAUGCUGUUCCUUUACGAGCAUAUUACUGGGGACCUCGGGAACAAGAGAGGCUUAUUUUAGCGGACUACAUACCAGGAGACAGUUUGGCGUUGCAUCUCUAUGGUAAGAUUUAUUUAUAAAUAACUUCAGCAAUGAUUUUCCAUGUCUUCCAUUGCUGUUUUGGUUAUUAGAAAGUUUCCUUUGCUGGUCUGAUGGGUGAUUAUCCUGUGUUGGGAUCAAUUUUUAUCCUUCGCAAAAAUAGUUUCUGAAGCAGCAUAGCUUAUGUCUAAUUGUUGAAAUCUCGUGUUUGAGGAAUCAUCGUGAUCAAAAUUAUGGAGGAUAAAGUAAGCUUGGCCCCAAAAAGAAUUUUGGCUUGCCUCUCUUGCAAGAGUCUCUUUUACAUGUCUUAUUAUGUAGAUAGCGAUGAGAUCAUACUUGGAUCUGUGGCCUCUUAUGAAUCCAGUCGUACAGUCGUUGUAAAAUAAAAGGAUUGCACUUGUAGAAUCUGAAUGUUCUUUACUCCAGUUAUGGUGGUUAGAAUGUAUACACAGAUCUUUAUGUUUCAUCUGAGUUCCUUCAAAGGAACUCCAGAAAGGUACAACAAAUCUCUGGUUCACUAAUUGCCGUACUCCAACGGCCCCACAUCAAGAGCCCAUCAAAAUUAGGGAGUAGACCUAUUCUACCAUCUUGUUUGCAUGACUGGAAUAUGUAAUAAUUGCUCAGCGGUUUGCUUUAAAUAGCAUUUCCAUGUGUCAGAAUGAUUCAUUAUUCAUGAUAGUAAAACUCAUAGAUAUGGUGAGUUGAAAUAUAGCUUCAUCAUAGCUUCCGGGGGCUCAGUGAAUACUGAUUACUUGUAGACAUGUCGGGGUUUUGGGAACUUUAAAGUUUUUGUAUUUUUCGCAGUUUUAAGUUUUUAAUGAAUGUCUGCUUUUUACAGAGACAACCCCACGAAGGUACUCUCCGUUGUCCUUCAACCAAAGGUUAAAAGUAGCUGUUGAAGUUGCUCGGGGUUUGGGAUAUCUGCAUGAGAGAGGACUGCCUCAUGGAAACUUGAAGCCUACUAAUAUAAUCUUGGUUGGUGCUGAUUACAGUGCCCUCCUCACUGAUUAUGGUCUCCAUCGCUUGAUGACUUCAGCAGGGAUUGCGGAGCAGAUACUGAACCUAGGGGCUCUAGGUUACCGUGCUCCUGAACUUGCCACCGCGACCAAACCUAUCCCAUCAUUUAAGGCUGAUGUAUAUGCCCUUGGUGUGAUUCUAAUGGAAUUGCUGACGAGAAGAAGUGCGGGUGACAUAAUCUCGGGGCAAUCUGGUGCUGUUGAUUUAACAGACUGGGUUCGGUUGUGUGAUCAAGAAGGUAGAGGAAUGGACUGUAUUGAUAGGGACAUUGCAGGAGGGGAAGAACACUGCAGAGCAAUGGACGAUCUGCUAACUGUGUCGUUAAGGUGUAUUCUUCCGGUAAAUGAAAGGCCUAACAUUAGACAAGUUGUUGAAGAUCUGUGUUCCAUAUCUGUGUGAAAUUUUGUACAUGUUGUCUUGGAAUUACAAUUCUUUUUUCCUUUUCCUUCAAUUUAUUUGUCUCCUAUUGGUUGGUUGCCUUCUAAUGUUGGUCAAUCCUUACAUAUUCCCAUUUCUUCCUCCCUUCCCCUUCAAUUUUUGUGUAAAGGGAUGAUCAAUCCAUUGAUUGACAUUUUUUCUCAAAUUAGAAAGGAUUGCAAUUAUUUAUUUGUAAUUUUAUUUAGCUAACAGAAAUUGGCACCUAUUUGUUUACAGUUAGUGUACACGUUCAUUUACAUUUCUUCUAUUCCAUCCUGCAGUUCUGUUGCCCGCUUUUUCUUUUUUUAUAAUAGAAUUGUUUAUAAUAUAUUAAAAUUUAGAAAUAUAGUUACAAAAAGAUGUGGCAACUGGCCAGAGUGCAGAAGAUGUCAGGUUAAAUUAAAAUAAAUUAUCGCUAUAGAUUUUUUUUUCCGUCUAUGAUCGUUAUAGAUUUAUUUAUUUAUUUAGAACUAGUCAGAAGUGUAAUUUUUUCCCUCAAAAUCUAAUGGUUGGUAGUCUUUAUCUUCUGAUUAUUUCUUUAUGGGGUAGUAUACUUGGGGUCAGUUUAGUAGGGUGUAUGAGAAUCUAUAAUAUAUUAAAAGUGUGGAGGCAUUUAGAAAAGUGAUUUGAAUUUUUGUUCUUCAUGAAAAGAUCCCCCUUUAGACAAAACUGUGAACCUAAUGUAGCUCAUGUAGCUAUGAGGCUAAGAGUUCCUGCGGGGACUAAGGAUCAGAAAGUGACUCAUUCAUCUUACGGAGUUAUCUUCCUGUAGCUGAGAUUACGUUGCCAGAGUUCCUAUGGCUUCGUCUAAUUAUACUUUGGCUUCGUUCAUAACCAACAACUUUACCUUUCGACUUUGAUCCGACUAUGAACUUUGGUUCACGCUCUACGUAUCUUAUUCUUUCAAGUCCUCAACAUUCUGUCCGAAUUGCUUGCUUCCUUUAGAAAGAGGUCACUCCUGUCAAUGAAUACCAUUCAUAGUUGUCUAUGUUAGUAACAUAAUAGCCAUAACGAAUUUGUUUUUCACUAUCUUCUUCAAUUUAAUAUUUAAUUAUUUCUAUUAUAUUAACUAGACUCCUAAAAUAUAUGAGAUUCCUAAAAUAGGUAAUAAAUGCUCCUAUAAACGUAUGAAAAGAAAAAGAAGAAAGAAAAAAAGAAUCUAUAUAAAACUCUAAUUCGUAUGGUUUUAGUUUGUAUAAUUUUGGUAAAUAAUUUGUGAAUCAAUUAAUAUUUUUCUUUAUACUGAUCAAUUAGAAAAAUACUCCUUAAAUAGGAUAGAAAAAUAUUUCUAAAAUAUGACUCUAUUAAGGAAAUACUUUUAUAAAUAUUGAGAUGCACGUUAAAUUAGAGAAUAAAUUAGUUUACUUAUUGAGAAAAAACACUUAAUUUUCUAAUCCUCAACUUCAUAUCUCCUUUGUUUUCAUUCAAGUCAUUUUUUAGGGUCAAAAUUUUCACUCAGCCAAGAAUUAGUUUCAUAAAAAUUGAAGCUUUGUGAUCACUAUUGUAUUAUUUUGUUGUAGUUUACGGGUCAUAGAUGAAUUUACGGGUGAUAGAUGAAUGUCGGUCGGCUUUGAAGAAUUUCUUUAGAUAAAAGUUAGAUCUAAUUGUAUUAUUUUUAUCCCUGUUUUGAGAAAUGUUUUUUGUGUAAGGUAAAGUUUAGUUGUAUUGUUUUGAUAUCUAUAUUAUCGUAUUAUUUUGUUUUAGUUUAUAGGUAGAUGAGUGUCAGACGGCUUUGAGAAAAUUUUUGUAUAAAGGUUUGAUUUAAUUAUAUUGCUUUGAUGUCUCUAUUAUCGUAUUAUUUUGUUGCAGUUUACAAGUGGUAGAUGAAUGUCGAUCGACUUUGACAAAUAUUUUUGGUAAAGGUUAGGUUUAAUUAAAUAAAUUCUCCAAAAGAUGUUAUUUAAUUAUUAUAUUCAUCUUUAUUAUUUAAAUAAAUAUCCUAUUUAGUGUAGCGUUUGAAGUCAAUAAAUUGAGGUACACGCGCAAGGCGCGUACACCUAAACUAGUGUUAUAAAAUAUUGUGUACUAGUGAUAUUUGCCUUAAUAAUAUUUGUGUUAGUUAUGUUUACAUUAGUUAUAUUUGUAUUUUUUAUUCAAUGUUUGAUUUGAUGUAUUAAAAGUAAUAUGAAUUACAUAGUUUCUAAAAAAAUAUUUUUUUACUAAAAUACUCUCCAUAAAUAUCAUGGAAAGGAUGUGGAAAAUAUUUUGAAAGACAAUUGUGACUUUAAUCAUACUAAUGCAUGUAUUAGAAUCCAUUGAAUUACUAAUACAAUGGAUUUUCAUAAAUUAGUAAUACUCUUUAAUAUCAAAUAAAGUGUAUAAUUAAUGUAAUCAUUAGUAAUACAUAGGAUGAAAAAGUAUACCAAACAAGAUAUUAUUAAUACACAAAAUUAAUGUAAACAUUAUUUUUUCUAAUACAUUCUACCAAACGACCCCUUAGUUUACAAGUUUAUGUAAUUUAUAACCACUCUUCCACGUAAAAUACGUAGGGAAAAUUAGAGCAUAAUUUUUAGAAUAUUAUCUACUACCAGUAUAUAUUUCUAGAUCAGCACCGUCUAAACUCUAGCUAUGCUUUAGCAAUUUUAUGAGAUAAAAUGUGAGAUUAUUUUAUCCCGUAUUUGUUUGGUAGGAUUAGGAACUUAAAUAGUGAGAUUAGUUAUAUUCCAUAUAGAAGAUGAAAUAGCUAUCCCAUAUUCUUGUUUAUUCAAUUCUGCAUACCAAAUGAACACUAAGAGAUCGUGUGGUAGUUAGUAAAGAGAUAAUUUAUUUAUGUGUUAAUUCUGUAUACGUAAUACAAUGUUCGUAGCUAAUUAGAAAGUAAGUAUCAUGUAUAAAAUUAAUAUGAUGAUAAUUUAUAAUUUAACAACCUGCAUAAUUAAUGCAUGUAUAAAUAUGAGGGGAUCAAUAUAUUAUCUUUUGUAGGAUAAAAAAUAAAACUAAUACACAUAAUUAAUUAGUACUGAUACAUUACUAAUACAUGCAAAAUUCAAACUAUCUAAAAGAUAUAACGAAGUACAAAGGGACGACAAGUUGAGAUACAUAUUGUCACGACCCAAAAUCAAGGGUCAUGAUGACACUUGUCGCGGUGAGUCUUGACAAGUAAGCUAUCACCCAAACUGAUAUGAAAUGAAAAAUUGUAAUACCCCGUAUGUUUCUAAGCUAGGAGACGAACCAUUUUUCCUACGUAUAAAACCUCCUAUCUUGUGAGUACCAUUUUAGUGCAUGACUUACAAUGAGUAUCCUAGCGAUAAGAUAGCUUAUGAUACAUUAAGCAUGUUCAUAUGAGUCACUUAAGGUAAUACAAGCUAAGAGUGUUUGAAUCCAUCAAGUUUUAGUAUUCGAUUUUGCAAGGGUCAUCUUUGAACGAGUAUAACUCGAUGUUAAUAUAGUAUUUUGGCUGAUUUAGUCCCACCAAAUUGUAGAGAAUCGAAUUAUCUUUCCAACGAAACCAAUUUCGCCUUAAUUCAAUACCCGAGCGAAAAGUUAUGCCCAUUUUCGUGAGAGACAGUAAGGAUAGGCGAUUGGUUGGCACCGCCCAACCAAACUUAGGCGAUUGGUUAGGCGCCGCCUAAGUCAAUUCCAAGUGCCAAAAACACUCCGUUUUGAGUUAUUUUGAGGUUAAUUAAGUCUUUUAACACUCCUUACACGUCCCUAAACUUAACCCUACGAAAUAUAUAGCUUCUAAACACAUUACAACCCUAUUAACAUCUCAAAGCUCAUCANNNNNNNNNNNNNNNNNNNNNNNNNNNNNNNNNNNNNNNNNNNNNNNNNNNNNNNNNNNNNNNNNNNNNNNNNNNNNNNNNNNNNNNNNNNNNNNNNNNNNNNNNNNNNNNNNNNNNNNNNNNNNNNNNNNNNNNNNNNNNNNNNNNNNNNNNNNNNNNNNNNNNNNNNNNNNNNNNNNNNNNNNNNNNNNNNNNNNNNNNNNNNNNNNNNNNNNNNNNNNNNNNNNNNNNNNNNNNNNNNNNNNNNNNNNNNNNNNNNNNNNNNNNNNNNNNNNNNNNNNNNNNNNNNNNNNNNNNNNNNNNNNNNNNNNNNNNNNNNNNNNNNNNNNNNNNNNNNNNNNNNNNNNNNNNNNNNNNNNNNNNNNNNNNNNNNNNNNNNNNNNNNNNNNNNNNNNNNNNNNNNNNNNNNNNNNNNNNNNNNNNNNNNNNNNNNNNNNNNNNNNNNNNNNNNNNNNNNNNNNNNNNNNNNNNNNNNNNNNNNNNNNNNNNNNNNNNNNNNNNNNNNNNNNNNNNNNNNNNNNNNNNNNNNNNNNNNUUACAUGUUGCCGUUCCCUUAUGCUUGAAUGGUUUCCAUGCCAUUGUUAUGAAUAGUAUAUGUUGUCGAAAUGUCCAUGAUAUUAGAAUAUGAGAUUUAUGACUUGAUUAUAAGCAUUCCUAUUCAUGAUAGAUAUUAUGAUGACCAUGUACUUCAUGAAAUCCCCCACUCAUGUAUUAUGGAUUUUUAUUGAUGGUCGUGUACUCAAGAAAUUCAAGUUGUGUUAGUUUCCUUCCAUUGAGUCCUGGGGGUACUUGUACCCAAAAAAUAUAGUUGUGUGCCUAGAGCCAUGUCAUGUUUUCACGAUACUCUCAGUCAAGCCAUGAUCUAUAGAAUUCAGUCAGUCAUGUGACUCAGGAAAACUCAGAAAUCUCAGUAAUCUCAGUAAUCUCAGUAAUCUCAGUAAUCUCAGUAAUCUCAGUGCUCAGUAGCCUCAGCAACCUCAGUAUUCACAGUCAAUCUUAGUAACUUCAAUACUCUCAACCAGUUCUCAGAACUCAGUACAUUCCGUCAGUCAUUGGAAUCCAGUAAACUUAGUUUAGCUUUGCUAAACAAUCCCCCUAGUAUCAGUCCAGUUACUCAGUAUCAGUUCAGCUAAUCAGUUCAGUUCAGUUAUUCAGUUCAGCUUAGUUAUUCAGUUUAGUGUCCUUCAGAUGGGAGUAAAAGUUAGCACCGAGUGAAUCCAAGGAUGGGAACUCACCCGCUAGUUCAGGGUGUGAUUCUUAGUAGUGAUCCUUAUGUUCCAGAACUACGUAGCAGUGUAGGUUGAGACAUCUUAACCCGUCAUAUUAGGGUUGGUGAGGUGGCUUAACCCUUUAGUUUAGGGUUCCCACCAUUCUCAUUGAUUACCUGCCAGUAUAGGUUUUUCAUAGCUGUCUUUACCAGUGGCGCGGUCUUGACACCCCUCCAGCCGGGGCAGAGAUGGACCCCAGCUUAGCUAUUAUAGCGUAUUUGGGGUAUGUCGGUUAGAUAACUACUUCUCAUAGUUUUAGUUACAGAUUUCAGGACUGUCAGCUAUAGCUACCCAGUCUCAGUAAAGAACUUAGAUAGCUCUUCAGAUUUCAAUAUAUCAGGGCUGUCAGAUACAGUCAACUCAAAAAUUGAAUGGAACUCAGAUAGUUUCCUUCAUAUUUAUGAACUGUGAGAUAUAGUCACUUAUGCUAUCAAUUAGAACAAUUAUCAGAACUCAUGCUAUCAGUACUCAGCUUCAGGACUAUUAGAUACAAUCAAUCAGACCAGUUCUUUAUAAUUCAAACUGUCAAAAAUAAUCAUUCAUUUAUCAGUAAUGCAAUAUCAGUCUAUUAGUAUUCAUUAGUACAGUAUCAGAUCCAUCACUUAUUAGUGAUUUACAUGUCAAUAUCAAUAAACUCAGUCUUUCAGAAUCUUAUUAUCAGUACACUCAUGUUGUCAGUAUUCAGACUCAGUAGUCCGUAUCUCCACGAGUUCAGUUACAGUUACGUAUGCAUGUAUGUACUCUCACGUUCAUAUAAGUCGGUAUUGUCCAUACAUAUAACCCUUUGCAUUUAGCCUACCUCACUCGUAUACUCAGCACAUUCAGAAGUACUGACGCAUUUGCGCUAUGGUGCUUUCUCUUAUGUUACACCAUAGGUUCAGAGGCACGAGCUCCAAAUCAUCUGUAGAUUCCAGGAUCAGCAGUCAGAGUUAUACGUGAGUCCUCAUCCCUCGAGGACAUGAUGAUUUCAUUUCUAUUUCAGUUUUUACUUUAUUUCAGUAGUUGGAGUAAGUUGGGGACAUGUCCCAUCAAUUCUUUAUUCAGUUCAGUUAGAGGCUUUCAGACUAGAUAUCAGAUUAGAUGUUCAGACUUCAGUAUUUAUGUUCCUUUUUGGUAUUGUUAUACCAUAUUUUUCAAAUAUGUAUUAGUAUUGAACCUUAUGACCUUACAUUUUAUAUUUUUGCAUAUUUUAUGAGAUAUUAUGCAGUUUACAGGUACAUAUAUUAGUCAUGGGUUAGCUUGUGGUCCUUUGGGGUCAUGAGCACCGUGUAGCAUUUCGGUUCAGAAAAUUGGGGCAUUACAAACUUAGUAUCAGAGCCUAAGGUUCAACAGUGUCCUAGGAAGUUUGAAAGCUGCAUCAAGUAGAGUCUAGUACAUGGGCGUGUUGUGUACCACACUUAUGUGCAAGAGGCUAUGAGAUGUUUUAGGAACAGUUUCCCUUCUUUCAUGUCUCAAGAUCGUGCUAUNNNNNNNNNNNNNNNNNNNNNNNNNNNNNNNNNNNNNNNNNNNNNNNNNNNNNNNNNNNNNNNNNNNNNNNNNNNNNNNNNNNNNNNNNNNNNNNNNNNNNNNNNNNNNNNNNNNNNNNNNNNNNNNNNNNNNNNNNNNNNNNNNNNNNNNNNNNNNNNNNNNNNNNNNNNNNNNNNNNNNNNNNNNNNNNNNNNNNNNNNNNNNNNNNNNNNNNNNNNNNNNNNNNNNNNNNNNNNNNNNNNNNNNNNNNNNNNNNNNNNNNNNNNNNNNNNNNNNNNNNNNNNNGUAUUAUUCUAUUUGAUCAGAUUAUGUAUUCAUGGGGAUUAGAUCAGUAGGCUUAAACAGUACGAGCUAAACACUUAAGUUUAUUGACUCAAAAUUAAGCAUGAAGGUGUGAAUAUGAUAUUAGCAGUAUAUGAGGAAAUACAAUCAGAUAAUGUAUUUGGUAAGAGAGACAGGUGUUGAACAUAAUGUAGGUAUGUGAUGGUAGAUCAAGUACCUAAGCCAGGCCCCAGAUGCAGUAGUGGAGCCAAUAUGUAUAGAAAGCAGUAAGGGAAGACAAUUCCAGACCCAUUCUCAUCUCAGUGCAGAGUUUUUCACUUCAGCUAUCACAAAACCAACUCAGGCAUUGCAUACCAACUCUAUGGUCACAAACUAUAAUCAUGUAUAAAGUCAAUUUCCAGCAUAAAGAGUCCCUUUUACUCCACAGUACGAGUCAUGUUCCAUGAGAACAAUCUACUUUCACACACUUUCCAUGGGAUUAUGUGUUCAGUUCCUAGUAUCAGGGGUUCAGUUCGAGCUCUCUCAGUAUUCGAAUCAUGUCCCACGAGUACAGAAAACUCUAGACUUAGGUCAUGCAGCUCAUGACUCAUGUACGCAUAUCAUGCUUUCCAGUAUACUUAGCUUCCAUGACUCAUGCUAUGCCCCUACAGAUCAGAUACAUUUAGACUAUGUCAUGUAUAUCCUCAGUUCAGACCUUAUUGGUAAAUCCAAACUAUUGAUAUUUUAUUCCUCAAGUUUCAGUCAUGUGUCAAGUUUAGUUUGUAUUAAUUCAUGUUUUAGGUCCUCCUGAUUUACUCCUCUAUUUAGCUCUUCUUAUGGAACAGUGUAGUGAUGAGCAGUUAUUUAGAUAAGAGAAGAUUGUUGCAUGCUUACUUUGCACGAGGGUGUAGUUGUGAAGAUAGGCUUGAAUGUCAUGAUAAAUGUACAAGUAAACGUAUAACAAGGGAUCGUAUUUAGAAGUUGGGAAAGUACACAGUGUAAGUGUACAUUUAGAUCCUUGACUUAUGUUAGUCCCCAGCAUGUAGCCAUCAAAAACUCAAUUGCCAACUCAAUUAUAGUUUUAGUAUCCAGCACUCAGUAAUUAGUGUUCAGUCCUUGAAUUUAGUACUUCUGUACUAGCUAUAGGCUUAGUUAUAAUGUCAUCUUCAGUUCAGUAACCAGUUUUGAAACUCAGUUCUGUUCCGGACAUGCUUGACCAUAGCAUUCAGGUUGUCAGUACUCAGUUAUCAGUGUUUCAGUACCCCAAUUUAUAGAAUACCUCAGAGCCAUGUUGUACGCUUGGUCUCGCAUUUGAAAAUAAUACAAACUUUAUGAAUCCAUGCUCAGAUACCUCAUUCUACUUAGUUAGUCCUUAUCUUCUAUGCAUAAAACUCAAAAAUCUUAGCCCAGCUAUUCAGACUAAGUAUAGUUUAGCUUUGCAGAUCCAGUAUUCAGCUAUUAGUUAUUCAGUUAAUCAGAUAAGUUAGUUUAUUUAUGCACUCGUGUUCAGCUCAGUUCAUGUAUUAUGUCUUAUUUUCAGAUUCUAGCUAUUCAGUCAUGACUCAGUUCCUAGGUGUCUUGUGCAUUGCCUCAAUUUCCCUCAGUAGCUCAUCCAAGUCAGUAUUCUUUGAGGGAGAUAGUGUCCCAAGGGGGAGAUACAUCAUACCCCUAAAAUUUCAUGACAUAAACAUGCUUCUCUAUUUUCUUUUGAUGAAUCCAGUUUGGAGAAGGGGUACUCAUAAGUUAACCCUCAAACUCCAACUUCAGUCGUAUGCCAUGUUUUCAAGAUUCAGUUCAGAUCAUGAGUUUUUAGUUCAAACUUGAUACCUUUACCAUUGCAUGUUCAUGAGUAAGUUUAGUCAUGAAUUCACGCAUCAGAUAUGUGUGAUCAGCUCAUUAGUACUUUCAGUCAUGCAUUCACGUAUUAUGUCAGUCAUAUAAUCAUGGAUCAGGUAUGCAUGGAUUUAGCCUUUCAGUUGUGCAUUAGAUAUGCAUUCUCAUUUUGAGAAAACUUACUUUUUUAGAAUCCUCAGUCUUAUAUUCAUGAAUCAGCUUCCCAUGCAUCAGAUAUGCAUGUUCAGUAUGUUGUGCUCAGUUUUAAGUCAUGCUAGUCAUGAACCCAUGUUUUAGUAGUGUAUGUCUUAUACGUACUUUAUAUUAUCAUCUCUCUCGCUUCAGUUAAUUUCCAUUCGAGGAAGAAUGUUCCUAAGAGGGAGAUAUUGUAAUACCCUGUAUGUUUCUAAGCUAGGAGACGAACCAUUUUUCCUACGUAUGAAACCUCUUAUCCUCUGAGUAGAAUUUUAGUGCAUGACUUACAAUGAGUAUCCUAGCGAUAAGAUAGCUUAUGAUACAUUAAUCAUGUUCAUAUGAGUCACUUAAGGUAAUACAAGCUAAGAGUUUUUGAAUCCAUCAAGUUUUAGUGUUCAAUUUUGCAAGGGUCAUCUUUGAAUGAGUAUAAAUCGAUGUUAAUAUGGUAUUUUGGCUGAUUUAGACCCACUAAAUUGUAGAGAAUAGAAUUAUCUUUCCAACGAUACCUAUUUUUCCUUAAUCCAAUACCCAAGUGAAAAGUUAUGCCCAUUUUUGUGAGAGACAGUAAGGAUAGGCGAUUGGUUAGGCACCGCCCAACCAAACUUAGGCGAUUGGUUAGGCGCCGCCUAAGUCAAUUUUAAGUGCCAAAAACACUCCGUUUUGAGUUAUUUUGAGAGUUAUUUUGAGGGUAAUUAAUUCUUUUAACACUCCUUACACGUCCUUAAACUUAACCCUACGAAAUAUAUAGCUUCUAAACACAUUACAACCCUAUUAACAUCUUAAAGCUCAUCAUCCAAGAGCACUAAAAGGGAAAAACAACUAGGGUUGUAUAAUUAAGCUUGAAGAUCCAAUUUCAAGGAAAUUCCUCCAUCAAUCAUCAAGAACCUUCCUUCCAUGGUAUUCGUAGUGUUUAUCCACGAAUUCCUUUUAUCCGUGGAGUUCAAGAAUCAAUCUUUAAAAUAUAAAAGCUUGGUUGAUUGUGGUGAUAUGAUCAUACCCAUGUUGAUGCUUGUUUUUUUUCUAUAUAAUAGUAUCGUGACUGUAUAUCUCAUGAAAGUUAUGUUGUUAGUUGAAAAAUAUGAUCUUUAGAUGGAUUGAUAGAAUGCAAGUAUGAAAUCCACCUAUGCCUUAAANNNNNNNNNNNNNNNNNNNNNNNNNNNNNNNNNNNNNNNNNNNNNNNNNNNNNNNNNNNNNNNNNNNNNNNNNNNNNNNNNNNNNNNNNNNNNNNNNNNNNNNNNNNNNNNNNNNNNNNNNNNNNNNNNNNNNNNNNNNNNNNNNNNNNNNNNNNNNNNNNNNNNNNNNNNNNNNNNNNNNNNNNNNNNNNNNNNNNNNNNNNNNNNNNNNNNNNNNNNNNNNNNNNNNNNNNNNNNNNNNNNNNNNNNNNNNNNNNNNNNNNNNNNNNNNNNNNNNNNNNNNNNNNNNNNNNNNNNNNNNNNNNNNNNNNNNNNNNNNNNNNNNNNNNNNNNNNNNNNNNNNNNNNNNNNNNNNNNNNNNNNNNNNNNNNNNNNNNNNNNNNNNNNNNNNNNNNNNNNUUCCCUUAUGCUUGAAUGGUUUCCAUGCCCUUGCUAUGAAUAGUAUAUGUUGUCGGAAUGCCCAUGAUAUUAGAAUAUGAGAUUUAUGACUUGAUUAUAAGCAUUCCUAUUCAUGAUAGAUAUUAUGAUGACCAUGUACUUCAUGAAAUCUCCCACUCAUGUAUUAUGGAUUUUUAUUGAUGGUCGUGUACUCAAGAAAUUCAAGUUAUGUCAAUUUCCUUCCAUUGAGUCCUGGGGGUACUUGUACCCGAAAAAUAUAGCUCUGUGCCUAAAGCCAUGUCAUGUUUUCACGAUACUCUCAGUCAAGCCAUGAUCUAUAGAAUUCAGUCAGUUAUGUGACUCAGGAAAACUCAGAAAUAUCAGUAAUCUCAGUAGUGUAGUAACCUCUGAACUCAGUACAUUUCAUAAGUCAUUGAAAUCCAGUAAACUUAGUUUAGCUCUGCUAAACAGUACCACUAGUAUCAGUCCAGUUAAUCAGUAUCAGUUCAGCUAAUUAGUUCAGUUCAGUUAUUCAGUUCAGCUUAGUUAUUCAGUUCACUGUCCUUCAGAUAGGAGUAGAGGUUAGCACCAAGUGAACCCAAGGAUGGGAACUCACCUACUAGUUCAGGGUGUGAUUCUUAGUAGCAAUCCUUGUGUUCCAGAACUACGUAGCCAGCGUAGGUUGAGACAUCUUAACCUGUCAGAUUAGGGUUGAUGAGGUGUCUUAACUUGUUAGUUUAGGGUUCCCACUGUUUUCAUUGAGUACCUGCCAGUAUAGGGUUCUCACAGUUGUCCUUACCAGUGGCGCGGUAUUGACACCCCUCCAGUCGGGGUAGAGAUUGGACCCCAGCUUAGCUAUUAUAGCGUAUUUGGGGCAUGUCGGUUAGAUAACUACUUCCCACAGUUUCAGUUACAGAUUUCAGGACUAUCAGCUAUAGCUACCCAAUCUCUGUAAAGAACUAAGAUAGCUCUUCAGAUUUCAGUAUAUCAGGGCUGUUAGAUAUAGCCAACUCAGAAAUAAAAUGAAACUCAGAUAGUUUUCUUUAGAUUUAUGGACUGUGAGAUAUAGUCACUUAUUCUAUCAAUCACAAUUGUUAUUAGAACUCAUGCUAUCAGUAUUCAGUUUUAGGACUAUCAGAUACAAUCAAUCAGACCAGUUCUUCAUAAUUCGAACUGUCAGAAAUAAUCAUUCAUUUAUCAAUAAUGCAAUAUUAAUUUCUUAGUAUUCAGUAAUACGGUAUCAGAUCCAUCACUUAUUAGUGAUUUACAUAUCAAUAUCAUUAAACUCAAUCUUUCAGAAUCUCAUUAUUAGUACACUCAUGUUAUCAGUAUUCAGACUCAGUAGUCCGCAUCUCCACGAGUUCAGUUAUAGUUAUGUAUGCAUGUAUGUACUCUCACGUUCAUAUCAGUCGGUAUUGUCCAUGCAUAUAACCCUUUGCAUUUAGCCUACCUCACUCGUAUACUCAGUAUAUUCAAACUUACUAACGCAUUUGCGCUAUGGUGGUUUAUCUUAUGUUACACCAUAGGUUCAGAGGCAUGAGCUCCAAAUCAGUAGUAGAUUCCAGGAUCAGCAGUCAGAGUUAGACAUGAGUCCACAUCCUUCGAGGACAUGAUGAUUUCAUUUCUAUUUCAGUUUUCACUUUAUUUCAGUAGUUGGAGUUAGUUGGGGACAUGUCCCAUCAACUCCUUAAAGAAAAGGGUUUUUGGGCUCCAUGGGUGAAAGGGGACCCAUGGAUGAACUCCCACAUACCUUAAUUCGAUGGAUUAUUGAAGAAAUCAUGAAUUUGAAGCUUGAAUCCUUGUUUUCUUGAGAGAAAAACCUUGAAACUUGUUCAUGGGAGAGUAUGAGGGUUUCUUGAGAGCAAAUCUUGAAGAAGAUAGGCAAAUAAUGCCCUAUUGGAUGCUUUAAAUCAUCCCUUGGACGUUUAGGGGUUGAGGAGUAAGGACCAAAGUGACCCUUGACCCUCAAGGAGUUUAAAACAACUGGGGUAUGUACAAGGCACCAGACUAUUUAGCCCGGGGGAUUAGAGCCCGUGAUGCCUUACCUAUCCCGAUGCAAUAACUUGGGCAGCGUGGGCAUAUCGCCUCGGCUUACUGCCUAUCAUGAAAAUCGCUGUAACUUUUUGCUUGAGUAUCAGAUUUAGGAGAAAUUGGUAUCAUUGGAAAUAUGAUUUAAUUAUCUACAAUUUGGUGUGUCUUGAGCUAAAAAAUUCUAUGUAUAUCAAAAGUUAUACAUAUUUAAAGUAUACCCUUGUAGAAUCGAAUACCAAAUCUUGGACGAAUCAAAUGAUCUUAGCUCAAUUUUGUUCUAAGUCAUUGCUAUGAACAUUUUUCAUGAAAUCACAUAAAACACGAGGAUGAAGAUCAUGAAACUUAGAUUCACAUUAGAAUCUUCUAGAUUAUAACUUAUACAUGUAAGAAUGACAGUUCAAAGACUAGUCCAAAAAUGCAGGGUCUUACACUUCUUAAAACGGUUCAUAAUCCUAUAUGGGCCAACAUAAUAGGGAUUGAGUUUCCCUUUCUUACCAAAUCACCAACAUCAAAUUCAAGCUCUCUUCUCUUCACAUUCGCUUAGGAUUUCUAAUGACUUUGGGCUAUUUUUAGGCUUUCUAGGAUCAGCUGUACUUUAUCCAUUGCCUCAUAUUCUAAUUUUGGCCCUAUCAGAGUAACCUCAGCCACUUCAAACUAACUAAUAAAAGAUUUAUAACUCCUAUCUUAGAGCCUUAAAUGGAUCCAUAUGAAUCUAUGAGUGAUAACUAUUGUUGUAGGUAAACUCAAUCAGAGGUAGUGAUCAUCUAACUACCCUUGAAGUUGAUAACAUAAGACUUCAAUAUGUCCUCUAAGGUGUGAAUGGUCUUAUCUUCCUAGACAUCUGUUUGUGGAGAAAAAUCUGUACUGAGGUGAACUUGAGUACCAAGAACCUUUUAGAAUGACUUCCAAAAAUAAGAGGUGGAUUGGAUAACCUUAUCUAAAAUUAUGGUCACAGUAACCCUAUAUAGCUUUACUAACUUCUUGAGAUAGAGUCUAGCAUAUUCUUCGAUUGAAUAGGAAGUAUGAACUAUCUAGAAAUAGGCUGACUUAGUCAUUAUUUCCAUUAUGACCUAAAUAUAAUCACGCUGAUGACACAUACAAAGUAAUACUAUAACAAAAUCCAUGUUUACCACUUCCCACUUCCAAGUAAUGAUGCUGAACUCUUGAAUCAUAACACUAGGCCUUUGAUGCUUAACCUUAACCUACUGAUAAUUUGGAAACUUAGCUAUAAAUUUUGCAAUAUUCUUCUUCUUACCAUUCCACCAAUUUAUUUUCCAUAAGUUAUGGUACAUCUUAGUGGAUUCUGGCUGAAUAGAAUAUCGCGAACCAUGCACUUUUACUGAUAUUUGCUGUCUCAAACUAUCCACAUUAGGUACGCAUAACCUAUCUUGACAAUGAAGUACACCAUCUCCCCCUUAGGAGAAACCUGUCUUACUUUUCCUUAACCUCGAAAACCAAUGAAGACUCCAAACCACUUUUAACCCAUAUACUACCUUCAAUUGAAUCAACCAACAAAACUCCUAAUCUAGCAAGAUGAUGAACUUCACAGACUAAUUCUUUCUUAUCAUCCUUUACAUAAGCAACACUUUCAAUGACAACCUACUAAGGGCAUCAACCACAAUAUUCACAUUAUUUGGGUGAUUCAACACACCCAUAUCAUAGCCUUUUAACAAUUCAAGCCACCUUCUCUGAUGAAUAUUUAGGUCUUUCUACAUCAAGACAUACAUAAACUCUUUUUAUCAGUAAACACAUCAAUAUAAACCCCAUAAAGGUAAUGCCUCCAACUUUGUAAGGAAAAAACAACUACUGCCAAUUCGAGGUCAUGAGUUGGGUUAUUUUUCUUAUGGGGUUUGAGAUAUCUAGAGGCACAAGCUAUGGCCUUACCUCACUAUAUCAACACACAACCAAGACCAGAUUUGGAAAUAUCAUAAUACACUAUAAACCUAAGUGAAUCCUUUAGUAGAGUCAAGACUGGGGCAGAAGUGAGUUGAGUUUUCAACUCCUAAAGACUCUUAUCACAAUAAUCUAACCACUGAAACUUGACUUUCUUAUAAGUCAAUCAAGACAUGGGAUAAGAAAUAGAAUAACAUCUCUCAACGAACUAUUUGUAGUAAUUGGCUAAACCUAAGAAACUCCUGAUGUCUGAUGGAGAGAUGGACUAAGUCUAAUUUCUUACUGCUGUGGUCUUUUGAGGGUCAACUCAAAUGCUAUCAUAGAAAAUGAUGUGACCAAGGAAAGCUACUGGUCUCAACCAGAAUCCACACUUUCUAAAUUUAGCAAAUAAUUGGUGUUCCUUAAGAGUCGACAAAAAAAUCCUCAAAUAGUAUGCAUGAUCACCUUCACUACAAGAAUAGAUGAGGAUGUCAUCUAUGAAUACUAUGAUGAAUAUGUCUAGGUACUACUUGUACACUCUGUUCAUUAAGUCUAUGAAAGCCGCAAGUGUAUUCAUGAAACCUCUUGGUUUCUGGACCUUAUAAAAUUUUCUGGAAUUUUGAUCUCUGGAUCCAAUACAACUCAUAGGUAUGAGCCAUGUGGUGGGGGUACGGAUGGUAUAGUCUAGUCGUAUGCUAACUAGUGUUGGUUGGUGGGAUGGAUUUUGGUUACUGGAAUAGAUACAACUUAGGGUUACGAGUCGUAUUGGUGGUUACAGAUUAUUUGGUUUCUUAACUUAAUAUUAUACUUGGUUAUUUGGGUUUAAUCAGAGUACAAGUGGAUCACCAUGAGUCAUAAGCUAGGGUAUGAGUCUUACCCAGGACUCGUAUAGUGGACAAUGUCUAAAUCUUCCUUGGGUUUAAAUCUGCCAGGGGUAUGGGUAAAAGGUACAUAUUGUAUGCUUUGGAUAUGAAUUUUUUGUAUGAGUUUUAUGAUGGAAAAUGUUUGAUCCAAAGGUUGAGGCGUAGGGUAUGAGUAGAGGGUACCACUCGUAUCGGAGAGUACGUAUCGUCUGGGUCAGUCAUACCUUUAUGGUAGGAUUUUGGUGUAACUUAAGUGGGGGUAUUCUAGACAUUUUCCCACUCAUCCUAAUAAAACCCCAUGACUUCUAACUUAAUUGGGAGGUUAUUUACCUUAUUAUUCCAUUAUUAACGCUUAGAAACUUUUCAAAAACAAUUCAUAAUUCUCUUAAGAGCUUUUGGGAAAGGGAAGCUAGGGUUUCAACUAAAGAAUCAAUUUGGGGCUUGUCUUGGUGAUUUAUUUCUGUCAUUAUCUUGGUUUAAGGCAUGUUCUCUUCCCUCAUUAUUAAUUUUAUCUAAAGGAAUUGUUUUUUGAAUGUUUCCACAAUUUCAUUUAUUGUAUGAUUUUGGUUUUCAAAUAUGAAUCAAGGGUUUUGAUGUAAAAUAGUUGGUUAUGGUUUUCCAUGGUUUUAAUUAUGAUUUUAUAUACAUUAAUGGUGGUUUUGGAUAAUUGGAUUAUAUAGGAAUGAUUUAAUAGUAAUUGGAAUUGGUUUUGGUCAUAUUAUGCCCCUAAUGUGUUUGACAAAAUGCUUAUAAAGAUAUGAUCAUUGCAUUGACCACCUUUAAUAGAAAUCUUGCUUGUUUUAAAACAUGAUAAGGGAAUUAUGCAUGGUUUAGAUGGCUUGGAAUGGUAAAUGGAUAAUGGUUAUGCUUGAGGGGUACAUGGAAUCCCCCAAGUUGUUUAAUAUGGUAAUGGGAUGGCAUUUGAAAGUUCUCUUAAAUCUAUAAAUAGUUGUCUAUGGAUGAUACUUGCAAGUAAGGGUUGGUAUGGCGAUACCAAUAUCAAUGGUCUUGGUUAAUAAAUGAAAAAAUGGUUAUUUGGAAAUUGGUUUUAUUUGGGCAAUAAUAACGGGAUGUGUAGCAAAACCAUAGAAGGUGGAGGUCUCGGGGCGACCAAAAUUGAAAACUCAUAUUUUUUGAUAUGAGGUUGGUCUUGGUGAUCAUGUGUAUGAUAUCAUACUAUAUUUUGGGUAUAUACUAGUCAUCCCAAGGGUUUUUUCCUUUGUCGUGCGACUACAUGCAAUGGGACCCUUUCAGUAUGGAGAGCUGAACCCAUAUAGCUCGUGGAUGGUUUAGUACGGCAAAGUUAUACAACCUGGGUAAAGUUUUUAAAGGCAUUCUAAACCCGAUCCCUUUUCCCGAUAUAGUUAUAUAUAUGUGUAUGGUUGUGUGUAUAUGGAUGGUUUUACUUGGUUUCAUAAAUGAUAUUAUUUUAUCCUUACCUUGAGAUCAUGUUAGUGGUCAUAUUAUUUUGGAUAUUGGUUUUGGCUAAUGGUUGGGGGCAUGUCCUAGCUAGACUUUAUUACUCUUUUGGUUAGAGGCAUUGUGGUACUUCUAUGGGUUGUAAUGGGCGGGAUCAGUAUAGGUGUCAUCCUUAGCAUUAGUAUUGGUGUUGAGGCUGGCAUUAUCUGACAUAAUUUCUCACUGUUCCAUCAUAUUUUUAUUUUGGGAUUUAUUAUAUUAUGUUUUGGAAUAUCCUUGGUUAUGGCCCUUAUUUUGGUUUGGUUUGGUAUGGUUAGAUUAUUGGUAAUGUAUGGUUGGACUCAGUUGGGCCGGUCACAGUUGUGAUCUUAUCCCAGAAUUUUUAUGUAAGUUAUUACACAAUCUUAUUACAUGCUUGAAAUUUAUCCAACUUAGGGCAAGUGGCUGGAGGUUGGGUUGGGUAACAUAGGUGGUCUCUAGCCCUGGUCGAACAUGGGAUGCCCUUUAUGAUAAGGCCCCAGGGUAGGUCGUGUCAAUUUGGUAUCAGAGCCUAGGUUCAUGGUCAAUUGGGAGUCCAUAAAGUCAUGUCGAGUAGAGUCUCUUUCAGGUAUUUAUAGUAUGCCACACUCAUAAGAAAGAGGCUACAAAGCAUUUAGAAAUGUCUCACUUUCUUUGUAUUCUAUUUUCAAGCUUGGAGUCUCUGUCCUAGAAUCUUUUCUAAUCCUUGUUUAUUCAUAUUUUAGAUCAUGCCUCGUAGAUUUGGAACACAAGAAAAUUUUUCUAUACCAUUUAGGGUAAUGCUGAAGGGGUGCAUCCUAUUUUGGGAUUUAUCUUUGAUUUUAUGGUCCUUUCCCUGAUAGUUAUGGAGGUCCACUAGUUGCUACUAGUCCUUCUUAAGGUGAGGUAACUAAUGGGGAAUUUUGUCAGUCUAUUUAUGCUAUUACUAAAUUGGUUAUUGCUCAGGCUGAGUAGGACAUGUCUGGUGCUUUGUUUGCUGAGGCUACAAGGGUUGGCCAAUUUAUGAAGAUGAGUCCUCCUACUUUUUCUGGAGUGAAGGUGGAAGAGGGUCCAUAGGGAUUCUUUGGAUAAAAUGUAAAAGAUAUUUUGGGUGAUGUAGGCUACCAAUAUGGAGGGGGUAAGCUUUGUAUCUUAUCAUCUCAAAGAGAUUGCAUAUCAGUGGUAUAAAGAGUGGGAUAGGCAUCGAGGAGAUGUAGAGGAGUCAUCCUUAUGGGAUGCUUUCUCUGGUGCUUUUCUGGAUCGUUUCUUUCCCGAAGAGUUUAGGGAAAUAAAUAUGGAGUAGUUUGUGACCCUCAAGAAGGGGAGGAUGUCUUUCAAGGAAUAUACCUUGAAGUUUCAUCAAUUGUCAAUGUAUGCUCCUGAUUUAGUGGCUGACAUAUGACUAGGAUAAGGAAAUUCACUUUUCAGUUGAAUCUGGAUUUGAUUUUAGAGAGAAACACUACCUUGGUGAUUAAAGACUUAGAAAUCUCUAGCUUGACUAUUCAAAUACAAUAAGUGGAGGAUUAAUAAAUGAAGUAGGUAGAGUUUAGUGAUAGGAAGGGAAAUAGGAAUAGGUUUUCUGAACUGGGAGAUGCUCAGUCUCAGGGUGGUGAGAUGGUGGCAAGUGGUAUAAAAAAAUUAGGGAAGUUCUAGUUCCUACUCUCCUACUAGUGCUCCUUGCAUUUGAGCAACAUGAUUCAUCAUAAUGGCGAUAUUUUUUAGGUACAGGGUGCCCAAUCUCAGGCAAGCAGAGGUCAGUCAGUUUCUUCAUGCCUUACUUGUCAGUUCUAUGGUCAUCCUCAUUAGGGUUAUUGCGAUGAAGGAAGGAACAAAUAUUUUAAGUAUGGCUAGGUAGGACAUCAUCUCAAGGAUUAUCCAUUUUAUUAGGUUGCUACGGGGUGAAUAAGAUUCCUUGGGCUUCAUCUUCUACUCUUACACCUAGUGGUGUUACAUCUACUUCUGUUACUGCUCUUGGUUUUAGUAUUGGUCGAAAUAGGUUGUACAUUUUGGCAUCUCAAUAGGAAUCCAAGGCAUCACCUAAUGUCGUUACUGGUACGUUAUAACUUUGCUCUUAUGAAGUAUAUUAUUUGCUUGAUCUGGAGUCUACUUUCUUCUAUGUGACUCCUUAUGUGGCUAUAUCUUUUGGUUUUGAUCCAAAAGUUCUUUCAUAUCCUUUUUUUAUUUCUACCUCAGUAGGUGACUUGGUUAUUGCUAAGAGAGUCUAUAAGGGGUGUGUGGUAUCUAUUGGUGGCAAACAGACCUUAGUGGAUCUGUUUGAGUUAGGUAUGGUAAAUUUUGAUGUUAUUCUGAGGAUGGAUUGGUUGCAUUCUUGUUAUGCAUCCUUGGAUUGUCAGACCUGUAGGGUGAUCUUUAGGUUCCUAGGUGAACUGGUUAUAGAGUGGGAGGGUGUUUCUUUAGCUCCUUGGGGGAGGUUUAUUUCUUAUCUUAGAGCUUGAAUGUUAAUCUCUAAAGGUUGUCUUUAUCACUUGGUCGGGUUAAAUAUUCUAACUCAAAAGGUCCUUCUUGCUAGUCAGUUCCAUUGGUCAAUGAGUUUUCAUUGGUCUUUUUGGAUGAGCUUCCUGGUGUUCCUCCGGAUAGGAAAAUAGAGUUUGGUAUUGACUUGGUUUUGGAGACUCAUCCAAUUCUAUUCCUUCAUAUAGUAUGGCUCCAGCUGAGUUGAGGGAACUUAAGGAGCAACUUAAGGAUCUUCUGGAUAAGGGGUUAUUCAUCCUAAUAUAGCUCCUUGGGGUGCACUGAUGUUGUUUGUACGCAAGAAGGAUAGUUCCCUUCAGAUGUGCAUUGGUUAUAGGCAGCUGAACAAGGUGACGAUCAAGAAUAAGUGUCCUCUUCUAAGGAUAAAUGAUCUUCUUGACCAAUUUCAAGGUUCCAAGUUCUUUUCUAAGAUAUAUCUUUGGUCCGAGUACCAUCAGCUAAAUAUUAGGGAGGUGUAUAUCCCUAAAAUGGCUUUUCAUACUUGGUAUGUGCACUUUGAGUUUUUGGUGAUGUCAUUUGGAUUGAGAAGUGAUUUGAUAACAUUUAUUGAUCUGAUGAACAAGGUUUUUAUUGGUAUUUGGAUCUCUUCAUCAUUGUAUUUAUUGAUGACAUUCUGGACAAUUUGAAGAGUGAGGUGGAUGAUGCUAAUCACCUCCGUGUAGUGUUGUAGACCUUUAAGGAACAACAAUUGUAUGCCAAGUUCUCCAAGUGUGAGUUUUAGUUGAACACUGUAAAUUUCUUGGGUCACAUUAUUUCUAGUGAAGGGAUCAUGGUGGAUCCAUAAAAGGUUGCUAUGGCGAAGAGGUGGCCUUGACCCACGACUCUAUCCGACAUUCAGAGCUUCUUGAGUUUAGUCGGGUAUUAUAAGCAUUUUGUGGAAAGAUUUUCAUUGAUAGCUACCCCUUUGACUAAGUUAACUAAGAAGAAGGUUAAGUUUUCUUGGUUAGAUGCUUGUGAAGGGAGUUUUGGGAAGUUGAAGGAUAAGUUAACUUUGGCUCCAAUUAUGACCUUGUCAGAAGGCAAUGAUAGGGUCGUGGUUUAUUGUGAUACAUCUCGAAUAGGUCUUGGUUGUUUUUUGAUCCAACAUGGGAAGGUGAUAUCCUAUUCUUCCAAGCAGCUGAAGGUGCAUGAGAGGAAUUAUCCUACUCAUGAUUUGGAGAUGUUCGUAGUUGUGUUUCCUUUGAAAAUAUGGUGGCAUUUUUUGUAUGGUGUUCACAUGGAUAUCUUUUAUAAUAAUAAAAGUCUACAGUAUGUGUUCACUCAGAAAGAGCUUAAUCUUAGGUAGAGGAGCUAGCUUGAGCUUCUCAAGGACUACGAUACGAGUCUUCACUAUUACCUAUAUAAGGUUAAUGUGGUUGGUGAUGCUCUUAGCAGGUUAUCCAUGGGGAGUUUGGCUUAUAUGGAAGAAAGAAAGAGGGAAUUGGUGAAGGAUAUUCACUGCUUGGCUAAUCUUAGAGUUCGCCUCUUGGACUCUAAGGAUGGUGGUGUGGUGGUGCAAGAAGUGGUUCGAUCGUCUCUUAGUUCAAAGAUUAAUGAGAAACAAUUGCUAGAUCCUAUCUUGAUGAAAAUCAAGAGUGACAUUGGUGAGCAAAAGGUAGUGGUGUUUGAUAUCAGCGGUGAUGGUACUCUACGGAACCAAAGGAGGUUAUGGGUUUUUGGUAUCGAUGGGUUGUAGCAAAGGAUUUUGGAUAAGGUACAUCAGUCGCUCUAUGUUGUUCAUCUGGGAUCGACUAAGAUGUAUCAUGAUCUCAAGGAGUUUGUUAGUGGAAUGGCAUGAAGAGGGAUAUGGAUGAUUUCUUGGCUAAGUGCAUGGUGUGUCAAUAGGUUAAGGUUGAGAACAUAAGGCUAAGAGAGUUGUAUCCAGAAAUUGAUUUGCCUGAAUAGAAGUGGGAAGUGAUCAAUAUAGACUUUGUGCCAGUCUUCCAUAGUCUCGUAGUCAAUAUUAUUUGAUUUGUCUCAUCAUGGAUAGGAUGACUAAGUCUGUGCACUUUUUGCUAGUACGGACUACCUUCUCGGCGAAGGAUUAGGCUAAGUUGUAUCUUUAGGAGAUUGUUAAGCUGCAUGGGGUGCCUGUUUCAAUUAUUUUUGAUCGUGGUACGCAAUUUACAUCUCACUUUUGGCGAUCCGUUCAGAAAGGGUUGGGGACUAAGAUUAGUUUGAGUACUGUUUUUUAUCCGCAGAUGGAUGGGCAAGCGGAGAGAACUAUUCAGACACUGGAGGAUAUGCUUUGGGCUUGUAUGAUUGAGUAUGGUGGCAAUUAGGAUGCAGAAGGUGAAGGUGAUUUGAGAUUAGCUUAAGGAUGCCCAAAGUCGCCAAAAGUCCUAUAUAGAUGUUAGACGUAAAGAAUUAGAGUUUGAGGUGGGGAUAAGGUUUUCCUCAAGGUAUCUCCCAUGAAAGGAGUAGUGCAGUUUGGCAAGAAGGUGAAGUUCAGGCCCAGGUAUUGUAACACCCCGUACAUUUCCCAAGUUCAACUUAGCAUUGAGAACAUCAAGCGUUGGAUUCAAGAGAGGAUGACCUUUCUUACAUAUAUAAUUUUCUAGUUUUAGACCCUCCAAUGCGUAGAAAAUUUAAUUAGCUUUCCAAUGAUAUAAGAUGCGCCCAAAUUCGAUAAUCGAGUGAGAAGUUAUGGCUAUUUUAAGUUUCAGUUAUAAAAUACCAUCAUUUCGUCCACUAGCGCAUCGCGGAGAGGGUUUAAAUGACAAUUAUGAAUUUCCAGUGAGACUCUGUGACUUUGGCGCGUCGUGGAGAGGUCCAAAUUCCCAGUUGUCCAUUUUCAGUGGACCAACACGAUACUGGCGGGUCGCACCAGUGGCCAAAAUGGCAAACUAAAGGGCACUGCAAUUGUGGCAUGUCGCGGUGACCACCCAGUUUAGAAAAUGUUACAUUUUUCCAGUCCAUUUAGGAGUUUAAAGAAGGUAUUUUGGUAAAUUACCCAGCCCCAAUCCGUUUAAAACAUAAAAUUAAAUCAUAUUCCAAGCACUUUAUGUUCAUUAUUUAUCAUUCUUUUCAAAAGAAAAACCCUAGAAACCAAAAGGUCCUUCUCCAAGAAACCCAAUUCCUCCAUUGAUUCUCCAAGGCAAUUCAAGAUUAAAGAUUCCCAACUCAAGAACUACAAGAAUUCAACUUUAAAAGCAUCAAUAGUGAUCCAAUAUUCAAGUCUUAGCAUCUAGUUUAUCAAUUGAGGUAUGUGGGGUUUUCAUCAAGGAUAAUCCUUUUAUCCUUGUGCCUAAAACUUAUUUUAAUUACAAAUUUACUGAAUUUUAUGCGAUUUUCCAUGAAAUUGAAGUUAGGGUUAUACCCGAUAUUGCUAUUUAUGAGAUUAUGAGAUUUCCAAUGUUUUUGAAGUUGAAUUACAUGAUUAUGUUCAUAUUUUCAUACAUAUUAGAGAAAUUUCUAGAUUUUGAAUUUAUUUUCAAUAUUUACAUUAUCGAGCAUGAGCAUUUUGAUGUUUAUUAUCAGUUUGAUGCAUGGGUCAUUAAGCCCUAAUUAAAGAUUGCUAUUUCGAGCUUUGUUGUGCUAUAAGCACCCUAUGACUAGAUUCCUUUUCGAUUAUUGAUAAAGAUUUGACCUUUUGGUCUUAAAAUAGAUAUAAAAUCCACUUUACAGAUUUAGAUUACAGACUUAGCUUUGCAGAUAUACAGUUAGAUUUUUCAUUAUAAGCCAUUAGACUAUUUUAAAAGUGGAUUUCCCUCAUAAUGAGAAUAUAGAUCUAAUGGGAGUAGUAUUUAGCACCGAGAAGGGUACGUUACUAUGGUUUCAUACCCCAAAACUAUGUACCAAUGUAGGAUUUCGAUUUUUCCCACUUUUAUAUGGAUGACAGAUAUGUGAUCACUUAGAUAGGUUAUACUCCCUGGCAAGAGUAUGUCUCUUCUCCCCAACAUGAGGAUUCCUCCUUAGGGGGACAAGAAUGUUGGACUCCAUGAAUGCUCACAUGGUUUAUGUCGGUUAAGAGAACCUCCCUUCAGAUAAAGUAUUUUCCCAUGUAGAAUAAGUUUUCAGAUUUCACUUAGCCUAGAUGAAUUGAAAAUAAGAACAAAAUACAGAUUUUUAGAACUAAGUGUUAUGACUCACAAGAUUUUCAUUAUAUGCUUUACUAUUCAUAAUUUAUGAUCUUCAGAUUUCAGAUUACUCAAGCCUAUGUGAGUCAUUUACCUUUAGCAUACAUGAUUUUAUAAAUUGUGAUGAUAUUGCUUACUGAUUACAUUCACCCCCAUAUAUUGAGUACAUUCCCAAAGUACUGAUCCACAUAUACGUUUAUGUGCUACAUUGUCUCAUAAUGUAGGUUCAGGUGCUUAGUCUCAUUAGCAUGAGUGAUUCAAGCAUCUCAUCUACACCCCUGCAGUUGGUGAGUCCUCAUACUUUGGGAACUUUGCGAUUAAGAUUUCUAGUUUAUUAGUAGAUGAUUUAGUAUUCAUUCCAGACAGUUUAAGUCAGCUGGAGCCUGUCCCAUUGGCUCUCUAGAUUCAAUCAGUAGAGGCUUAUCGGACUACUAGAUCCAAUUUUAGCUUUUUGUUGCUAGUAUUCAAAUUUGUAAUAUUUGCUUUAUCGGACUGAUGAGAUUAGUAUUAUCAAAUAAUUCAGAUAGUAUUUUGCAUCUAUUAUUAUUAUUAUACAUUCAUAUUCCCUUAUUUCGAGAUUCAGGUUUAGUAUAAGGUAGCCAGGGUUAGCUCAGGACUACUUAUAGUUCGGAGCACUAUGUGGCAUCUCGGGAAUCAGAUUUUGUGGCGUUACAUGUAUAUGGGUCCUUAUGAGAUUUUUUAGAGAGUCGGUAAUAUGGAUUAUGAGCUGGAGUUUCCUUUUAUCUUGAGCUUGGAUCAUCUGGUCUUUUAUGUUUUGAUGGUGAGAAAGUUCGUUGGUGAUCCUUCUUCUAUUAUUCCUUUGGAAGGAUUGGGUCUCACCGUUUCUUUAUCUUAUGAAGAAAUCUCGGUUGAGAUCUUAGAUAAGUAGGUUUGUCGGCUUUGGACCAAGGAUUUGGUUUCGGUUAAGGUUCUUUGGUGGAACCAUAAUGGGGAAGAAGCUACAUGGGAAGCAGAAGAGGACAUGAAAUCCAAAUAUCUAUAUUUGUUUUCUGCUCCUGGGAUUCGUACAGAAGGUAUAUGCCUUCAACACAUCUUUAUUUUUAGAGUUUGUUAAAGGAAAGAUUAAUAUCUUUGCCUCUUUAUUUUCGAACUUUGUUAAAGAUUGGGAAUAUGUUUGAUAGCAUAAUACAAAUGACUCGUGCGCGUGGUUGACCCUACCUUGUCCGUCAUUCGGGGAUGAAUGUUCCUAGUAGGGGAAACUAAAACACUUUGGUUUCUGAACCUUAGACAAUUUCCUGGGAUUCUAAUCUCUAGACCCAAUACAACUCAUGGGUAUAAGCUAUAUGUUGGGGUACAUAUGGUAUGGUCCAGUUGUAUGCUGACCAGUGUUGGUUGGUGUGAUGGAUUUUGGUUACUGGAAUGGAUACGACUUAGGGGUAUGAGUCGUAUUGGUAAUUUCAGAUUAUUUUGUUCCUUAACUUAAUCUUAAACUUGGUUACUUAGGUUAGAUAUGAGUGAGAGUGGAUCACCAUAAGUUGUAAGCUAGGGUACGAGUCGUACUCAGGACUCAUAUAGUGGACAGUGUAAAUCUUCCAGGGGAACGGGUUAAAGGUACGAAUCGUAUGCUUUGGAUAUUACUUGGUUGGAUGAGUCGUAUGUUGGAAAGAUGUUUAAUCCAAAGGUUGAUGCUUAGGGUGCGAGUGAAGGGUACCACUUGGUUCAAAAGGUACGACUCAUCUGGGUCAGUCGUACUCCCUGUGAUGGGAUUAUGGUGCAGCUUAAGUGGGGGUAUUUUGGACAUUUUCCCACUUAUCCUAAUAAGGCCCCACGACUUCUAACUUAAUUGGGAGGUUAUUUACCCUAUUAUUCCAUUCAUUAACACUUAGAAACUUUUCAAAAACACUCCAUAAUUCUCUCAAGAGCUUUUUGGCAAGGGAAGGUAGGGUUUCAACUAAAGGAUCAAUUUGGGGCUUCUCUUGAUUGUAUGAUUUUAGUUUUCAAAUAUAAAUUGGGGGUUUUGAUAUUAAAUGGUUGGUUAUGGUUUUCCAUGAUUUUAAUUAUGCUUUUAUAUACAUUAAUGGUGGAUUUGGAUAAUUGGAUUUCAUGGGAAUGGCUUAGUGGUAAUUGGAAUUGGUUUUGGUCAUAUUAUGCCCCUCAUGUGUUUGAUAAAAUGCUUAUAAAGAUAUGUUCAUUGCAUUGACUACUUUUAAUGGAACUCUUGCUUGUUUUAAAACUUUGUAAGAGAAUUAUGCAUGGUUUAAAGGGAUUGGAAUGGUAAAUGGAUAAUGGUUAUAUUUGAGGAUUACAUGAAAUCCCCCAAGUGGUUUAAUAUGGUAAAUGGAAGGGUACUUAAAAGUCCCCUUAAACCUAUAAGUGGUUGUCUAUAGAUGAUACUUGGAAAUAAGGGUUGGUAUGAUGAUACCAAUAUCAAUGGCCUUGGUUAAUACAUGAAAAGUGUUUUGGAUAUUUGGAGAUGUGUUUUAAAUGGGAAAUAAUGGUGGGAUGUGUAGUAAAACCAUGGAAGGUUAAGGUUCUGGGGGUAUCAAAACUGGAAACUUAUAUUUUUCGAUAUGAGGUUGUUCUUGGUGACUUGUGCAUGAUGUCAUACUAUAUUUUGUGGGAUGUACUAGCCAUCCCAAGGGUUUCUUCCCUGGUUGUGCGGCUACACGCACUGGGACCCUUUUAGUAGGGGGAGAUGAACCCAUAUAGCCGGUGAGUGGUUUAGGACAGCAAAGCUACACAACUCAGGUAAACGUUUUAAAGGCAUGCUAAACCCGGUCCCUUUUCCCGGCAUGGUUAUAUAUAUAUGUAUGGUUGUUUGUAUAAUGAUGGUUUUACUUGGUUCCAUAAAUAACAUUAUUUUAUCCUUACCCUAAGAUCAUUCUAGCGGUCUCUCGCUAACCCCGUCUACUAGAUCCUGUAUACCCACACUAUGCAAGAACCAGCCGUUCUACUCCUCCUACAUAGUGAUUGACUCGGGGACAACAUUAGGACUGAAGUGGUGAGCUUCCAUCCUUUCAGAAGGCUCCAUUUUAUGUUAUGGAUAUUUCUAGAAACUUUUUUUUUUUAGAUAUUUGUUUUGACUGAGGCACUACCCCUCCAUUCUAUCAUGGGCUCAUUAGGGAACUAAAAUUCGAUUAUUCCGUUUCUACAAUCAACAGAGGUAGAACAAGAGUGGAGCUAAUCCAUGUCGAGAAUGACAUCAAAAUCAGACAUCUCUAACUCUACAAGGUCUACUGAGGUGACUUUCUAAGACAUUAUGACUGGGCAAUUGCUGUAUACCCGUCUUGCUACAUAAUAUAACUAACUACCCACUGGAGUAGACACUGAGAAAGGUUCUACUAAGAUUUUGGGGCUGACGGCAAAAUCUACCACUAUAUAGGGAGUCACAAAAGAAAGUGAAGAUCCCUCCAGGGUUUAAUACUGCAUAAACAUGAAGAUAGAAAACUCAUAACGUACCAGUUUCAACUUCAGGAGAAAUUUUCUGAUUCUGUGGAGUCUGGAGAGAAUAGAGUCAGUUUUGGAGCUGCCCACUGGUAGCACUAGAGGUGGCGCCCAGCUGGAGCUGAUGAGAACCUAGACUGGCGCAGUUGACAAAAGUCUUUACCCUUCUGGACAAUCAUUGGGCAAUCCUUAAUGUCGUGGCCUGACUUUGUACAAACACGCAUCACUAUUGUCCUAUACUUACUCUGGUGGUUCUUAUCACACUUCUUGUAGACUGGGUUAGUACGACCACUAUUUAUACUGUCAUAGGACUUAGAGUCUGGUGCUUUACCCUAUUUAUCCUGUCUGUACUUAGGCACUGGAGCAAUUUCCAAAGAUGAGGAUAGGGAUAAAUAUUUUUGACGGAAUUGGGAAUGAUUACCACCUUCUGACCUUUUUAAAGAAAAGUUGAAGCUACCCAUUCUGGCCCUCUUAUUCUCUUUUUUUUUCUUUGAGCUUCUGUUCCUCAAUCUGCUAAGCAUGAAUCAUCAGUCUAGAAAAGUCCAUCUCCUUAAUCAAUAUAGCACUUUUACACUCCUUAACCACAUCCUUCGAAACUCCAUGCAUGAACUUACUUAUUUUAGCCCUAGAAUCAGCCACCAUAGUUGGAGCAUACCUCCCUAACUGGGUAAACUUGAGUGAGUAAUCUUUCACACUAAUAUUUACCUGCUUCAAGUUAAUAAAAUCUUGUAAUUUGUCCUUCCUCAACUCAAGUGGGAAGAACCUGCCCAGGAAAGUAGUAGCAAAUUCACCCUACUCUACAAACCAUGCAUCAAUACCUCUAUACUUUUUCCACUGCUUAACCCAAGUAUGAGCCAUCCCUUGCAACUGGUAAGCAGCUGAGUCAGCACUCUCACUCGGAGUAACACCCAUGAUAUCAGUCACCUUUUGCACACAAUGAAGAAACUCCUAGGGAUCCUCCUUAUACUUGAAUCCAGAGAAUACUGGUGACACGACCCAAACUCGAGCCUUGUCUUAAUGGUCAAUCUCAAGUCCAACCCAAACCAAACACCACCACGAUACCUAACCCAACCAACCAAAAUAUAUCCUGAGUCGGAUGAACUCUGAACAUAUAACAAGAUAACAUAUCCACCAUGUGGUGAUUUUGGGAUAAGCCUAUAGCCAAGGCCAACCCAACCAAGUCAAUCCACCCAAUAACCAACCAAUCCAACCAAACCUACCAAUAACCAUGUCAAACCAUAAAAGUCCACAACUGUCCAUACAAACCCUAUAAACAAACCAAAAGAGUACCAAGUCGGGACAUGCCUAAGACCUAGCCAUAAUCUAAGUCUAUGAAAGACAAAAGUACAUAAAGUAAUCCAUGAUAUGAAAUAGAUGCCUUCCAAACUAUGGAACCUCACCACUUCAAUCCAAUAGCUGAUCUCGAAUUCGAUCACUAAGUAGGAGGAGUAGAAUGGACGAUUCCUGCAUCACGUGGGGAUACAGCCACCCGAGGAUAGGUUAGCGGGUGAACGCUAGCAUGAACUCAGUAUAAAGAUAAAAUAAUGUCACUUAAUAAAACCAAGUUAAAAAUCCAUAUGCAUACAAACCAUACAUAUAUAUAACCAUGUCGGGAAAGGGAAUCGAGUUUAGAUGCAUUAAAACCAUUAACCUGGGUAUGUGAAGCUUAACCAUCCUAAAACCACCCCUGGGCUAUAUGGGUCCAGUGUAACCCGCUGAACAAGCCCAUAUGUAUGUCGCCGCACGAACCGGAGAUACCAUAAGAGUCAGGGAUUCCCAUGUACCCUUCACUUUCUAUGAUGCAUAUGUAUAAUAUACCCCACAAGGUUUUCAAAUAGACCAACCAUAACCACCAAUACCUUACCAUUUGACCACUCCAAUCCAUUUUAAACCAUUCCAAACAUUUCAAACAUUUAUAUAAUUCAAACCAUUUAAACCAUCCAAAUUCAUUCAGGGUUCUAUUACCAAACCAAACCAUGCAAGAGUUCCAAUGAAAGUUCAACAACAGAGUAAAAACAUCCUUUUAGGCAUUUUAUCGAACAUGUUGAGGGCAUAUCUUUAUCAAGACCAAAUCCACAGCAUAAACCAUUAUAAUUAGGGUUAUUCAUAACCCAUUUGUUAAAACUCGACCAACAAGCACCCACAAGUGCAAACCAUUACCAAAAACAUGCCAAAAUAUAGUUUAAACCAAUACCAAAUAAUAUGCAUCAAGACCCUUAACAUUGUUUCAAAACCACCAUUUAUGAUUCCUAAAUCAAUGUUUAUAACACAUUAAUCAUGCCUAUGGUUGGACGUAACAAUGAGGGAAGAGAACAUGACUUAUAAAAGAAGAUUCCAAAGAGAAACAUAUCUUUUGAGCCCUUUCGAAGAACACUUGAGAAACCUUAGCCUCCAAUCUUUAAGAGUGAGUUUGAGAGAGUAUUUCGAGUGUUUCUAUCCUUUAACAGGAGUUAUGAGAGGCCACCAAAGGUUGUAUAAUGUGAGGACAUAAGGGUUUUGAAGUAAGAAUUGUCCAAACUACCCUUGUCUUAAAAUUAAAACUGGCCACGAUGUACGACUUACCCAUGCCAUCCAUACCUUAGGGUAUGAGUGGUACCCCAACUCAUACCCAAGACCUUGCCAAGACCCUACACACUAGUUCCUAUACUAAUUCACCCACUUUACUCGUACGUAAAAGUAUCAGUGGUACAACAAUCGUACCCACAUCUCGUACCAUGGACAGAUUCUACAAGACCAACUAAUAAACAAUAUACGACUUGCCUUGCACCUUUCGCAUCCUUUUAUAUGACUCGUACCUUGUUGAGUCAUACCUUAGGUAGUAACUAAUCCAAACACACUGCCUAGUGUAUGAGUAAGCCACCUAGCCACCCCCUAAGUUGUAUCCAAGGGUACGAUUGGUACCCUUAAGCCGUACGAAGCCUAGUAAGUCCAAAACUCAAGAAUUUUUGCAAGGGUCCAAAUCCUGGGGUGUUAUAGUCUCCCCCACUAGGAUCAUUCGUCCUUGAAUGACGGAUAAGGGUAGGAAUAAACAUGAGAUAACACAUCAACUUUCCCUUAACCAAAAUAGAAGACAAGGGUAUUAACCAAGAUGAGAAGAUCAUUACCUUACCUAAUUACGAUAUACACCCCAACACUUCCAUCUCGACCUCUAACCAAUUAGGAAACAAAGAUGCAAGAGGAACUAUUCCUUACCUUUAACCAAGUUAGAAAAUAAAGAUGUGUUGAAGAACAUAUACCCUAGCAUGGAUUUCCAUAACAAAGAACCAACAUGGAUACUUGGACUUCAUGUUUUCUUUCGCCUCCCAAAUGGCUUUCUCGAAUUUUGGGUUUCACCAUGGAACCUUUACCGAAGCCUCACCUUUCGUUCGCAACCGGCGAACUUACCGAUCCAAGAUCCUCACAAGGACCUCCUUAAGGAACAAGAAAUCCAUGAUAUCAAUACCAACCAAAGGAACCAACCAACCUUGGACAAUCCAUACCUCACCUCCACUCGAUACAUAGAUUAUCGGAUGAACAGACUCAUGUUAAAGAGCAAGUACAAUUCGAUUUAUAAUUUACCAAGAAACUCCACCAUAAGAGCUUGAGUAUAACUAUACACCAUAACUUCCAUGUUCAAACCUAUCCAAAGUUAAAAGGAGUUAACUUAGGUCAUCGAGCUCUACUCCUUAAAUCUAUCUCAAAACAUUACACCGCUUCCAUCACCAUUAUAAUAUAGAAACCAUGAGUAAAGAACAUGGACAAACCAUAUCCAACCAUCUUAAGCAAACCCCCAACCUAUAAUUGAACACCCAAAACCAUACAACUAUGAUGCCAUGAAAUCAAUUUAUAAAACAUACAUUCCCAUGCCUCUUAAGUACCUAAUACAACUAUGUGUAUAUCUACCUAUCACAACAUUCAAGCCUAGUACUUAUAUACUCGCGGUAUGAUCUAUCCUUCCAAAUAUCUAGCACCCUUUUUUAACUUUCACCAAGGUUUCCACCACCUAUUCCUUUCCUAACCAAUUCUCAUGAAAACAACCUUACUUCAACUUCCAAAACUUGGGUUAUAGUAAUCCCCCUAGAAUCUUCCCCACUUAGGUACUUUUAUAUUCCCUUUUUCAAAAUAUCGCCAUGCUCCCUAAGCUACUACCACCCUAAUAUAAGGUGAGUUAUUAAAGAACCCAAGUAUAAGAAUUUUUCCAUGCCACCUAAGGCAAGACCCCCAAAACAAGACACGACACUAUAGGCAUGAAGUGCUUUAUAAAAUCCACCUAGGUCAUAAUGAAGAAACAUCACGACCAAACCAGGCCAUAAAAGGAGUCCUGAGACUAGACACUGAAAGGAACACAAUUACAGGUAAUGUAAAUUAAGGCUAAGACUCAUAUCUAGGGAACAAGGCGAGCACAAAAUCCAAACCUUAGGCAUAAGAAUGCGCGUAACACUAGUAGAGUUCUCUCUUAACCAAGAUAGAAGAGUAUCACUAGAAUAUACGAUCCGAACUUUCCUUGAAGUCCACUGGUAUAAGAAAGCUUUAGAUUAACCAUCAAUAUUCACCCCAUUACACCUACAAGCACAAUACUCUGCCUUAAUGGUUAUAACCAAAGGCGUACACCGAGGAUACUUGGUUAUCCUAUACCUAAAACCUUAGUCAUCCCACUGCUACUUAGAGCCCAAUAUAGACAUGCAAAAACCAUUAGACCAAAUUGACUCCAAGAUUUCCAAUUAAACCAAAACCAUUUAAAAUCAAACCAUGGCCACCAAGGCCUUUCCAAAAUCAUUUGAAUCCAACCAAAACUGAUUCAUGCUUCCUUAAUCAUUUAUGCAAUGCAAUGAUUCAAGAAUAGUCAAACUAUAUGACAAAAGUAUAUUCAAAGGAAAAUUUCACAAACAGUUUGAGGGUAUAUAAUCUCCAAUACCAGAACCAAGUAAUUGGGGAAUCCAUAGUAUCCCAAAAUUCAUUUACCAUUCCCAUCCAUCCCAAAAUGUUUAUAAACAUUAAUAAAGCAUGAAUAAUGCAUCAUAAUUCAUGGAAAAUCAAUUAAAUGAGUAAUCUUGUCAAAGCCCUUAAUUUGUGCCAAAGCCCACUUUCAAAACCAUGAAUUUAAUGAUCAAUUUUAGGCCAACAAUAAAGUACAAAUUUAGGGACAAAGAUACAUGCAAGCUCUAUGAUCUAACCCAGUGAAUGACUAGAUCCCUAGUCCCUCUGUUUUACCUAAACUUCCAGACUAUAUAUCAUAACUUUCCCCAAGUUAUCAAUCUCACCCCCGUUAAAAUUCUCAGGUUGCUAUCCCUAAGCGAACUACUUCCUUUUUACCAAGAUCAAGCACCUGGGUUUUAUCCUAGGAUAGACCAACCACCAUGUACAACUAGCAAAGUACCCAUAUAGAAUAUACCUAUGCAUGGUCCACCCCACAAGUAGGACACUCCAAAUCCCUUAUUCAACCACCAACAACCUAUUCAUUUCGGGGGAACCAUUCCCCUUAUGCAUGAAAACACAAAAGCAACCCAUGGAGAAGCACCAGAAUAGAUGGAACCUUUAUCUAAAAGAUCCCUUAAUUGUUUCUUUAACCCAAUCAUAACCAUUAUAUAAAGAAAGAAUAAAAAUUAAACAAAUAUCCGAAAUAAGACCAAUCCUAAACCAACCUCCCCACUAGAAAGACACCAUGAGGUUCAUCAAGAAGACCUUAGGAAAUUCAGUCACCACUAAAGCUGAAUGCAAGGAAAGACCUUCCGAGUUAGAAUUUUUAACCCGGACCAAAUAAUAAAGACACCCCUUUGGAGACCGAUCUCCGAGUUCUAAGAUAUGAUAUAACCUUUCCCCUAAUAAUAGGGAAUGAAACUACCCUCCCAUUCCAUAACUGACUUACAAGGGAGCCAAAGACAACCCUUACAAAUUCAACAACCUAAUGAGGUAUAGCACCAGUGCAAUAAAUACAUCCCCCGAAUGACAUUGAAAUCCUCCAUAUCUGAGUCAAACAAAUUCACCAAUACCCCUUUAUUACCAACAGAGACCACACACCCCUAUAGACUCAUUUGGAAAUAGUAGAGUCACCAACCGGGGAAGAAACAAAAGAAGAAAAGAGUCCAAAAUGACCUUGGGACCAAACCAAAAAUACACAACCAUAAAUAGGGAAACCAAAAAAAAGGACCCUAAAACAAGUACACCAUAAAGAAAGGAGUUUUCAACAUACCAAUAUUAGAAUUAAAAUAUGCCUCGAACACCCGAGGGAUAGUAAGAACAUUGAGAUGCUGUCGACCAGUGUCAGAGCCAUAAGUAGCACUCUUGGGUGCAGGAGCUAGAGAAGUAGCAACCAAGACCCUAUUUGCCCAAGCGCCAAGCCUUAUGGGACAGUGCUAUUGUAUAUGACCCAAUUGACAUAACUAAAACACCAAUUAUUUCCUUCUUUGCAGUAACUACGAUGAGACCGACCAUAAAAAUCUAUAAAGAAGAUAGGAUAAUGCGGAUUGGGCCCCAUUUGCCCAAGAUUAGGCACCUUGUACCCUAGAAAAAUUUACCAAUCUAAAACCACUUGGCUCCCAAUAGAUUUAGGCAGGGAGGACAAGCCAUAGAACAGGAGUGAGACCUACCCAACUCUUUUUCUUGGUCUAUUUACCACCAUACCAUUGGUCUCCCAUUCAUCUAGAAAUUGAGAUCCCCUCACCUUACCCAUUUCUCAACCUUACCUCAUUCCUUCCCGUACCAAUAGGAACAAACUGGCAUGACAUAAUUAUCACUAUCUGGGUCAAUAGGUUAAUAGAUUACCAAAACCCGACAUUAGUAAACUCCUCUUAAGGUAAUCGAGAAUGAGUGCCUCCUUCUGAGAUAGGGUUAGUGGAGACCAGUAAAACUCUAUGGUGUAAACCAGAAGCUGUGACCCUUGAUCGAGUCUGUGCCCCAUGAGUUGGACUAGAUCUAUCCAUGUUGUCCUUGACUAGGACGGGCAAGUUUCCACAAACUUUAGGUCAUAGAGAGGGCAUGAUCCAAAAAGUGAACCAAAGAUGAUUCAAGGAAGAGUUAAAGACCAUAGACUCCAUAACCCUAAUUUAGAACACCAAGAAAGUGAAACAUUCCUAAAUGCCUUGUAGCCUCCUUAUUAUAAGUGUGGUUCAUGACAUACCCAUGGGCAAGGCUCUACUAAACACGACUUUGUGGACACCCCAUGACAUUAAAACCUAAAGCUCUGAUACCAACUUGACAUAAUCGAAAUAAGAGGCUCGUCAUAAUGGGCAAUCUCAAGUCCAACCUAAAUCAGAGACCAUCCCCGAUACCCAACCCAACCAACCAAAAUGUAUCUUAAGUCAGAUGAAAUUCAAACAUAUAACAAGAUAAGAUAUCCAUCAUGCGGUGUUUGCGGGAUAAGACUAUUUUCGAGAACAACCCAACGAAGUCAAUCCACCCAAUAACUAACCAAUCCAACUAUACCAACCAAUAACCAUGCCAAACCAUAAGCCAAAACUAAGAAAAUAGCCUAAUGUAUAUUUAUAUAUAUAACACAACAUAAUCAAACCAUACCCAAGUCCACAGCUAUCUAUAAAAAACCUCUAAAUGAAACCAAAGAGUACCUAGUCGAGAUAUGCCCCCGACAUAGCAAUAAUCCAAGUAUAUGAAAGACAAAAUUACAUAAAGUAAUCCAUGACAUGAAAUAGAUGCAUUCCAAACUAUGGAAGCUUACCACUUUAAUCCAAUAGCUGAUCUUAAAUCCGAUCACUAAGUAGGAAAAGUAGAAUAUCCGAUCCCUAUAUCGUGUGGGAAUAUAGGCAUCUGAGAAUUUGUUAGAGAGUGAAUGCUAGCAUGAACUCAAGAUAAGGAUAAAAUAAUUUCAUUUAAUAAAACCAAGAAAACCAUCCAUAUGCAUACAAACCAUAUAUAUAACCAUGUCGAAAAGGGAUCCGGGUUUAGCUUUCAUUAAAACCAUUAACAUGGGUAUGUAAAGUUUAACCAUCCUAAAAUCACCCAUGGGCUAUAUAGGUCAAGUAUAACCCUCUGAAUGAGCCUCGAUGCCUGUAGCCGCAUAAACCAAAGAUACCAUAAGAUUUGGGGAUUCCUAUGCACCCUUCACUCUCCAUGAUACAUUUGUAUAGUGUACUUAGAGAAUUCCUUUGUACCUUAUAGUAUCAUAAAAGGGUCGCCAUGCCUUACCCCUCAUGUCAGCAAAUAUGAGUUUCUAGUGUUUGUCCAUUGGACUCCAACCUUCAUGGUUAGCUUUCACACCUUACCAUUAUUUCCUAAUUAAAACCAUUUCCAACCAAACCAUUAUUAGAUUAUUAUUAACUAAGGAUAUUAGAUUAUGGUAUCGUCAUACUGAAUACAACUUACAGUUAAUGUCCUUAGCUAAACCUUUUAGUAAUCAAGGAAGACCCAUGUACCCAUAGAUCACAUUGUUCAAUUCACUUGGGGGAUUCCCAUGUACCCCACAAGUAUUUCAUUAUGAUAUUAGCUUAGGGGAUUUCCUUGUACCCCAUAAGUAUGUUUAUUAAGCCAACCAUUGUUCAAACCAAUUUCAUUAAUCCAAUCACUUGGGGGAUUCUUACAUACCCCACAAGGUUUUCAAAUAGACCAACCAUAACCACAAGGACCUUACCAUUUGACCACUCCAAUCCAUUUUAAACCAUUCUAAACAUUCAAAUCAUUUAUAUAAUUCAAACCAUUUAAACCAUGAAGAACCAUCCAAAUCCAUCCAGGGUUCCAUUACCAAACCAAACCAUGAAAGAGUUCCAAUGAAAGUUCAACAACAAAGUAAAAACAUCCUUUUAGGCAUUUUAUUAGACAUGUUGAGGACAUACCUUUACUAAGACUAAAACCAAAGCAUAAACCAUUAUAAUUAGGGUUACUCAUGACCCAUUUGUUAAACCACGAGUAAUAAGCACCCACAUGUGCAAACCAUUACCAAAAACAUGUAAAUCAUAAUUUAAACCAAUACCAAAUAAUAUGCAUCAAGACCCUCAACAUUGUUUCAAAACCAACAUUUAUGAUUCAUAAAUCAAUGUUUAUAACACAUUAAUCAAGCCUUUAGUUGGAACUAACAAUAAGGGAAGAUAACUUACCUUAUACAAGAAGAUUCCAAAGAGAAAAAAUACUCUUGUGCCCUUUUGAAAAACACUUAAGAAACCCUAGCCUCCAAUCUCCAAGAGUGAGUUUGAGAGAGAAUUUGGAGUGUUUCCAUCCCUUAACAAGUUUUAUGAGAGGCCACCAAGGGUUAUAUAAUGUGAGGACAAAAGGAGUUUUAAGUAGUAAAUGUCUGGACUACCCUUGUCUUAAAAUUAAAACUAACCAUGAUGUACGGUAAACUUACCCAUGCCAUCCGCACCCUACAGUACGAGUGGUACCCCAACGCAUACGCAAGACCUUGCCAAGACCUUACACACCAAUUCCUAUAUGACUUCACCCACUUAACUCGUACCUUAGGGUAUGAGUGGUGCACCAAACCAUACCGACAUCUGAGACCAUGGACAGAUUUUACAAGACCAACUAACAAGCAACAUGCGACUUGCCUUGUACCUCUCGUAUCCUUUUAUAUGACUCAUACCUUGUUGAAUCAUACCUUGGGCAGUAAAAAAUACACCCACACUACCUAGUGUAUGAGUGAGCCACCUAGCCACUCCUAACUUAAAUUCAAGGGUACAAUUGGUACCCUUGAGCCGUACCAAGACUAGUAAGUCCAAAACUCAAGAAUUUUUACAAGGGUCCAAAUCUCGGGGUGUUAUAACUGGGGUUUCAUCUAAGUAAAAUCUCAGAUCCUAGUAGAUGCUAGGUUCACUACUGGAUUGACUAGGGAAGCAACCUGCUGAUUAUUCUAAGCGAUCAUAGACUGGGCUAAAAAUGUAAAAGUAGUCUAAAUUCAACACGGGUUACAUGAUCGUUCAAAGGGUUUUUAGGGACAGAUAGCGGUGCACAUUGGUCCCUAUUUAUCCUUUAUUAUUCCUUUUGAGAGGCAUUUUCUAUAAAUAUAUGAAAGAUGAGUUAGAAAAGGAAAUUCAAUAGAGAUCAUGCUCCACCGAAUGACAUGAAUACUGGAAGAAGGGAAACUUUCCUAAAACAUCCUGUAGCAUCUCAUCCAUAAGUAUGGCAUGCUUUACACUUAUGCAAAAGACUCUAUUUAACACGUAUUUCAAACACCCUAGUACACUUUAAACAUUGGGUUUUGAUACCAAGUUUGUCAUUCUCCGCGACUACCCGUUAGUUAUGACAUGAUGCUUAAGGCCACAAGUGACCCCAAGCUAACCCAUGAUCUGGGACAUUCUAUGUAGACUGAAAGAAAAUAACAAAAUACUGUGCAAAAGUCAUUCAUUAAAAUAUCUAAAUAUUAAAACAAUAACAAAGGUGCUAAAUAGUCAUUACUGAAAACAUACUAACUAUUUGACUAUUUGAAAGCCUCUAAACAUGAGGAGUUUAUAGGACAAGUUCUCAACUAACUUUAACUACUGAAAUAACAUGAAAUAAGGUACUAGAAAACAUAACAAAUAAUAUGAAUAGUCCUUGUCUGAUAAGGACUCACCAAACCUGCAACUGAGUGAUACAGGAAUGGACUACGUGCGAUCUAGAAAUUGAGUGUUCAAACUUAUAUUGUGAAAUAAAUAUAGCACAAAAGGGAGUAUAUGAUUAGUGAUUUGAAUGUACUAGUAUGAAAGAUAGGGACUAACUGAAAGAAAUAUAAAUACUGAGCAUGAAUGCAUAAAUAUGUAAAACAACUGCAAGACCAAGUAAAGCAUGUGUUGAAAUAACCUAUAAAACUAAAUAACUAAUAAACUGAACACUUGGUCAUGGAAACCUGAGAUGAUGUGGUCUGAAUACUAAACUAAGAUUAUGGGAGCUAACAUUUAACGACAUGCCUUAAUUAGAGCUAAUCAGGCUCCAACGUGUAACCCCAGUUGGAAGGGUGUCAGUACCUUGCCACAGGUAUCGACAUUAGCUAUAGGGAUCUACUAAGCUGAUGUCCCAAAAGACUAGGGUGUCACCCGCGACUAGCAGGUUCCCUUAAGACAGUAUCAACCCUAUAUUAGCAAGAAUACCUCUCAUACCUAUGUUGGCUAAAUAGUUUCAAAAAUCAAGGUGUGUUACUAAAGGUCUCACCUUUGACUAUAAGGUAACCCUUCAUCCCUAGGUUUGCUCGAUGCUAAGUUCUAUUCCCAACUGAACAAACACAAGAACAUAAACUAGUACAUGCAAUGAUAACUGAUUUGAUCAAAUAUGAUUUUCUGAAAAUAACAAUGCAUGCAUAAUCUGAAGUAAUCAUGAACCUGUUAACUGAUGUAUUUAGCAUGAUAUAAUAUUGGUGAGUAUUCAUUAUGAAAAUAUUAUAAAUUUCUUGGUACAAACAUGGUAUGAAUAACUUGAAAUCUUGAAAGCUGUAGCAUGCAUGAUCAUCUAGGAAUUGGGUGUUCAUAACCCACCAUGGAAAAUAAAACUAAAUAUGAUAAUUUCAAAGUAAUGACAUGAUAAAAAAUUUCAUGACUUAAACUCAAGAUUCCAACAAUUUCAUCAAUGUAAUGUAUUACCAUGAUUAAAGUUCAAAAGAAUACUUGAAGUUAUGUAGGACCGCUAUUGCAUGGCUAAAUUCAAGAAUUACAUAGAGGAAUCCUAGAAUUUAUAAUUGUCAUGGAACUCUAAAUGAAAAGGGAAAUUAAACUUGAAAAUUGGGGAAACUUUGGGACUCAAAGGCUGAAAGGAACCCUUUGAUGAAUAUCCCACAUACCUGAAUUGCUUGACUCCUUGAAUGGACUUAGAUUUGAUACCUUGAGAGGGUGAAUUCUUGGGAGAAACCUUUGUUUUGGUUCUUGAGAGUGGGAGAGAAAUAAAUGGCGCUAACUGAUUGAGAAAGGGGUAAGUUAUGCUUAUUUGGGGUUCUUGGUCGUGAAUUGAGUGUUUAAAGAAGAGUAAAUGACCAAAAAGCCCUUAGGCUACACAAUUUUACACAACCUCUGUGACACGCUGCCUAGCACGGAGGCUAGCCUCUAUGGCAUACUACUUAUUGCGGAGGCACACUGCCUUCGUGCCAUGCUACUUAUAAUAAAGCGAUGCCUCCAUGACAUAGUGUAAACACAAAGGCAUUCUGCCUCAAUUGUCUGAAAUCACCCCAAACCUAUUUUUAAAAAUUUCAAAACUCACUCAGAUGACCCUUUUGAUAUCCCUAAACAUAUUUCAACUAAAAAAUUUACGUUACGAACAUAAAAAGGCCAAAAAUAAAAUAUUUGAAAUCUUGGGGGGUGUUAAAAUAGCUAUGUCACUUAUCUCUAGUGUAUAAUAAUCGCUUUGGGGAUUUUAAACAAGUGAUGAAUAGCUAAAAACUUGUCAAGGAUCUUGUGGGGUAUUACAUCAGGUCAAGUCUCUUAAGCAACCAAAGCAUCGCUGAAGCAAAUGCGCCAACUGAGUGGUUCCCCAGCUGGAGACUUGGACAAGUCUUUGUGGACCCCUCGAGAUUCAUUUAGAUUCCCUAGUAUGCAAACAAACUAUGAGACCACACUAAGUUCGAUGCUCUAGACUCAAUGGCGUUAUCAUUUUUGAACAAACAUCAUUUUCACAAAGUUGACGCCCAAAAUCCAAUUUGUAAUUUUUUUGAAUAGAGGAUCGAAAUGAGAUAUAAAAGUUGUAAAAACUACACCAACCACAUUACCACCCUAAAAUUGAUAUUCUAAAUCUGUUAGCAUAGUUUGUUUUGCCAUCCGAUGCAUAGAUCAAAAGAUGUUGACCGAAGUUAACUAAUAAGCCUUUAAGACUAUCAAAAACUAUAAUCACACAUAAACCACACCGAAAUGCAUUAGGGAUUGUGCCAAUCACUUCCACACCCCAGAAUUACCAUAAUGAAACCACAAGGAAGGGUAAAAUGGUCAUAUAACAUAGAAAUAAAUAUUUCAAAUAAAUCACCCAAAAUUAAGUCAUAACAUAAUCACCACUAAAAAUCUAGUUUGUCCCUGAACUAAAGGCAAGAGAAAUACCCGAGAUCAUAAAAAGAUGGGGAUAACUACUACGCAUAUCCGACUCAAUCUCCCAAGUAUCCUCUUCUAGAGGUUGAUGAAUCCACUACACCUUAACCACUUGAAUAUCUCUAGAACACAACUGUCUAACAUCUCUGGGUAAAAUAGAGACGGACUCCUCAACAAAUGAUAUCCUCUCAUGUAACUGAAUGGAAUCCCAUCGAAUGAUAUGAUACUUAUCCAGAAUAUAACACCAAAGUAUGGAAACAUGAAAAAUUAGAUGUACAGAUGAUAAAUCUGGUGGCAAAGACAACUCAUAAUCUACAUCCCCAAUAGUUCAAAGAAUCUCAAAUGUCCCAAUAUACUUGAGGCUAAGCUUAUCCCUCUUCCUAAGCCUCAUCACCCCUUUCAUGAGAGACACAUGAAGGAAAACUCAAUCACCCUUACUAAAUCUCAAGGCACAAAGUCUCCAAUCUGCAUAGCACUUCUACCUACUCUGAGCCAUUCGAACUCUAUCCUGAAUGACUCAAACUCUAUCCAAAGACUCAUAAAGAAAGUCUGUAUCUCAAGGUCUAAUCUCAGAAAUAUCAAACAAAGUAACUAGAGAGUGAUAAUGCCUACCAUACAAAGCCUCAAAAGGGGCCAACUCAAUACUAAAGUUAUAGCUAUUAUUACAUGCAAACUCGAAAAAAGCUAGACACGGUUCCCACUAACCUCCAAAGUCUAUGAUGCAAGCGUGGACCAUAUCCUUUAAAACUUGAAUAGUCCAAUCCAACUGACUGUCAGUCUGGGAAUGAAGUACGGUACUAAGAUCAACUUGAGUACCUAACUCCUCCUGAAAAGUCUUCCAAAAGUGGGAUAUUGACACCAAACCUUAAUCCGAGAUAAUAGAUAUGGGCACACCAUGAAGAUGAACUAUCUCCCAAAUAUGGAUAGAACCAACCUUUCACACUAAAGGAAAAUUGUACUAACAAAAAAUGAGUAGAUUUAGUCAAUCGAUCCACGAUGGACCAAAUGCUAUUAGAAUAAUGAGGAGUAUAAGGAAACCUAGUCACAAAGUCCAUACUGAUUCCUUCGCAUUUUCACUUAGGAAAAGGUAACCUCUAAAGUAAACCACUAGGUCUCAAAUGCUCGGCCUUUACCUACUGGUAACAUAGGUCAUGAGCUAUAAAAUCUCAACAUCCUUUCUCAUACCACCACACUAGUAAUACUAUCUCAAAUCAAGGUACAUCAUAGUCAAUUCUAGAUAAAUAAAAUACCUAGAACAGUGAGCCUCCUCUAAAAUCAAUCUAAUCGAAUCACCUAUUCUUGACACACAAACUCAUCUACCAAUCCUACAGACAUUAUCUGGAUCAAGCGAGGCUUUUUUAGCCUUGCUACUCAACACUUUAUCCUGAAUCACUCUCAACCCAACAUCAUUAAACUAAUGAACUUGAAUUUUACCAUCAAUUAAUACUUAGCCUCUAUGAAUGCCAAAACAUACCUAGGUGUAGAAAUAUCAACCCUAGCCAUCUGGUUAGCCAAAGACUAAACUGUAGUAACUUGACCUUUGGUGAUUUGCAUGAAAUAUUUAUUUUUAUGUAAUUUCAAUAUUUUACCUCCCUUCCAUGUGGUUGUCUUAUGGUCUUUCUAGAGAGUAAGGAUGAUUAGCAUAGUUCACAAUGCAUUUUGAUGUGAUUUGUGUGAGUUUAUAGUUUUUGAAGGCUUAAAAAGCCUUAUAAUUGACUCGGAUUAAAAUUUAUUAAUUUGUGCAUCGAUGGUAAAACAGACUACACCAGCUAAUCCAAAACAUUGAUUUUAGGUUAUAACAUGGUUGGUGUGAUUUUACGACAUUUAUAUCUUAUUUUGACCAUCACUUUGAAAAUUUUUAAAAUUGGAUCUCGAGGGUCAACUCUAUGAAAAUGACAUUCUUUUGAAAAUUUGAUAUCUCCAUUGUGUUCGGAGCAUCAUAUUUGAUAGGGUGGCAUAUUCUAUUUAUGUUUUUAGGAAUUUGGAUGAAUCCUAAGGGGUCUGUAGAGACUUGGAAUUCUCCUAGUCUUAGCUAGUGCAUUUGAUUAAGAAACAUUUUGGUUGCUUAAGUGAUGACAUCCAAGAAACAAAUCCUAUUAGAUGAUGGUUCAGUUGCUUUCAAGAUAUCGUAACCCAACUAAGAUUGGUGUCGAAUCCCAAGGGAACACGUGGACUUGCAAAUCUCAGUAGUUGUAGUCUAUGGGCAGAACAAGAAAAGUAAAUGGGGGGAUUGUUUGUAGUAAUUUUGAGGAAGGAACUGUAUUAACUUAGUUAUAAUCAAUCAUAAGUGAAUUCUAGGAUUGUGUCCCUUCUUACUUCUCAACUCUGUAGUCUUAUUGCGCGUUGUUAAACUAACGCAAUACCUUGAUGCAUAAUUGAUAAGUUAUGUACCUUCUACAGUUUUUUGGAUGAGUAUAAAAUUUCAUUCGUUCCUUAUAUUGAUCAUAAUUAACUAUUACCUUUUGAGUCUCUAGUUAUUAGAUAAAACCUAACUAUCUUAUGCAGAUAGAACCUAGAAGCGUGGAUCUAUAAUUAAACUUCAAAUUACUGUAGUCUAUAUCUUUUCCUAGUCACUACUCCUCUUUUAGAGUAAGUAGCAAUAUCUAGGCGGGAUCCUAAUGUGUGCACCCAUUAAUAAAUCAAUCAUAACAAAGAUAAAGCAAUGCAUGCCAUGGGUAUUGGUUCAUAUGAACAAUCAUACUUCCCCUACUUCGUCCAUUCGCCAGGGUUUCCACAACCCUAUUUAUGGUUAUAGACUCUCACGAUUGUGAAAAAAUCAAUAACAUAUAGAUUAGAAAGUAUAGAUGAGAUCACAAUGAUAAGAUGAAUGAAAACCCAUAAUUGUGUACUGAAUAAUUAAAUAAAAUCAAUACAAGAGAAUCCCAAGAUUAAAGACGGAUCUUGGAAUCAAAAUAUGUUUAUCAAUACCAAAAGUGCGUAACUCUUACUAAAAAUUACAAAAGGGGUAUGUAUAGUACAUGAGGAAACCCAAAAACCUAAUCCCAAAUAAAAUAGGAGAAACCGAGUCAGUGGCCACCUACUCUCUGUACCUACGGUCUGGCACAGGAACAAGUAGUACUUAUGGUCUUGACACUAGGCACAGGUGCAGAUCGCAGGUAUAAAUCUUGUAGCCUAGCUCUCCGGAUUUCGACCUCUAGCAACUUCUUUGUCUACCUGCGGUCCAUAGGUCUUACAUGCGGUCUAUAGGUUGACUUGGUAGGUGCUGGGAGUCAUCUUUUUAGCUCUUUUUCAACUUUUGAACAUGCUUUGAUCAUGGACAAGACGAAAAGUGUCCCGAACAUUCAUGAUUGCUCCAAAAAUGGCCAAAAACACCUUUUUUCACCUUUUUCAUGAACUUUGCAUCCAAAACAUGGUUUUCUGCAAGCAUAGCCCAAAUGGAUCAUAUCUAACAAAAAAGCCCCAAAAACUUGCAUAUUUCCCUCAAAAAAUGGAUCAAUACCCUUAACUUAGAGUAUUUGCAUGUUCUUAGGCAACAAAAACACAACAAAAUAAAAAUGACACUUAACUAGGAGAAUUUAAGCUAUUCAAGGUAGUCAACCAUCACAUUAAGUUCAAAUCAUAACAUCCCCUCCUAUAUCUUUUUUCAAAGUCAAUUAUGUAUGAACAUGAAGCACACCAAUGUGAAACAAAGGGAUCAAGAUAUGGGAAUUACAUUAGCAACAAACAAUUGCUCAUAUGUACAAAUUACAUUACCCAAAACAAUCAAAUAGCUAGCAACAUGACUCAAAUGAUCUCACAACAAAGAUGUCCCACUAACUCAUAUGAAAUAAUGUAUUUCAAUAUAGGGACAGUCAAGAGACACACACUCAAUGAAAAAGUUCCAGUCAAUACAUGUCAAAUACCAUAGGCUUGCCCUUAUUUUCUUUACCUUAGCGUUUUGAGAGGCAAGUUAACAUUACUAUAGGACUUUUCUCAGCUUGUAAUGUAGGCUUGGGGGCCGGUAUGCUAUAUAUGGACAUAUCAAGUGACUAAUCCUCAUUGGAACUACACUAACCUUGGGGUUUCACUUACUAGCCAAUUAUAUUUUUAUUCCACCUAUAUUUCUCUUUUUUAUUCUUUUAUUGCAUUUUAGGUUGGGUAUGGUCUUUUAUUCUUUCUUUUACAUUUUUUUUCACAAUUAUUCUUUUUUUUUCUUUUUCUACCAUACCUAGCCCUACUAACUUUUUCUUACUUUACCCUUCUUCUUACCCAUUUUACUCUAUGCACCCUUAUUAUAGACACCCUCAACUUUGAUAUUUUGCCUUUGUUGAGGUGCACAAUGUCCAAGAAAAAUUAGGGCCAAAACAGGUUCAUUGUACUAUGAAUGGGUAGGUGAGUGGUGAAAACAAGAAAGAAAGUAUUAUAAGGCUCAAAAUAAGGAUUAAUGGAUACAAUUCGCACAUGGAAGGUCAUUUAGGUUAAAAGUAGACUAAAAUUAAAAAAGGGACUAUGAUCCUUUCCAUGCCGACUCUCCUUCAACCUAGGCAAAACUAACCAGGCAAGUUCUUAUUUGACACACAAAGGGAACUAGAUAGUAUCUCACACAUAUAACAUCGAUUCAAUAUUACGAACUACUACCUAUCCGAUUUAUGCAAUUGUCAGCAAAUGGUUAUCAUGUCCCUAAUCCUAAUUCCAUAAUAAGAUCCACAAAGUUAAUGCAUAUAUACAUCUACACAGUUCUAAAAUAAAAAUUUUUAGAGGGGCAUCAAAAAUUAAUCAAAACAUGACUACUUCCCUAAAUACUUGAAAAUCUCAUAAUAACACAAAAACAUUCAUAAUACAAAAAUAAACCACAAUAGGACCCAAAAUUCUAGACAUGCCAAUUCUACAACCAUACCGCGGUCGAUAGGAAAAAAAGAAUGAUAACUAAAACCCGUGGCGUCAUGGUAUUCCCACCUCAACUAAAAACUAUGCACUGUCCUCGAUAUGCUAAAAUAAAGUAAAAUAGAUGGAAGUGAGAACUACUUGGGAUGCACUAAGCAUCUGUGUCAUGAUCUUCCCUAAAUGGGGGUAUAUCCACUAGCAGAGGCCAUGGUGGUGGCGGUUCACUAUGAGAAGGUGCACCCACAAAUAGCUCGGCAUGCCUCUUCCUAUCAACAAUCAUAGUCUCUAUAAAAUUAUGGUUGUCCCUUUUCAGGGCUUACCCAUAUGGCCUAUCUGGAUUCUGCAGGUUUGCUUCUCGACCUCUCUUGGUCCUAACUACGGGGACCGCUACAUCAUACUUCAUGAAUAAAUCAACGUAUUUCAUACCACAUAAAGGUGAUGGUUGAAAAAUUGGGUAUACAACUAGAAAGACAACUAAUAUAUGGCUCUCAGUGAGAGAGCACACCUCUGCUCGCAAGAUAUCCACCUCAUCCUUCCUGGGUCUUAGAUCUAACAUCAUAAUAUCUUUAAACUGGUCUACCACACAUCUCUCAUCAACACUUGGUUCAUUUGGUACACUGGCCUCUACAAUAAUAUCCUCAUUAAUAGUGUCAAUCACAGACACCACUCGCAUAUUAUUAGGCUGAUGCACUGUCAUACACAUAUCAAAAACUACUUUCUCAUCAUUUAGUUUGAAGGCGUUCUUCCCUAAAUCCAUAUCAAUCAACACCCUACUAGUGGAUAAGAAGGGUCUACCCAAUAUAAUGGGGGAUUAAGAAUUAGCCUCACAAUUAAGAACCAUCAAAAUUAAUGGGGAACAUAAAGGAUGCAACCCUUACUUCUAUGUCACACAAAAAUCCCACUAGUUACUUCAUAGACGAGUCAUCCAUAAUGUAACGACCCAAAAUCACCUCCCAGGAUGUCGCAUGGUGCUUAAGGCUACAAGUAGCCCCAAGCUAACCCUUUGAGCCCGUUUCUACUAAUAACACUCAUUUCAAGAUGUAAUAGUUCAAACACUACCAUAGUCAUAUCAUAUGAAAGGAAAUACAGAGAAAAUGCUUGGUCCAAACGACCACAAUACUGGAAACCUCAACAAAACUACAAUUGAUAACUAGUCUAACACAGCCUCUACUAAUUGAUGAACUAGAGAGCCAUUGGGACAGGUCCCCAAUUGACUCGAAAUGAACUAGAAAUAAUAAUAUAGUUUCUCAAAAUAUGGAAAUAUCUGAAUAUAGGUCCUCGAACCAUGAGGACUCACCACUGAAAGAAUGUAGAUAGAGAUACUCGAAAAUCACUAAUGAGGUUGGGAAUGAGCACUUGAACCUACAUUAUAAGAAAUGUAGCACGUAGAUGUAUAUAUGGAUCAACACUUGGAAAUGUGCUGAUUAUGUGGUGGUACAUACAGUAAUAUAAAACAACAUCAAUACUCUUUAGUCAAAUUAUGCAUGUAAUAAGUAAUGACUCACAUGACUUGAAUAAGCAUAAAAUGAGAAGCUCAUGAAUCAUGUAAAAUGGAACAUGUAACACAAUCUCGUGAGUCAUUAUGCUUUCAUCUUUGAAAUUUGUAAUCUUCUCUUAUUCUCAUUACUCAAGGCUAAAGGAAACUUUAAGAAAUACUUUCAACUCAUGCAUGUCUCAUGGAGAGUAAAACUUCUUCAAUGCUCAAGAACUCAUAACUCUUUUCAACUUAAAUACUUGGAAUUUGAAAUCAUAUAACUUUGGAACAUACUUGAAGGCAUUUUAUUCACAUUAGAAAAAUAUCUCAUUUCAAGCUUUAGGAAAAAAUACUCAUAUCAAGGGAAAGUAUUUUAGUUUUCAAGGAAAAUAUCCUAUCUCAAUGGAAAAUACUUUAGUUUAGAGAGGUAACUAAUCUUGAAUUUUAAAUGUCAAGGGAGGUUCUCUUAACCAACAUAAACCAUGCGAUAUACAUGGAGUCCAACAUUUUGUCCUCCUAAGGAAGAGACCUCACGUUGGGGAGAGACAUCAUUCUCUUGCUAGGGAGUAUAACCUAGGUCCAGUGAUCACUAAAAAAACUUGGCCCAGGUCUAACAUCGACUCGGCCUUAGGCCUAAUAAUAAUAAUAAACUCGGCCUCUAGCCCAACCUACGAUGGCACGUAGUUUUGGGGUAAGAAACCAUAGUAACUUACCUGCUCGGUGCUAAAUACUACUCCCUUUAGAUUAUCUUGCUCAUCUCAUGAAAAUCCACUUUAGAAUAAUCUCAUGGUUCAAUAAUAAUCCAAUAAUCAAAUCUGUAAUCUCAUGUUGUAGGGUGGAUUUCAAAACUCAAUGACCAUUAGGUUAAAACAUUUCUCACCAAUCUCAGAAUACUCAAAUCAUGGGUGCUUAUAGCAUAAGAGUUUAUAAAAUUGAAAAUCUCAAGUAGGGGUCAAUAACUCAUAGUUCAAUCUCAAGUUAAAACUCAUCAAAAGCAUAAUAGAUAGCAUAGAGAUUCAUAACUCAUGUAGAAAUCUAGAAAUUUCAGCAAUUUAUCUCUAAAAUCUCAACAUACUCAUAUACUUCAAUGUUUUAAACAUUUCAACUUUAACUUCUCAAGGAUUGAAAUCAUGGGGUAUAGACCCAACUGCAAUUUCUCAAGAAACAUGUAAAAUUCAUGCCAUUAGACUCUCAACUCAAGGGAAACAUCAAAAGAUUGCAACCAAUAACAAUGGGUGAAAACCCCCAAUUCAAUUUCAUGUAAAAUCUCAUAAAUUAUAGAGAAUUGUAGUUUAAAUAAGCUUUUGGGCACAAGGGUGAAAGGAUUACCUUUGUUUAAAACCCUACAUACCUUGAAUUAGAAGCUUUGGAUGAACUCUCGCUUUCGGGACUCUAUUCGUACUCUUGAAUAAGGGUUCUUGAAGCCCUUGACUUGGGAACCUUGAAUCAUGACUCAAUUAAGAAAAUCUAUGGUGGAUUCUUGAGAUUCUUGGAAGAGGUUUUGGAAACUUAGGGUUUCUACUGAGAGAAAACUUGAGAGAAACUUCAUAGACUGCUUGUAAAUGACCUUGAUUUGGUGUUUGCAUAGUUUAAGAGGCUUGAAAGAAGUCCAAAGUGCCCUUUUUAACUUCUGUACGAAGAUGAAAAAAUGAACUGGGAACCCGAUUUCAUGGGCCACCAUGAUGUGCCACUAUCGCGAUGGCUCACUGGAAAUUGAUAAAUGGGAAAUUGGUAGUCACCGCGACAUGGAGCCAUCACAUUAUCCCACUAGUUGGGACCUAGAACUUUAGCAUGAUGCAUCAUAAUCACGCUAGCCACUAGAAAUCGACUAUUGAGAAAUUGGGGUCCUCCGCGGCGUGCCACUAUCACGGAGUUCCACAGGAAAUUGACAAUUGUCAAAUAGACCCUCUUCACGAUGCGCCAAGGACUAAAAUGACACUGUUUUACGACUAGAACUUAAAUUAGCCAUAACUUCUUUCCCGGAUAUUGGAUUUGGGCGAAUCUUACAUCGACAAAAAGCUUAUUAAAUUUUCAUGUGAUAAAAAGUUCAAAUUAGGGAAAUUCUAAAUGGUUAAAAUGAUACUCACUUAGGUAGUCACUUCUAAAUCUUUUAGGGUCGAAAUCACACGUCACUUAUCAUGCCCUAAGGUUCAUUCUAUGAGAGAAUUUCUCGGUGUCUUACAAUAUCUCUCCCUUGGAAACAUUUGUCCUUGAAUGUCGCUGGUUAGACUAGGAACACAGGAAAAACAGAGUAUACAUAGCCGAAGAAAUUUUUACUAAACGGCUCAAAAUCUCUCUAAAAUCAUAAAUGCCUCAAAAAUUGCAAGAAUUCAUGUAAGAAUAGAUACAUAGAUGAUAGAUUAGAAGGGCUGAAUUAAAGAAGAAUAAUACCUUUGGAUCGAUCUGAACUCAUAGAAAAAAGGUGCGAAUAAUUGGUUUACAUGUCUGCUUCUGCCUCCCAAGUAGCGUUCUCAACUGAUUGGUUCCUCCACAACACUUUGACCAUGGGAACCCCUUUGAUCCUCAGUCUAUGGAUCUAAAAAUCUAGGAUCUAAAUGGGAAUCUCAUUGAAUGAAAGACUGUUCUGAAUUUCAGCACUCUCUGAAGGAUCUACUACAACAAAAUCACCAAUAUGCCUUUUAAUCAUGGAGACAUGGAAAAUAGGAUGAACAACUGACAACUCUGCGGGCAACUCAACCUUAUAGGCUACUUUCCCAACACGACUUGAAACUCUAUACGGGCCAACAUAACGGGGACUAAAUUUUUCCUUUUUACCAAACCUCUUCACCCCUUUCAUGGGUGAAAUAUUCAAGUACACCAAAUCACCCACUUCAAACUCAAGAUCUCUUCUCCUCAUAUCGGCAUAUGACUUUUGAUGACUCUGAGUUGUCUUUAACCUCUGUCUAAUCAUUUUGACUUUCUCCAUUGCUUUAAAUACUGCAUUAGACCCAAUCACGGCAGCUUUACCCAUUUCAAACCAACCUAUGGGUGAUCUGUAUCUUCUACUAUACAAGGCCUCAAAUGGUGCCAUCCCGAUGCUAUCAUGGUAACUAUUGUUAUAGGUGAACUCUAUUAAUGGCAAUUGCUCAUCCCAACUACCUUUGAAAUCAAGAGCACACACCCUCAACAUAUCUUCUAUGGUCUGAAUGGUCCUCUUAGCUUGACCAUCUAUCUGCGGAUGAAAAGCGAAACUCAAAAGAACUUGGAAAAAAACCAAGAUCCUGCGGAAACAACCUCCAAAACUGAGAAGUAAAUUGAGUGCCCUUAUCCGAAAUGAUGGACAAGGGAACUCCAUGUAGAAUGACUAACUCCUGGAUAUACAAUCUAGCAUAAUCCUCAGCUGUAUAAGAUGUGAGCACGGCCAAGAAAUAUGCAGACUUAGUCAACCUAUCCAUAGCAACCCAAACCGAAUCAUGAUGAUGAUGCGAAAGAGGAAACCCAGUCACGAAGUCAAUAUUUACCACCUCCCACUUCCAUGUGGGUAUACUAAACUCUUUCAUCACACCACCAGGUCUUUGGUGCUCUACCUUAACCUGUUGUCACGUUGUACACUUUGCUAUGAACUCAGCUAUAUCGAUCUUCAUACUAUUCCACCAAUAGAUUUUCCGUAAGUUACGGUAUAUCUUGGCAGUGUUGAGAUGACUAGAAUACCGCGCGCUAUGCACUUUAGCCAUAAUCCUCUACCUCAGAUCAUCAACAUAUGGAAAACACAAUCUACCUUGCACUCUAAAUACACCAUCUCCCAUUUAGGAGAAAAACUCUAUCUUUUGGUUUUGAACUAACUUCUUCGGUCUGACAAACUAGGAUCCUUGUCUUGCUUCUCCUUCACUUCCGAAACUAAAGAGGAUUCAGAACUACUUUGCACCAAAGUACUUCCGCCAGCUGAAUGAAGCAAUCUAAUACCCAAUCUAGCUAAAUAAUGCAUAUCACGAGCUAACUCUUUCUAACCUUCCUCUACAUGGGCAACACUACCGAUAGACAAUUAGCUCAGGGCAUCUUCCACUACAUUGGCCUUACCCGGGUGAUACAACACACUCAUAUCAUAGUCUUUCAACAACUCCAACUACCUCCUCUGCCUAAGAUUCAACUCCAUAUGAGUAAACACAUUCUGUAGGCUCUUAUGAUCAGUAAACACAUCAAAAUAUACACCACAACAGCUAACUCAAGAUCAUGGGUUGGGUAAUUCUUCUCAUGCGGCUUUAACUUCCUAGUGGCAUAAGCUAUAACCUUACCUAUCUGAAUCAACACAUAACCCAAAACCAAUUUUAGAGGCAUCACAAUACACCACAAAACUAUCAGUACCAUCAGGUAAAGUCAACACAAGGGCUAAAGUAAGUCGAGUCUUCAACUCUUGAUAACCUUCUCAUAGGAAUCUGACCACUGGAACUUAACUUUCUUUUGGAUCAACCAAGUUAUGGGAGAUGCAAUAGAAGAGAAACCCUCAACAACACAACAAUAGUAUCCAACUAGACCCAAGAAACUUCUAAUGUUAGAUAGAGAGAAAGGUUUAGGCCAAUUUCCUUACAGUUUUUGUCUUUUGGGGAUCAACUUUAAUACACUCGACUGAAACAAUAUGACCCAGAAAGGCUACAUACCUUAGCCAAAAUUCACACUCACUGAAUUUGGUGAACAACUGGUGAUCUCUAAGGGUUUGCAAGACAAUUCUAAGAUAAUUUACAUGGUCAUUCUCAUUACGGGAGAAUAGAAGGAUAUCAUCUACGAAAAUAAUGAUAAACAUAUUGAGAUAUUGCUUGAACACUCAAUUUAUGUAGUCCAUGAAGGCGGAUGGGGCAUUGGUUAGCCCAAAGGACAUGACUAAAAACUCAAAGUGACCAUAGUGGGUUCGGAAAGCUAUCUUUGGAAUAUCACAUUCCCUCACUUUAAGUUGAUGACAGAUGGAUCUAAGGUUUAUAUUGGAGAAAUAACUUACGCCUUCCAAUUAAUCAAAUAGGUCAUCAAUUCUCAGAAGUAGAUACUUAUUUUUUACUGUGAACUUGUUAAGAUUAUGAUAGUCAAUGCACAUAUGCAAAGAACUAUCUUUCUUUCGCACGAAUAAGACAAGUGCGCCCCAAGGAGAAAUACUGGGAGUAAUUAAACCUUUGUCUAAAAGAUCUUUGAGUUUCUCUUUCAAAUCCUUAAGCUUAGUAGGUUCCAUACUGUAUAGAAGAAUAGAAAUGGGAUGAGUGUCAAGAAGAAGGUCAAUCCCGAAUUCUAUCUCUCUAUCGGGAGAUACCCCUGGGAGAUCUUCUAGAAAAAUAUCUGGAAACUCAUUAACAAUUUUGACUGACUGAAUAGUUGGAGCCUCAGACUUCGUGUCCUUAACUCUAACUAGGUGAUAGAUGCAACCUUUGGAUAUUAGCUUUUUGGCUUUAAGAUCGGAGAUAAAAUGACUCUUGGGAGAUACCAAACUCUCGGACCACUCAAAAGCUGGUUCAUCAUGAAAUUGAAACUUGACCACACGGGUACGAUAGUCUAUAGAUGCAUAACAAAAAUGAAGCCAAUCUAUACCCAGAAUAAGGUCAAAAUCCACCAUUUCUAACUCUAUAAAAUCAGCAAGUAUGACUCUAUGAAGAACACUAACAGGACAAUCUCUAUCCACUUAUUUAGCAACAACUGACUCCCCGAUGGGUGUGGAGACUAGGAAAGGCUAAGGAAUAUUUUUGGGACUUAUUUUGAAAUUCAUAGCUACAAGUGGGGUCACAUAAAAGAGACUUGACCCGAGGUCUAACAACACAUAAACAUCAAGACAAAAAACACAGAGUAUACCAAUAACAAAUUGGGUUGGCUUUAAGAUCGGAGAUAAAAUGACUCUUGGGAGAUACCAAACUCUCGGACCACUCAAAAGCUGGUUCAUCAUGAAAUUGAAACUUGACCACACGGGUACGAUAGUCUAUAGAUGCAUAACAAAAAUGAAGCCAAUCUAUACCCAGAAUAAGGUCAAAAUCCACCAUUUCUAACUCUAUAAAAUCAGCAAGUAUGACUCUAUGAAGAACACUAACAGGACAAUCUCUAUCCACUUAUUUAGCAACAACUGACUCCCCGAUGGGUGUGGAGACUAGGAAAGGCUAAGGAAUAUUUUUGGGACUUAUUUUGAAAUUCAUAGCUACAAGUGGGGUCACAUAAAAGAGACUUGACCCGAGGUCUAACAACACAUAAACAUCAAGACAAAAAACACAGAGUAUACCAAUAACAAAUUGGGAGAGUCCUCUUGCUCCUGACGAGAUGGUAAGGCAUAGAAUCUUUUCUGGAGCUGGCCACCAGCAGUGCUAAAUAAAGCACCCCGAGCAAGGGCUGGAUGGGGUAUAUAAGCUGGUGCACUAGUACCCUAUGCCUGAGGUCAGGCAUCUCUGUUCCCCUAUCUAGCAUCAAGAUAAUCUCUAAGUCUCUGGCCCUGCUUGCCACAACAAAAACAACCCUUUAGAUCUAUGAAACACUCACCGGGAUGACUCCUACCACACUUAGCACAAGGAGGAUAGCGAGGCCUGUUACCAACACUAUUCUAUGACCUAGACAUAAAAGAUCUACCCCCUUGCUCCUACCUUCUUCUAGGCAUGGGAACACUAGCUGAUUAAGGUGCUGGCAUAGACGAAUGCCUCUAAAAUUGAGAAUGGUUUCCUCUAUAGAACCUAGGAUCGAUAUACUCAUGCUGCUUAAAUCUAGCCUUCUUGUUACCCUUCACUCGAUCUCUCUUCCUAAUAUUAUCCAUCUCUAUUUGUUGGGCAUGCGUCAUCAACCUAGACAGAUUUAUAUCCCUAUACAACAUCGCAAUCCUACACUCUUUUAGUACUAAACCAGAAACACCAAUCAUGAACUUGCUCAUACUAGCCCGGGUGUCCGAAAUCAAUUCAAAAGUGUACUUGGCCAACUGAUUAAACAUCGAGCAGUACUCCUUAAUAGUUAUAGAGCCCUGCCUUAAGAUCUUAAACUCCUCAAUCUUUGUUUCCCUCAUCUCAAGCGGAAAAAACUUGUCCAAUAAUGCAUCUUGGAACACCUGCCAAGUCAUAGGAGCAACAUCUUCACCUCUACCUUUCCUCCAUGAUACAACCCAGUCAUAAGCAAUGUCCUUCAGCCUGUAGGACGCCAACUUAACACUUUCUUCCUUAGAAAUAUGCAUUACCUGUGUGAUCUUUCUCACUUUCUUAAGGUACAACUAUGGGUCCUCAUCUGCCUUAGACCCAUAAAACUCUGGCAGAUUUAUCCACGUGAAAUCAUGGAGCCUAGCCAUAGCUACAUCACCUCCCUACUGAUUAGCAACUGUGGCCUGAUUAUUGGUCCAAACAUUGACGGUGACUUCUUGGGCUAACCCCUGAAAGGCCACCUAAAACUCGGCAUGAGACACUGUCUUAUUCAAAGGAUCAGCAGGUGGGGGUUACUCAUCAUCGUUCAUAUGGGCAUUUGCUUUUCGAAGAGGCAUUUUCUGAAAUAGAAAACCAAGAAUUAUUAGAUGAGAGGGACAACUGUAGGCACGAUAGAAUCUGAAAGAUAGAAAUAGCUUUUCCUAAAACAUCUUGUAGCCUUUUGCUCAGAGAUGUGGCAUGCUACACACCGAUGAUCAAGAAUCUACUCAACGCGGAUUGUCAGACUCCCUAAGACUCCUUUAAAACCUUAGGCUUUGAUACCAAGUUUGUAAUGACCCAAAAUCACCUUGAGGGAUGUCACACGGUGCUUAAGGCUACAAGUAGCCCCAAGCUAACUCUUUGAGCCUGUUUCUACUAAUAACACUUAUUUCAAGAUGUAAUAAUUCAAACACUAGCAUAGUCAUAUCAUAUGAAAGGAAAUACAAAGAAAAUGCUCGGUCCAAAUGACCACCAUACUAGAAACCUCAGCACAACCACAAUCUGAUAACUAGUCUAACACAGUCUCUACUAAUCGAUGAACUAGAGAGCCAUUGGGACAGGUCCCCAACUGACUCAAAAUGAACUGGAAAUAACAACAUAGUCGUUCAAAAUAUGGAAAUUUCUAAAUAUAGGUCCUCAAACCAUGAGGACUCACCACUGAAGAAAUGUAGAUAGAGGUACUCAAAAAUCACUAAUGAGGUUGGGACUGAGCACUUGAACCUAUAUUAUAAGACAAUGUAGCACAUAGACGUAUAUAUGGAUCAACACUUAGGAAUGUACAGAGUAUGUGGGGGUGCAUGCGGUUAUAUAAAAUAACAUCAAUACUCUUUAGUCAAAUCAUGCAUGUAAUAAGUAAUAACUCACAUGGCUUGAAUAAGUAUAAAAUGCGAAGCUCAUGAAUCAUGUAAAAUGGAACAUGUAACACAAUCUUGUGAGACAUUAUACUUUUAGCUUUGAAAUUUGUACUCUUCUCUUAUUCUCAUUACUCAAUCCUAAAGGAAACUUUAUGCAAUACUUUCAACUCAUUCAUAUGUCUCAUGGAGAGUAAAACUUCUUCAAUGCUCAAGAACUUAUAACUCUUUUGAACUCAAAUACUUGGAAUUCGAAAUCAUAUAACUUUGGAACAUACUUGAAGGCAUUUCAUUCACGUUAUGAAAAUAUGUCAUUUCCAGAUUUAGGCAAAAAUACUCAUAUCAAGGGAAAGUAUUUUAUUUUUAAAGAAAAAUAUCUUAUCUCAAUGAAAAAUACUUUAGUUUAGGGAGGUAACUGAUCUCAAAGUUUAAAUGUCAAGGGAGAUUCAUAAUUCAUGUAGAAAUAUGGAAAUUUCAGCAAUUUAUCUCCAAAAUCUCAACAUACUCAUAUAUUUCAAUGUUUUAAACAUUUCAACUAUUAACUUCUCAAGGAUUAAAAUCAUAGGGUAUAGACCUAGCUACAAUUUCUGAAGAAAACAUGUAAAAAUCAUGCCAUUAGACUGUCAAUUCAAGGAAAACAUCAAAAGCUUGUAACUAAUAACAAUGGGUGAAAAACCCCAAUUUAAUUUCAUGUAAGAUCUCAUAAAUUGCAGAGAAUUAUAGUUUAAAUUAGCUUUUGAGUGCAAGGGUGAAAGGAUUAUCCUUGUUCAAAACUCCACAUACCUUGAAUUAGAAGCUUUGGAUGAACUCUCACUUUUGGGAUUCUAUUCAUACACUUGAAUGAGGUUUCUUGAAGCCCUUGACUUGGGAACCUUGAAUCUUAACUCGAUUAAGAAAAUCUAUGGUGGAUUCUUGAGAUUAUUGGAAGAGGUUUUUGAUACUUAGGGUUUUUUUUGAGAGAAAACUUGAGAGAGACUGCAUAGAAUGCUUAUAAAUGACCUUGAUUUGGUGUUUGCUCGGUUUAAGAGGCUUGGAAGAAGUCAAAAGUGCCUUUUUUAACAUCUGUAUGAAGCUGAAAAAAAUGAACUGGAACCUAAUUUCAUGGGCCACUGCAACGCACCACUGUCACGGUGGCUCACUGAAAAUUGAAAAAUGGGAAAUUGGUAGUCACCGCGAUGCGGAACCAUCGCAUUGUCCCACUAGUUGGGACCUGGAACUUCAGCGCGAUGCAUCACAAUCGCGCCAGGCCACUGGAAAUUGACUAUUGGGAAAUUGGGGUCCUCCGCGAUAUGCCACUAUUGCAGAGUUCCACUAGAAAUUGACAAUUGUUAAAUAAACCCUCUCUGUGAUGCGCCAACCACUAAAAUGAUGCUAUUUUAUGACUAGGACUUAAAUUAGCCAUAACUUCUUAUUUGGAGAUCGAAUUUGGAUGAAUCUUAUAUCAAUGGAAAGGUUAUCAAAUUUCCCAUGUGAUAAAUAGUUGAAAUUAAGGAAAUUCUAAAUGGUUAAAACUAUAAUCACUUAGGAAGUCACUUCUCAUUAUUUUAGGGCUGGAAUAACGCCUCACUUGACAUGCCCUAAGGUUCAUUCGACCAAAGAAUUUUGUGGUUUCUUACACAUAAUCAAUUUUAUAGUCAUAAGUUUGAGUUCCCGCAUCCUCAACAGCUUGUACACAGCCAGUGGCAUCAUAUUUACUCUUUAUCCCAAGUCACAUAAAUCCUGCUUGACGUUGAAAUACCUAGUAGAACAUGAAAGAGAGACUGCUAUGGGGUCCUCCUUCUUUUCUACUAAUGGUAAGAAAGGAGUCACACUAUAAGGGUGAACCUGAUUAUUGGUAUUGAUAACCCAAUCCUUACCACUAUCAUACUCAAAAUAAACAUCACCAUAUGUCAACUUCUCAAACUCUACCUUAGAUAUCUCAUCGCCCUUAGUUCUAUCAAUCUUCAACUCCUCAAUAGAAGGUACAAGGGGAUCAUCAGUAGUGACACCACAAUUAGUGUUGAUAGCUAGACAAUGACUUUUAGUUGCUGGACGCUAAACUUUUUCACUCGAAAGAGUAAUAGGCUAUUUCUGCUUGAUCAUGGCAGAUAUUUUCCCAAACUGGUGCUCCAACUGAUUGAUAGCAGUGGCAUGAGACCACACUUUUUGGGUCAACCCUGAAAUGUCAGCCUUAAUCUUUAUAGGGUUUUUCUACUAAUUUUCUUGACCCUUUACUAGUUUGGUCAAUAUUUCUUUUAUUAUUGGUUUAGUAUCUCAUCUAGCAGGAAGAAUGUACCUGUCUUCCUUCUCCUUGUAAUCAUCUCUCUAUAUCCAGUCACUAUUUUUGUCCCUACUAUUUUCUCGAUAUUUUUCAUAAUAGUUCUGACCUUAGUUUCCUUUCUCUUAGGCUUAAAAACCCUCCAAAUAACAAUCUGGAUGCCUGGCCUCCUCUUUUAAUUCAGACUCAUAAGCUUUAGAAGCUACACCCUAUGCUCCAAAUGCGUGAACUUUUUAAGAAUACAUGGUUGUAAACUACUUUGCUAGUAACCCAAGAUCAAUCCUCAGUAGCACAAUCUUUUGCACUGCAGAAUCAUCACCUACUCUCUGGUCACUAGGGGCACCAAUAUCAUAAUUGUAAGAACCCCGCUCAACCUCUCGAGUUUUCCAUCCUCAAUUAGUAAGCGAGAUAUGAUCCAUAAUACUAGAAGUUAUCUCCCACUACAAUAUUAUAAAGGCCCCUCUAGAGAUAGUAUCUACUAUAGCUCUCGAACUGAUGGUUAGGGCUCUAUAGAAUAACUCCAUUAAGUUCUUCCUUGAAAUUUGAUAGUUGGGCACCAUACUCAACUUUUUCUUGAACCUGAACCAAGCCUUAUACAUGGAUUCAAAUUAUAGCUGCCUGAAUCUCGUCCUUGAGCUAUAACACCCUAGAUGGAGGAAAUAACCUAUUCAAGAAUAGACUGCAUAACUCAUUUGACAUAGUAAAGAUCCUUUUGGAAGUUCCCCUAACCAUGAAGAUUCUUCUCCAGUAAGCGAGAAAAGGAACAAACUCAAUCUAAGUGCCUUCUUAUUUACCCUUGCAUAUGUAUAUGAAGGGUAAAUUCUAUUAAAAUUAGCUAGAUGCAUGUUUAGCUCAUCUAUAAUAAAACCCACAAACACACCCUUCAUGUGUAAGAGCUAGAUCAUAGAACUCGAUAUAUUAACCUUAAUACCUGGGGGUAAAAUAGAAAGAAUAAUAGCACCAGUCUCUAUCUUCUCAAUAUACCCUAGAUUCGAUUCAUCAUUUUCAUAUGGUUGCAAGUACUGAUAUGUUGGUAUCACUUGAGCACGACCACCUCUGACUCUAUUCUAAUUUUCAUCAAGUACUACUUAACAGUCUAUUGUUUAUCUUUGCUGAGCUAGAUCUGUGUCCCUAGCUAUUCUCUGAGCUUUUUCUAUUGCUCUCCUUUUAUUUUAAGUACGAUCUAACUGCUUACCAGUUUAACAAUCAAUAAUUUCCUAUACUCCUUCGGGCAGAAGUACAAUAUCACAAACCACUUUAAGAUUAUCAACUCUUUUCAGCUCAGAUACCCUAAUAGGUGCUUGUAGUAUCCUCUAUGGAUUUGGAUUCACUAUGAGUAAGGGAUUGUCUCUACUCCAUGUGCUAGGCAUACAUCGAUGUAUGCCUAACUAAAAACAAAACUAAAAAGAAAAACCCAAAAACUACAACAACUUCAAAUCACAAAUAAAUACUGCAUUUCUCAAUAAUGGUGACUAUUUCUUGAUGAUGUCCAAGAAAUUCCUCCUUUUAGAUAAUGGUAUGGUCGUUGUCAAGAUAUUGUAACCCAACUAGGGUUGGGGUCAAAUCCCAAGGGACUAUGUGGAAUUGUAAAUAUCAGUAGUUAUCGUCUAUGGGCAGAACAAGAAAAAUAAAUGGGGGGGGGGAGAUUUUUAUAGUGAUCUCGAGUAAGGAACUAUGUUAACUUAGUUGUAAUUAGUCACAAGUGAACACUAGGAUUGUGUUACCCCUAUCUACUAAACUCUAUAGGAUUAUCGUGUAUUGUUGAACCAUCCCAAUAGCUUGUAUGGAGAAUCAAUAAGUUAUGUACCUUUUACAGUCUUUUAGAUAAGUAGAAAGAUUUCAUACUUUAUCUUAGUCUUUUAGAUAAGUAGAAAGAUUUCAUCCUUUACCUUUUGAGUCUCAGGAUGUCGCACUACUAACCAUUAUCUUUGUCCAGUUAAAUAUUACCUUUCGAGUCUCUAGUUAUUAGAUGAAACCUAACCAUCUUACAUAGAUAGAACCUAGAAGUAUGGAUCGACAGUUAAACUCCAAAUUACUUUUUUCUUUAUCUUUUUCUAGUCACUACUCCUCUUUCAGAGUAAGUAGCAAUAUCUAGGAAGAAUCAUAAAGUGUGCACCCAUUAAGAAAUCAAUCAUAAUGAAGAUAAAGCAAUGCAUUCCAUGGGUAUUGGUUUAGAUCAACAAUCGCACUUCCCCUACUUCAUUAAUUUUCUAAGGUUUCCACAACCCUAGCUAUAGGUUUUAGCUUCUCAUGAUUAUGAAGAAAUCAAUAACAUUCAUAUUAAAAAGAAUAGAUGAAAUCAUAGUGAUAACAUGAAUAAAAACCCACAAUCCUAAACUGAAUAAUAAACUGAAGUCAAUAUAAGAGAAUCCCAAGAUCAAAGACGGAUCUUAGAAUUAAAAUAUGUUUGUGUAUAUCAAAAGUGUGUAACUCCUACUAAAAAGUACAAAAGGGGUAUUUAUCAUACAUAAGGUAACCCUAAAACCAAAGCCUGCACAAAAUAGGAGAAAACCGGGUUGGUGGCAACCCGCUCUCUGUACAUACGGUCUGUCAACAUACAGAUAGUACCUAUGAUCCUGACACUAGGCACAGGUACAGACCACAGGUACAAAUCCUGUAGCCUAGCUCUCAAGAUUUCAAUCUCUGGCACCUUCUUUGUCUACCUACGAUCUGUAGGUUCUAUAUCCGGUCCAUGGGUUGACAUGGUAGUUGAUGGAAUUCAUUUUAUUAGCUCUUUUUUAGCUUUUGAACAUGCAUUGAUUACGAAUAAGUCAAAAAGUGUCCUGAACAUUCAUAAUUGCUCCAAAAAUGGCCAAAAACACCUUUUUUUUUUACCUUUUUCACAAACUUAGCAUCCAUAACAUGGUUUCCUGGAAAACAUACCCAAAAUAGAUCAUAUUUAAUAAAAAGGCCUCAGAAACUUACAUAUUUUCCUUAUUUAAAGCAUCAAAAGUGCUAUAUUUCUAUAGCACAUCAUUAAGUGACCCAACUGAGUAGAUGAGAUGUCGCGUGAUCUCGAGUAAGGAACUAUGUUAACUUAGUUGUAAUUAGUCACAAGUGAACACUAGGAUUGUGUUACCCCUAUCUACUAAACUCUAUAGGAUUAUCGUGUAUUGUUGAACCAUCCCAAUAGCUUGUAUGGAGAAUCAAUAAGUUAUGUACCUUUUACAGUCUUUUAGAUAAGUAGAAAGAUUUCAUACUUUAUCUUAGUCUUUUAGAUAAGUAGAAAGAUUUCAUCCUUUACCUUUUGAGUCUCAGGAUGUCGCACUACUAACCAUUAUCUUUGUCCAGUUAAAUAUUACCUUUCGAGUCUCUAGUUAUUAGAUGAAACCUAACCAUCUUACAUAGAUAGAACCUAGAAGUAUGGAUCGACAGUUAAACUCCAAAUUACUUUUUUCUUUAUCUUUUUCUAGUCACUACUCCUCUUUCAGAGUAAGUAGCAAUAUCUAGGAAGAAUCAUAAAGUGUGCACCCAUUAAGAAAUCAAUCAUAAUGAAGAUAAAGCAAUGCAUUCCAUGGGUAUUGGUUUAGAUCAACAAUCGCACUUCCCCUACUUCAUUAAUUUUCUAAGGUUUCCACAACCCUAGCUAUAGGUUUUAGCUUCUCAUGAUUAUGAAGAAAUCAAUAACAUUCAUAUUAAAAAGAAUAGAUGAAAUCAUAGUGAUAACAUGAAUAAAAACCCACAAUCCUAAACUGAAUAAUAAACUGAAGUCAAUAUAAGAGAAUCCCAAGAUCAAAGACGGAUCUUAGAAUUAAAAUAUGUUUGUGUAUAUCAAAAGUGUGUAACUCCUACUAAAAAGUACAAAAGGGGUAUUUAUCAUACAUAAGGUAACCCUAAAACCAAAGCCUGCACAAAAUAGGAGAAAACCGGGUUGGUGGCAACCCGCUCUCUGUACAUACGGUCUGUCAACAUACAGAUAGUACCUAUGAUCCUGACACUAGGCACAGGUACAGACCACAGGUACAAAUCCUGUAGCCUAGCUCUCAAGAUUUCAAUCUCUGGCACCUUCUUUGUCUACCUACGAUCUGUAGGUUCUAUAUCCGGUCCAUGGGUUGACAUGGUAGUUGAUGGAAUUCAUUUUAUUAGCUCUUUUUUAGCUUUUGAACAUGCAUUGAUUACGAAUAAGUCAAAAAGUGUCCUGAACAUUCAUAAUUGCUCCAAAAAUGGCCAAAAACACCUUUUUUUUUUACCUUUUUCACAAACUUAGCAUCCAUAACAUGGUUUCCUGGAAAACAUACCCAAAAUAGAUCAUAUUUAAUAAAAAGGCCUCAGAAACUUACAUAUUUUCCUUAUUUAAAGCAUCAAAAGUGCUAUAUUUCUAUAGCACAUCAUUAAGUGACCCAACUGAGUAGAUGAGAUGUCGCUUAUGUGGCUCUUCUUUUGCAUACACAAACUUUACUUAAAAAAUAAUAGGAUUGCUUGUGUGACACCCACUGACAGGCAAAGUAUUAUGUAAGAGACACCUGGUUACUUAAGCGAUAGUUGUUUAAGUGAUCCGAUAAUCGCUCAAGCAAUUCUUGGAUAAUUUACAUACCUUAUUUUUGUGAUUUUUACACCAUUUUCAAGAUGUGGAUUUUAGGGAUCAAGUUUUUGAGCAUUUUUUCCAUUUCUAAGGUUGGGUAAGCUCCAAAACUCAUAUUUCAACUACUUUUCUUUGAUUUUAUCAUUUAAAUCUUGUUUAAAUGUAGAUCUAAAGAUGGAAUUUGGGAAUUUUGGAUCGAAAGGCCCAAAUUAUUAUUUCUUUGAUUCCAACCCCAAUUUACCUUGUUUUCACUUAGGUUUUCUCCUAUAAGUUCCUUUAAUCUUGGAAAAUAUGUUUUUGGACAAUUCUAGUUUUAGACUUCUUUUUAAAAAACCCAUUUUAAGGUUCCAUUUUGACCCUAAUUUAGAAGUAGGCAAUAUGGGUAUCAUUGGUUCUUUUUGAUGUGUAGAUUCUAUAUUUGUGUGUUUUAGCCAAUUUUUGGUUUCGUGCAUGAGGUAAAGCUUGGUGAAUAUUCAUUCUAGUUUUAGCAUUCAAGGUAGGUUGUGGCUUAACUUUUUUAAUACUGGGACAAGUAGUGAAUAUUGGUAUUAAAUCAUGUUAGGGUAUGUGAACCAUAAAUAAAAAUGGCUAUAUUAUUGUGUUGUGCCUGUGUGGCUGGUUUUGAGUUAUUAUUUGUUAUGUGUGACCAUGUGGGGUCUUAUAUGACAUAUUGGCCUUAUGUAUGUGAUAUUAAUUAUAUCUUAUUUGAUGAAAAAGCCUAAUGUGGUAUCCAUGGUACAUUUUUAUGUAUCGUACUCUAUUGGCAUAUGAAUUAUAUUAGAUUUCAUGGAUGGUUGGAAUAUUGAAUAGAUUUUAGCUCACAUGAUUUGGAUAUUAGUAGAAUAUAGAAAUUAUCAUUGUGGUUAGUUGUUAGAAUUGCAUUAUCAUAUCAUAUACAUUCAUGAAAUAGUGGUACCACCGUGGAAAUACUGAAACACUGGAUUUUUCUAAUAGAAAAUAUGAUAUCUCUUAAACUCUUUACCGAUGGAUGCACUGGAGAAGAGAUAUGGAUAUGUUUUUGGAUAUGGAUGGUAUAUGGGUUGAUGAACCUCCCAUGGUUCCUACCUUUGGAGAACAACUUGGUAGGUGUAUACGGAGGUUGUGCACUGACCUCGUGUAUCAUAUCAUCAUCAUCAUUAUUGCCUUUUAUUAUAGACCUUGUGUAUUCUUUAUGUGUACCAUUGUCCUUGAUAUGAUAUUUGUAUUUCUGUAUUACUUUCUUCAUACCUAUAUGUACGAUGUUUGUCUACUUGUGUCUCUUCAUUGUAUUUGCAUGUGGUAUAUGUGAAUAUUAUUGAACUGUUAGUGGAGACGGUGUAGGCUACUAUUUGGGAUAUUUUUUGAUAGCAAGUGAAGUUCCCUUAGUGUGUAUUUUGUAUUCUUUAUUUUUUCUACUUUUCUUAAUUGGCCUAUGAUACCUACUGAGUAUAAGUGGACUAUACUCACUCCUACUGCGCCCUAUUUGUGCAGAUCCAAAUUUGAGUGUGCCUCAUGAUAGUUGAAUCAUGCGAUACUUGGAGCCUAUUUGAGGUAGUGAGUAAUAUAUGCAUCCAGAGUUGAAUUCUACCUUUUCAUACCUAGACUAUGUCUUAUUUGUAUUCAUUAAUAGAGUUUUGUUUCCUUUUUGGGAUAUCUUGUGUAACUAGUUAGUUCUUAUAUUAUGAUACCAGGUUUUGGGAUUAUUGUAUGGUAUUCUUGGUUUUAUUUCUCCACUUUGAAUAUAUGCAUGUGUUUUGACUUUAUUCUAGAAGCCUCGCCUUGGAUAUUGGUGCUAAUCUUCUUUUUAUAUUAGUUUGGGAGAUAGCCUUACUAAUCAAGGUUUUCCAUGACAAGUGCCAUCAUGGAAAUUAAACCAGACACCAAGUCUAUUUCUAUACUUUCUUAUAGGAUGGCCAUAGCAGAGUUAAAUAAAUUAAAGGAUGAGUUGUAGAAGUUAUUAGAUAAGGGAUUUAUCCGACUUAGUGUAUCACCUUGCGGUGCACCUAUCUUGUUUGUGAAGAAAAGAGAUGGGUCGAUGCAAAUAUGUAUUGAUUAUAGAUAGUUGAACAAGGUAAUGGUUAAGAAUAAGUAUUCUCUUACUUUUAUUAAUGAUUUAUUUGACCAGCUUUAAGGUGCUUCAAUGUUUUCCAAGUUUGAUUUGAGUUAUAGGUAUCACCAAUUGAGGAUUAGAGAUUCAGAUAUUAUGAAGACAACCUUUCAAACUCGGUAUGGUCAUUAUGAGUUCUUGGUCAUGUCCUUUGGGUUUACCAAUACCCCCAUCACAUUCAUGGAGUUGAUAAACCAAGGAUCUCAACUUAUUUCUUAUUCUAUUUAUAGGUGAUAUCUUGGUUUAUUCAAAGAGUAAGGAUGAUCAUAAGGAGAAUUUAUAGAUUGUUUUUCAAAGAUUAAGGGAUGAGGAGUUCUAUGCUAAGUUCGCUAAGUCUGAGUUUUAGAUAAAGUCUAUCCCUUUCUUGGAUUACGUGGUGACCAAAGAUGGUAUUUUGGUUGACCCGACCAAGAUUUUAGUGGUUCAUGAUUGGGCUAGGCCUACUUCUCCUAAUGAGAUUUACAGUUUUGUUGGUAUAACAUGCUACUAUCAGUGUUUUAUUGAGAGUUUUAAUAUCUAUUACAGCUCCAUUGACCAAGUUCACUCAUAAGAAGAUUUCCUUUUAGUGGUUUGAUUCUUGUGAGGCAAGCUUUCAAAAGCUCAAGGAUUUGUUGACUUCAGCUCCUAUCUUGAUCCAGCCCAAGGAGGGCAUAGUUUUUACCAUCUUUUGUGAUGCUUCUUGUCUUAGUUUAGGUUCUGUGCCAAUGUAAGAGGGUAAGGUAAUUGCCAAUGAUUCCCGUCACUUGACUAUUCUCUACCAUUAGUGCAAGGCUAAUAUAGUUAUGGAUGCCUUGAGCCAGAAAUUGAGUAGUAUGGGUAUCUUGGCAUUUCUUUAGAUUUAGGAGAGACCUUUGGCAAUAGAGGUUUAGUCUUUGGCUAACCAGAUAGUUAGGCUUGAAUUUUGACACCUGGGGGUGUUUUGGAAUUUGUUGAGGCAAAGUCUUCCUUGAUGGAGUAGAUUUAGGUUCAUUAGUUUGAUGAUGUUGGGUUUGAGAGUGAUUCAGGAUAAGGUAUUGAGUGAUGAGGCUAAGGAAGCCUUACUUGAUUCAGAUGGUGAUUUAAUGAUUGAAGGUCGAUUAUGUAUAUAGAGAGUGGGUGAUUGGAUUAGAUUGAUUUUGGAGGAGGUUCUUUGUUUUCCAUUCAUCCGAGAGUGACUAAGAUGUAUCAUGAUUUGAGACAUCAUUACUAGUGGGUGGUAUGAUGAAUGAUGCAGAGGAUUUUUUAGCUCAUUCCCUAUGUUGCCAGCAGGUGAAGGCCGAACAUUUAAGACCUAGUGGUUUUCUUCAUAGGUAACCUACUCUCGAGUGAAAAUGGGAAGGAAUGUCAGACGGAUGCAUUCUUGAGAUAUUCCAGUGGUUAAGAUCCAAUGGAGACAUCAAUGAGUAGUUAAGGUCCAAUGGAGACAUCAAACUGUAGAUGAGGCUAUUUGAGAGGUUGAGUCUGAUAUACGUAGUAGUUAUCCCCAACUUUUUACGAAUUGAAGUAUUGUCCUUGCUUUUAGUUCGAGGAUGAAUAGAUCCAUAGUGGUGGAUGAUUUAAUGACCUUACUUUUGGUAAUUUUUGUGAAAUAUUUUUGUGUUAUUUGACCAUUUUACCCCUCCCCAUGGUUGCAUUAUGGUAUUUUAAUGGUGUGAGGAUGAUUGGAAUAGUUCCUAAUGCAUUUCGAUGUGCUUUGUACAAGUUUUUAUUUUUUAGUGGCUUGAAAAGUUUUAUAGUUGACUCCGAUUAAUAUUAGUUGAUCUGUGUGUUAGAUGAAAAAACAGAACGCACCAACACACCCAGAACAUCAAUUUCAGGUUAGUAGCAUGGUUGGUGUAGUUUUAUGGCUUUUAUAUCUCAUUUUGACCCUAGAUUCAAAAAGUUAUGAAAUUGAGUUUUCGGGGUCAACACUAUGAAAACGACAUCCUUUUGAAAAUUUGAUAUCUCCAAUGAGUCUGGAACAUCAAAUUUGAUAGAGUAGCAUAGUCUGUUUGCGUUCUCGAGAUUUUGGAUGAAUCUUGAGGGAUCCGUGGAGAUUUGGAAUUUUCUAAGUCUCCAGAUGGUGCACCCGCUCAAGCAAUAUUUUAGUUGCUUAAGUGACCCAGCUGAGCAGUCGAUAUAUAUCUUAUGUGACUCCUGUGUUGCAUACACAAUUGUGACUUAAGCGAUAAUAGAAUCACUUACGUAACACUCGUUGACAAGUAAAGUAUCACGUAACUCCUGUGUCGCUUACACAAUCAUGACUUAAGCGACAAUAGUAUCGCUUACGUAACACUCGCUGACAAGCAAAGUAUCACGUAAGAGAUACCUGGUCGCUUAAGUAAUAGUCGUUUAAGCUUCCUGAUGAUUGCUUAAGCGAUGCCUAAGUCAUUUAUAUACCUCAUUUUCGUAAUUUUUACACCAUUUUUGAGACUUGGAGAUUGGGGUCGAUUUUUUGAGCAUUUUCAUCCAUUUCUAAGCUUGGGUAAGCUCCAAAGCUCUUAUUUAAACUACUUUUCUUUGAUUUCAUCAUUUAAAUUUUGUUUAAAUGCAUAUUUAAAGGUGGAAAUUAGAGAUUUUGGCCCGAAUGGCCCAAAUUAUUAUUUUGUUGAUUCAAACCCCAAUUUUACCUUAUUUUCACUUGGGUUUUCUCCUAUGUGUUUCUUUAAUCUUGGAAUACAUGUUUUUGGACAAAAAAAAACAUGUUUUACCCUUCUUUUUUGAAAAUUCAUUUUUGGGUCCAUUUUGACCCCGAUUUGGAAAUGGGCAAUAUGGGUAUCAUUGGUUUUUUUUUAUGUGUAGAUUCUAUAUUUGUGUCUUUUAGCCAAUUUUUGGAUCCGUGCAUGAGGUGAAGCUCGGUAAUAGAGGCUUAUUGAUUCCAGUUUCAUCUUUCGAGGUAGGUUAUGGCUUAACUUUCUUCAAACUGGGGUGGAUGGUUAAUAUUGGCAUAAAUUCAUACAAUGAGUAUGUGAACCAAUCAUGAAAAUGGCUAUAUUAACCGUGUGGGGGCCUAUAUUGUUUCUAAUUGGUGGUUUUAAGUCAUUAUUUGCUGCGUGACCGUGUGGGAUCUUAUAUGAUAUUAUUGGCCUUGUGUAUUUGAUAUUAGUUGUAUCUUGUUUGAUGAAAAAACCUAAUAUGGUAUCAGUGGUACAUUUUGGUGUAUUUUACUCUAUUGGUAUAUGAAUUAUUUUGGAUUUCAUGGAUGGUUGUAAUAUUGAGUGGAUUUUGGCUCACGUGGUUGGUGUAUUGGUUGAAUAUUAAAAUUCUCAUUGUUAUUGGUUGUGAGCAUUACACUCUCAUAUCAUAUAAAUUCAUGAAACAUUAGUACCAUCAUGGAAAUACUGGUAACAUUGUUUUUUUCUGACAGAAAUUGUGACAUCUUUAAAACCCUCUACCGAUGGAUGUGCUGAAGAUAAGAUAUGGAUAAGGUUUGGAUAUGGGUUGUAUAUGGGUUGACGAAACCCCCAUGGGUCAUACUUAGGAAGCAAAACUCGGUAGUUGAUAUGGAGGUUGUGUGCAGACCUCGUGCAUCACAUCAUCAUCAUCAUCAUUAUUGCCUUUUAUUAUAUACCUUGUGCUUUCUUUGUGUGUAGCAUCGUCCUUGAUAUGAUAUUUGUUUACAUGUAUUACUUUCUUCAUACUUGUAUGUGUGAUAUCCGUAUACUUGUGUAUCCUUAUUGUAUUUGUCUGUGGUAUAUGUGAAUGUUAUAGAAUUGUUAGUGGAGACGGUGUUGGCUACUUUUUGGGAUAUUUUCUUAAUGUAGGUGAUGCACCCUUACUGUGUAUUUUGUAUGAUUUAUUUUCUACUUUGCUCAGUCGGCCUAUGAUACCUACUGAGUAUAAGUGGACCAUAGUCACUCCUACUGCACCCUUUCGGUGCAGAUCCAGGUUCGAGUGCACUUCACAAAAGUUGAUUCUGACGGUACUUGGAGCCCGUUUGGGGUAGCGGUUGAUUUAUGCAUCCCGAGUUGACUUCUACCUUUUCUUAUCUAGACUAUGUGUUAUUUGUAUUCACAGACAGAGUUUUGUUUCCUAUUUUGGGAUAUCUUGUGUAUUUUUGACCUCUAGUUGUACUAAUUUGUUUUUACCCUGUGACGCCAGGUUUUGGGAUUAUUGUAUGGUAUACUUGGUUUUAUUUCUCUGCUUUUAUUAUAUGCAUGUGGUUCGGCUUCAUUCUAGAAGACUUGCCUUGGAUAUUAGUGUUAUUCUCCUUUUUAUAUCAGUUUGGGUGAUAGGCUUACUUGUCAUGGUUUUCCGCGACAAGUGCCAUCAUUAUCCUUGGUUUUUGGGUCGUGAAAAGAACCUCCAAGGACAAAGGUCUCUCCUAAGUCAAAAGAUGAGCCAAGCUACCCAUGCUAGUCGACUUACGGCUCAAGGCAUCAGCAUCCACGUUAGCCUUGUCAAGGUAUCUCUUGAUUUAAAAGAUGCGCUAAGCGACCCAUACUAGUCGACUUUUGGCUCAAGGCAUCCGCAACCACGUUAGCGUUGCCCGAAUAAUGGAGAAUAGUAAGUCAUAAUAUUUAAGCAACUCAAACCAACGACGAUGCCUUAUGUUAAGAUCUCGUUAGGUGAAGAAAUACUGAAGUGUAUGAUGAUCCAUGAAAAACUCGUAAUGGACUCCAUACAAGUUGUGUCUCCACAACUCCAAAACAAAAACAAUCGUGCACAAUUCCAAAUCAUGGGUUGGGUAAUUCCUCUCAUGGGGCUUCAACUAACAAGAAGCAUAUCCUUACCCUCUUACAGUAACCCAAUACCCAACCUAACACCUGAAGCAUCAUAUAAUGUAGUAAAACCUAUGCCCUCAUUGAGCAAAGUCAAAAUAGAAGCUGCUGUCAACAAAUCUUUGAGGUUUUGAAAGCUCACCUCACAAGCAUCGGACCACUAAAAAGAAAUCUUCUUCCGAGUCAACUUUGUCAAUGGAGUUGCAAUAGAUGAAAAGCCCUCAACAAAAUGGCGAUAGUAACCUACCAACCAACAAAUCUCUAUAUCUCGGUAGGAGAAGUAGGCCUAUCCUAAUCACAAACCGUUGUGAUAUUUGAUGGAUCGACCAUAAUACCAUCCUUGGUAACCACAUGGACCAAGAAAGAGACAUACUCCAACUAAAACUCACACUUAGAGAACUUAGUAUACAACUUCUUAUCCCUCAAUUUUUGGAGCACAAACCACAAAUGCUCCUCAUGAUCGACCAUACUCAUGGAAUAUACCAAGAUAUCAUCUAUAAAUACAAUGACAAAAGAGUCAAGAUACGAUCGAAAUACCCGGUUUAUCAACUCAUGAACGUAGAUGGGGCAAUGAUUAACCCCAAGGACAUGACCAAGAACUCAUAAUAACCUUAUCGAGUUCAAAAAGCUUUCUUCGGGAUAUCCUAAACUCUAAUCCUUAGAUGGUGAUAAACAAACCUUAAAUCAAUCUUUAAAAACUCUAAAGCACCCAGAAGAUGGUCAAUCAAAUCAUCAAUCUGAGGAAGAGGAUACUUAUUCUUAACCAUCACUUUGUUUAACUGUUAAUAAUCUAUACACAUAUGCAUCAAACUAUCCUUUUUAUUUACAAUCAACACAGGCGCACCCCAAGGUGAUACACCAGGUUGGAUAAAUCCUUUCUUCAAUAAAUUUUACACGUGAUCCUUUAAUUCCUUUAACUCUGCUUGGGCCAUUCUAUAAGAAAGAAUAGAAAUGUAGUUAGUGCCUAGCUCAACAUCAAUAUCAAAGUCGAUAUCACGAUCCUAAGGAAUACCAGGAAAAUCCAUAGGGAAAACAUCGAUGAAUUCAUAGACAACUCAAACAAAAUCAAAAGAUGGAGGUGAAGAACACUAGUAGCACGAAUAUGAGCCAAAUAAGAUAAACAUUCCCUAUCUACUAAACCAUGAGCUUAAAAGAAAGAUAUGACUAUCUUGGGACCCUAAUGAAGCACACCCUUCCAAACUAUCCUUGGCACACCUCGCAAAGCUAAAGUCAUGGUCUUAGCAUAGAAAUCUAGGAUAGAAUGAUAAGGAGGUAAUUAGUAUAUCCCUUAGAUGACAUUAAAAUCUACCAUAUUUAACACAAUUAGAUAUAUCUCGGUUGCACGUCCAACAAAAGUCACAAUACAAAAUUGGUACACCCAAUCCACCACUAGAGAGUCUCUUACUGGGGUAGAUACAUGGAUAGGCAUGGAAGGAGGCUCACUAGAAUAAUCAACACCCAAAGUUGUUGAGCCAAAAGACCCACUGCCUAAAUGUUGCAAGGCUUCCUGCAAUCUCUACCUUGAGAGAUGUGACUUCUGAACUCACCUUAACGAUGCACCUUCUUGGAGCCUCCCUGAGAUGCUUGAAGAAUAACCUCAAUCAUCUUAGCAUGAUCUACAAUACUCUGAAAUGACACUUCAUACAUUACUAUCUGAGUAUUACCAGGCUAAAGAGAAACAUCCAACCCCUUUACAAACUUAUGAAUCUUCUCAGACUCGGCAAUAAUACUGGCAUAAAAAUAUCUAGACAGUGCAUAUAAUUGUGUCUCAUACUACACAACAGUCAUGGAGCCCUACUCCAAGAAAUCAAACUUAUCUCUUAUUUUGUCCCUCAAACUAAAAGGCACAAAUAUGUCCAAAAAGACCUAUGAAAACUGAUCCUAAGUCAUAUAUGGAAAACAAGAGGUUGGCAACCAAUAAGUGACCUCCACUAAUCUCUGGCUGUAUCUCUCAACAGGCAUAGUGAAUUUGGCCGGUUGAGACCCUACUUAAGGAGGUAACACAAAGGAAGAACACCUAAUCUCAGUAAUACUAUACUAGGAUACAGGUGCAGAAAUGAGUGAAACACUAUUUAGAACACAAGGUAUGAAAGAUUCACACAAAAAGGAACAAAAUAAGGAAAGUUUCCUAAAGAUAUCUUAUAGCCUCUCAAAGAUAGAUAUGAAUGUCUACGUACUGAUCUACGAGACUCUAUUAGAUACCCCAUUCUUAUACUAUUGAGACCAAUGAACUUGGCUGCUCUGAUACUAAUUUGUCAUAAACUAAAACCAAGGGUCAUGAUGACACUUGUCACGACGAGCAUUGAUAAGUAAGCCUAUCACCUAAAAUGAUAUGAAAUAAAAAAUGAAUACCAAACCCAAGGCAAGACUCAUAGAAUGGUGUUGAGCUACACAUAUAUAGUAAAAUCCAAAAUACAUAGUCAAGAUACUAUAAAAUACCCCAAAACCUGGUGCCAUAAUGUAAGAACUACAAAAUACAUCUUAAAUGUCAAAGCUAUAAUAAUAGUCCAUAAAUGAUUAAAAUCUAUCUCCGAAUACUAAAUAAGACAUAAAAUAGACUGGAAGAAGUAGUAGGCCAACUCCUAAAACAUGGGACGACACUACCUCAAAUCUACUCCAACUACUGCUUGAGUCAGCUAUCCGUGAGGUGCACUCAUACCUAGAUCUGCAUCAAAAGGGCAUAGUAGGAUGAGUACGAUCUACUUGUACUCAGUAGGUAUCAUAGGAUGACUGAGUAAAGUAGAAAAUAAAUCAUAUUAACACAAACUAUGGGCACUUCACUUGCAAUUAGAAAAUGUCCCAAAUGGUAGCCCACACCAUCUCUACUAACAGUUCUAAUAUACACACAUAUAUAACAAAUAUAGGUAGAGAAAAGAAGAACAAAUAUAUACGUACAUCAAAUACAAGUAUAGGAAGAUAGAAUAAAUGGACAAAUAUCAAGUCAAAGACGAAAAUACAAUCACAGCAUAAGCCCAAUAUAUGAAGAGCAAUGAAAAUAAUGAUGAUGGUGAUUAUGAUGUGAUGCACUCUAUUUAAACCUACUGAGCUAAAUCUUCCUGAGGUAAGAUCCAUGGGGGUUCAUCAACUCAUAUACAACUAAUAUCUAACACCAAUAUCCAUAUCUCCUCUCCAGCAUAUACUUUGAUAGAAUACCAAUAUCUAUAUCUCCUCUCUGAUAUAUACACCUAACACGCCCAAACUAGAGCCUAGUCCUGUCGGGUAUCUCAAGUCCAACCAGGAUCGAAGACUACCCCUAUACCUCACUUUUAACCACCUUACACCCCAUUUUAAAUGAAUUUUGAACAUAUAAAAAGAUAAAAUAAUAAUAAUUUAAAGACAUUAGAUGAAGUCUAUAACCAUAACCAAACAGUCACAACCAAGUAUCCAACUAAUACCAAUCCCAAUGCCAAUACCAAUACCAAUGCUAAAACUAACAUCGACACCACCUAUGCCCAUGUAGUCCAACAAAGCCUCUAAUUAGAAUUAAAGAAUAUCCAAUCAGGACAUACCCCCGAUUAUACCUAAAACCAAAACCAAAGAAAUAACAAUAAUAAAAGAAGUCCAUAGCAUGAAAUGGGGUCUUCUAAAGAAUGAAAGCUAACACUUCAAUCUGACUCAAAGCUAUCCCUGAAUUCGAGUCACUAAGCAGGAGGAAUAGAAGUAUGGACAGAACCUGCAUCGCAUGGGGAUACAGUGCCUGAAGACGAUUAUUUGAGUGAACGCUAGUAUGUAAUUCAGCGAUAAGGAUAAAAUAAUGCCAUUAAUUCAAAAUCAAAUCAAAUAACCAUAUGCAAUAACAUACAUACUUAUAUAUAUAUAUAUCAUAUCAGGGUAGGGAACAAGGUUUAGCAUGCAUUUAAAAUUUUAACCUGGAUUGUGUAGCUUUACCAUCAUAAUAUACCCACGGGCUAUAUGUUACCCCCUAAACAGGCCCCAGUGCGUGUAGUCGUACGAACAGAGAUAUCAUAGGGGCCAAGGAUUCCCAUGUACCCUUUUCCGUCCAUGUUACAUAUAUUUAGGUAUAGAAUUAGGGGAUUCCCGAGUACCCCACAUGCAGAAGGUCACCAAUUCCAACCUUCAUGUUGGCAAACAUGAUUUUCUAGUAUUCGUCCAUCAAACUCACACCUUCAUGAAUAGAUAUCACAACCCUCAUUAAUGUCAAAUUAAAAUAUUUUGAACAUAACCAAAACACCGAUUCCAGGAGUUAAUUAUCAAGGCAUUAUAAAUUGGUAUCGUCAUACCGACUAUAAAUUGCAAGUAAUGUCCUUAGCCAACACUUAAGGGAUUCCCAUGUACCCUACAGACUCCAUUAUUAAGAUCACUUUGGGGAUUCCCACGUACCUUACAAGGUUUUAAAUUCAAUUUGAUUUAUGUCCAUCAAAGCCUUUAUAAAGUCCUUCAUUAAUUAUUUUCAUGGUUAUGCCAAAGCCUUAGUUUAAAAACACAAUUCAACUUGUGACAGUAUGAUUCUCAUUGACCGUUUCACAAAUAGGUUGAGGGAAUGCCAUUAUCAAAGCUAUACUCAUCAAAUUUUGAGGUUCAAUGAUAGAGCCCAAGCGCAAAUGCAAGUGUACGUGGUCUACUAAGUAAUUAGUGGCCUUCAAGAAAGUCGAAUAUCGAUCCUACAGGGACUUGUUCUAACAACUAUUCAAAUUCAAUUUACAAUUUAGAUUUAAUUGAUGUGAUAGUAAAAAAAAGAGAGUUUUGAAUAUUUGUAAACUAAGGUAAAGUAAACAAUGCUCAGAAUAAAGGUCUUGAAGGAGAAAAGCCCAGGGUUAAAGCACAUCGAACAAUCAUACUAUGCUAUUGAACUUCAUCCAUUAACUUGCUUAUCUUGAUUGUUGAUUCAUAGGGUUAAUCGUAUGAUCAUGGUCUCUUAACCUCAAAUCAUUUACCUAACUUAAGCAUUACAACUACAUCAUUGAGUAGGGAUGUAAUAAUCCAAUUAAGUUCUUUAAGCUAUCAUUCUAUGUGUGAAUAAAGUAAGGCUUCUAGGUACAUCCCUAUCCUAGAUGCUAACUUGAAUUCCUUAUUUCAUACAAGAAUAUGAACCCUACUUUGUUUAUCCCCAUGUUCUAUCUUCCUAUUCCCUCUCUCGGGACACAAUAUUGACAAUUAAUGUAUUCUAAGGGUGAUCAAUCCUGAAAAUAGUUAAAUUAGGAAUAAACAAACAACUAAAUAUGAUAAGAAAAUAAAACUAAAUUAAUUCAAAACAAUAGUACUCAUGUUCUUAUCUUUAACCUCGAAAAGGGAGUGCUUAGCCACUUAUUGUCAUAAUCAUCAUCCAAAUAAUUGUAUGAAUGAUAAAAAAUAUAAAGAAGCUAAAUUAAAGUAAUUAAAACACAAAAAAGAAGUUUUCAUAUCCCCUAAGACAUCCAAGGAAUCAAAAGAUACCCUAAAAAGUGUUUAAGGUCAUGUAUUUAAAGUAGAAGGCAAUUGCCGUGUGGGAUUAGGGGGCGUCGCCCAUUCUAGAGCAUGGGAGUAGAGGGAGCGUCACCUGGUAUAUUGCACCACUCCACAGGAGGCUUAGGCUGACUUAUAGCACCACUAUAGAGGGGGAUGCAUCUACUAUAUUGUGCUGAAAUGGUUGGGGUGACGCACGCUUAUCGCGGGCAGCCACCGGAACUUGCCAUCCAAAUUUUGUCUAAGUGUUUAAGUGCUCCUCCGUUUAUCCAGGCCUUGUGGUGUUAUUUUGCCUUCAAUUCCAGCUUGUAUAUCAUUAAAAUACCAUUAACAUUGACUCGUCAUGCAUCCAAAAACAUCAAACACCAAACAUUAGAACUAAACACAACACAACAUCAAUGAUAGCGAACUAGAAACUCAAUCUAAGCACUAGUCUCGACCACUUUAUGCUUUAACUUAUUGUUGACUCAUGGCUAAUUUUAAUUGAACUUUGAAUGCUCUAAAAAAGUUUUUCCACACAUAAUCAAACAUUCAAAUUAUAAGUAACUCAUUAGACAAGUACAAUCCAUUGUGAUAGACAAGAACAAUACCUAGAUCAAGCUAGUAAAAUUUGUUUUCUCGCCUAGACUCUAAUUGAAAGAUUUAAGCAUACACUUUCUUGAAAACACCUUUACACAUGAUAAACACAUCCUUAAAUAUUUAGAUGCUUAUUUAUAUCAUCAUCAACACAUAAAUCACUUGAAUUGUCCUCAAAACAAGGCUAAACAAGCUAGGAUAAUGAUAAUAAAGUGCAUAAAUACACCCAACAUCACCACCCCAUACUUAAAGCCUUGUUCAUCCUCGAACAACUCUUUGCUCUAAGCAUCAUAAGCCGAGGAGACUCUACACUUCCUCUACAUGCAAGACACUCAAGCUAGUACCACAAUAACUACAUAGAAUGCAAGUUUUUACACAAAACAUGUUAUUUAAACAAUUGAAAGCUCAUGAACACUACUCCAAAUCAUUCUAGCCUCAAGGAUUGACUCAAUAAGUAGAAAACUUAUGAAUAUUUCUCAAUAAAGGACAUCAUAAAAAUCACCCACAUUAUCAAACAUGUGCCCCUCACAAUAAGAAAGUUACCCAUAAUCACUCACAAUAAUCUAAUUUAUCACAAUGAGUAAAAGAGUCAAAUUUUUCUCCCUCUCACAAGGAAUUCACAAGUUGCACAUAAUGAACUAUAGGCUUGCCCUUAGUGUAUUGCUCCACUACUAUCAGAAUGCUAAGCUUAAGGUCAAAUAGGCAUUUUAUGGUUGUAAUAUAGGAUAAGGGAUGGGUAGGAACUAUUUUUGAAUAGUGACUAUCUGUACAUCACUUUAUACAUUUAAUUCAACUUUAACAACCAGAUUACACCACUUUGUCUACCCCAUUCUUUUGUUUUCACCCGAUCUUAUUACGCUCAUUUACGUACACUAUGGUGGGAGUAUUAUAUGCACAACUCAUUCAAUUUAAAUAAUUUCUUUUUAUUUUAAUUACUUAAAUCCCCAUCACAACACAUAACAAUUCUCUUUUUUCGUCACACCUAUAACUAUCACUUUAGGGCUUCAAUUUCACUUUUUCUCCUCUUAUUUCUCAAACUCCUUGGUCAAUGAAUUUUUCAUUAAAGUGCCUAGGAGAUUUGGAUCAAAGUAAGGUCUCUCAAAGAAGGGAUUCAGAUACAUAUGAGGUUGCCAAAGAAAAAGCUAAAGGCUCAAUGGGGCUUACUAGGAUUAUGCACACAGGUAGGUCAAAAGAAGGUCUAAAAUAAGGCUAUCAAAGAAAUGCCUAUAUCAUCUCCUAAACCCACACUCUUUAUUUUGAUUUGUACAUAAACCAGGAAAGUUCUAGAAAUCACAUGAAACAAGGAAUAUAAAACUCCUCACAUGCAUAUGACAUAUGCUUAACUCACGUAGGAUCAUCAUAGACACUCAACCAAACAAUAGCAUGAAUUCAACAUUAAGCCAACAAGUACAAGAGUCAUAAUCAUGAGCCUAGGAGUCUAAAAAGUAGUACUUCACACAAUCAACAUGCUUUAAAAUCAAAAAUUGCAUCAUACAAUCAUAUAUAGCAUCAACAAGAAUAUCCUACUUAUUCCUACCCUAAAAAAGUAAAUUAAAUUUACCCUAAAAAUUGGGAAUUUCCCCUACCCCACACUUAAAAAUCUACUUUGUCCCUAAAGUAUACUUAAAAGUCAAAAUAGAAAUAUUCCUUGAGACCUAUAGGCCUAGAUUGUAACAUCUUUAUAUAUCAAGAGGGCCUGGGGACCCCACACUUAGUCUUUGCCAUGCUCCUUAGCUCAGAUUUUUGUUACUCAGACUUCCUAUUAACCUGUGACUCAACAAAAACAAAAACUAUGUGAAGUAAAAACUAAAAACUAAAAAUAAAACAUACCAAAUUAACUUGGGUUGGGGUUCCUGAUUUAGUGUCGUAGCAUGACCCAACUUAAGGCUUAGCCAAAUUCCUUUAUCCUUUUACUCCCCUUUGGGAGCCAUUUUCUCAUUCAUUUCUGACCUCUUAAGUGUGAAUUCUCAAGGUCAACAACAUUUUCAACUAUAAACUUUUUAGUUUCAUCAAUCUUCAUAAAGCCGAGAAGCGGUGGUGUCCGCUUAGGCCGUUCAAUGAGGUAGUCCGAAGAGGUUCUUUGUGGAGCAGGCUCCACUACCUACACUUAUCCCCUUCAAUUAUAGAAAUCAUGCAUAAGUCUUUAUAGUGGGAUAGUGUGUUGAGAGGCUUGUAUACUUUGAAAACUGCCUCCUCAUUCUCCAACCUCAUUAUUAGCGUACCCUCUCUUAUAUUAAUCAACGCUUCUCCUAUCGCUAAGAAUGAAAGACCUAAGAUGAUUAGGACCUAUUCAUCUACCUAAAACUUUAGAACAAUAAAGUUAGUAGGAAUAAUGAAUUUACCAACCUUUAUAAGGACAUCCUCUAUCACUCCUUCAGGAUGGGAUAUGGUCCUAUUUUCCAAUUGCAACAACAUAGAGCUCAGUCUAGGCUUUCCUAAGCCCAAUGUGUUGAACAAAGAUAGGGGCAUCAAGUUGAUACUUGGCCCCAAAUCACUAAGUGCCUGAACCACUUUACUGUUGCCAAUUUGAAUGGAGAGAGUGAACUUCCCAGGUCCUUAAGAUUUUUUGACAUCUUUGGAGUAACCAUAAAACUACACUUCUUAGUGAGUGCUACCACCUCCAUAUCCUUCAACUUGAAUUUAUUAGCCACCACAUCCCUCAAGUAAUUAACAUACUUGGGUAUUUCCUACAAAAUAUCUAAAAGAGGUAAGUUAAUGUGUAAUUCUCUAAACAUGUCAAAGAACUUCUUGAAGCAGGCAUCCUCCUUUGCCUUCAUAUGCUUUUGUGGGAAAGGUAGUUAUGGGAUCUUCUUCACUUCUUCAACAACUUUUUCUUUCGAGUACUCAGACUUCCUCAACUUUUCAACAACUCUUCUAUUUACCUAUUCAGUCACCACAUCAAUAUCUACCUUCUUAGUUGCCUUUGGAGGUUCUUCAUUAAACUCUUUACCACUUCUCAAUGUGAUUGAGAUUACUUGUUUUGGAUUUUUUGUAUCUCUUAGAAAACCACCUUGAGGCCUAGUAUUUAGUGUCUGUGAUAACUGACCUAACUGCAACUCUAAGCUUCUCGUGGCCGCUUGUUGGUUCUUUACAUCUGUAGCCAACUGUGUUUGAUUAUCUAGAAUUUGCAUCAUCAUCUCUCCGAAGUUGCUAGUUGAAUAAUUUCCUUGUGCCUGUUCCUAAUUGUUCCAUGCUAGAUUUGGUGGCUGAGUCUGCUACUUCAUGCUGUAGGCGUUCCCAUAAUUCUGCAUUUAAGCAUUUCCCACAGACAUUAUAGACUCAGGAUUGACAACACACAUAGAAACUAAAUGGCCACUUUUACUACAAAAAUCACACUAUCCUAUAGCUUAUUGGAUUGUAUUAACCAUGGAUACAGGUUGUAUAACACUCAAUUUUAUGUUGCUGAGCGGUAUAGUUAACUGAUUUUGUAAUCCAGCAAUUUGAGUAGAUACUACAGUAAACUGAUCCACUUCCAAAACACUUGCAAUCUUUUUGGUAGAAAUCCUAGAAUCACAAUGACACUCUGGAUUUCCUUGUGAUAUGAGGUUUAAUAAGGUGUACAACUCAUCAUAAGUCAAAAUUAAUUCAAAACAAUAAUACUCAUAUUCUUAGCUUUAACCUCGGAAAGGGAGUGCUUAGCCACUUAUAGUCAUAAUCAUCAUCCAAAUAAUUGUAUGAAUGAUAAAAAACAUAAAGAAUCUAAACUAAAGUAACUAAAACCUAUAAAUGAUGUUGCAGCUGCCCCUGAAUUGUCCAAGGCAUUAAAAGAUACUUAACAAAAUGUUUAAGGUCAUAUAUUUAUAGUAUAAGGAAAUUGCCGUGUGGGAUUGGGGGGCGUCGUCCAUUCUAGAGCAUGGGAGUAGAGAGAGCGCCUCCUGGUAUAUUGUACCACUCCACUGGAACUUGCAAUCAAAAUUUUAUCGAAGUGUUUAAGUGCUCCUCCGUUUAUCCAUGCUUUGUGAUGUUAUUUUUCCGUCAAUUACAACUUUUAUAUCAUCAAAAUACCAUUAACAUCGACUUCUCACGUGUCUUAAAAUAUCAAACACUAAGCAUUAGAACUAAACACCACCCAACAUCGAUGAUAGCGAACUAGAAACUCAAUCUAAGCACUAGUCUCGACCACUUUAUGCUUUAACUUAAUGUUGACUCAUGGUUAAUUUUAAUUGAACUUUGAAUUCUCUAAAAAAGUUGAUCCACACAUAAUCAAGAAUUCAAAUCAUAAGAAACUAGUUAGACACUGUAGAAUCCAUUGCGAUAGACUAGAACAACACAUAGCUCAAGUUAGUAAAACUAGUUUUCUCGCCUAGACUCUAAUUGUUUGAUUUAAGCACACACUUUCUUGAAAACGCCUUUACACAUUAUAAACACAUCCUUAAACACUUAGAUGCUUAUUAAUAUCAUCAUCAACACAUAAAUCACAUGAAUUAUCCUCAAAAUGAGGCUAAACAAGCUAGGAUAAUGAUACUAAUGUGCAUAAAUACACCCUAAAUCAUUCAAUUGUGACCCCUUAAAUGAAUCACCAUUCCCAUGCACCCACAUGUGCAAAACCAAAUUUAAAACAUCCAUAGUCACAAUUUAAAUCAUAGAAAAUGAUAUUCAAUGAUAUGCAUUCAAACCCCUCAACCUUAGUUUCAAUACCGCCAUUAUUGAUUCAUGAAUAAUUCUUGAAACAUAUGCUUUAAGUAACUAACAAUGAGGGAAGAUUUACAUGCCUGAAUUACAAAGAUUCACUGAGAGAAAUUGAUCCUUAAUCCCUUAGAUGACCACUUUGAAGAAACCCUAGACUAUUUUACUUGAGAGAAUUUUGAGAGAGUAAAGAGGAUGUUUAAUCUUGUAAAAUGUGGAAUGAAUGACCAAAGAGUGUUAUAGGGAUGUGGGUCUUAAGGGUUUUAAGAGAUAAAUAUCCAAAAUGCCCCUAACUUAAAGAUGUAAAAAAAUCAUCCUUGGUUACAAGUCGACCCAUGGACUCGUCACCACAUCUUACAACUCACAGCCAAAAGUCAUAUCCUAGAUAGUGAGUUGGACACCCAUAAACUAUCCUACUCACGACUCUAUGAUCCCCAAUCGUGACCUGACCAUACAACUCAUAUGGUCUAGUCGUAUGAGAAAUAGAACCCAAGGGAUUAGACACUCGACAACAUAUGACUCAACCCUAUCACUCGUAACAUAUCCUCAUGACUCUUAGUGAUACACUCGUACUUAGAGAAGAGUCAAGUCAUUAAGUUUCUAAUUUGAUAAAGGAUCAUCCUAAUAACUUAUCACCACCCCUAAUGACUCAUACCACCAAAUAAUUACUAGGACCGGAAGCCCACCACCCACUGGACACCUAAAGACUAAGGUCACCUACCUAUACCUACACCAUAUGACUCGUAUGAUGAGUUAUAACUAGGACAGUGAGCUCGGAGUUUAAAAUUUUCCAAGGGCUAAAACCUAGGGUGUUUCAAUUCUCCCCUCUUGUAUCAUUCAUCCCCGAAUGAUGGAACAAGGCAUCGGCUAGCUCGAUUCAACCCCAAACAUCUCUACUCUUACCUUUAACUAAGUUAGUAAACAAAGAUGCCAAGGAAAUCAAUCUUCCCUUUAACAAAGUCAGUAUAUAAAGAUGGUAAGAUCUACCCAUAACUGAAGCAUGAUUUUACAAAAUAGGGAAUAGGAAUGGGUAAUUGGACUUUAUGUCCUCUUCAGCUUCCCAAGUAGCAUUUUUAACCUUGUGGUUACUCUAUAGAACCUUUACCAAAGCUACGUCCUUCAUCCACAACCAAAAACUUGAUGAUCCAAGAUUUCAACCUGAACAUCCUCAUAAGAAAAGGAAUCCAAAAUACUAACAUCCUUGAUAAGCAUAAUUUACGAUGGAUCACCCACACACUUUCUCAACAUCGAGACAUGGAACACCGGGUGAAUGGAGCUCAAACUAGUAGGCAACCCAAAUUCAUAUACAACAUUACCACCCUUCUCAAAACCAAGUAUAGACCAACAUACCGGGGACUAAUCUUCCCCUUCUUCCCAAAUUGCAUCACUCUCUUCAUGGGAGACACCUUCAAGAAUACCCUAUCUCCAACCUCAAACUCUAACUUCCUAUGCCUUAUAUCUGCAUAGGACUUUUGGCAACUUUAGGUAGCUUUAAACCUAUCCCGAAUCACCUUAACCUUCUCCAUGGCUUGGUGAACCAAAUUCGAACAAAACACCUCUGCCUCACCAACCUCAAACCACCUAAUAGGAGACCUAUACCUCCUACCAUACAAGGCCUCAAAUGGAGCCAUCCCAAUACUAGAGUGGUAGUUUUUGUUAUACACAAACUCUAUAAAAGGUAAAUUCUCAAUCCAACUACCACUAUAGUCAAUCACACAAGCUAGAAGCAUAUCUUUUAAUAUCUGAAUAGUUCUUUAUACUUGUCCAUCUGGCUGCUGAUGGAAAGCAGUAAUAAGAAUCACUUUGGCUCCCAAAUCUUUUUGAAAUGACCGCCAAAAGUGCGAUGAAAAUUCCGUACCACGAUAUGAGAUAAUAGAAACAAGCAACUCAUACAACUUUACAAUCUCUUGUAGGUACAACCUUUAUGUAAUCCUCUUCCAAAUAAUUUGUCCUCGCAGGCAAAAAAUGAAUAGACUUCGUCAUCCUAUCCAUGAUGACCCAAACCAAAUCAAACUGAUACCAAGACCGAGGAAGACCGAUAACAAAAUCCAUAUUAAUCACUUCCUACUUCUGCACAGGACCCUUAAUUUUGUAAUACAAUCCUUCGGGCCUUAAGUACUCAACUUUCACCUGUUGUCACACCCUACACUUAGCCACAAAACUACCUAUAUCUUACUUCAUAUUGUUCCACCAGUACAUUUACUUAGGGUCAUGAUACAUUUUUGUCGAACCAUGAUGAAUAGCAUAGCGCAACUCAUGCGCCUUAGCCAAGAUCCUUUUUUAUAAUCUAUCUANNNNNNNNNNNNNNNNNNNNGUAGGGAAAACAUAACCUUCUUUGUUGUUAUAAAAUGCCAUCACCAUAACUCUCAAAGGCCAUCACCUUCUUCCCACCUUCACCCUUGAUCCUUUUCAAUACGGGAUCCAAUAGUUAUUUCUCCUUUAUUUCUGCACAAAGAGACUACUACGCCAUCUUCUACACAAACACACCACUAUAUCAGAGUCUAAGAGAUGAACUCCAAGUUUAGCAAAAUGGUUAAUAUAUUUUAUCAACUUUGCUUCAGUUCAUCCACAUGAGCUAGAUUCCUCAUGGAUAACCUGCUAAGAGAAUCAGCAACCACGUUAGCUUUAAAUGGAUGGUAGUGAAGACUAAUGUCAAAAUCCUUGAGUAUCUCAAGCCAUCUUUUUGCGUGAGGUUCUACUUUUUUUAAGUAAAUAUAUAUUACAGGCUCUUAUGAUUGAAAAAGAUAUCCACAUGCACUCUAUACAACAACCAACAAUUCCAAGUCACGAGUCAGAUAAUUCUUCUCAUGUACCUUCAACUAUCUAUUGGAAUAAGCUAUCACUUUGCUAUGUUGCAUCAAGACGCAACCAAGCCCCACGAGGGACACAUCAAAAUGUAUCACAAGUCCAUCAGUUCCUUCAGGCAAAGUCAAGACUAGAUCCAAGCCAGUGUAUCCUUCAGCUUCUCAAAACUACCUUCACAUGAAUCAAACUACAUGAACAUUACCUUCUUCUAAUUUAACUUAGUCAAUGGGGAAACUAUAGAAGAUAAGCUUUCCAUAAACCUUCUAUAACAACUGGAUAAAUCUAAGAAACUCUGAAGAUCAGUUGGAGUUGUGGGUCUAGGCCCCUUCUUAACCACUGCAACUUUCUGUAGAUCUAUCAUCAUCCCUACACUAGAAAUGACAUGACCUAUAAAAGUGACAGUGUUAAAACAGAAUCCAUAUUUUGAGAAUUUAUCAUCAACUGCUGAUUUUUUAGGGCCUGUAAUACAAUGCGGAGGUGAUCAAUAUGAUUCACCUUGAUCUUAGAGUACACCACAAUAUCAUCUAUGAAUACAAUGAUAAACAAAUCUAGAAACUGAUGAGAGACUCUAUUCAUCAAGUCCAUGAAUGCCGUCGGGGAAUUAGUCAACCCAAAAUACAUGACUAAGAACUCAAAUUUCUUGUAUCGUGUACGGAAGGCAUCCUUAGGGAUAUCCACUUCCCUAAUAUUUAGCUGAUGAUACCUUGAUUGAAGGUCAAUCUUGGAGAAAAGCUUAGCACCCUGAAGCUGAUCAAAUGAAUCAUCUAUCCUUGGAAGAGGGUAUUUAUUCUUAACCGUUACCUUAUUCAAUUAUCGAUAAUCAAUACACAUCCUAUGGUAACUAUCUUUCUUACCAAAAAAUAACACCGGUGAACCCUACGGAGACACACUAGGAUGGAUGAAACACUUGUCUAAAAGAUCCUUUAGUUGCUUCUUCAGCUUCUUUAACUCGGCUAGAGUUAUUCUAUAUGGGGGAAUAAAAAUAAGAUGAGUGUCCGGAACAAGGUCUCUCCCAAAAUCAAUCUCGCUGUCAAUAGAAACAUCAGGAAGGUCAUCAAGGAAGACCUCAGGAAAUUCAUUCACCACCAUGAUAGAAUGUAAAGAAGGACCCUUCGAGUUGGAAUCUUUAAAUCAGACCAAAUGAUAGAGACACUUCUUGGAGAUUAAUCUUCGAGCUCUAAGAUAUGAUAUGAACCUUCCCUUAGGAGCUAGGGAACUACCCUACUGGCUCAUUGGGGAAUUUAAAUACGACCUUAUGAGCUUGAUAGUCUAAACACAUAUAGCACGAGUGCAACCAAUCCAUCCCUAAUAUAAUAUUGAAAUCUAACAUGUCUAAUUCAAAUAGAUCUACCAAGGUCUCCUGAUUGCCCACAGAUACCACACAACCUCUAUAGACUCUUCUAGCUACCACAAAGUCAACCACCAGGGUAGAAAUAGAAAAAAGGGUCUAAAAUAUACUCAAGAUGGAAACCAAAAUACACAACUAUAAAUGAGGUCACAUAAGAGAGAGUGGACCCCAGAUCAAGUAAAUAGUACACAUCAUGGGAAAAGUGUUUCAAUAUACCGGUAAUGAUAUCAACUAAUGCCUUGGAAUUCUGAUGAUUAGUGAGAGCAUAGAGUUGGUUUUGACCACUAUCAAAACUAUAUAGUGCACCCUUUGGUUUCAGAGCUAAGGAGGAGACAAUCAGAACCUUGUUUUCCCUAGAGGCAACCUUACCUACUGGACAGUUUCUAAGCAUAUGCCCUGGCUGACCAAAAUUGAACUUGUCCUUUUCCUCAUUAUAGAAACCCUGAUGCAGUCGACUACAAAAUUUGCAAGAAGGAUUUGAUGGAACUGAUUGGGCCCUACUAGCUUGAGAUUGGGAACCUUAUUCCCUAUAAUUAUUUCCACACUGAAAAUGUCUGUCACCAGAUGGCAAUGGAUAGGGAGCACUAGUCAUUGAGUGAGACCUCAAAUUUCCCCACCCCUUCUUGGACCACUUUCCACCAUCCCUGCUACUCAGCUAUUGGCCACCACCCUGAUAAAAAAAUCUAAAAUUCUUGCUCUGCCUCUCCCUCAUCUUCGCCUACUCUUUUUUCUCUUUCUCAACCUAUUGCGUGUGUAUAACUAACCUAGAUAUACCAUGUCCUCAUUCAAAAAGGCAGACUUACUCUCUAAAAUCAAGUCUCGGGACAACCUAAAAGAAAACUUCCUCAUUCUAGCCCUCAUGCUAGAAACCAACUCCGAAGUAUAUUGUGAUAACUGGUAAAACUUUAAGGCAUAAUCCUUGAUAACAUUUUGCCCUGCUUCAAGUUAACAAAAUCUUCCUCCUUUACCUCCCCGAUUCCUGACGAAAGAAGUGAUCAAAAAAGCACUAGAGAAAUCAUCCCACAGGGAUGAGUCAGCAUCGUCACCCUUAGACUGUUCCUAUUCCUCAUACCAUAGGUAGGCUAUAUCUUUUAGUUGGUAAGCAGCAAAGUCCACACCUUUCACAUAAGUAGUAUUUAUUAUAUGAAAGAUCUUCUCUAUCUUAUUAAUAAAACUUUAAGGAUCCUCCUCAACCUUAACACUAGUUAGCACAAGAGGGUUCAACCUCAUAAGCUAUCCAACCGUUGUAACUUCAAAAGAUCGAGUUACAGAAGUACCGUGCAUGGACUGAGAAGAUACCAACUGAUCCAACAUAUGGAUGGACUGAUAAAACUCAGCAUUCAUCACAUCUACUUGAGGGGUUCAAGAAGGACCGGAGGGGACCAGUGGAACUCUAGGAGGGAAAUCAGGAAAUGGACCCCUAAACUAGGUCUUAACCCUAUAAGAAGGAUAUGUACCAUCAAUGUUAUCCUUAGGUUGGAUAAAGGAGUUUUUGUGAGCUUCAAAUCAUUUUGGAGGCAUGAUCUUAAGAGUGAAUAAGAGGGAAUUAGUGGAGAUUUCAGGACCUUAGACUCUACACUCAAAAAUAAAACACAAGAAGGAAAAUCAUUAAUAAAACACAAGAAAGAGAAUCAUUCCUAAAUACCUUAUAGCCUCUCUCUUACGAGUGUAGUGUGUGACACACCCUUAAAAGAGACUCUACUCGACCCAACUUUGUGGACACCAAAUUGACCAUGAACCUAUAUCUCUGAUAAUAAUCUGACAUGACCCAAACUAGGGCCUAGUCAUAUUAGGUAUCUCAAGACCAUCCAAGAUCAAAGACCACCUCCAGUACCCCACCAUUAACCACCCUACACCCCAUACCAGAUGAAUUCUAAAAUCAUAAUAAGAUAAAAUAAUAAUAAUUCAAAGACAUUAGAUGAAGUCUACAACCAUAACCAAAUAGUCACAACCAAGUAUCCAACCACACUAAUAAAGACACCGCCCAUGCCUAUAAUAGUCCAACAAAGCCUCUAAUUAGAAUUGAAGAAUAUCCAGUCAGGGCAUGCCCCCGACCUUAGCCAAAACCAAAACAAAAGAAAUAACAAUAAUAAAAAGAAGUCCAUAGAAUGACAUGAGGUCUUUUAGAGUAUGGAAGCUCACCACUUCAAUCUCACUCGAAGCUGUCCUAAAAUCUGAGUCACUAAGCACGGGGAAUAGAAAUAUGGCCAGUUCCUGUAUUGCUUAGGGAUAAAGUGCUCGAAGACGGUUAGUAAAGUAAAUGCUAGUAUGUAACUAAGGGAUAAGGAUAAAAUAAUUCCAUCAAUUCAAAACCAAAUCAAAUAACCAUAUGCAAUGACAUACAUACAAACACAUACACACACACACACAUAUAUAUAUCAUACCAGGAUAGGGAAGAAGAUUUAGCAUGCAUUUAAAAUUUUAACCUAGAUUGUGCUUCUAUACCAUCAUAAUCCACCCAUGGGCUACCUAAACAGGCCCAGUGCUUAUAGCCACACAAAUAGGAGAUAUCAUAGGGGCCGAGAUUCUUAUGUACCCAUUACCCUCCAUGAUACAUCUAUAUAAGUAUAGACUUGCGGGAUUCCCAUGUACCCCGCAAACAUAAGGUCACCAAGACCAACCUUUAUGUCGGCAAACAUGAGUUUCUAGUGUCCAUCCAUCAGACUCACACCUUCACGACUAGCUAUCAUAACCCCUAUUAUUGACCAAUUAAAAAUUUAUCACCUAACCAAACCACCAAUUCCAGGUGUCAAUUAUCAAGGCAUUAUAAAUUGGUAUCGCCAUACCGACUAUAACUUACAAGUAAUGUCAUUCUCCAAUACUUAGGGGGUUCCCAUGCACCCCGCAGACUCCAUUAUUAAAAUUACUUUGGGAUUCCCAUGUACCCUACAAGGUUUUCAAUUUAAUUUAUGACCAUCAAAGCCUUUAUAAAGUCCUUCAUCAAUUAUUUUCAUGGUUAUGCCAAAUCCUUAUUUCAAAAACACAAUUCAACUUGUGACAAUAUAAUUCUCAUUGGAAAUUUCACAAAUAGUUGAGGGCAUGCCAUUAUCAAAACCAAACUCAUAAGAGUUUGGGGUUUAACCACGACCCUCAAUUAAAUCACUAUUCCCAUGAACCCAUAUGUGCAAAACCAAAAUUAAAACAUACAUAAUCAUAAAGUAAACCAUAGAAAACAAUAUUCAAUGAUAUGCAUUCAAACCCUUCAACCUUGGUUAAAGACCACCAUUAUUGAUUCAUGUACAAUGCUUAAAACAUAUGCUUUUAGUAAACUAACAACGACAGAAGAGUCACAUUCCUGAUUUACAAAGAUUCAUAGAGAGAAAUUGAUCCUUAAGCCCUUAGAUGACCACUUUGGAGAAACCCUAGUCAAUUUUUCUUGAGAGAAUUUUGGGAGAGUAAAGAGGAUUUUAAUCUGGUAAAGUGUGGAAUGAAUGACCAAAAAAUGUUAUAGGGAUGUGGGUCUUAAGGGUUUUAAGUUAAAAAUGUACAAAUUUUCCCCAACUUAAAGUUGUAAAAAAAUCGUCCUUGGUUGCGAGUCGACCUAAUGACUCGUUACCAGAUAAUACUCCUCGUAUCCAUGAGUCCUAUCCUAGACAGUGAGUUGGACACCCAUACAUUUUCCAUUUUACGAAUCCAUGAUCCCCAAUCGUGACCUGACUAUACGACUUAUAUGGUUUAGCUGUAUGCAAGAUAGAACCCAAGGGAUUAGACACUGAACAAUACACGACUCAACUCUACCACACAUAACCUAUCCUCACGGCUCUUAGUGAGCCACUCGUACUCAGAGUUGAGUCAAGUCAGUAAGUUUCUGAUUUGAUUAAGGAUUAUCCUACUGACUUGUCACCACCCCUAAUGACUUGUACCACUAAGUCAUUACCAUGAUUGAAAGCCCAACCACUACCCAGUGAAUGCCUAACGACUAGGGACGUGACCCGUACCUACACCAUAUGACUUGUAUGAUGAGUCGUUACUAGGACGUCAAGUUUAGAGCUUAAGAAUUUUCCAAGUGCCAAAACCCAUGGUGUUUCAGCAUCGAUAGAGGAUUUUUAAGGAUGUCACAUUUUUUAUUCAAUAAGUCAGUAUUUCAAGUAUUUAUACUAUUUCUAUGACGGUACCAAUAUUGUAUGAAUGAUUAUAAUAUGAGGAUGUAAUGCUUAGAAUCAACAAAAAUGAGAAUAUUCAGUAUCCAACCAAUAUACUAACCAUGCAAGCCAAAAAUACACUUAAAUCAAUCAAACAUCAAUGAUCAAAUAUAAAUUUGGAGCUUACCCAUGCUUAAAAAUGGAAGAAAAUGCCCAAAAACCUAAAUCCCAAGCUAUAAGUCUAAAAAAUGAUGUAUGAAUCUUGAAAAAAGUAAAAUAAACUCCCCAAGAAUCGCCUAAGAAACUAUUGGGUAGCUUAGGCGGCAAUCGCCCAAGCGACCAAGCGUCGGUUAUGUGAAGCCCGAUUCACCGCUUACGCGGGCUGGCUUUUACUGAAGUGAUAGGCGCCUGGCAUGGAAAUGUUGCUUAAGCGACCAAGACACUUAAUAUACCAAAGAAUCGCUUAAACGAGUGCACCAGCUGGAGACUUAGAGAAUUCCAAGUCGAUGUGGACCCCUCGAGAUUUAUCCAGAAUCAUAAGUAUGAAAAUGAACUAUGCUAUCCUACUAAAUUCGAUGCUCUGGACUCAAUGACGAGAUCAGAUUUUUGAAUAAACAUCAUUUCACAAAGUUGCCCCCCAAAAGUAAAUUUGUAAUAUUUUUGAACGGAAGGUCAAAAUGAGAUAUAAAAGUCGUAAAAUCACACCAAUCAUGUUACCUACCUAAAAUAGAUAUUUUGGAUCAGCUGGUGUAGUAUGUUUUACCAUCUGACACACAAAUUAAAAGAUAUCAACCAAGUCAACUAAUAAUCCUUUAAACCAUAAAAAACUACAAUCUCGCACAAACCACACCGAAAUACAUUGGGAGCCAUGUCAAUUAUCCCCACACUCCAGAAUUACCACAAUGCAAGCACGAAAAGGAUUAAAAUGGUAAAAUCACACAAAAAAUAAAUAUUUCACAUAAAUCACUAAAAAUUAAGUCAUUACAUAUAUAUUAAGUAUAUUUCACUAUUUGGAAACUAAAUAUGACUAGACACAACAUGUUUGGAUCCACUAGAAGGGUGGAGUUAUUAUUAUUACUUUUGAAAAUUUAUUAUGCAACAAGGGUGGAGUUAUUAUUAUUACUGUGCAAGAAAUUGACUUGUACUGCCUUAUAACUAGGGGUGAGUUUGGUACGAAGGAAAAUGUUAUCCCUUGAAAAUAUUUUUUUUAAAAAGGUUGAGUUCUUACUUAUUUUUUAGUCUUUGGAAAUUAAUCAAAAAAUAUGUUAUCUCAAAAAUAUUUAUAUAUAAUUUAGAAAAAACUCUAAAGGUGGAAAGGGUUAGAGUGGGGGCUUCAGGAGCGGCAGGGUGGGAUAGUCAAGAGCUAGCAGUAGCGGGCAAUUGGUGGAUGGGAAAAUACAAAAAAUAGAGAACAUUACUUAUAGAACACUUGUUUUACUAAGGGGUGUACAUGGUCGGGUUGUUUCAAAUUUUUAAAAUACCAAAUCAAACUAUAUGCAAUCUGGUUUUAAAUCUAUAACCAAAUCAAUAAACUUUGGAUUUUCUAUUUUGGAUUUUCUUUUUGUUUUUUUUUUUUGAAUUUUUUUGGGUUUAUUAGAUAAAGUAUUUACACAAACAUAUAAUCAACUUGUACUUCAAAUAUUUCUUAGUCCUAUUAAGAAAAAAUUAUGUAAUGACCUAAAUUUUGAUGAACUAUAUGAAAUGUAUUUUUUGUGUGGUUUAACUAUUUUACCUCUCCUUAUAGUUUCAUUUUGGUAUUUUUGUGGUGUGGAAAUGAUUGACACAUUUUUCAAUACAUUUUAAUGUCAUUUAUGCUAUAUUAUAAUUUUUGGUGGCUUCGAGAGCCUUAUAUGUGAUUUUAAUUGAUAUCUAUUGUUUCAUGUGACAGAUGGCAAAAUCGACUGCACCAACAGAUCCAAAAUAUUGAUUUUAGGAUGGUAACAUAUUUGAUGUGGUUUUAUGGCUUCUAAAUCUCAUUUCAACCCUUGAUUUAGAAAGUUAUGAUUUUGAAUUUUAGGGUCAACUUUGUGAAAACGACGUCUUUUCAAAAAUCUAAUUUUGCUAUUGAGUCUAGAGCAUCAAAUUUGAUAAGGUAGCAUAAUAUUUUUGCAUUCACGAGAUUUUGAGUGGAUCUCGAGGGGCCUGCAGGGACUCAGAAUGACUAAAAUCCCCAACUGGUACACCAGAAAUCUAGUACACCCAAGGUCGUAAAAUGAUAUCUUGAUCAUGAUAGGGACAUCAGUCAGGAUGUUAUGAUUGUGACCCUUUCUCGUGAUUGUGAUAUCCUGGACAGACGAGAUACCACAAUCGCUGGUACUGAUUAUAAAUACACAUAUUUCAUCAUUUAUCACUAUUUUUGAGAUUUGGAGCAAAGGGUUUUAGGGUUUUGAGCAAAUUUGUCCAUUUAUAAGAUUGGUUAAACUCCAUUAUACCCAUUUCAACUAAUUUCUUUCAUCUUUAACAUUAGAUUCGUAUUUUAAUUCAAAUUCAACCCCUUUUCACUUGAAUAAUAUUCCUAAUCCUAUAAUUACUAGUUUUUCCUCAAUUUCAUCUUCAAAACAACUUUGAAUCUUGAUUUUGAAAAUGAUUUCAAAGAUUUUAUCCGGUAAAGUUUAAAAAAGGGUUUUCUUCAAUUUGGACCUUAUUGUUAACUCUUUUUCACUUGAGUUUUUAUUUUUAGACUCCUAAAAACAUGGGGAACAUAUUUUUUUAAACAAAGUUAUAAUUUUUUCUUCUUUUCAAAAACCCAUUUCGGGGAUCCGUUUUAACCUUGACUUAAAACUAGAUAAUAUGAGUGUCAUUGGAUUUAUUUUGACAUAUACAUUCUAUGUUUUUAGGUUUUAGUUGAUUUCAGAUCCAUUUGUUAGGAGUAAGACUUUGGUAUUGAAGUAUAGCAAACUAGUUUUGGCAUUCGAGGUAGGUUUUGACUUAAAUCCUUUAGACUAGGUUAGGUAGUUAAUUUGUAUAUAAAAUGUAUGUAAAGGGUGUGGGAACUAAGCAUGAAAAAUUUCUAUGUUACUGUGUUGUGCCUAUGGGGGGGGGCCUACCAUGUGGGCUCCGAUAUGAUGUUGAUAGCUUAUAUACAUGAGAAUAGUGGUGUUUAUUUAAUGAAAAACAUAUUGUGGUACCAAAUUUGUAUUGUGAUGUAUUUAUAUAUGAAACAUGUCGAAAUUCAUGAAUGAUUGGAAAUAUUGAGUGAAUAUUGAGCUCAUGUGAUUGGCAUAUUGGUUGGUUGUGGAAAUACUAAUAUGGUUGGUUAUGAGCAUUACAUUCUCAUAUUAUACUCAUUUAUGAAACAAAUGGUAACACCAUGGAAAUACUAGCAACACCUUCUUAUAAAACCCUUCCCGAGAGGUGUAAUAGGGAGGAGAUAUUAUGACAUCUAAUAAAACCCUCCUCGAGUGAUGUUCUGGAGAGGAGAUAUGAUAUAUAUAUUGUAUAUGGGUUGAAGAAACCCUUAUGGGUUCUAUGUCUUGAAGCUUUAGCUCCGUAGGUGUAUAUAGAAAUUAUGCGAUGGUCUCGAAGGCUGUCUGAUGGCCUCGAGGUUGUUGCAUAGCCUUAUGAAUCAUCAUAAUCAUAAUUCUAGUAGGAUUUACUUUAUUAUAUUAUGAUGUGAUUGAAUGCUCUAUUUUAACUGGUUAUCUAUCUAUUGUUCUAUCUUUUCUUACUUGUAUGUUAUGCUCUUGUAUAUUUUGUUCUCCUUUACUUUGCUUAUACGUGGUAUAAUUAUAUGCUUGUAUUCCUUGAUGGUGCUUUGUUGUAUUAUAUAUGAAUGUUGUAGGACUAUUAGUCCAAGCAGUGUGGGCUACCAUUGUGGGAUAUUUUCUGAUUGCAGGUGACGUGCCCUUAGUGUAUAUUUUGUAUAUUUUAUUAUAUACUUUUCUUGGUCAGACUAUCUUACCUACUUAGUACAAAUAGACCGUACUCAUGCCUAAUGCACACUUUUGGUGUAGGUCCUAGUUUGAGCAUGCAGCUUGGUUGAUUUGGGCUACUAUUAGAGUUUUCAAUGUAGUGGUUGAUUUCAAGAAUCUGAAGUCACUUCUAUAUUAUCUAUAUUAGACUAUGUCUUUAUUUUAUUUUUGAGACAUAGUUGUAUCCUAUUUUGGUUGUCUUUGUAUUGGAUUCUUGGAUUGUGUUAGUAGUUCUUACACUAUUGAUACCAGGAUUUUGAAAUGUAUGAUAUUUUGGUUUACUUAUUUUUGCAUUUGUUAUAUUGUUAGGUUUGGAUUUAUUCUUGAAGACUUACCUUGAGGUUAUUAUUGUCUUAUUCCCCUUGUGUAUUAGUUUGGGUGAUAUGUUUACUUAUCAAGGUUCACCGUAAGAAGUGCCAUCAUGACCCUUGUUUUUGGGUUGUGACAAAUUGGUAUUAGAUCUAGGUUUCAUUGGUCUCGAGGGUGUUAGAAUAGUAUGUCUAAUAGAGUCUCAUAGAUCGGUAUAUAGAUUUUUGUAUAUAUCUUUGAGAGGCAGUAGAGUGUCUUUAGGAAAAUUUUCUCAUUUUAUCUCUUAUCAUGCGAAUUACUUUUAUACCUUGUAAUUUGAGUUGUGUUUUACUUUUUCUUUGUUGAUGGUAUUUACUAGGUCCUGUGAGAGUAGAAAUAUAGAGCCUUUACCCAGAGGGCGAUCCUCGAGUCAUGGAUGGACUCGAGGGAGUGGAUGGUCCUGUGUAUCAGCUUUCUCUAGGAGGAGUGUUAGGGAACUCUUCCCUGAGCCUUAGGUUGAGCAUAUUUAGGGUAUAGGUUUAGCUCUAGCUUCUCAAAGUUAAUUUUCCCUAGUCUUGGAGGGUUUUUUAGUGCAUUUGCUAACCCGCUUAGAAGGUUCUCCCUUAGUUAUGCUAGGUGUUCCUCCAGUUCUUAGUGUGGAUCCUCUUGUUGUACCUGUUUCAGUUUUGGGUACACCUCAGGCCUCGAGUACUAUUCCUAUUUCAGCGCUGGCACCUGAGUAUAGUAUUUUAAGAUCAAAAGUUCAACCUUUAUCUAUAUUACCUCUCUAGAUAGAAUCUCAGCUUGCCAUAACUAUUACAGUAUUUCUAUCGAGUCUGGAAAGAUUUCAAAGUUCAUGAAGGGUUUGAAUAUUUCUUUUUAAUUGGCUACAUCUCAGAUUGUUAUAUUUAGUGCAUCCUUCUAAAGUAUAAUGGAUCAUGCUAAGAUGACUGAGGGUAUUCUGCGAGCAUCUUAGGGAGGCUCUAAGAAGAUACACUAUUUUGGUGAGUUUAGAGGUCAAGCUUCCCAAGGUAAUGCUCUAUUUUAACUGGUUAUCUAUCUAUUGUUCUAUCUUUUCUUACUUGUAUGUUAUGCUCUUGUAUAUUUUGUUCUCCUUUACUUUGCUUAUACGUGGUAUAAUUAUAUGCUUGUAUUCCUUGAUGGUGCUUUGUUGUAUUAUAUAUGAAUGUUGUAGGACUAUUAGUCCAAGCAGUGUGGGCUACCAUUGUGGGAUAUUUUCUGAUUGCAGGUGACGUGCCCUUAGUGUAUAUUUUGUAUAUUUUAUUAUAUACUUUUCUUGGUCAGACUAUCUUACCUACUUAGUACAAAUAGACCGUACUCAUGCCUAAUGCACACUUUUGGUGUAGGUCCUAGUUUGAGCAUGCAGCUUGGUUGAUUUGGGCUACUAUUAGAGUUUUCAAUGUAGUGGUUGAUUUCAAGAAUCUGAAGUCACUUCUAUAUUAUCUAUAUUAGACUAUGUCUUUAUUUUAUUUUUGAGACAUAGUUGUAUCCUAUUUUGGUUGUCUUUGUAUUGGAUUCUUGGAUUGUGUUAGUAGUUCUUACACUAUUGAUACCAGGAUUUUGAAAUGUAUGAUAUUUUGGUUUACUUAUUUUUGCAUUUGUUAUAUUGUUAGGUUUGGAUUUAUUCUUGAAGACUUACCUUGAGGUUAUUAUUGUCUUAUUCCCCUUGUGUAUUAGUUUGGGUGAUAUGUUUACUUAUCAAGGUUCACCGUAAGAAGUGCCAUCAUGACCCUUGUUUUUGGGUUGUGACAAAUUGGUAUUAGAUCUAGGUUUCAUUGGUCUCGAGGGUGUUAGAAUAGUAUGUCUAAUAGAGUCUCAUAGAUCGGUAUAUAGAUUUUUGUAUAUAUCUUUGAGAGGCAGUAGAGUGUCUUUAGGAAAAUUUUCUCAUUUUAUCUCUUAUCAUGCGAAUUACUUUUAUACCUUGUAAUUUGAGUUGUGUUUUACUUUUUCUUUGUUGAUGGUAUUUACUAGGUCCUGUGAGAGUAGAAAUAUAGAGCCUUUACCCAGAGGGCGAUCCUCGAGUCAUGGAUGGACUCGAGGGAGUGGAUGGUCCUGUGUAUCAGCUUUCUCUAGGAGGAGUGUUAGGGAACUCUUCCCUGAGCCUUAGGUUGAGCAUAUUUAGGGUAUAGGUUUAGCUCUAGCUUCUCAAAGUUAAUUUUCCCUAGUCUUGGAGGGUUUUUUAGUGCAUUUGCUAACCCGCUUAGAAGGUUCUCCCUUAGUUAUGCUAGGUGUUCCUCCAGUUCUUAGUGUGGAUCCUCUUGUUGUACCUGUUUCAGUUUUGGGUACACCUCAGGCCUCGAGUACUAUUCCUAUUUCAGCGCUGGCACCUGAGUAUAGUAUUUUAAGAUCAAAAGUUCAACCUUUAUCUAUAUUACCUCUCUAGAUAGAAUCUCAGCUUGCCAUAACUAUUACAGUAUUUCUAUCGAGUCUGGAAAGAUUUCAAAGUUCAUGAAGGGUUUGAAUAUUUCUUUUUAAUUGGCUACAUCUCAGAUUGUUAUAUUUAGUGCAUCCUUCUAAAGUAUAAUGGAUCAUGCUAAGAUGACUGAGGGUAUUCUGCGAGCAUCUUAGGGAGGCUCUAAGAAGAUACACUAUUUUGGUGAGUUUAGAGGUCAAGCUUCCCAAGGUAGGGAUUUUAGAAGUUCUCAUAGGUAUUAUGCUAGACUAAUACAGGCAACCUUACAGAGUUUGGGUAGUAGGUUUUCUCGACUAGUAGUUCAGGGUAGCCGUUUGGGCCUAGUUGUGCUUUUUCCUAUUGAGUCAAGCCAUAAAGGUUGCUUUGUGUGUGAUGAUAUUGGAUAUGUUGCUAAGUACUAUCCCUAUUUUGUGAUUAGAGUUACUCUUAUUUUAGCUGUGACAGGUAGGGGUUCUACUAGAGAUGCGAGGGGAUGAGGUAGUAGAGCCUAUGGUGAUGGUCGUGGGGCUACUUAGCUAGUUAGUGGUCAUGGAAAGUUCUUUUCUAUACCAUCCAAAACUGAGGCAAUGUCUUUAGAUAUUGUUAUCAUAGGUAUCAUCCCCAUCUUUUUAGAUCUGCAUCUGUGUUAUUUGAGCUUAAAUCGACUUUCUCUAUGUGUCUAUAUAUUUUUCUUUGGAUUUCUAUUCUGUUAGUAAGCCUCUUGCCAUUCUAAUUUAUGUAUAUACCCCAGUAGGAGAUUCUUUAGUGGUGGAUCAGGUGUACCAAUGCUAUGUUGUGACUUUUUCUAGAUGUGAGACUUGGGUAGGUUUGCUUGUGUUAGAUAUGGUUGAAUUCAAUGUUAUCUUAGGUAUAAAUUGGUUGGCUCCUGAUCAUGCUAUCCUAGAUUUUUUUGCGAAGACCAUGACUUUAGCUUCGCCGGUGUACCAAGGAUAGCUUGGAAGGUGUACUUCAUUCAGGUCCUAAGAGGAUUAUAUCUUAUGUUUAGACUUAUAGAUUGUUGAGAAAGGAUGUUUAUUUUAUUUGGCUCAUAUUUAUGAUACUAGUAUUUUUUUACUUCUUUGUUUAGAUUUGGUUUAUGUUGUUUACGAGUUCAUAGAUGUGUUCUCUAUAGAUUUUUUGGGUAUGCCUCUAGAUCAUGAUAUUAUUUUGCUUUUGAUGUUGAGUCAGGCACCAAGCCCAAUUAUAUUCCUCCAUAUAGGAAAGGAAUUGAAGGGUCAGUUGCAGGAGUUGUUGGAUAAAGGAUUUGUCUGACCCAAUGUAUCACCUUGGGGUGUGCAUAUCUUAUUUGUGAAGAAGAAAAACAGGUGUAUGCAUAUUUGUAUUGAUUAUCAAUAGUUGAAUAAGGUGACAGUUAAGAAUAAGUGUCCUCUUCCUUAUAUUAAUGAUUUAUUUGAUCAACUUUAUGGUGUUUUAGUUUUUUUAAAGAUUGAUUUGAGGUUUGGGUAUCACCAAUUGAGGAUUAAAGCUUAAAAUAUUCCAAAGAAAGCUUUUUAGACUCGAUAUGGUCAUUAUGAGUUCGUAGUCAUAUCUUUUGUGCUGACUAAUGCCCUAGCUGUGUUCAAGGAGUUGAUGAACUGGGUGUUCCAAUCAUAUUUUGACUUCUUUGUUAUUAUAUUUAUUGAUGAUAUCUUUGUUUAUUCUAAGAGUGAGGCUGAUCAUGAGGACCAUUUAUUGAUUGUGCUUUAAAGAAUAAGGGAUAAGAAGUUGUAUGCUAAUUCUCCAAGUAUGAGUUUUGGUUAGAGUCUGUUUCUUUCUUAGGUCAUAUGGUGACUAAGGAGGGUAUUAUGGUUGAUCUAGCCAAGGUUACUGCAGUUCAUGAUUGGGCUAAAUCUACUUCGCCCACCGAGAUUUAGAGUUUUGUUGGCUUGGCAGGUUAUUAUUAGUGUUUUAUUUAGGGUUUCUCAUCCAUUACAGUUCUGUUGACCAAGUUGACUUAGAAGAAGAUUUAUUUUUAGUGGUUUGAUGCUUGUGAGGCAAGCUUUUAAAAGAUCAAAGACUUGUUAACUUCAGCUCUUAUCUUGACUUUGCCCAAAGAGGGCAUGGGUUUCACUGUAUUUUAUGAUACUUCAGGUGUUGGAUUAGGUAUUAUGUUGAUGCAGAAGGGUAAGAUAAUUGUGUAUGCUUCUCGUCAGUUGAAGCCUCAUAAGAGGAAUUACCCUACACAUGAUUUGAGUUGUGUGUGGUUGUUUUUUCUUUGAAGUUAUGGAGGCAUUACUCUUAUGGAUCCCAUUGCUAGAUUUUCUCAGAUCAUCAUAGCCUUUAGUACUUCUUUACCUAGCGAUAUCUUAAUAUGAGGUAGUGUCAUUGGCUUUUGUUGCUUAAGGAUUAUGACUUGACUAUUCCCUACCAUCCAGGCAAGGCUAAUGUAUUUGUUAAUGCCUUGAGCCAAAAGUCGACAAACAUAGGUAGCUUAGCGCAUCUUUUGACCCAGGAGAGGCAUUUGGAAAGUAGUUAGUCUUGAUGUUUUGACACCUAGGUAUGAAUUAGAAUUUAUAGAGGUUAGGUCUUAUUUGAGAAAGUAGAUUAAAGCUCAUUAGUUUGAUGAUGUGGGAUUGAGAUUUAUUUGAAAUAAGGUGUUGAGUGGUGAGUCUAAGGAAGCCUCACUUGAUUCAGAGAAAGAUUUGAGCAUUCGAGGCCGAGUUGUAUGCUAAGAGUAGGUGAUUGGAUUAGAUUGAUUUUGUAGAAAGCUUAUUGUUUUAGGUAUUCCAUAUAGAGUGACUAAAAUGUAUUGGGAUUUGAGGCAACAUUACUGGUGGGGUGGUAUAAGGAAGGAUGUAGUGGAUUUUGUUACUUGUUACCUUUGUUGUCAGUAGGUGAAGUGAAACACCCUAGAAGAUUUUUGGCCCUUGAAAAUUUCCUGAGCUUUGAGCUCACUGCCUAGAUUAUGGCUUGACCAUAUGAGUUGUAUGGUGUCUUGACGGGCUAGGUGACCCUAGUCAUAAGGUGUCCAGUGGAUGAUGGUUGGAUUUUUUUGUCUUGGUUAAACUUGGUGAUAUGAGUCAUUAAGGAUGGAAAUGGAUCAUUAGGAUGAACCUUAACCAAAUUAGUAACUUAUUGGCUUGACUCUGCUCUAAGUAUGAGUGGCUCACUAGGAGUUGUGAGGAUAGGUUAUGAGUCAUGAGUCGAAGUUGUAAGUUGUCUAGUGUCUGACCUAUUUGAGUACUGUGUUGGUUAUGACUAGACACUACGAGUCAUUGGGUUAGGUUACGAGUGGGAUCAUGGAGUCAUAAGGUGGAAAAUGUAUGGGUGUCAUACUUAAUGUCUAGGAUACGACUCAAGGCUCCGAGUCAUAUGAUAUGGUGAUGAGUCAAUGGGUCAACUCAUAACCAAAGAUGGCUUUUUACAACUUUUAAGGUGAGGCUAUUGUGGAUAUUUCCCACUUCAAGUCCCUUUGAUACCACGACUUAAAACCUUUCUUUGAACUUUAUUAACACACUGUUCCCAAUAAAACACUCUCAAAUUCUCUCUCAAAUACUCUAUUCAAGCUAAGGCUAGAGUUUCAAAGAAAGUGGUAAUCUAGGGUUCUAAGGGUGCAAUCUCUUCCAAAUUGCUUAGUAUUUUAGGCAUGUUACUCAUCCCUCAUUGCUAUUUUACUUUAAGCAAAGGUUUUAAGGUAAGGCUUUCAUAGAAUUAUUAUGGUUUUGAAAUAAAGGUUGGGGGUCUUUGAAUGCUCAUUGUUGAAUGAUGUUUUCCCAUGGUUUAAUUAUGGUUUUCCAUAUUUAAAUAUGGGUUUGAACAUAUGGGUGCAUGGGUAUGGUGGUGGAACUUGAUAAUGAUAAAUUUCUCUAAAUUUAUGACUUUUGAAGUGGUUGUGACCCCAACCCUGUAUUGUAAAAUUGGUUAGUAAUUAGGACAAAGGUGGGAAUUUGAAUUAAGGGUACAAUAGAAUCCCCAAAGUACUUUGUUUGACUUAUAUCUUGAAACUAAUGCAUGGUAUAAAUAGUUAAAUCAUUAUGGAUAGUUUUGAAAACCUUGUGGGAAACAAGGGAAUCCCCCAAGUUAUUAUAUAAUGAAAACUUUAUGGGGUACACGGGAAUCCCCCAAGUGAUUUUAAUAAUAGAGUCUAUGAGGUACAUAGGAAUCCCCUGUGUCUUGGCCAAUGACAUUGCUUGCAAACUAUAGUUGGCAUGGCGAUACCACUUUAUAAUGCCUUAAUAAUUGACUCCUGGAAUUGGUGGUUUUGUUAUGUGUAAAAUAUUUUAAUUGGAUAAUAGUGGGGGUUGUGAUAGCUAGCCGUGAAGGUCUGAGUUCAACAGACGGACACUGGAAACUCAUGUUUUCUGACAUGAGGGUUGGUCUUAGUGACCAUACGCUUGUGGAAUACAUGGUAAUCCCCUAAGUCUAUACAUGUAUAUAUUUAUCAUGGAAGGCAAAGGGUACAUGGGAGUCCCUGGACUAUUAUGAUAUCUCCAGUUCCUGCAGAUACAGGUACUGGGGCCUAUUCAGGGGGUAAAACUGGGCCCUCUAGCAUGUGGGUGGACUUUUGAUGAUAAAGCUACACAAUCCAGGUUAAGGAUUUAAAUGCAUGCUAAACCUUGAUCCCUAUCCUUGCACAUAUACAUGUAUAUAUAUGAUUGCAUAUGGUUAUUUGACUUGGUUUUGAAUUGAUGGCAUUAUUUAUCGUUAUCCUUGAGUUACAUACUAGUGUUCACUCUUCUAAUCAUCUUCGAGUGCUAUAUUACCACGCGAUGCAGGAACCGACCAUACUUUCACUCCCUUAUGCUCAGUGACUUGGUGAUUAUGCGAUAACUUUUGAGUCAUACUGAAGUGGUGAGUUUCCAUACACCGGAUGACCCUAUUUCAUGCUAUGGACUUCUUUAUAUCAUUUUUAUUUCUUUGGUUCUGGUUUUGGCUAUGGUCGGGGUCAUGUCCCAACUGGAUAUUGUUUGAAUUUGGUUAGAGUUGUUGUUGGACUACUAUGGGCAUGGGCGGUAUCAGAUUGGUAUUACUAUUGGUAUUGGCAUUGGGAUCGAUAUUGGAAGGUUGUUUGGUUGUGGAUUUUUUUUUGGUUAUAAAUUUAUUUUAAUGUCUUUAAUUUAAUAUUAUGUUAUCUUAUUAUAUGUUCAAAAUUCAUCCGACAUGGGGAGUAGGGUGGUUAAUGGUUUGGAUAUUAGGGGUGGUCCUCGAUCUUGGCUGAACUUGAGAUACCCAAAAUGACUAGGCUCUUGUUUGGGUCGUAUCAAAUUAGUAUCAAAGCCCUAGGUUCAUGGUCAAUUGGGUUUUCACACAGUGGUGUUAACUAAAGUCUCUUUUAAGGUUGUGUAGCGCGCCACUCAUAAAAGAGAGGCUAUAUGGCAUUAGGAAUAUUUCUCUUUCUUGUGCUUAAUUUUUGGUCUGUAGAGUCUAAGGUCCUGAAAUCCUCUCUAAUUCUCUCUUGUUUGCUUUUUAGAUCAUGCCUCCCAGAUGAUUUGAAGCCCACAAAAACUUUUCUAUCCUACCUGAGGACAAUGCUGAUGAGAUACGUCCUACUUAUACCGUCCAGACCUGGUCUAGGGUUCUAGUUCUUGAUUUUUUUUUUGGAUUUCCACUGAUACCCUCUAGUCCUCCUCGAUCUCCUUAGGAUGAUGUGAUGAAUGUUGAGUUUCAUCAGUAUAUCUAUGUAGUAGCAUAUUUAGUAGCUUCUCAGUAGUGUGGUACUUUUGUUACUCCAUUUGUUGGGGCCACAAGGGUUGGCCAGUUUAUGAGGUUGAACCCUUUGAGAUUUAUUGGAGUUAAGGUUGAGGAGGAUCCUCAAAGUUUCCUUGAUGAGAUAGAAAAGAUCUUCCAUGUGAUAUAUGCCACUAAUGUGGAGGGUGUGGAGUUCACCACCUACCAAUUGAAGGAUGUGGCAUAUCAGUGGUACGAGGAAUGGGAUUUGUCAAAGAGUGGCAAUGCUGAGUCAACCCUAUGGGAUGAUUUUUCUAAUACUUUCCUGGAUGGCUUCUUUCUUAAAGAUUUAAGGAAGGCAAAGUUGAAAGAGUUUUUUAACCUAAAGUAGGGCAAGAUAUCAGUAAAGAAUUAUGCCUUAUAGUUUCACCUAUUAUCUUGGUAUACUCUGGAGUUGGUUUCUAGCAUAAGGGCUAGAAUGAGGAAUUUUUCUUCUGGGUUCUCUCAAGACUUAAUUUUAGAGAGUAAAGCUACCUUAUUAAACAAGGACAUGGACAUCACCAGGAUUACUAUAUAUAUUUAGCAGGAUAAGAAAGAGAAAAAGAAGCAGGCAGAUAUAGGGGAGAGAUAAAUCAAGAAGUUUAGAUUUUCUGAGCAGGAUGGAGGUCAACAACAAAGUGGUAGGGAUGGUGGAAAUUAGUCCGAAGGGGCAAUUUUGGGUCUCACUCGUCGGCUAGUGCUUCCUACCCAAAUCCAUCUGGUGAUAGAAGUUUUUAAGGUGGCGAUAAUUAUAGGGCAUAGGGUACCCAAUAUUUGCGUAGUAAGGCCCAAUCAGCUUUAUCAUCUUUUUCAUAGAUUUUUUGGUUGAUUGAAUUGGGGGAUUUUUGAUGAGAGAAGGGGCAAGUACUUCAACUAUGAUCAGUCGGGGCAUAUCCUUAGAAACUGUAUAGUGUCUAAGGUUGAUUUUAGGGAAAAUAAUGUUCCGAUUGCCUCUUCUUUAGCUUCAGAAUAAAAAGGUGCACCAUCUGGCUUUGGCACUAGUUGGAACCGACUUUAUCCUCUUACUACACACUAGGAGUCUGAGGCAUCACUUGAUGUCAUUAUUGGUACGUUGAAAUUCUUUUCUCGUGAUGUGUACUGGUUACUUGAUUUAGGGUCCACUCUUUUUUAUGCCCCUUUUUUGUUUCUACCUUGAUAGGUGACUCUGUGAUUACUAGAAGAGUUUAUAAGGGUUGUGUCCUAUGUAUGGGUGGUCGAGAGACUUUGGUGGAUCUAUUUGAAUUAGACAUGGUUGAUUUUAAAGUUAUAUUAGGGAUAGAUUGGUUACACUCGUGCUAUGCUUCUCUAGAAUAUCGAACACAUAAAGUCAUCUUUAAAUUCCCAAAUGACCUAGUUAUUAAAUGGAAGGGUGGUUCUUUAGCCCCCAAGAGAAGGUUCAUAUCAUAUCUUAUAGCCCAGAGAUUAAUCUUCAAGGGGUGUCUCUAUCAUCUGGUUUGGGUUAAAAUUUCUAACAUGGAGGGUCAUUCUUUAUAUCCAUCCAAAUGGUGAAUGAAUUUCUUGAGUUUCUCCCUGAUGACCUUCCUGGUGUCUUUCCCAAUAGGGAGAUUGAUUUUGGGAUUUAUCUUUUUUAGGACACUUAUCUUAUCUCUAUUGCCCCAUAUAAAAUGGUUCCAGCUGAGUUCAAGGAGUUUAAGGAGAAAUUAAAUAAUCUUUUAGAUGGGUUUCAUCCAUCCUAGUGUGUUUCCAUGGGGUGCACCAAUAUUGUUUAUGCAUAAAAAUAAAGGUCCCAUUGGAUGUGUAUUAAUUAUCAGCAAUUGAAUAAGGUAACUGUAAAUAAUAAGUACCAUUUUCCAACGAUAAUGGCUUGUUUGAUCUACUUCAAGGUGCUAAGUUCUCCAAUAUUAAUCUUCGAUACGGGUAUCAAUAGUUAAAUAUUAGGGAUGUGGAUACCCCUCAGGCUGCCUUCUGUACCUGAUGUGGGCAUUUUGAGUUCCUAGUUAUAUAUUUUGGGUUGACUAAUGCCCCGAUGAUAUUAAUGGACUUGAUAAAUAGGGUAUUUCCUCAGAUUUGGAUUUAUUCAUUAUUAUAUUCACAGAAGAUACUAUGGUAUACUCAAAGAGUGAGGUGGAUCAUGCGAUCACCUCCACAUUAUGUUGCAGACACUGAAGAACCAUUAGUUGUAUGCCAAAUUUUUGAAAUGUGAAUUUAGUUAAACGCUGUCACUUUUUUGGGUCAUGUCAUAUCUAUUAAAGGGAUCAUGGUGGAUCCAUAAAAAGUUGUGUGGUUAAGAAGUGGCCUAGACCUACGACUCCAAUUGAUAUUCAGAGCAUCUUGGGUUGAGUUGGUUUCUACAGGAGAUUUAUGGAGAGUUUUUUUACUAUAGCUGCCCCGUUGACUAAGUUAGCUUAGAAUAAGGUAAAUUUCUUGUGAUCCGAUGCUUGUGAGGGUAGUUUUGAGAAGCUAAAGGAUAACAUAACUUCGACUCUAGUCCUAAACUUUCCUGAAGGCAUUGAUAGUUUUGUGGACUAUUGCAAUGCGCCCCAUGUGGGGCUUGGUUGUGUUUGGAUGCAGUGUGGUAAAGUGAUAGCUUAUGCCUCUAGAUAGCUGAAGGAACAUUAGCAAAAUUAUCUGACUUGCUACUUGGAAUUAUUGGCUGUGGUGUUCGCGUUGAAAAUUUGGUGUCACUAUCUGUAUGUAGUACAUGCGGAUAUCUUUUUAGAUCAUAAGAGCCUGCAGUAUGUGUUCACUUAGAAGGAGAUAAAUCAUAGUCAAAUGAGAUGGCUUGAGCUACUCAAAGAUUAUGACAUGAUCUUUCACUGCUAUCUAGUUAAAGCUAACGUGGUUUUUGAUGCUCUUAUCAGGUUAUCCAUUAGGAUUCUAGCUCAUGUGGAUGUGGAGAAGCGAGAAUUAGUGAGAUAUGUUCACUAUUUAGCUAACCUUGAAGUUCCUCUCUUGGACUCAAAAGAUGGUGGUGUGAUUAUUCAGGAGGUGGCAAAGUCAUCUCUUGGUACUGAGGUGAAAGAGAAACAAGUGUCAUAUCCUAUCUUGGUACAACUCAAGGGUGAUGUAGGUCGGCAAAAAAUGAUAGCCUUUGAGGUUUAUGGUGAUGGUACCUUGUGAUACCAAGGGAGAUUGUGUAUUCCCAAUGUAGAUGGGUUGUGAGAGAGGAUCUUGGCCGAGGCUGAUGAGUCACGUUAUGCCAUUCGUCCUAGUUUGACAAAAAUGUAUCAUAAUCUUAAGGAGAUUUAUUGGUGAAAUAAUAUGAAGUAGGAUGUAGCUAGCUUUAUGGGUAAGUGCCUGGUGUGUCAGUAAGUGAAAAUUGAGCACUUGAGUCCUAGAGGAUUGUAUCAAGAAAUUUAGUUUCCUUUGAGGAGGUGGGAAGUAAUCAAUAUAAAUAUUUUUACCGGUCUUCCUUGGUCUCAAAAUUAAUUUAAUUUGAUUUGGGUCAUCGUGGAUAGGAUGCGUAAGUCUACUUAUUUUUUUCUAGUGCGGACAAAUUUCUCGGCGGAGAAUUAUGCCAAGUUGUUUAUUAAGGAAAUUAUGAAGUUUCAUGGGGCGCCUGUUUCUAUCAUGUCAGAUCAUGGUGCUCAUUUCUUAUCACACUUUUGGUGGUCCUUUCAAAAAGGUUUAAGGAUUAAGGUAAGUCUUAGUACGACUUUCUACCUGCUAUUGGAUGGGAAAGCGGAAAGGAAUAUUCAGACAUUAGAGAAUAUGCUUCGAGCUUGCAUGAUUAAUUAUGGUGGUAGGUGCGUUGAACAUUUUCCUCUUAUAGAGUUUGUGUAUUAUAAUAGCUACCACUUUAGUAUUGGGAUGGAUCCGUUUGAGGCCUAGUAUGGCAGGAGGUGUAGGUCUCCUAUUAGGUGGUUCGUGGUUGGUAAGGCAUAGAUGUUUGGUUCACCAAGCCAUGGAUAAGGUGAAGGUUAUUCGAUAUAGGCUUAAAGCCAUCCAAAGUCAUCAAAAGGGCUAUGUGGAUAUGAGGCAUAGAAAGUUAGAGUUUGAGGUUUGGAUAGGGUGUUCUUUAAAGUAUCUCCCAUGAAGGGGUUAAUGUAGUUUGGGAAGAAAGGGUAGCUCAAUCCCCAAAAUGUCAGCUCGUACUUGGUCUCAAAGAGGGUUGGCAAUGUAGAAUAUGAAUUGUAGUUUCCCUCUAGUAUGAGCUCCAUCCACGUGGUGUUCCAUGUGUCUAUAUUGCGAAAGUAUGUGGGUGAUCCAUCGCGGAUUGUGCCUAUCAAGUAUAUUAGUAUUUUGGAUUCCUUGUCUUAUGAGGAAGUCCUUAUUGAAAUCUUGGAUCGGCAAGUUUGUCGGUUGCUGAUGAAGUAUGUAGCUUCGGUAAAGGUUCUAUGGAGGAACCACAAGGUUGAAGAGGCUACUUGGGAAGCCAAAAAGGACAUGAAGUCCAAGUAUCCAUCCUUAAUUUUCGCUCCAAAAGAUCGUGCAUAAGGUAUGUGUUAUUCUUAACAUCUUUGUUUUCUAACUUUGUUAAAGGAAAGAUUGAUUUCCUUGGCAUAUUUUUUAUUCUAACUUAGUCAAAGGUAAGAGUAGAAAUGUUUAGGGUUUAAUUGUGCUAGUCACUGCCUUGUGCUAUCAUUCGAGGAUGAAUGAUCCAAGUGGGGAAGAAUUAAAACACCCCGUGUUUUUGUCCCUUAGAAAUUUCCUGAGCUAUAAGCUUACUGCCAUGAUCACGACUUGACCACACGAGUUGUAUGGUUUCUUAAUGGUCUUAGUGACCCUAGUUGUAGGGUGUCCAGUGGAUGGUGGUUAGGUUUUUUUUGGUAUUGGUUAUGACUUGGUGAUACGAGUAGUUAAAGAUGGUGAUGAGUCGUUAGGACGAACCUUAACCAAUUCAGUAACUUAUUUUCUUGAAUCUGCUCUAAGUACGAGUGGCUCACUAGGAGCUGUGAGGAUAGGUUAUGUGUCGUGAGGUGAAGUCGUAGGUUGUCCAGUGUCUGACCUAUUUGGGUACUUUUUUGGUUACGACUAGACUUCACAAGUCAUUAGCUCAGGUUACGAGUGGGACUAUAGAGUCGUACGGUGGAAGUGUAUGGGUAUCUAACUCAUUAUCUAGGAUACGACUCUAGGCUAUAAGUCAUAUGAUGUGGUGACAAGUCAAUGGGUUGGUUCAUAACCAAAGAUGGAUUUUUAUAGAUUUUAACAUAAGGGUAUCUGGAUAUUUCCCACUUUAAGUCCAUUUGAUACCAUGAAUUAAAAUAUUCUUUGGGACUUCAUUAACACAUCAUUCCCAAUAAAACACUUUCAAACUCUCUCUCAAAUACUCUGUUCAAACUAAUGCUAGGGUUUCAAAGAAAGUGGUCAUCUAGUGUUCUAAGGGUGUAAUCUCUUCCAAAUUUCUUGGUAUUUCGGGCAUGUUACUCCUCCCUCAUUGUUAUUUUACUUAAAGUACAUGUUUUAAGGUAUGGUUUUUAUGAUAUUGUUAUGGUUUUGAAAUAAAGGUUGGGGGUCUAUGAAUGCUUAAUGUUGAAUGAUGUUUUCCCAGGGUUUAAUUAUAGUUUCCAUAUUUUAAAAAUGAUUUUGAACAUGUAGGUGCACAGGUAUGGUGGUGGAACUUGAUAAUGGUAACUUUCUCUAAACUUGAAACUUUUGAAGUAGUUAUGACCCUAAGACACCCUGGUUUCUGGACCUUAGAAAAUUUUCUAGAAUUCUGGUCUCUAGACCCAAAGUGACUCAUAGGUAUAAGUCAUAUGUUGGGGUAUGGAUGGUAUGGUCUAGUCGUAUGCUGACCAGUGUUGGUUGGUGGGAUGGAUUUUGGUUGCUGGAAUGGGUACAACUUUGUGGUACGAGUCAUAUGGUUGGAUACAGAUUAUUUAGUUUCUUCACUUAACCUUCGACUUGGUAAAUUAAGUUGGAUCUGAGUAUGAGUGGCUCACCAAGAGCCGUAAGCCAGGGUACCAGUCAUACCCACGACUCGUAUGGUGGUCAGUGUUAAAACCUUCUGUGAUUCUAUCUUACCAGGGAUAUGGAUGUAAGGUACAGAUCGUAUGUUGUCAAUAAGACUUGCAUAAGAUGAGUCGUACACUAGAUAGUAUUGGGUCCAAGGGUUGAGGAUUAGGAUACGAAUGAAGGGUACCACUCGUAUAAAAGGGUACAACUCAUAAGGGUCAGUCAUUCCCUAUGACGGGAUUUUGUGCAACUUAAGUGGGGGUAUUCUGGAUAUUUCCCCACUUACCCUAAUAAGGUCGCAUGAAUUCUAACUCACUUGGGAGGUUAUUUACCUUAUUAUUCUAUUCAUUAACACUUAUAAACUCUUCGUAAACACUCUAUAUUUCUCUCAAAGGCUUUUAGGUAAGAAAGCUAGGGUUUUCAAAUAGAGUACUAAUUUGGGUAUCUUGUUGGUGAUUUUUCUCUGUCUACUUUGUCGAUUAAGGAAUGUUCUCUUCCCUCAUUGUUAGUUCCAACUAAAGGCAUAGAUUUAUACAAUGUUUUUAUGAUUUGAAUGUUGUAUGUUUUUGGGUUUUUAUAUAUAAUUUAGGGAUUUUGGUUAUAAAUGUUUUGUUAUGGUUUUCUCAUGUUUUAAUUAUGCUUUUAUAUGCAUUAAUAGUGGUUUUGGAUAAUUAGUUGCACGGGAAUGGUUCUUUGGUAAAGGACUUUGGUUUUGGAAAUACUAUGCCCAAAUGUGUUUGAUAAAAUGCCUUUAACAAUGUUACCACUAUAAUAUUGGUUUUACAAUAGAACUUAUGCAUCAUUUCAACUUGGUAAUGGAACCCUAAAUGGUAUGAAUGGUUUUAAAUGGAAGGGAAAGGCCUUCUUGUCCAUGGUUUUGGUUAAUUGGAAACUAUGACGGGUAUGUGGAAUCCCCUAAACCUAUAUAUGGUUGGCUAUGGACAAAACUUGCAAGUUAUUAUUGGUGUGACAAUACAACAAUUAAUGGCCUUGGUUAAUAAAUGGUUAAUGGAUUGGUUGGUUGCUUGGUAAUGUUUUUUAAUUGGACAAUAAUGGCGGGGUUUAAUGGUGGGGUAUGUAGCAAAACCAUGGAAAGUGGAGGCCCCGGGGGGACCAACUAGAAACUCAUAUUUGCCGAUGUGAGGUUUGGUCUUGGUGACCGUGUGCAUGAUGUCACACUAUAUUUUGGGGGAUGUACUAGUCAUCCCAGAUUUUUAUUCCCUGGUCAUGUGGCUUCACGCACUAGGGCCCUUUCAGCAGGGGGAGCUGAACCCAUAUAGCCCACGGGUGAUUUAGGACGACAAAUAUACAUAACCCAGGUAAAGGUUUUAAUGGCAUGCUAAACUCGAUCCCUUUUCCCAGCAUGGUUAUAAAUCUAUAUAUAUGUAUGGUUAUGUGCAUAUGGAUGGUUUUACAUGGUUUUAUAAAUGGCAUUAUUUUAUUCAUAUCCUGAGUUCAUGAUAGCGAUCACUCGUUAACCCGUCUAUGGGCGACUGUAUACAAACGCUAUGCAGAAACUAACUGUUCUACUCUUCCUACAUAAUGAUUGACUCGGGGAUAGUUGUUGGAUUGAAAUAGUGAGCUUUCAUCUUUCUGGAAGGCUCCAUUUCAUGUUAUCGAUAUUCUUAGAAAUUUUAAUUUAUUUUAGAAUAUUGGUUUUGGAUAUGGUUGGGAGCAUGUCCCAAUUGGAUAUUCUUACUCUUUUGAUUAGAGGCUUUGUGGUAAUCCAUGGGUUGGAAUGGGCGGGAUCUGUACUGGUGUCGGCCUUAGUAUUGGCAUUAGAAUUGGGGCUGACAUCAUAGGACAUAAUUUCUUACUAUUCCAUCAUAUUUCAAUUUGAUAUUAAUAAUAUUAUGUUUUAGAUCUCAUUUGGUUAUGGGCUGGUUUAUGGACCUUAUAUCGGUAUUGGUUUGGAUCGGUGGUUUGGUUUGGUUGGUACGGUUUGGUGUGAUGGGAUCACUUGAUAGGGUUGGUCUAGGAAUAGACCUAUCCCAAAGUUAGUCCUUAUCUAGUUAUGCUAUAUUUUUAUAUGUUCGGUAUUUAAUCGACUCAAAAUAUGCUAAUGAUAAAUGGAUUAGGUAGCAGGGGGUGGUCCCCGAUCUUGGUUAGACUUAGGAUGCCCAUUACGACAAGGCCCCCGAUCGGGUAGUGUAAAACACCAACCCUGUAUUGUAAAUGAUUAAAUGGUUAUGGAUGGUUUUGAAAACCUUGUAGGGUACACGAGAAUCCCUCAAGUGAUUAUAUAAUGAAAACCAUGUGGGGUACAUGGGAAUCCCCCCAGUGAUUUUAACAAUAGAGUCUACAAGGUAUAUGGGAAUCUCCUAAGUCUUGACUAAUGACAUUGCUUGCAAGCUAAUGUCAGUAUGACGAUACCACUUUAUAAUGCCUUAAUAAUUGACUCCUAGAAUUUGUGGUUUGGUUAUGUAUAAUUUUUUUAAUUGGGAAAUAAUAAAGGUUAUGAUAACUAGCCGUGAAGGUGUGAGUCCAAAGGACGGAUACUGGAAACUCAUGUCUGCCGACAUGAGGGUUGGUAUUAGUGACCUUAUGCUUUUGGGGUACAUGGGAAUUCCAUAAGUCUAUACAUGUCUAUAUGUAUCAUGGAGGGCAAAGGUUACACAAGAAUCCCCGUCCUAUUAUGUUAUCUCUAGUUCGUGCGGCUUCACGCACUGGAGCCCGUUCAGGGGGUAACACUGGACCCAUAUAGCUUAUGGGUGGACUUAUGAUGGUAAAACUACAUAAUCUAGGUUAAGGAUUUAAAUGUAUGCUAAACCUUGAUCCCGAUCCCGACAUAGUAUAUAUAUGUAUAGGUGAUUGCAUAUAGUUAUUUGACUUGGUUUUGAAUUGAUGGCAUAAUUUUAUCUUUAUCCUUAUGUUACAUGCUAAUGUUCACUCCGCUAACCAUCUUUGGGCGUUUUAUCCUCAUACGGUGAAGGAACCUAUCAUACUUCACUCCUCCUGCUCAGUGACUUAGUGAUUCAGGGAGAACUUUUGAGUCAGACUAAAGUGGUGAGCCUCCAUACUCUGAAAGAUCCUAUUUCAUGGUAUGGACUUCUUUAUAUCAUUUUUUCUUUGGUUUUGGUUUUGGUUUUGGUUAUGGUGGGGGGAAUGUCCCAACAAGAUAUUUUUUUAAUCUUGUAAGAGGAUUUGUUGAAUUACUAUGGCAUGAGCAAUGCCAGUACUUUUAUUAGCAUUGGUGUUGGUAUUGGGGUCGUUAUUAAAUGGUCAUUUGGUUGUGGAUGUAUGGUUUUUGCUAUGGACUAAUUUUAAUGUCUUUAAUUUGAUAUUAUCUUAUCUUAUUAUAUGUUUAUAAUUAAUACAACAUGGGGUAUAGGGAGGUCAAUUGUUAUGGUAUUGGGGGUGGCCUCUAGUCUUAGUUAAACUUAGGAUACUCGGUAUAACUAGGCCCUGGUUUGGAUUGUGUCAUCAAGGCCAAGUAUUAAGACCCGGUGGAUUGCUUUAGAGAUUAUCCAUUCUUGAAUGGAAGUGGGAGAGAAUCAUAAUGGAUUUCAACCGGAUUACCUCGCACUUCCCAUGUAUCUGAUAAUAUUUGGGUUAUGAUAGAUCGAUUGACCAAGUCUGCUCAAGUUCUUUAUGUUCAGGUCUCUUUCAGUGUAGAGUGGUUCGCCUAUAUCUAUAUUCGCGAUAUUGUGUGACUUUAUCAUGUGACAGUAUCUAUCAUAUGUAACGCCCCAAAAUCUCAUCCCGGAACAUCACACGGUGCUUAAGGCUACAAGUAGCCCCAAGCUAAACCUUUGAGCAUGUUAGUACUUCUACCACUUACUUUAGGAUGAAUAACCAAACAAUAAAUGUUAUAUUAUAUCAAAACAGAACUAAAAUCAUUAAAAACAAAUGUAUGUCUAUCAAAUACUGAAAAUCUGGAACAAAACUUCAACUGACAGUCUGACAAGCCUCUACUUACUAAGAACUAGAGAUUCAUUGGGACAAACCCCCAACUAACUCAACUGUACUGAAAAGAAAUAAUCAACUAUUAUAAAGACUGAAAACAAGGGAUUAGGUCCUCGAACCAUGAGGACUCACCAACUGCUGACGUGUAGAUAAAGGUAUUCAAAGAUCAUUGUCACUGCUGAGACUGAGCCCUUGAACCUACAUUAUGAGACAAUGUAGAACACAGAUGUAUAUGUGGAUCAAUACUUUGACGAUAUACUAAGUAUAUGGGGGUGUAUGCAAUACUUAAAACAACAAUAUUAUCAAUCUUUAUAAAAAUCAUGCAUGCUGAUAUAACUAACUCACAUAGCUUGAAUAAUCUCAAGAAAAUGUAUAUCUCGUGAAUUAUAAAUAAUGGAAUGCAUAGUAUAAAUCUCGUGAGUCAAUAUACUAUUUCUAAAAUCUAUAGUUCUAUUCCCUUCUCAAAACAUAUAGACUAAGUAGUAAAGUGCUCACCUCUGUAUCGGAGAGCUAAGACUGUAAUUUUAAAAUUGAAAUAUAAAGUAAAAUAUUAAUUGAAUAAGUUUGUUAGCCUUUACAGUUGGUAUCUAAAAAUCUUUACUGACCAGGAUAUCUUUCAAAGCUUUAGGGAAAAUAACUUAUCUCAAGGAACAUAAUUUACUUUAAAAACUAAUUAUUUACUCUUACUAGCAGGGAAAACUACUUUCUUUAAGGGAAAAUUAUACUUUAGGAAACUACUCUGAAAAUCUUACUAUUAGGGAGGUUCUCUUAACUGACAUAAACCAUGCGAGCUACAUGGAGUCCAACGUUUUGUCCUCCUAAGGAAGAAACCUCACAUUGGGGAGAGGCGUCACACUUUUCCCAGGGAGUAUAACCUCAACUUAGUGAUCACUAUCUCGACCUCGGGCCCAUAAAUCUCAAUCCUACGGUGGCAUGUAUUUUGGGGUAUGAAACCGUAGUAACUUACCCAACUCAGUGCUAAAUACUACUCCCCUUUUUAUUAGCUACGCUCAUCUCAUGAAAAUGAACAUUUAAUAAUAUCGUGGUUUGUAAUGAAACCAACUACAAAAUCUGUAAUCUCAUUCAGUGAAGUGGAUUUCAAAGCUACUCUGACCAUCACGGUCAAAACUUUCUCAAUAACAUCAAAAUACUCAAAUCAUGGGUGCUUAUAGCACCAAAGUUCUUGAAAUUACAAUCUCAAGUAGGAAUUAAUGACCUAUAAUUCAAUCUCAGGUUAAGACGUAUCAAAAUUCAUACUCUAUAUCAAAAAGAUUCAUAAAUCAUAUAGAAAUCUGGAAAUUUUCAGCACUAUGCAUUAUAAUCUCAAUAUACUCAUGUACUUCAAUUUAUAAAACAUUGAAACCAUCAUAAUCUCAAGACAUAAUAACAUAGGGUAAAAACCCAUACUUCAAUUUCAUCAAAAAAACAUGUAAAACCAUAUAUCUUUGUAAUUAAAAUAACUUUUGGAUACAAGGAUGAAAGGAGUAUCCUUGUUCAAACCCCACAUACCUUAGAUUAUGAAUUUAGAUGAACAAGCUUGCUUGAGAAUCUUUUUCGUACUCUUGAGUGAGGGUUCUUGAAGUUUUGACUUGGGAAUCUUCAUUCUUAAAUCAAUUUGCAAAACUAUGAUGAAAUCUUAGAGAAGGAUUAGGUCUUUCUCAUGAGGGUUAAUCUUGAGAGAAAAUGCUAGUUAUUGAUGUUUUGAAUGAACAUGAAGUUAUAUGCUUCAGCUUGAUAUAUCUAGGUGUUGAAAAGAGUGAAAAAAGACCAAAAAACCCUUUAAAAAAUAGCUUUAAAAUCCUGAACGAGAUCUUCAAUGUCUCAUGCGAUGGUCCAUUACUGGUUCGAUGGUCCGUCGGUCUGACAGUAGCACCUAGGCCAGAAUAGGGACUUACUUACUUAGUUGUGAUGGCUUGGGUGAUGGUCUGUCGCUAGCUCAAUAGUUCAUCAACCUGGCAGUUGGACUUGGCCAGUGAAUGGGUCUAUUGCCUCGGUUGCGAUGGGUGGAGUGACGUUCCAUUGCUAGCUUGAUGGUCCGUCAGCCUGCUCAUCACUCCUGGACAAUUUGAACAGUUCUCUAUAAAACGUCCAUAAUUUUUACUUCGAUACCGAAUUUGAAAGAAAUUGGUAUCGUUGAAACGCUAAUUCAAUUUUCUCCAUAGUAAAAAGUUGAAAUUAGGAAAACUCUAUAUGAUUUAAACAUUAAUCACUUUGGAAGUCAUUCCUUAAUCAUAUAGAGAUAUAAUUUAGGCUUAAGGAAAAUUCAGGGUAUUACAUCAUAUCAGAUUAGGCUUUAUGUUUACUUUUCAGUUUUGGAAGACUUUUCAGGAUGAGUUAGGUAUAUGGGUUGACCAUAGUACAACAUUUUAGCCCCAGACUAAUGUUCAGUCGGAGUGGACUAUUUAGGUUUUAGAAGGUAUGUUCCACAUUUGUGUGAUGGAUUUUGGUGGCCAAUGGGAGAAACAUUUGGCUCUAGUAGAGUUCACAUAUAACAACAACUACCAUUCUAGUAUCGAUAUGGCUCCUUUUGAGGCUUUCUAUGGCAGGAGUUAUGUCUCCCUAAUGGGUUGGUUUGAUGUUUACAAGGUUAGAUCGCGAGGUAUAAACUUGCUUUGUGAGUCCUUGGAUAGAGUUUGAAUAAUUCAGGAUAGACUUCGUACAGCUUAGAAUAGGCAGAUGUGCUAUAUGGACCAUAGAAUUUAUGCCUUGAGAUUUGGUUUUGGUGAUCGUGUUUCCUUCAAGUCUCACAUAUGAAGGGUGUGAUGAGGAUUGGAAGGAGGGAUAAGCUUAACCCCAGGUAUAUUGGUCCAUUUGAGAUUCUUUACACUGUUGGUGAUGUGGAUUUUGAGUUGGCUUUGCCUCCAAAUUUAUCAUUUGUUCACCCAGUUUUCAUAUUUUUAUACAUCGCUAUUACAUUCUUGAUAAGUCUUAUAUAAUUCACUGGGAGUUAAUUCAGUUAGAUGAGUAGUUUUCUUUUGCUAAAGAGCCGAUCUCCAUUUUGGCUAAGGACAUUAGGCGAUUGCAUUCUAGAGUUAUCCCUAUGUUUAAGGUCCAGAGGCGAUAUCAACCUAUAGAUUAGGCUACUUGGGAGGUCGAGUGUGAUAUGUGUAGUUUUUAUCCCUAGCUCUUUAUUGAUUCAGGUAUUUCUUUUCCCUUUAGUUCGAAGUUGAGCUAUAUUUUUAGUGGUGGAUGAUGUAACUACCUAAAUUUUAAUGAAAUAUGUGAAAUAUUUGUUUUAUUUAAUUUGACUAUUUUACACCUCUCCAUAGUUUCAUUAUAGUAUUUCUAAGGUGUGGGGAUGAUUGGCACAAUUCCCAAUGCAUUUUGGUGCCAUUUGUGCAAUAUUAUGGUUUUUGGUAUCUUCGAGAGUCUUAUAUGUGAUUUUGGUUGAUAUAUUUUAAUCCGUGUGAUGGAUGGCAAAACGCAGAUCCAAAAUAUUAAUUUUAGGGUGGUAACAUGUUUAGUGUGGUUUUGCGGCUUUUAAAUCUCAUUUCGACCCUCGAUUUAGAAAUUUAUAAUUUUAGGUUUCGGGGGUUAACUUUGUGAAAACAAUGUCUUUUUAAAAACUUGAUAUCACUAUUAAUUCUAAAUGUAACAGCCUCAAAAAUUUUGAGCAUUUUAUUUUUGGCUCUCCCGCAUUCAAAACGUCAAUUUUUGACUCACAUUGUGUUUAGGAAUGUGAAUAGGGUGUCUCAGGAGAGUUUUGGAAUUUUUGGAUAGGGUUUGAGGUGGUUUUGGACCAUGAAUGCAAUAUCCUUAGGUCAUGGAGGACAAUCUUUUUAAUAGGGCUUAUGACACGGAGGAUAAUCUCUGCAUUAGGGUCUAUGGCAUGAAGGUUAGCCUCCACGAUAAGGUCCGUGCCAUGCCCCUAUGUGAAAUUCAUGCAGUUUUGUUUUAUUUACUUGGGAUGAGGAGUAUUGGGGUCCUAUCACAUAUGUAUGACCCUUAAGUAUUAUAUAGGCAAUGCCCUUCACUUUUAACAGAGUAAUUUCCCCAAUUACACUCUCAAACUGAAAACCUCAAGAAAGCAUAAAAAUUUCAUCGUGUAUUCAUCCUCUAGGUCCCAAUCUCCGUAGUACUUUCCAAUUCUCAUAUGCCUAAGGCAUGUUACUCUUCCCCCACUAUAAGUUUGUCAAAAGCAUAUGUUCAUAAUUGUAUCCAUGGGAUUGAAUUAUGAUUUGUGAAUAUGGGUUUGAGGGUUUUGGAAUGAAUGCAUCUUGAAUUGAUUUCACAUGGUUUUAAUUCAAUUGAUCAUGCUUUGUUUUCAUAUUUUGAACUAAUAGGUUGCAUGGGUGUGGGAUUUGGAAUGAGGGUUGAGGUAUUCCCUAAUUUACUGAUUUUGGUAUUGAAAUUGGUUUUGAAAUUGUGUUCGCUCAACCCAUUUAAGUAAUUGGUCUUGAAAUAUGCUUUGUCACAUGGUUUUACUUGCUCAUCUAUAAUAUUUCAUUGCAUAAAUGGUUAAAAGAUUAAACAUUGAUUUUGAAGGCCUUGUUGGAUAUGUUUUGACUGAAAUAGGAACCUCAAGGGUCGAGUCAUUCCCCCAGGUUAAUAUGAUAAAUCGAAGGAGGCCACGACAUUCCUCCAACUUAAUUUAAUAAACUAAAGGGGGUUGAGGCAUUCCCCAAAGUUAAUGGAAUUGUAUGUCAUAGAUAUAAGCUUGCAAGCGUAUAAUAUGAUGAUACCUGUGGUGCAUCUUAAUGUAUAAUUCUGUGCUUAAUAAAUAGGUUAUAUGAGAAUUGUUUUAAAUUAGGCUUAAAGGGGUUAUAUAGCUAAGCCAUGAAGGUAUAGGUCUCAGAUGACUUAUACUGGAACUCAUGUUUGCCAACAUGAGGUUUGGUCUUGAUGACCUAUAUGCAUGGUUCACAUCAUUGAUAUAUUUGUAUCUUGGAUUGAAAUAGUCCUGGGGAAUUUCCUGGUCUUUCUUAAUACCUUCGAUUCGUGCGACUAAUAUGUGUUGGGGCCCUUUUAGCAGGGGCAGCUGAACCCAUAUAGCCUAUGGGUCCCUAUAAUAAAGAUUGUUUUACUCCAUCCUAAGCCCUAUUCCUUUUCUCAGCAUGAAAUGCUUAUAUAUAUAUAUAUCCAUUAGCUUUGAAUGAUUUUGAAAUAUUAAUCAUGGCAUUUUUUGUCCCUGUUCCCUGAGUUACAUGCUAGUGUUCAUCCCACUAACCGUCUCUAGAUGUUGUAUCCCCACGUGAUGCCGAAACCAAAAAUACUUUUACUUUUCCUGCGUAGUGACUAGGUGAUCAUGGAAUAGCUCUUGAGUUAGAUUGAAGUGGUGAGCUUCCAUACUUCGGAAGACCACAUUUCAUAUUUUAGUUUCUUUAUUUCAUAUACUUUUCCUUGGUUUAGUUUUGGCUAUCGUCGGGGGGUAUGUCCCAAUUUAUAUUGAUUUUGGUUCUGUUUGUAGGUUUUGUGGAUUGUUGUGGACUUAAGAUUUGUUGUUAAAUUCUUAGACUUCCUUUGAAUUAUUCUUAUCUACAUCAUUUUAUGUUUAGAAUUCUACUGUUAUAUUAUAUUAUGUUCUGGUUAACUAGGCAAAAGGGGUGGUCUCUGGUCUCGGUGGACUUGAGAUGCCCGUCACGGCCAGGGACUAGUUUGGAUCAUGACAAAGUUUGUAUCGAAUCCUAGGUUCAUGAUCAGUUGGGUGUUCAUAAUGCCGUGUCAAGUAGUCUCUUAUAUGGGUGUAUAGCACACCAUAUUUAUAAGAGAAAGGCUAUGAGGUAUUUAGAAAUAUUUCCCUUUUUUAUGAUCUACUUUCAGGAUAUAGAGUCUAGGGUGUUGAAAUCUCCUUUAAUUAUCAUUUGUUCUCUUUUCAUAUCAUGCCUCCCAGAUGAAUUAAAGCUCAUGGAGCCUCAUCUAUCCCGCCUGAGGACAAUGUGGACGGAUAUCAUCCAACUUAUGAGGUAGCGACCUGGUUAAGGGUCUCUACUUCUGAUUUCCCUCACGGAGUUCCACCUAUCUUUAUUGAACCUUCUCCAGCUAGUGGAACUCAUACUCAGUCACCUCGGGGAGAUAUUACUAAUGCUUAAUGUUGCCAAUCCAUUCAUUUGUUGAUCCAGUUGGUGACAUCUCAGUCACGUCAGACAGGUCCUGUUGGUAUUGCUGGGAGUUCAUUUGAGGCCACUAGAGUUGGAUAGUUUAUGAGGUUAAUCCCUCCAACUUUUAGUGGUACUAAGGUUGAGGAGGAUCCUCAAUGCUUUAUGGUUGAAAUAGAGAAGAUAUUUCAGGUUAUACAUGCUAGUAAUGUAGAGGGUGUGGAAUUCGUUGCUUAUUAAUUGAAAGAUGUAGCAUAUCAAUGGUAUGAAAAGUAGGAUCAUUCUAGGGAUGAUAAUGCGGAAGUGGCACUGUGGGAUGACUUUUCUAGUGCCUUCCUGGAUUGCUUCUUUUCUCAGGAGUUGAGAAAAGCAAAAAUAGAGGAGUUCGUGAAUUUGAAGCAAGGAAAAAUGAAUGUGAAGGAGUAUGCCUUGAAGUUUAAUUAUCUAUCACAUUAUGCUUUGAAGCUAGUAUAUAGCAUGAGGUCUAGAAUGGGAAGGUUUGCUUCUAGGUUGUCUCAUGAUUUGAUUUUGGAGAGCAAGUAUGCCAAUUGAACAAGGAUAUGGACAUCUCUAGAAUUGUGGUGUAUAUGCAACAAGUUGAAGAAAAAAAAGAAGCAAGUAGAGAUGGUGGAGAGACAGAGUAGGCAGUUCUGGUAUUUAGAUCAGAGAGGAGGUCAGCAUCAGGGGGUAGAGAUGGAGGAAAAUGUUCUAAGAAGAAGUGGGGAAAUUUGGGUUCUUAUUCAAUGACAAGUGCUCCUUAUCCUAACCUUUUUGAUGAUCUCUGCUAUUGGAUAAACAGUGGGUUUAUGGCAUAAGGUGACCAAUCUCAAGCUAGUGGGGUCCAAUCAGUUCCAUCGCAUCUUCCUUGUAGAUUUUGUGGAUAGUUACACUGCGACUUUUGUGAUGAGGGAAGGAAUAAAUGGUACAAGUAUGGCCAUACUAUCCACAUUCAGAGGAACUGUCCUUCAGGUCACAUUGCUAGAGGGGCUAAUAAAGUCUUGGUUUCUGCUUCUUUGGCUUCUGCACCUAAGAGUGGUACUUCUGGUUCUGACACUGGUCGGAAUCAUUUGUAUGCUCUUGCCACCCAUUAGGAUUGUAAGGAAGCUCCUAAGGUUGUUACUGGUAUGCUACAACUCUUCUUUUAAGAUGUAUACUAUCUGCGAGAUUCGAGGUCUACCCUUUCUUAUGUGACCUUAUUUGGGGCUGCAUAUUUUGUUUUCCGUUCCAAGUGUAUUUCAGACUCCUUUUCUAUUUCUACCUCAGUGGGUGACUCGGUGGUUUUUAGAAGGGUCUAUAGGGGUUGUGUGGUAUUUGUUGGUGGUAGGGAAACAUUGGAGGAUUUGAUUUAAUUAGACAUGCUAGAUUUUGAUAUCAUCUUGGGGUGGAUUGGUUGUAUUGGUACUUUGCUUCUUUAGACUGUUGGGCCCGUAAGAUCAUUUUCAAAUUCACUAAUGAGCUGGUUAUUGAGUGGGAAGGGAGUUCUCUAGUGCCUAAUGGAAGGUUCAUAUCAUAUGUUAGAUCCUAGAAAUUGAUUACCAAGAGGUGUAUUUAUAAUUUGGUCCGGGUUAAAUAUUCUAACUCGAAGGGUCCUUCUCUACAACCCAUUCUCAUGGUAAGUGAAUUUUUUGAGGUUUUCUUUGAUGAUCUUCCAGGUAUCCCUCCUGAUAGAAAAAUUGAGUUUAGGAUCGAUCUUCUUCCGUACACUCGUCCUAUCUCUGUCCCUCCUUAUAGAAUGGAUCCAGUUGAGUUAAAGAAACUUAAGAAGAAGUUGAAAUAUCUUCUUGACUAGGGUUUUAACCACUCUAGUGUGUCACCGUGGGGUGCUCUUAUUAUUUUCAUACGUAAGAAGGAUAGUUCUCUUUGGAUAUGUAUUGAUUACUGACAGUUGAAUAAGGUGAUGGUGAAGAAUAAGUACCUUGUUUCUAGGGUUGAUGAUCUGUAUGACCAAGUUUAGGGUGCUAAGUAUUUCACUAAGAUUGGACUUCGAUCGGGUUAUCAUCAGUUAAAGAUUAGGGGGAAGGAUAUCUCUAAGCCUACCUUCCAUACCCGGUAUGGACAUUUUGAGUUCAUGGUCAAGUAUUUUGGGUUGACCAAUGCCCCAACGACAUUUACGGAUCUCAUGAACCGGUUAAUUUGUAAAAUUUUUGGACUCAUUUGUGAUUGUAUUUAUAGAUGAUAUUUUGGUAUAUUCGAAUAGUGAGGUGGAUCAUACUAAUCACCUCCACAUUGUGUUGCAGAUCCUAAAAAAAUCAGCAUUUGUAUGCUAAGUUUUCAAAGUGUGAAUUUUGGUUGAAUGAUGUUGCUUUUCUAGGUCACGUUUUGAAACACCCUGGGUUUUGGCCCUUGGAACAUUCUUGAGCUCUGAGCUCACCGUCCUAGUAAAGACUCAUCAUACGAAUCAUAUCGUAUGGCUACGGGUCAAUGACCCUAGUCGUAAGAUGACCAGUGAAUAGUGGUUGGGCUUUCAAUCCUGGUAAUGACUUAGUGGUAUGAGUCGUUAGGGGUGGUCAUGAGUUGUUAGGAUGAUCCAUAAUCAAAUCAAAACUUAGUGACUUGAAUAUGCUUUAAGUACAAGUAGCUCACUAAGAGCCAUGAGGAUAAGUUAUGAGUGGUAGGGUAGAGGGUUAUGUUGUCUAGUGUCUAAUCCCUUGGGUUCUGUCUUGGAUAUGACUAGAACAUACGAGUUGUAUAGUCAGGUCACGAUUGAGGAUCAUGGAGUCAUAAGUAGAACAUUGUAUGGGUGUCUAACUUACUGCAUAGCGUACGACUCAAGGCUACGAGUCGUGUGAUAUGGUGACGAGUCAAUAGGCCGACUCAUAACCAAGGACGACUUCUUACAACUUUAAGCUGGGGACACUUUGGAUAUUUCUCACUUAAAUCCCUUAAGACCCUACAUCCCUAUAACACUUUUUGCUCAUUCCUUCCACACUUUAAAAGAUUUAAACAUCCUCUUUACUCUCUCAGAAUCCUCUCAAGUAAAAUUAGCUAGGGUUUCUCCAAAGUGGUCUUCUAAGGGCUUAAGGAACAAUUUCUCUCUGUGAAUCUUUGUAAUUCAACCAUGUGACUCUUCCCUCAUUGUUAGUUUACUAAAAUAAUAUGUUUUAAGCAUUGUUCAUGAAUUAUUAAUGAUGGUUUUAAAACUAUGGUUGAGGGGUUUGAAUACAUAUCAUUAAAUACUAUUUUUUAUUAUUUAAAUUGUGAUUAUGCAUGUUUUAAUUUUUGUUUUGCACAUAUAGGUGCAAGAGAACGAUGACCUUUUUGAGGGUUCAUGGUUGAACCCAAAAAUUUGAUGAGUCUGGCUUUUAUAAUGGCGUGACCUUAAACUGUUUGUGAAAUUGUCAAAAGUUGAAUUGUGUUUUUGAGCUAAGGCUUUGGCAUAACCAUGAUAAUAACUAAUGAUAGACUUUAUAAAGGUUUUUAUGGGUAUCAACUUGAAUGGAAUUGAAAACCUUGUGGGGUACAUGGGAAUCCCCCAAGUGAUUUUUAAUAAUGGAGUAGCGGUGUACAUGGUAAUCCCCUAAGUGUUGGCUAAUGACAUUGCUUGCAAGCUAUAGUCGGUAUAAUGAUACAACUUUAUAAUGCCUUAAUAAUUGACUUCUAGAAUUAGUGGUUUGUUUAGGUGUUAAAUGUUUUAAUUGGGCAAUAACGGGGGCUGUGAGCCCAAUGGACAAACACUGGAAACUCAUGUUUGCCGACAUGAAGGUUGGUCAUGGUGACCUUGUGAUUGUGGGGUACACGGGAAUUCCCCAAGUCUAUACUUGUAUAUAUGUAUCAUGGAGGGUAAAAGGUGCACAGGAAACCCCAGCCCCAACGAUAUUUCCGAUUCGUGCUGCUACACGCACUGGGGCCCGUUCAGGGGGUAACACUGGAUGCAUAUAACCUAUGAGUGGAUUAUGAUGGUAAAGAUACCAAUCUAGGUUAAGAUUUUACAUGCAUGCUAGACAUUGUUCCCUAUCCCAGUACGGUAUAUAUGUGUAUAUCUUAUUGCAUGUGUUAUUUGAUUGGUUUUAAAUUGAUGGCAUUAUUUUAUCUUUAUCCCUGAGUUAAAUGCUAACGUUCACUCCGCUAACCAUCUUUGGGCACUUUAUCCCCACGUGAUGUAGGAACCAGCCAUACUACCAUUCCUCCUACUCAGUGACUUAAAUUCGGGGACAACUUUAAGUCAGAUUGAAGUGGUGAGCUUCCAUACUUCGGAAGACUCAAUAUCAUGCUAUGGAUGUAGGAACUAGCCAUACUACUAUUCCUCCUACUCAGUGAAUUAGAUUCAGGGAUAAUUUUGAUUCAGAUUGAAGUGGUGAGCUUCCAUACUCCGGAAGACUCAAUUUCAUGCUAUGGAAUUUUUUUUAUUAUUGUUAUGUCUUUGAUUUAACCAUGGUCGGGGACAUGUCUCGACUGGAUAUUCUUUGAUUCUAGAUAGAGGCUUUGUUGGACUACUAUGAGCAUGGGCAGUAUUGGUAUUCGUGUUAGCAUUAGUAUUGGUAUUGGCAUUAGGAUUGGUAUUAGUUGGACACUUAGUUGUGAAUGUUCUGUUAUGGUUAUAGACUUCAUCUAAUGUCUUUAAAUUAUUAUUAUUUUAUCUUGUUAUAUGUUCAGAAUUCAUUCGACAUGGGGUGAAGGUGUAACGCCCUGAGACUGCACCCUGGACGUCACCUUACAACCCCAAAGGACCACAAGCUAACCCAUGACUAGUACCUACUGUGAGCACUGAAUAUAAUACUGAAAUAUAUAUGCGGAAGAAAUCUGAAAAUUCCAUAAGGUUCACAAAAUACUGAAAAAAUAUUGGGUAUAACUAAUAAUAAUAUAUGGAAAUUGAAUAACUCUUUGUGCUUGUCUGAAAGCCUCUAAUUGUCUGAAUAUGGAGUUGAUGGGACAAACCCCCAACUAAAUUCAACUGAAAUAAUUACUGAACUGCUAAAAUACUGAAAUAAAUAAACUCUGUCCUCUAAAUAUGAGGACUCAAAACUAUAACUAUUGCUGAUAGCCUGAGCUACUAAGUAUGAUAAGGAUCCUAAGCAUCUGAACCUAAGAUAUGUGACAUUAUAGCACAAAGAAAGAGUAUGCGUUAGUAUAUGGAAUGUAAUGGUAUGCUAAGUGAGGUAAGGUUGAAAUACAUGGGUUCAUAUGCAUAAGCUAAUAAAUGACCGAAUGAACAUCAUGAUGUAACUAGAACAAAGUACAUUCACAACUGUAACUACUGAACAUAUUGAACAUAGUUAUACAUCGUGUAUCUGAGAUUAUACUGAAACUGAGUGCUGAAUUCUAAUGGUUGAGUAACUAAUAACUGAUAGCCAUGGUUCUGUAGAACUAUCUGAGUUCUUCACUGAAUACUGAGACUAAAACUGUAACUAUGGGAGUGUUUAUCUAAUCGACAUACCCCGAUAUAGACUAAUUUGGGGUCUAACCUGCGACCCCAGUUGGAAGGGUGUUAGCAACUUGCCACGGGAUACUAACAAUGCUUUGUCAAGCCUAAUCUGGCAGGACGACUCAUGAAAUAUAUAUAUAUGAUUGCAUCAACCCUAUUUUGAAAGGCGGAAGACUUACCCUAUGCUGGCUAUGUAGUUCUAUAAUGCAGGGACCGCUACUAAGGGUCUAACCCUCUGCUAGUAGGAAUGCCCCCAUCCUUGGGUUCGCUCAGUGUCGAAUCCUACUCCCAACUGAAUCGACACAGAACUGGUUACUAGAAAGUACUAGGCUUGACUAAACUAACACUGAUCGUGUUGACUAACUGAACUGGAUUGAGUUCACUGAGUUCUGUUAACUGACUCAGUACUAUUGUUCUUGACCUUUAUUGGGAAUAGUCUAUAACUACUGCGACUAAGUAAAUAGCUAGAUUUUAGGUGAUAAAUACCCCCAGGACUCGAUAGCAUAAUUAAUAAACUCAUAUUAUAACUUUACCAACACAACAAUAGGUUACCAUGCAUAAUUCACUCAUACGAACAUUUUACCAAACACUUGCAAUGCAUAACUUAAGCAUGGAAAUAGUUUAAACUGUAUUAAUAGAAUGAUUUUAAUACUAAGAUCACCAAAAGAUCACAAUGCACAAUUCAUUCGCUUAGAUAUUUUAUCAAACACUUAGGAGGCAUAACCUUGUACAUGGGAAUGAACAACAUGCUAAUGCAUCAUGACUACAAAAAUCAAUUCACAAUUCAAGGGUUUGAAAUGAGAUCUACAUCAACCAACAUACCUAAUGAACUAUUUUACAUGAAACUCAUAUUUUCUUAACUUUGAGACUCAAAUAACAACACAAACAUGAGUAUAAUUAAAGUCAUAACAUGGGAAUCAUAAUUCAAGUUUUGUAAAGGGUUCUUGAACUCCAAGGGUAGAAGGAAACCCAAGGAUGAAUACCUAACAAACCUAAGUGACAGAAUUCAUAAAGAUUAUUGGAGAUUUCUUGGAACUUGAUCUUGAUGAACUAGGGUCUAUUUCUUAAGAGGAUUUUGUGACUAUUGAAUGUAUUUUGCCAUUUAGGGGGUUUAAUUUUGUGUUUAGGCUGAAUUGGGUGAGAGGAAAAGGACCUAAUUGUCAAAAGUUGGAGUUUAAUGAGCAAAAUGUACCCAGCGACGCGGCAAGUGACGUGCCGUGUCGAUGUUGUCAACACAAUGGCCGACAUGUCGUGUCGAUGUUGUCGAUGCAAUAUCUAAUACGAUGCAUUGAGAUCGCCUUGGAUUGCUAUUUUGGUCAUCCAAACAUGACCCAAAUAAUGUCUAAAAAUUCCAAAACUCACCCAAGAUGACCUAUUGACAUCCCUGAUCAUGAAUUAAUUUAAAAAUCAACAAUCUAAGGUCAUAAGGAUAAAAAAUAAGAUUAUCCAAUUACAAAGGCUAGAAAUAAUUCUAAGUCUUGACACUUAGCUGAAUCUUUUUAAGUCUAGGACCCUUUAAUACAAGCUAUAUGGGAAUGAAUUGAACUAGAAUUUUUAUAGGGUCUUACAAUAUCUCCCCUUGGGAAUAUUCGUCCUUGAAUAAGACUGACUGAACUGAGAAGAACUGAGGAACUAUACUUACUCUGACAUGCAUAACUAAAGCAUGACUGAAUUUUGGAGACAUGACUUACGACUGAACUAUUUCAUGAAUGCAUGAAUGAUAUGAGAAUGGUAUGUAGAUAUAACUCAGUAUGGAAAAUAGUAAAUCUAAGGUAGGCUGUUACCUUAUGUUGAGUCUGAGUUUGUGAAUAAGAGGUGAGGAUACUUGGUUUGCAUGUUCGCCUCUGCUUCCAAAGUAGCUCCCUUAAUGGACUGAUUCCACCAAAGAACUUUACCAAAGGAACUUCGUCGUUCCUUAGUCUGUGAAGAUGAUCAAGGAUUUUGACUGAGACUUUCUCAUAAGAGAGACUAUUUUGAACAUCUACACUCUCUAUAUAGACUACAACUGUUGGGUCAUCUAUGCACUUUUUAGCAAGGAGACAUGAAACACUGGAAGCACUGAUGCUAAGUCUGCAGGUAACUCAAGCUCAUAAGCUACCUAACUGAAAUGACUCAGAAUCCGAUAAGAGCCAACAUAUCAGGGACUAAGGUUUUCUUUCUUACCAAAUCUUUUCACCCCUCUUCAUUGGAGAUAUUUUCAAAUACACAUAAUCACCAAUUUCAAAUUCAAUAUCUUUCCUUCUCACAUCUAUAUAAGAUUUCCAUUAGCUCUAGGAUGUCUUAAGCCUCUCCCUAAUCAACUGUACUUUCUCUAAGGCAUCAAACACCAAGUUAGGCCCGAGUACCACAGCCUCACCUACCUCAAACCAACCAAUAGGAGUUCUAUAUAUUCUCCCAUAAAGAUCCUCAAAUGGAGCCAUCUCAACUACCCUUAAAUUCAACAACACAUGCUCUCAACAUAUCUUAUAAAGUUUGAAUGGUCCUUUCUGCUUAACCAUCUGUCUGAGGGUGAAAGACUGUACUGAGGUGGACUUGGGUACCAAAACCCUUUUGGAAGGCUUUCUAAAAGUGAGAGGUAAACUACAUACUUCUAUCUGAAAUGAUGGACAACGGGACACUGUGUAGCCUAACCAACUCUCUAAUAUAGAGCCUAGCAUAGUUCUCCGCUAAAUAAGAGGUAUAAAAUGGCAAGAAAUGGGCUGAUUUGGUCAUCCUAUCCAUAAUGACCCAAAUUGAAUCAUGCUGACGACGAGUACAAGGCAAACCUAUCAAAAAAUCUAUGUUCACUUCCUCCCACUUCCAAGUGGGAAUACUAAAUUCCUAUAUAGACCCACUAGACUUCUGAUGUUCAAUAUUAACCUACUGACAUAUUAAGCACUUAGCUAUAAACUCUGUAAUAUCUCUCUUCAUCCCACUCCACCAAUAGGUUUUUCGCAAUUCACAAUCUUAGCGUCCUCUAGAUGAAAAGAGUAACGCGCACCAUGCACUUCAUCAAGAAUUUGCUACCUCACACCAUCCACACAUGGCACACAUAGCCUACCUUGGCAACGUAAUACACCAUCUUCCCCUUGGGAGAAAACCUCUACUUUCAGGUUGCUAACUAACUCUUUCAACUUAACUAAACUGGGAUCCUUGUCCUAGUUUUCUUUUACUUUUAAAACUAAUGAAGAUUUUAAACUACAUUGCACCCAUACACUACCCUCAGUCGAAUCAACCAAACAGACAUAUAUUCUGGAAAAAUAAUGAACUUUUUAAACUAACUUCAUCUUACCAUCCUCAACAUGAGAAAAACUACUUAUGGACAACCUUCUGAGGGCAUAUACCAUUAUAUUGGCCUUGCCGGAAUGAUAUAGAACACUCUUGUCAUAGUCCUUCAACAACUCUGAUCACCUUGUCUGAUGUAAGUUUAGGUCUAUCUGAGAAAAUACAUACUGCAGGAUUUUGUGGUCUGUGAAUAUAUCAACAUACACCCCAUACAAAUAGUGCCUCCAAAUCUUUAAGGAAAACACAACAACUGCUAAUUCAAGAUCAUGGGUGGGGUAAUUCUUUUUAUGGGGAUUAAACUAUCUAGAGGCAUAGGCCACAACCUUACCCCUCUCCAUAAAAACACACAUCAAUCCAACUCUAGAAGCAUCACAAUAUACUACAAAUCCAUCUGAACCAUCAAGUAAAGUCAAAACUGAGGUUGUAGUUAAUCGAGUCUUCAACUCCUGAAAACUCUUCUCACGAGAAUCUGACCACUGAAAUUUAUCUUUCUUUUUAGUAAAUCUGGAUAUGGGGGAUGCAAUAGACAAAAACCCUUUAGCAAAUCAUCUAUAAUAGUCAUCCAAACCUAAGAAAUUCUUGAUAUGUGAUGGAGAGAUGGUUCUGGGCUAGUUUCUCACUGCUUCGAUCUUUUGAGGAUCAAAUCUAAUACCAUCACCAAAAAUAAUAUGACCAAGGAAAGUUACUGACCUUAGCCAAAAUUUGUAUUUACUAAAUUUAGAGAACAACUAAUGGUCUCUGAGAGUCUGUAAUACUAUUCUGAGAUGGUCUGCAUGGUCAUUUUCACUAUAGGAGAAGACAAGCAUGUCAUCGAUGAAGAUUAUGAAGAACAUGUCCAAGUACUGCUUAAACACGCAGUUCAUCAAGCCCAUGAAAGCUGCUAGGGUAUUGGUGAUCUUAGGUGUAUUUAUACGCCUAAGCACCAUACUUACCCAUAUUUUAGCUAAGUUUGGAGAAAAAAGUGCCUAGUUUCUUAUGUUUUUACCCUAAUUCUAUGUAAUUGAGUUAACCGAUGUGAUUAGCAUAAUUUCAAGUAUUAAUGAGGUAGAUGGAGACAUAAUGGGACUAUGGAAUGCGGAUGGCAUAUGACACGAGAUAGAGUAGCAGUCUGGAUAAAAUGUGGUGCCUAAAAACUAUGUUCAAGACUAAUUUGUCAUUUAGAUUUAGUCUAGGGACUUAGAAGGAAAUUAUGAGGGAAAAGUUAUCAAAACGACUUGAUGCUGAAAAAUCACGUAUUAUUCAUUAUUCUAUAUUAUUUUUGCACAGAGAGUGGUAGCUUAGCACAAAGGGAGAAAAUAGAUAACUUCAUUUUCUCCGCUAAGAUUGUGUUUACUCUUUGGUAUGAUGAAUAUUUCUAUUGUGAUUCCCGUUUUAUUUAUAAGUAGCUAAGGUUAUUAGUUAGGGUUAUGGAAGCCUUGUAGCCUAGAAUCUAUUACUUUGGGAUUUUGAAUUCUUUAAUGCAUUGAUCUACUUACAUCACACUCUCUUUAUUUAUCUUAAAUUCUCGUGGGUGCAAACAUAGAGGAUGUGCCUUAAAACUCAACUUGUUUGGUAGAAAGGUUGAUGUUCGAAAGAGAGAGUAGUGAUGAGAAAAUAGGAUUUCCAACCCCUAUUUCAUAUGUUAAUGCCUUCGCAGGAUUAACUACUUUGAGAUUUCAUAUUGUUUUUGUAAACACUUUUGAUUUGAGAGAACUAAAGGGAAUUAGUCCUUGAUGGUUGAGAAACACUAGGAUUAUGUUAUUUCUUUGUAAGCACGAUGCAUAUAUGAAUUUGUUAAGCCCAUUGUUAGAAAGUACUGAAAAUUACAAGGUAGACAUAAACCUAGCUUUUUAUUUUUCUGAAUUUGAAUACUGCUACACAUAUUUCAUAUUGUUAAACUGAAACCAUUAAUUUGUGAACUGAAUCAAAUCUCUCUUUUUUUGUUUUAUGAAAAUGAAUGAGUAAAAGUCCACUAAUUAGCACCAUAUUACCUAUGGGAUAUGACCCCAACCUAGUUGGGUUAUAUAUUUGACAACGACCACUUACACUCUUGUAAGAGAGUUGUAAUUUGGGUGUAUCAAAUUUUGGCACCAUUGCCGGGGAAUAUGGUUGUCGAUUAAGUUUAUGUAUUUUAAUUGACUGUUAGUCAAAUUUUCUUAUUUUAUGUUUAGUUGUUGUUUUUGUUAGUUACAGGGUCAUUGUUGUUUAUUCCACAAACCAGAAAUUUAGGAGAACCAUCGUUACCCUUCAAUCCUAGACCUUAUCUCAUUGAAAUAAUGGCGAACCAACAGGAAGCUAAAAGAUUAUCCGCUUUGGAUAAUGCUCAAUUAAAUCAACAGAAUGCAGAUAACCCAGGUCGGGUACUUAAUCUAGAUAAAGAGGACCUAGGAGAUGAUGAUUUAAUUGGCCCAGCUAAUAGGAGAUGUGCAGCAGGAGUAGUUGCACCUAUAAAUUGAAAUCGUCCAUUCUAGGGAAGACUAGACCGCCAAGUAGUGCAAUUUGAUAUUGACAAUGAUAAGGAUGAUAUAGAUGGAGCUAGAGCUAUAGGUGCAAUCAUUCCACCACUACUAGCUUUUGGAGUGAAAUUCAGUAGCACCAGUACUAUGAUCCAGCUACUGAAUUUGAAAGGACUCUUUGGUGGAUGACCUGGUGAUGAUCCAAAUCUACAUUUGGUGAAUUUUAUCAAUAUUUAUAAGUCAUUUGAUAAUCCAGGAGUGGGACAAAAUGCUAUUUGUUUAAGAUUAUUCCCCCUGUCUCUGUCUGGAGAGGCAAUUAUGUGGUUGAAUGUGCUGACUCCUGAUUCUAUAAGAAACUAGAGGCAAUUGAAAGGAGCUUUCCUAUAAAGGUUCUUUCUUCCCUCCAGAAUAUUACAAUUCAAGGAUGAGAUCUGCAAAUUUAGGCAAUUGGCUAAUGAAGCUUUGCAUGAGACUUGGAGGAGAUUUAAAAAAAGUUGACUCAAUGCCUAAACCAUAAGAUGACUGAUGAACACUUGAUGGAAACAUUCUAUAGAUCUUUGAACUCAUUUACAAAGUCAAUAGUGGAUAAUGCUGCAGAAAGAGAUUUUAUGGAGCUCACCUUUACUGAGGAUGUGGAUAUGUUAGAAAGAAUGAUUAAGACAAGUAGAUCUUGGGAUACUAGAGAUUCUGUGGUAGCAAGCAAUACUGGGUCUAGUGUAAUAUCAGUAGAGCAAAUGUAGGAGAGAACAAGAGCGUGAUUAGGAUAUGGCUCACAUAAAAACCUAGAUGGAUCUGGUCAUGAAAUAUUUGCUAUCAUGGAAUGUAGAAAAGGUAAAAAUUGUAGGAUCCCAUAGUAAGAGAGCUGAAUCAAACAGCAAGGAAGAAGCUAACUACUUGCGUUACCAGGGGGUUUCCAGACCGGUGGUCAAGAAAACUAAGUUUAGAACUAUCUAAGAGAUUGGAAGAAUAAAAAUGACAGGAGUGGAUUGUAUGUACCUACUGGAAGCCGUGAUAAUGCUGCCACCAGUUCAAGAAAAAUAGCCAUGGAGGAUAUGAUGGAGAAACUAUUAAAGGGAUUUAAAAAGACCAAUUCUGGGGGGACUACUAUGAAUAGUGACAUAUCUUCCCUGAGUCAACUAGUAAAUUCGCACUCAACUGCUAUUAAACAACUGGAGAAGCAAAUAAUUUAAUUAUCCAUUGCAAUCAACUAAAGACAGAAUGAGACUCUACCAAGUGAUAUAGUUCAGAAUCUGAGGACUGAUGGAUAGUGUAUGGUAAUUAGCAUAAAGAGCGGUAAGAUGUUAUCUAGUCCAGGAUUGAGAGCAUCCUCUCAUAUUGAUGUGGUCAAAAUGGACUAGGAGAUGGUUGAUGAAUCUCUAAUGGUGCCUAUGGAGUUGGGAGGUUCAGAAAAGAAGAGUGCAUAAGUAGAAUAACCACCUAAGCCGAAGUAUGUUAGUGAUGUGGAGAAAGGCAUAAGAAAGGAGGUAAAAGUUUCUCCAUUUGAAAUCCCAAGGCCACCACCACCAUUUCCACAAUGAUUAAAAAAGAAAGAAGAUGUUGGAAAGUUUAGCAAAUUCAUGGCUAUGUUGAAGCAGUUAACAAUGAAUGUGCCCUUAGUUGAAGCACUGGAACAAAUGCCCGGAUAUGCUAAGUUUAUGAAAAAUCUAUUGAUAAAGAAAAGGACUGUGAGCUAUGAAAUGGUAGACAAUCUUUAUCAUUGCAGUGCCAUUGCUACAAGAUCUCUUAUUUAGAAGAAAGUUGAUUUGGGAUAAUUUACUGUACCAUGUACGAUUGGAUCGCUAAAUUUUGAAAGGGCCCUUUAUGAUCUUGGGGCAAGUAUAAGUCUUAUUCCAUUGGUGGUUUUCAAUAAUUUGGGUUUGGGAUGUCCUACACCUACCAAUAUGUGACUUGUAAUGAUGGAUUAACCUAUGAAAAAGCCCGUUAGAGUUUUACAUAAUGUAUUUAUAAGGGUGACCGAUUUUAUAUUUCCUGUCGACUUUAUAAUUCUUGAUUGUGAAGUGGAAUUUAAAGUACCCAUAAUUUUAGGUAGGCCAUUCUUAGUGACUAUGAGAGUAUUAGUUGACCUGGAGUUGAAUGAGCUGAAAUUUAGGCUCAACGGGAAAGAGGUUAGUUUUGAAGUGUAUAAAUCCAUAAAACAACAAAAAGAGAUGAGUGUUUUCUUGAUCAUUGAUGUAUUCUAUGAAGAUGAGGUACAAAUGGUAUCAUCAAUAUAUCUUGAUGAAAAUUGAGUAGCCAAGAUAAUCGAGUUGUGCCGCGAUGUUAAAUCAGGCACUGCAUGGGAGGAAACCCAUGAUUUUAUUCUCAUUUUAUCAUGUUAAAUAAAAAUGCAAAAAUUAGAGUCGAGCCAUGACUAAAACUAUGAUGCUUAGUGGGAGGCAACCUAUCAUUCUAAUCAUUUUUAGUUGUUUAUGAUUAAGUGUAGGUGCAUAAAGUACUAAGGAGGUGAUUGGUACCGAAUUUGGUUUGGAAUUGAACCAUAUCAACGGUGGUUAGUUUAGGAGUAACGGGAACAUUACAGGUAAGUUGGAUUAGUCAAAAUGUUAAGGCUUGAUUCAUUAUUAGUGUGAGAUUUCUGACUUAAAUUACACCUCACAUGGAGAAUGGGGUGCAUGGAAUCCAAGUUUAAGUGUACUAUAGGGUGUGUGACACCGAAGUUUACAUAGGCCAUGGCAAAGGCGUCGCCUAAUACUUAGCCUAAGCCUACUGCCUCACAUGGGCAUUGCAUUGUGCAGCGCCUAACUUAGCUUGAGCGGCAGGAUGUGCUCCGCACACCUUUAAGUUGGUAAUUGCUUGUGCAUCGCUUACCCAACCAUACACCUUCACUGGUUCAAGUUGACGAUUACUUAUGCAGUGCCUAAGUUAAUAUCUGCGAUAGGUUGUGCGCCGCCUACUUACACUUGUCCGACAACAUGUGCACCGGACACCAUACCACACUUGGUCACUGUUUGGGUUAGGCAAUUUCAUGUCCGACGCACACUUAGGACUUUACAAUAACAUAUGUGUUGCAUACCACUAAAAGUUUAACAUAGUAUCCAAUUUUAACUUGGGUCAACCCGACCUAGAUUUCAUCCUUUAAAUAGACUCCACACCUAAAUGCCCAAAUUCAUCCUUAUUUCACCCUAAGGUCGUACAAGCUUUUUCUCUCAAUAUUCCCCUUGUCCUUCAAGAUUCUUCUUUGCUUCAUAAUCUCCAUAAUUCUCCCUUUAUUUCUUUAAUCUACCAUCUUUAAGGUAAGUUUUUCUUUUCUUAAUCCUUAAGUAUUGUAACUUUAUGUUGUAGUUGUUAAUUGAUUUCUUGAGGAUUAUGGAUUAAAUUCUUUCCAUGGCUAUGUCAAAGAGAGAUUUUGAGAAUCUUGGGAAGAUAAACAUCAUUGUUGUAGUAGAUGCCAUUGUGUAGGACUUUGAGCUUUUGCAUAUGAUUCAAUUAUUUAUGACUAACAUAGUUUAGUUGUGUGGCCAUUAUUUCCCAACUUACUUGAUGGAACAUGUUGUUGGUUAAAUUGUGUGAAAGUGAUGGUGUUUUGUGUAUAUUGAUAUGUUGAAGCUCUAAGGAAUAACUUUGUUCAAAAAUUGUUUCAUUGAAGUAAAAUUGGUGGAAUUAAAGUGAGUGAAUCAUAUUGUGAAUAAUAUUGGUACACCAUAUCAAAGUGUAUGCUGGUGAAGUCUUAGUACCCGACAAUAACACUUAAUUGGUUUAUACUAACAAAUUAAGUAUGGGGUGGUGACUUUACCACCUUUAUCUUAAUUAUAGUUAGUUUCAUUAUGUGUGGCUGGCAUGGAUAAUGUGAUGAAUACAGGAAAAAUGGCUCCAAUGAUGAUCUCCAUGCAGGUGGCAUGACUCCUAAUAUGGAUGAGGAGUACUACUAGCCAGGUUUUUUAUCUUGUUAUUUGCACUGGGGACAGUGCUUAGCUUAUGUUUGUGGCGGCUGGUUACUUUGCUACUUGUUUUGUAAGAAAAUAGGACCUUCACCUUAGUAUACUUCUGUGAUAGUAUUAGUUAUUUUGUUUAUUUUGUUCCUUGUUAGAUGUUUGUUUAAUUUAGUCAUAGUUAGGUGCUUUUCUCGAUGAUGGAUGGAUGGCAACCUUUUUCAGAGAAAAUUAGUCAUUUACUUGCAUAUAACUGUUCUUGUGGAUCACAUGACAUUAUAACAUAAGUAUGUAAUGGAUCAUUACGUUUGAAACACCUAGGCUCUAGUUGUGAAUCUUGUUGUGAUUGUUGGUUUUAUUUGAAUUCAUUUAAUUGUUUGGUCGAGAAUCUAUAAUGCUCUUUAUUGAGUUGACCAUGUGCCAUAAGUGUGUAGGACUAUUGUAUAUUUCUUAUUGUAACUGAUGCUAGAACGUUCCUGGUGUUUGUGCAAAGCAAAAUAAAGAUUGUGAGUUUAGGAAAUGAUUUAGGCAUUUCCUUGACAAAUAUUGUUCAUGCCUUCAGUUGGCCUACCUUUACACAUUAUCUUACCUAGCCUCGUUAAGCCUUUUGUUUGUUCUUUUGUUAGCCUCAUAUGUAGCCUAACCUAUUUUUUAAUAGACCGUAAUUUGAACCGAAAGCUCCUAAGCACUUUAAUUUAAAAUCAAUUUGAGUUAGGAGUUAGACAAUAAGAGAAAAAAGGUGAAAUUGAUGACCCAAAGUCUAGUUAUUGGUGUGUCCAAUUGAUAUGGUCGGGAAUAGCGAAAUUUGUUGAAAAAGUUCCAAAUUUUAUCUCGGACAUAUUACUAUGAACCUGUUUUGGCCCUAGUCCUUCUUGGACAUUGUCCACCUCAACUAAGACAAAUUGCUUAAGUUGAGGGUGGCUAUCAUAGGGGUGCAUAAUGUGAAAUAGGUUCACAAAAAAAUAUAUAUUUGAAAGGGUUGCAUACCCCCACCAUAGUGUUAUUAAUUGAGUUUAAUGGGAUAGGGUGAAAACAAAAGAUAUGGAUAGAUAAAAGUGGUGUAAAUUGGUUGUUAGAAAUUGGUCUUAGUUGCAUAAUGUAGUGUAUUAAAGAGCUUAGGGAAGAUAGUCCCUAUUUCUGGACAAAAUAGUUCCUACCCAUCCUUUAGCUGCAUUACAUCCCGUAAAAGAUCUAUUUGAUCCUAAUCUUAGCAUUCUAAUAUUAGUGAAGCAUUACACUAAGGGCAAUCAUAUGGUCAUCAGUUGUAAUUUGAGAAUUCUUUGUGAAAGUGAGCGCAACUUGAUUCUUGUACCCAUUUUGUUAGGAAUUUCAUGAUUGCAAGUGAUUAUGGGUAACUUUCUUAUUAUAAGGGCGCAUAGUUGAUGAAGGUUGGGUAAUUUAUAUGAUUCCUUUGUUUAAAUGGUAUGCAUGAACUUUCCAACUUAAUGAGUCUAUUCUUGAGGGUAGGUUGUCGGUAGUAAUGAUCCAUGAAUAUACUUCAUGUUCAUAAUUAUUGUGUGAGCCUAUUUGAGCAUCUUGUUUUUCCUACGUGGGUGUUAAGACUUAUGUAGUAUGCAUAAAUAGAUAUGUUGUUUGAGGAAUAAAAAAGCUUUAAGUGUGGGGUGGUGAUCUUGGGUGUAUUUAUACGCCUAAGCACCAUAACUUACCCAUAUUUUAGCUAACUUUGGAGAAUAAAGUGCCUAGUUUCUUAUGUUUUUACUCUACUUCAAUGUAAUUGAGUUAACUGAUAUGAUUAGCAUGAUUUCAGGUAUUAAUGAGGUAGAUGGAGACAUAAUGGGACAAUGAAAUGCUGAUGGCAUAUGACACAAGAGAGAGUAGCAGUCUGGACAAAAUGUGGUGCCUAAAAACUAUGUCCAAGACUAAUUUGUCAUUUAGAGUUAGUCUAGGAACUUAGAAGGAAAUUAUGAGGGAAAAGUUAUUAAAACUUUGUGAUGCUGAAAAAUCACGUAUUAUUCAUUAUUCUGUAUUAUUUUUGCACUGAGAGUGGCAGCUUAGCACAAUGGGGGAAAACAGACAACUUCAUCUUCUCCACCAAGAUUGUGUUUACUUUUUGGUAUGAUGAAUAUUUCUAUUGUGAUUCCCGUUUUAUUCAUGAGUAGCUAAGUUUAUUAGUUAGGGUUAUGGAAGCCUUGUAGCAUAGAAUCUAUUACUUUGGGAUUUUGAAUUCUUUAAUGCAUUGAUCUACUUACAUAACACUCUCUUUGUUUAUCUUGAAUUCUCAUGGUUGCAAACAUAGAGGAUGUGCCUUAAAACUCAACUUGUUUGAUAGAAAGAUUGAGGUUCGAAAAAUAGAGUAGUGACGAGAAAAUAGGAUUUCCAACCCCUAUGUCAUAUGUUAAUGCCUUAGCAGGAUUAACUACUUGGAGAUUUCAUAUUGUUUUUGUAAACACUUUUGAUUCGAAAGAACUAAAGGGAAUUAGUCCUUGAUGGUUGACAAACACUAGGAUUAUGUUAUUAAAUACAAUAUGUUUCUCUAUAAGCACGAUGCAUGUAUGAAUUCGUUAAGCCCAUAAUUAGAAAGUAUUGAAAACUACAAGGUGGACAUAACCCUAGCUUGCUAUUUCUCUGAAUUUGAAUACUACUACACAUAUUUCAUCUUGUUAAACUGAAACCAUUAAUUUGUGAACUUAAUCAGAUCCCCCCUUUUCGUUUUACAAAAAUGAAUGAUAAAAAGUCAACUAAUCUGCAUACAACUUAAUUAGCACCAUAUUCCCUGUGGGAUUUGACCCCAACUUAGUUGGUUUAUAUAUUUGACAACGACCGCUUACACUAUUGUAAGAAAGUUAUAAUUUGGGCGUAUCAAUUGAUAAAACCAAAUGGCAUGACUAGAAACUCGAAGUGACCAUACCGGGUUCUGAAUACUAUUUUUGGAAUGCCAUAUUCUCUGACUCUGAGCUAAUGAUUGCUUGAUCUGAGGUCUUUCUUAGAAAAUUAACUGGCACCCUGAAGUUGGUCAAACAAGUCAUCGAUUCUAGGAAGUGUGUACUUAUUCUUGACUGUGACUUUGUUCAAAUUACGGUAGUUUAUACACAUUCUAAGAGAACCGUCUUUCUUUUGCAUGAAUAGAACUAGUGCACCCCAAGGGGAUUCGCUGGGCCUGAUGAACCAUUUGUCUAAGAGGUCCUUCAACUCUUUAAGUUUAGCUGGAUCCAUUCUAUAUGGCAUAAUAGAGAUGGGAUGAGUAUCAGGAAGAAGGUCUAUUCCGAAGUCAAUUUCCCUUUCGGGAGGAACUUCGGGAAGAUCUUUGGGAAACACAUCUGAAAAUUCACUUGCAACUGGAACUGACUCAAGAUUAGGAGUCUUGGAACUAGAUUCUUUGACUUACACCAAAUGAUAGACACACCCCUUGGAUAUUAUUUUUCUCGCUCUAAGGUAUGAAACAAGUUGACCCUUAAGCAUUAAGCGACUACCCCUCUAUUCUAGGAUAGUUCAUUUGAGAACAGAAAAUAGAUAACUUUGUUUCUACAAUCAACUGAGGCAUAGCAUGAAUGGAGACAAUCCAUGCCAAAAAUGACGUUAAAAUAUAUCAUAAGUCUGCUGAAGUAACUUUUUGAGACACCAUAACUGGAUAGUUUAUGUAUACCCACCGGGCUAUGAUCGACUUACCCACUGGGGUAGAGACUGAGAAAGGCUUUAUUAGGAUUUCAGGACUGACUCCAAAGUUAAUAUCUAUAUAAGGAGUUACAAAAGAUAAAGAAUCUCCCUGAUCUAAUAAAUCAUAAUCAUGUAAAUGAUAAACUUAUAAUGUACCAGUGAACACAUCAGGAGAACUUUCCUGAUUCUGUUAGGACUGGAGUGCAUAGAGCCUAUUUGGGCGUUGCCCACUAGUGGCAUAGGAAGUGGCACCUUAAUAAGAAGGGAAACUAUAUUAAGCUAGGGGACGAUUAUGCUAACUCUAUGAACCCACCUAAGGGAACUCUCUGAUCCUAUCACCUAGCUUACGACACUUGAAACACACGUCACUUCCAGCCCUGUCGAUUCUUUAAUGAUUUCUGCCAUAUUUCUGGCAAACAGAAUUUGUUCGAGCACUGCUAACACUACCUUGAGAUUUAGAGCCCGCCGCCCUAUCUUUAUUACCAUUUCUGAAUUUAGGCAUCGGAGCACUGGAUGAGGAUGGAGUUGGGACUGAAGAAAUUUAGCAGAACUGAGCAUGAUUACCACCCUCUGACUUAGGCUGAGUGAAGUUGAAGCUACCUGUUCUAGCUUUUUGUUCUCCCUAUCUUUCUCUUUAGUCUUUUAUCCUCAAUAUGUUGAGUAUGGACCAUCAACCUACCCAAGUCCAUCUUGUUAAUCAACAUUGUGGUCCUACACUCCUUGACCACGCUAUCAGGCACACCAGACACGAACUUGCUCAUCUUAGACCUACUAUUAGUUACCAUAUGAGGAGCAUACCUUUCCAACUGAGUAAACUUGAGAAUAUACUCGUUCACUUUCAUGUUGCCCUAGUUUAAGUUAAUAAACUCUAAAAAUUUAGCUUCUCUCAACUCCAAUGGGAAGAUCCUAUCUCAAAAGGUAGUAGAAAACUCCUCCCAUUCUAUGGGCCCUACGUCUGUGCCCCUAUCUACCUUUUACUUCUUAAACCAUGUAUGAGCCAUAUCCUACAACUGAUAGGAAACUAAAUCAGCACUCUGACUAGCGGUUACCCCUAUAAUAUUUGUUACCUUCUGUACCAUGUCAAAGAAUUCAUGUGGGUCCUCUUCAGACUUAGACCCUAAAAAUAAAGGAGGGUUCAUUCGGGUGAAGUCCUAAAUUGUAGCUGCAGUAGUAUUGGCCAUAGGGUUGUCUUGAAUAGUGGUUGGGCGUUCAUUAUGAGCUACCACAGAAUGGGCUAGAGUGAUGAAAGCUGCUCUAAAUUCUACAUGAGAAACAUGCUAAUUCAGGAGAUCUUCCUGAAUGGGCGGAGGUGUUGUUCUUCUUCCAUUUGUCUUUUUGGGAGGUAUUUUUUCAGUAAAUGGAAGGAAAAUUUGAAUUAGACAGAUAUUUUAACUUGAUCUCAUGCUCACUCGCACGAUAUGAACAUUAAAAGAAGGGAAUUUCUUUCUAAAAUACCUCAUAGACUCUUGCCAUAAGUGUAGCGCGCUACGCACCCAUGCACAAGACUCUACUUGAUGUGGAUUUUAGACUCCUAAGGACUCUUUAUAACCUUAGACUCUGAUACUAAGUUCGUAACACUCUGAUACUUCACCUUAAGCAUCACACGGUGCUUACGACCCCCAAGGACCACAAGCUAACCCAUGACUAGUACCUGCUGUGAGCACUGAAUAUAAUAUUGAAAUAUAUAUACGGAAGAAAUAUGAAAAUUCCACAAGGUUUUCAAAAUACUGAAAUAAUACUGAGUAUAACUGAUAAUAAGAUUUGGAAAUUGAAUAACUGUCUGUGCUAGUCUGAAAGCCUCUAACUGUCUGAUUAUGGAGUUGAUGGGACAAACCCCCAACUAACUCCAACUGAAAUUUUUUACUGAACUACAGAAAUAUUGAAAUAAAUAAACUUUGUCCUCGAAAUAUAAGAACUCACCACUAUAACUAUUGCAAAUAGCUUGAGCUGCUAAGUACGGUCAGGAACCUGAGCGUCCAGACCUAUGAUAUGAGACAUCAUAGCACAAAAAAAAAGCAUAUGUCAGUAUGUGGAAUGUACUGGUAUGCUAAGUGAGAGAAGGCUGAUAUACAUGGGUUUAUAUGCAUGAGCUGAUAACUGACUAAAUGAACAUCAUGAAGUAACUGGAUGAGAGUACAUGCAAAACUGUAACUACUGAACAUAGUAAAUGUGCUAUACUGUGCAUAUAGUUAUACAUCAUGUAUCUGAGAUUAUAUCAAAACUGAGUGUUGAAUUCUGAUGGCUGAGUAACUGAUAACUAAUAGCCAUGGUUCUCUAGAACUGUCAGAGUUCUUUACUAAAUAUUGAGACUGAAACGGUAACUGUAGGAGUGUUCAUCUAACCAACAUUUCCCGAUAUAGACUGAUUUGGGGUCCAACCUGUGACCCCAGUUGGAAGGGUUUUAGCACCUUGCCAUGGGAUACUAACAAUGCUGUGUCAACCCAAAUCUGGCAGAAAGGAUCAUAAAAUAUAUAAAUGAUUGCAUCAACCCUAGUCUAGCAGGAGGACGACUUACCCUUCACUGGCUAUGUAGUUUUGUAAUGUAGGGACUGUUACUAAAGGUCAAACCCUAUGCUAGAACGAAUUCCCCCAUCCUUGGGUUCGCUCGAUGUUGAAUCCUACUCAUAACUGAAUCUACACUGAACUGAUCACUAGACUGUUCUAGGUUUGACUGAACUGACACUGAUCGUGUUAACUAACUGAACUGGACUGAGUUCACUGAGUUCUAUUAACUGACUGAAUACUAUUAUUCUUGACCUUUUCUAGGACUAGUCUAUAACUACUGCGACUAAGUAAAAAUCUAGAUUUCUGGUAAUAAAUACCCCCAAGACUCGAUAGCAUAAUUGAUAAACUCAUAUCACAACUUUAACAACAAAAUAAUAGGUUACCAUGCAUGAUUCACUCAUAUGGACAUUUUAUCAAACACUUACAAUGCAUAACUUAAGCAUAGAAAUUGUUUAAACAUAUAGUAAUAGCAUGCUUUCAAUACUAAGACGACCAAAAGGUCACAAUGCACAAUUCAUUCACUUAGACAUUUUGUCAAACACUUAGGAGGCAUAACCUUUUACGUGGAAAUGAUCAAUAUGUUAAUGCAUCAUAACUACAAUAAUUAAUUCACAAUUCAAGGGAUUGACAUGAGAUCUACAUCAACCAACAUACCGAUUGAUCUAUUUUACAUGAAACUCGUAUUUUCUUAACUUUGAAACUCAAAUAAAAACACAAACAUGAGCAUAAUUCAAUUCAUAACAUAGGAAUCAUAAUUCAAGUUUUGAAAAGGGUUCUUGAACACUAAAGGUGAAAAGAAACCCAAGGAUGAACACCUAACAUACCUGAGUGAUGGAAUUCGUUAAGAUUGUUGGGGAUUUCUUGGAACUUGAUCUUGAGAUUGAUGAACUAGGGUUUAUUUCUUGAGAGGAGUUUGUGAAUAAUGAAUGUAUUUUUCCCUUUGAGGGUUUUUAAUUUUGUAUUUUGGCUGAAUUGGGUGAGGGAAAAAGGACCUAAUUUUCCUUGGAAAUUUGGAGUUUAAUGAGGAAAAUAUACCUAGCAAUACAGCAGGCACCACUCUGUAUCGAUGGUGUUGAUGAGAUGGCCCACACUUCGCGUCAAUACUGUCCACACGAUAGUCAAUGUGACAUAUUGAGAUCGCAUUGGCUUGAAAUUAUGGUGAUUCACACAUGACCCAAUGAUGUCCAAAAAUUCCAAAACUCACCCAAGAUGACCUAUUGACAUCCUUGAUCAUGAAUCAAUUUAAAAAUCGACAAUCUAAGGUCAUAAGGAUAAAAAAUAAGAUCAUCCAAUUAUGAAGGCUAAAAAUGAUUCUAAGUCUUAACACUUAGCUAAUUUUUUCUAAGUCUGGGACCCCUUAUUACAAGCUAUAUCAAACUAAAUUGAACUAGAUCUUUUAUGGGGUCUUACAGAAGGGUGGUUAACUAUGAGGUAUUGGGGGUGGUCUUUGGUCGUAGGUAGGCUUGUGACGCCCAACAUGACUAGGCACUAGUUUGGGUCGUGUUAGAUUGGUGUCAAAUCCCUAAGUUCAUAGUCAAUUGGGUAUCCACAUAGCCGUGUCGAGUAGAGUCUCUUUUAAGGUUGUGUAGCACUCCACACUUAUAAAGAGAGGCUACGAGGUUUUUGGGAUUGUUUCUCAUUCUGUAUUUAGGCUGUAGAGUCUAAGGUCCUAAAAUCUUCUCUAAUUCCUUAUUUUUUGCUGUUCAAAUCAUGCCUCCAAGAUGAUCUAAAGCUCACAGAAACUCCUCUAUCCCUUUCGAGGAUAAUAUUAAUAGGAAAUAUCCUACUUUUGGGGUCCAGACCCGGUCUAGUGGUCCAAUUCCUAAUAGAACUCUUGGAGUUCCACGGUCCCCUAGAGUCCUUCUCAAUAUCCUUAGGCUGAUAUAAUGAAUGUUGAGAUUUGUCAGUCUAUCCAUAUGUUGGCUCAGUUGGUAUCUUCUCAGUCUGAGCAUGUUGAUUUUGUUAUUCUAUCUUAUGAGGCCACAAGUUUUGGCUAGUUUAUAAGGUUGAACUCUCAUGUGUUCACUAGUGUUAAGGUGGAGAAGGAUUAUUAAGGUUUUAUUGAUGAGAUAGAUAAGAUCUUCUGUGUAACGUAUGCUACUAAUAUGGAGGGAGUGGAAUUUGCUGCCUACCAACUGAAAGAUGUAGCCUACCAAUGGUAUGAGAAAUGGGAAUAGUAUUUGGGUGAUGAUGUUGAGUCAUCCUGUAGGAUGAUUUCUCUAGUGCUUUUCUAGACCACUUCUUUCUUUAGUUUCUAGAUUUGUUUGUCAUUGUAUUCAUAAAUAAUAUUUUGGUGUACUCUAAGAUCGAGAUGGAUCAUGCUGAUCACCUCUGCAUUGUGUUGUAGACCCUAAAGAUUGGUAGUUAUAUGCCAAAUUUUUGAAAUGUAAAUUCUUGUUAAACGUCGUUACUUUCUUGGGUUAUGUCAUUUCAAGUGAAGGGAUUAUGGUUGAUCUGCAGAAAGUUGAAGUGGUUAAGAGAUGACAUAGACCCAUGACUUUAACUAAUAUUUGAAGUUCCUUAGGUUUAAGAUGGUUAUUAAAGAAGGUUUAUUUAAAGUUUCUCUUUUAUAGCUACCCAAUUGACUAAGUUGACUCAAAAGAAGGUAAAGUUCUUAUAGUCUGGUGGUUGUGAGGGUAGUUUUGAGAAGCUGAUAGAUAAGCUAACUUUAGCUCCAGUCUUGACAUUGCCUGAAGGCACUGAUAGGUUUAUCGUCUAUUAUGAUGUGUUCUAUGUGGUUAUUGGUUGUGUCUUAAUGCGGCAUAGAAAAGUGAUAGUCUAUGCCUCCAUACAGUUGAAGGUUGACAGCGCCCAAGUGCACAUGCAAGUGUAUGUGUUCUACCAAGUAAUAUGGUGGCCUUCAAGAAAGCCGAGUUAUCGAUCCCACAGAGACUAGAUUUGUCAACGAUUUGAUUUUAGUUCACAAUUAAGAUUCACCUAAUGCAAGAGGAACCAAAAAGAGAGAAUUGAGUUUUUAAAUUGCAAGUAAAGUAAAUGAUGCGUAAAGUAAAGAUCUUGUAACAAUCAAUAGGACAAAACCAGGGUUGAAGCAUUCUUAACAAUCAUAUUAUGCUAUUGGAUUUCAUUCGUUAACUUGCUUAUCUUUGUUGGUUAUUCAUAGGUUUAAUUGCACAAUUAUGGUUUCCCAACCUCUAAUAUAUUACCUAAGUUUAACCUUACACCUACAUCAUUGAGCGGGAAUGUAAUAAUUCACUUGAGUUCUUAACAAAUAUCAUCCUACAUAUGAAUCAAGUAAGGUAUCUAAGUAUAUCCCUGUGCUAGAUACUAAUUCAAGUUUAUUAUUUUAUAAAGAAUCAAGAACCAUGUUCUGCUUAUUCUCAUGUUCUAACAUAUUAUUCCCUCUCCCGAGUUCAAAAGAUUGACAAUGGAUGUAUUCUAAGGGUAGUGAAUCCUUAAAAUAGUUGAAACGAGAAUAAACAAACAACCAGUAUUGAUAAGCAAAGAAAACAAACUUAAUCCAUAGCAAUAAUAAUCAUGUUCUUGGAUUCAACCCUAGAAAUAGGGCAUCUCGCCACACGUAGUCAUAAUCGUAAUCAUAAAAUAGUUAUUAAUGAAUAAAAUAUGAAUGAACUAAAUAAAAAUAAUAAAAACCUAAUGAAGAAGUUGUAGCAGCCCUUUGCUCUCCAAAAUAUACUAAAAGAUGUGUAAAAACAUGAUAAAACAUGUAUUUAUAGUAUAGGACCAAGUCCUUUCCAAGUUGGACAAGAAAACAUUCAGUUAUUGAGCCCCGAACUUGGUGGGGCGGUGCCUCAAUAUCGCCCUACCUCUCUAGAAUUUGUUCUCAAAAAUUUUCUAAGGCAAAGGGGGCACCGAAAUGAGCCCGCGUCGCGGGCUAAUCGCCUCCAGGACCAACACGCGCCACAUUGUUACAAUUUUGGGCCUCUUAUGAUUCCAUGAGUAUUUGUAACACGUCCAUUGGCCACUCCUAAAGCAUUUACAUUCCCAAGACAUUCCAGGGGUCCAAAAGUGUUUCAAUAUGCAUAUUGUGACUUCGUUGAGCCAUUCCGAGCCUUUUUGCGUUGUUACCACUUGAUUUGAAGCUUGUAUAUCCUUAAUAUAUCAUAAUAAUAUGUUAAAAAAGAAUCAUAUAGAAUUAAACACAACAAUUUAAAGCUCAAAAAAACACAACAUCCAACACGACGAACUAGAAACACGAGCUAGGCAUAGGCUAAUUUCACUUUGAUCUUUAACUCAUUGUUUUGGCCCUUGGCUUGAUCUAAUUGAAACCUGAGCGUUAUAAACAAGUUUUUUCAUAUAUAAAUACAUAAUAACAACCUUAGAAACUAAUUAAACACAUUAGAAUCCAACACGACGACUAGACAAACACCUAGCUCAAGCAAGUACACUAGCUUUGUGGGUUGAAUUCUAAAUGAAUCUUUUAGGUCCAAACUUGUUUGAAACUCACUUUGAACAUCAUAAACACAUCCUUUAACACUAAGAUACACAUUUAUAUCAUUAUCCACCCAUAUAUCACAUGAAUCAUCCGCAAAAAAAGGCUAAAAAGGCUAGAAUAGUGACACUAGAAUGCAUAAAUACACCCAACAUCACCACCCCACACUUAAAGCCUUGUUUGUCAUUGAACAACUCUUUAAUAUAAACCUUAUGAGCUGGAGAUUCUACACUUCUACUACAUGUAAGACACUCAAGAUAGUAUUACAAUGACUACACGGAAUGCAAGUUACUAUACUAAGCAUGUUAUAAACACAAUUGAAAGUUUAUGAACACUACUCCAAAACAUCCUAGCCUCAAGAAUUUACUCAACAAGUUGGAAAACUCAUGAACAUCAUUCAAUCAAUGACAUCAUACAAAUCACCCAUAUUCAUCAAACAUGUGUCCUCACAAUAAGAGAGUAACCCAUAAUCACUCGCAAUUAAGCAAUUUAGAACAUGACGGGUACAAAAAUCAAAUUACGCUCACUCUCGUAAAGAAUUAACAAGUUACACACAAUGAACCAGAGGCUUGCCUUUAGUGUAAUGCUCUACUAAUAGUUGAAUGUAAAGCUUAAGAUCAAUUAGGACUUUUUCAAGUUGUAAUAUAGGCUAAGGGAUGGGUAUAAACUAUUUGGAAAUAGUGACUAACCUCUCUAAGCGCUUUAAUACACAAUAUUAUUCAUUUAAAAUCACUCUCCAACAACAAAACUACACUUAUUCAUUCAUCCAUACCUUUUGUUUUUGCCCCAUCUUUUUUAAGCAUUUUCAUAAACACUUGGUUGACACCUAGUUUACUACAAGAAUCAAUUUUUUUCUUUUUUCACAAUCAUGGCAAUAUUUUUAGCAUAAAGUAUAUCACAACCAUCCACCACACAUCAAUUAUUUACACCAAAAGUAGUUACCUUAGGGCAUUAAUUUUACCUUUUUCUUCUUCAAUUUCUCAAACUUCUUUUUCAAUUAUUACUUCUUCUUUUUUAAAGAACUUAGGAGCUUUUUUUUUUAUCAAAUUAUGGUCUAUUAAAAAAGGGGAUUAGGCUACAUGUGAAGCUACCAAAGAAAAUGCUAAAGGCUCAAUGGAGGUUAACUAGGAUAAUUCACAAGGGUAGGCAAAGUAAAGUAUAAAAUAAGACUAUCAAAGAAAUGUCUAAAUCAUCUCCUAAACUCCCACUCUUUAUUUAGCUUUACACACACAGUGAGCAAGUUCUAGACAUCAAAUACAACAUAGAAUAUACAAAAACCUCACACUCACAUGGCACAUGCUCAACUCAAUAGGAUCAUCAUACACUCUCAACCAAACAAUAGCAUAAAUUCAAAAUUAAGCCAAAUAGUACAAGAGUCACAAACAUGAGCCUAAGAGUCUCAAAAGUAGCAAUUCAUUCAAUCAACAUACUUUUACCACUGCAUCAUGUAAUUAAAAAUAUCACCAACAAAAAUAUCUCACUUAUUCCUAACCCAAAAUUUUUAAAUUGAGCCAAAAUUUGGGAAUUUCCUCACCCCACACUUUAAAAUCUACUUUGUCCCCAAAGUGAACUUUUAAAUUAAGAGAUAGAAAUACUCCCUGAGGACUCUAGGCCUAGCUAGUAGCAUUUUCACACAUAAAUAAGGUCCAUAGAAUCCUACACUCAUUCUUUGUCAUGCUUCAAGCUCAAGUUUAUGGUAUUCAGACUUUCCAUUAACCUAUGACUCAACCAAAAAUCAAAAACUACUUGAAGUAAAAACAUAAAAAAUAUAAAGAAAACAUACCUAAUUAACUUGGGUUGCCUUCUAAGUAGCUCCUAAUUAACUGUCGUAACACGGCCCAUAUCAACUCAACCAUAUUUAUUCACCAUUUUACUCUCUUUUAAGAGCCAUUUUUUAUUCAUUUUUGACCUCUUGAGUUUGCAUUAUCAAGGUCAACAUCUCUCUUUUCUUUAUCCUUCAUCAUAUUAUGAAAUGGUGGUUUCAUCUUAGAUCACUCAAUUAGGUAGUUGGAAUAGGUCUUUGGGGGCUUAAACUCCCUACACUCAUCCCUUUCAAUCGCAUUGAUCAUGCAUAAAUCUUUAUAUUUAGUAUUUUCAAUGGGUUUUUUAUAAAUAUCAAAUACCACUUUUUCAUCCUCUACCCUUAUCUUGAGCAUGUAUUCUCUAACAUCAAUUAACGCUCCCCCAUUUACUGAAAAUGGAUGCCCCAAAAUGAUUGGCACCUGUUCAUCUGCCUCAAAAUCAAGAAUAAUAAAGUCAUUAGAAAUAAUAAAUUUACCAACCUUAAUGAGGAUAUCUUCAAUUAUUCAUUCCGGAUAUGCCAUAGAACCUUCUGCUAGCUGAAAAACUACUGUGGUCGAUCUAGUCUUUCCCUAGACAAAUUUUUCAAGUAGAGAUAGGGGCAUCAAAUUUAUACUUUCCCCUAAAUUACUCAAUGCAUGAAAUUAUUUGUUCCCAAUUUGAACCGGGAUAAAAAACUUUCCCUGAUCUUUUAAUUUCUUAGGGAUUUUCUGUAUCAUUACCACACUAUACUCUUCAGUGAGUGUUAUUGCUCCCAUAUCUUGCAAUUUCACCUUCUUCACCACCAUAUCCCUCAAGUACUUUGUAUACUUUAGCAUACUCUGCAAAAUAUCUAGAAAAGGUAAGUUAAUAUAAAGCUCUUUGAAUAUGUCAAUGAACUUUUUAAACAAGGUAUCCUCCUUUGAUUUUAUGCACUUUUAAGGGAAAGGUAGAGGUAGCAUCUUCUUCUUCUCUAGUUCAGCAACUUUUUGAUCCAAGUACUCAGACUUCCUUGAAUUUUCAGUAGCUUUUUCAUCCACCUUUUGGGUCACCACAUCAGUAGCUCCCUCCUUUGUUGCCUUUAGAUGUUCUUCGUAAAGAUCGUUACCACUCCUUAAGGUAAUUGCCAUGACUUGUUUUGGAUUUUCUGUAUCAAUGCAUUCCACCUUGAGGAUGGAUAUUUAAUGCUUAUUAUAUCUACCCAACCUGAAACUCUAAAUUUCUCAGGCUAACUUUUUGAUUUUGUAAUUCCGCCCUGAUGUGUGAGCUAAUACUAACAUAUUUGAGACUUUUAACUAGAAAUAAUUGUAAAGUCUUAAACAACUUUUAUUGUUUUUGAUUCUUUUCUCUUUGAUAAUAUAGGAAAGUCAAGAUGCAAGAAAAUCAAAGACAAUAAGAGCAAAAGAGAGAAAUUUGGAACAAGUGGCCAUAAAAGUAUAGUUGACGACUUAUCUGAUAAGUCAUCAAAUUUCUGAUAAGUUAUCAGAGUCAUCAUCAGCUGUAGAGAGUGUGAGGAAGUUGGAGCAGAAGUAUGACGACAUCCCCUGAUAAGCUGUCAAGUGUUUGAUAAGCUGUCAAGAAUACUGUCAGCCUAAGGCAGAGAUCAUAAAAGUGGAAGAGGAGAUGAUGAUAUUUCUGAUAAGUUGUCAGACUUCUAAUAAGCCGUUAGGAGUUGUGAUCAACCUAAGGUAGAGAUCAUGAAGUUGGAAGAGGAGAUGAUGAUAUUUCUGAUAACUCGUCAGAAUUUUGAUAAGCCGUCAGGAGUUGCCGUCAGCCUAAGGUAGAAAUCAUUAAACUUGGAGGAGGAGCUAACGAUAAUGUCUGAUAAGUCGUCAGACUACUGAUAAGGUAUCAUACUUCACCGUCAGCUGUGCAAGAAAAAGUUGUAUUCUGUGAUUUGAUUCCUAAUUUAGCUCUUGGUAUUUAAGGGAAAGUUCUUAGGUUUUAUUGGAGGCUGAAAUUUAUCUUAAACUUUACGUCAUUCAUCUCGAAAGACAUGAACUUACACUAUUUUCUCUCUAGUUUUCUCUAGAACUUUACAAUUAACUUUUGAGAGAUUGAUAUCAUAAUUUUCUUAGGAUUUCUACUACAAUCUAAUCUGAGAAACAUUUGUUGAUAUUCACUAUUCUGUAAGUUAUCAUUUAUCGAGAUAUGAAUACAAAUUAUCUUGUUGCUUUUUACAUUAUAAGUAGCUAAUUCCUUUAAACUGAGUUGUGGGAUCUACGGGUUUGGUUUUGUAUAGUAACUAGGUGUUCGAGAUUUUAAAGGUAGAAGGAACUCUUUGGUAAUUCCUCUAUUUUACAUAUUGUCUAUUGGUUGCAAAUGAUAGGCCAUGCCUACUAGUGAUUUACUUGAAAUAAGAAAUCAACUCUAGUAGGAGGUGAAUUAUCAAUAGGGACUUGAAAGCAUCAAACUUUCAUUUAAUAAUUAACGUUGUAACAGGGUUAAUUAACUUGAGACAACAUCCUGUUAUGAAAUAUAAAUUCCCUAAGUUCAAAAGGAUUAGGUAAUUAAAUGACUAAAUAGGUUGAGAAAAAUUUUGACAUUACUUCGACAAGGAUAAUUUGUUGUUCCUACCUACCACAAGAAUCUUAAAUCGUUACUAGUGUUUGUCAAAUACCAACACUCAUAGUGAGAACAACUCUAGUUUUUAUAUAAUAGUGAUUAGAAACAUUGACACUGAAUUGAGAACUAAUUACUUGUUACCCUUCCAAAAAGUCCCAUUUACAGGAAACUGCUAACUAUCAGUCGAUUGACUCAGGAACAACUCAAAUUAAUACCAUAUUCCCUAUGGGAUUUGACCCCAACCUAGUUGGGUUAUAUAUUUGACAAUGACUGCUUACUCUCUUGUAAGAGAGAUAUAGUUUGAGGGUUAACAAAAAUAGCGCCGUUGUCGAGGAAAUAUGGUUGUAAAUUUAAGUUUGUGUGAGCUAAUUGACUGUUAGUCAAGUUUCCUAAUUUUAUGUUUAUUUGUUCUUUUUUGUUUGUUGCAGGAACACAGUAGUGUAUGCCAAAAACUAGAAGUUCAGGAGAAAUAUUAUUACCAUUCAAUCUAAAACCCCAACUGAUCGGCAGAAUGGCAGACACACAGGAAGCUGACAGGUUAGCCGACUUAGCUAGAGCUUAGGUUAAUCUGCAGAAUAAAGGUCAACAAGGCCAUCUUCAAAAUUGGGAUGAUGAUGACUUAAGAGAUGAGGACUUACUGAAUCCUGUUAACCAAAGGCAUGCAGAGGAGGUAGCUGCACCAGUGAACAAAAAUAAAAACACAAACAGUCCUUUCAGGGAGAUACCUGAUCGCCAAGCCAUGUAAUUUUAUCCUAAUAAGGAUGAUGAUGGAAUGGACGAAUUUGGUACUACUGGAGCUAUUAUUCCCCUACCUCUAGCACCAGGAACGAAGUUCAAUAUUAUAAGUACUAUAAUUCAACUCCUUCAUCUAAAGGGUUUGUUUAGUGCCCUUCCUGGGGAUGAUCCUAACAUGCAUUUGGUGAACUUUGUCACCAUUUGAAAAUAUUUUGAUAACCCAGGAAUGGGUCAGAAUGCUAUCCAUUUGAGAUUGUUUCAGUUGUCUAUGUCUAGGGAAGCAUCACUCUGGCUAAAUGAGCUGAUGCCCGAUUCGAUAACCCACUAGAGGUAAUGGAAAUAGGCUUUCCUAGAAAGGUUCUUUCCACAUUCUAGGAGGAUGCAGUUGAGGAACGAGAUCAUUAAUUUUAGAUAGCUCCCAACCGAAGCCCAUUAUGAGACUUAGGAGAGGUUUAAAAAAAAGUUGAUGCAGUGCUCGAACCAUAACAUGACAGAUAUUUACCUGAUAGAGACUCUUUUUCUGGCUUUGAACUCUAUCAUAAAGCCAGUUGUUGAUAAUGUUGUAGGGGGAUCAUUUGUGGAUCUUACUCUUCAAGAGGACUUGGAGAUGCUUGAUCGGAUGACCAAACAAUGUAGAGCUUGGCAUACCAGGGAUUCUGUGGUAGCAAGCCCUACUAUGUCUAUUGGCAUGACUGUGGAACAAUGGAAGAAAGAGGAAGAACGCGAUCAAUAUAUGGCACACAUGAAGACGCAGAUGAAUUUAUUAACCAAGAACUUAUUAUCUGUAAUGACUGAAAAGGUGAAAGUUGUUUCAUCACAAGGUAAAGAUGAUUCUGAUUCAAAAGAAGAAGCCAAUUAUUUGAAUAAACAGAGGGUUUUCGAGGCAAUAGCCAAGGAAAUCAAGGUCGGACUUAUUAUGAUAAUGAUGGAUAUAAGGAUCGGGAUCAAGGAAAUUAGAAGAGCAAGAAUGAUAGAAGUGGGUUGUAUAUACCUCUCGAAAGCAAAGAUAAUGCGGCAAAUAGCUUUAGUAAUUUGUCCAUGGAGGACAUGAUGGAAAAAUUGUUAAAGGGAGUUGAGGCUACCAACUCUGGGGUGACUACCAUGAAGACCGAUUUGUCUUCUAUGAGUCAGUUGGUAAACUCGCUUCUACUUCGAUCAAAUAGUUAGAACAGCAAAUAAGCCAACUUUCUACAACAUUAAAUAAGAGGAAAAGUGGAACGCUGCUAAGUGGUAUAAUUCAAAACCCUCUGAAUAAUGGUUCUGCAAGGCUAUUACCACAUGGAGUAGUAAGGUUUUAUCAGGCCAUUCUUUGGGCAAAGAUAUUAACGAUAAGGUAAUCAAAGAAGAUGUUGAGCUUGAAGAAGGUAAUCCAGUAGAGUCUAAGAAGAUGGAUGACAUUAAUAUCCCUUCCAAUCAUUAAUAAGUUGAUGAGGUGGAACAAGGGAAAGAGAAGAAAAAAGAAGUAGUGGUGAAGACUCUCCCAAAACUACCACCUCCCUUUCCUUAGAGAUUGAAAAAGAAGGCCAAUGAUACCAAGUUUAGUAAAUUCAUGGCAAUGUUAAAGAAGCUAACAAUCAAGGAUCUUAUGAUGAAGAAAAGAGUAGUGAGCUAUGAACCGGUGGAUAAUCUCCAUUAUUGUAGUACUAUUUAUACAAGGUUCUUGGUGCAUAACAAGGCAGACCCUGGAGCAUUCACUAUUCCUUGUAUGCUUGGAUCUCUGGAAUUUUCUAAGGCCUUAUGUGAUCUGGGAGCAAGAAUUAAUCUGAUGCCGCUAGAUAUUUAUAAAAAUUUUAGUUUGGGAGACCCCACACCCACCAACAUAAGAAUAGUUAUGGUGGCUAGGUCUAUAAAAAGGUCGAUGGGUAUGCUACAUGAUGUACUUACAAAAGUUGCUGAUUUUAUAUUUCCUGCUGCCUUCGUGAUCUUUGAUUGCGAAGUAGACUUUAAAGUGCCCAUAAUUUUGGGCAAACAAUUCUUAGCAAUUGGGAGUGUGAUAGUUGACAUGGAGCAGAAUGAGCUCAAGUUUAGGCUCAAUGUAAAAAAAGUAAAAUUUAAAAUGCACCCAUCCAUGACACAGAAAAAGAAGAUGAGUGUUUUCUCAAUCAUGGAGUGUUAUAUAAGGAUAUGAAAGAGGUAUCAACAAGGUGUCUUGACGAAUUAUGCGUAGUCAAGACAAUCGAGUUGUGCUGCAACACAAAAUCAAGUGCUAUUGGGAGACCACCUAAAAUUUUUAUGUUUAAUGCAAGUUGUUUUUAUUUAUUUUGAUGAUAAGUAUGAUGAAAUGAUGAAGUAUGUAGGGGUAUAGGUAUAAUUGAUGUAUCAAGUUAAGUGAUCCUGACAACAUAGGUGAUGAGCUAUCACAAUUGUGAUAAGCCGCCAGAUUCAUCGUCAGAGAUAUCAGAUCUGAGGUAUGUUCUGUUAAGGCUGAUGACAUUUGUGAUAGGCUAACACACUUGUUAUAAGUCAUCAGAAGUAUCAUCAGAAAACCCAAAAUAAGCUAUCAACCAAUUCUGGGCCCAGUUAAAGGAAUUCAACCCAGCCCAAAAGUAAAUCUUUUCACCUUCCUGCUUUUCUUUUCUUUUUUUAGUUUAUUUCUUUCCAUUUUUAGUUUAUUCUCUUGACUUUUUGAAUUAGUUCUUAGUAAGAAAAGAAAAUUUCAUUUUCUUUUUGCUCAAUUGAAAUUAAGUUCAAACAAAAAGUGAUAUUUCUCCUUUAUCUUUUCAUCUAAUCUACCCUACUCAAGAAGCUAAGUCACCUAAUAGGUAUGCUCUAAGACUCUCUUCUUCUUAUUGGGUAAUAGUGAGUCUAAUGUACACCUUGGUUUUCAAAGAGAUUGAGUAAAGUUUAGCUUGCCAUUGUAGUAAGAAAUUGAAACUAGGGUUUACAGUUAUGCAUCGAGCACAGAAGGUUAAAAUCCGUGUUCAAGAAAGUAAUUCCAUGUUUUGUGAGAAGAAUUGGGAGGGAUGAUUAUGUUAAAAAUGAGCUAAAGAUCUUGUUCUUAGCUGACAACAUGCCUGAUAAGUUAUCACAAAUGUGAUGGCUUAUCAGACCAUGUCAUCACAAGUUAAGAAAAUUAAGCCUAUUCUGCUUAAGGCUGAUGACAUGGCUGAUAAGCUAUCACAGAUGUGAUGACUUAUCAAACCAUGUCGUCACAACUUUGAUCUGAAGCACUAAUAAACCCCUUUAAAGAGAUGUAGAACUUUAAUGACUGAAAUUCUUGCAUUAUAUGAUCUUGGGUACUAUAAAAUUGUGUUCUUAUGCUACAGAGUUUAUAAUGGCACCCAAGGAAAAAGGAUCCAAAUCAUCAAAGAAGGCGACUAAGGGGAGUGUGCCUCGGAGACUUUUUGAUGAAUUUGAUUAUGAAGAAGAAGAGCCACAGCUAAAAGACAAAUAAAUAAGAAUAGUCCAAAAAUACCUUAACCACCUCCAUAAGUUAAGAAGGUGAGUGAGGAAAGUUAAUUUGAGGAACCAGCAACAUCUGAACAUACACCUUCGGAGAAGACAACCUCUAAAAAACCUGAUUUAGAUCAACCUAAUUCAGAUCAACCAAAUUUUGAGCAACCUAAUUUAGAGGAACCAUCAUCUGGUUCCCCUUCUUCUGAAUAACAAGCUGAUGAAGAUUCUCCAAUAUAGGGAAAUCUGAUCAAAUGCAAGAGCCCCAGUGUCUCAGAAAGCGCUAUAUGGAAAAUUCCUGGGGCAAAGAAGAUUUUCGAUGAUGAGCUUCUCAAAAAUCUUCUCAGAACUCAAAGAAGAUCUAUUAAAAUAGAAAUUUUUUAAUAAAUGAGAAUCAUUACUACUUCGUUGAGCAGAUAUCCUUCAAUGGAGCAGACAUUCCGAGACUACGAAUUGGCAAGGACUACAAAAGGAGGUGAUUUAUUUUGCCCUGUACUAGUCUGGGAGUUCUAUGCAAUCUACCAGGAUGCCUUGGAGAAGAUGUGUAAGUAAGGCAAAAAAGAAGUAGAUCAACCCUUGUUGGAGAAAGUUUCGAUGAGGGGCGUAAUGGUAGAUCUCUCAGAAAGAACCAUCAAAAGAUUCCUUCAUGAUCUCGACUUCACUCCUCAGGCCACUCCACUAAUAUUCUACUCUUGGUUAAAGUAUCAUGACAAACAUCAUCCUUGGUCAGCAAACCUCCUAGCUAAAGGAGAACUAGAUUGGUUGACUAACCUAAAUAAAAGAAUAUUCAAGACCUCCAUGACUCAAGAGGCAAGGUUCUGGUGGGGUGUAGUAUGCACUUGGUUGAUGCCCACGGAUAGAGAUAAUAUUCUUAGUGAUGAUAGAGCAGUGUUAGUCGCGAGCCUCGUGGCUAAGCUUCACUUAAACUUUAGGUAAAUUAUUGCUACGAAGAUAAAGAUUCGGGUAUCAAGGCCCAACACUGUAUAUCCAUUCCCAUGUCUGAUUACAAAGUUGUGUGAGGCAGCCAAUGAACCUAAGGUUAUAGGCAUAGUCCAAGAUAUUCUAGCCAGGAAGACCAACAACCCUAUCAGGUAUGACAAAAAUUAUCCUAGGCUUGUGCUAGGUAAAGGAAGAGGGGUUGCCACAAAAUCGGUGAAGGUUGCUGAAGUGCAACCAUCUGUCACUGGUACUGACUCAGCACCUAAAAUGGAGCUGCAAGAUUCUAAAGCUGUACAGCCAAUAUCCUUUGCAAGAUUAUAUUCAGUGAUUGAGAAUGAAUUAAAAUUUUCAACUGCUAUUUUACCAAUAAAAUUUGCCUUCAACCCGCUCAAUUUUAAGAGAGUAGUGAAACAAGCAAAGUGGUGCAAGGUACAGCUGCAACUUUUUGCUAAGAAAUUUGCCUCUACAGUGGACAAGAGGAUUAAGGUAGAACUUGAACCCAUCCAGACUUUACCUGGUCGGAUUAAUGAGUUAGAGAAUCAUUUCAAUGCAUAUUUAAGAGAAGCAGAGAAAUGAAAAGAGUGACAAAAAAGACAAGGGUAAAAAGAAAAGAUCUAACAGCGAGGAUGAAAGAAAAAUAGAAAAGAAGGAAAGGAAGAAGGCAAAAAAAUAGAAAUGAAAAGGGUGAUGCGAGCAUCCAAGGGAGAAUCGGAGAGAAAGGAGGAAGAGCUAUGAGCAAGGGUUGUAGGAGCAUCAGCUAGUGGACUCCCUCCAGAGGCUGUGACAGCUAUGCCAGCCCAACAACGAGCUACUAAUGUGAGUAUUCUAGCAGAAGACACCACUACAGGGUCAGGGACCCAUGAUUCCUGUACUUGAGCUACUCCAGGUAUACCCUAACCCUUAGUUCAGUUUCACUUUGCAUGUACAUUGAGGAUAACACUUGAUUUUAAGUGAAGGUUGUAGGGUGAUUUAUUGUAAAAUAUUGUAGUUGACUAGGAGAAAUACAAGUACCUUAGGAAGUUAACAUGUUUUUGUUGAUUUUUGAACACCUCUCCAAUGAUCGAUUUUAUAACUGUGUGAUAUGUAUUUAUGUGUGACCAUUGUGCAUUUUGUUAUGGAAUUAGUACUAGUGACAUGAUAACCAUUAGUAAACAAUUGCAUGAACCAGAUGGGUAGUAUCCUAUAAUGUACCUGUGUGCCAUAUGCUUGUGAGAUAUUACUUAGUUCCUUUUGUAUGUUAAAUUCAGAACUUGCCAGGUUAGUCUUGCCUUGGUUUUAGGAUAGGGGUUAGGAAAGGGUCAUAGGUCAUUUUGAGAUUAGUCCACUUCUAGCCUAAAUUACCUUUCCUAUAUGAAUGAUAUCCCUUGAUCCCAUUUUUUAGCCUAAAUGACUAUUAUUUUAUGAUACCUAUCACAUUCCCAUUUGUAUCACAAUGAACCUGUUUUGGCCCUGGUCCUCCUUGGACAUUGUGUACUUUGACUUAGGCAAAUAUCCUAAGUUGAGGGUGGCUUCCAUAAGGGUGCGUGAUGUAAAAUGAGUGUGAAGAAAGGUAGAAUAAAAGAAGAAAAUAAAAACCUAGGUGUGGUGGAAAAAGAAUAAGAAAAGAAAAGUUGUGAAAAAAAAUAAUUGUCAGAAAUACCGCACCCAUCCAGAGUAUGUGUGAUCAAGAAAGGAGAGAAUUAGGUAAUGGUAAAUAAGUGAGAUCCCAAAAGUUAGUGUCAUGACAAGGAGGUUUAAUCACCUUAAAUAUCAUCAAGUAUCAUACCAACCCUUAGCCUAUAUUACAAACCAAAGAAAAAGACCUAUAGUGAUCCUAGAUUACCUAUCUGAAAACCUUGGUAAUGAAAAUAAGGGCAAGCUUAUGGUAUUUGGCAUACAUUGAUUGGAACUAAUUUUUUAGAGUGAGUGUCCAUUGAUUGUCCCCAGAAUUACAUAUGUUAUUUCUUAUAUGAGUGAGGAGGAACUUCUUUGUUGUAAGACCACACAGGUUAUGUUGCUAGUUGCUAACUUGUUUGGGUAAUGUAAUAUUGGUACAUGUAUGGUUGCUAUUGCUAAGUUUAUGCCAUAGCUUGAUUCCUUUGUGUUGCAUUGUUGCUCUUUAGUAAUAUACACAGUUGAGUUUGAGAUGAUUGACCUUGGAGAUGGUAAAUAUGUUUUGAGCUAAAAUGAAUAAUUGACUACCGAAUGUGCUUUGUAUUCUCUUAGUGAUGUUUAAGUUUCUUGAGGACAAGCAAUUGUUUUAAGUUGAGGGUGCUGAUAUCUGAGCUAAUGCUAACACAUUUGAGGCUUUUAACUAAAAAUAAUUGUAAAGUCUUAAGCAACUUUUAUCAUUUUUAAUUGUUUUCUCUUUCAUAAUGCAGAAAAGUCAACAUGUAAGAAAAUCAAAGACAAUAAGAGCAAAAGAGGUGAAUUUGAAACAAGUGGCCAUGAAAGUGUAGUUGACGACUUGUCUGAUAAGUCAUCAAAUUUAUGAUAAGUUAUCAAAGUCAUUGUUAGCUAUAGACAGUGUGAUGAAGUUGGAGCAGAAGUGUGACGACAUCCCCAGAUAAGCCGCCAGGUCUCCGAUAAGCCAUCAAAAAUACCGUCAGCCUAAGGUAGAGAUCAUGAAAGUGGAAGAGGAUAUGACAACAUUUUUGAUAAGUUGUUAGACUUCUGAUAAGCCAUCAGGAGUUUCCGUCAGCCUAAGGCAGAGAUCAUAAAAGUGGAAGAGGAUAUGAUGCUAUUUCUGAUAAUUCGUCAUACUUCUAAUAAGCCAUCAGGAGUUUCCGUUAGCCUAAGGCAAAAAUUAUCAAAAUUAGAGGAUGAUCUAACGAUAAUUUUUGAUAAGUCAUCAGACUCCUGAUAAAGCAUCACACUUCGUCUCAGCUUUGCAAGAAAAAGUUGUAUUCUGUGAUUUGAUUCCUAAUUUAGCUCUUGGUAUUUAAGGGAAAGUUCUUAGGUUUUAUUGGAGGCUGACAUUCAUCUUAAACUAUACAAAAUUCAUCUUGAGAGACACGAACUUACAAUAUUUUCUCUCUAGUUUUCUCUAGAAUUUUAUAAUUAUCUUUUGAGAGAUUGUUAUCAUAAUAUGUGAUUUCUACUGCGAUCUAAUCUGAGAAACAUUUGCUGAUAUUCAUUAUUCUGUAAGUUAUCAUUUAUGGAAUUAUGAAUACAAAUUUUCUUGUUACUUUUUAUAUUAUGAGUAGCUAAUUCCUUUAACCCGAGUUGUGGGAUCUACGGGUUUGGUUUUGUACAGUAACUAGGUGUUCGAGAUUCUAAAGGUAGUAGGAACUCUUUGGUAAUUCCUCUAUUUUACAUAUUUGCUAUUGGUUGCAAACGAUAAUUCAUGCCUACUAUUAAUUUGCUUGAAACAAGAAAUAAACCCUAGUAGGAAGUGAAUUAUCAACAGGGACUUGGAAGUAUCAAACUUUCAUUUAAUAAUUAACGUUGUAACAAGGUUAAUUAACUUGAGACAACAUCCUGUUAUGAAAUAUAAAUUCUCUAAGUUUGAAAGAAUUAGGUAAUUAAAUUUCUAAAUAGGUUGAGAAAUAUUUAGAAAUUACUUCAACAAGGAUAAUCUAUUGUUCCUACCUACCACAAGAAUCUUGAACCGUUACUAGUGUCUGUCAAAUACCAACACUAAUAGUGAACAUAACUUUGGUUUUUCAUAUAAUAUUGAUUACAAACACUGACACUUAAUUGAGAAAUAAUUACUUGUUACCCUUCCAAAAAUCCCUAUUUAUAGGAAACUGCUAACUAUCAGUUAAUUAACUCACGAACAACUCAAAUUAACACCAUAUUCCCUAUGAGAUUUGACCCCAACCUAGUUGGGUUAUAAAUUUGACAACGAACACUUACUAUCUCAUAAGAGAGGUGCAGUUUGAGCAUUAUCACACCCUUUGAAUGUUCAGAUCUACAAUUAAUUAUGUUUUACCCGCUAAGAUUUGUUUAAACAUCUCUUCUGUGUAGCUCGUAAACUGAUUAGAUUGGGACUGUGGCUGUGGGUCAUUCUAUGGCUUAUUAGGUGGAUGAUUUUUCCACUUCAUGUUGUAGGCAUUGUUAUAAUUUGGCCUUUGAUCAUUGCCUACAUACAUUACAGAUUCUGGAUUUAAAGCACACAUAAUAGAUGCAUGACCACUACUUUUCCACACUUCACACCAACUUGUAGUUUAUUGGAUCGCAUUGAUUGUGAUUCCAGGUUGUGCUGCUCCCAACUUUAUGGUGAUGAAUAUUGUGUUGAUCAAAUUUUAUAAGGAAGAAAUCUGAGCUAAUAGGGCUAUGAAUUGGUCCACCUCCAACACACCCGCAAUUCUUUUCUUGGUAUUUCUAGAAUUUGAAUGCCACUCUGGAUUUCCUUGUGCUAUGCAGUUCAGCAAUGUGUAUAGAUCAUCAUAAGUUAGCUCUAACGCUUGACCACCUGCAGCUGAAUCUAGUAAAAUGUUUGUAUUGUGAUCAAGAGCUUCUACAAAAUUAUGAGCAAGUACCUCAUUCGACUAUUGGUGGUGUGGACAAUCCUGAAGAAGGUCCUUGAAGCAUUCCCAACCAUGAUAUAGAUUUUCUUUAGACUUUUGUUAGAAGGUUACUAUCUCACUAUGAAGUUUUGCAGUCUUUCCUGAUGGAAAGAAUCUAAUGAGGAACCUUCUGGCUAAGUCAUCCCAUGUUGUGCUUGAAUUGGUCAGCUCCGCAUUCAACCACCUUUUAGCUUUCCCCAAAAGUGAUAGGGAAACAGUUUCAAAAUCACAUAAUUUAGAGUCACCCCAGUUGAAGUAAAUGUAUCUGUAAGCUCAAUGAAAUUCUGCAAGUGGACUUGUGGAUCCUCAUGUGAAAGCCCUACAAACUAUCCACUGCUAAUAAGAAGCAGCAACAUGUUGUGUUUCAACUCAAAAUUCCCCUCCAGUUGCUGGUUUUUGAAUUAGGGAAGUCAAGUUCGUUGUAAGUAGGACUGCCACUUCCCUAACCUUCCUACCAGCUUCUUGUUGUUCAGCCAUAGGAAUAGUUUUCUAUUGGUCUUCUUAUAUUUGUAAAAUUCUGGGGAGAAGGAUUGCUUCUCUCCUAUUUUGAUGGUAAAGUUUCUUGGGUUUUGGGCUUGGUUUACCAACUUUUGAUUCCUUUCCAGCUUAUAAACUUAAGAACCUGUUUCCUGCAAAUACAAAAAUAAUACCAAGCGUAAAACCACCAAAUAAAUCUAAAAAUAAAACUAAAAUAAAUAAUUGCCAAUUUCAAGUCCCCGGUAAUGGCGCCAAAAACUUGACAUCAUCCAAGUGCACAUGCAAGUGUACGUGGUCUACCAAGAAAUAUAGUGGCUUUCAAGAAAGCCGAGUUAUAGAUCCCACAGAGACUAGAUUUGGCAACGAUUUGAUUUCAGUUCACAAUUUAGAUUCACUUAAUAUGAGAGUAACCAAAAAGAGAGAAUUGAGUUUGUAAAUUGCAAAUAAGGUAAAUGACACGUAAAGUAAAGAUCUUGUAACAAUAAAUAGGAGAAAACCUAGGGUUGAAGCACUCUGAACAAUCAUAGUAUGUUAUUGGAUUUAAUUCGUUAACUUGCUUUUCUUGGUUGUUGAUUCAUAGGGUUAAUUGCACAAUUAUGGUUUCCCAACCUCUAAUCUAUUACCUAUGUUGAACCUUACACCUACAUUGUUGAUCGGGGAUAUAACGAUUCAAUUAAGUUCUUAACAAAUAUCAUCCAACAUAUGAAUCAAGUAAGGUACGUAAGUACAUCCCUGUCUUAGAUACUAAUUCAAGAUUCUUAUUUUAUAAAGAAUCAAGAAUCAUAUUCUACUUAUUCUUAUGUUCUAUCACCCUAUUCCCUCUCUCGAGUUCAAAAGGUUAACAAUGGAUGUAUUCUAAGGGUCGUGAAUCCAUAAAAUAGUUAAAAUGAGAAUAAACAAACAACCAAUAUUGAUAAGCAAAGAAAAUAAACUUAAUCCAUAGCAAUAAUAAUCAUGUUCUUGGAUUCAACCCUAGAAAGGGGGCGUCUAGCCAUACGUAGUCAUAAUAGUAAUCAAAAAAUAGUAAUUAAUGACUAAAACAUGAAUGAACUAAAUAAAAAUAAUAAAACUAGUGAAGAAGUUGUAGCAGCCUUUUGCUCUCCAAAAUAUGCUAAAAGAUGUGAAAAAACGUGAUACAACAUGUAUCUAUAGUAUAGGAGCAAGCCCUUUCCGUGUUCGACAAGAAAACCUUCAGUAAUUGAGCCCUAGACUAGGUAGGGUGGGGCCUCAAUAUCACCCUACCUCUCUGGAAUUUGUUCUCAGAAAUGUUUCUAAGGCAAAGGGGGCAUUGAAAUGAGCCCGCAUCAUGGGAUAAUUUACUCCAGGACUAACAUGCGUCAUAUGGUUACAAUUUUAGGCCUCUUAUGAUUCCAUGAGUAUUUUUUAAAUGUCCAUUGGCCGCUCCUACAACACACAUGCACCACGACAUUCCAGGGGUCCAAAAGUGCGUCAAUCUGCGUAUUGUGACUUUGUUGAGCCAUUUCGAGCCUUUUUGAGUUGUUCCCACUUGAUUUGAAGCUUGUAUAUACUUCAUAUAUCAUCAUAAUCCAUUCACCAAACAUACUAUAGCAUUAAACACAACAAUUUAAAGCUCAAAAAAAAUACAACAUCUAAGACGACGAACUAGAAACACAAGCUAAGCAUAGGCUAAUUUAACUUUGAUCUUUAACUCAUUAUUUUGGCCCUUGGCUUGAUCUAAUUGACCCUUGAGCAUUAUAAAAAAGUUUUUUCACAUAUAAUACAUAAUAACAACCUUAAAAACUCAUUAAACACAUUAGAACCCAACACGACAACUAGACAAACACCUAACUCAAGCUAGUACACUAGUUUUCUGGGUUGAUCUCUAAAUGAAUCUUUUAGGUCCAAACUUGUUUGAAACUCACUUUGAACAUCAUAAACACAUUAUUUAACACUAAUAUAAAUAUUUAUAUCACUAUCAACCCAUAUAUCACAUGAAUCAUCCUUAAAAUAAGGCUAAAAAGGCUAGAAUAGUGAUUCUAAAAUGCAUAAAUACACCCAACACUAAAGAUGCAUAAAAUUAAUUAUUCGACUUAUUACUUGGAAAUUUUGAUUGUGUUAUUCGCAUUGAAAAUCUAGCAUUACUAUUUGUAUGGAGUGUAUGUGGAUAUCUUUUCCAAUCAAAAAAGCCUGCAAUAUGUAUUUACUCAAAAAGAGCUAAACCUCAGGCAAAGAAGAUGGCUUGAGUUGCUCAAAGAUUAUAACAUGAGUCUUCACUACAGUCUAGGUAAAUCUAACAUGGUCGCUGAUGCUCUUAGAAGGUUAUCCAUGGGGAUUCUAGCUCAUGUGGAUGGAGGGCAGUGGGAGUUGGUGAAAAGUAUUCACCAUUUAGCGAACUUUGGAGGUUGUCUCUUUGACUCUGCGAAUGGUGGUGUGUUUGUGCAGAAGGUGGCCCAGUCAUCUCUUGGUGCUAAAAUAAUGGAAAAACAAGUGUUGGAUCCUAUUUUGAUGAGGAUCAAGGAUGAGGUAUAUGGGUAGAAGGUGAUGGCCUUUGAGAUUAGUGGUGAUAGUACCUUGAAGUACUAAGGAAGGUUAUGUGUUCCUAAAAUAAAUAGAUUGCAAGAGAGGAUCUUAGCUGAGGUACAUGAUCACACUAUGCUAUUCAUCUUGGUUUGAUAAAGAUGUAUCAUGACCUUAAGGAGAUAUAUUGGUGGAACAAUAUAAAGUGAGAUAUGGCUAGUUUUGUGGGUAAGUGCAUGAUGUGCCAGUAAGUAAAAGUUGAGCACAUGUAUCCCAGAGGGUUAUAUUAAGAAAUUGAGUUAUCUGUGUGGAAGUAGGAAGUGAUCAAUAUAGAUUUCAUUACCAACCUUCCUUAGUCUCAGAAUCAGUUUGAUUUGGUUUGGGUCAUCGUGGAUAGGAUGACAAAUUCUGCCCAUGAGAUUGUGAAGUUACAUGUGGUGCCUAUUUCUAUCAUCUCAUAUAAUGGUAUGAAGUUUUUAUUGAACUUUUGUUGGUCGCUCCAGAAAGGUUUGGGGACUAAGGAAAAUCUUAGUAUGGCUUUUCACCCGCAGUCAAAUGGAAAAAUAGAAAGGACUAUACAAAUAUUGGCGGAUAUGCUUUGAGCUUGCAUGAUUGACUAUGGUGGUAGUUGGGUUAAGUAUUUACCUCUUAUAGAGUUUAUGUAUUAUAACUGCAACCACUCUUGCAUUGUAAUGGCCCCAUUUAAGGCCUAUUAUAGUAGGAGGUUAGAACUCCUAUUGGGUAGUUCGAGGUUAGUGAGGUGGAAAUAUUUGGUCCAGAUUGGUUCACCAUGCUAUAUAAAGGUAAAGGUUAUUCGGGAUAGGCUUAAAAACACCUAAAGUCUCCAAAAGUCCUAUGGAGAUGUGAGGUGUAGAAAGUUAGAUUUUGAGGUUAGGUAUACAGUGUUCUUGAAGUAUCUCCCAUGAAGGGAGUGAUGCAGUUUGGGAAGAAGGGGAAGCUCAGUUCCUCGUAUGUUGGUCCGUACUUGGUUUUGAGAAAGGUUGGUAAUGUUUCAUACAAAUUGGAGUUGCCUUCUAAUUUAAGAUCCAUUCACUCAGUGUUCCAUAAGUCUAUGUUGAGGAAGUAUGUCGGUGAUCCAUCACAGAUUAUGCCUAUCAAGGAUAUUGGUAUUUUGGAUUCCUUGUCUUACGAGGAAGUCCCUAGUAAAAUCUUAGAUUGGAAAGUUUGUCGGUUGCAGACAAAGGAUGUAGCUUCUGUAAAGGUUCUAUAGAGAAACCAUAAUAUUAAAGAGGCAACUUGGGAAGAUAAAAAGGACAUGAAGUCCAAGUAUCCAUUCCUGUUCAUCAUUCUGAAACAUCAUUCUUAAGGUAUGUAUUGAUUUUACCAUCUUUGUUUUAUGACUUUAUUAAAGAAAAGAUUGAUUUCCUUGGCAUCUUUGUUUUUUUAACUUAGUUAAAGGUAAGAGUGGAGAUGUUUGGGGUUUAAUCGUGCUAGCCAAUGCCUUGUUCCAUCAUUCAGGGAUGAAUGAUCCAAGUGGGAGAGAAUUGAAACACCAUGGGUUUUGGCCCUUGGAAAAUUCUUGAGCUCUGAGCUCACUGUCCUAGUAACGACUCAUUAUACAAGUCAUAUGGUAUGACUACGGGUCAGGCGACCCUAGUCGUGAGGUGACCAGUGAAUGGUGGUUGGGCUUUUAGACUUGGUAAUGAGUUGGUGGUACGAGUCAUUAGGGGUGGUGAUGAGUCAUUAGGAUGAUCCUUAAUCAAAUCAGAAACUAAGUGACUUGAUUCUACUCUGAGUACAAGUGACUCACUAAGAGAUGUUAGGCUAGGUUACAAGUGGUAGGAUUGAGUCAAAUGGUGUCUAGUGUCUAAUCCUUUGGGUUCUAUCUUGGAUACAACUAGACCAUACGAGUCGUAUGGUCAGGUCAUAAUUGGGGAUCAUGGAGUCAUAAGAAGGAUAGUGUAUGGGUGUCCAAUUCACUAUCUAGGGUAUGACACAAAGCUAUGAGUCAUGUGAUGUGGUGAUGAGUCAAUAUGUCGACUCAUAACUAAGGACGGCUUUUUACAGGUUUAAGGUGGGAGCACUUUGGACAUUUCUCACUUAAAACUCUUAAGACCCCAUGUCCUUAUAACACUUUUUGGUUAUUCAUUCCACACUUUACAAGAUUUAAACAUCCUCUUUACCCUCUCAAAAAUCCUCUCAAGUAAAAUUGGCUAGGGCUUCUCCAAAGUGGUCAUCUAUGGGCUUAAGGAUCAAUUUCUCUUUGUGAAUCUUUGUAAUUCAGGCAUAUAAAUCUUCCCUCAUUGUUAGUUUAAUAAAAUCUUAUGUUUUAAGCAUUGGUCAUGAAUCAUUAAUGGUGGUUUUGAAACCAAGGUUGAGGGGUUUGAAUGCAAAUCAUUGAAUAUUUUCUAUGGUUUAAAUUGUUAUUAUGCAUAUUUUAAUUUUGGUUUUGCAUAUGUGGAUGCAUGAGAAUGGUGACGUAUUUAUGGGGUCAAGGUUGAACCCUAAAAUUUGAUGAGUUUGGCUUUAAUAAUGGUGUGCCCUCAACCUAUUUUUGAAAUUUUCAAUGAGAAUGAUAUUGUCAUAAGUUGAAUUGUGUUUUUGAACUAACGCUUUGGCAUAACCAUGAUAAUAACCGAUAAUGGACUUUAUAAUGGUUUUUAUGGCUAUAAAUUGAAUUUAAUUGAAAACGUUGUGAGGUACACGGGAAUCUCCCAAGUGAUUUUUAAUAGUGUAUUCUGUGGGGUACAUAGGAAUCCCCUAAGUAUCGAAUAAUGACAUUUAUUGCAAGCUAUAGUCGGUAUGACGAUACCACUUUAUAAUAUCGUGAUAAUUAACUCCUGGAAUUGGUGGUUUGGUCAGAGUCCAGUCUAAGGACGCCUUUCAUAGUAUAGUUUGGUCAGGAUUAUUCUCUAUUAUGGUCUAGGUGGUUGUUGUAAAAUACUUCGUGUUUAUAGUGUCGUAUCUUAUCUUAGGGAUUUUAUCUAGGGAGGCAUGGGUAACUCUUGUAAUUUGGUUUCUUAAAUGACUCUUUUUGUGCUAAGGUGGUAAUGGUUUGAGAAGUAUAGUGAUAUGCUAAAAUAGGGGAUGUAGAAGUCCCUAAGUAAGGGAGUGUCUAGGGUGACUACUAACAGUUAAGGUUUUUGAAAGUGAGGUAAGGUUAUUGUCAUAGGUAAUGGUUAGGAAAGGAAUAGUUGGUGGAAAUUCCUUGUAGAAAUAAUAGAGAGUGAUAGAUCUUUUGAUGGAUAGAUCGUACCGAGGGUAUAUAUGCAGUAGGCUUGAAUGUUGUGGUUGGUAGAUAUACUAGUAAGUUGUGUUGGGUACCUGAGAGGUCUGGUAGAGCAUGGUUUUAUGAAUUAUUUUCAUGGCUUAGUAGUUGUAUUAUUUAGGGUGUUCAAUUAUAGGCUGGGGAUUUUUGUUCUAGUGGUUGGGCAUGGUUUUUCCAUGUAUUUUACUCAUAGUUUCCAUAUUAUAAUGGUGAUGGAGGUAGAGUGGUGUUUCGGGAUAGAUGUAAGGAGUAGAACCUGAUGGCCUAAUUUAACUCUUUUUAUCUUUGGAUAGGCUUAAACAUGGAGGUGGUGUAUAGCUAGACUCAAGCUCUCGUAGUGGUGUGUCUUUGUAAAUUUUAAGUUGAAUUAGAUUUGCCCUUGCAUAAGUCCAUUCAGUUGGUAUUCUAUAAGUUUGUAUUGGGGUAAGGUGUGGAUGGUCCUUGGUUGGUUGGUUCCUUCGGGUGGUAUUGGUAUCUCGGGUUCGUUGUUCUUUUGGGGAAGUCUAUAUAAGGAUCUUGGAUGGGUAAGUUUGUCGAUUGCGAACAAAUAAGUUAUAGCUUUUGUAAAGGUUCCAUGUGGGAACUAAAGGUUCAAGAAAGUCAUUUGGGAUGCGGAGAAGGACAUGGAGCCCAAAUAUCCGCAUUGGUUCUUUAUUCAAAAAAUUCAUGCGUAAGGUGUUUGUUCUUCAACAUAUUUUUUUUUUCAAAUUUUUAUAAGAGAAGGAUUAAUUUCCUUACAUCUUUGAUUUCUAAGUUAAUUAAGGGUUGGUGAUGGGUUGUGAAUGUUUAAAUCAUUCUUGGGGUAUAUGAUGAUCUUCUGAUCUCGGGUUUUUUCCUUGACCUCUAUGUUGGUUGAAGUGAAUUUUGAUGUGUGUUAAUGUGUUACCUCAUGCUUGUUCUUACCCUUACCCAUUAUUCAAAGAUGAAUGAUCCUAGUGGGGGAGACUAUAACACCCUAAGAAUUUGACCCUUGCAAAAUUUCCUAAGUUUUAGACGUACUAGACUUGGUACGACUCAAGGGUACUAUUCAUACCAUUGAACAUGAGUUAGGGGCUGACUUGAGGUUUCACUCGUACCCUAGUCAGUAUGGUUGGCUUGGUUACUUCCAAAGAUAUGACACACUCGGGUAAAAAUCAAAUAGGAACAUACUAGUGGUGUAAGGCAAGUCGUAUGAUGCUUGUUUGAGUUGGCUUAUGGAAUCUUCCCAGGUAUGGUUGGUGGGUACGAUUAAGUGUUCCACUCGUACCCUUAGGUAAGUGUUAGGGAGGUGUGAGUUGAAUAUAAACUAGUAGGUAGGGUCUUGGCAUGGUCUUGGGUACUAGUUGGGGUACCACUCGUACCCUAGGAUACAAACGGUAAGGUUGAGUCAUACCCAACUUUGUGGCUUAUUUUAGUUUUAAGUCAAGGAUAGUUCGGCCAUUUCCUACUUCAAGACCCUUAUGUACUCACGUUAUAUAAUUAUUUAUGGCCUUCGAUAAAACUUUUUAAAACAUUAAAACACUUCAAAUACACUCUUGAACACUCUCUUGAAGAUUGGAAGCUAGGGUUUCUUCAUGUGUUCUUGUAAGGUUUAAAAGGUUGAGAUUUCUACCAUGAAUCUUCUAGUAUAAGGCAUGUACUCCUUUCCUUAUUGUUAUUUCCAACUAAAGGCAGUUGUAUUUUGUUUUAAACAUUGAUUUAUGGAUUAUGAAUGGUGGUUUCCGAAAUAUAUGGAGGGUCUCGAUGCAUAUUAUUUGGUAUUAGAUUAAACUAUGUUCUUACAUAUUUUUGGUAAUGGUUUGCCUAUGUGGUUAUUGGUUGGUUAUGGUUUAACAAAUGGGUCUUGAGCAACCCUAAUUAUGGUGGUGUAUGCGUUUGUUUUGGUCUUGGUAAAGGUAUGCCCUCAACAUGUUUGAUAAAAUGCCUCAAAGAAUGUUCACUCUAUUAUUGAACUUUCAUUAGAACUCUUGCAUGGUUUGGUUUGGUAAUGGACCAUUAAAUGUAUUUGGAUGGUUUUGCAUGGUUAAAUGAUACAAAUGCUUUAAAUGUUUGCAUGGUCUAAAAUGGUUUGGAAAUGGUAUAAAUGGUGUACAUGGUUUAGAAAGAUUAAAUGGUAAAGCCUUGGUGGCUAUGAAAAUGGUUAUCCUUGUGGGAUACGUAGAAUCGCCCAAGUGGUUUAAUAUGGUAAAAUGGAAGGGCACUUGGAAGUCCCUUUAAACCUAUAUAUGGUUGGCUAUGGAUAUUACUUGCAAGUAUGGUCGGUAUGAUGAUACCACCACUAAAUAGCCAUGGAUAAUAAAUGGUAAAUAGAUUGGUUAGUUGCUUGGUAAUGGUUUUAAUUGGGCAAUAAUGGCAGGAUAUGUAGCAAAUCUAUGGAAGGUAGAGGUCCCGAGGGGACAAAAACUGGAAAUUCAUAUUUGCCAAAGUGAUGUUUGGUGUUGGUGAUCGUUUGCAUGAUGUCACACUAUAUUUUGGGGGGAUUUACUAUUCAUCCCAGGUUUUCUUCCUUUGUUAUGAGGCUAUAUGCACUGGGUUCCUUUUAGUAGGGGGAGCUGACGACAAACCUACACAGCCCAGGUAAAGGUUUUAAAUGCAUGCUAAUCCUGGUUCCCUUUUCCGACAUGGUUAUAUGUAUAUAAAUAUGGUUGUAUACUUUAUGGAUGGUUUUACUUAGCUUUGUAAAUGGUAUUAUUUUAUCCUUAUCCUGAGUACAUGCUAGUGUUCACCCACUAACCCGUCUUUGGGUGGUUAUAUACCCACGUUAUGCAAGGACCGACCAUUUUGUUUCUCCUACCUAGUAAUUUGACUCAGGGACAAUCGAUGUUGGAUUGAAGUUGUAAGCUUCCAUAGUUCAGAAGGCAUCUAUUUGAAAUGGGUUACUUUACAUAUCUCUUUUCUUUCAUAGACUUUGGUUUUUGGCUAUGGUCGGGGGCAUGUCCCAACUAGUACUCUUUGGUUGGUCUAGAGGCUUUGUAUGGACAAUUGUGGACUUGGGUAUGGUAUGGAUUGGUUAUGUUUCAUAUAAAUGAAUACAAUAGCUUAUUAUCAGGAUAUUGGCCUAUGGUUUCCGCAUUGGUUUGGGUUGGUUAUUGGGUGGUAAGAUUUGGUUGGGUUGGUCUCAGAUAUAGACUUAUCCCUAAAUCACCACAUUGGUGAAUACACUAUCUUGUUAUAUGUUCAGACAUCAUUUGACUUAAGGUAUGCAUUUGGUGGUUGGUUUGGGUAACGCGGGUGAUUUCAGGUCCUAGUUGGUCUUGGGAUUGCCCAUUACAACAAGGCCUAAGUUUGGGUCGUGUCAAGUUGGUAUUACGGAUUUGGGUUUUGGUGUCAUGGGGCAUCCACAAAGUCAUGUUGAGUAGAGUAUUUCUUAUGGGUGUGUCUGUAACGCCCCAAGAUCCCAUCCCAACACGUCACAUGGUGCUUAAGGCCACACACGGCCUCAAGCUAACCCUUUGAGCUUGUCAUCUCCUCUAUAACUCACUAUGAUAAUAAUCAAGCUGUAAUAAAGAAGAAUAAUCAUGUCAUGAACAUACUGGAAUACAAAGAAAUACUAUCCUGUACAAUCAAAAUACUGAAGUUCUAUACAUACUAGUACUCUAGUCUGACAAAGCCUCUACUACAUAAGACUGAGGAGCCAUUGGGACAGAUCCCCAACUGACCCGUACUGAACUGGAAAUAAACAACCAUCUACUAUCAAGACAAAAAUCAGGGACAUAGGUCCUCAAACAAUGAGGACUCACCAACUGUACGAAUGUAGAUGGAGGUACUCGAAGAUCACUGUUGCUGCUGAGACUAAACACCUGAACCUAUAUCACGAGAAAAUAUAGAACACAGAAGAGUAUGGGAAUCAGUACUUGGAAAUGUACUGAGUAUGUGGGGAUGCAGGCAACAUUUAAAUAAUAUCAUAAAUGUAUAAGAAAAUCAUGCAUGCUGAUAAUAUUGACUCUCUUUGCUAGAGUUACCUAAAACAUAUUUUCCAUAAAUCAUCAAUAAUAACACAUGCUUCAUAAAUCUCACAAACCGUUGGACUCAACUCAAAAUCUUUGACUCAUGACUUAGAGUGACCCGGUAACUCAUGAAACUUGGACUAUUAUGGACUUGGGAGUUUCUUAUAACCGACAUAAACCAUGUGAGCUUACAUAGAGUCCAACGUCUUGCCCAUGUUGGGGAGAGCUAUUCUAUCCUUGCCAUCGGAGUAGAACCUUAACUUUAGUGAUAACUGUCUUGNNNNNNNNNNNNNNNNNNNNNNNNNNNNNNNNNNNNNNNNNNNNNNNNNNNNNNNNNNNNNNNNNNNNNNNNNNNNNNNNNNNNNNNNNNNNNNNNNNNNNNNNNNNNNNNNNNNNNNNNNNNNNNNNNNNNNNNNNNNNNNNNNNNNNNNNNNNNNNNNNNNNNNNNNNNNNNNNNNNNNNNNNNNNNNNNNNNNNNNNNNNNNNNNNNNNNNNNNNNNNNNNNNNNNNNNNNNNNNNNNNNNNNNNNNNNNNNNNNNNNNNNNNNNNNNNNNNNNNNNNNNNNNNNNNNNNNNNNNNNNNNNNNNNNNNNNNNNNNNNNNNNNNNNNNNNNNNNNNNNNNNNNNNNNNNNNNNNNNNNNNNNNNNNNNNNNNNNNNNNNNUCAUGACAUAAAUUCUUAAUUUAAGAAAUAAGACAAUGAAGUAGUCAUAUGUGUCAAUAUUGUAUAGCUCAAAUCUCAUAAAUCCUUCAUAAAGUAAUUUGGGUGUAAACCCACUUUGCAAAAUUCAUGAAAUUCAAUAGAAAUUAAAUCUUUGCGCACAAGAACGAAAGAAGUGUUCUUGUUCAAAAUCCCACAUACCUUAAUCUUUGAAAUUGGAUGAACUUUAGUUCUUGAGACUUCAUCCACUCUUGAAAUAAAUAAUUCUUGAAGCCCACACUAUGAGGAGCUUGGUUCUUGAAGAAACUUUAAAGAUUUAUGGAUGAUUCUUGGAAGAUUUAUAUUCUUGAUAUAACCCUAGAUAUAUUAUCUCAAGAGAAUUGGAAGAGAAAAUGAUGGGAUUAGGGUUUGAAUGGGAUUCUCAUAUUUAUAGCGGCCUCCAAAAGAUGGGAAAAGACCAAAUACCCUUGCAAAAACGUCUCUAAAUUGCUGGAAAAAAUAGCUGACGAUGGGCCGUCAGACCCGUGAUAGGCCAUCACGAAAUGGCAUUACAGAAGGGUUAAAUUUUAUGAUUUUCUGCCUAAGGCUGAUGAUGUCAUCAGAAGUGUCGUCAGAAAUGUGACGACGUUGUCAGAAAUGUUGUCAGAAACGUGACAGUCCGUCAGAAACGUCGUCACCCUUUUCCAGAUUGACAUGCUAGACUAAAAUGGGGAUAACUCUUUGCUCCAAUAUAAGACUUUGACGAAAUUGGUAUCGUUGGAAAGAUAAUUCAAUUAUCUAUCUGUUGAUAGGUCAUGAGCUCAAAAAUUCUAAGUAUAAUGAGAGAUAUUCUUGUUUGAAGUUGACUAUACCAAUAUCCUUCCCAAGAAUUCAAUCGAUAAGGAAUGUUUUGAUUCACCCAAUCGUUAGGACAUCUUUAAGGCCUUAAUACACACCAUCCUUGAUCAGAAAACAACCCAAAACAUUAUAAUUUAUUUCUCAUGAGCUUGAUAGGACAAGAACAAGAGAAAAUAAGGACGUAUAGCUAGAACGACUCACUAAAAAGGCUUACUUCAUUCUAAACUUUCGAGUACUUCACAAAAUGCAUGAAUAACAGAGAGAAUAACCAUAUAUCUGAAUACACUGGAUUAUAAGGAAACUAGAUUAGGGAAAAAUAGUACCUUCAGCUUAAUUUGAACUCACAGAGAAUAGAUGAGGGUAUCUGAUUCACAUAUCUGCUUCUGCUUCCUAAGUAGUACCCUCGACUAAUUGAUUUUUCCACAGAACUUUGACCAAGGGAACUUCCUUAUUUCUUAGUCUACAAACUUGAUAAUCUAGGAUUUCAACCGAAACUUCAUCAUAUGAAAGGCUAUCCUAAACAUCGAAACUUUUUGAUGGAUCAACAACAACAGAAUCACCAAUGUGCUUCUUGAGCAUAGAAACAUGAAAGAUAGGAUGGAUAACUGAACACUCGGUAGGCAAUUCAAUCUCGUAAGCUGUUUUCCCAACACGAUCCAAAACUCUAUAAGGGCCAACGUAUCGGGGAGUAAGCUUCCCUUUCUUACCAAAUCUUUUCACCCCCUUCAUGGAUGAAAUCUUCAAGUACACCAGAUUGUUAACCUCAAACUCAAGAGCUCUUCUUCUCACAUCUGCAUAUAACUUCUGACGACUCUGGGUUGUCUUCAACCUUUCCCGAAUCAGCUUAACUUUCUCCAUAUCCUCAAACACAGCAUCAGGCCCACUCACAGUGGCUUCACCCACUUCAAACCAACCUAUGGGUGAUCUACAUUGCCUUCCGUAUAAAUCCUCAAAUGGAUCCAUUCCAAUGAUAGCAUGAAAAAUGUUGUUGUAAGAAAAUUCAAUCAAUGGCAAAUGUUUAUCCCAACUUUAUUUGAAAUCAAGAACACAUGCCCUUAACAUAUCCUCCAAGGUCUGGAUGGUUCUCUCAGCCUGACCAUUGGUCUGCGGAUAAAAAGUGGAGCUAAGAUGAACUUGGGUACCAAGACCCUUCUAAAAAGCCCUCCAAAAAUGAGAAGUAAAUUGAGUACCCCUAUCGGAGAUAAUAGACAAAGCAACUCCAUGCAACCUCUCUAACUCUUGAAUGUACAGCUUAGCAUAGUCCUCAGUGGUGAUAGAUGUAUGCAUUGGAAAGAAAUGCACGAACUUAGUCAACUUGUCAAAAAUGACCCAAAUCAAAUCAUGAUGAGGUCGAGAAGGAGGUAAACCAGUCAAAAAAUCCAUAUUUACUUCCUCCCACUUCCAAGUAAGAACACUAAAUUGUUGCAUCAUUCCACUGGGUCUUUGGUGUUCUAUCUUAACCUGUUGGUAAGUUGUACACUUCUCUACUAAUUUCUCUAUAUAUUUUUCAUACCAUUCAACCAAUAGAUUUCUCGCAAAUUGCGGUAUUUCUUGGUAGCAUCGGCAUGAAUAGAAUAUCAUACGCCAUGCGCUUCAGCCAUAAUUCUCUACCUUAAAUCUUCAACAUCAGGAACACAUAAUCUAUUUUGAAAUUUCAAUACACCAUCUCCCCCUUAGGAGAAAACCUCCACCUUUUCGUCUUUAACUGACUCCUUUAGUCUGACCAAACUAGGAUCCAUAUCUUGUUUCUCCUUUACUUCCGAAACUAGAGAAGAAUCGAAACUACUCUAGACCCAAACAUUACCCUCAGCUGAAUCAAAUAAUCUAACCCCUAACCCAGCGAGAUGAUGCCCCUCAUGAGCUAACUUCUUCUUAUCUUCCUCGACCUGUUCUACACUACCCAUGGACGACCUACUAAGGGCAUCUGCCACUACAUUGGCCUUGCCUGGGUAAUACAGCUAUUUAUAUCAUUGUCCAUUAAUAAUUCCAACCAUCGCAUCUGACAAAGAUUCAACUCUCUCUGAGUAAACACAUACUGCAAACUCUUCUGAUCCAUAAAGACAUCAACAUGAACACCGUAAAAAUAGUGUAUCUAGAUUUUCAAGGCAAAACCCACUGCAGCUAACUCGAGGUCAUGGGUCGGGUAGUUCUUCUUAUGCGGUUUCAACUAUUUGGAGGCAUAGGAUAUAACCUUACCUUUGUGCAUCAACAAGCAACCCAACCCAGCUCUAGAACCAUCAUAGUACACCACAAAAUCAUCUACACCAUUUGGAAGGGUCAAAACAGGGGCCGAAGUGAGUCGAGUCUUCAACUCCUGAAAACUCUUCUCGCAAAAGUCAGACCAUAGGAAUUUAAUUUUCUUUUUAGUCAACCGGGUCAAAGGAUACGCAAAGGAAGAGAAACCCUUAAGAAAACAAUGGUAGUAGCCAGCUAGAACCAAGAUACUCCUAAUAUCAGAUGGGGAAAUAGGUCUAGGCCAAUUUUUCAUAGUUUCUAUCUUUUGAGGGUCAACUCAAAUACCUUCAGAAGAAACAAUAUGAUCCAGAAAAGCAACUGACCCUAGCCAAAAUUUGCACUUGCUAAAUGUGGCAAAUAGUUGAUGAUCUCUAAGGGUUUGCAAGACUAUUCGCAGAUGAUCUGCAUGGUCAUUCUCACUUUGGGAGUAUACAAGAAUAUCAUCUAUGAACACAAUAACAAACAUAUCCAUGUACUGUCUGAAUACCUGAUUCAUGAGGUCCAUAAAGGCUGCUGGGACAUUUGUUAUCCUGAAAGACAUGACCAAGAACUAAAAAUGAGCAUAUUGGGUGCGAAAAGCUGUCUUUGGAAUAUCACACUCCCUAACUUUAAGCUGGUGAUAACCGAAUCUUAAGUCUAUUUUUAAGAAAUAGUUAGCACCUUGCAGCUGAUCAAACAGGUCAUCAAUUCUAGAAAGAGGGUACUUAUUCUUGACUAUGACCUUGUUAAGAUGAUGAUAAUCAAUGCACAUCCGUAAUGAACUAUCUUUCUUUCUCACGAAUAGAACGGGUGCACCCCAAGGAGAUACGCUAGGCCUUAAGAAACCCUUAUCUAGAAGACCUUUGAGUUUCUCUUUUAACUCCUUAUAUUUUAUGGGGUCCAUAUAAUAUGGAGGAAUAGAAAUAGGCUACGUGUUGGGGAGAAGAUCAAUCCCAAAUUCUAUCUCUCUAUCGGGAGGUACCCCUAGGAGAUUUUCUAGAAAAAUAUCACAAAACUCAUUAAUAAUGCUGAUCGACUAAAUGGUCAGAGUCUCAAACUUAAUAUCUUUAACUUGAACCAAAUGAUAGAUGCAACCCUUGAAUAUAAAUUUCCUAGCUUUAAUAUAGGAUAUGAAAUGACUCCUGGAAGAUACAGAAUUUCCGAAUCACUUAAAGGCUAGCUCAUUGGGAAACUGAAACUUGACUACAUAGCUACGACAAUCUAUAGACGCAUAACAUGAGUAAAGCAAAUCCACACCAAGAAUAAUGUCAAAAUCAACCAUGUCUAGCUUAAUCAAAUCUGUAAACAUAACUUUGUGAAGGAUAGUGAUCGGACACUUCUUAUAUACUUGCUUAGCAAUAAUAGGUUCACCUAUUGGAGUAGAAACUAGAAAAGGCUCAGGAAUCUUUUUAGCAUUAAUCUCAAAAUUCAUAGCCACUAACGGAGUCACAUAAAAAAGACUUGACCCAGGGUCCAUCAACAUAUACACAUCAAAAUGAAAUACACGGAGCAUACUAGUAACAAUAUCUGGUGAAUCCUCCUACUCCUGAUGGGGUGGUAUAGCAUAAAAGUGAUUCUGGCGCUGACCACCGGCAUUACUAGACAAGGCACCCUGAGGAGAAGGAGGAGGAUGAUCCCAAGGGGCUGGAGCACUAAUAGCCUGACUCUGGGGAAGAACAUCACGGCUCCCCUGUCUAGUAUAUGGGCAAUCCCUAAAUUUGUGGCCCAACUUACCACAACUAAAACAACCUCUCUGCUUAGCCAUACACUCUCCAAGAUGCGUUCUACCACACUUAGAAUAUGGGGGAUAGUUAGGUCUAUUAAUCAUACUGUCCUGAGACCUAGACACAGUAGGUCUAUUACCCUACUCCUACCUGACUCUGGAUGUGAGAGUAAUAGUUGAUCAUGGUGCUGGCAUAAAAGAACGACUCUGAAAUUGAGGGCAUAUCCCUCUAAAAAUCUACUCUGACUAUACCCCUGCUGCUCUGACCUAAAUCUAUUAUUCUCUCUCACUCUCACUCUCUUUUUCACCUUGUCCACUUCAAUCUGCUAGGCAUGUAUCAUCAAUGUAGAAUGAUCCAUGACCCUAUUAAGUAUAGCGGAACUAUACUCUUUCAUAACAUAACUUGAUAUGCUAGUCAAAAACUUACAUACUAGUCUUGGAACCAGCCAUCAUAUUGGGUGCAUACUUAGACAACUUGUUAAAUUUAAGACAAUAUUCCUUAACCGUCAUAGAGCCUUGUCUCAAGUUCAUAAAUUCUUCUAGUUUUGCUUCUCUCAGCUCUGAGGGGAAAGAAUUGGUCUAAGAACGCAUCCUGGAACAACUGCCAAGUCAUGGGAGUGGCAUCCUCCCAUUUACUCUUCCUCCACAACUCCACCCAAUCAUAAGCAACAUCUUUUAAGAGAUAGGAAGCUAGCUCGACAUUUUCUUUCUCUAUUACAUGCAUAAUUUGGGUGAUCUUUUUUACCUUAUCAAGAUACAUUUGUGGGUCCUAACCUACCCUUGACCCAUAAAACUCUGGCAAAUUCAUCCGCAUAAAAUCUCAAACUUGAGCUGCUGUAGAAUUACCUUCUUGCGUUAAUGGAACAUUGGCCUGAACAUUGGCCUGAGCAUUGGCGAUAACUGCCUGGGCUAGCACCUAAAAAGCUGUCCAAAAUUUGGCAUGAGUCACCGUCUUAUUUAAAGGAUCAACGGGUUGAGGUCAUUCGUUAUUUUUGAGAGCUCUAUGAGGAGGCAUUUUCUAUCAUAAGAGAGCAUGAAUUAAUAGAAGAGAGAAAUAGUCGUAGGCACGAAAGACUUCUGAAAUAAAGAAAUAACUUUUCCUAAAAUAUCCUGUAGCCUCUUUCACAUAGAUGUGGUGCACUACACACUGAUGAUCAAGACUCUACGUAACGUAGCUUGUCAUACUUCCUAGGACUCCUUUAAACCUUAGGCUCUGAUACCAAGCUUGCAUACCCUAAGAUCCCAUCCCAAGAUAUUACACGGUCCUUAAGGCCACACGCGACCUCAAACUAAUCCUCUGAGCCUGUUAUCUCCACUAUAACUCACUAUGACAAUAAUCAAGCUGUAAUAAAAAAAAUAAUCAUGUCAUGAACAUACUGGAAUACAAAGAAAUACUAUCCUGUACAGUCAAAAUACUGAAGUUCUGUAUAUACUAGUACUCUAGUCUGACAAAGCCUCUACUACAUAAGACUGAGGAGCCAUUGGGACAGAUCCCCAACUGACCCGUAUUGAACUGGAAAUAAACAACUAUCUACUUUCAAGAGAAAAAUCGGGGACAUAAGUCCUCAAACAAUGAGGACUCAUCAACUGUAUGAAUAUAGAUGGAGGUACUCGAAGAUCACUGUUGCUGCUGAGACUGAGCACCUGAACCUACAUCAUGAGAAAAUAUAGAACAUAGAAGAGUAUGGGAAUCAGUACUUAGUAAAGUACUGAGUAUGUGGGGGUACAGGCAAUAUUUAAAUAAUAUCAUAAAUGUAUAAGAAAAUCAUGCAUGCUGAUAAUAAUGACUCUCUUCGCUUGAGUUACCUAAAACAUAUAUUCCAUAAAUCAUCAAUAAUAACCCAUGCUUUAUAAAUCACACAAACCGUUGGACUCAACUCAAACUCUUUGACUCAUGACUUAGAGUGACUCGGUAACUCAUGAAACUUGGACUAUUAUGGGCUUGGGAGUUUCUUAUAACCGACAUAAACCAUGUGAGCUUACAUGGAGUCGAACGUAUUGCCCACAUUGGGGAGAGCUGUUCUAUCCUUGCCAUCAGAGUAGAACCUUAACUUUAAUGAUAACUGUCUUGGCCUUUGGCCCUUAAUCUUAAUCCUAUGGUGGGAUGUAGUUCUGGGGAAGUAGGAUGUGCUGAACCCAUACUUCCCGCUCGAUUCUAAAUACUACUCCCAGACUUAAGCUCAGAACGUAUUGGGAAAUCCACCUUAAUCAACUCAAGGGUCUAUCAUGAAGACCAAAAUAUAAAUAUAUAUCUCACUUAUAAAUCAUAAUCAACUUGUGGAUUCCUAACUCGACUAAAUCUCAAAAUAAUUUUUCUCAUCAUAAGUACACUUUCUGAUCAAAUCAAACCUAGUAUCAAAUCUUCCAGAAAGCAUCAUAGAACUCGUUCUUGACUCUCAAGUUUGAUAUCAAUAUAUAUUCAAUAGACAAACUUCUCAUGGAAAAACAUAAAUCAUGACACUUAUCAUAAAUCACUUAGAAAUUAUCAUUUCAUGAUAACAAUAUACAACUUAUGACAUAAAUUUUUAAUUUAAGAAAUAAGACAAUGAAGUAGUCAUAUGUAUCAAUCUUGUAUAGCUCAAAUCUCAUAAAUCAUUGAUGAAUUAAUUUGGGUUUAAAUCCACUUUCCAAAAUUCAUAAAAUUAAAUAGAAAUUAAAUCUUUGGGCACAAGAACGAAAGAAGUGUUCUUGUUCAAAAUCCUGCAUACCUUAAUCUUUGAAAUUGGAUGAACUUUAGUGCUUGAGACUUUAUCCACACUUGAAAUAAAUAAUUCUUGAAGCCCACACUAUAAGGAACUUGGUUCUUGAAGAAAUUUUAAAGAUUUAUGGAUGAUUCUUGGAAGAUUUAUGUUCUUGAUAUAACCCUAGAUAUAUUAUCUCAAGAGAAUUGGAAGAGAAAAUGAUAGAAUUAGGGCUUGGAUGGGAUUCUCAUAUUUAUAGAGGCCUCCAAAAUAUGGGAAAAGACCAAAAUACCCUUGUAAAAACAUCUCUAAAUUGCUGAAAAAAAUAGCUGACGACAUUCGUGAUAGGCCGUCAGACCCGUGAUAGACCGUUACAAAAUGUCAUCACAAAAGGGUCGAAUUUUAUGAUUUUCUACCUAAGGCUGAUGAUAUCAUCAGAAAUGUUGUCAAAAACGUGAUAAAAUCAUUAGAAAUGUCAUCAGAAACAUGAUGACAUCAUAAAAAAUAUUGUCAGAAACGUGACAGGCCAUCAGAAAUGUUGUCAUCCUUUUCUAGAUUAACAUACUGGAGUAAAAUGGGUAUAACUCUUUGCUCCGGUAUCAUAUUUUGGAAAAAUUAGUAUCAUUGGAAAUAUUCUUCAGUUAUCUAUCUUUUGAUAGGCUAUGAGCUCAAAAAUUCCAAGUAUAAUGUGAGAUAUUAUCAUUUGAAUUUGACUAUACCAAUAUCCUUCCCAAGAAUUCAAUCGGUAAGGAAUAUUUUGAUUCACCUAAUCAUUCGGACAUCUUUAUGACCUUAAUACACACCAUCCUUGAUCAAAAAACAACCUAAAACAUUAUAAUUUAUUUUUCAUGAGCUUGAUUUAUGGUUGCACUAUUGGUUAGAGUCUCAGGGUAUUACAGUGUUGUUUACCAUACUUAUAAUCAGAAGGCUACGGGGAAUUUAGGAAUGAUUUACUUUCUUGGUUAUUGUACUUUCAAGCUAUGGAUUCUAAGUUCUUGAACUCUUCUCUGAAUCUUCCUUGGUUCACUCUUCUGAUCAUGUCUUCUCAAUGAUCUAACGUUCAUAGACACUCACCUGUCCUACUCAAGGACAACAUGGAUGGAUCUAGUCCAACUCAUGGGGCACAAACCUGGCCAAGGGUUGCAGCUUCUAGUUUUCCCUAUGGAUUCCCACCAGUCUCCAUUGACCCUAUCUCAAAAGGUGAUACUUAUACUCGAUUACCUCAAAGAGAGAUUACCAAUAUUGAGUUUCAUAAUAUUAAUAAUCUAUUGAACCAAUAGUGAAAACUCUAUCACACCAGUCCUAUCCUAUUAGUAUGGGAAGGAAUGAGGUAAGGUUGGUAAAUGGGUAAGGUAAGGGGGUCGCGAUCUUCUGAACAAAAGGGGAGGCCACCAGUAUACUGGUAAAUGGGCUAAAAAGAAAGAGUUGGAUAAUUCCUAACUCCUAUUCUAUGUCUUUAGUUCCCUACUCAAAUUAAAUUGGGAGGUAGGUAUUUUCAAAUUGAUAAAUUCUUCUAGGGAAUAAGGUGCCCAAUCUCUGCCUAAUGGGGGCCCAUUCUGCAUCAUCCUAUUUUCUUUAUAAAUUUUAUGGUUGGUUACAGUAUGGUUGUUGUGAAGAAGAAAGGAAUUAGUAUUUUUGUUAUGGUCAAUUGAGUCUCACGUGAUGGAGAUGUCCCAUAAAGGUUGCCGCUUGGGCAAAUAGAGUAUUGUCUACUACCUCUGGCUCCAGUAGUGGUUGGGAUUGUCUCAAAGUUUUUACUAUUCCUUGAGAGUUUGAGUCAUCUUUUGAUGACGAUGUUGGUACGUUGAAAAUGCUUUUCCUUAUGGUGUGUAUGGCUUACUUGGUUUCGGAUUACCUCUCUUUUGUGACCUCAUUUAUGGUUGUGUAUUUUGGUUUUGGUCCCAAGGCUAUUUUGGACUCUUUUCUUCUUCUAUUUCUACCCUAGUAGGUGACUUUAUGAUUUCCAAAAGAUUUUAUGAGAGUGUGUGGCAUCUGUUGGUAAUAAAGGAGUCUUGUGGAUUUGUUUAACACGAAUGUGGUGGAUUUAGAUGUCAUUUGGGUGAUGGAUUGGUUGCACUCGUACUUUUAAUUAUUAGAUUAUUAGACUUGUUAGGCUCCCUGGUGAGCCAGUUUUGUAAUGGGAUAAUGGUUUCAUUCCUUAGCUAAUAAGGGAAAGGUUAUAUUAUAUCUUAGGACUCAAAGGUUGAUCUUUACUAGCUGUCUUUAUUAUUUAGUCUGUCUUAAAGAUUCUAACUCGGAAGGUCUUUCCUUACAUUCGGUUUUGGUGGUGCAUGAAUUUCCUGGUGUCCUUUUCGAUGACUCUUAUAGUGUCUUUCUAAUGGAGAGGUUGGUUUAGGGUUGGUCUUGUUUCGGAUAUUUGUCCAAAUUUCUAUUCCUUCUUUAUAGAAUGUUUUUGGUAGAGUUAAAGGAUCUUAAGGAAAAAUUAAGAGAUCUCUUAGAUAAAGGUCUCAUCAGUCUUAAUGCUUCCCUGAGGAGUGUUUUUUCUCUUGCAUGCAUAAGGGGAAUGGUUUUCCCUGGGAAUGCAUAGGUUGUUGGUGGGUGACUAAGAAAUUAGGAGAAUCUUUCUUUUAGAAUAGACCGUAUAUGUGUAUUCCAUUCUAUAUGGGGUAUUUUGAUAGUAUUUAAUGGUGGUUAGUAGAUCGUAGGCUAAAACCUAGAUGCUUGAUUUUGAUUAAAGGGAGUAUGAUAAGCUCUAGAAUAGAAAUGCGAGAGUUGUGGUGGUAAAUAGACAAGUUAGAUGAGGUUAAUGAUUUAGGAAAUACAAUAGUGGAAGAGUUAUGCCAUAUAGGAUAAGAGUUAAAGUUUAAUAGGAGGAGGAUAGGGACUAAGGAUCUAGUCAUUCAAUAGGUUAGAUCAUGGAGCUUGCACGUGUCUUUACCCUUAUUCUUGUAUUUUAUUGGUGGCAUGAAAUUGAUUAUUAAAUUCAUGGUUUUGAAUGUGGGUUUUGGCACAACUGAAGGAUUCAACAUGAUUACUUAUUUAAUUGAUUUUCCAUGGAUUAUGAUGCAUUAUUUUAUUUAUGUUUAUUAACAUUAUGGGAUACAUAGGAAUGUUAAAUGGAUUUUGGGGUACUAUUGAUUCUCCAAUUACUUGGUUUUGGUUUUGAAAAUUGUGUGCCCUCAAGACUAUUUAUGAAAUUUCCAUUGAAUAUAAUAUUGUCAUAUGGUUUGACUAUCUUGAAUCUGUGCAUUAUACAUGGUUAAAAGAACAUAAAUUGGUUUAGUUAGAUUCAAAUGAUUUAUGAAAAGGCUUUGGUGGCCAUGGUCUAAUUUUAAAUGGUUUUGGUUUAAUUGGAAACCUUGGAGUCAAUUUGGUCUUAUAGUUCUUGCAUGUCUAUAUUGGUCUCUGGGUAGCAUUUGGUUGAAUGAGGUUCUAGUUAUAGGAGAACCAAGCAUCCCUGGUGUACAUCUUUGAUGGUACCCGUUAGAGCAAAAAAUUAUGUUCGUAGAUGUGAUAGGAUAAGGGUUGGUGGUUAAUCUAAAAUUCCCUUCUAGCGGUGGAAUUCAAGGGAAGGCUGAGGUUGCAUAUUAUGAUGGCACUCUUCUCUCCAGUUAAGAGAGUAAUCUACUAGUGUUGCAUGUAUUCAUUUAGCACAUAUGCCUAAGGUUCACAUUUUUCAUUCACCUUAUUCCUUGGAUAUGAGUCUUGACCUUGUGUUAAGUUACUCAUGGUAUAGGUGGUUGUGUUUCUUUAAGGGUCCAGUCUAAGGACUUUUUUCAUGGUAUAUUUUGGUCAGGAUAAUUCUCCAUUAUGGUCUAGGUGGUGGUUGUAAAGUACUUUAUCCGUUUAGUGUCGUCUCUUAUCACAGGGAUUUUUCCUUGGGAGGAAUGAUUAUUUUUUGUAAUUUGGUUUCUUAAAUGACUCUUCUUGUGCUAGGAUGGUAGUGGUUUAGGAAGUAGGGUGAUAUGUUGAAAUGGGGAAUGUAGAAGUCCCUAAGUGGGGGAGAGUCUAGGGUGACUACUAACAGUUAUGGUUUUUGAAAGUGAGGUAAGGUUGUUGUCUUAGGAAAUGGUUAGGAAAGGAAUUGGUAGUGGAAAAUACUUAUGGAAAUGAUAGAGGUGCUAGAUCUUUUGAUGGAUAGAUCAUACCGCAAAUAUAUAAGUGAUAGGCUUAAAUUUUGUGGUUGAUUGAUAUACCAAUAAGUUAUGUUGGGUACCUGAGAGGUCUGGUAAAGCAUGGUUUUAUGAAUUAUUUUCAUGGCUUAGUAGUUGUAUUAUUUAGGGUGUUCUAUUAUAGGAAGGGGGUUUUGAUUAUAGUGGUUGGGCAUGGUUUUCCCACUCAUGGUUUCCAUAUUAUAAUGAUGAUGGAAGCGAAGUGGUGUUUUGGGAUAGAUAUAAGGAGUAGAGCCCGGUGGCCUAAGUUAACUCAUUUUAGCUUUGGACAGGCUUGAACAUGAAGGUGGUGUAUAGCUAGACUCAAGCUCUCAUAGUGGUGUGUCUACGUAAAUUCAAAGUUUAAUUGGACUUGCCCUUGCAUGAGUCCAUUCGGUCGGUAAUCUAUGAGUUUGUAUUGGGGUAAGGUGUUGAUGGUCCUUGGUUUUUUGGUUCCUUUGGGCGGUAUUGGUAUAUCGGGUUCUUUGUUCUUUUGGGGAAGUCUCGAUGAGGAUAUUGGAUUGGUAAGUUCACCGGUUGUAAACAAAUAAGGUAAGGCUUCAAUAAAGGUUUCGUGGUGGAACUAAAGGUUCAAGAAAGUCAUUUGGUGGCCUUCCAUAAACUUGUUAAAAGAUUAAAACACCUCAAAUAGUCUCUCAAAUACUCUCUUGAAGGUUGGAGGCUAUGGUUUCUUCAUGUGUUCUUCAAAGGUCGAGAUUUAUUCCAUGAAUGUUCUUGUAUAAGGUAUGUACUCUUUCUCUCAUUGUUAGUUCCAACUAAAGGCAUAUGUAUUUUGUUUUAAACAUUGAUUUAUGGAUCAUGAAUGGUGGUUUUUGAAAUAUAUGUUGAUGGUCUUGAUGCAUAUUGUUUGGUAUUGGUUUAAACUAUGUUUUUACUUGUUUUUUUGUAAUGGUUUGCAUAUGUGGUUAUAGGUUGGUUAUGGUUUAACAAAUGGGUCUUUAGACACCUUAAUUAUGGUGGUUUAUGCAUUUGUUUUAGUCUUGGUAAAGGUAUGCCCUCAACAUGUUUGAUAAAAUGCCUCAAGGAAUGUUUUUACUCUAUUAUUGAACUUUCAUUGGAACUGUUGCAUGGUUUGAUUUGGUAAUGGAACCUUAAAUGGAUUUGGAUGGUUUUGCAUGGUUUAAGUGGCUUGAAUAAUAUAAAUUCUUUAAAUGUUAGGCAUGGUCUAAAAUGGUUUGGAAAUGCUUUUAAAUGGUAUAAUGAUGUACAUGGUGUGGAAAGAUUAAAUAGUAAAGACUUGGUGGCUAUAAAAAUGGUUAUGCAUAUGGAGUACAUGGAAUCCCCUAAGUGGUUUAAUAUGGUAAAUGGAAGGGCACUUGGAAGUCUCCUUAAACCAAUAUAUGGUUGGCUAUGGAUAGUACUUGAAAGUAUGGUCGCUAUGACGAUACCACCACUAAAUAGCCUUGGUUAAUAAAUGGUAAGUAGAUUGGUUAGUUUAUGGGCAAUGGUUUUAAUUAGGCAGUAAUGAAGGGAUGUGUAGAAAAUCCAUGAAAGGUAAAGGUCUCGGGAGGACGAAAACUGGAAACUCAUAUUUAUCGAUGUGAGGUUUGGUCAUGAUGACCGUGAGUAUGAUGUCACUCUAGAUUUUAUGGGAUGUACUAGUCAUCCUAAGUUUUCUUCCCUGGUCGUUUGGCUACAUGCACUAGGGCCCUUACAGCAGGGGGAUCUGAAACAAUAUAGCCCAUGGGUGGUUUAGGACGGCAAAGCUACACAGCCCACAUAAAGGUUUUAAAUGCAUGCUAAACCCAGUUCCCUUUCCCAGCAUGGUUAUGUAUAUAUAUAUAUAUGUAUGUAUAUACACACAUAUAUAUAUAUAUAUGGUUGUAUGCAUUGUGGAUGGUUUUACUUGGCUUUGUAAAUUGUAUUAUUUUACCCUUAUCCUGAGUGCAUGUAGUUAUCACCCACUAACCCGUCUUUGAGCCGAUGUAUACUCACGCUAACAGGGACCAGUCAUUCUACUUCUCUUACCUAGUGAUCGGAUUCAAGGACAAUCGAUGUUGGAUUGAAGUGGUGAGCUUCCAUAGUUCAGAAGGCAUUUAUUUCAUGUCAUGGGUUACUUUACAUAUCUCUUGUCUUUCAUAAACUUUGGUUUUUGGCUAUGGUCAGGGGCAUGUCUUGACUAGGUACUCUUUGGUUGGUCUAAAGGCUUUGUAUGGACAACUGUGGACUUGGGUAUGGUAUGGAUGUGUUAUGUUUCAUAUUUAAACGUAGAUUGGCUUAUUAUCAUGAUAUUGGCUUAUGGUUUCCACAUUGGUUUGGAUUGGUUAUUGGGUGGUUGGACUUGGUUGGGUUUGUCUCAGAUAUAGACUUAAGCCUGAGUUAACACAUGUGUGAAUACGCUAUCUUGUUAUAUGUUUGGACAUCAGCCGACUCAAGGUAUGCAUAUGGUGGUUGGGUUGGGUGAAUACUCUUUGGUUGGUCUAGAGGCUUAAUUGUCUACCAUUCCCUUGUCCCCCUAUAACCCCCUUUCAAGGAUGUUAUGGGUUACCUCAUAUUCACUUUCAUCCCUCUUUCGAGGAUGAUAAAGGGUUCUAGAGUUUGGGGUUUUCACCCAUCAAAACCAUUUGGAGAUUUGGCGUUUUUACCUACAAAUUCCAACACAUAAGCUCAAGCAAUGGUGGAAUCUUUACUCAACAACUAACAAUCAUGCAAACACAACAAUACCCACACACAAAUUACAUCUUAGUUCAACAUAAUCCCAAGACUAAAUUACGUAGCUACUCAUGAAGAAAGUAAAGAGAUAUAUACCAUAUGGAUUAUCCAAAGCAUUUAUUCUUCACAAAAAUCCUAAGAAAUUUAGCCUCCAAAGUUGAUUACACACUUGCCCAAUUAAGGUUUCAAGUCUAGAAUUCAAAGAUAUCUUCUAUUGUAAGCAAUACACAAAGAAGAAAGGGCUUUUUCAUAUAUAUGGUUUGGGGUUCGUCUAAAUGCUUUUACAGACUGCCCCUGGGCAUAUACCCAUGUAAUCGCGAUCGCGCAUGUCUGUCCGCGACUGCAUCCAUACAACCGCAGUUGUGUUCCGUGACCGUAUUGUGCUAACCAUCUUGACUGACCAUGACUGUGGAUUUAGGACUGCAGUUACGGUAACUGAGGUUGAUGUAGUCUAGGUCUUCAGCUGCACUCUUCUUUACUUCCUUUUUGUCAGUUUCAGCUCCAAUCCACAUCUUUUCAUCUCCUCAACUCUAUGCCUGCAAAGAGUGGGUAUUAGUGCUUUACUCAUGAAUAUGUCUUAUUCAUUCAUUCAAAACAAGGUAAUGUAUGCAACUAUUGAGUGAGAAUUAGUGGAAAAAUUACCACUCAUCAACACCCCCAACUUAAAACCUUGUUUGUCCUCAAGCAACACCACUCCUUAUUAUGAGACAAUAUCAUAUGUAUUCCAUCAAUCUAUCUGUCAAUGAUCAUGAUGACUCAAACUUGAUUGGUACCACCAAAAGUUUUUCACACACUAACCAAUAGGCUUUUAACGAAUCCCUUCAUCACAAAAUAUAAUAGCAAAGGAUGCCAUAGACUUUGGGGAGCAACCAUGUAACAACUACUAACACUCUAAAAAUGACUCACAUGUUGAUUACAAUCAUGUACUUCCGAUUAUCUCAUUAUAUGGAAGAUGAAAAAAUCACCUACCCCAACUAGUUCACAUGCCUCCUCACUAAAAAAGAGAAAAUUCACACACCUAGUCACCAAGCAUGUAACAAGGAAUUUUAAGUGCAAACACUCACUCUCUCAAGAAAUUCUCCUUGUUGACAAGUGUCAUGCCAUAAGCUUGCCGCUAUUUUCAAUCACCACUACAAUGAUAACACUUGGUUGGGAAUCACAAAGAAUUUUUUGUGCUUGUAAUGUAGGUUUAGGGUUGGGGUAGGAUAUCAUUUGGGAAUAACUUGGCUACACCCCUCCUUAAACAUCACACUUUUUUAAUCCUCCUUUUUGGCUAAGGGCCACUCUUCUUUAAUUUCUUUCUUUUCCUAUGCCUACUAAUAUCUUUUUUUGUGUACCACUUUUUUUUAAUUUCUUUUUCUUGCAACUUACGUGCACUUCAUUCCUUUGAUGGACUCAUUCAUUUUCUAUUUAUUUAAUUUUGUGUUCAAGCUCAUGAGGCAUUUCAUUAACAACUUUGUGGCCUUACACUUUCUUCCAUCAACCUUUACCACCCCCAACUUUGGCUUUUAGCCUAAAUUUCCAUUUUUAAGUUCAAGGAUGGUUUAGGUCACAAGAGAGAUAAAAAGGAAGUGUCACGGGUUGUAAUGUGUUUGCCAAAGAAAGGUACAAAGGCUAAAAGUGGGUACUAAAGAUAAUUAUGCAUAGGUAGCCAUUUAAGCUAGAGUGGGCUUCCAAAAUCACAAGAUGGCCUAUGAUUAUUUUACCAACCAAGCACAAUCAAAAUUUAUCUUUGAAAGACUAGUGGGGCGAGUUCUUAGAUGGUACAAAUACACAUGAGAUGACGACAAUUAACCUCAAACACAUGGCAUGCAAACAUUGUCAGUGGGUUCAAUUGUUCUACCAUAUCGAGAGAAAAAUAGAGUAUUCACUAUUUUUCCAAAGUCAACUUUUUGAGUCAUAGAAAGAAGGAAAAUUUUUGUCAUAAAGUUGCUCACAUUCAUGCCUUCAAAUUUUGCAAAAAUUUUGGACGAAGAGGGUUGUUUUCUUUUGUAUUUGCACCACACAUAAUUUGAUAAUCAUGGAAACCACCAAAACUAUUGUCUCACAUUGCAAAUCAUAGUACCGGCGACCCACCAUAUGGUUACUCAGACUUCACCAAUUGAUAAUAAUGCAAUCCCAAAUUAUCAAUGCUACAAGUACUCAGACUUCCCUUGCAUUUUUUGGCCUUGGUGCCACAGUUAUGCAGACUUCCCCUUCACCCAUGGUUAAUAACUCAAUCGUAGUGGAACUAAAAUAAGAUGACAAAUGAAGAACAAAAUAUCUAAUCCAUGCAAAUGUGGUCAUCAUCAGAAUGCCCGAUUAUUACAAACCCAAAUAAAAAUAAAGAUAAGAAUUAUCCAAAAUAGCAAAAAAAUAUGCAGAAAUAUCAAUAAUACAGGCCCGAAUUAAAUUAAUAAGACUAUGGAGACACCCCCAACUAAAAAUAUAGUAGUCUCACCACUGUAUAAAUAAUCAAUGGUAAAAGAGAUAAGGGUGCUCCCUGAAACCCCAUCAAGGGCUGCUAUCACUGUUGGACUUUGCAUCACCACUAUCUUCCUCAAGAUCGGACCACUUGGCUGGGGCCUCAUUGUCAUUGUGCACCCUAACAGAAGGAAGUCUAUCUCGAGGCCUUAGAACCUUCCAUAGGCCCUUCACACUCUUCCAUAUCCUAAUAAAAAACUCAUUUCUCUUCUUCUUCCUUGCAACCAUUUUUUCAUGUGCAAUUCGAAGGUCUUGGUGUGUCUCCGCCAAAGAGGAGUACGCCUUUUCAAGAUUAUCAAUGGUAGCUUUUGGCUUCUUUUGGUCCUCCUUAUACUUCUCAUAAUCGGUACAUGACAUAUAAGAAUGAUGCAAGGUGGACAGUUCUCCCAGUCCUUGGGGAAAACUAGACACAAGCUCUUUGAUGGCUGCAAUAAUUACCCCAAUCUCCUCAAGAGGUCCUUUGGUGGUUGGCCUAUGAGACUUAGGCUUGCUGUAUGCCUACUUUUCCACGUCGAUGUUUCUUUUCUUACUUUUUCUGGGUGUGCCCUCACCUCUAAUCCUUAAGGGGUAAAUGGGAGCAUUAGGGUGCACCCAUGUAUCACUGGCAUACUCUUCCAGCCCUGCUCUUUUGCAAAGCUCUAUAAUAAAAGAGGGAAAGAAUAAAUGUAUACCUCCUUGAUCCUUGAAAUGAUCUAUUUCAUUAACCUCAAGUUGAACAACAUCUAGAGGGAUGCCAUCUAGAAUACAUGCAACAAACCUAGUAUGUAAUUUGGGGACUAUUGUCAUGUGGGUGCAAGGAGAAACUCAGCUACAAAUGAUGUGCAACCAUAUUCGAGCAUUAGAAGUGAAGUCGUUCAUGGAAAUAUUGCUUUUAUUCUUAGUCCACGAGACUUUCUUUUUGGGGCAUAGUCGUUGUGCUAACCAACUCCCCGAUUUACACCCUUUUGCUUCAAAGUCACUCAUGUCAGUAUGCUUGAACCCAUAAACAUCAUUGAUUUAUUUAGCCCCAACUUUCACCGUCUUUCCUCGAAUCUUGAUAGUCACAUUGAGUGGGUCUAAUAAAGAGACUUCACUAAUGUUUGCAUAAAAUUCACAGAUCCAUUACCCAUUUGCAAUGCAUGGAUCCAGGGCAAAGUACCCCCACCCUAUGGCUUCAAGUUUGUCAUAUAGUACUGGUAGCUUCUUUGGCACAUUUUCCAAGUAAAUUCCUCUUAGGCAGCAGCUUUGUCCUCAGAAGAUCCCUAUAGUAAAGAGUGUGGAACUCAGGUACCAUAAACUGGAUGUGAUCAUACAUAUCCAUGAUGUUGUCCUGAAAGCACUAAUCACACAUUAUAUCUGUCGAUGAUAUUUUAAGCAUGCAAAGUGUGCUAUAUUGUUUACUAGAGUUCAUUGGACUAGGUUCUUGGUGUUUCUUGACUAAAAAUUAGAAAUGAAGGAUUUUUGGCAUGGGAGGAAGCUGUCCUCAGUUACUGGAAUCACGAGUCAGGACCGUGUUUGCAUUACUGCCAUCGCGGUCUAUAACCGUAGUCACGCUACCUGCUGUUGAUUCUGUAUUAGCUCUGCAUGUUCAGAUUUCUUUCAAAUUUAGGCUACUAGUAUGUUCUACAAUGUGGAAGCAUACGAAGAUCAUUGGAACAAUACUAACAAGUGUGUGAAUGCCCUUUAGAAAGCAAAUAUAAAUAUUGAAAGUUCAUUAGAGCAUUUUAUCAAACACUUGGUAUGCAUAUCUCAUUUGUCUACCUAUUUUACACAUCAUUGGGUACUCAUGAUUUCCCUCACUUAUGUGCACACCGUAAUCAAAUAGCCAUCAUCACACCAAUACCAAGUAUGACAACAUGGAAAUCAUAACAAUCAAAAUUUUAGGCCCUUCUUAAUAAUGAAUUCCAUGGCCUAUUUUCACAAGUAAAGGGAUUGAUUCAGGUCACCUAUCAGAUUUUUGAUGCAACAUAAUCUAAGAAUUUUGUUUGAGAGCUCACAAACUUGGCCAGAAAUUAUCCCAAAUUAGAGAGUACAAUCUUAAAAGAGAGUGUGAGGGAAAUGAGGGAAACUAGGGGCUAAAUGGUUGAAAUGGACACAACCACGGUCAAGGGACUGCAAUUGCAGACACUCGCGUGACCACAAUAGUGCUUGGGGACCGCAAUUGCGGUAACCAAGAGCAAUUUUGCUCCCCUAUUUUCCCUUGUUCAGUAUUUUACUCAAUUUUUGACACAUUUCUCCCCUGUUCAGCUUAUCCAAUGCACUCCAUAGUUCCAAAAGUGCAUAGGUUAUUCAUAUGAAAAGAUAAUAUUUACCCUACAAAAACAUAACAAAAAAGGAUACGAGCCACUCUUGCAGCAUUUAUGGUUUGCCUCCCACCUAGCACCUUUGUUAUCAUCGUGGCACGACGUGUUCCUUCCUUUAUUUUUAAGGUAGGUCCUCGAAAUCCUCUUUAUUCAUGUUCUCAUUUUCAACAUCCACCAUGGGUACUACUUGCAACAACGCGGUUUGCUUCUUUGAAUUGCAGAUUUUGAAAGAGACCUCAUCCUCUAUCACUCUAAAUUCCAUCUCCCCCAACUCUAGAUCAACAAUGUCUCUCCCGGUGGCUAAGAAAGGAUGACCAGGAAUGAUAGGAACCUCUUGGUCCAUUUCAUUAUCCAAUACCAUAAAAUUCGCAGGGAGAAUGAACUUGUCCACUUUCACAAGGAUAUCAAACUAUAUACCCACCGACCUUUUUAUAGACCGGUCCGCCAUCAAGAGUUACAUAGAGGUUGGCGUUGGGGUAUCCAGACCAAGUUUCUUAUAUAUGACAAAAGUCAUUGAGUUGAUGCUCGCACCAAGGUCAGAUAAAGCUUUUACAAAUUCAUGCAUCUCACUUGUGCAAGGAAUAGUGAAUGCUCCGGGGUCAGCAUUGUUUUCCACAACCUUGCUAUCCAUAAAAGUGCUACAUCCACGAGUGACCUUAAUAGUAUUACCUUUAACAAGUUUAUUCUUGGACAUCAACUUAGCAUAUCCCGGGAUCUCUUGGAUAGCUUCAAGCAACGGGAUUAUUAUUGAUAGGUUGCUAAAUUUGGCCAUGAGCUUCCUCAAUGUGUCAUUCUCCUCUUUUUUAUAGAAACAUUGAGGAAAUAGGGGAGGAACUUGGUUGGUUGUUCUUGCUUCAACUUGUGGCCUUUCAACUUCAACCACCUCCUCAUCGCUUUCAUUGACCUCUUUCUCAUCAUUUGCCUCUCUUCUUUGAGGUAUCACCUUCUUUGCUUUGUCCAUGGUCAUAUUUUCUCUUAUGUAUCCUCUAAAAGGUUACUAAAGUGCUCUUCCACUCAUUUUGACAAUUGCAAGAACUUGGGCGUCGUUCUAUGGGUUAGCAAUUGUGUCACUCGGAAGUCCACCUCUAUGUCUAGUAUUUAAUUGCAUGGAUAUUUUCCCCACUUGAGUCUUUAAUUGCUUGAUAGAGGCGGAGUGAGACACCACCAUUUGAGAGAGUUGGUAGAAAUCACCCUUCAACUCAUAUACUAUCUUGUCCAUGCCUUCUACUGUAAUACCCUGGGAAAUUUUCGUUGAAAUUUUGUGCGUAAACAUGUUGGGUUCUAUGCUCUAGAAUGAAUUAUAAAUAUUCGUGUAGAAUGUCUUAGAUUUUGACCCACCAUUGCGUAGAGUAUCGAAUAAUCUUUCCAACGAUAUGUGGAUCAUCCAAAAUGGACACCCGAGCGACGAAUUAUGAACAUUCCAAUCAAACCGUGAAUAGUAGUGAACAGUAAAAUAUGCAGGAAAAAGUACUAAGUCCUGGCGUAUUUUUGCUCCAACUUUAAAUGAUCAUAACUCCUUGUACAUAAUUAUCUGGGUGAUCUACUAUAUAUCAACGGAAAUCUAUGUGUGUCCUCUUUCCAAUAAAAUUGGUUUCAUCCAAUUUGUCUAUCGGAUCAAAAAGUUAUGGUCGAACUACUUCAGCCUAUCAAAAGCAAAUUUUUGGGUAAACUUCAAAUGAUCAUAACUCCUCAUACACAAUGAUCUGGGUGAGAUACUACAUAUCAAUGAAAAUAUAUGAGAGUCCUCUUUCUAAUGAAAUUAAUUUCAUCUAAUUUGGAUAGCGAAGUAAAACGUUAUGGUUGAUCUACUUCAAACUAUCAAAACAGUCCACCAAAGGAUAGAUUCGAGAAAUAUUUGAUUUUAGGGGUGUUUUGGUCAUUCCCCCUCACCGAAAAUCCAUCUAAACCCUAUAUUAAAGCCUAUUAGAAGCAUUAUAUGUUAUAUUUCAUCAAAUUCCCUCAAAAAGAAAACCCUAAGCUCCUACAUCCAACUUCAAGAACCUCCAAAGUUCACCAUUAAUUCUGUAAAUUUAUUCAAGAUUCCAAGUUCCUAGUUCAAGAACUCCAAGAACCAUCAUUCAAACGCACGAUUAACAUCUCAAAAAUGAGUAUCGAUCUAAAGUUCAUCAUUCAAGGUAUGUGGGGUUUUUCAACAAGAACUCUCUUUCAUUCUUGUGCCCAAAAGUAAUUUUCUUUACAAAGGCAUGAUUUUUAUUUGAUUUUUACAAAUUUGAAGCAUGAACCCAUAUCUUAUGAUGAUUAUUAUGAAAUCUUGAUGUUUAUGAUUUUGAAAGAUGAAUUUACAUGUGUGGAGAUAUAAAGCAUGAAUCUUGAACGAUAUUUAUCAUGAUUUUGAUAGUUGGGUCAUAAAUCCCCAUUGGGAAUUGUAUUUUUUUUGAGAAAGUGUGUGUUAUAAGCAUGUUGAUGUUGAAUAUUUGAGAUAUUUUGAAUGAUUUGACCUUUUGGUCUUAAUGGAGUUGUUUUGAACUCGAGUGUGAAAGAAAUCCACAACGUGGUUGGUUUUGAUAGAUGGGAAUCAUGAUGGCUCCCGAUGUAUAUUUAUAUAUUACUGAAAUUGUUUUGUUAUGGAUUGUCUUUGAAAUAAUCUGAGCUAAUUCUGGAAGAAAUCUUCAGCAUCGAGUGGGAGGUAUAAAGUGACCUUACUUUUCUAGAACUACGUUCCCUCGUAGGAGUGAGCCUGAGGCUGAUUUAUAUAGUGAUCACUAGUUUGUGUGGAUUUGAUAUCAAUAGUCCUACUCCGAUGGCAAGGAUAGGACAGCUCUCCACAACGUGGGUUGUAAGUUGGACUCCAUCUAGCUCAUAUGGUUUAUGUCGGUUAUAGGAUCUCCCAGUGUGUGUGUGUUUCCUUAUGUCUAUGUUGAAUGGUGAACUGAUUUGAAAGUGGAACUGUGAAAGUUAUUCUUUCGAAAGAUUUAAAUGAUGUUUAUAUUAUGAGAAUUGAUAUUCUUGAUAAACUGAAAGUGAUUGACAAAUUAUAUGAUGACUCACCGGCUUGCUGGUUUUAUUGAUUUUCCUAGAGGCUUGUCAGACUAGUGUAGAUGUUGGGAGUUGACUAAUAAGUCGUAUUUUAUUAUCUUUUUAAAAAAAAAUUAUUCUUGGAUGAUGAUUACUCUGUUGAUAUUUGAGGGUUAUUUAUGGAAACCCCAUUGAUUUGUGUUGAACUGAAUGAAAAUGGCUCAAAGGGUUAGCUUGGGGCUACUCGUAGCCUCAAGCACCGUGUGAUGCUCUGGGACCCAUUUUUUGGGGCGUUACAAACUUGGUAUCAGAGCCUAAGGUUUUAAGGUGUCGUAGGGAGUCUAGAAAGCCGCGUUAAGUAGAGUUUUGAUCAUCGGUGUGUAGCGCGCCACAUCUAUGAGCAAGAAGCUACAAGAUAUUUUAGGAAAAAGUGUGAUUCUUUCUUUCAGAAGUCUAUCGUGCUUAAAGUGUCUCUCUCUGCUAUUGAUUCGUGCUGUCCUCUUUCAGAAAUAUGCCUCCACAUCGAGCGAGAAGAAAUAAUGAUGGUUUGGGAAUUCUGUGUCACCCAAGAGUCAUUUUAUCUCUUACCUCAAAGCUAGAAAUCUUAUUUCCAAGGGGUGUAUUUUCCAUUUGGUUAGAGUCUAAGACACUAAGUCUGAGACUCCAACUCUCCAGUCUAUUAAUGUCGUCAAUGAGCUUUCCGAUGUCUUUCCAGAUGAUCUCUCAAGGAUACCUCCUGAUAGAUAGAUAGAGUUUGAGAUUGAUCUUCUUCUCGAUACUCAGCCCAUUUCUAUUCUUCCUUACCGUAUGGCCCCUGCAGAACUUAAGGAGUUGAAAGAUCAACUCAAAGAUCUACUAGAUAAGGGUUUCAUAAGGCCCAGUAUUUUUUCUUAGGGUGCUUUUGUGUUGUCUAUGAGAAAGAAAGAUAGCUCUUUACGUAUGUGCAUUGAUUACCGCCAACUGAAUAAAGUCACCAUAAAAAAUAAGUACCCCCUUUCGAGAAUAGAUGAUCUGUUUGACCAAUUGCAUGGUGCAAGUUAUUUCUCAAAGAUAGACCUUCGUUCUGGCUAUUAUCAACUCAAAGUUAGGGAGUCUGACAUCCCAAAAACCACUUUCUGAACUCGUUAUGGCCAUUUCAAGUUUCUUGUUAUGUCUUUCGGGUUAACUAAUGCCCCAGCAUCUUUCAUGGACCUUAUGAAUCGAGUGUUCAGACCAUAUCUGAAUAUGUUUGUCAUAGUGUUCAUUGAUGAUAUACUGGUGUACUCUCAUAGUGAGGAUGAACAUUCUGAACAUCUUCGAACUGUCUUGCAAACCCUUAGAGAUCACAAGUUGUUUUCCAAGUUCAGUAAGUGUGAGUUUUGGCUAAGGUCAAUUGCUUUUCUGGGUCAUAUCAUUUCUUCCGAGGGUAUUAGAGUUGAUCCCCAAAAGAUUGAAGCUAUUAGAAAUUGGGCUGGACUUAUUUAUCUAACUGAUAUCCAAAGUUUCUUAGAUUUAUCUGGCUAUUACCACUGUUUUAUUGAGGGUUUCUCCUCUAUAGCUUUUCCUAUGACUCAGUUGACCCAAAAGAAAGUGAAGUUCUUGUGGUCCGAAUCUUAUGAGAAGAGGUUUUAAGAGUUGAAGACUCGACUCACUUCAGCCCCUAUUUUGACUUUGCCUGAUGGUGUUUGUGGUGUACUGUGAUGCUUUGAGAGUUGGGUUGGAUUGCGUAUUGAUGUAGAAGGGUAAGGGAUAGCUUAUGCUUCUAGACAGUUGAAACCCCAUGAGAAAAAUUACCCCACCCAUGACCUUGAGUUGGCUGCUGUUGUGUUUGCUUUGAAAAUCUGGAGACACUAUUUAUAUGGUGCCCAUAUUGAUAUUUUCACUGAUCAUAAGAGUCUGCAGUAUGUGCUUACCCAGAGAGAAUUGAAUCUUAGGCAGAGACGAUGGUUAGAAUUAUUAAAGGACUAUGAUAUGAGUGUGUUGUACCAUCCGAGCAAGGCAAUUGUUAUGGCAGAUGCCCUAAGUAGAGUGUCCAUGGGUUGUGUUUCACAUGUGGUAGAAGGUAAGAAAGAGUUGGCUCGUGAUGUACAUCGUUUGGCUAGAUUGGGGGUUAGGUUGUUUGACUCUGCUGAAGGUAGUAUAGGGGUUCAGAGUAGUUCCGAAUCCUCCUUGAUUUCGAAAGUGAAGGAAAAGCAAUACUUAGAUGCUAGUUUGGUCAGACUGAAGGAGUCAGUCAAGGACCAAAAAGUANNNNNNNNNNNNNNNNNNNNNNNNNNNNNNNNNNNNNNNNNNNNNNNNNNNNNNNNNNNNNNNNNNNNNNNNNNNNNNNNNNNNNNNNNNNNNNNNNNNNNNNNNNNNNNNNNNNNNNNNNNNNNNNNNNNNNNNNNNNNNNNNNNNNNNNNNNNNNNNNNNNNNNNNNNNNNNNNNNNNNNNNNNNNNNNNNNNNNNNNNNNNNNNNNNNNNNNNNNNNNNNNNNNNNNNNNNNNNNNNNNNNNNNNNNNNNNNNNNNNNNNNNNNNNNNNNNNNNNNNNNNNNNNNNNNNNNNNNNNNNNNNNNNNNNNNNNNNNNNNNNNNNNNNNNNNNAGACUGCAUGGAGUUCCCUUGUCUAUCAUUUCGGAUAGGGGUACUCAGUUCACUUCACAAUUUUGGAAAGCUUUUUAGAAGGGUCUUGGUACCCAAAUGCUUUUGAGUUCUGCUUUUUAUCCGCAGAACGAUGGUCAGGCUGAGCAUACCAUUCAGACCUUAGAGGAUAUGUUGAGAGCUUGUGCUCUUGACUUUAAGGGAAGUUGGGAUGAUCACUUACCAUUGAUAGAGUUUUCUUACAAUAACAGUUUCCACUCUAGUAUUGGCAUGGCUCCGUUUGAAGCCUUAUAUGGGAGAAAGUGUAGAUCACCCAUAGGUUGGUUCGAGGUGGGUGAAGCGGCUGUGAGUGGUCCUGAUUCAGUAUUUGAGUCUAUGAAAAAAUUUAAGUUGAUUAGGGAAAGGUUAAAAACUGCGCAGAGUCGUCAAAAGUCAUAUACGGAUGUUAAAAGGAGAUACCUUGAGUUUGAAUUUGGUGACCUAGUCUAUCUGAAAAUUUCACCCAUGAGGGGGGUGAAGAGAUUCAAAAAGAAGGGGAAGCUUAGUCCCCGUUAUGUUGGUCCUUACAAAAUUCUUAGCCGUGUUGGUAAGUUAGCUUAUGAGGUCGAGUUUCCAUCCGAGUUAUCUUCUGUUCAUCCAAUAUUCCAUGUUUCCAUGCUUAGAAAGCAUAUUAGUGAUGCUAUGGUACUGGAUUCCUCUGUGAGUGCUGACAUUCAAGAUAAUCUUUCUUUUGAUGAGAUUCCUGUUGAGAUUCUUGAUUUUAGUGUCCGAAGACUAAGGAACAAAGAAGUUCCCUUGGUCAAGGUAUUGUGGCGAAACCAAUCUGUUGAGGGUGUAACUUGGGAAGUUGAGGCAGAUAUGCNNNNNNNNNNNNNNNNNNNNNNNNNNNNNNNNNNNNNNNNNNNNNNNNNNNNNNNNNNNNNNNNNNNNNNNNNNNNNNNNNNNNNNNNNNNNNNNNNNNNNNNNNNNNNNNNNNNNNNNNNNNNNNNNNNNNNNNNNNNNNNNNNNNNNNNNNNNNNNNNNNNNNNNNNNNNNNNNNNNNNNNNNNNNNNNNNNNNNNNNNNNNNNNNNNCAGCAGUUCAGCUGUCAUUUAUUAUGUGUUCAGCUGUAGUUUCUUGAAUUUAUGCAUUCUAUGUUGCAUUCGGAGUGAGAAACGAUGUGGUGAUGAGUCUAACAAAUGGUUUCAGCUGUAUGCUCUAUUCCCUAUCUAAUCUUGGCAUGUCUAGUGUCAUUCGAGGAUGAAUGUUUCCAAGGGGGGAUGAUGUAAUACCUUGGGAAAUUUUUUGUUGAAAUUUUAUCCGUAAACGUGUUAGGUUCUAUUCUCUAGAAUUAAUUACAAAUUUUUCGUGCAGAAUGUCUUAGAUUUUGACCCACCAUUGCGUAGAGUAUCGAAUAAUAUUUCCAACGAUAUGUGGAUCAUCCAAACCGGACACCCGAGCGACGAGUUAUGAACAUUUUGAUCGAAUCAUGAAUAUAGUAAACAGUAAAACGUGCAGGAAAAAGUACUGAGGCCUUGCGUAUUUUUGCUCUAAAUUUAAACGAUCAUAACUCCUUGUACAUAAUGAUCUGGGGGAUCUACUAAAUAUCAAUGGAAAGCUCUGUGAGUCCUGUUUCCAAUGAAAUUGGUUUCAUCCAAUUUGUCUAUUGGAGCCAAAAGUUAUGGUCUAUCUACUUCAGUCUAUCAAAAGCAAAUUUGUGGGUCAACUUCACGUGAUCAUAACUCCUUGUACACAAUGAUCUAUGUGAGAUACUAUAUAUCAAUGAACAGAUAUGAGAGUCCUCUUUCUAAUGAAAUUAGUUUCAUCCAAUUUGGAUAUCGGAGUAAAACGUUAUGGUUGAUCUACUUCAAACUAUCAAAACAAUCCACCAAAGGACAGAUUUGAGAAUUAUUUGAUUUUUAGGGGCGUUUUAGUCAUUCCCCCUCACCCAAAAUCCAACCAAACCCUAUAUUAAAUCCUAUUAGAAGCAUUAUAUGUUAUAUUUCAUCAAAUUCCCUCAAAAAGAAAACCUUAAGCUCCUACAUCCAACUUCAAGAACCUCAAAAGUUCACAAUUAAUUCUGCAAAUUUAUUCAAGAACUCUCUUUCGUUCUUGUGCCCAAAAGUAAUUUUCUAUACAAAGGCAUGAUUUUUAUUUAAUUUUUUAUGAAUUUGAAGUAUGAACCCAUAUCUUAUGAUGAUUAUUAUGAAAUCUUGAUGCUUAUGAUUUUGAAAGAUGAAUUUAUAUGUGUGCAGAUAUAAAGCAUGAAUCUUGAAUGAGAUUUAUCAUGAUUUUGAUAUUUGGGUCGUGAAUCCCCAUUGGAAAUUGUGUUUUUUGAGAAAGUGUGUGUUAUAAGCAUGUUGAUGUUGAAUAUUUGAGAUAUUUUAAAUGAUUUGACCUUUUGGUCUUAAGGGAUUUAUUUUGAACUCGAGUGUGAAAGAAAUCCACAACNNNNNNNNNNNNNNNNNNNNNNNNNNNNNNNNNNNNNNNNNNNNNNNNNNNNNNNNNNNNNNNNNNNNNNNNNNNNNNNNNNNNNNNNNNNNCCCAACGUGGGUUGUACGUUGGACUCCAUGUAGCUCACAUGGUUUAUGUCGGUUAUAGGAUCUCCCAGUGUAUGUGUGUUUCCUUGUGUCUAUGAUGAAUGGUGAAGUGAUUUGAAUGUGGAAUUAUGAAAUUAUUCUUUCAAAAGAUUUAAAUGAUAUUUACACUAUGAGAAUUGAUAUUCUUGAUGAACUGAAAGUGAUUGACAAAUUAUAUGAUGGCUCACAUAUGUUAUUGUACUUAUUUCAUCCUCUCAUGAUUAUGAUGAUUUUCUUCGGGCUAUGUGGUCUUUCAUACAUCCUACAUAUUUCUUAUAAAUAUUUAUGAUGAUGAUUACUCGGUUCCUUUCCAUGGUACUGACCCACAUCUUCGGAUGUGAGCUGCAUUUUCUCAAAAUGUAGGUUCAGGUGCUCAGUUCCAGGUUCGACAGUGAUUCUUCGGGCAUGCUAUUCUACAUCCUCUGUUGUGGUGAGUCCUCAUGUUCCGAGGACGUGAUGUCUGAUGUUGGUUUCACAGAAUUAUUUACAUUUGAUAACUGAGUAUUAGCCAGUUAGGGCAUGUCUCAAUGGCUCCCUAGUUUUAUUGAUUUUCUUAGAGGCUUGUCAGGCUAGUAUAGAUGUUGGGAGUUGACUAAUAAGUCGUAUUUUGUUAUCUUUCUGAAAUUCUUUUAUUCUUGGAUGAUGAUUACUCUAUUGAUAUUUGGGGGUUAUUUAUGGAAACCCCAUUGAUUUGUGUUGAACUAAAUGAAAAUGGCUCAAAGGGUUAACUUGGGGCUACUCGUAGCCUCAAGUACCAGGUGACGCUCCGGGACCUGUUUUUCGGGGCGUUACAUCUACUCUAUUUAAGAUCCUUGCUAACAUAUCCUUGGUAUUAAACUUUUUGGGAACAAUGGCACUAGAUUCCUUGGAUUUAGAUCGACAUGAGGAGGGACAUAAUGGUCAUAGUCACGAUCACAAUCUCUCUAAUCCCACUCCCGGUCACGGUCCAUCCAACCCUUGUUCCUACAUUGCCUUUGAUAUAUGGGGCGAGAACCUCCCAAGUAGCUUGCCAAGUACUGGAUUUCUUCAUCCAACUUCUUUGCCUCUUCAUCAUCUUCAUAAGAUUUUGAUGCUAUGGUGUUUACCGCUUUCGUGGGUGCACCCAUAACAUUCUUCGUCAAGAGCUCAAAUUGGGUCAUCAUUUUGGCCAUGUUCUCCUCCGUUUCUUUUUCUCAUUUUCUUUGUUCAUUAGCCAUCAUGGAGGUAGUAGGAAGGGUUUUGGAAGCUUCGGUAUCUCAAGUAUGCUAACCCCAAUUUUUUUUUGAUACUUCUCCUAUCAAUCGUAUGGCCGCAAGAUUAUGAAAUCUCACUAUAGAGUCGUCCACCGCAUUAUCCACCACCGUUUUUUCAAUAGAUCAAGAGCCCAAUAGAAAAUCUCGAGGAACAUCUUUUUUGGGACCUCAUGAUUUGGGCAUUGGGCUAACUUUCCAGUAAACCUCUCCCAAGCUUCAAAUAAUGGUUCUCCAUUCAUUUAUCGAAAGUUCACAAUCUCAUCCCGCAUUUGAAGCAUUCUUUGUGGUGGGAAGUAUCUAUCAAGAAAUACCAUGUUAAGCUCUUCCCAUGAUGUAAUUGAGCCAGGUGGAAGUGAGCGAAGCCAUAAAACCACCUAGCAUGUCAGUGAGAAUAGGAAAAGUCAAAGCCGGAUGGAUUCUUGUGUAAUAUGUGCUAUGUUAAAUGGCGCACAAACUUCCACAAAGUUCUUCAAAUGGACAUUUGGGUCCUCAUAUGCUUGACCCCCAUACAACCCUUUUCAUUUUCCACGUGUGAAGCACAAUGCUAGUCACAUGAAACACUCCAUUCCUGUUGGUUGGUGGAAUGCGAAUUGCGCUUGUUUGUCCCGCUUUAUUUAAUUGGCCUUCAUAAUCAAGAGGGGCAUCGAGGGGGGGCCAUAUUGCUUUCGUUAUCGCUCAUUUCUCCGUUUACACUUUGAUUGCCUACAAAAGAUUCAAAAAUAACAAAUAAAGUAAAUUAUACCACUUCGGGUAUUCCCAAGUAAGAAUGACACCACACAAGCAAAAUCUAUAUUUCACUCCCUGACAAUGGCGUUAUUUUGAUAAUGCUCAACUCACUUCCAUAAUUGAGGAGUGAGACGGUCGUUGUCACGUAACCUAAUUUGAAUUGGGGUCGAAUCUCAAGGAGCAAAUAACAGACUUCAAACACUAUGGGUGCUCAAAUUACUAUGAGAUUAUCCGGAAUGCUAACAAAAAUGAUAUGUAAAAUAAAAUGGGGGAUUAGUUUGGGAACUUUUUGUACGAUCUUUAGCAAAUAAUCAGGAGAUAACACUUUUGUCUUAAGCAACAAAGUUGGGGGAAAUCUUGGAAUUAUGUCUACCUAAAGGUAAAAGCAUGUAGGUUAAUGAUGGUUUAGCAUGAAAUUUAGUUGUUGACUAAGGGAUAGGCUAUGUCGAAGGUCAUUGUGGUCAAUCUUUCGAUAAAACCACAAUGAUUUCAUCCAUUGGCUCUUUCAAGCACCUAACAAGUGUGAAAUUCAUAAUCACCCAAAACCUCAAUUAAGCGUCCCUAUUUCUAAGAUAAUGCUCUUGACAUGAUUUGCACUCUUAAUACACUUAUUUCUAAGAUUGCAAAAGGGAGAAAACCAUAGGUUUAAUUGUCCAUCAUUGUCUUGUACCCGUAUAACCCUCUUUCAAGGAUGUUAUAGGUUACCUCAUAUUCACCUUCGUCCCUUUUUUGAGGAUGAUAAAGGGUUUCUAAAGUUUGGAGUUUUCACCCAUCAAACCCAUUUGGAGAUUUGGGUCUUUAACCCAUCAAACUCCAACUCAUAAGCUCAAGCAAUGGUGGAAUCCUUACUCAAAAACUAACAAUCAUGCAAACACAUCAAUACCUAUACACAGAUUACAGUCUAGUUCAACAUAAUCCCAAGACUAAAUUACUUAGCUACUCAUGAAGAAAGUAAAGAUAGAUAUACCAUAAGGAUUAUCCAAAGUGUUCAUUUUUCAUACAAAUCCUAAGAACUUUAGCCUCCAAAGUUGAUUACACACUUUUCCAAUUAGGGUUUCAAGUCUAGAAUUCAAAGAUACUUCUAAGGUAAGGAAUACCCAAAGAAGAAAGGGUUUUUUUUUAUAUAUGGUUUGGGAUUUGUUUAAGUUGUUUUACAGAUCUUCCCCUAGCCAUAUACCCGCAUGACCGCAAUUACGCAUGUCUGUCCACAACCGCAUCCGCACGACAGCAGUUGUGUGCCGCGAUGGCAUUGUGUUAACUGACCGCGACUACAGAUUGAUGACCACGGUUGCGGUAACCGAGGCUGAUGUAGUCCAGGUCUUCAGUUGCACUCUUCUUUGCUUCUUUUUAUAUCAUUUUUAACUCUAAUCCACACCUUUUAAUCUCCUCAACUCUAUGCCUGCAAAGAGUGGAUAUUAGUGCAUUUACUCAUGAAUAUGUCUCAUUGAUUCAUUCGAAACAAGGUAAUAUACACGAAUGUUGAGUGAGAAUGAGUGGUAAAAUCACCACUCAUCAACCAACCACAUGCAUACAAACCAUAUAUACAUACAUAUAUAUAUACAUAUAUAAUUAUGCUGGGAAAGGGAAUCGGGUUUAGCAUGACUUUAAAACCAUUAACCUAGGUAUGUGUAGCUUAACUAUCAUAAAAUCACCCAUGGGCUAUAUGGGUCUAGUGUAACCCCCUGAAUGGGCCCCGAUGCAUUUAGGCGCACGAACCAUAGAUACCAUAAGAGUAAGGGAUUCCCAAGUACCCUUCGCUCUCGACGAUACAUAUGUACAAUUUACUUUGAGGAUUCCCGUGUACCUAAUAGUAUCAUGUAUGGUUUCUAUGACCGACACUCAUGUCAGCAAAACUAAGUUUCCAUUUUUUGUCCACCUUCAUGAUUAUCUAUCACACCCUGCCAUUUUUGCCAAAUUUAAACCAUUAUCAUCCAACUAAACCAUUAUUCCAUUAUUAUUAACCAAGGCUAAAUGUAGUGGUAUCUUCAUAGCAAUUAUAGCUUGCAAGCAAUGUCCUUAGACAACCUCUAUAUGUAAAGGGAUUCUCAUGUACCCAUAGAUUACAUUAUCAAGUUUACUUGGAGGAUUCCCUUGUACCCCACAAGUGUUCCAUUAUCAAGUUUGCUUAAGGGAUUCCCUUGUACCCCACAAGUAUUCAUUAUCAUGUUUACUUGGGGGAUUCCAUUGUACCCCACAAGGAAGUUUAUUUGACCAUAACCAUGACCACCAAAUCUUAUCAUUUAAUCAUUCCAAACCAUUUAAACCAUUCUUACAAUUUAGGGUUACAUUACCAAAUCAUACCAUUCAAUAGUUCCAUUAAAAGUCCAAUAAUAUAGUAAAAGCAUUAUCAUAGGCAUUUUAUCAAACAUGUUGGGGGCAUAGUGUUUCAAAAGCCAAUUCCGAUUACCAAUUAACCAUUACAAUGAAACUAAUCAUCCAAACCGCUAUUAAAGUAUGUAAAUACAUAAUUAAAACAUAGGGAAACCAUCACCAAGAAUAUAAUACCAAAACCCCAACAUAUAUUUGAAAACCCCAAAACCAUACAAUAAUCAAAUGAUGAAAACUUGUAUAAAACAUGCCUUUAGUUGGAACUAAGGGAGGGGUACAUGCCUUAGAUUAUGAAUAUUAUGGAGAAAAAUCAUCCGUACAAACCCCAAAUUGAUUCUCUAGAUGAAACCCUAGCUUUCCAUUACCUAAGAUCCUUAGAGAGAAUUAGAGAGAGUUUCUAAGUGUUUUAGAUUAGAAUAAUAAGGUAAAUGAUGUCCCAAAAGUGAUAAGUCAUGGGGCCUUAAGAGGUUCAAUGGGGAAAUGUCCAGAUUACCCCUAGCUUAAACUGCUUAAAAUUCCUAUCAAAUGGUACGACUACCCUAUACUAGUCGUACUCUCCAAUAUAAGUGGUACACACCACUCGUACCCUAGGCCUCCCUCUAUGACCCAACAUUGUCUAGCAUACGACUUACCCAAACCAAGUCAUACCCAACCAUACAACCAGUACCCCUAAAUCGUAUCCCUAGAAAAAUAGAGUCAAAGAAAGUUUGAACAUUGUCUACCAUAUGAGUCACUGAUAUGACUCGUACCCUAACUUAUGGCUCAUGGUGAACCACUCGUACUCAGAUCCAAGUUAAGUUACUAAGUCUCAUAUUAAGUAAAGGAAAAACCAAUACCAUACGACCUGUCACCAGCCAUACAACUCAUAUCCACCAAGUCAUACCCAUUCUAGAAACCAAUCCAACCCACAACCAACACUAGUUAGCAUACGACCAUUUUAUACCAACCGUACCCUACAAUACGACUGGUACCCAUAAGUCAAUAUAUUGUCUAAAAACAAAAAAUCCAGGAAAUUUUCUAAGGGUCCAAAACCCAGGGUGUUUCAAUCUCCCCCACUAGGAUCAUUCGUCCCCAAAUGGAGGACUAGGUAGGUCAAACAUAAACAAAGUCAUUUCCAUUAUCAAACAUUAAUCCAACCCCUAACCAAGUUAGAAAACAAAGAUGCAAGGAUCUAUUCUAACCUUUAACUAAGUUAGAAAAUAAAGAUGUGAUCAAGAACGCAUACCUUUCGCACGAAUAUUUGGAGCAGAAAACAAAUGCAGAUAUUUAGACUUCAUGGCCGCUUCCGCUUUCAAAGUAGCCUCUUCCACCUUAUGGCUCCACCAUAGUCCCUUAAUCGAGGACAGAUCCUUGGUCAGUAACCGAUGAACCUGCCAAUCCAAUAUCUUAAUCGAGAGCUCUUCAUAAGACAGAGAAUUUGAGAUACUCAAUCCUUCCAAAGUAACCACCAAAGAAGGAUUUCCAAGACACUUUCUUAAUAUAGAUAAAUGAAAUACCGAAUGAAUGCCGAUCAAACAAGAAGGCAACUCUAAUUCAUACGCCACGUUACCAACCCUCUAAAAAACCAUAUAAGGACCAACAUACUGGGGACAGCACUUCCCCUUCUUACCAAACCACAUCACUUCCUUCAUGGGAGACACCCUUAGGAAAAUCAUAUCCCCAACUUCGAACUUCAAGUCUCUAUGCCUUACAUCUGCAUAAAACUUUUACCGACUUUGGUUAGCCUUAAGCCUAUCCCAAAUCAUCACAACCUUAUCCAUAUCCUGAUAAACUAAGAUUAGACCAAACAUAUCCGCCUCGCUAAGCUCAAACCACCUAAUAGGAGAUCUACGCCUCCUACUAUACAAUGCCUCAAAAGGGGCCAUCCCAAUGCUAGAAUGAUAUCUAUUAUUGUAAGAAAACUCUACCAAAGGUAGAUGCUCAACCCAAUUAUCACGACCCAAAUCGGGGCCUGGCCGUGACGAGCAUUCCCGAAUCGUGAAGGCUCGGGACACCCUCUGUCUAUCGGGUAAUCAUGCACAACAUUCAUAUAAUAAAAGAUAAUGUAAAAAUAGAAAUCUAAUACGAAAAUAUGGUCAGUCUGAAUAUGAUCAUAAUACUGAAAUAUUGAAAUUCAAAAUAUAUCUAGAUAAUAAUAAUAUCUGACUCAGUCUAUGAAAUCUUGAACUAUGAACUAAACAAAACAGUCUAAAAACUGGGACAAAGCCCCCCAGUAGACCAAAACAUGACUAAAGAUAAAUAUCUGAAAGUAAAUAGGUCUUCUGGAAUAUAGAAGGCUCACCCCUGCACAAUCUGCUCUGCGAUCUGAAAUAUCUACUGUUUAUCUGGACCCCUAGAUUGUGUCUCAAAACCUGGAAGGAGGGGGGCCAGCACAAAUGUACUGGCACGUGAAGCAAUCCAAAAUAAAGUAUUUGAACAUAUAUAUAAUAGAUGAGAGCAAUUUUCAUCAACACAUCACGUGUAAAAUAGCUUCUGAAAACAUAUGGGCAUCAUUUAAAAAUCAUAAGACAUUCUUGUCAAAAUAAUUUCUGAUCUUUGUAUUACUUCUGAGUAAGGUGGCACUCCCCAACAAGUCUGAUAUUCCAUGGGUUAUAUGAAAUACGCCAUUGAAUCAGUGGGGAAGCCCCCAACCCAAGUGUGCCGCAGGGGUUGGAGUGUCUGAGUCUGAUACGUCACACGAUACUUAAGCUAGCAUAUAAUAAUAUACCCAGAUUGAUAAAUCACGGUUUUGAGAAAUGAGUUGUCUGAACUCACUCCUUCUUCGGGGACCACCUAACAUCUCUUUAUGCCCAAUUUUUUAACUUUUUCUGAAUAUGUAUCAUUCUGAAAUUUCUUAAUCAUGAAAGUCUGAUAAAAUCUGAUUUCUGAACUAGUCUGUGUCUGUUAUGGCAUUUGUCUGAGUUGGUAUCGUCAUAAAUAGACUUUCAAGUCCUAUUUUUGAGACAUAAUACAUUAAGCAUGCUCUUUCAUAAAAGUGUAGUUUCAGACCACCCAAACAUGUAAUUUGCAUAAAAGAUUUCAUGUUCCGAAACUUAAGUCAAAACCAUGCAAAAACUUUCAUCAAACAUAUGGUGGUCAUGUGCUUUUGGAAAAAUUAUGCACUCUUUCAUUAUAUGUAUAUUCAACAUUUACAACCUUCUCUUUCAUAUUCAAAAUCGUAUUCCAAACAUAGCAAUGUCAAAGCAUUUCAUAUCAUGAUUUUUCAAGCCGUAUUUCAAAACAAUCUAUAUCAUGUGAAACAUGGAAAAAUUACAUCAAGAGAGGGAUUUCAUGUAAAUCGUGCUCUCAAUUCAUAUUUUAAGGCAAAACUCAUAUAUACAUUUACAUAUAAUUUUCAAGUCACUUUGAGGGACAGCCAAAAGGCUUAAACAAUAUCAUUUAAAGCUUCUAAAACAUGAAUAUGUACAUGAAUUCAAAAAUCCCUUUCUUAAAACAUGAUUUCUAUGCCCAUGAGAAUUUAGGAAAACCCCGCGUGCCUCUAUUUAAGAAAUUGAGGGAUGAUCCUCGAAGCCUACGAUGUGGGGAUUCCAAAUCUUUAAUUAUCUUCCAAAACCCACGGUUGAAUCUUGAGGUAUUUGGAAUUUUUGUUUGAAACCCUAAGGGGCGUUCUUGAGAGAAAAUUUGAGAAAAGGAUUAUAUUUUGAUGAAUUUGGGGCUAAAUCUGGUGUCAUAGAUAAAAUUUGGGUGAGUUGAAAUGACUAAAAUGCCCCUAAGAAAACAAACAAAGUCGAAACUGUCCCUCAGUUGACAAACUGAUAGGCUAAAGUAAAACGGGUAUAUAUCCUUACUCAGAUGUAGGAUUUGGAUGAAACCAGUUGCAUUAGAAAUAAAACUCAAAGAGCAUUCAUUUGAUAGGUAGCAGAGCUCCCAGUUCAUUAUAUUUAGAGAGUUAUUAUCGUUUGAAGUUGACCCUGAAAUGCUGAAAACUGGGCAACAGGCUAUGCAUUUUGCUACAAUUUUUAAAUCCAAACGCAGCCUUAUGCGUUCCGAAAAAUUACAAAACUUAUCCAAGAUGUAAUAUGAGCUUGUCCGAUCGUAAAGCAACCUGAAAAUCUAAAAAUAGAGGUCGAAAAGGUUGAAAAGUUGUAUCCCAAAGAUUGCCAGCUAAAAUGACUCUAAGUCCUCAUUACACUUACAAAAAUUUUCAAGUUUUUAAGUCUAAGAGCACUCUAUUAAAGGCUAAUCAAUGCAUGACUUUUAUGGGGUGUUACAUUAUCUCUCCCUUGGGAUCAUUCAUCCCCAAAUGAUGGAUUGGAAAUGUUGAAGCUCAAAGGUAUAGAAUGACGCUGACAUGAUGUAUCUUCUAAGAAAGUAUAUAACUGAUCUGAAACAUUUAAACUUCUAUCACAAAAUUGAAUUCUGAGUUGACUUGCCCUUACUUUCUUCAAGAAGCCGAUUCAUGCUAAGAGUUUAGGAUUCCCUUGAAGUGUUCAUGAUCCAAUCAUACAUAUUGAAUUGAGAAGUGAUAACUUAUGCAAUUACGAAUCAUGAGGCAUCAAGACUUAGAUCGUACCAAGGUAUUAUACUAACUGGGCUAAAAUACUUGGAAGUAUUUAAGACUAUGCACUGAACACUUAUGAACUGAGUCACGACUAAAUAGCUAAAUCUGAAACAUGAUGCUUCGACUAAACUGAAUUCGCAACUUAGGAUAAAAUAUAUUAUCUCUUGGGAUGGUCAUAUGCAUGAGACUUUGAAUAGCAGGAUUGGGUGAAAAGGUGGAAAACCACCGUAACUUGUCUGCCUGACUGCUAAACUGAAAUACACUGGAAACUUAUAUUCAACGGGAGUAUCUCUUCAACACUGUCUAAAGAAAUUCUAGUAGCAUUAUGGAGCAAAAGAUCUUAGACAAUGCAACUUCUUGUUUUUCAAGCUUAGCACACUUCUUUAAUACUCCCUUAACUAUAUUAUUUUCCUUAAAUACCAUAUUCAUUCCAUUCAACUUAUAAUCCUCAUAUGGGCAUUGAUAGCUCUUUCUACAAUGUCUAUAGUAGCUUAAAUCCUUUCACUGCGAUCAAGCCUAACUCCAAGUCACAAAAAUACAACAUAUCACACCAUGAUGCUAAUCUAAACAAUAUGAUUCAAUCUUCCAUAUCUUUUUAAAGUUCACACCUAAGCAUAUCAUGCCUUCCCACAUUAAUGACUAACUCUGAGCUCUUACUAUAGAUUCACUAGUACAUAUUGCGUCCCUUCACUAAAAUCUCAACAUGUCAUUUAAGCCUAUCUUUAUAACCUCAUAUGAAUUUCAAGGCAAAAACCCAUGAAGACACACUUCACAUAUUCUCUAAACCACUAUUAAUAUAACUCCCACGUGCUACCCCAAGAACAUACACACACAAAUUUACACUAACCAUCAAAUAUAUCAAAAACUUGGCCCCAGAUCUUACUUCACACUUAUGGGCUUAUCUAAAACAAGCAUACUAUAAAGCGAUAGUACAUGAGUCAUGAGCUACAUGACCUCAAUUUGGAGUUCAUAACUUAUGGAAUGGGAUUUUGACUACUGAAUGAACUGAAACUUCUUAUUUUGGAACUUGAAGAGUACAUGAUUCUCUAUCAUAAGCAUGAACAUGAAUUAUGAUCAUUGGACUGAAGCGUAAGGCAUGAGUAGAUAUUGGGAUAACUGGAAAAAAAUACUAAUAUAAGAAUGGGUUAAGUCUCACCCUCACUUUCUGACAUUCUAUAUCAUCAUGACAUCACGACUAGAAUCUGAAACCCUGACUUGGUUAUUCUCUCUAUCAUCUCCCCCUUAGCUUCAAGCCAUCAUAUUAAGUUUGGGAGAUCCCUUACUAAACUCUAAACUAAAGUAUACUCACUGCACUCUGGAGUUUGGAAAACUACUAUACACGCAUAUCAUGGCACUUAACCCGAAUGACUAUACUUGAAAGUGAAAAACCCACUGUUAAUACUACCUUUUGAGAUACACUUUAUCAUUCUAUAGACCCAGCAGUCAUCAUAUAAUACUUGCACACUUACUAACUUCGGGUCUUCAUGAGUAUCCCCAUAGUUGGAGUGAACACCCUCUAGUGCUUUAACUCUUAUUUCUAUUAGUUCAACCUUCAAAAACUCAAACUUAGAAUCUAGCACUCAACAUAGAUAUCACCAAGCCUUCAAUGAAUCAUACUACUUCCGACAUAGCCUACCAAUAUCGCGACUCCAAACUUACAUCUCUCUACUAUGAGAAUCAAGAUCAUAUAAAAAGGCUCAACACUAUCAAUCAAAACUCCUUAACUUGGCUAUUUAGAACACCAUAUACCAUCUAACUAGUCUUUCUCCAUCUAGCAACUCAACGGUACCACUCGUCACACAAAACGUGUAAUAUUCUUAGAAAAUACCGCAACCUCAGAUCACCUUGGGCAUACUUCUACAUUAUAUAUGCAAUAUCAUACUUCACUAAGAAUCAAAUAAAUUUAGGCUCUUGCAUAUACCAUUCAAUCCUAUUAGAUUACUUCCAUAAAACUAGUAUCAUUAACCAAGAAAUCAUCACAUCCACCUUUAUGGACAUCAAUUGUUCAAACUUAAUGUCUAGUGCUAAACAUGAUUUACAACCCAACCUUAUACAUAAUUCUUACAAAACAUACAUCAUUAAUCUUAAGUCACUAUUUUUACAGCCACAUUGUGACGCUCAACGUCACAACCCAUUAAACUCCUCAUAUUUUGGGCAUGUUUCGAACUAUUCGGGCGCAUUUUCGAGCUUGGCAGGGCUUCGAUAAAUGCCCCGCAUUGCUACCAACGUUUCAGCACCUUCUAGAUGGUCAAAAUAGGCUGGCAGCACAUUUAUUAGACUUUAGGAAAUUCACACGGGCUGGUAUGAAAGUGCAGAUUUUCCAGCUUUAAAAGGUCCACAAAGGUUGGCAUGCAUGUGCAGAAAUUUCAGCAUGCAUGUGCAGGAUUUUUCAGAUUUUCAGCUCGUAGUUGUUAAUUAUAUAGCUUGUAUUGUUGUACCUUGUUGACUUAGGGACUUUUAGGUACUAUAAAUACAUGUUGUAAGGCAUCAUAGUGCAACGCCCCAAAAAAGGGGUCCCGGAGCGUCACACGAUGCUUGAGGCUAUGAGUAGCCCCAAGCUAACCCUUUGAGCCAUUUUCAUUCAGUUCAACACGAAUCAACGGGGUUUCCAUAAAUAACACACAACUNNNNNNNNNNNNNNNNNNNNNNNNNNNNNNNNNNNNNNNNNNNNNNNNNNNNNNNNNNNNNNNNNNNNNNNNNNNNNNNNNNNNNNNNNNNNNNNNNNNNNNNNNNNNNNNNNNNNNNNNNNNNNNNNNNNNNNNNNNNNNNNNNNNNNNNNNNNNNNNNNNNNNNNNNNNNNNNNNNNNNNNNNNNNNNNNNNNNNNNNNNNNNNNNNNNNNNNNNNNNNNNNNNNNNNNNNNNNNNNNNNNNNNNNNNNNNNNNNNNNNNNNNNNNNNNNNNNNNNNNNNNNNNNNNNNNNNNNNNNNNNNNNNNNNNNNNNNNNNNNNNNNNNNNNNNNNNNNNNNNNNNNNNNNNNNNNNNNNNNNNNNNNNNNNNNNNNNNNNNNNNNNNNNNNNNNNNNNNNNNNNNNNNNNNNNNNNNNNNNNNNNNNNNNNNNNNNNNNNNNNNNNNNNNNNNNNNNNNNNNNNNNNNNNNNNNNNNNNNNNNNNNNNNNNNNNNNNNNNNNNNNNNNNNNNNNNNNNNNNNNNNNNNNNNNNNNNNNNNNNNNNNNNNNNNNNNNNNNNNNNNNNNNNNNNNNNNNNNNNNNNNNNNNNNNNNNNNNNNNNNNNNNNNNNNNNNNNNNNNNNNNNNNNNNNNNNNNNNNNNNNNNNNNNNNNNNNNNNNNNNNNNNNNNNNNNNNNNNNNNNNNNNNNNNNNNNNNNNNNNNNNNNNNNNNNNNNNNNNNNNNNNNNNNNNNNNNNNNNNNNNNNNNNNNNNNNNNNNNNNNNNNNNNNNNNNNNNNNNNNNNNNNNNNNNNNNNNNNNNNNNNNNNNNNNNNNNNNNNNNNNNNNNNNNNNNNNNNNNNNNNNNNNNNNNNNNNNNNNNNNNNNNNNNNNNNNNNNNNNNNNNNNNNNNNNNNNNNNNNNNNNNNNNNNNNNNNNNNNNNNNNNNNNNNNNNNNNNNNNNNNNNNNNNNNNNNNNNNNNNNNNNNNNNNNNNNNNNNNNNNNNNNNNNNNNNNNNNNNNNNNNNNNNNNNNNNNNNNNNNNNNNNNNNNNNNNNNNNNNNNNNNNNNNNNNNNNNNNNNNNNNNNNNNNNNNNNNNNNNNNNNNNNNNNNNNNNNNNNNNNNNNNNNNNNNNNNNNNNNNNNNNNNNNNNNNNNNNNNNNNNNNNNNNNNNNNNNNNNNNNNNNNNNNNNNNNNNNNNNNNNNNNNNNNNNNNNNNNNNNNNNNNNNNNNNNNNNNNNNNNNNNNNNNAGUCUGACUCGCUCUCGAAUAUACAAUCUAGCGUAAUCCUCAGCAGUAUAUGAAGUAUGAAUAGGCAAGAAAUUAGCAGACUAAGUCAACCUAUCAACCACAACCCAAAUGGAAUCAUGAUGGCGUCAGGAAGGAGGUAAACCAAUCACGAGGUCUAUAUUUAUCUAUUCCUACUUCCAGGUCGGAAUACUAAACUCUUGUAUCAUACCACCAGGUCUUUGGUGUUCAACCUUAACCUGUUGGAAUGUUGCACACUUAACUAGAAACGCUGUUAUAUAAUUCUUCAUGCCACUCUACCAAUAGAUUUCCCGAAAGUCUCGGUACAUCUCGGUGGCACCAGGAUGAAUAGAAUAUCGCGCCCCAUGCACUUCAGCCAUAAUACUCUGUCUCAGAUCAUCAACAUUCAGGACACAUAAUCUACCCCUCAAUCUCAACACACUAUCUCCUCCUUGGGAGAAAACCUCUACUUUUUGGUCCUUGACUCACUCCUUCAGUCUGACCAAACUAGCAUCUAAGUAUUUUUUUUCCUUCACUUCCGAAACCAAGGAGGAUUUGAAACUACUUUGAACCCCUAUACUACCUUCAGCAGAGUCAAACAACCUAACCCCCAAUCUAGCCAAACGAUGUACAUCACGAGCCAACUCUUUCUUACCUUCUACCUCAUACGAAACACUACCCAUGGACACUCUACUUAGGGCAUCCGCCACAACAUUGGCCUUGCCCGGAUGGUACAGCACAUUCAUAUCAUAGUCCUUUAAUAAUUCUAACCAUCGUCUCUGCCUAAGAUUCAAUUAUCUCUAGGUAAACACAUACUACAGACUCUUAUGACCAGUGAAAACAUCAACAUGGACACCAUACAAAUAGUGUCUCCAGAUUUUCAAAGCAAACACAAUAGCAGCCAACUCAAGGUCAUAGGUGGGAUAAUUUUUCUCAUGGGGUUUCAACUGUCUAGAAGCAUAAGCUAUAACCUUACCCUUCUGCAUCAAUACGCAACCCAACCCAGCUCUUGAAGCAUCACAGUAUACCACAAAACCAUCAACACGACCAGGCAAAGUCAAAGUAGGGGCUGAAGUGAGUCGAGUCUUCAACUCCUGAAAACUCUUCUCACAAGAUUUAGACCAUAAGAACUUCACUUUCUUUUGGGUCAACCGAGUCAUAGGAGACUCCAUAGAGGAGAAACCCUCAACAAAACUAUGGUAAUAGCCAGCUAAACCCAAGAAACUUUGGAUAUCAGUUAGAGAAAUAGGUCUAGGUCAAUUUCUAACAGCUUCGGUCUUUUGGGGGAUCAACUCUAAUACCCUCGAAAGAAAUGAUAUGACCCAGAAAAGCAACUGACUUAGCCAAAACUCACACUUACUGAACUUGGCAAACAAUUUGUGAUCUCUAAGGGUUUGUAAGACAGUUCGGAGAUGAUCAGAAUGUUCAUCCUCACUACGGGAGUACACUAGUAUAUCAUCGAUGAACACUAUGACAAACAUAUCCAGAUAUAGUCUGAACACUUAAUUUAUGAGGUCUAUGAAAGUUGAUGGGGCAUUAGUUAACCCGAAAGACAUAACAAGAAACUCAAAAUGGCGAUAACGAGUUCGGAAAGUGGUUUUUGGGAUGUCACACUCCCUAAUUUUGAGUUGAUGAUAGUCGGAACGAAGGUCUAUCUUUGAGAAAUAACUUGCACCUUGCAAUUGGUCAAACAAAUCAUCUAUUCUCAGAAGGGGGUACUUAUUUUUUACGGUGACUUUAUUCAGUUGGCGGUAAUCAAUGCACAUACACAAAGAGCCAUAUUUCGUUCUUACAAACAACAUAGGAGCACCACAAGGAGAAACACUAGGCCUUAUGAAACCCUUAUCUAGUAGAUCUUUGAGUUUCUCUUUCAACUCCUUAAGUUUUGCAGGGGCCAAACGGUAAGAAGGAAUAGAAAUGGGCUGAGUAUCAGGAAGAAGAUCAAUCUCAAACUCUAUCUCUCUAUCAAGAGGUAUCCCUGGGAGAUCAUCCAGAAAGACAUCAGAAAACUCAUUGACGAUGUUAACAGACUGGAGAGUUGGAGUCUCAGACUUAGUGUCUUUGACUCUAACCAAAUGGUAAACACUCCCCUUAGAAAUAAGCUUUAUAGCUUUGAGGUAAGAGAUCAUCAUUAUUACUUCUCACUCGAUGUGGAGGCAUAUUUCUGAAAGAGGAAAGCACAAAUCAAUAGCAGAGAGAGAAACUUUAAGCACGAUAGACUUCUGAAACAAUCAUACUUUUUAUUAAAACAUCUUGUAGCCUCUUACCCAUAGAUGUGGGGCGCUACACACCAAUGAUCAAGACUCUACUUAACGCGGCUUGUCAGACUCUCUAGGACACCAUAAAACCUUAGGCUCUGAUACCAAGUUUGAAAUGCCCCGAAAAUGGGUCCCGAAGCAUCACACGGUGCUUGAGGCUACGAGUAGCCCAAAUCUAACCCUUUAAGCCAUUUUUAUUCAGUCCAACAGAAAUCAACGAGGUUUCAUAAAUAACCCUCAAAUAUCAACAGAGUAAUCAUCAUCCAAUAAUAAAAGAAUCUCAGAAAGAUAACAAAAUACUACUUAUUAGUCAACUCCCAACAUCUAUGCUAGUCUAACAAGCCUCUAAGAAAAUCAAUAAAACCAGCGAGCCAUUGAGACAUGCCCCAACUGACUCAUACUCAUUUAUCAAAUGUAAAUAAUUCUGUGAAACCAACAUCAGACAUCACGUCCUCGGAACGUGAGGACUUACCACAACAGAGGCUGUAGAACAACGUACCCAAAGAAUCACUGUCGAACCUGGAACUGAGCACCUGAACCUACAUUCCAAGAAAAUGUAGGCCACAUCUGAAGAUGUUGGUCAGUACCAUGGAAAGGAACCGAGUAUAUGGAAGUGUAUGCAGUUUUAUAAAAAUCAUCAUCAUAAAUAUUUAUAAGAAAUAUGCAGGAUGUAUGAAAAACUCACAUAGCCCGAAGAAAAUCAUCAUAAUCAUAAGAGGAUGAAAUAAGUAUAAUACCACAUGUGUGUCAUCAGAUAAUUUGUCAAUCACUUUCAGUUCGUCAAGAAUAUCAAUUCUCAUAAUGUAAAUAUCAUUUAAAUCUUUCAAAAGAAUAACUUUCACAAUUCCACUUUCAAAUCACUUCACCGUUCACCAUAGACACAAAGAAACACAUACACACUAGAAGAUCCUAUAACCAACAUAAACCAUGUGAGCUACAUGGAGUCCAACGUACAACCCACGUUGGGGAGAGCUAUCCUAUCCUUGCCAUCUACACAAACUAGUGAUCACUAUAUAAAUCAGCCUCAGGCUCACUCCUAUGGGGACACGUAGUUCUAGGGAAGUAAGGUUGCUUUAUACCUCCCACUCAGUGCUAAAGAUUUCUUCUGGACUUAGCUCAGAUCAUUUCAAAGAAAAUUCACAACAAAACAAUUUCAGUAAUAGAUAAAUAUACAUCGGGAGCCAUCAUGCUUCCCAUCUAUCAAAAUCAGCCACGUUGUGGAUUUCUUUCAUACUCGAGUUCAAAACAACUCCAUUAAGAUGAAAAGGUCAAAUCAUUCAAAAUAUCUCAAAUAUUCAACAUCAACGUUCUUAUAACACACACUUUCUAAAAAAACAUAAUUUCCAAUGGGGAUUCACGACCCAAAUAUUAAAAUCAUGAUAAAUAUCAUUCAAGAUUCAUCCUUUAUAUCUCCACACAUGUAAAUUCAUCUUUAAAAAUCAUAAACAUCAAGAUUUCAUAAUAAUCAUCAUAAGAUAUGGGUUCAUGCUUCAAAUUUGUAAAAAUCAAAUAAAAAUCAUGCCUUUGUAAGAAAAUUACUUUUGGGCAUAAGAAUGAAAGAGAGUUCUUGUUGAAAAACCCCACAUACCUUGAAUGAUGAACUUUAGAUCGAUACUCAUUUUUGAGAUGUUAAUCGUGCCUUUGAAUGAUGGUUAUUAGAGUUCUUGAACUAGAAACUUGGAAUCUUGAAUAAAUUUGCAGAAUUAAUUGUGAACUUUUGAGGUUCUUAAAGUUCGAUGUAGGAGCUUAGGGUUUUCUUUUUGAGGAAAUUUGAUAAAAUAAAACAUAUAAUGCUUCUAAUAGGCUUUAAUAUAGGGUUUGGAUAGAUUUUGGGUGAGGGGGAAUGACCAAAACACCCCUAAAAAGAUAAAAUAGUUCUCGAAUCUGUCCUUUGGUGGACUGUUUUGAUAGUCUGAAGUAGACAACUAUAACUUUUCACUUCGAUAUCCAAAUUGCAUGAAACCAAUUUCAUUAGAAAGAGGACUCUCAUAUAUUUCCAUUGAUAUAUAGUAUCUCACCCAGAACAUUGUGUACGAGGAGUUAUGAUCAUUUGAAGUUGACCCAAAAAUUUGCUUUUGAUAGGCUGAAGUAGAUCGAUCAUAAUUUUUUGCUUCGAUAGACAAAUUGGAUGAAACCAAUUUCAUUGGAAAGAGGACUCGCAGAGCUUUCCGUUGAUAUAUAGUAGAUCAUCCAGAUCAUUAUGUACAAGGAUUUGUGAUCGUUUAAAUUUGGAGCAAAAAUACGCCAGGCCUCAGUAUUUUUUCCUGCACGUUUUACUGUUCACUACUAUUCACGGUUCGAUCGGAAUGUUCAUAACUCGUCGCUCGGGUGUCUGUUUUAGAUGAUCCACAUAUCGUUAGAAAGCUUAUUUGAUAGUCUACGCAAUGGGUGUUCAUAAUCUAAGACAUUCCGCACGAAAAAUUUAUAAUUCAUUCCAGAAGAUAGAACCCAACACGUUUACGCACAAAAUUUUAACAAAAAAUUUUCCAGGGUAUUACAUAUAGGCAUCAGCUCAUACUUGUUUUAUUUAGUAAAUACCACCCAUGAAGAAUACAACAUAAUUUACUAGUCCAUCAAAUUGGGACAUUCUACCCCAAAUACCUGAUUUUAUCUAGAUACUAUCCACGACUAAAGCACAUUUAUGACAUUGCUACUAUACCUCAAAAAUCUACUACAUACCUUCUCACAAGUAGUAUUAGUUUACAACUACCAAGGAAAAGAAGGUCAAGGGGUAAAGUCACAUAAUAGACAUGAUCGACAUUAAUCUUAUACUAUAACCCCAUAAAAUUCUUAUCUACUUAUACGGUUUCUCACAUCACGCUUACUUACCCAAGCAUACAUCUAGACUACCUUCAAAUUCCACAAACAACCAUGAGUCGAUACCUACAACUUACUGGCUAAUACAGCCAUUUUCACACUUCCAGCAACCGAUAAAUCACCCUAACUAACAACUCCUUCUCUACGUUCUACUAAACUAACACACAAGGAUGAAUCACCUCUUUACCAACUCAAUCUCAUGCAAAUAAAUUCAGCUAUACAUAUAUUAAACCAACACAAGAACAACAAGUUGGACAACAAGUUGCUAGUGAAUCGAAAUAGGCCUCACACGGCUUCACUAGACUUUGAUUUUGUAUUUUGAACAACAAAAUGAGAUGAAUGACAAGUCAACUAUGCUAGUGAAUCGAAAGAUCCCCACACGGCUUCACUAGAAUUUAUUUGUUUUUCAACAACACCUUGAUGACAAGAGUACUUGAAUAGAAAUUUAAUACACAAUAUCCAAUGAACUAAGAAUACACAUCUUACUCUGUAUAAAUAAAAUCAGAGUCAAACACUUCCUUCACGGGCUACCAUACCAUCCACACAUGCUACUAGUUACCACAUUAGUCUAUCACCAUAAGGGGGUAAAUCAUUCUCGAACAUCGGUUAUUCAACUAAUAUAUUCAUUUACACAAAAGUCACCCUCACUCUAACUUCUAACUUUGUGACUUCACAUCACCAACUUCUUGGUCUAAUUUCACUACCAAUAGGUCAUGACAACAACACUUUAACAUAUACUACUAUUCGGGUGGAAAUACAGUUCCAACAUUCUACUACACAUCAUCCCCCCUUAAUCAAGACAUUUGAAACAUAAAUUUGAAGGGGACUAAAUGUAAUUAAUACCUUAAGCUGAAAAGAACGAUUCCAUCAGGAUCAAUGUUUACAUCGGAAUUAAUACACAUUGAAGCACUAACGGACUCUUCUCAAGUCCUUGCACAAAUUUUAACUCUUAUAUGACUCAAUCAGAAAGGACCAUACCAUUUAGAUUCUAAACUUCUGCACUUGAAUCAGCUCAAUAAUGAGACAUAUCUGAGGACAUUAGAGUAAGGAAAGAAUUUGGGAUGACUUUUUACUUUUGUAUGGGCGACACCAUAGCACGAAUUAGAGUAUAAAAGAGGAACAUUCUAACUCUAUUGCACGAACUAGAACAUAAAGAAAGAGAGACAUUCCUAAAUGCCUAGUAGCCUAUUGCUUAUAAGUGUGGCACGCUACAUACCCAUAAAUAAGACUCUACUCUAUGCGAUUUCGCAGACACCCUGGGACCAUGAAUCGUGCUUUGAUACCAGGUUUGUUACGACCUGACCUAAAUCGGGGCCCUGGCCGUGAUGAGCAUUCCCGAACCGUGAAGGCCCGGAAUGCUCUCUGUCUAUCUGGUAAUCAUACACAAUAUUCAUAUAAUAAAAGAUAAUGCAGAAAUAGAAAUCUAAUACGGAAACAUGGUCAGUCUGAAUAUGAUCAUAAUACUGAAAAAUUGAAAUCCAAAAUAUAUUUGGAUAAUAAUAAUGUCUGACUCAGUCUGCAAAAUCUCUACUAUGAACUAAACAAAACUGUCUGAAAACUGGGACGAGGACCCCAGUAGACCAAAACAUGACUAAAGAUAAAUAUCUAAAAGUAAACAGGCCUUUUGGAAUAUAGAAGGCUCACCCCUGCACAAUCUGCUCUGCGAUCUGAAAUAUCUACUGUUUAUCUGGACCCCUAGAUUGUGUCUCAAACCUGAAAGGAGGGGGGUCAGCACAAAUGUACUGGCACGCAAAGCAAUCUAAAAUAAAGUAUUUGAACAUAUAUAUAAUAGAUGAGAGAAAUUUUCAUCAACACAUCAUGUAUAAAAUAGAUUCUGAAAAUACAUGGGCAUCAUUUAAAAAUCAUAAGACAUUCUUGUCAAAACAAUUUCUGAUCUUUGUAUUACUUCUGAGUUAGGUGGCACUCCCCUACAAGUCUGAUAUUCCACGGGCUAUAUGAAAUCCACAUUGACUCAGCGGGGAAGCCCCCAACCCAAGUGUUCCGCAAGGAUUAGAGUGUUUGAGUCUGAUACGCCACACGGCACUUAAGCUAUCAUAUGAUAAUAUACCCGGAUCGACAAAUCACGGUUUUGGGUAAUGAGUUGUCUGAACUCAUGCCUUUAUCAGGGACCACCUAACAUCUCUUUAUGCCCAAUUUUUAACCUUUUCUGAACAUGUAUCAUUUGAUAGGUAGCAGCUCUCCCAUUUCAUUAUAUUCAGAGAGUUAUGAUCAUUUGAAGUUGAGACUGAAAUGCUGAAAAGUGGGCAACAGGCUAUGCGUUUUGCUACUGUUUUGAAAUCCAAACACAGCCUUAUGCAUUCCAAAAAAUUUCAAAACUUAUCUGAGAUGUACUAUGAGCAUGUCCGAUCGUAACGCAACUUGAAAAUCUAAAAACGGAGGUCGGAAAGAUUGAAAAGUUGUAUCCCGAAGAUUGCCAGCUAAAAUGACUCUAAGUCCUCAUUACACUUAGAAAAAUUUUCAAGUUUGUAAGUCUAAGAGCACUCUAUUAAAGGUAAAUCCAUGUACGACUUUUACGGGGUGUUACACCAAUUGCCACCAUAAUCAAUCACACAUGCACGAAGCAUGUCUUCCAAUGUAUAAAUAGUCCUCUCUUCUUGCCCAUCUGUCUGUGGAUGAAAAGCAAUACUUAGACUAAACUUAGUCCUCAACCCCCACCAGAAAUAAGAUAAAACAGUGUACCACGAUCAGAGAUAAUCAAAAUAGGUACCCCAUGCAGCUUCACAAUCUCAUGAAGAUACAACCUCGCAUAGUCCUCUACCAAAAAAUUAGUCCUCACUGGCAAGAAGUGAGCGAACUUUGUCAUCUUAUGCAUGAUGACCCAAACAAAAUCAAAUUGGUUCUGAGAUCGAGGAAGAUCGAUAACAAAAUCCAUAUUGAUUACCUCCCAUUUUUAUUCAGGCAACUCCAUUUCCUUAUACAAUCUACUAGGCCUCAUUUGAUCAACUUUAACUUGUUGGCAUAAUAUAUCCUUGGCCACAAAAUCAGCCACAUCUCUCUUCAUACCACUCCACCAAUACAUUUCCUUGAGAUUAUCAUACAUUUUUAUCAAACCGAGAUGAACAACAUAGCGCGAUUCACAUGCCUCAGCCAAAAUCCUUUAUAGCAAACCAUCGAUGUUAGGAACACAUAACCUUCCUUGGUACCUCAAGGUACCAUUAUCACUGAUCUCAAAUACCAUCACCUUUUGCCCACCAAUAGCACUCUUGAUUUUUAUCAAGAUAGGAUCAAGCAUUUGUUUUUCCUUGAUCUCUGCACCAAGAGAUGACCGAACCACUUCCUGUACCAUCAUACCACCAUCAUUGGAGUCCAAAAGAUAAACUCCAAGAUUACCCAAGCGAUGAAUAUCUUUAACCAAUUCCCGUUUUUUCUUAUCCACGUGAGCUAAAACUCCCCAUGGACAACCUGCUAAGAGCAUCAACAAUAACAUUAGACUUACCUGGAUGAUAGUGAAGACUCAUGUCACUGUCCUUAAAAAGCUCUAACCAUCUCCUUUUCCUGAGAUUAAGCUCCUUCUGAGUGAACACAUACCCUAUAGACUCUUAUGAUCAGAAAAGAUGUCCACGUGAACUCUAUACAAAUAAUGCCACCAUAUUUUCAAAGAAAAAGCCACCACUAAAAGCUUCAAAUUAUGAGUAGGAUAAUUCCUCUCAUGCACCUUUAACUACCUGAAAGCAUAUGCAAUCACCUUUCCAUGUUGCAUCAAAAUACAACUAAGUCCCACUCAGGAUGCAUCACAGUAAACCACAAACCCCUUAUUAGCUUUAGGCAAUCCCAAAAUUGGAGCCAAAGUUAGCUUAUCCUUCAGUUUCUCGAAACUCCCCUUACAAGCAUACGACUAAGAAAACUUUACCUUCUUCUGAGUUAACUUAGUCAAUGAGGUAACUAUCGUUAAAAAACUUUCCAUAAACCGCCUAUAAUACCCAGCCAAACCUAAGAAGCUCCAAAAUAUUGGUUGGAGUCAUGGGUCUAGGCCACCUUUUAACCACAAUCACCUUUUGUGGAUCCACCAUGAUCCCCUCGCAAGAAAUAAUAUAACAAAGAAAAGUUACAGCGUUUAACCAAAACUCACAGUUGGAGAAUUUGGCAUACAACUGUUUCUUCUUCAAGGUCUGCAACACCACACGGAGGUGACUGCUAGAAAACCUGUUCAUCAAAUCCAUAAAUAUUGUUGGGGCAUUAUUCAAACCAAAUAACAUCAAUUCAAAGUGCCCAUACCGAGUACGAAAAGCUAUUUUAGGGAUAUCCACCUCCCUAAUCUUAACUUGAGGAUAUCCAAACCAAAGGUUUAUCUUCAAAGAGAAUUAUGCACCUUUCAAUUGGUCAAACAAGUCAUCUAUUCUUAGAAGAGGAUUCUUAUUCUUAACCAUCACAUUAUUCAACUACCUAUAGUCAAUGGACAUCCAAAGGGAACCAUCCUUCUUGUGCACGAAUAAUAUCAGUGAACCCCACGGGGACACACUAGGAUGGAUCAAAACCUUAUCCAAAAGAUCCUUAAGUUGCUCCUUAAGUUUCCUCAACUCAGCCGGAGCCAUUCUAUAAGGAGGAAUAGAUAUUGGACGAGUGUCCAGAACUAAAUCAAUACCAAUCUAAAUAUCCUUAUUCGGAGGAACACCAAGAAGAUCAUUUGAAAAGACCUCAAGAAACUUAUUUACCACCAGAACCGAAUGUAAAGAAGGACCUUUCGAGUUACAAUCUUUAAUCCAAACCAAGUGAUAGAGAAACCUUUUGGAGAUUAAUCUCCGAGCUAUAAGAUAAGAAAAAAACUUUCCCUAGGAUCUAGGGAACCACCCUCCCACUCAAUAAUAUGGAACCUAAAGACAACCUUAUGGGUCCUACAAUCUAAGGACACUUAACAAGAGUGUAAACAAUCUAUCCCCAGAACAACAUUAGAAUCCAACAUAUCAAGUUCAAAGAAAUUCACCAAAGUUCUUCUACUACUAAAAGAUACCACACACACCCUAUAGACCCUUUUUCACAAUCACAUAGUUACCUAUUAGGGUAGAAAUAGAAAAUGGAUCCAAAAUAACUUUGAGAUUAAAACCAAAAUACACAACCACAAAUGGGGUCACAUAAGAGAGUGUGGACCCCAGAUCAAGAAAACAAUACACGUCUCAAGAAAAAAGUUAUAAAAUACCCAUAACGAUAUCAGGUGAUGCCUCAAAUUCCUAUCAAUGAGAAAAAUCAUAUAACCUAUUCCAACCAGCGUUGGUACCAGAAGCAAAAACUAAUGCACAAACAGCACACGUUGGUGUAGGAGCAGAAGCACCCUUACCAACUGGAAAAUCUCUAAGCAUAUGGCCUGGCUGACCAUAUUUGGGACACUUAUCCCUCCCCUUAUCAUAGAAACCCUAAUGUAACUGACCAUAAAAUCUACAAAGAAGGCAUGAUGAGGCCGAUUGUGCCCCACUUGCCUGAGAUUGGUUACCCUUAUUACCCGAUGGCUUCGUGUAAAGAGCACUAGAUGUGAUGAAGGAACCAGAACUCCCCCACUUCUUCUUUGAGUAGUAACCAACUGAGCAAUAACAUGAAUCAAUUUAUAAAAUUCAGCAUUUGUUACCUCACCCUGAGAAGGACUAGUAGCCGCUGAUGGAACUACAAAAAUAUUAGGGAUGGGACCCCUAAAUCGAGUAUGGAUCCACUGUAUCCCUUCAACAUUAUCCUCAUUGGGAUAGAAGAGUUAUCUUGCAUCUCAGAUCAUCGAGGCUUAAUCUAAAAAGAAAACAAACUAGGAUUAGAUAAAAUUCUAGGACUUAGACUGCAAGCUUGAAUAUAGAAUACCAAAAAAGUAAAACAUUCAUAAAUGCUUUGUAGCCUCUCCCUUAUGAGUGUGGCGUGCUACACACUCUUAAAAGAGACUCUAUUCAUCAUGACUUUUUGGACUCUUAAUUCACCAUGAACCUAAAGCUCUGAUACUAAAUUGAAAAAACCCAAACCAGGGCAUUGUUGUAAUAGGUGUCCCAAGUCCACUAGGACUAGGGACCAUCCCCGUUACCUAACCCAACCUCCAAAUAUGCAUACCAUGAGUCGGAUAAAUUCCAAACGUAUAACAAGAUAGUGUUUAUAUACCAAUCUAGACUCUGGGAUAGGUCCAUAAUCAUGACCAACCCAAGCAAGUCCAACCAUCCAUUACCUACCAACAACCAUAACAAAAUGAAUAUAAAAACCAAGUUUGUGUCCAUAACAUAAUAUAAAAGUAUGGAAAAAUCAUAAAUUAAGUUCAACGGUAUCAGCCCCAAUACCAAUACCAAUACUAAGGCUUACACUAAUAUCGACACCACUCAUUCCAACCUGUAGUAGUCACACAAAGCCUCUACGCAAAAGAAAUAAUAUUUGAUAGGGACAUGUUACUAGGAAGCUUAUCUCGAAUUUGAUUACUAAAUAGAAGGAGUAGAACGACCGAUUCCUACAUCACAUGGGGAUACAUCCAUUCGAAGAUGGGUUAGCGGGUGAACGCUAGCAUAAAUUCAAGAUAAGGAUAAAAUAAUGUCAUCCACUAAAACCAAGUAAACCAACUACAUGCAUACAAGCUAUAUAUAUAUAUAUAUAUAUAACUAUGUUGGGAAAGGAAACUAGGUUUAGCAUGCCUUUAAAAUCAUUAACCUGGGUAUGUAUAGCUUAACCGUCCUAAAACUACCCACGAGCUAUAUGGUUCGAGUGUAGCCCCCUAAACAGGUCUCGAUGCAUGUAGCUAGAAAAAUUAAAGAUACCAUAAGAGUAGAGGAUUCCCAAGUACCCAUAUCUCUCUAUGACACAUAUGUACAGUAUACUUAAAAGAUUCUUGUGUACCUCAUAGUAUCAUAUAUGGUCGCUAUGACUAACCCUCAUGUUGGAUAACAUGAGUUUUCAGUGUCCGUCUAUUGGACUAGCAUCUUCACAAUUAGUUGUCAUACCCCACCAUUCUUUCCCAAUUAAAACCAUUACCAUUCAACUAAACCAUUAAUCCAUUAUUAUUAACCAAGGCUAUAAAUAGUGGUAUCGUCAUACUGACUAUACCUUGCAAGCGAUGUCCUUAGACAACCUUUAUGUAAAAGGACUCCCAUGUACUGAUAGAUUACAUUAUCAAGUUAACUUGGAGGAUUCCCAUAUACCCCACAAGUGUUCCAUUAUCAAGUUUGCUUGAGGGAUUCUCUUGUACCUCACAAGUAUUUAUUAUCAUAUUUACUUGGGGGAUUCCAUCAUACCCCACAAGAAAGUUUAUUUGACCAUAACUGUGACCAUCAAACCUUAUCAUUUAUCCAUUCCAAACUAUUUAAACCAUUCAUACCAUCUAGAUUUCUAUUACCAAACCAUACCAUGCAAUAGUUCCAUUAAAGUCUAAUAAUAUAGUAAAAACAUUAUCAUAGGCAUUUUAUCAAACAUGUUGGGGGUAUAGUGUUUCCAAAACCAAUUGCAAUUACCAAUUAACCAUUCAUAUGCAACCAAUUGUCCAAAUAGCCAUUAAAGUAUGUAAAUACAUAAUUAAAACAUGGGAAAACCAUAACCAAACAUGUAAUACCAAAACCCCAACAUAAAUUUGAAAACCCCAAAACCAUACAAUAAUUAUCCUAUAAAAACAACAACAACAACAACAAUAAACCCAGUAUAUUCCCACCUAGUGAGGUCUGGGGAGGGUAAAAUAUACGCAGUCCAUACCACUACCUUCGGGGAAGUAGAGAGGUUAUUUCCGAUAGACCCCCAGCUCAAGACAAAAGGAAUCAUGCCAUGAAAACAUUAUAUAAAAUACUCCUUUAGUUAGAACUAACAAUGAGGGAGGAGUACAUACCUUAAAUUAUGAAGAUAAUGGAGAUAAAUCACCUGUACAAGCCCUAAAUUAAUCCUUUAGAUGAAACCCGUACAAGCCCUAAAUUAAUCCUUUAAAUAAAACCCGUACAAGCCCUAAAUUAAUCCUUUAGAUGAAACCCUAGCCUUCCUUUACCCAAGAACCUUGGAGAGAAUUAGAGAGAGUUUCUAAGUGUUUUAAAUUAGAACAAUAGGGUAAAUAAUAUCAUAAUAGUGAUAUAAGUCCUGGGGCCUUAAGAUGUUAAGUGGAGAAAAGUCCAAAUUUCCCCCAACUUAAACUUCUUUAAAGUCCCGUCAGAAUGGUACAACUACCCUAUACCAGUCGUACCCUCCAAUAUGAAUGAUACCCGUCACUCGUACCUUAGGUCUCCUCUUUUGGCCCAAUACUAUCAGGCAUAUAAAUUACCCAAACCAAAUCAUACCCAACUAUACGACCACUACCCCUAAACCAUAUCCCUAGUAAAAUAAAAUCAAAGAAAGUUUGAACACUAUCUACCAUACGAGUCAAUGGUAUGACUCGUACCCUAACUUACGGCUCAUAGUGAGCAACUCGUACUCAUAUCUAAGUUUAGUUACUAAGUCCCAGAUAAAGUGAAGAAAAAACUCAAACCAUAUGACCUGUCACCAACCAUACAACUCGUACCCACCAAGUUAUACCCAUUCCAGAAACCAAUCUAACCCACCAAUCAACACUGGUUAGCAUACGAACAUCCCAUUAUAAUUAUACCCCACCAUACAACUAGUACCCACAAGUCGUAUGUUGUCUAAAAACUAGAAAUCUAGGAAACUUUCCAAGGUUCCAAAACCCAAGGUGUUUCAAGGAUAUCAAUUCCAAGUAUCCAUUCUUGUUUCUCGCUUCGAAUAACAGUGCUUAAGGUAUUCGUUUCAUUCUCCUCUUACUACUUUAUGAUUUUUUCAUUUUAUUCUAGUAUACUCUUGUUAUUUCUCGUGUCAUAAGUGUCUUAGCUUAUCAUUUGAGGAUGAAUGAUCCUAAAGGAAGGGGGUAAAUUAACAUACUCAAAAAUUUUAAUCAUUUUAUUUUUGGAUCUCUCAUGUUCAAAACAUCUAUGUUUGACUUAAAUUAUGUUGAGGCAUAUAAAUGGGAUGUCCCAGGAGAGUUUUAGAAUUUUCAAAUAGGAUUCAGGGUGGUUUUAGACAUGGAAGUAUGAGCCUCCUCGAUAACCACAUUUAAUAAAGGAUAAUCUCUUUGAUAGGGUCCGUGACACGAAGGAUAAUCUCCAUGUUAAGGUCCGUGACACAAAGGUUAGCCUUCACUAUAAGGUCCGUGCCACGCCCUUAUGUAAAAUCUGUACAGUUUUAUUUUAUUUACUUAAAAUGAGGGUUUUUAGGGUCCUUUCACUUAUGUACGGCCCUUAAGAAUUAUAUAGCUAAUUUCCUUCAGUUUCAAGAGAUUAAUUUCCCCAAUUCCACUCUCAAACUCAAAACCUCAAGAAAGCAUAAGGAUUUUGUUGUAUAUUUUUCCUCUGGGUCCCAAGCUCCAAAAUACUUUCCAAUUCUUGUGUAUCUAAGGCAUGUUACUUAUCCCCCCACACUUAUGUUAUUAAAAUCAUGUAUUUAUAAUUGUAUCCAUGUGAUUAAAUUAUGAUUUGUGAAUAUGGGUCUGAGGGUUUUGGAAUGAAUGCAUCUUGAAUUGAUUUCCCAUGGUUUUUAAGGCAAUCGAUUAUGCUUUGUUUUCAUAUUUUGAACUAAUGUGGUGCAUGGGUGUGGAAAUUGGAAUAGGGGUCGAGGUAUUCCCUUAAUUUGAUGAUUUUGGUAUUGAAAUUGGUUUGAAAAUUGUGUUCCCGUAACCUAUUUGUGUAAUUGGUCUUUAAAUAUGAUUUGUCACUUAGUUAGACUUGCUCAUCUAUACUAUUUCAUUGCAUAAAUAAUUUAAAAGAUUAAACAUGGAUUUUGAAGGCCUUGUUGGCCGUGUUUUGACUAAAAUUAAAACCUCGUGGGUCGAGGAAUUCCCCCGGGUUUAUUUUAUAAACUAAAAAGGUUAAGGCAUUCCUACAACUUGAUUUAAUAAACUAAAAGUGGUGGAGUCAUUCCCCAAAGUUAAUGGAAUUGUAUGGAAUAGAUAUAAGCUUUCAAGAAUACGGUAUGAUGAUAUCUAUAGUGUGCCUUAAUGUAUAAUUUUGUGGUUAAUGAAUGGGUUAUGUGAAACUUGUUUUAAAUAGGGCUAAAUGGGGUUUAUGUAGCUAAGUUGUGAAGGUGUGGAUCUUGGAUGUCUUAUACUAGAAACUCAUGUUUGUCGACAUCAGGUUUGGUCUUGAGGACCUGUGUGCAUGGUUCACAUUAUUAAUAUAUUUGUAUCUUAGAUUGACAUGGGGUAGAGGCAUUCUAUGGUCUUCCUUGAUACCUCCGAUUCAUGCGACUAACACGCGCUAGGCCCCUUUUAGCAGGGAAAGCUGAAAUCAUAUAGCCCGUGGGUGCCUGUUAUGAUGAUUGAACUACAUAGUCCAAGAAAAUUUUUACUUCAUGCUAAGCCUUAUUCCUUUUUCAGGCAUNNNNNNNNNNNNNNNNNNNNNNNNNNNNNNNNNNAAUGAUUUUGAAAUGAUCAUGGCAUUAUUUUAUCCUUGUUCCAUGAGUUACAUGCUAGUGCUCAUCCCACUAACCAUCUCUGAAUGUCGUAUCCCCAUGUGAUAAAGGAAUUAAAAAUACUUCUACUUUUUCUUUGCAGUGACUAGGUGAUCAUGGGUUAGCUCAUGAGUCAGAUUAAAGUGGUGAGCUUCCAUACUUCAGAAGACCUUAUUUCAUAUUUCGAUUUCCUUAUGUCAUAUACUUUCUCUAGGUUUAGUUCUGGCUAUCGCCGGGGAAAUGUCCUAACUUAAAUUGUUUUUUGUUCUGUAUAGAGGUUCUGUGAAUUACUAUGGACUUGGUAUUUUUUUUUUUGAAUUCUUAUACUUCACUGAGUUAUUCUUAUCUACCUUAUUUUACGUUUUGUAUUCCAUUGUUAUAUUAUAUUGCGUUCUGGUUGACUAGGCGAAGGGGGUAGUCUCCGGUCCUCAGUGUACUUGUGAUACCUGUCAUGGCCAGGACCUGGUUCAGGUCGUGACAUUAGAGUAUUGAAUUUAAUAGGAUAACAUAGAUUAUUUGCGUUCACGAGAUUUUGGAUAAAUUCUGAGGGGCCCGUAGAGACUCAAAAUAAUCCAAACCUAUGAACUCAAAAUGAUAUCGCAAUUUCGAUAGGCCAACAGUAAGGAUGUCACGAUCACAAACCUUUCAUGGAUCGCAAUACCCUUGAUAGACGAGAUACUGCAACCGCAAUUCGUGGUCCGUGAUUGUGUGUACUGAGUAUAAAUACCUAUAUUUUGUCAUUUUUCACCAUUUUUUAGACUUGGAGCUUAGGGUUUCAUGAUUUUGAACAACUUUUUCCAUUUCUAAGCUUGGGUAAACUCAUUGCACCUAUUUCAACUAAAGUCUUCCAUCUUUAACAUUAGAUUCUUGUUUAAUUUGAAUUUAAAGUAGAAAUUGGAGAUUUUGGCCACCAAGGUUCAAAAUUAUAUUUCUUCGAAUUAAGCCCCAAUUCAACACCUUUUCACUUGAAUAAUGUUCGUAAUCUUAUAAUUACUAGUUUUUCCUUAAUUUCAUCUUCAAAACAACUUUGAUUCUUGAUUUUUAAAAGAAUUUCAAAGAUUUUAUCUGGUAAAGUUUAAAAAUAGUUUUUCUUCGAUUUGGACCUUAUUUUUGCUUGAAUUUUCAGUUGUACACUCCUAAAAACUUGGGAAACAUAUUUUUGAAAUAAAGUUACAAUUUUGAUCUAGUUUUUUGAAAAUCAAUUUUGGGGGUCCAUUUUGACCCAGAUUCUAAACUAGGCAAUAUGAGUGUUCUUGGCUUUCUUUUGAUACAUAGAUUCUAUAUUUUGGUAUUUUGGUUGAUUUUGAGUCCAUUCAAGAGGAUUAAGGCUUUGAAAUUGAAGUUUAGCGGACCAAUUUCCAUAUUUGAAGUAGGUUAUGGCUUAACUCUUUCAGACUGGGUUAGGUAGUUAAUUUGUAUACAAAAUACAUGUUAAAGGUAUAACAUUGUUUCUCAUUAUGUCCUUGAAUCAUACAAUUCUUGGUAUUGUCCUAAUUUUAUGAUGUUCCUGUUAUCAAAUUUCAGAAAAAGAAAAAUAGAAAAAAUACAGGAGAAAAUUAAUUUAUUUAUAUCCUCCUCAUGUGCAAUAACAAUAAUAAUAAUUAUGCUUCAAUCUCAAAUAAUUUAUAAUCAACUAGUAUAUUCAUAUUUUAUUUCGUUAUUUCUUUUGGCACAAGUACUAUAGUAAAGCUACUUUUAAGGAGAAAAAACUAUUUCUCUUCUACUUUCAACUUGGUAGAAUGUAUUAAAAAAAUAAUGCAUGUAUUAGUAUUGUGUAUUAUUAAUUUCGUAUUUGACACAUAUUUUUUUAGCCUAUGUAUACUUAAUCUAUUGUGUAUUGAGGUGUAUUACUCAUACUUCAAAAAUCAAUGGUAUUAGUAAUGCAAUGGAUUCUAAGGCAUGCAUUAACAUGAUUGAAGAAACAAUUAUCCCUCAAAAUCUUUUUCACAUCUUGUAUUUUUUUUCUUUAGAAAUUAUACAAUUCAUGUUAUUUUUACUACACCAAAUCAAAUAUUGCAUAAAAAAUAUGCAAGUAUAACCACAACUAGAAAAUAUCCUUAUGAUAAUGGUUCAGAUACCAUUGCAAUAUAUAAGAAAACCGUUGUGAUAGCUCUACUAUGCAACGCUUUAGCCGGCAUUCCAUUUGUGAGCGUCACAAUAAAUCUAUCGCAACAGUUUGUGCGAUGAUUUUGAAAACCGUUAUUACACAAGCAUCGAUAGCAACAGUUAUAUUUCCUUCUCACACAACAAAUAUAUUUUUCGAUUGUGUCGAUUUAUAACCAAUGCUAGGACCUAUUGCAACGACAUUUUGAAAUUACUGUAAUGGGUUUUUGCCUUUAUAUAUAAUUAUUAUUUUCUUUAUGUAACAUUAUUUUGAAUGUAUAAUUUAAUAAUACUUACUUUCUUCUUUUUUUUUCUUUUUCACUUUUUUUCCUUUUUUUUCAUUCUCAUUUUUUUUCCUUUUUUGGUAGUGUUUUAUAUUUUUAUGUAUUUUUGAAAAAUAUGAUUACGUCAAAUACAAGUCAUAGAUGAUGACGAAAACAUCAUAAUCAUUUAUUGUGUUUGUAUUCACCAUCAUUUCUUUAGUUUCUUUUUUUUCAUUUAUUUACUUUUUGGGUUUUUUUUCUAUUGGAUUUUUUUUCUUCUAAUUUUUUUUCCUAUUUUUUUCCUAUUCACCAUCAUUGGUAUUUUUAUGUAUUUUUUUUUUUGCUUUUUUUUAUCUUUCUCAUUUUUUUUGUUCAAUUUUAUUUUUUUAUAUUUUUUUUAAAAUAUGGCUGUGUCAAGCACAAGGCAUGGGUGAUAACAAAAAUACCACAAUCACUCAUUGUAUUUGUAUUCACACUAUUAUUUAUAUUUUUAUAUUCGUUGAUACAAUUGUAUUGUAUUUGUGUUUUAUAGUUUGCACUUGUAGUUAUAUCUGUAUUCUAUAGUUUGCAUUUGUAUUUGUAUUUUAUAGCUCGCACUUGUAUUUAUAUUUUAUAGUUUGUAACAUCAUUUAUAUACUUUAUACAAUUCACACUUGUAUUUUAUGAAACUGUUUUGCAUUUGAAUUUUAUAGUUGAUUGUAUAUUGUAUUUGCAUUUUGUGGUUUCAUUUUGUUUGUUUCUAUUUUCGUUGAUGCAUUUGUAUUUUUAAAGGACUAUUUUGUAUUUGUAAGUUAACCACAUAUUAAAUUUGUCGUUUUAAUUUUAUUUGUUUCAUUUAUUUGUAGUAGUUGACAAUAUCAUUUUUAUUUUUAAAUAAAUGAAAAGAAUUAUUAUUUUUCUUUCUAUGAACAAUUGUAUUUAUUAAUUGAUACAAAUUGUAUUUUAUUUAUACAUAUUGAACAAUUCAAAUAAAAAUGAUAAAUUAUACAAAUACAAAUGAAACAUUUUGUAUCAAAUGAUAUAUGUUUAUACAACUUCAAUCAUACGUAUACAAAUGAUACUUAUUUAUAUACAAAUACAAAUGAUAAAUAUGGAAUAAAAAUACUAAUGAUACAUUUGCAUUAAAUGACACAUUGAAUAUUUGUAUAUUUUAGACUCAAGCAAAUGCAGUUAAUUUAUAUAUUUGUUUGCACACAAAUACGUACAUAUUCACAACUAAACUAUUCAAAUGAAAAUAAUAAUUUUAUUUGAAAUAUAUAGUAUGAUACAAACAAAUAUAAAAUAUAAAAAAUGUAUAAAAUAUAAAAUACAACAACAACAACAACAAAAUGAGAGGAAUAAAUUUAAAAAAAAAUAAAAAAAGGAGAAAAAAAUACCCAAAAAGAAAAAACGAAAGAAGUACGAAAAAAAUACAAAAAAAGUUGCAAGGAAAUAUAAAAUAAAAUAAAAAGGGAAAAGGGAAAAAAAUAGAAAAGAAAAAUGGAAAAUUAAAAAUAGAGAAACAACAAAAUAAAAAAUAAAAAAUGAGAAAAAAAUUGGAAAGGAAAAAAGGAAAAAAAAAAAAAGAAAAACCAGAAAAGAAAAAAUGAAAAAAAGCUGGAAAAGAAAAAUAGAAGAUACAGAAAGAAAAAAAAUAAAGGAGAGAGACCGUGAAUUGUAUUUAAUUGACAAAAGAAUUAUGAAUUAUAAUUGAUUAGACUAAAUGGGAUAAUUGAAACUUAUGUUUGCUAAGUCAUUUAGCUUUUAUCAAUAAAGUUAUUUUUUGGGACAGUUACGUAUGUAUAUAUAUAUAUAUAUAUACUAGUACUGCAUGUGUAACCUUUGUUACUUAAAAUUAGACAAUUUUGUCUAUUGCAAAAUUUUUUAAUGAAGUGCAAAAAGUUUAAAUCACUUUUCAAAGAUCAUUCACACUUUAAUAUAAUAGUGUAAUAAUGACAUAUUUUAUUGUAAGUUUCAAGUGGUUAAUGGAUCGUUAUUUUUGUGUUUGUCAUGUGAUAUUUCUUUUCCUUACUGCUAGAGGCUAAGAGGGUCAUAUCGAUCUCAAUCAUAUUUGUAGUGCAAUUAUUUUAUUUUAUUUUCUUAUAUUUAAAAUAUUUUCUUAUUUUGAAAGUGAAAGCUCUAGAAAAUCUUUGAUUACUUACUUAAAACUUAUAAAAAUUUGACAGUUCUAAUAUUUUUCUUAUUCUAACACUUUCAUGUGUUGCAAGAAUAAAAAUGAUCAAGUUAUUAAGGAUCUAUUGAAUCUUUCACAAAGAUUACUCAAUAGCAUAUCACAUUUGAUAUGUGUUCGAACAAUUCUCUAGUCUAUGACUGGAAUGACCUUUUAGGAUGAUCAAAACAUUUUCUAGCACCUCUAUCCUCUUGUUCAAGUUGUUCCAUGCAUCUCUAAAACUUCACUGUGUCACUUGACCUUGCCGCCAAUCAUACUUAGUCCUUUAUCAUUUGAUACACGGGAGAAGGUGAAAUAUCCUAUGAUUAAAUUUGUUACUAAAUUUUUAUUAUAUUUUGUUGAUGGUAUAAAUUUAUCUCGAGAUAACUUAUACCAUCAACCAAACAUGGUAUAAAUCUAGUACCAAACUUAGUCAUGGUAUAUCCCACCUUAUCUCAUCCAUUAUGAGAUUAUUUUUCCAUAUUUUAUACCAUCUCUCUUCAAUCAAUAGAAUUAUAUAUGAAAGGAAAAAUUUAUUAAUUAGAAAGUAGCAACUGAUGUUAGAAUAAUAUUAUAUCUAUUUAAAUGGUAUAGCUUAUAUAUAUAUAAAAAAAAAAAAAGACAAUUAUUAGAGUCCAUUAUUAAAAAUAACGACGAUAUGUAAAAUCACAUAAUUUGUUCACAAUUGAUUACAUAUAGAUAAAUUUUAAAAGUGAAUUCAUAUAAAAUUAGAAUGACUAACCAAUUUUUUGUGACAGAAUGUAAUGAUCCAAAGAAUCUAAUCAAAAUUAUAAGUAAGUCAAUUUCAAAUCACUAAUUGUAUAUUAACCAUUAUAAACAAAUAUCCCAAAAAACUUCUCAAUAGUAAUUAUCUAUCAAGAAUAUAUGAUAAUUUAUUAUUUUAAACAUCAAAAACAGACCAAAAUCACAAAAGAAAAUUUCUUAAUUAGCAAUUAUCUAUCAAGAAUAUAUGAUAAUUUAUUAUUUUAAACAUCAAGAACAUACAAAAAUCACAAAAGAAAAUUUCUUAAUUAGCAAUUGUCUAUAAAAAUAAUUUGAAAAAAUAAUAAGCUAAAUAUUUAUCUAUGAUAAAGUAUUUUUAUGAGAUGCAAAAAAUUCUCAAAUAUUUCUGAGGGUCGUGAUGUUUGUAUAACUGUAGAUAAAUUACUUCGCAUAACUUGAGAAUUUCAAGAGGAAUUUGUAUUCUGCUUGAUCAAUAAGGAAUUAGAAUUAACACUUUAGCUAUACACGCAACUUAUUCUUUAUUCAAUGUAAUAGUCCUAGUCAAAUUAGUAUCACAUGACAACUAAUACUACAUUUUAACUUUUACGAAUAAUCUUAGCUGAUUGAAUAACUAAUCUAGCUUUCAAGGAUAUAUCCUUGUUUCAUAGACAAAUCCUCCUUCAACUCUUCUUUUUCUUAAUAAUCUAAAUCAACAUUAUUAUUAUUAAGUGAUCACUCAAAAAAAACAAACUUAAUGCUACUACUAAAAUAAUGUAAGUUCUAGUAAUUAAAGUAUCAAAUAAAACCUAAAUUUGUUUGAGAGAAGCUUUACAGAUACUAAAAAAAUAAUAAGAGAUUUAAAUGGUCAAUAAGAAACAAAAGACUUAAAAUGAAAAUAAUUCUAAACCAUAUAAAGAAAAUCUAAAACAAAGAUAAAAUUAUCAAAAGCUAUAAAGUAACAUAAAUAAAUCUUGAAGAACGCACAUACGAGCAAUGCAUACGAUUCAUAUUUCGUCAAUGAAAAAAUUGGUUAUGCCUUCCUUACCUUUCUUCUUUGAAUUCUUUUGUAACGAUUACAAAAUUUGAUGAAAUAUGUGAAAUUUAUGAUUUUGUAUAAUUUAACUAUUUUACUCCUUCCCGUAGUUGCAUUAUGAUAUUUCUGGGGUGUGGGAGUGAUUGGCAUGAUUUUUGAUGCAUUUUGGUAUCAUUUAUGCAAUAGUGUGAUUUUUUAUGGCUUCGAGAGACUUAUUUUUUACUUAUGGAUGGCCGAACAGACUAUGCCAGCAUCUUUGGAAUAUCAAUUUUAGGUUAGGUAGACCUUUGGUUUGGAUCCCGGUGCACCCGAGCUCAUUUCGACCUAUUGGUCGAAAAGUUAAAAAAUUAGAAAUAUGGGUGAGGGACCCACAUUUGAACGAAACGACCUCGGAUGGAAAAUUCAACUUCACCAGAAGAUCCGAAAUGUCAAUUUUAGGGUGUUAGCAUGUUUGGUAUAAUUUUACGGCAUUUAAAUCUCAUUUCGACCCUCGGUUUGAAAAAUUAUAAUUUUGGAUUUUGGGGGUCAAUUUUGUGAAAAUAAUAUUUUUUUGAAAAUAUAAUAUCUCCAUCAUGUCCGGAACGUCGAAUUUAGAAUGGUUACAUAGUUCAUUUGUGUAUAUCAGAAUUUGAACGAAUUUCAGACACCCCGUCGAACUUCAAAUUAACUUUUAAAAACAAAAACCUGCAACUAUAGCAGAUUUUUCCCUAUUUUUGAUACAUUUUUGCUCAUUUUUAUCUUGCCUCCUGAGAGUUAAACCUAAAAUAGUGUGGGUGCUUAAAAGUAAAGUUUGUGGGAAUUUGGAAAGCUAGAUUAACACCUUUUUCUUGGUUUUAUUACGGAUUAAAGAUAAGAAUUCAUCCAUUUCUUAGUAAUUUCUUGAUUAAUUUCUCAAAACUCCAAAAAUCUUAGGGCAUAAUUUUAAAUCCAAAUUUCACUCAUUUUUAUUUAAAUAAUAUUUUUAUCUUAUAAUUACUCGUUUUUCAUUAAUUUAACCUUCAAAACAACUCCGAUUGUUGAUUUUAACCUGGAUUUCAAAGAUUUUACCCGGUAAAGCUUAAAAAUGAUUUUUUCUUCAAUUUGAACCCCGUUUUUGACUCGAUUUAACUUGAGUUUUCAGCUGUAGGUUCCAAAAAAUUGGGGAGCAUGUUUUUGAAGUAAAGUUAUGAUUUUGCUCUUCUUUUUUGGAAACCCAUUUUGUGGGUCCAUUUUGAUCCCGAACCAAAAGUAGUCAAUAUAGGUGUCGUUGGUUUUGUUUUGAUGCAUAGAUUUCAUAUUUGAUAUUUUUUAGUAAUGCUCGAGAUUGUUCAUGAAAAGUAAGGUCGAGGGUUCAAGUAUAGCGGACCGAUUUUGGCUUUCGAGGUAGGUUAUGAAUUAACUUUUUCAGACUGGUCCGGGUAGUAAAUGAUGGUACAAAAUGCAUGUUAAGAAAGAAACUAAUCAUAAAAAAUAUCUAUCUAUGUGUUGUGCCCGUGUAGGGCUUAUAUGCGAUGUAAUUGUCGAAAUUGAGAUAUUAUGUGACCAUGUGGGGUCCUAUGUGAUAUUGAUAGCCUUGAAUACAUAUGAAUAAUUGUAUUGUAUUGUUAAAAUUCUAAUGUGGUACCAUUGGUAUAUUGUGAUUAUAUUCAUAUUUUAUUGACAAAUGAGACAUGUGAAAAUUCAUGGAUGAUACAAAAAUAAUGAGUGAAUAUUGACACAUGUGGUUGUGGAAAUGUAUCAUUGUGGUUGGUCGUGAAAAUAUACCAUAUGGUUGUUUGUAGAAAUACUCAUUGUGAUUAGUUGUGAGCAUUACAUCUUCAUAUCAUACUCAUUCAUGAAACAUUGGUACCACCGUGGUAACAUCUAAGAAACACUGGCAACACCUUUUUUAAAAGAUAUUGUAACACCUUAUAAAACUCUUUCCAAGGGAUGUGCUAGAAAGGGAUAUGAGAUAUGUUAAUUGUAUACGGGUUGACGAACCCUCCAUGGGUCCUGCAUUGGGAGGCUUGCCUCUGUAGGUGUAUUCGGGGAUUGUGCGAUGAUUUUGGAGGUUGUGUGAUGACCUCAUGCAUCAUCAUCAUCAUCAUUAUCAUAUAUAUUGCCCUUACUUUAUUGUGUUAUAUUGUGUUGUAUUGGCAUAUUAACUUAUCAUCUAUGUAUUUAUUAUAUCUUCUUUUAAUUGUAUUUGAUGAUCUUGUAUAUGAAUGUUCCCCUUGUUCUUUUUGUAUAUGAUAUAAUACGUACUUUUGUUCUAUCUUGGUGUGAUGUUGCAAUAUAUAUGAGAUAUAUUAGAACAGUUAAUGCAAGCGGUAUAGGAUACCGUUGGGGGAUAUUUUAUGAUUGUAGGUGACAUGUCCUUAGUGUAUAUUUUGUAUGAUUUAUUGACCACUUUGCUUGGUCGGCCUAUAAUACUUACUGAGUAAAAGUGGACUGUACUCAUGCCUACUGCGCCCUUUUAGUGCAGGUCCUGGCUUGAGUGUGCCUCAACUUGCAUGACUCGAGCGAUUAUUGAAGCUUUCAAGGUAGCAGUUGGACAUUCAUGCAUCCAAAGUUUACCUCUAUCUUUCUACAGUAGUUAUGUCUUUAUUAUUAUUCGGAGACAUAUAUUAUUCAUUUGUGGUUAUUUUUUCGAUGCAUUUGACUCUUGAAUUUUAUUAGUAGUUCCUACACUAUUGACAUCGGGUUUUGGGCAUGAUUGAUAUUUUAGAUAAGUUCUUUCUGUAUUGUUAUGAUUAUUUAUAUGGUUCGGCUUCAUUCUAGAAGCCUUACCUUGGGAUAUUUUUUUUGGUCUCAUUUCAUAUCAGUUUGGAUGAUAGACUUACUUGUCAAGGUACGCUGGGACAAGUGCCAUCAUGACCCUAGUUUUUGGGUUGUGACAAAUUGGUAUCAGAGCAGCCAGGUUUCAUUAGUCUCAAUGGUGUAAGAACGAGAUGUCUAAUAGAGUCUCACAGAUCAGUACGUAGACGUCCAUAUCUAUCUUCGAGAGGUUAUAGGAUGUCUUUAGGAAACCCUCUUCAUUUUAUUCCUUAUCAUGUGAAUUUUUUCAUAUCUUGUCUUCUGAGUUGUGUUUCACUCUUUCUGCGCGGAUGGUGUGGCUUAUACUAUAUAUCAGUUGAGAGAUGCUACGAGAAAUUAGCGGAUAUCAUUUGUCGGUUGUAGGAUUAUUGAUGCUCCUUAGUUGUCAUGGGAUCAGUUUGUUAAUGCCUUUUUAGAGAGAUUUAUGCCUUUUAGUUUGAGAGAUUGUAUGUGGGACGAGUUUGAUCAUUUGGAGCAGGGCUCCAUGAUAAUUUUUGAGUCUAAGGCAUGCUUCCAUACCCUGUCCAGAUAUUUCUAUGAUAGCAUUUCCACCGAGUUUGAGAAGAUUCAAAAUUUUAUGAAGGUUUUGGUUGUCUCCCUUCUGUUGGCUACACUUUAGGUGGUCGUGCUUGGAGCUACUCUUUAGAGUAUUGUGGAUCACUCUAAGAUGACAGAGGGUAUUAUUUAUGCAUCUCAGGAAGGAGACAAGAGGGUACAUCAUUUUGGUGAGUUCAGGAGUCAGACCUAUCGAGGUAGGGAUUUUAGAGGUCCUCGUGGAUACCAUGGUAGGCCAGUGCAGGUGAUUUUAUAGAGUUCAGCUAGUGGAUCUUCUAGUUUAGCAAUUCAGGGUGGCCGUUCAGGCUCAGUUGUACUUUCUCUCAUUGAGACUGAUCGUAGAGGUUGUUAUGUGUGUGAUGAGAUUGGCCAUGUGACCAAGGACUGUUCUCGCCAUAUGUUUAGAGCUACUCCUAUUUCAUCUUUGAGGGAUAAAAUUUCGACCAAAGGUGCAAGAGAUAGAGAUGGUAGAGCCCGUAUUGGUGGUCAUGGGGCUAUAGCCAGUUGGUAGUCGUAUAUAGUGUUAUGCUAUACUAGUUAGAUCUGAGGUGGAGGCUUCAGAUGUUGUGAUCUCAAGUACCAUUUCGUUUGUUUCAGACCUCCAUCUGUAUGAUUUGAUCUUGGAUUGAUUUUCUCCUAUGUGUUUAUAUUUUGCUUUGGAUUUUAAUUCUGUUAAUGAGCCUCUUUCCAUUCCUAUUCAUGUAUCUACCCAGUAGGUAAUUCUUUAGUGGUAAAUUGGGUAUAUUGAUCUUGUGUUGUGACUUUUGCCUGCAGUGAGACUUUGGUAGACUUGCUUGUGUUAGAUAUGGUCGAUUUUGAUGUUAUUUUAGAUAUGGAUUGGUUGGAUCCUUAUCAUGCCGUCUUAGAUUAUUUUUCCAAGACCGUGACUUUAGCUUUCCUGGGUGUGCCAAGAAUAGUUUGGAAGGGUGUACUUCAUUCGGGUCCUAAGAGGAUUAUAGCUUAUGUUCAGGAUCAUAAAUUGGUUGAGAGGUAAUGUUUAUCUUACUUGGCCCAUAUUCAUGACACAAGUGCUAUUUCGCUUCCUUCUUUGGAUUCUAUCCGUGUUGUCUAUGAGUUUAUGAAGGUGUUCUCUUCGGACUUGCCUAGUAUGCCUUCAGAUCGAGAUAUUGAUUUUAUUAUUGAUGUUGAGUUGGGCACCAAGCCCAUUUCUAUUCCUCUUUAUAGGAUGGACCUGACAGAGUUAAAGGAACUGAAGGAUCAGUUACAGGAGUUGUUGGAUAAGGAAUUUAUUCGGCCUAAUGUUUCACUUUGGGGUGUGCCUAUCUUGUUUGUAAAGAGAAAGGAUAGGUUUAUGCAUAUGUGUAUUAAUUAUCAGUAGUUGAAUAAGGUGAUGGUUAAGAAUAAGUAUGCCCUUCCUCACAUGGGUGAUUUGUUUGAUCAGUUUCAGGGUGCAGCGGUGUUUUAAAGACUGAUUUAAGGUUUGGUUAUCACCCGUUGAGGAUUAGAUCUUUGGAUAUUUCAAAAAUAGCUUUUCGAACUCGAUACGGUCAUUAUAAGUCCUUGGUCAUGUCUUUUGGGUUGACCAAUUCCCCUGCCUCAUUCAUGGAGUUGAUAAAUUAGGUGUUUCGACCAUUUCUCGACUCUUUUGUUAUGAUAUUUAUAGAUGAUAUCUUGUUUUAUUCCAAGAGUGAGGUUGAGCAUAAGGACUAUUUAUGGAUUAUGCUUUAGAGAUUGAGUGAUGCGAAGUUGUAUGUUAAGUUCUCUAAGUGCAAGUUUUGGUUGGAGUCUGUUUCUUUCUUGGGUCAUGUGGUGACUAAGGAAGGUAUUAUGGUUGAUCCAACUAAGGUUGCAGUGGUUCGUGAUUGGUCUAGACAUACUUCUCCCAUCGAGAUUCAAAGUUUUAUUGUCUUAGCCAGGUAUUAUCGGCGUUUUGUUGAGGGUUUCUCUUCCAUUGCAGCUCAAUUAACUAAGUUAACUCAGAAAAAGAUUUCCAUCUAUUGGUCUGAUGCUUGUAAGGUGAACUUUCAAAAACUCAAGGAUUUGUUGCUUCAGCUCUUAUCUUGACUUUGCCCAAGGACGGCGUAGGUUUUACCAUCUUUUGUGAUGCUUCAGGUAUUGGAUUAGUUAUUGUGUUGAUGCAGAAGGGCAAGGUAAUUGCUUAUGCAUCUCAUCCGUUGAAGCCUCAUGAGAGGAAUUAUUCAACCCAUGAUUUGAAGCUGUGCGAAGUUGUGUUUGUCUUGAAGUUGUAGAGGCACUACUUGUAUGGUGUCCGUUGUGAGAUCUUCUCAAAUCAUCGUAGCCUUCAAUACUUCUUUACCAGCGAGAUCUUCAUAUGACGCAACGCCAUUGUCUUGAGUUACAUAAGGAUUAUGACUUGACUAUUAUCUACCAUCAGGACAAGGCUAAUGUGGUUGCGGAUGACUUGAGCCGAAAGUCGACUAGCAUGGGUAGCUUGGUGCAUCUUUUGACUCAGGAGAGGCUGUUGGCCUUAGAGGUUUAGUCGUUGGCUAACCUAAUGGUUAGGCUUGAUAUUUCGACACCGGGGCAUGUUUUGGCAUUUAUAAAGGCUAGAUCUUUUUUGAUAGAGCAGAUUCGAGCUCAUCAGUUUGACGAUGUUGGAUUGAGGUUGAUUCAAGAUAAGAUGUUGAGUGGGAAGGUUAAGGAAGCCUCACUUGAUUCAGAUGGAAUGUUUAGGAUUGGGGGCUGAGUUUGUGUGCCGAGAGUAGUGAUUGGAUUAGGUUGAUCUUAGAGGAGGCCCAUUGUUCCAGAUAUUCUAUCCAUCUAGGUGUGACUAAGAUGUAUUAUGAUUUGAGACAACACUACCGGUGGGGUAGUAUGAGGCAAUAUAUAGUGGAUUUUCUGGUUUGUUGCCUAUGUUUUUAGCAGGUGAAGGUCGAUUAUAUGAGACCUGGUGGUUUGCUUCAGAGGUUACCCAUUCCUGAGUAAAAAUGGGAACGCAUCACCAUGGACUUUAUGACUAGUUCGCCUUGUAUAUCUCAUAGUUCUGACAGUGUUUGGGUCAUCAUGGAUCAAUUGACCAAGUCAGCUUAUUUUAUUCUGUUUCAGGUCUCAUUCAGAGCUAAGAGGUUAGCCCCUAUUGUCAUUUGUGAGAUUUUGCAUCUUUAAGGUGCGCCAGUGUCAAUUAUUUCAGAUUAAGGUUCUGUGUUCACAUCUCACUGUUGGAAGACGUUUCAGGAUGAGUUGGGUACUCAGGUUGAUCUUAGCAUAGCAUUUCACCCUAGACUGAUGGCCAGUCAGGGAGGACUACUCAGGUUUAGAGGAUAUGCUCUGCGCGUGUGUGAUGGAUUUUGGUGGCUAGUGGGAGGACUACUCAGGUUUAGAGGAUAUGGCUAGUUGAUGUUUCAAAGAUGAGACCUCGAGGUGCCGACUUUCUUUGUGAGUCUUGGGAUAGAGUUUGGGUCAUUCAGGAUAGACUUAGAGCGGUUUAAAGUAGGCAGAAGUGUUAUACUGAUCGUAGACUUUGUGCAUCGAAAUUUGGUGUAGGUAAUCAUGUUUUCCUUUGAGUGUCACCCAUGAAAGGUGUGAUGAGGUUUGGGAAAAGGGGCAAGCUUAGCCCCAAGUAUAUUGGUCCAUUUGAGAUUCUUUGGACUGUUGGUGAUAUGGAUUAUGAGUUGGUUUUGUCCCUUGAUCUAUCAGCUGUUCAUCUAGUUUUUCAUAUUUCUAUGCUUCGUCAUUAUAUUCCAGAAAAGUCGCAUGUUAUUCAUUAGGAGUCGGUUCAGUUAGAUGAGCGGUUGUCCUUUGUUGAGAAACCGAUUUCCAUUUUGGCUAGGGAUGUUAGGCAAUUGCGCUCUAGAGUGAUCUUGUGGUUCAGGUCCAGUAGCAAUAUCGACCUAUUGAUGAGGCUACUUAGGAGGUUGAGUCUGAUAUGCGUAGUUCCUAUUCCCAGAUUUUCAUUGAUUCAAGUAUUUCCUUGCCUUAGUUCGAGAAUGAACUAGAUUUUUAGUGGUGGAUGAUGUAACGACCUAAAAAUUUGAUGAAAUAUGUAAAAUUUAUGAUUUUGUGUAAUUUGACUAUUUUACCCUUCCCCAUAGUUGCAUUAUGAUAUUCUGGGGUGUGGAAGUGAUUGGCAUGAUUUCGAUUUAUUUUGGUAUCAUUUAUGAAAUAUUGUGGUUUUUGUGGGUCCAAGAGCCUUAUUUUGGACUUAUGUAGAUAUCUUUUGAUUCGUGCGAUGAAUGACCGAACGGACUGUGCCAGCAGCUCCGAAAUAUCGAUUUUAGGCUAGGUAGAUCUUUGGUUUGGGUCCCGGUGCACCCGAGCUCAUUUCAACCUAUAGAUCGAAAAGUUGGAAAAUUGAAAAUAUGGGUGUGGGACCCACAUUUGAUCGAAACGACCUCGGAUGGAAAAUCCAACUUCUCCAACAGAUCCAGAAUGUCGAUUUUAGGGUGUUAGCAUGUUUGGUAUGACUUUAUGGCUUUUAAAUCUCAUUGCGAUCCUCGAUUUGAAAAAUUAUAAUUUCGGAUUUCGGGGGUCAACUUUGUGAAAAUGAUAUUUUUUUGAAAAUCUGAUAUCACCAUCACGUCCGAAAUGUCGAAUUUAGUAUGGUUACAUAGUUCGUUUAUAUAUAUCGGACUCCAAACGAAUUCCGGACACCCCGUCGAACUUCAAAUUAACUUUUAAAAACAAAAAAUCUGCAACUAUAACAGAUUUUCAGCUAUAUAUAGCAGAUUUUCUUCUAUUUUUGGUUCAUUUUGCUCAUUUUCAUCUUGCCUCUUGAGAGUUAAACUUAAAAGUAUGGGAGCUUAAAAGUAAAGUUUGAGGGAGCUUGGGAAACUAGAUUAACACCUUUUUCUGGGUUUUAUUACGGAUUAAAGGUAAGAAUUCACCCAUUUUUUAGUAAUUUCUCGAUUAAUUUCUCAAAACCUCAAAAAUCUUAGGGCAUGAUUUUAAACCCAAAUUUCACUCCUGUUCACUUGAAUAAUAUUUUUAUCUUAUAAUUACUAGUUUUUCAUAAGUUUAACCUUCAAAACAACUCCGAUUCUUGAUUUUAACUUGAUUCAAAGAUUUUACCCGGUAAAACUCAAAAAUGGUUUUUCUUCGAUUUGAACUCCAUUUUUGAUUCGAUUUAACUUGAGUUUUCAGCUGUAGGUUCCUAAAAAUAUGGGAAACAUUUUUUUGAAGUAAAGUUCUGAUUUUGCUUUUCUUUUUUGAAAACCCAUUUCGGGGGUCCGUUUUGGUACCGAACCAAAAGUAGUCAAUAUAUGUGUCGUUAGUUUUGUUUUGAUGCAUAGAUUUAAUAUUUGAUGUUUUUAGUGGAGUUUGAGAUUGUUCAUGAAAAGUAACAUCGCGGGUUCAAGUGUAGCGAAUCGGUUUUGGCUUUCGAGGUAGGUUAUGGCUUAACUCUUCUAGAUUGGGCUGGAUAGUAAAUGAUGGUAUAAAAUGCAUGCUAAGGGUGAGAACUAAUCAUGAAAAAUGGAUAUCUAUGUGUUGUGCCCGUGUGGGGACUUAUAUGCUAUGUAAUUGUCGAAAUUGAGAUAUUAUGUGAUAUGUGUGACCGUGUGGGUCCUAUGUGAUAUUGAUAGCCUUGAAUGCAUAUGGAUAAUUGUAUUGUGUUGUUAAAAUGCUAAUGUGGUAUCAUUGGUGUAUUGUAAUUAUAUUCAUACUUUAUUGGCAAAUGUGACAUGUGAAAAUUCAUGGAUGAUACGAAAAUAAUGAGCAAACAUUGAUGCAUGUGGUUGUGGAAAUGUAUCAUUGUGGUUGGUUGUGGAAAUAUAUCAUGUGGUUAUUUGUGGAAAUACUCAUUGUGAUUGAUUGUGAGCAUUACAUCUUCAUAUCAUACUCAUUCAUGAAACAUUGAUACCAUCGUGGCUACAUCUGAAAAACACUGACAACACAUUUUUAAAAGAUAUUGUAACACCUUAUAAAACCUUUUCAAGGGAUGUAUAUUUAAUUUGGCCCAAAUUUUCGGCACAGCACCACCAUUGAUACAUAAAUACAUUUAUUCAUAAAUUCACUACUAUACACCACAAUUUCAUCUCCACACGCUACAAAAAUAGGGAAUAUUUCAAUUAUAUAUAUAUAUAAAAAAUAGUUUACAACAAACAUAGUCAAUUUUUUUAUAAAAAAAAUAGCCAUUUGGCCUUUUUUUCUUUUUCCUUUUUUUUGAAGCAGUAGUUUUUUUUUUUGAAAAAAAUUCUUUUUAUUGUUUUUUACUGCAUUUUUCUUUAUUAAAAAAAAAAACUUUUUUUAAACUUUCUCCGUAUAAUUUUUUCAUGUAUCAUUAUUGUAUAAAUGAUGUAAAAAUAUGUAUAUAUGAUGCAAAAAUAAUUAUGUAGAUAUCGAAUUUGCAUAAAUAGUUAUGUAGCGUAUAUGUAAUUUACCGAUAUUGUAUAAAUAAUGUAUAGACAUGUAUAUAUAACGUACAAAUUGUUAUGUAGUGCAUAUUUAAUAUAUCGAUAUUGUAUAAAUGUAUAUCAAUAUUGGAUAAGUAGCUAUGUAAAGUAUCAACGUUGUAUAAAUGAUGUACAAGCAUGUAUUAAUAUUGUAUAAAUAGUAUUUAAACAUGCAUUGAUAUUGUAUAAAUAGGUAUGUAAUGUAUUGACAUUGUAUGAAUGGUGUAUAAUCACAUAUCGAUAUUAUAUAAUCAAUUAUAUAAUAUAUCGAUUUCGAUAAUUAUUUCGUUCAUGCAUUCUCACCUUAAUAAAUAAAAGUAUAAGCAAAAAAUGAUAAAAUAAUAUAAAUAUUAAUUUUUUUUCACAAAAAAAAAAAGUGAAACAAUUAGAAAAGAAAAAAGAUUUUAAGUAAAGAGCAACAAAAAAAAAAAAAUUUAAAUAGGGAAUUUUUUUUUUUUUUUUUUUAAAUAGCACAUCAAAAUGAAGUUUUUUUAAUUAAAAAUAAAAUGGUCAAAUGGCCAAAUAUCCGAAUGGCCAAUGGCCGAACAUUUUGGUAAAUGAUGAGUUUUUGUACCAAUAGUCCUACCGACCAUUUUUAGCGAUAACUUUGGCCAGUUGACCAUUUUAAGUUAAAAAAAUGAAGUGGAUUAGUAGUUGUGUAAAAAAAUUUUUCAGUAUACAUGUUGCGUAAUUUUCCCAUAAAAAGAAGGUAACUUCAUCUACAUCAAUACAACAACACUGAACUAUCUUUAUUGUCUCACUUUCUUUAUCCACCCAAAAACUUUCGCCGUUUCUUCUUUAUAAUUUCUUAUUUUUUCCAUUUUAAUUUAUGUAUCUUUUUUUUUUAAUUUGAUAUGUAUUUAAAAAUUACAUAAAAUUAUUUUAAAUUACAAUAAUUAAUCGCUUAAAAUAUUUAACGGCUUAUAAAAUUUUUAAUUCAUUCUUCAAAUACUAUCAAAGUUUCAUACGAUAGAAUGAGUAAUAUAUAUUAUUUGAAAAUUAAUAAGUAGCAACUACUAUAAAUCACAAUAAUUAAAAAUUGAAAAUACGUAAAAAUGUCACGACCCGAACUUUGGGCCUGACCGUUACGGUUAUCUCGAGCCCACCAAGGGCCAGAGAUAACCCCUUAGUCUUACCUCAAGAGCACAAUAAAACUAUACAGCGGAAGCCAAACCAAAAUAAUAAUAGAGUUAGAUAAGUCAAAUAAAAAUUUGAGAGUCAAAACAAAACAACCACAAUAUCCCAAUACUGUCCACAAAAGCCUCUAAUUCAAGAAUACCGACUAGGUCGGGACAUGCCCCCGACUAUGCAAACGAAUACAAAAAGUACUAGGAAUAUAAAGGAAACUAGUGAAAUAACCGGGCCUUCUGAACGAUGGGGGCUCACCACUUCAUAGCUGAUCAACAGGAUAACCAGACCACUUAAUGCUACACAGGAUCAAUAGAAAAGUCCUCAGAACCUACAUCAUGAAAUGAUGUAGCGUCCGAGGAAGGUCAAUGGGGCGAGCACUGGCAUGUAACCCAAGGGAAAGGAUAAAAUAAUGCAUUUACCAAUAGUCCAAUCAUAAACCACUUGCACAACAUUUAUACAUAUACAUAGGAUGCCGGGAUAGGGACAAGAGACAUAAAACAUGAUCCUUUAAAAUUUUUAGUCCUAAACUGUGUAGCUUGUACCAGCCUAAAGGCACCUACAGACUAUAUGGGUCCAACUCCCCCUGUCGGAAGGGCCCCAAUCCGUGUUAGCUGCAUGUAUCGAAGAAUAGGCUAAAGCCAUCAAUAGUCAGUUAGCCUCCCAAAAAUAUAUUAUAUAAAUCUCACACAGUGGUCAUAGACCCUCAAUGUCGGUAAACGUGGUUUCCUAUGUUGGUCUCCUUGGACGACACCUUCUCGGUAAACUACACAAUUUCAUUUAAGUCUAAAUUAAAAUAAUUUACACAUAAACAAACAAUUAACAAUGAUGUCUUUUAUCAAGGCAUUUUUCAACUUGGUAUUGUCAUACCAAUAUGCUUGCAAGCUAUUCCAUUUAUGCCAAACCAAUUCAUAUAACUAAAUUGACUCCAUUUACCGGUUUAAAAUCCAAACUAUAGCCACCAAAGGCAUCCAAAUUCUUUUUAUCCAUUUAUCUUUUAAUGCAAUGCAGUGUUUCCAAAAGAUGAGUUAAAUUGUGCAAAAUCCAUAUUUAAAAACCAAGAUUAUAAAGUGGAUUAAGGUUAAUGCCAUUACCAAGCUAAAACUUCAUCAAUUUGCUGAAACCCAUGUAACCCAUUUCAACCAUAACAACAAUUCAGUAACAAAAAUAUUUAACUAAAGCUUAAAAAACCCAUUAAACUCAAGGUAAAAGUAAUUCAAAUGUUAACAACCAAAAACCCUCAACCCAAUUUCAAACCCAUCAAUUCAAAUCACAUGUAUAUUGAAUAAAUUUAUCCCACAAUGUAAAAUACAAGUUAAGGAAUGAGCAACAUGCCUGAAAUAUAGAAGAAAUCGAAGAGAAAUUAGAGUUUGGAGCCUGAAAAAUGAAAUCCUUGUAAAACCCUUGAAUUUUCUUGACUUGAGAGUUAAAAAGGAUAAGAGGAAGGUUUGAUCUUAAUAAAUGAAGGCAAAAGGGCUAUUUAGGUAUUUUUAAGUCAUUUAAGGGGUAAAGGAUGAAAAAUCAUUCGCCCUCAAGUGAAAGAAAACAAAACAGAACAAAAAUUACAAAGUAGCAUGGCACAUCACUAUCGCAGAGGGUAGCCAGCGUGCCACGCUCUUAUCAUGAUGAUUAAGUGGCAUGGCACACCACUAUCGUGGAUCCUCACUGCCUCUGGGUCCCAAAAUAAUCCCGAAUCCAUUCUAAAAAUUCUAAAACUUUUCCAAAAUACUCCUUUAACAUCCAUUAUCAUGCUUCAAUUCAAAAAUUAACAUUACACACGUGGGAGGAGCAAAAAUAAAUUGGUUGAAAUUUUGCGGGGUCUUACAUUAUCCCUUCCUUUGGAUCAUUUAUUCCCGAAUGAGAUGUUAAGACAAUUUUUAGCAUGAUAAUAGAAGAAAUAUAGUAGAAUUCAAGGACAAAAUUAGAAAUGCUACUAGAGGGAAAUGAAACUCAGACCUUAAGCAUUUUCAUUCAAUGCUGGAAACAAAAAUGAGGAUUUGGCUUUCAUAUCUUCUUCAGAUUCCAAUGUAGCUUCUUCUACCUUUUAAUUUCUUUGAAGAACCUUUACUGAGGCUAUAUCCUUAGUUCUCAGUCUACAAAACUACCUAGAUAAUAUCUCAACUGAAACUUCCUCAUAGGAUAAUGAAUCCUUAACACCAACAUCCUCAACAGGCACUAUCAAAGAGGGGUCACCCACAUACUUCUUAAGCAUGGACAUAUGGAAUACGAGCUGAACCAAAGCUAAACACGUAGGAAAUUCUAAUUCGUAAGCAACAUUAUCAAUCUUUCUUAAAAUCUGGUACGGACCAAUAUAACGAGGACUAAGUUUUUCUUUUUUUCCAAACCACAUAACUUUCUUUAUAGGAGAAACUUUCAAGACUACCCAAUCAUCAGCUUCAAAUUCUAACUCCUUCUGCCUCACAUCUGCAUAAGACUUUUGGAGAAUUCGAGCAGUCUUAAUUAUUUCUAUAAUCACUUGUGCCUUCUUCAUUGCUUGGUGAACCAAGUCAGGGCCAAACAAUCUAGUCUCACCCACAUCAAACCAUCCAAUAAGAUACUUUUACCUUCUACCAUAAAGAGCCUUAAAAUGAGCCAUUUGGAUGCUAGAAUGAUAACUAAUAUUGUAAGCAAACCCAAUAAGAGGAGAAUAGUCAACCCAACUACCUUUAAAAUCAAUCACACAGGCCCUUAGCAUAUCUUCCAAAGUCUUAAUAGUACGCUCUACUUACAACAUCCGUUUAAGGGUGGAAACGGUGCUAAGGUUCAUCUGAGUACCCAAACCUUUCUUAAAAAUGCCAAAAGUGAGAAGAAAACUGCAUACCUCAGUCUGAAAUAAUUGAAACUAGCGGUCUGUGUAACUUGACUACCUCUUGAAUGAACAACUUAGCAUAAUCCUCACCCGAGUAGCUAGUCCUCAUAGGCAAAAUGUAAGAAAACUUGGUCAUCUUAUCUACAGUGACCCAAACAGAAUCAAACAAAUUUUGGGAUUGCAGAAGACCCGUAACAAAGUCCAUCUUAAUCAUCUCCCACUUCCACACGAGAAAUUUUAUCUCUUGAGACCUGCCACCCGACGUCAAAUGCUCUGCCUUGACUUGCUGACGGACCAUACACUUGGCAAUAAAAUUUUCCACAUCUUUCUUCAUAUUAUUCCACCAGUAGAUCUCCUUCAAGUCAUGACACAUUUUUAUCAAACCCAGAUGAACUGUAUAUCUGGAAUUAUGAGCCUCAAUCAAGAUCUUUUCCCGCAACCCAUAUAUGUCAAAAACACAUAACUUACCUUGAUAUCUCAAGGUGCAAUCUCCUCCAAUCUCGAAUGCAAUAACCUUUAGAUGCCCCACAUCAUAUUUAAUUUGCAUAAUUAUGGGAUCCAGAGCCUGUCUCUCUUAAACCUUAGUCCCAACAGAUGAUUUAAUCACUUCCUGAAUGAUCACUCCUCUAUCAUCAAAGUCCAGAAGUCAAACCCCUAAGUUAGCCAGCCGGUGAAUAUCCUUCACCAAUCAUCUUCUCCUCUUCUCAACAUAUGACAGAAUCCUCAUGUAAAACCUUUUAAGAGCAUCAACAACAACAUUAGAUUUACUGGGGUGGUAGUGCAAACUAAUAUCAUAAUCCUUGAGCAGUUCGAGCUACCACCUCUACUUGAGGUUCAAUUCCUUCUGAGUAAAUACAUACUGCAAGCUAUUAUGGUCAGAAUAAAUAUCCACAUGUACCCCAUACAAAUAGUGAUGCCAAAUAUUUAAAGCAAAGACCACAACUGCCAACUCUAGAUCGUGAGUCGGAUAAUUUCUCUUAUGAACCUUAAGCUACCUGGAAGCUUAAGCCACAACUUUACCAUGCUACAUCAAAACCCAACUCAACCCUAUAUGAGAUGUAUCACAAUACACAACAAACCUCUCAGUACCCUCGGGUAGGGUUAAAAUAAGUGCAGAAGUUAGCUUAUGCUUUAACUUCUUAAAACUACCCUCACAAGUAUCCGACCAUAAAAAAUUAACCUUUUUCUGGGUCAACUUUAUUAGUGGAGUAGUAAUAGAUGAGAAACUCUCCACAAAUCUCCUAUAAUACCCAACUAAGCCCAAGAAGCUCCUAAUGUCGGUUAGAUUCGUGGGUCUAGGCCACUUCUAAACCGCCUCGAUCUUUUAUGGAUCCAUUUUAACUCUUUCACUAGAAGCAAGAUGCCUAAAGAAAGUCACAACACUUAGAAAAAAUUCUCACUUAGAAAACUUUGCGUACAAUUCCUAUUCCUUCGGGGUCUGUAACACAAUUUGAAGGUGAUUGGCAUGAUCCUUCUCACUCUUUGAGUACACCAAGAUGUCAUCAAUAAAGACGAUAACAAAUAGAUCUAAAACCUAUCUGAACACUUGGUUCAUAAGGUCCAUAAAAGAAACUAGAGCAUUAGUCGACCCGAAUGACAUAACCAAAAACUCAUACUGACCAUACCAGGUUCAGAAGGCAUUCUUGGGAAAUCAACCCCCUAAUUUUCAUCUGAUGAUAACCUGAAUGAAGAUCUAUCUUAGAGAAACUCUUAGUACUCUGAAGCUGAUUAAAGAGGUCAUCAAUCCUAGAAAGAGGGUACCUAUUUUUCAUAGUCUAUAAACAUCCGAAGAGACCUAUCUUUCUUUAGCAUAAAAAGCACAGGAGCACCCUAGGGAGAAACACUUGGAUGAAUGAACCCUUUAUUAAGAAGAUCUUUUAAUUGCUCCUCAAAUUCCUUCAGUUCAUUUGGAGCCAUCUUAUAAGGAGGAAUGAACAUAGGAAGAGUAUACGGUAGAAGAUCAAUCCCAAAGUCUAUUUCCCUAUCGGGAGAAAAUAUCAGGAAAUUUACUAACCAUAGGGACAGACUUCAAAGAAGGACUAUCGAAGUCAGAGUCCUUGACCCAAACUUGAUGAUACAAACAACUCUUAGAAAUCAAUUUCUGAUCCUUAAGAUAAGAAAUGAAUUUGCCCCUUUGGUACUAAGUAACUCCCCUUCCAUUCUAUUACCGGUUCAUUAGGAAAAUGAAAAGUGACCUUUUGAGUCCUACAAUCUUGAGAAGCAUAGCGCGAAUAAAGCCAAUCUAUCCCCAAUAUCAUAUCAAAUCCACCAUAUCAAGCCCUAUUAGAUCUACCAAGGUCUCCCUAUGAAAGAUAGACACCACACAGCCCCUAUAGACUCUUCUAACAACAAUUGUCUCACGUACUGGGAUAGACACUGAAAAACGGUCAAAAAUAUUUUUGGUACCAAAACCAAAUUGCACAGCCACAAAAAAAGUUACAUAAGAUAGGGUAGAAUCCAAAUCAAGUAGACAAUAAACUUUACAAGAGAAAAGCUAUAACAUACCAGUGAUAACAUCUGGGGAUGCCUCCGAUUCUUAGCGAGUGAAAAGAGCAUACUGACAAUUUUGACCAGUUUUCAUCCCUAAAGAAGCAACCUUAGCUGUGAGAGCUGCUAAAGUGGCAACCAAAACCUUGUUAGCUCAUGUGGCAACCUUAGCUGAAGGUAUAAUCACGCUGCAUAUAACCAAGAUAACCAUAAUUAAGACAUCAAUUUCUCUCCCCACCUACAAUUACCAUGGUGAAGCUUCUCACAACCACAAAAAGGCAAAUAGAGUAGGGUUGACUGAGCUUCACUAGCCUGAGAUGGAGCAUCCUAUACUAGAGGACCAUUGCUAUACUAAGAGCAUUGAUCAACCAUAUACUUAGGAUAGGGAGCACUACCAUACGAAUACGAAUUUCCCUAGUUCUUCUUCCUAGGACAUUUCCUACCAUCUUUUCCACUAUUUUAUUAAUUUAUACCCUACUCUACAUACCUAAACUUCUUGCUUUGACUCUCUCCCAUUUCUACCUACUUUUUCUUCUCAUCUUCUACCUGGUGCUUAUGGACUAUCAACAUUAAUAUAUCUAUAUCAUUAUUAAACAUAGCAUCCUUACACUCUAACACCAAAUCACUAGACAGACCCAAAGCAAACUUCCUCAUUCGGGACCUCAUACUUGAUGCUAGUUCAAAGUAUAAUGAGACAAUUAGGAAAAUUUCAAUGCAUACUCCGUAAUGCUCAUCUUACCCUACUUCAAACAUACAAAAUAUCUAGCCUUAUCCUCCCUCAACUCAUGAGAAAAGAAAUGAUCAAGAAAAGAACUUGAGAACUCAUCCCAAUUGCCAGCUCAACAUCCUCACCUCUCAGCUCUUUCCAUUGAUAAGCCACUUCCUUUACCUAAUAAGUUGCAAACUCAACCCCUUCUGAAUCUCUACCAUUCAUCACCCUAAAUAUCUUCUCUAUCUCAUCAAUAAACCCUUGAGGAUCCUCCUCAACCUUAGAGCCUAUAAAGGUUGGGGGAUUCAGCCUCAUAAACUGACCAACCCGAGUAACUUUAGAUGAACUGGGGCAGGACCAACAUGAUCAGAAUAAUGAGACUACGAUGCCACAAUCUCACAAGCAUGAGGAUGUACUGAUGAAACUCCAUAUUCAAAUAUCUUUCUAAGAGACUGGGUAGAGAUAGCACCAGACCAGAAGGUCUGAGAAGAACUAGUGGGGAUCGAUGAAAGCCAAGGUAGAGUAGUGCAGUAAAGAGUAAAGGCCCUAGAUCGAGUCUGAAUUUCAUGAGUAGGGCAAAUUUCUUCCGUAUUUACCUCAAUUAGAUGUAGGUUCCAACUGAGUUUCUAUGAACAUUAGAUCUUUGAGGAGGCAUGAUCUAAAAUAUGGGGAAAUCAAGAGUUAGAGAACACUCAAAGCAACUAGACUUUCUCUCAUAAAAUUAAACUCAAAGAAGGGAAACAUUCUUAAAUACCUUGUAGCCUAGACCUUAUAAGUGUGGCCCUAUACAUUCCCAUAAAAGGGACUCUACUCGACACGAUUUUAUGGAUACUCAACGACUUUGAACCUGGCUUUGAUACUAAGCUUUUCAUGACCCAAACCUGGGCCUGGCUGUGACGGGCAUCCUGAGUCCACCGAGGCCGGAGAUAACUCCUAGUUUUACCUUAAGAGCAUAAUAAAAGUAUACAACAGAAGCCUAACCAAAAUAAUAAGAGAGAUAAAUAAGUCAAAUAAAAAAUACGACAACAUCCCAAUACUAUCCACAAGAUUCUCUAAUCUAAGAAUACCAACUAUGUUGGGACAUACUCCCAACUAUGGCAAAUGAAUCUAAAAGUACUAGGACUAGAACAAAAACUAGUGAAAUAAUUGUGCCUUCCAGAAAAGAAAGGCUCACUGCUUCAUAACUGAUCAAUAGGAUAACUUGUCACGAUCCAAAAAUAAGGGUCAUGAUGGCACUUAUGGCGAUGUACCUUGACAAGUGAGCCUAUCACCCAAAUUGAUGCAAAAAGAAGAAAUACCAUAAAUAUCCCAAGGUAAGGCUUCUAUAACGAAGCCGAACGAUACAAGUAAUCAUAACAAUAUGGAAAGAACGUAUCCAAAGUACCAAUCGUGCCUAAAACCAGGUGUCAAUAGUAUAAGAACUACUAAUACAAUCCAUGAGCCAAAUACAUUAGAAAAAUAACAAAAAAUGAAUAAUAUCUGUGUUCGACUACUAGUAAAUACAUAACUACUAUAAAAAGAUAGAGGUGAACUCCAAACGCAAAAAUGUCCAACUACUACCUUAAAAGCUCCAACAAUCACCUGAGUCAAGUAAGAUGAGGCGUACUCGAGCUAAGACCUGCAUCAAAAGGGCGCAGUAGGCAUGAGUAUGAUGCACUUGUACUCAGUCGGUAGCAUAGGCUGACCAAGCCAAGUUCUUUAUAAAGCAUACAAAAUAUACACUAAGGGUACAUCACCUGCAAUCAAAAAAUAUCCCACAAUGGUAGCCCAUACCGCUUGUACUAACAGUUCUAAUAUAUCACAUAUAUUGCAACAUCACACCAAGGUAGUUAACAAAUAUAAAUUUUAUCACGUAUAAGUAGAAUAGAGGGGAACAUGCAUACACAAGAUCAUCAAAUACAAGUAAAAGAAGAUAAUUACAUAGAUGACAAGUCAAUAUGGCAAUACAAUACAAUAUAAACACAAUAAUAUAAGUUCAAUGUACACCAUGAUGAUGAUGAUGAUGAUGCACAAGGUUAUCGCACAACCUCUAGGAUCGUCAUACAAUCCCCGUAUAUACUUAUGGAGGUAAGCCUCCCAACACAGGACCCAUGGGUGGUUUUUUCAACCUAUAUACGAUCCAUAUAUCUCAUAUAUCCUCCCUGGAACAUCUAUCAAAGAGGGUCUUAUAAGGUGUUACAAUAUCUCUUCCCCAACACUUCCCUCGGGAAGGGUUUUAUAAAAGGUGUUGCUAGUGUUUCUCAGAUGUUUCCACGGUGGUACCCAUGUUUCAUGAAUGCAUAUGAUAUGAGGAUGUAAUGCUCAAAACCAACCACAAUAAAUAUUUCCAAAAUCAAUCACAAUGAUAUAUUUCCACAACCAACCACAGUUAUACAUUUCCACAACCACGUGAGCUACUAUUCACUCAUUAUUUUAUUUCAUCCAUGAAUUUCCUCAUGUCUCAUAUAACAAAAAGUAUGAAUAUAUGGGUCCCAUUUGAGGUCAUUUCGACCAAAUGUGGGUUCCACACCCAUAUUUCUAAUUUUUUAACUUUUUGACAAUAGGUCAAAAUAAGCUCAGGUGCAUCGAGAUCCGAACCAAAGGUCUAUGCAACAUAAAAUCGAUAUUUUGAAGUUGUUGGUGUAGUUCAUUCAGCCAUCCAUCGCAUGAAUAAAAAGAUAUCCACAUAAGUUCAAAAUAAGGCUCUCGAAGCCAUCAAAAACCACAAUAUCACAUAAAUGGUACCAAAAUGCUUUGGGAACUAUGCCAAUUGCCCCAUACCCUAGAAAUACCAUAAUGCAACUAUGGGGGUGGUAAAAUAGUCAAAUCACACAAAAUUAUAAAUUUUACAUAUUUCAUUAAAUUUUCAGAUUGUUACAUCAUCCACCACUAAAAUCUAGUUCGUCCUUAAACUAAGGCAAAGAAAGACCUGAAUUAACAAAGAGUUGGGGAUAAGAACUAUGCAUAUCGAACUCGACCUCCCAAGUAGCCUUAUUUAUAGGUCGAUGUUGCCACUAGACCUUAACCACAAGGAUAACUCUAGAGCGCAACUGCUUAACAUACCUAGCUAAAAUAGAGAACAACUUCUUAACAAAGGACAACCACUUAUCUAACUGAACCGACCCCCAACAAAUGACAAGAGACUCGUCAAGAAUAUAGCUGCAAAGCAUAGAAACAUGGAAAACUAGAUGAACAACUAAUAGAUCAGGAGCAAAACCAACUCAUAAGCCACAUCACCAAUAGUUCAAAAAAUCUCAAAUGGGUCGAUAUACCUAGGUCUAAGCUUGCCCCUCUUCCCAGCCUCAUUACACCCUUUAUCGGUUAAACUCAAAGGAAAAAAUAAUCACUAACACCAAAUCUCAAGGAAUGAAGUCUAUGAUUAUCAUAGCACUUUUGUCUACUCUAAGCCGCUCUAAGUCUUUUCUGAAUGACCCAGACUCUAUCCAAAGACUCACAAAGCAAGUCUGUACCUCGAUGUCUCACCUCUGAAAUAUCAAACCAACCCACUGGCGAGCGACAAUUCCUAUCACAAAACUCCUCAAACAGAGCUAUAUCAAUACUAAAAUAGUAGUUAUUAUUAUAUCCAAACUCAAUUAAAGCUAAAUAUUACUCCCACAGGCAACCAAAAUCCAUUAUGUAUGUGCCGAGCAUAUACUCUAAAACCUAGAUAGUCCGCUCUAACUGGCCAUCAUCCUGGGGGUAAAAUGUUAUACAAAGAUCCACCCGAGUACCCAACACACCCUGAAAAGCCUUCCAAAAGUGAGAUGUGAACAAAGAACCUCAAUAUCAAAUAAUGGACAUCGGCACACCAUGAAAUCUCAUAAUAUCAUAAAUAUAGAUACGAUCCAACCUCUUAGUAUUGAAAGAAACAUCAAUUGGAAUAAAAUGAGCUAACUUGGUUAAUUAAUCCACGAUAAACCAUAUACUAUCAAAACCAUAAGAAGUAAGACGUAACUCAGUCAUGAAGUCCAUAGUGAUCCAUUCCCCUUCAACUCGAAAAUGGAAAACCUUAGAAGUAAUCCACCAGGUCUCAUAGGCUCAACCUUUACCUGCUAAUAACAUAGGAAAUGAGCUACCAAAUCCUCUAUAUCUCGCCUCAUACCAUCGCACCAGUAGUGCUAUCUUAAAUUAUGAUAUAUCUUAGUCACACCUAGAUGGAUGAAUAUCUGGAACAAUGGGUCUCCUCCAAGAUCAAUCUAAUCCAGUCACCAUUCUUAGCACACAAACUCAAUCUCCAAUCUAGAAAACUAUAAGACCUCACCAAGUUCCCUCAUUGUCUGAGCCUUAGAGCGUGUCAAGUGAAGUAUAAUUCCAGCUCUAAAAGAUUGAGAAGUGACUUUUUAAGUAAUUGGUGUUUCAACCAUAUAGAAUUUUAAAUUUGAAUUUAUGUUAUGUAGAGAAUUGAAUUAGCUUUCCAACGCUACCAAUUUCAUAUAAAUCUGGUAUCAGGGUGAGAAGUUAUGAUCGUUUUACUAAGGAUUGUCGGAACCGCCCGGGUGCGAUGGACGAUCCGAUGGACCAUUGCUCGGCUCAUCGCAACUAAGGCAGUAACUUUCUUUUCUGUCCUAAGUGCGAUUGGCAAAAUGAUGGACCAUCAAGGCUGCGAUGGACCGUCGCACUCAGGCAGUGUGGCCUCAUCCUGGACAAUGUGCAAUGGAUGAUCCAAUGGACCAUCAAGUUAAGCAACAGACUGUCACUUCGACCGUCAUACUGAGGUAGUAUGUUUUUUAUGACCAGCGUGCGAUGGACGACCCUACGAACCAUUAAGCUAGCGAUAAACCGUCAUUUCGACUGUCACAGCCCCCAUUCAGUAUUUUUAAGUCCUUUUUAAAAGGGGCUUUUGGGUAUUUUCCCUUUUAACCCAUAGAUAUUUUCCAAAUAAACUUGAUAGCCUCAUUUUCUCCCAAAAUAUCCAAAGUCUAGGGUUUCUCCCUUAAGAAAAAAUCUAAAACCCUUCUCCAAGAAAUUCAAGAACUCACCAUAGAUUCUACAAACUGAGUUGAGUUUGAGUUCCCCAAGUUCAAAGGUUGCAAGAACUCUCUCUCAGAGUAAGAAAGAAUAGUUUAGAGCAAGCUCAUUCAUCCAAUUUCAUAAUUGAAGGUAUAUGGAAUUUUGAACAAGGGUAAUCCUUUCAUCCUUGUGCUCAAAGGCUUAUUUAAACUAUAAUUUUCUGCAAUCUAUGAGAUUUUACAUGAAUUUGAAUUAGGGUUUUUCACCCAUUUUUAUUGAUUGAAAUAUUUUGAUGUUUCCCAUGAAUUGAGAGUCUAAUGGCAUGAUUUUCACAUAUUUUCUUGAGAAAUUGCAGUUGGGUCUAUACCCCAUGAUUUUAAUCCUUGAGAAAUUAAUAGUUGAAAUAUUUUAGAUAUUGAAGUAUAUGAGUAUGUUGAGACUUUGAGACAAAUUACUAAAAUUUCCAGAUUUCUACAUGAGUUAUAAAUCUAUAUGCUAUCUAUUAUGCUUUUGAUGAGUUCUAACUUGAGAUUGAAUUAUGGGUUAUUAAGACCCACUUGAGACUUGAGAUUUUAUGAACUAUUGUUCUAUAAGCACCCAUGAUUUGAGUAUUCUGAGAUUAUUGAGGAAUGUUUUGACCUAAUGGUCACUGAUUUUUGAAAUCCACUCUACUACAUGAGAUUACAGAUUUGAUUAUUGGGUUCUUAUUGAGCUAUGAGAUUAUUCUGAAGUAAAUUUUCAUGAGAUGAGUGAGAUAAACUAAAGGGAGUAGUAUUUAGUACCAAGUUGGGUAAGUUACUAUGGUUUCUUACCCCAGAACUAUGUGCCACCGUAGGUUGGGCCUAAGGCCGAGAUAAUUGUUAGGCCUAAGGAUGAGAUAUUAGGCCCGUGGCUGAGAUAAGUGAUCACUGAGUUGAGGUUAUACUCCUUGGAAAGAGUAUGAUGCCGCUCCCUAAUGUGAGGUCUCUUCCUUAGGAGGACAAAACGUUGGACUCCAUGUAGCUCACAUGGUUUAUGUCGGUUAAGAGAACCUCCCUUGAUACAAGUUAUUUUCCUAAUAUUAAAGUAUCGUAUUUGCUCCUUAAGACCAAAUUAUUUUUCCUUGAUAUAAGUAUUUUCUCUAAAACAAUGAUAUAAGUUAUUUACCUAAACUAGAGUAUCUUUCCAUUGCAAUAGAAUAAUUUUCCUAAAACUUGAAAUGAGAUAUUUUCCUAAAGUGAAUGAAAUACUUUCAAUUAUGUUUUAAAGUUAUAUUAUUCUGAAUUCCAAGUGCUUGAGUUCAAAAAAGUAAUGAGUUCUUGAGCAUUAAAGAAGUUUUACUCUCCAUGAGACAUAUGAAUGAGUUGAAAGUAUUGUUUAAAGUUUCUUUUAGCCUAUGAGUAAUGAGAAUAAGAAAAGAUUAUCGAUUUCAAAGUUAAACUAUGAUGACUCACAAGAUUUAUGUUACAUGCUCCAUUCUACAUGAUUCAUGAGCUUUAUAUUUUAUACUUAUUCAAGCCAUGUGAUUCAUUGCUUAUUGCAUGCAUGAUUUGAUUAAAGAGUAUUGAUGUUGUUUUAUAUAAAUGCAUGCAUCCCCACAUACUCAGUGCAUUCCCAAGUGCUGAUCCACAUAUACGUCUAUGUGCUACAAUGUCUUAUAAUGUAGGUUUAGGUGCUCAGUCCCAUCUUGGUUAGUGAAUUCUAAGUACCUCUGUCUACAUCCCUACAGUGGUGUAUCCUCAUGGUUCCAAGACCUAUCGUCUGACAUUUCAACAUUUGAGAGACUAUGUUAUUACUUUCAGUUUAUUUUGAGUCAGUUGGGGAUCUGUCCCAAUGGCUCUCUAGUUCAUGGAUUAGUAGAGGCUUUGUCAGACUAGUUAUCAGAUUGUUGUUGUGUUGAGGUUUUUUGGUAUUGCUUGGUCAUUUGGACCGAGCAUUUUCUCCGUAUUUCCUUUUAUAUGAUAUGACUAUGCUAGUUUUUAAAUUAUUUUAUUGUGAAAUGAGUGUUAUUAGUACAAAUAGGAUCAAAGGGUUAGCUUGGGUCUACUUGUAGACUUAAGCACCGUGUGACGUCUUGGGAGGUGAUUUUGGGUCAUUAAAAACUUGGUAUCAGAGCCUAUGGUUUUAAGGAGUUGUAGGGAAUUUGACAAGCCAUGUUAAGUAGAGUCUUGAUCAUCGGUGUGUAGCACUCCACAUCUAUGAAUAAGAGGCUGUGAGACAUUUUAGGAAAAAAGGUUGUUUCUUCUUUCAGAAUCUAUUGUGCCUAGAAUUGUCCCUCUCAUUUAAUAAUUCAUGCUCUUUUGUUUUAGAAAAUGCCUCUCUAAAGAGCGAAUGCUCGCAGGAACAAUGAUGAGCAACCCCCACCAGUUGAUCCUUUGAAUGAGACUGUCUCAUGUCAAGUUUUGAGUGGCCUUUCAGGCAUUAGCCCAAGAAGUCACCGCCAAUGUUCAGGCCAAUAACCAGGCUGCAGUUGCUAAUCAGCAGGGAGAGGAUGUAGCUACAGCUAGGAUUCGUGAUUUUAUAUGGAUGAAUCCGCUUAAGUUUUAUGGGUCUAAGGCAGGUGAGGACCCACAGUUAUACCUUAAGAAGGUGAGAAAGAUCAUGCAAGUGGUGUAUGGUUUUGAGAAAGAAAGUGUUAAGUUAGCGUCUUACAGGCUGAAGGAAAUUGAUUAUGACUGGGUUGUAUCAUGGAUUCAUCAAAAAAAAAUAGAGCAGCAUGUUUAUGUCAUGAAAUUUUGGGGAUAUGAUGUAAAUCCCCCUUGGGACACUAUGUCCCUCAAAGGAUACUGACUUGGAUGAGCUACUGAGGGAAAUUGAGGCAAUGCGCAGGACACCUAGGAAUUGAGUCAUGACUGAAUAGCUAGGAUCUGAAACUGAGACAUGAUACAUGAACUAAGCUGAACACGAGUGCAUAAAUACACUAACUUAUCUGAUUAACUGAAUAACUAAUAGCUGAAUACUGGAUCUGCAAAGCUAAACUGUACUUAGUCUGAAUAGCUGGGCUGAGAUUUUUAAGUUUUAUUUAUUGGAGAUAAGGACUAACUGAGUAGAAUAAGGUAUCUGAGCAUGGAUUCAUAAAGUCUAUAUUAUUUUCGAAUGCAAGACCAAGCGUACGACAUGGCUCUGAGGUAUUCUAUAAAGUGGGGUACUGAAACACUGAUAACUGAGUACUGAAAACCUGAAUGCUAUGCUCAAGCAUAUCUAGAACUGAACUGAGUUUCAAAUAUGGUUACUGAACUAAAGAUGACAUUAUAACUAAGCCUAUAGCUAGUACAGAAGUACUGAAUUCAAGGACUGAACACUGAUCAAUGAGUGGUGGAUACUGAAACUAUAAUUGAGUUGGCUACUGAGUUUUUGAUGGCUACAUGAUGGGGAAUGACAUAAGUCAAGGAUCUAAAUGUACACUUAGACUUUGUACUUUCCCAACUUCUGUUUACUUGAAUAUUUAUCAUGACAUUCAAGCCUAUCUUCACAACUACACUUUCGUGCAAAGUAAGCAUGCAACAAUCUUCUCUUAUCUAAACAACUUCUCAUCACUACACUGUUCCAUAAGGAGAGCUAAUUGGAGGAGUAAAUCAGGAGGACCUGAAACAUGAAUAGAUACUAACUAAACUUAACACAUGACUGAAACUUAAGGAAUAAAAUAUAAAUAGUUUGGAUUUACUAAUAAGGUCUAAAAUGAAGAUAUACAUGACAUAGUCUAAAUGUAUCUGAUCUGUAGGGGAAUAGCAUGAGUUAUGAAAGCUAAGUAUACUGGAAAGCAUGAUAUGCAUACAUGAGUCAUGAGCUGCAUGACCUGAGUCUAGUGUUUUCUGUACUCGUGGGACAUAAUUCGAAUACUGAGGGAGAUGGAACUACACCCCUUAUACUGGGAACUGAAGGCGCACAUAAUCCCAUGGAAAGUAUGUGAAAGUAGAUUAUUCUCAUGGAACAUGACUCGUACUGUGGAGUAAAAGGGACUCCUUAUGCUGGAAAUUAAAUUCAUAAAUGAUUAUAAUUCGUGACCAUAGAGUUAGUAUGCAAUGCCUGAGUUGGUUUCAUGAUAGCUGAAGUGAAAAACUCUGCACUGAAAUAAGAAUUGGUCUGGAAUUGUCUUCCCUUACUGCUUUCUAUAUAUACUGGCUUUACUACUAAAAUUUGAGGGCCUGUCUUAGGUACUUGAUCUACCAUCACAUACCUACAUUAUGUUCAACACCUGUCUAUCUUACUAAAUGCAUCAUCUGAUUCUGUUUCCUCAUAUACUGCUAAUAUAACAUGCACACCUUCAUGCUUAAUUUUGAGUCAAUAAACUUAAGUGUUUAGCUCGUACUGUUCAAGCCUACUGAUCUACCCCAUGAAUACAUAAUCUGAUAAAAUAGAAUAAUACUAUCCCAACUCUACUACUGCUAAACUUCUGGGUUCAAGAAUGAGUUCUCAUGAUCAUGAAUAAAAUCUGUACGACCUUGAAACAAUAAUGAACUGAUGGGAUACUGUUUGAGUUUGUUGCUAAUCUCAUAACUGACCGUAGGGACUGUCUUAGAAAGCCCUGUCUUUAGGACUUUGAACUUCACUAUUUUUAUUACCUUGAAAGUAAGGUAAAGUGAACAUAAGGGGUGCAUGAUAUAAAUCUACAUGGUUUCCUUAAAGAAACAUGCCAUAGCAUGAUCUUGAGACAUGAAAGAAGGAAAACUAUUCCUAAAACAUCUCAAAGCCUCCUGCACAUAAGUGUGGUGCACAACACGCCCAUGUACAAGACUCUACUUGAAGCAGCUUUCAGACUUUCUAGCAUACUGUUGAACCUUAGGCUUUGAUACCAAGUUUGUAAUGCCCCAAUUUUCUGAACCAAAAUACUACACAGUGCUCAUGACCCCAAAGGACCACAAGCUAACCCAUGACUGAUAUCUGUACCUAUAAACUGUAUAUUAUCUCAUAAAAUAUGCGGAAACAUGAACUGUAAGGCCAUAAGGUUCAAUACUAAUACAUAUUUGAAAAAUAUGGUAUAUCAAUACCAAAAAGGAACAUAAAUACUAAAGUCUGAACAUCUAAUCUAACAUCUAAUCUGAAAGCCUCUAACUGAACUGAAUAAAUAAUUGAUAGGACAUAUCCUAACUAACUCCAACUACUGAAAUAAAGUGAAAACUGAAAUAGAAAUGAAAUCAUCAUGUUCUCAAAGGAUGAGGACUCACGUCUAACUCUGACUGCUGAUCCUGGAAUCUACUAUUGAUUUGGAGCUCAUGCCUCUGAACCUAUGGUGUAACAUAAGAGAAAGUACCAUAGCACAAAUGCAUUAGUACGUCUGAAUGUACUGAAUAUACGAUUUAGGUAGGCUAAAUGCAAAGGGUUAUAUGCAUGGACAAUAACGACUGAUAUAAAUGUGAGAGUACAUACAUGCAUACAUAACAGUAAUUGAACUCAUAGAGAUACAGACUACUGAGUUUGAAUACUGACAACAUGAGCGUACUGAUAAUGAGAUUCUGAAAGACUGAGUUUACUGAUAUUGAUAUGUAAAUCACUAAUAAGUGAUGGAUCUGAUACUGUAUUACUGAAUAAUAAGAGACUGAUAUUGCAUUACUGAUAAAUGAAUGAUUGUUUCUGACAAUUUAAAUUAUGAAGAACUAGUCUGAUUGACUGUAUCUGACAGUCCUGAAGCUAAGUACUGAUAGCAUGAGUUCUGAUAAAUUUUGUGAUUUAUAGCAUAAGUGAUUGUAUCUGGCAGUCUAUAAAUCUGAAGGAAACUAUUUGAGUUAAUUGUAUUUCUGAGUUGAUUGUAUCUAACAGUCCUGAUAUACUAAAAUCUAAAGAGCUAUCUGAGUUCUUUACUGAGACUGGGUAGCUAUAGUUGACAAUCCUGAAAUCUGUAACUGAAAUUGUAGGAAGUAGUUAAAUAAUUGACAUGCCCUAAAUACGCUAUAAUAGCUAAGCUGGGUCCAAUCUCUGCCCCAACUGGAGGGGUGUCAAUACCGUGCCAAUGGUAAGGACAGCUGUGAGAACCCUAUACUGGCAGGUACUCAAUGAGAGUGGUGGGAACCCUAAACUGAAAAGUUAAGCCACCUCAUUAACCCUAAUCUGACGGGUUAAAAUAUCCCAACCUACGCUAGCUACGUAGUUCUGGAACACAAGGAUGACUACUAAGAAUCACACACUGAACUAGCGGGUCAGUUCCCAUCCUUGGGUUCACUCAAUGCUAACUUCUACUCCCAUCUGAAGGACACUGAACUGAAUAACUAAGCUGAACUGAAUAACUGAACUGAACUGAUUAGCUGAACUGGUACUGAUUAACUGGUCUGAUACUAGUCGUAUUGUUUAGCAGAGCUAAACUAAGUUUACUGGAUUCUAAUGAAUGACGAAAUGUACUGAGUUCUGAGGACUGGUUGAGAGUAAUGAAGUUACUGAGAUUGACUGUGAAUAUUGACGUUGCUGAGGUUACUGAGCACUGAGAUUACUGAGAUUACUGGACUACUGAGAUUACUGAGAUUUUUUAGUUUUCAUGAGUCACAUGACUGACUGAAUUCUAUAGAUCAUGGCUUGAUUGAGAGUAUCGUGAAAACAUGACAUGGCUCUAGGCACACAGCUAUAUUUUUCAGGUACAAGUACCCCCAGGACUCGAUGGUAGAAAACUGAUACAACUUGAAUUUCUUCAGUACAUGACCAUCAAUAAAAAUCCAUAAUACAUGAGUGAGGGAUUUCAUGAAGUACAUGGUCAUCAUAAUAUCUAUCAUGAAUAGGAAUGCUUAUAAUCAAGUCAUAAAUCUCAUAUUCUAAUAUCAUGGGCAUUCCAACAACAUAUACUAUUCAUAGCAAUCGCGUGGAAACCAUUCAAGCGUAAGGGAAUGACAGCAUGUAAUGUUUAGUUCAUAUUGUAAUGAUUUGGGGAUAUUAUACUUCAUGUAUUUAUUCAACAUCUCAAACAUGGUAGGGAAGCAUGGAUAUAUUUUGUGUACAUAAUUUAUAUCUCCAUUAUCAUACAUGCUUUAUACCACAACAAUAACAACACAUAAUUUGAAUGGAAAUUCAUAUUGGAGUGUAUGACUAACAUGAACUUGUUAUUUAGAUAUCCUAAAAUCAUGUAAAUAUGAAGUUCUAACAUACUAGGCAUUUUAUCAAACACCUUGCAUGCAUUCUUUAAGGCAUAGGUGGAUUUCAUACUUGCAUUCUAUCAAUCCAUCUAAAGAUCAAGUUUUUAAACUAACAACAUAAGUUUCAUGAGAAAUACAGUCACGAUACUAUUAUAUAGAAAAACAAACAAGUAUCAACAUGGGUAUGAUCAUAUCACCACAAUCAACCAAGCUUUUGUAUUUUAAAGAUUGAUCAUUGAACUCCACGGACGAAAGGAAUUCGUGGAUGAACACUACUCAUACCUUGGAAGGGAGGUUCUUGAUGAUUGACGGAGGAAUUUCCUUGAAAUUGGAUCUUCAAGCUUAAUUAUCCAACCCUAGUUGUUUUUCUCUUUUAGUGCUCUUGGAUGAUGAUCUUUGAGAUGUUAAUAGGGUUAUAAUGUGUUUAGAAGCUAUAUAUUUCGUAGGGUUAAGUUUAGGGAUGUGUAAGGAGUGUUAAAAGACUUAAUUACCCUCAAAAUAACUCAAAUCAGAGUGUUUUUGGCAUUGGAACUAUCUUAGGCGGCGCCUAACCAAUCACCUAAGUUUGGUUAGGCGGCGCCUAACCAAUCGCCUAUCCUUACUGUCUCUCACGAAAAUGGGCAUAAAUUUUUGCUCGAGCAUUGGAUUAAGGCAAAAUUGGUAUCAUUGGAAAUCUAAUUCAAUUAUUUACAAUUUGAAGGGUAUAAAUCAGCCAAAAUACCACAUUAACAUUAAGUUAUACUCGUUCAAAAAUGACGCUUGAAAAAUCGAACACUAUAACUUGAUGGAUUCAAAAACUUUUAUCUUGUAUUACCUUAAGUGACUCAUAUGAACAUGCUUAAUGUAUCAUAAGCUAUCUUAUCUCUAGGAUACUCAUUUUAAGUCAUGCACUAAAAUGCUACUCACAGGAUAGGAGGUUUCAUACUUAGGAAAAAUGAUUUGUCUCCUAGCUUAGAAAUAUAUGGGGUAUUACAAUAUCUCCCCCGUGGGAACAUUCGUCAUCGAAUGGAAAUAAACUGAAGUGGGAGAGAUGAUAAGAUGUAGUACGUACAAGAAAUACACUACUAAAACAUGGGUUCAUGACUGGCAUGACUGAAACCUAAGCACAACAUACUGAACAUGUAUAUCUGAUGCAUGGGAAGCUGAUUAUGAAUAUAAGACUGAGGAUUCUAAUAAAGUAAGUUUUCUCAAAAUGAGAAUGCAUAUCUGAUGCACAACUGAAAGGUUGAAUCCAUGCAUAUCUGAUCCAUGAUUAUAUGACUGACAUAAUACGUGAAUGCAUGACUGAAAGUACUAAUGAGCUUAUCACACAUAUCUGAUGCGUAAAUUCAUGACUAAACUUACUCAUGAACAUGCAAUGGUAAAGGUAUCAAGUUUGAACUCAAAACUGAUCAUGGAACUAAAUACCAAGUUUGGCACUGAAAUAUGAACAUGAGAACGAGUAAGUUUAAGGAAAACUGUUACCUUGAACUGAUAAUACCGAUAAGUUUGAGAUUAAUUAAUCCAUAUGCAUGAUCGGAAACAUGAGAACAUAACUAAGUCUGGGACAUGGUAGAUAUACUGAAUAUCAUCAUCUAAACUUAAUCUUGAAAACAUGGCAUACUACUGAAGUUGGAGUUUGAGGGUUAACUUAUGAAUACCCCUUCUCCAAACUUGAUUCAUCAAAAGAAAAUAAAGCAGCAUGUUUAUGUCAUGAAAUUUUAGGAGUAUGAUGUCCCCUUGGGACACUAUGUCCCUCAAUGGAUACUGACUUGGAUGAGCUACUGAGGGAAAUUGAGGCGAUGCACAAGACAACUAGGAACUGAGUCAUGACUGAAUAGCUAGGAUCUGAAAUUGAGACAUGAUACAUGAACUGAGCUGAACACGAGUUCAUAAAUAUACUAACUUAUCUGAUUAACUAAAUAACUAAUAGCUGAAUACUGGAUCUACAAAGCUAAACUGUACUUAGUCUAAAUAGCUGGGCUGAGAUUUUUGAGUUUUAUGCAUAGGAGAUAAGGAAUAAGUAAGUAGAAUGAGGUAUCUGAGCAUGGAUUCAUGAAUUCUGUAUUAUUUUCAAAUGCAAGACCAAGUGUAUGACAUGGCUCUGAGGUAUUCUAUAAAUUGAGGUACUGAAACAUUGAUAACUGAGUACUGAUAACCUGAAUGCUAUGGUCAAGCAUGUCUGGAACUGAACUGAGUUUCAAAUCUGGUUACUAAACUAAAGAUGACAUUAUAAGUAAGCCUAUAGCUAGUACAGAAGUACUGAAUUCAAGGACUGAACACUGAUCACUAAGUGCUGGAUGCUGAAACUAUAAUUGAGUUGGCAACUGAGUUUUUGAUGGGUACAUAUUGGGGAUUGACAUAAGUCAAGGAUCUAAAUGUACACUUACACUUUGUACUUUCCCAACUUCUAAAUACGACCCCUUGCUAGAUGUUUACUUGAACAUUUAUCAUGACAUUCAAGCCUAUCUGCACAACUACACCCCCGUGCAAAGUAAGCAUGCAACAAUCUUCUCUUAUCUAAACAACUGCUCAUCACUACACUGUUCCAUGAGGAGAGCUAACUAGAGUAGUAAAUCAGGAGGACCUGAAACAUGAAUAGGUACAAACUAAACUUGACACAUGACUGAAAAUUGAGGAAUAAAAUAUUAGUAGUUUGGAUUUACCAAUAAGGUCUGAAAUGAAGAUAUACAUGACAUAGUCUAAAUGUAUCUGAUCUGUAGGGGCAUAGCAUGAGUCAUGGAAGCUAAGUAUACUGUAAAUCAUGAUAUGCGUACAUGAGUCAUGAGCUGUAUGACCUGAGUUCAGAGUUUUCUAUACUCGUGGGACAUGAUUUGAAUACUGAGGGAGCUGGAACCGAACCCCUUAUAAUUGGAAUUGAAGGCGCACAUAAUCCCAUGGAAAGUGUAUGAAAGUAUAUUAUUCUCAUGGAACAUGACUCGUACUGUGGAGUAAAAGGGACUCCUUAUGCUGGAAAUUGAAUUCAUACAUGAUUAUAGUUCGUGACCAUAGAGUUGGUAUGCAAUGCCUGAGUUGGUUUCAUGAUAGCCGAAGUGAAAAACUCUGCACUGAAAUGAGAAUGGGUCUGGAAUUUUCUUCCCUUACUGCUUUCUAUACAUACUGGCUCUACUACUGAAAUCUGAGGACCUGUCUUAGGUACUUGAUCUACCAUCACAUACCUACAUUAUGUUCAACACCUGUCUAUCUUACCAAAUACAUCAUCUAAUUCUAUUUCCUCAUAUACUGCUAAUAUCACAUUCACACCUUCAUGCUUAAUUUUGAGUCAAUAAACUUAAGUGUUUAGCUCAUACUGUUUAAGACUACUGAUCUAAUCCCCAUGAAUACAUAAUCUGAUCAAAUAGAAUAAUACUAUCCCAACUCUACUACUGCUAAACUUCUGGGUUCAAGAAUAAGUUCUCAUGAUCAUGAAUAAAAUCUGUACGGCCUUGGAACAAUAAUGAACUGAUGGGAUACUCUUUGAGUCUGUUGCUAAUCUUAUAAUUGACCAUAGGGACUGUCUGAGAAAGCCCUAUCUUUAGGACUUUGAAAUUCACUAUUUCUAUUACCUUGAAAGUAAGGUAAAGUGAACAUGAGGGGUGCAUGAUAUGAAUCUACAUGGUUUCCUUAAAGAAACAUGCCAUAGCACGAUCUUGAGACAUGAAAGAAGGGAAACUGUUCCUAAAACAUCUCAUAGCCUCCUGUACAUAAGUGUGGUGCACAACACGCCCAUGUACAAGACUCUACUUCAUGUAGCUUUUAGACUUCCUAGGACACUGUGAACCUUAGGCUCUGAUACAAAGUUUGUAAUGCCCCGAUUUUUUGAAAUGAAACGCUACACGGUGCUCAUGACCUUGAAGGACACAAAGCUAACCCAUGAAUGAUAUUUGUACCUGUAAACUGCAUAAUAUCUCAUAAAAUAUGCGGAAACAUGAAUUGUAGGGCCAUAAGGUUCACUACUACUAUAUAUUUGAAAAAUAUAGUAUAUCAAUACCAAAAAGGAACAUAAAUACUGAAGUUUGAAUAUCUAAUCUGACAUCUAGUCCAAAAGCCUCUAACUGAACUGAAUAAGGAAUUGAUGGGACAUGUCCCCAACUAACUCCAACUACUGAAAUAAAGUGAAAAUUGAAAUAGAAAUGAAAUCAUCAUGUUCUCGAAGGAUGAGGACUCACGUCUAACUCUGACUGCUGAUCCUGGAAUCUAAUAUUGAUUUGGAGCUCAUGCCUCUGAACCUAUGGUGUAACAUAAGAGAAAGUACCAUAGCGCAAGUGCAUUAGUACGUCUGAAUGUACUGAGUAUACGAUUUAGGUAGGCUAAAUGCAAAGGGUUAUAUGCAUGGACAAUAAUGACUGAUAUAAAUAUGAGAGUACAUACAUGCAUACAUAACAGUAAUUGAACUCAUAGAGAUACAGACUACUGAGUUUGAAUACUGACAACAUGAGCGUACUGAUAAUGAGAUUCUGAAAGACUGAGUUUACUGAUAUUGAUAUGUAAAUCACUAAUAAGUGAUGGAUCUGAUACUNNNNNNNNNNNNNNNNNNNNNNNNNNNNNNNNNNNNNNNNNNNNNNNNNNNNNNNNNNNNNNNNNNNNNNNNNNNNNNNNNNNNNNNNNNNNNNNNNNNNNNNNNNNNNNNNNNNNNNNNNNNNNNNNNNNNNNNNNNNNNNNNNNNNNNNNNNNNNNNNNNNNNNNNNNNNNNNNNNNNNNNNNNNNNNNNNNNNNNNNNNNNNNNNNNNNNNNNNNNNNNNNNNNNNNNNNNNNNNNNNNNNNNNNNNNNNNNNNNNNNNNNNNNNNNNNNNNNNNNNNNNNNNNNNNNNNNNNNNNNNNNNNNNNNNNNNNNNNNNNNNNNNNNNNNNNNNNNNNNNNNNNNNNNNNNNNNNNNNNNNNNNNNNNNNNNNNNNNNNNNNNNNNNNNNNNNNNNNNNNNNNNNNNNNNNNNNNNNNNNNNNNNNNNNNNNNNNNNNNNNNNNNNNNNNNNNNNNNNNNNNNNNNNNNNNNNNNNNNNNNNNNNNNNNNNNNNNNNNNNNNNNNNNNNNNNNNNNNNNNNNNNNNNNNNNNNNNNNNNNNNNNNNNNNNNNNNNNNNNNNNNNNNNNNNNNNNNNNNNNNNNNNNNNNNNNNNNNNNNAAUGCUAACUUCUACUCCCAUCUGAAGGACACUAAACUGAAUAACUAAGCUGAACUGAAUAACUGAACUGAACUGAUUAGCUGAACUGGUACUGAUUAACUGGUCUGAUACUAGUCGUAUUGUUUAGCAGAGCUAAACUAAGUUUACUGGAUUCCAAUGAAUAAUGGAAUGUACUGAGUUUUGAGGACUGGUUGAGAGUAAUGAAGUUACUGAGAUUGACUGUGAAUACUGGCGUUGCUGAGGUUACUGAGCACUGAGAUUACUGAGAUUACUGGACUACUGAGAUUUUUGAGUUUUUCUGAUUCACAUGACUGACUGAAUUUUAUAGAUCAUGGCUUGACUGAGAGUAUCGUGAAAACAUGACAUGGCUCUAGGCACACAGCUAUAUUUUUCAGGUACAAGUACCCCCAGGACUCGAUGGAAGGAAACUGACACAACUAAAAUUUCUUGAGUACUCGACCAUCAAUAAAAAUUCAUAAUACAUGAGUGAGGGAUUUCAUGAAGUACAUGGUCAUCAUAAUAUCUGUAAUGAAUAGGAAUGCUUAUAAUCAAGUCAUAAAUCUCAUAUUCUAAUAUCAUGGGCAUUCCGACGACAUAUACUAUUCAUAGAAAUCGCAUGGAAAUUAUUCAAGCGUAAGGGAACGACAACAUGUAACGUUUAGUUCAUAUUGUAAUGAUUUGGGGAUAUUAUACUUCAUAUAUUUAUUCAACAUCUUAAACAUGGUAGGCAAAGCAUGGAUAUAUUUUGUGUACAUAAUUUAUAUCUNNNNNNNNNNNNNNNNNNNNNNNNNNNNNNNNNNNNNNNNNNNNNNNNNNNNNNNNNNNNNNNNNNNNNNNNNNNNNNNNNNNNNNNNNNNNNNNNNNNNNNNNNNNNNNNNNNNNNNNNNNNNNNNNNNNNNNNNNNNNNNNNNNNNNNNNNNNNNNNNNNNNNNNNNNNNNNNNNNNNNNNNNNNNNNNNNNNNNNNNNNNNNNNNNNNNNNNNNNNNNNNNNNNNNNNNNNNNNNNNNNNNNNNNNNNNNNNNNNNNNNNNNNNNNNNNNNNNNNNNNNNNNNNNNNNNNNNNNNNNNNNNNNNNNNNNNNNNNNNNNNNNNNNNNNNNNNNNNNNNNNNNNNCUUGAAAUUUGAUCUUCAAGCUUGAUUGUGCAACCCUAGUUGUUUUUCUUCUUUAGUGCUCUUGGAUGAUGAGCUUUGAGAUGUUAAUAGGGUUGUAAUGUGUUUAGAAGCUAUAUAUUUCGUAGGGUUAAGUUUAGGGACGUGUAAGGAGUGUUAAAAGACUUAAUUGCCCUCAAAAUAACUCAAAACAAAGUGUUUUUAGCAUUGGAACUGACUUAGGCGGCGCCUAACCAAUCGCCUAAGUUUGGUUGGGCGGCGCCUAACCAAUCCCCUAUCCUUACUAUCUCUCACAAAAAUGGGCAUAACUUUUUGUUCGGGUAUUGUAUUAAGGUAAAAUUGGUAUCGUUGGAAAGAUAAUUUAAUUAUCCACAAUUUGGUGGGUCUAAAUCAGACAAAAUACCAUAUUAACAUCGAGUUAUACUCGUUCAAAGAUGACCCUUGCAAAAUUGAAUACUAAAACUUGAUGGAUUCAAAAACUCUUAGCUUGUAUUAUCUUAAGUGACUCAUAUGAACAUGCUUAAUGUAUCAUAAUCUAUCUUAUCUCUAGUAUACUCAUUGUUAGUCAUGCACUAAAAUGCUACUCACAAGAUAGGAGGUUUCAUAAGUAGGAAAAAUGGUUCGUCUCCUAGCUUAGAAACAUACGGGGUAUUCAUAACCAAUACCCCAACAGCUUUUAUGGACCUCAUGAAUUAAGUGUUCAAGCAAUAUCUUGAUAUGUUUGUCAUUGUGUUCAUAGAUGACAUCCUUGUGUACUCCUUUAAUGAGAGUGACCAUGCAAAUCACCUAAAAAUUGUCUUGCAAACUCUUAGAGAUUAGUAGUUAUUUGCCAAAUUUAGUAAGUAUGAAUUUUAGCUAAGGUCUGUUACCUUUCUAGUUUAUGUUGUUUCAGCCGAAGGUAUUAGAGUUGAUCCCCAAAAGACAGAAGCUAUGAGAAAUUAGCCUAGGCCUAGCUCUCCAUCUGACAUUAGAAGUUUCUUAGGUCUAGCGGGCUACUACCAUUGUUUUGUUGUAGUCUUCUAUUCUAUUGCAUCUCCAAUGACUCGGUUGACUCAAAAGAAAGUUAAGUUCCAGUCGUCAGAUUUCUUUGAGAAGAGUUUUCAGGAGUUGAAGAUUCUACUUACUUCAACCCUUGUGUUGGCUUUUCCUGAUGGUAGAGAUGGUUUUGUGGUGUAUUGUGAUGCCUCUAGAAUUGGUUUGGGUUGUGUAUUAAUGCACAGAGAUAAAGUUAGCCUAUGCCUCUAGACAGUUAAAGUCGUAUGAGAAGAAUUACCCAACCCAUUAUCUUGAGUUAGCUGCUAGGGUCUUUGCUUUGAAAAUAUGGAGACACUAUCUUUAUGGUAUUUAUGUUGAUAUGUUUACUGAUUACAAGAGCCUGCAGUAUGUAUUUACUCAGAGAGAGUUAAAUCUUAGGCAGAGGAGGUGGUUAAAUUUGUUAAAAGACUAUGAUAUGAGUGUGUUGUACACCCGCUAAAGGCAGAUGUAGUGGCAGAUGCCCUUAACAGAUUGUCUAUAGGUAGUGUUGCUUAUGUAGAGGAAAGUAAGAAAGAGUUAGCUCGCGAUGUGUAUUGUCUGGCUAGAUUGGGUGUUAGGUUUCUUGAUUCAGCCGAGGGGAGUACAUUGGUACAGAGUAGUUCCGAAUUCUCUUUAGUUUUAAAAGUGAAGGAGAAGCAAGAAAGGGAUCCUAGUUUGGUCAAACUGAAGGAGUCAGUUAAGGGCCAAAAGGUAGAAGUUUUCUCCUAAGGGGGAGAUGGCGUGUUGAGAUUGCAAGGUAGAUUGCGUGUUCCGUGUGUUGAUGAUUUGAGGUAGAGGAUUAUGGAUGAAGCACAUGGCGCACAGUAUUCUAUUUAUCCCCGCACUACCAAGAUGUACCGUGACUUGCGGGAAAUCUAUUGGUGGAAUGGUAUGAAGAAAGAUAUAGCUGAGUUCGUAACAAAGUAUGCAAAUGCUAACAGGUUAAGGUAGAGUACCAAAGUCCUGGUGGUGUGAUGCAAGAGUUUGGUAUACCCACUUGGAAGUGAGAGGAGGUAAAUAUGGACUUCGUAACCAGGUUGCCUCUUUCACGCCGUCAUCAUGAUUCUAUUUGGGUUGUUGUAGAUAGGCUAACUAAGUCCGCAUAUUUCUUUCCCGUGCAUACAUCUUAUGCAGUUGAGGAUUAUGCUAGAUUGUAUAUUCGAGAUUUAGUCAGGCUACACAGAAUUUCCUUGUCUAUCAUUUUGAAUUGGGGCACUCAAUUUAUUUCUCAGUUUUGGAGGGCAUUCCAGAAGGGUCAUGGUACCCAAGUCCUUUUGAGUUUUGCUUUCUAUCCGCAGAUAGAUGGUCAGGCUAAGAGGACCAUUCAGACCUUGGAUGAUAUGUUGAGGGCAUGUGCUCUUGAUUUCAAAGGUAGUUGGGAUGAGCAUUUGCCAUUGAUAGAGUUUGCCUAUAAUAAUAGUUACCAUGCUAGCAUCAGGAUGGCACCAUUUGAGGCCUUGUAUGGUAGGAUAUAUAGAUCACCCAUAGGUUGGUUUGAAGUGGGUGAAGCUACCAUGACUGGGCCUGAUGCAGUAUUUGAAGCUAUGGAGAAAGUUAAGUUGAUUAGAGAGAGGUUAAAGACCGCCCAAAGUCAUCAAAAGUCUUAUGUCGAUAUGAGGAGAAGAGAUCUUGAGUUUGAAGUAGGUGAUUUGGUAUACUUGAAGUUUUUACCCAUGAAAGGGGUGAAAAGGUUUGGUAAAAAAAGAAAACUUAGUCCCCGUUAUGUUGGCCCCUAUAGAGUCUUGAACCGUGUUAGUAAAGUAGCCUAUGAAGCUGAGUUGCCCACAGAGUUAUUAGCUGUUCAUCCUAUCUUUCAUGUCUCCAUGCUUAAGAAGUACAUUGGUGAUUCCGUUGUGGUAGAUCCUUCAGAAAGUGCUGAUAUUCAAAAUAGUCUUUUAUUCGAUAAGAUUCCUGUUGACAUUCUAGAAUUUUAGAUCCGUAGACUGAGGAAGAAAGAAGUUCCCUUGGUCAAAGUUUUGUGGAGGAACUAGUGAGUUGAGGGCGCUACUUGGGAGGCAGAAGCAGGCAUGCGAGUCAAGUACUCCCACCUCUUUUUCGCUAGUUCAGAUCAAUCUAAAGGUAUUAUUCUUCCUUAAUUCAGCCCUUCUAAUCUAAAGUUCAGCUAUAUGUAUCUAUUCUUGCAAUUUCUGAGGCAUUCGAGAGUUUAGAGAGAUUUUGAACCCGUUUUAGCAACUUGCUUCAGCUAUGUGUACUCUGUUUUCCUGUGUUCCUAGUCUAACUAGAAACUUUCAAGGACAAAUGUUUCCAAGUGGGAGAUAUUGUAAGAUCCCACAAAGUUCCCUUGUAGUCUAAGCCUUAGAGCGUGUCAAGCGAAGUGUAAUUCCGUCCCUAAAAAAUUGAGAAGUGGCUUCCCAAGUAAUUGGUGUUUCAAUCAUAAAUAAUUUUCUUAAAUUUCACUGUUGGUCAUGUAGAGAAUUGAAUUAGCUUUCCAACGAUACCAAUUUUGUCCAAAUCCAGUAUCGGGGUAAGAAGUUAUGAUCAUUUUACUGAGUGUUCUCGGAACCACCUGGGUGUGAUAAACGAUCCGACGGACCAUCGCAACCAAGGAAGUAACUCCUCUUUCUUGCCCAAGUGCGAUGGACAAAAUGACGGACCGUCAAGGCUGCAAUGGACUGUCGCUAAGAUCAUCGCGCUCAGGAAGUGUGGCCUCAUCCUGGCCAAUGUGCGACGAACGAUUCGACAGACCGUCGCUUCGACCGUCACACCGAGGCAGUAUGAUCUUUUUCUGAACAGUAUAUGACAGAUGACCCAACAAACCAUUAGGCUAGCGACGGACUGUCGCUUCGACCGUCGCAACCCCCGUUCAGUAUUUUUAAGUCCUUUUUAAAAGGGGUUUUUGGGUCUUUUCCCUUUUAACCCUUAGAUAUAUUCCAAAUGAACUUGAUAGCCUCAUUAUCUCCCAAAAAAUCCAAAGGCUAGGGUUUCUUUCUUAAGAGAAAAUCUAAAACCCUUGUCCAAGAAAUCCAAGAACUCACCAUGGAUUCUACAAAUUGAGUUGAGAUUUGAGUUCUCCAAGUUUAAAGGUUGCAAGAACUCUCUCUCAAGAGUAAGAAGAAGAGUUUAGAGCAAUCUCAUUCAUCCAAUUUCAUAAUCUAAGCUAUGUGGGAUUGUGAACAAGGGUAAUUCUUUCAUCCUUGUGCUCAAAGACUUAUUUAAACUAUGAUUUUCUGCAAUCUAUGAGAUUUUACAUAAAUUUGAAUUAGGGUUUUCCACCCAUUUUAUUGAUUGUAAUAUUUUGACGUUUCCCAUGAAUUGAGAGUCUAAUGGCAUGACUUUCAUAUAUUUUCUUGAGAAACUGCAGCUGGGUCUAUACCCCAUGAUUUUAAUCCUUGAGAAAUUAAUAGUUGAAGUGUUUGAGAUAUUGAAGUAUAUGAGUAUGUUGAGAUUUUGAGACAAAUUGCUGAAAUUUCUAGAUUUCUAUAUGAGUUAUAAAUCUAUAUGCUAUCUAUUAUGCUUUUGAUGAGUUCUAACUUGAGAUUGAAUUAUGGGUUAUUAAGCUCUACUCGAGGCUUGAGAUUUUAUGAACUAUUGUUCUAUAAGCACCCAUGAUUUGAGUAUUCUGAGAUUAUUGAGGAAUGUUUUGACCUAAUGGUCAUUGAUUUUUGAAAUCCACUCAACUACAUGAGAUUACAGAUUUGAUUAUUGGGUUCUUAUUGAGCCAUGGGAUUAUUCUAAACUGGAUUUUCAUGAGAUGAGUGAGAUAAACUAAAGGGAGUAGUAUUUAGUACCGAGUUGGGUAAGUUACCACAGUUUCUUACCCCAGAACUACGUACCACCAUAGGUUGGGCCUAAGGCCAAGAGGAUUGUUUGUCCUAAGGCCGAGAUAUUAGGCCCGAGGUCGAGAUAAGUGAUCACUGACUUGAGGUUAUAUUCCUUGGCAGAGUAUGACGCCCCUCCCCAAUGUGAGGUCUCUUCUUUAGGAGGACAAAACGUUUGAAUCCAUGUAGCUCGCAUGGUUUAUGUCGGUUAAGAGAACCUCCCUUGAUACAAGUUAAUUUCCUAAUAGUAAAGUUUUGGAUUUGCUCCCUAAAACCAAAGUAUUUUCCCUUGAUAUAAGUAUUUUCUCUAAAAUUAUGAGAUAAGUUAUUUCUCUAAACUAUAGUAUCUUUCCAUUGAGAUAGAAUGAUUUCCCUAAAGGUUGAAACAAUAUAUUUUCCUAUAGAGAAUGAAAUUCCUUCAAGUAUGUUCCAAAGUUAGAUGAUUAUGAAUUCCAAGUACUUGAGUUCAAAAGAGUUAUGAGUUCUUGAGCAUUAAAGAAGUUUUACUCUCCAUGAGAUAUAUGAAUGAGUUGAAAGUAUUGUUUAAAGUUUCCUUUAGCCUAUGGGUAUUGAGAAUAAGAGAAGAUUACCGAUUUCACAGUUAAAAUAUGAUGACUCACGAGAUUUAUGUUACAUGCUCCAUUCUACAUGAUUUAUGAGCUUUACAUUUUAUACUUAUUCAAGCCAUGUAAGUCAUUACUUAUUGCAUGAAUGAUUUGAUUAAAGAGCAUUGAUGUUGUUUUAUAUAAAUGCAUGCACCCCCACAUACUCGGUACAUUCCCAAGUGCUAAUCCAUAUAUAUGUCUAUGUGCUACAUUAUCUUAGAAUAUAGGUUCAGGUGCUUCGUCCCAGCCUCGUCAGUGACUUUUGAGUACCUCUAUCUACAUCCCUACAGUGGUGUUUCCUCAUGUUUCGAGGACCUAUCAUUAGACAUUUCAUCAUUUGAGAGACUAUGUUAUUACUUUCAGUUCAUUUCAAAUCAGUUGGGGACCUGUCCCAAUGGCUCUCUAGUUCAUGGAUUAGUAGAGGCUUUGCCAGACUAGUUAUCAGAUUGUGGUUGUAUUGAGGUUUUCCAAUAUUGCUUGGUUGUUUGGACCGAGCAUUUUCUCCGUAUUUCCUUUUAUAUGAUAUGACUAUGCUGGUGUUUGAAUUAUUUCAUCUUGACAUGAGUGUUAUUAGUAGAAACGGGCUCAAAGGGUUAGCUUGGGGCAACUCUUAGCCUUAAGCACCGUGUGACCUCCCAGGAGGGGAUUUCGUAUCAUUACAAAAGCUCCAUCUAAAUCAACUGAGUUUUCCUUAUCCUCCCCACUCAACACCUUAUCUUAAAUUAUCCUCAAUCCAACAUCAUUAAACUAAUGAGCUCGAAUCUGCUCUAUAAAAAAAAAUCUAGCCUCCAUAAAUGCCAAAAUACGCCCAUGCGUUGAAAUAUAGAGCCUAAUCAUUUGGUUAGCUAAAUACUGAACCUCUAAGGCUUAAUUCCUCUCCUAGCUCAAAAGAUGUGCCAAACUAGCCAUGCUAGUUGUCUUCCGACUCAAGGCAUCUGCAACCAUAUUAGCCUUGCCCAAAUGGUAGAGAAUAUUCAAUUCAUAAUCCUUAAGGAACUUAAGCCAACAAUGCUGCGUUAUAUUAAGAUCUCAUUGGGUGAAGAAGUAGUGAAGGCUACAAUGAUCUGAGAAGAUCUCAUAAUACACUCCAUACAAGUAAUGCCUUCGUAACUUUAAGGAAAAUGCAGUUGCGCACAACUCCAUCAGGCUUUAACUGAUGAGAUGCAUAAGCAAUCUGUUUUCCCUCCUGCAUCAACAUAACACCUAACCCAAUACCUAAAGCAUCACAAAAGACAGUAAAACCCACAUCCUUCUUAGGCAAAGUCAAGAUCAGAGAUGAAGUCAACAAAUCCUUAAGAUUUCGAAUGCUUGCCUCACAAGCAUUAGACCAUUGAAAGAAAUUUUCUUUUGGGUCAACUUAGUUAAUGGAGUUGCAAUGGAUGAAAAACCCUCAAUAAAACUUUGAUAAUAACCAACUUAACUAACAAAACUUUGAAUCUCAAUAGGAGAAGUAGGUCUAGCCUAAUCAUGAACCGUUGCAACGUUACUUGGAUCAACCAUAAUACCUUCCUUAUUCACCACAUGACCCAAGAAAGAAUUAGACUCCAAGAAAACCUCGCACUUAGUAAACUUUGUAUACAACUUCUCAUCCCUCAAUCUUUGAAGCACAAUCUACAAAUACCCCUCAUUCUUAACAUCACUCUUGGAAUAAACCAAGAUAUCUUCAAUAAAUACAAUAAAAUAGGAAUCAAGAUCUGAUCAAAACACAGGGUUCAUCGACUCCAUAAAUAUGGCUGGGGCACUGGUCAAUCCAAAGGACAUGACUAAGACUCAUAAUAACCAUAUUGAGUCCAUAAAGCGGUCUUCAGAAUAUUCGAUGCUUUACAUACUAUGUCUAAAGGACAUGACCAAGACCAUAUUGAUAUGUGUUGUUUUACAUACUAUGAUUGGGUCUGUACGGAAGCUGUGUAUGUAACUGAUGUUUAUAGACUGCGGAAAUUGUAAAGCUUAGCCAAAAAAAAAAAGAAACAGAAGUGAUUCUUUCAUAUGGUAUAAGUUGUUAAGUUAAAUUGGUAACCUGCAUAUUAAUUUUUAGCUUAAGUGCACCCUUCUAAGUAAAAUAUCAAGUAAAAUAUGAAGUAUAUACUUGUUAGUGGGAGAAAAUUUUUAGUUACAUUUUCUUUCAUCUUGGUGUUGGUUAGUCUGAUUAGGGGAUGCAGUAUACCUUCCCUUUUUGGGUUUUGGGUCAUAUCUUCCUAAAAAUUAUGCAUAAGAUUUAUUUAUUCAUAAAUUUUUUGGCUCAUUUUGGAUAACCAAAUUCUCUGUUUGAUUAAGUUUUAGUUUCUGAUAUUGAAGCGUAUGUUUUUCUUUUUAUAUAUACUGCUAAAUUACCGUAUUUAGGUUAAGUUUAAAUAAUCAUACGUGAUUCUUUGUUUAUUGAUCUAUUUUUCCUUUAAUUUUGUCAUUUUUGAUUUAUUUGGAUGUUUUGGAUUAUUAAUCUUUAUCCUUUUUUUUAUUUUACAUGGAAUACUUGGGAGUUGGAGUUUCGCAAUGGAACUCGUUUUGACCCAAUAUCGGAUCAAUCGCUAUUAGGAUUGCAGAGCUUCGAGAUCGCAUUACUUGAAAACUCAAACUCUGAAAUGGAGUCUAGUACCCUCUUUAGAUGUUUUUCUCUAAUUUUUUCAUAUUAUAUUAUUUUUUCUAGAAUGACAACUAACUUUAUGUGUCGUUAUUAAUUUCAUUUUGAGAUCCUUUAUUGGUUUAUUGUUUUAUUAUAUGUCUAUCUUUAAACAUUGUUAUCACAUUGUUGCGGUUAACGCUUAACUAAGUAAUCCAUAAAAAUAAUUUUCUUCAAGGACUAGUGAACCUUAAAAUUUUGAUUAGUGUUUAGUUGGUUAUCUCACUUUAAAGAGAUUUGCUAAUAAAAUGGAAGUAGUAAUUCCUAUCUUUAUUUUUAUUUUUUGAAAAAUGAGCUUUCGGAAUUAAAUUAGUAAGUAAGUAAGUUGCCAAUUUUAGAUUCGAAUCACUGAUUUCAACUUGUUAAAUGAAUAUUGCUAACAUGUUAUAUUUUACAAACGCUAUUAAAAAUUUCAGACCCCAAAGGAAAGAAAUGCAAGGUAUAAAUAUUCAUCCGCUACUAUGUACAAGGAACAUUAUUUUUGAUACUACUAAAAUUAUUUUCAUCAUUAUCAUUGUUUAUAUUAAUUGUCAAUAUUACUACUUUAUUAUUUGCAUCAUAGUUAUCAUUUUUUAUAAAAAAACAUCAUCAAUAUUAGUAUUAUUAUUGUUGUACUUGAUUACUACCAUUAUUAUUAUUAUUAUACUCUCUUUUUAAAAAAGAAUGACCUACUUUGACUUGUCACAAAGUUUAAGAAAAUAAAGAAGACUUUUGAAUCUUGUAGCCUUAAAUUAAAGUUGUGUCAAAUGUACCAAAAUUCCCUUUAAUCUUGUGGUCCUAAACAUGCCAUGUGGAAAUUUGAAAUUGAACUAUUGUCAAAAAAGAAAAGGGGUCAUUCUUUUUGAAACUGACUAACAAGGCAAGUAGGUUAAUCUUUUUGAAAUGGAGGGAGUAAUUAUUAUUAUCAUUACUAUUAUUAUUAUCACUAUUGUUGUUACUAUUAUUAUUAUUAUUAUUAUUAUUAUUAUCAUUGUCGUUAUUAUUUUUUCAUAAGUUCAACAUAAUUACCUAUUUUCACACUCUUGAAAGUAUCUUUCGUAAAUAAACUCCAUGCUAUAAAAAUACUUUAUUUAUUUCAUAAAUAUUUAAAUUCUCAUAUAUUUUUAUAUUCCCUUAUGCAAGUAGGUUAAUCUUUUUGAAAUGGAGGGAGUAAUUAUUAUUAUCAUUACUAUUAUUAUUAUCACUAUUGUUGUUAUUAUUAUUAUUAUUAUUAUUAUUAUUAUCAUUGUCGUUAUUAUUUUUUCAUAAGUUCAACAUAAUUACCUAUUUUCACACUCUUGAAAGUAUCUUUCGUAAAUAAACUCCAUGCUAUAAAAAUACUUUAUUUAUUUCAUAAAUAUUUAAAUUCUCAUAUAUUUUUAAAUUCCCUUAUGGAAUUAUACGACCUUAAAUUUUCUAGCAUACAUAAAUUAUGUUAUCAUCCUCUUCAUAUUUAGAAUGCAUGCAUGUUUUCGUAAUAAUCACAUUACUUUCCCGUAAGUAGUAGCAUCAUGUUUUCUAUACCUUAAAUUUUCUCCUAAGUAACAAACAAUAAAAAAUGAUAAUAAAUUUUCUAUCACUAUUUUAAGGAAAUAACUAAAUAAUGUUUUUUCUAAUAUUUUCCUAAACUAAGCCUAAGGACUAUCUUCGGAUAGGCCCUGAGGAUGCUUAACACCUUCCCCUCAGGAAACCAAAACCCUUACUCAGAAUUUCUAAAUGUUUUUGAAAGACCAAAACAGAUUUUUCUACAUAAAAUGGUUUUUCCCUAAUUUUUUUAAAACGUUAGGUGGCGACUCUAAAAAUGAUUUUCAAAUUCCAAGAGCCAUUAAACACCACCACAUGCCGUGUGCUAUUUCGACCGGUUUGAAAUAGGGCACGACAGAAUGGCGACUCUGCUGGGGACCUAAUGAACUUAGGUUUGACCUUUACAUGCUUAGUUUAGGAUUUUUGGGCUUUAUUAUGUUAUUUGUCUACCCGUCUUUAUAUCAUGCUUUCUGUGAAAGGACGCAAUCCAAAUCCUAACUUACGUUCCUUGUUUGUUUAUACAACACUAUUUGUUACUGCUUUAUCACUUGCAUUGUUCCUAUCGAGUCUUGGUUAUAUAUAAUUCAUACACUGAACAGCGAGGGGUGUACUACACUCCUCCAAAACCUCUUUGGAUUUCUUAGUUUCAGAGUUGGUGCAAUUAGGUUAGUGCACCUUCUCGCAAAUAUUUAGUCCCACUCUCAAAAUUUUUAAGAAAAAAUCUUACUCUAGAAAUAGGUCAUAUUGUAUAAACCUUAGGCGGAGCGGUCCAAGGUAUCGUUCCAGCGGUUAGGAAACCAUCCUUCAUGUCAACGGGUUCUUUAUGAACCUAAUGAUGCUAUAUUUGUCAAAUGAUUAAUUGAUCCAAAUGUUAAGAACAUAAUAAAUUCAAGACAUUGAACUUACCUAUCUCUUUUUUUUUUCUUUUCUUUGCACAGAUGGAAAUCAACCAAAACCUUGCCAACAUCUAGAUGCUGACUGACAUUCCCCGAGUCCUAAGACAUUGAUGGGAAAAUAUCCGAGUAGCACAUGGAGAAGUGGUGUUCGCAUAUUUGGAAUCUUUGACAGAUUUGAUGGGGGUUAAGAGCAAUUAUUCAAUUUCUAGUCAAAUUCUGGGACCCAACUACAUUUACCUUCAGGUUCACGGACUUUGACAUCACGCCUACUUUGGAGGAGGUCAGCCAAACGUCUAGCUUUCCAUUGGCAGGGCGGGUACCUUUAUCCCCAUAAAACACUUCAGGGAGCAGUUUUCUACUCUUGAUCGGGCUGAGAAUCGGUGCAGGCAUGUGGAUGGCGAAGAUAGGCUGGAUAAGCCUGGGUUAUCUUUUUGAAAGGUUCGGUAUGAGGGAGAGUUAUGACCAUCUUCAGGAGGAGUUCUUCUUUACUAGGAUCGAUUGGAAAAGACAUAGGGCCAUUGUCUUUAUGGUGGCUUUCCUCAGCGUUAUGGUGUUCUCGAUGAAAAGAAACCAGAUCAGCAUCUACCUACUCCCCACGGUUAUAUUCAUGUUCAGGGGAUCGGUCAGAACUACUAUUAUGCCGAUGAUUUAGCACAGAUAUUUUGAUCCUUGUCUACAUGCUCCAGGGGACAUGACUUUUCAUAGGUUGCAACCUAAUACUCCAAGUUUGGGCAUUAGAAUAUUUUUAUUACAGGGACGACAUCCAAGUAGCAGGUCCUAACCAAAUUUGCAGCCAUAGACUUAGGGUGUUUAUGUGGGAGAUGCCGAAUAAUAAGAAGCAGUGGCAGGUCUUCCUCACCCAUCUCACCGGUAACUUCAUCUAGUAGAGGCUACCGUGGGUUAGCGGUCGAGUAAUGUUAAGGAGUAAUUACACUUAUUUUCUUGAGUUGAUUGGGUUAGAAGGAAUCCAUCCAUAUGCGCCACUAAGAGUUCUACGACAAUUUGGCAUGAUUCAGAACAUGCCUUUAUGGUUAAACAAGGCAUUAUUGAAAGUAGAUUAUGAAGGAAGAAUCCCCAUGGAGAGGCUUCGUAACCUUGUCCAUGGGUGGGGACAGAUCAUCAGCUUAGGCACGCGCGAUAAUCCCUAAUACACCCCUGAAUACUACACAUGGUACCGAUCGAGAGACAUUCUUUCCAGACUAAGUUAUGAGGCACUUCAGGGACUUGCAUACGUUUAUACAGCUGAUCAGAUUUAGGAUCAGUUAAUGCACCUUAGUCCCAUGACCACCGCCAUGUACAAGAAGGUGAUUCCGAGAUCAGUGGAUCACCUCAUCCGGGCAGUAGAUGAUGAACCCGAGGAGGAAAUGGAAGAAGAUCCUAAAGAGAACCCAGAGAAAGAUUCAAAGAAGGACUUGAUGGAAGAGCAGGAGGGAGAACUGACAGAGGAUAUGGAAGAGGAUCUUGAAGAAGAAAAGUACGGACCCAUAGAUUUUGGUGGUAGAGCAGACGAAGACCACCAGGAGAAACAAUCAGAUGGGUCUCCAGAGUAUCACCCAGGGCCCUACUAUGACCUCAAUGAUGAUGAUGAUGAUCCCUCCAGCUGGCCUUAGGAUCCAUCUUGUUAUCAUAGAUUUCUGAAGGUCUUGCACGACUUAUUUCAACUUUUGUCUUUUAUUUUUAUUUUCCUUAAAGGGUCUUGCAUGAACUCUAUUGAUAUUGUUAUAUGCCUACCAUGAUGUAAUAUUUAGUUCAAGACUUUUCUCUUUGUAACCCGUGGCUUCACACUUUGCCUCUUUUAUUAAUCAAAAUACCUUUGUCCUGAAUUUAAGUACGAUUUAGAACUUUGGAUCAAUUAAUCAUACUUGCAUCGUAGGCCCACUGCUGGUAAAAAGAGGCUCUAUAUUAGGACAUGUUUGGAUGUCGCCAACUUUGUGUAUGUAUGUGUUACUUACUUGUUACAUUUACAUUAUCUCCCAAACUAACAUAGUUUCCCUUUUCUUUUUUAUUUCUUUCUUUUAUUAACUCCCAAAAAAAGAAACUUGAUUUGUGUCAAUUGGAAAACUGGCAGAAUCUCAGUAUAACCUCUGAUCUAGAAACAAAAUGACCAAUAAUGACAAGGCUGUGAUGAUAGCCAUAAAUGAAGCUGAAAGCUUGCAGAAUCUAUCAGACACUCAAAAUGACGAUCAAAUGGACAAUAUGGUGCAAGAAAUCGAAGUGUUAAAGGAAGAGUUGCAUCAAAUGCGAGACUUAACUAAGAUUACCGUUGCCAGCUUUCCCACUCAAUUCCAAGGUACAGAUGUUGGAUUAACCCCUGUUGCCCCAGCUAACCCAACGAAUUGACCACAUGCUCAAGCCCCGCCUACUUUUUAACUUACCAUUGGGACGGCGCCAGGUUAUCUAUUUCCUACUCGUAACUUUACUAUUUCGAUCCAUCCAAAAAUGCUCCACAUACCUGAGGCGUAUGUCACUUGUGAAGUACCUAUGCCACCGAUAUAUGCUACCAAAGUUCCUACCUUCGCAACAUCUACAGCUGUCAAGGUUUUAUAUAAGGUUGAGGGAUACGCAGGAUUAGGAUGGGAUAUGCAGUCAGGUGAAUAAGGGUCGAUAGUAUCCCAAUUCAAAAUUUUAAAGGAGGCAUUCAGAAAUAUGCAAAUCACCAGAGGGACUAAAAGCCUUAUCUACGAUGACUUAUGCAUUCAUCCGGGCAUCAACAUACCAGUGGGAUACAAACCACCAAAGUUUGAUGUGUUUAACGGAAGGGUGACCCGCAUGCACACCUUAGAGCUUAAUGUGAUAAGUUGGUCAGUGUGAGGAGGAAUGAGAAGUUGAGAAUAAAGCUGUUCAUCUGGAGUUUGUCGGGAGAAAAUUUGACUUGGUACACCCAACAAGACCCCCAUAAAUGGCAUGACUGGCGGGAAAUGGCUGAGGACUUUAUGAGUCACUUCAGAUUUAACACUGAGAGUGCCCCAGAUAGGUUCUCAUUGGCAAACAUACAGAAGAAGACAUCAAAAUCAUUUCAAGAGUACGCAUGGCUUUGGAGAACCGAAGAUGCUAGGAUCCAGCCUCUACUGGAAGAAAGUGAGCUCUCCAAGUAUUUUAUACGAGCUCAAGAAGGUGUUUAUUUUGAAAAAAUGAUAUCACUGAUUGGACAAAAGUUUACAAAGUUGGUCAAGAUAGGAGAUUUCAUUGAAAAAGACAUCAAAUCAGGGAAGAUCCAAUCUAUGGCUGCACUUGAGGGAAAGGCCCCUAAUUCGACCUCUCAAACCAUAUCGACUGGUUCCAUUAAUGGCAAUAAGAAAAAGAGGGAAGAUGUGUCAGCCACCACACCAUGCUACAAACUUGUAAAUUCUUCCUACUGUUACCCUAACAUCCCCCAAAUUGUUGCACAUAUCCAGUGUAUAAUACUCAACCGUAUUAUAAUCUACCUUGAGCUCUAGCAUACCAAAAUACACCAAGACCAUACACUCCUGUACAAGCUCCAGCUCACCAAAAUAGACCAGCCUAUGCACCCAGACCACGUCUAAACUUUAAAGCCAGAAAUGCCCAUACCUACACACAAAUUGCAGAACCUUUGGCCCAGUUGUUUGAAAGAUUGAGGGCUGCUGGUUUGUUGCAUCCAAUUGAGGGAAAGGCCCCUGAUUUGACGUCUCAAACCUUUGAUGGUAGCAAGCGGUGCGCCAUCACUCAGGAGUCCAGGGGCAUGACAUAGAAGACUGCUACAGCUUGAAGAAUCAAAUUGAGUCUCUGAUAAGGAGGGGCAUAAUCAAAUACACCGCUGCAUCUCCCAAUAUGAACAACAAUUCCUUGCCAAAUCAUGACAAUCGAGAAGUCAAUAUGAUUACUCUAGAGGAGGAGUAUGAUUUGGAAGAAACUAUUGUGCCCACAUGGAAUGCAGAAGAAAUCGCUACUGCAUCUCCAUCACAACCAUUUAUUACCAUUUAGUUGAGGGAGCCAAUAACUAUUCAGACUUACCUGUUGAGAGUCAUAGUGACCAUAUUAGCCACUGGAAGGUUCGACUAUGACACUAAAACAGUCCCGUGGGACUAUCGAACUGAAGCCAAAGGAAAAAUGAUAGACAUUGCUGUGGCCCAAAGGAUUACCAGGUCAGGAAGGUGUUACGCACCCGAAGAACUAAAUCGUGGAGCUCUCGGGAAAGAUCAAAACCCGAGGAGAAAUAUCACAGAUGCUGAAGCUGUAGAAUUUUGGAAAAACAUUCAGCCCAAGGACUAUUCAAUCGAAGAUCAACUCAAGAAGACAACGACCCACAUAUCCGUAAUGUCUUUGGUUAUGAGUUCUAAAACCCACAGGAAUGCUUUAAUGGAAGUGUUAUGUGGGGUCAUCAUACCAAAGGACACCACUAGCGAGACUUUGGCUGCAACAAUCAGGCGAGUGGUGGAGGCAAAUAAGGUCUCUUUCCAUAAUGAUGAGUUACCAUCAGAAGGGGCGAAACACAAUAAAGUGCUCCAUAUUGUAGUCAGAUAUCAUGACAAGAUUGUGAAUAGGGUCUUGAUCGAUGGUGGUUUGGGUUGUAAUAUUUUUCCGUUCUCUACUCUAAGAGAUUUGGGUGUGAAUAUAGAAGAUAUAAGGGAGAGUCGGGUGAAGGUCCGAGUAUUUGAUGGGUCACAAUGGAGUGUCAUCGAUGAAAUUUACUUGACACUGCAGAUAGGACCAACUGAAUUUCCUAUCCCAUUUCAGGUCAUGGAUGUGUCAUCUAGCUACAACCUGCUACUGGGAGGCCAUGGGUCCAUAUAAAAAGAGUCGUUCCUUCCCCUCUCCAUCAGUACGUAAAGUUUGAAUGGGGUCGCACAGAAUUUACUAUCCAUGGAGAAAUCAGUUAUCCUAUUUAUUCUGUUAAUUCAGUCCCAGUCACCAAGGAGUUAGAUGGCUCCACUUUCCAUACCCUGGAGAUCAUGCAAGCUACCAGGACCGAGGAGAAGAUAUAACCAGCUGAAGGGAAAAUAUCGAGUGCUAAAAAGAUGGUUACGUCAGAGAUGUUGAAAUAUGGGUAUCAUCCCAUGACAGGACUAGGACCUAAAGCUGAUGGUAUAGUCGAGCCAAUCUAACUGAAGCAGCAAAAAGGCACUAUAAGGCUUGGAUAUGAGCUCAUUUCUAGAGAAGCCUGCAGUAAAGGAUUAGGAAUAACAGUAUUUAUUCCAGCCCAAGUCCCAAUUUCAGAGCAAAAAGUUGAUGAAGAUUUCACAGAAGGAAUAGGAAAUCUGUUUGUGGCCAUGAUCAAAGAAGAACCAGAGAGAUAUUUCAAGAAGCUCUCCAUCCAUGAUACCGAGCCUGGAGAAGUUCUGUAGAAUUGGACAAUUAGCCCAUCCCUAUUCCGUCAGGAGUCUUGGUAGUGCGGGAUUGUUGGUGCUUUUUAAAAAUUAUUUUGUUUACAUGAUCAAUUGAGGCUUGAAUCAUGCUGAAGCUCUUUUUUCUACUUGCCUCUUGCCAAAGCCCAGUGCUUUUAUUAAUAAAAGCUCUUAUUUUCAAAAUUAUUUUUUCUAUUUUCAAUAGCUACUUACUUUACUCGCUUUUUAUACUUUUCAGCGCAAAUAUUAAUAAAGAUUUGUGUUCCAUGAUUAUGACAUAUAAUGAAUUCAUUGAGAAAAACACAAGCGAUGAGAAAGAUUAUAAGGAGUACAAUGAAAGCAUAAUGCCUGUAAACCUACCACAGGAGAUCGAGCGACUUGAGAGUUAGAAGAAGCCUAAUAUGGACGAAACUAAAGUCAUCAAUUUAGGUGAUGGAGAAAUGGUAAAGGAAACAUGAGUAAGAAUACACUUGGAGGCUGAAAGAAAGUAGGAAUUGAUAAGCCUACUCAAGAAAUACAUCGAUGUUCUUACUUGGUCUUACGAGGACAUGCCUGGUUUAAGCACCGAUACCGUCUCAUAUCGACUGCCCACUAACCCCACAUGCCCAUUAGUAAAUCAAAAAAUGAGGAAAUUCUAACCCGACUUUAGUUUGAGAAUUAAGGAGGAGGUGACCAAACAAAUAGAAGCCAACAUCGUGAGAGUCACAACUUAUUCCACCUGGCUAGCCAACAUCAUGCUAGUACCGAAGAAGGAUGGAAAGAUAAAAAUAUGUGUGGAUUAUCGGGAUCUCAAUAAGGCUAGUCUGAAAGAUGAUUUUUCUCUCCCAAACAUUCAUAAUCUUAUCGAUAACUGUGCUAUACAUGAGUUGCAGUUAUUUGUUGAUUGUUUUGCAGGAUAUUAUCAAAUCCCGAUGGACGAGAAUGAUGCGUAUAAGAUAACUUUUAUUACUCCGUGGGGAGUGUAUUGCUAUAGGGUAAUGCCGUUUGGACUCAAGAAUGCCGAUGCAAUAUACAUGAGGGCCAUGACCACCCUUUUUCAUAAUAUGAUCCACAAAGAGAUUGAGGUGUAUAUGGAUGGCGUCAUUAUCAAGUCCAAAAAGAGUUUGAAUCACCUGAAUGACUUACAAAAGUUCUUCAAAAGGCUGCAAAGGUACGACCUAAAGUUGAAUCCAACUAAAUGCACCUUUGGAGUUCCCGCAUGAAAGUUAUUGGGAUUCACUGUUAGUAGGAGUGGUAUAGAGUUGGAUACAUCCAAGAUAAAGGCAAUUCAAGACUUAUCACCCCGUAAGACCAAAAAGGACAUAAUAAGUUUCUUGGGAAGACUCAAUUACAUUAGUUGGUUCAUAGCCCAGUCCACAAUAAUUUGUGAACCAAUAUUAAGGUUGUUGAAGAAGGAUGCCACCACUGGAUGGACUGAAGAAUGUCAGAAGGCUUUUGAUAAAAUCAAGAAGUAUUUGUCUAACUGAUAACGCUCAACUUACACGUCAAUUUAGUGUAAGGCGGUCGUCGUCAAUAUAUUUACCCAACUUUAGAGUCGGGGUCUAAUCCACAGGGAACAAUGUGAGUGGCGAUUAAACUAGUUUGAAACUAUAGCUACAAGUUGAAUUCAAAUGAAUGAUGCGAAAAGAUAAAGUGGAGGUUUCUAAUGAUCAGCAAAUAAUUGUUGGUCACUAUAGUUUCAGUGUUUGUAAAUCAAAAGUUUAUGAAAUAACCAGAAUUAUGUUCACUAGGGCUUCCAGUACAUGGCAGAUGAUAAAAGUGGGUCAUGCUUGUCACGGUGGAUAGGAUAACAAGCUAUCUUUAUCAAUGUUAUGCUUAAAUGUCUCUCGACCUACUUAAGCAUUUAAUUCCCUACUCUUCUUGGACUUAGGGAAUUUCUAUUUACUUUCCAGAUGUUACCUUAGGUUAACCAAUUUUGUUACAGCGCUGAUUAUUAAAUGAAGUAUUUUCGAGUCCCUAUUGAUAAGUCACGUCCUACUAUAUUUGAUUUCUUUCUCAAGCAAAUCAAAGAAGGUGUGUCUACUGUUUGCAACCAAUAGACAUUAAUUAAAACCUUUGAAUUAUCAAGAAAUCCUACCACCUUUUGAAUCUUGAACACUUAGUACCUUAUCAGGACCUAACUCUAGAUCCCAUAACUUAGGUUAAUGGACUUUAGCCACUCAUGAUGUAAUGAAUGAAACACAUAAUUUAAUUUAUGAUUUGAAAGAUAAACUUACAGAGAUGAAUAAUAACUAGUGAAUCGCAGAUUAUAUCACAAAGAAAAAUCCCAGAAUAAUGAUAAUAAUCUCUUUAAAGUAUUUGUUUUUUCAAGCCAAGAAAUUUAGAGAGAAAAUAUCAAAAGUCUUUUAAAACUCAAGUGCCAACCCCCUAGAAAAACCCUAAAUAAUGCUUUUUAUAGUUAAUCCUAAAUAAGGAAAUAAAGCCACAAAAUUCAAAAAAUCCUUCGGAAUAGGUGACGGCAUUUGUGACGACGUGUCAGGGUCCUGACAACUUAUCAGGAAUGUCGUUAGGCCCUCCAGUAUUCUUGGCAUCUUCUGCUUUAACUGACGACAAAGCUUGACGACUUAUCAGAUACGUGACCACAUAUCACAAAUGUCGUCACUUCUUUAUUCAAAAUUUUAAUCUCUGCCUACACUUGACGGCAACUCUAACACCUUAUCACAGUGUGACGACACGUCAGAAAUGUCAUCACAAUUUCACUAUAAUCUUUCUAACACUGCAACACCUGACGUGAUUUCUGAUAACUUAUCACAGGGCUGACGACUUAUCAGGAAUGUCGUCAGCCACACUUCCAGUUCUUUUACAUCAGUUUUCAGUUCUUUUACUUCCAUUUCCUUAAAUUUCCCUUGCAUCAUGACUUUUACUGCAAUAUCAAAGUAAAAUAAUCAAAAACGAUAAAAGUUGCUUACGACUUCACAAUUAUUCUCAGUUAAAAGCCUUAAAUGUGUUAGCGUCUGCUCACACAUCAACACACUCAACUUAAGACAAUUGGUUGUCCUUAUGCAACCAAAAUAUAACUAAGAGAAUACAAAGUACAAUUUGGCAGUCAAUUUUCUAUAUCAUCCCAACAUAACUUCACCUUUUCCCAGGUCUAUCAAUUCAAACUCAACUGUGUAUACUAUUGAAAAACAACAAUGCAACACACAGGAAUCAAGAUAUGGCAUAAAUUUAGAGUAGCAACCAUGUAUGUACUAAGAUAACACUAUUCGAACAAGUUAGCAACUAGCAACAUAACCUGUGUGCCCUUACAGCAAAAAAAAUCCUUUUUCACUCAUAUCAAAAUUCACAUAUAUACACUUAGGGAUAAUCACGAGACUCACUCUCAAAAUGAAGUUCCACUCAGUGUACAUCAAAUGCCAUAGGCUUGCCCUUAUAGUUAGUACCAAGUUUUUUAGACAGGUCAACUAGAAUCACUAUAGGUCUUUUUCUUGGCUUGUAAUGUAGGCUAGGGCUGGUAUGAUAUUCAAGGGUAUUUAAAGUGACUACACCUCCUUGACAAUACGCUAACCUCUUGGGCUUUCACUUCUUAACCUUUUUCUCUUCCUCCCUUUUAUUGAUCACACAUGCUCAAGGUGGGUGCUAUCUUUUCAAAAACCAAAUUAUCUUUUUCGAUCUUUUAUACAACUUUUUCUUUUCUUAUUCUUUUUGCACUACACCUGGCUUUUUAUUCUUUUCUCUUAUUCUACCUUUCUUCAUAGUUAUUUUGCAUCACACACCCCUAUGAUAGCCACCCUCAACUUAGGAUAUUUUCCUAAGUCAAGGUGCACAGUGUCCAAGGAAGACCAGGGCCAAAAUAGGUUUAUUAUGAAAUAAAUGGGAAGGUGAUAGGUGUCAUGAAAGAAAUAGGCUAUUCAGGCUCAAAAUAGGGAUCAAGGGAUAUUAUGUAUACAGGGAAGGUCAUUUAGUCUAAAAGUGGGCUAAUAUCAAAAUGGCCUAUGAUCCUCUCCUAACCCCUAUCAUACAACCAAGGCAAGACUAACCGGGCAAGUUCUGGAUUCACACACAAAGGGAACUGAGUAAGACCUCACACACACAUGGCACACAAAUAUAUCUCACAUCAUUACUUAUCCAGUUCAUGCAAUUUUUUAGCACUAAUUAUCAAGUUGCUAGAACUAAUGCCACCAAAAGAUGCAUUGUGGUCACAAUUAGAUGCAGUUCACACAAUAUUACAAAUAGACACUUGGAGAGGUGCUUAAAAAUCACAAAACAUAUUAACUGCCUUAUUACUUGUAUUUCUCCUAGUUAACCAUAACACAUCACAAAACAAAUCACAAUAUGCCUAAACAUACUGACUCUACUAAGAACAAGACUCUGAGGAAAAAAAGCACGAUAACAAAAACCCAUAGAGGACAUCAACACCCAUAAGUAGCUUUACCCUCAACUUAAAAUCAUGUAAUGUCCCCAAUGCAUCAAACCAAAACAAGAGAGUUAGAAAUAUACCUGUGGCACUACGGGUGCGAAGAUCUGAUGUCAAUCACAUAAUACGAAUACAGAUAACAAAAUACCUUGGGUUGCCUCCCAAGAAGCGCCUAAUUUAGUGUCGCGGCAUGACUCGGUUAUCUUGACUACUCAGACUUCAUCAAGAUACCUUGUUGAUAAUUAUUUAUGUCUCCACUUAAAGGAUUUGAAACAUCGACCCAACUUUUGAUCAAUACAUCUUCGGGGUGUGUUGGGCAAAUGUGAGGGCAUGAUAAGGAAUGUUCUACCACGCCACUUUGAAGACUUGAACUGCUUACCCAAUUUUGUAUCGAACUUUUGUGUGGGGUCAUUUGGCAAUGGUGAGACUCUUAAACAACCACUAAAUGGACAUCGAUAUUUAAGCUUCUUGGCCUUCCAAAUUGGGGUUCUAGUAUACCCUUUUGGAAGGACAAACUCCAAAAUGUAAGAAUCUUCCUCCUCAUUUUCAAAAUUCAUCAUUUACUUGGGUGAUUCAACUUUUAUCACAUCCACCAAGCAUAAUGUUGAAAAGUGGUUCGAAUGAGGACUAACUCUCAAUUUUGUAGUAGCAUCCCUAUUAGUAUUUUUACCCCAAAAUGGACUAGAGUAUUCAUAAGGAUUGUGCUUGAUUUCUUCUUUUGACUCUAGUACCAUUUCCUCGUAUUUGGCAUCUUUAUUCAUAAAUGGUUCAGUUGGUUGGGAAAUCACCGAGGAUUGCUAAACAUCAAGCUCAUCAUCAACAUCGGAUUCUUUCUCCUCAUCAUCACACUUAUCUAUUAUGUUAAAUGAUUCCACAGACAAGAUAUCAUCUAAACAUACUAUGGAAAAGUGUUUUGAAUGCUUGACCUCUAUGUCCAUAUCCUCUAUCAUUCUUCUUUCAUCAUUAUUUGCCCUUAUGUGUUGAUGUAUAUCACGUAUGAUAUCAUUCGUUGUGUCUGCACACUUAAACAUUAGUUGAAGCAUAGCUUCAAUGCCAUGCUUUUUGGUGUUUUGUUUUUUCUGUUCUUGAUCAUAAGACCUAUCAAAAUCAUAAGAAGAACUAGAAUUUGGGUUAGCAUACUGCGCGGAGGGGGCAUUUGGGCAAUCACCUUAAUGUCCAUCUUGACCACCACAUAACGAACAAUCAUACUCCCGAUAGGAUGGAGAUAGUGCACAUAUCCCCCUUUGAGGAGCAUAUCAGGAAUGUCAUCAGCCACACUUCCAGUUCUCUUGCAUCAAUUUGCAGCUCUUUUGCUUCCAUUUCCUUAAAUUUCCCUUGCAUCAUGACUUUUACUGCAAUAUCAAAGUAAAGUAAUCAAAAACGACAAAAGUUUCUUAAGACUUUGCAAUUAUUCUCAGUUAAAAGCCUUAAAUAUUUUAGCGUCUGCUCACACAUCACUAACCCACCAGUAUUGGUUCUAUCAGAACUGGAAAAGCCUUUGCUGCUAUAUCUAUCUGUUCUGAAUAAUGCCUUUGGACAUGUGUUAGGUCAUCACGGCGAUAUAGGGUAGAAAGAGAAAGCCAUUUACUACCUCAAUAAUAAGUUCACACCAUAUGAAGCAAGGUAUACGUUGUUGGAGUGGACUUAUUACGCAUUGACUUGGGUCGCGCAAAUGGUAAGGCACUACCUAUCUGCGUAUACCACGUACUUAAUUUAAAGAAUGGAUCCACUCAAGUACAUUUUUCAGAAGCCAAUGCCUACUGGAAAAUUGACAAAAUGGCAGAUUUUGUUGAGCAAGUUUGAUAUUAUGUACGUAACACAAAAGGCCAUCAAAGGACAAGCUUUAGCUGAUCACCUGACAGAAAAUCCUGUGGAUCAAGAUUGCAUGUCGCUCAGUACCUACUUUCUUGAUUAAAAAGUGUUGUUUACAGGGAAGACAUCUCUGAGAGGUAUGAUGGGUGAAAAAUGUUCUUUGAUGGAGCAGUGAACUUAAAGGUGUUGGAAUUGAAGCAGUUCUAGUUUCAAAAAUAGAUCAACAUUACCCAAUCUCGGCGAAGAUUAGGUUUCCUUGCAUGAAUAAUAUUGAAGAAUAUGUGGCUUGCAUUCUCUAACUUAGGAUGGAAGUAGACAUGGACAUCAAAGAGCUUUUGGUAAUGGGAGAUUCGGAUUUGCUGAUCCAUCAGGUGCAAGGGGAAUGGACCACAAAGAAUGUCAAAAUCCUUCCUUAUGUGCAAUAUGUCAAGGAGUAAAAUCCUUCCUUAUGUGCAAUGUGUCAAGGAGUUGAGUAAAAGGUUCACGAUGAUUGAGUUCAAGCAUGUCCUUCGAAUUCAAAAUAAGUUUGCUGAUGCCUGGGCGACACUAUCUUCAAUUAUUCAGCAUCCAAAUAAGAAUUACAUCGAUCCCAUCAAAGUAGAGAUACACAAUCAACAAGCAUACUAUUUCUAUGUAGAUAAAGAGCUAGAUGGAAAGCUAUGAUACUAUGACAUCAAGAGGUUACUCGAAGCAAGAGAAUAUCCAGAAGACGUUACUGGAAAGUAGAAGAGGGCUUUAAGAAGGAUGGCCAAUCACUUUUUUCUCAAUGGGGAAAUCCUAUAUAGGAGGACUCCAUACCUAAGAUUGCUGCGAUACGUCAAUGCCAUAGAGGCCAAAAGAUUAUUGGAGGAGAUACAUGCAGGAAUGUGUGGACCGCACAUGAACAGUUUCAUGCUUGCAAAGAAUAUUUUGAGAGCUGGAUACUUUUGGAUGACCAUGGAGAGGAAUAGCAUUUGAUAUGUGCAGAAGUGUCAUCAAUGUCAAGUUCAUGAAGACCUUAUACGAGUUUCGCCAAACGAGCUCAAUGUGAUGGGUUUUUCUUGGCCGUUUGCUUCUUGGGGCAUAGAUGUUAUUGGGCCUAUAAAGCCUCCUGCGUCCAAUCAACACCGUUUUAUCUUGGUCACUAUUGAUUACUUUAUGAAGUGGGUUGAGGCAUCAACACAUAAGGCCAUAAACAAGAAGGUGGUAUAAGAUUUUAUCCGUAACAACUUAGUCUGUCAGUUUGGAAUUCCAAAAUCAAUCAUAACAGAUAAUGGAGCCAAUAUUAAUAGCGACCUGAUGAGAGAGAUUUAUGAAAGUUUUAAAAUCUCUUAUCAAAAUUACAUGGCAUAUCAACCGUAAAAGAAUGGAGUGGUCGAAUCUGCAAACAAGAAUAUCAAGAGGAUCUUAAGAAAGAUAGUGGACGGUAAUUGGGAAUGGCAUGAGAAGUUGCCAUAUGCUUUACUUGUACAUCAUACCACAAUCAAAACUUCUACUGGGGUAACUCUCUAUAUGUUGGUUUAUGGUUCAGAAGCAGUGAAACCUGCAGAAGUUGAGAUACCUUCAUUAAGAAUCAUCCAGGAGGUUGGUCUAGACGACGCUGAAUGGAUUCGUAGCAGGAUCGAGCAGUUGAUGCUCAUUGAUGAGAAAAGAUUGGAUGCAGUCUAUCAUGGUCACCUUUAUCAAAAUAGAAUGAUCAAGGCAUUUAACAAGAAAGUCAAGCCUCAUCGAUUCAAGCCAAGAAAAUUAGUAUUGAAGAAGAUAUUCCCUCACCAAUAUAAAGCCAAUGGGAAAUUUGUGCCAAAUUGGCAAGGCCCUUACAUAGUUCACCGAGUACUUUCAGGAGGGGCAGUGAUCCUUGCAGAAAUGGAUGUCAUAGUGAGCACGAAGCCGAUCAAUUCAGACUCCAUCAAGAAGUACUAUAUUUGAAGACAGUAGGAUUAGUUGUCAUUUCUUUGUACUUUCGCAUUUUUUCUCUAAUGUAACAGAACCAUGUAUUAGCCUGACUUCCCACGGCGAGAGAAGUAGGCAGCCCACAUCGGGUUUGAUUUCCUUAGAAAACUCAAAACAUCAUCCUUCCAUGUAUUCAGAACUACGCUCGACCUGACUUCCUACGAUGGGAUACGUAGGCAAUUCUCAUCAAAUUCGGUCCCUUCAUAUUUUUACCUUUUCAUUGUACUGAACUAUGACCUAACCUGAUUCCAAUUGGAUACGUAGGCAGCCUAAGUCAGGACCAGUCAUUGCAUUAUUUUACUUUAUCUUUUGUAUCGAACUACAGUAUGACCUGAUUUCUAUUCUUAGGAUACGUAGGCAGCCUGAGUCGGGAUCGGUCACUGAACUGCAUAUUUUCACUUUUCUUAUUGUAAUUGAACUACAUCAUGAUCUGAUUCCACUUGGAUACGUAGGCAGUCUGAGUCAGACUCGGUCCUUGUAUUACAUAUUUCCUUCUACACCUUCGAACUACAUAUAGACCUGAUUCCUAUUUUAAGAAUACGUAGGCAGCCUAAAAGGUUAGGUCUUAACUUUAAGGAAAUCCCAUAUCGCUCAUAGUAUAGCAUCAGAAUAUAAGAGAUCUCGCCACCAGAACCAUCGUAGCAUCAACAUUCAAAGAAGCUCCACCCGAAGGAUAAAGCUACAUGGAUCAGAAUCAACAAAUGGAGGCUUAACGGAUUUCCGAAUGUGUCAUAAUCUAAAGUGAUUAAGGAUUUCUAUAUAUACUUAAUAUAUACGUAAUGUAUUUGCGAAAACAUAUAUAUAUAUAUGUAUUUUCACUAUACUUUCACAACUUUUCCACCUACUGAGACUCCACAUUUGGGACUUAUCGAGCAACUAAGGGAGUGUUGGAGAAUUCCGCAAACAAAGCCAGGAUCCCCAAGUCGACACAAAUCAACACCCCCUUCCAACUAAGAAUUUUUUCUUUGGGCAUAGGAAAACAGGAAUUAGAAGACGACAUCAAGUCAAGCUUUAGAAUAGGAUCAGGGGCAUCAUGCUGCUUACCACCACGACAUAAGCCCAAUAUUAUUCCCUUACUUCAUUUUCUUUACAUAGAUUUAUGCUAAUCCUCACAAACUCUAAGAAUUUUAUUCGAAUUCUUUCACAGUACAUUCUUAAGACCUGGGUCAGAAACGAAGAAAAGAGGAUUCUCAUAGAAAGAUUAGGCUAUUUACUUCCCACAAUAAACUCCGCAAUUGGAGCUAACCACCUGACUGCGUUGAAUAACUUCACCAAUCGAAGAAUCAUCAUCUAACUGCGUCAAAUAACUCCGCCAAUUGGAGAAUGUUGUCGGACUUUAACGAAGUCAAGUUUCUACGUUCCGAGGUUUGUACAUAAGAAAAUAAAGUCAAGCUUCUGCUUUUUGAAGACUGUACAUAAGCAAGAAAAAUGACCCUCUGCCAUAUCAGAGGAUGUGAAUGAGCAAUACGAAUCUUCGCCAUAUCGAGAGUUAUGCACCAACAAAGGAGAUGCCCCGCCAUAAAUCAACGAAUAUAAAUAAAAAAAGCAACACCUCGCCAUAUCGAAGAAUCGUAUUUCAGCAAACAAAGAACAACUUGCUUAUCAGAGACCCACUCCAUAGCAAGCGCGUAAGAAAGCCACUAUCACAGCAACAUCAAGUUCCAAUAGUGAUACAAUCAUUUAGUUCAUACUGAAGGUCGUGUUGCCAAUAUAAGGCAGUUUACCUAUGGAAAAAUAUCCCGCCGUUGGAUGCUUUACUUUUCAAACAAUGUUCGCCAGUUAGAUGCUAUUUACUUUUCAACAAAUGCUCAACCGACGGAGGCUAUUUACAUUUCGAUCAAUGAAGUCUAUUUACAUUUCAGCUGACGGAGGCUAUUUACAUUCAAGCAGCUGCUCAGCCGACGAAGGCUAUUUACAUUUCAGUCGAUGGAGGCUAUUUAUAUUAUUGUUUAGUCGAUGGAGGAUUUUACUUUCUAGUAGCUGCUCAGCCGACAUAGGCUAUCUAUAUUUCAGCCGACAGAGGCUAUUUAUAUUUCAAUCGAUAGAGGCUAUUACAUUUUAAUUGAUGAAGGCUAUUUACGUUUCAGCCGGUGGAGGCUAUUUAGAUUUCAGUUAAUGCCCCGCUAGUCGGAGGCCUCCACAAAUGGAGACAAUACUAGUUUGAAUGUCUGAACUCUACUCUUUACAUUACAAUUUAAAUUUACAAUUUUUUGAACAACAGGUACUUUUUACCCUUUUACCUAUUUUGCAGGAACAUGUAAUACAACGCGGAACUACCCUCUUAGCAGUAAACUGGGGCAAGCUAGCAGAAUGUCAAGCAUCCCUAGCUACGUCAAGGAUUCUGGCGAAGAAACUCAACUUGACUCGAAGUUUUCAUUUUUAUAAUUUUUAGUUCCAUAACCCAGCGCCAUCUUAAUCCGACACUGGAAAAUUUUUGAAAAUCCACAAUCUCCUUCUCUCUCAAAAUCAUCAACGGAUAUUUUAUCCAAUGUUUCCUUAUCCCAACUAUUUUGAGCAGCCAAUUUCGGGACUUACAUCUGUAUCUUUUGUAUUCGUGCUGAAAUCUUUAUUAUCCUCCUCAAAGAACCCGGUGUCACCAUAAUUCUAUACUGGGGCAAAUUUUGAGGUUCAUCAAACUUUGCUAUAAUUCGAAAUACAAAUGGCCUGAUUUCUCGUGAAGCCCGAGAUAUGUAGAAAGCUCGAAAACUAAAGCCCGACCAUAAUCUUUCAAACAUUUUGUUUUGCCCGAGACAAAAUUGAUUACGUCAACGUGAUUGCCCAAAGAUUUUCACACAAAUCUUCAAUCACUCAGGGAAACUGUUGACAGCUAAUUUUGGCUCUCACUUUUUCCUUUAACUAUUUUACCGAUGCUCCUCGGCCCUAAAUAAUUUUCAAAAAUUAACUAAAAAAGGAUUUGUAUUUUUGUUUCUAUUUCUACAAAUUUAAUGAAAGGGGGAUUUAUUUUUCUAUUAUAAUAUAAAAUAUUUUAACGAAUAUAAAAAUAUAUAUAUCUUUGAUAUUCGCAUUCACAUUCUUUCUAAUAUUUUAUUUUAGGGAGAUAUUGUGACCAUAUAUAUAUAAAUAUUCUAAUUACAUAAAAUAUAUAUUAUAUAAGAUGUACAUAUACUUUCUCUUAUUCUUGUUUUUAUAUAUUAUAUUCUUGUUUUUACAUGCACAUAUAUAUAUGCAUAUAGUUUGUUAAUAUUAAAUUGCAAAAAGAUAUUAAAUUGGACGCUUUAAGAAUUAUGUGUAUAAUUUAUAUAUGUUAAACUAAAAAAUAAUUUUUAGGAUAUCAGGAAGCAUCGAUAAAUUUAAUUUCAGCAGAAAAAAAGCAUUUGGGCUAACGAUAAUCCGAUUUCAUUUUUUUUGUUUCACCCGAACCCAACUCUUAUUUUAUGAAUUUCAGCCAAGAGCCUAAAAACUAGUAUAAUUCCUAUGUCUGCUUUGCCAUUCCACCUCAACAGAUACAAUUUAAUCUGAUUUAUUAAUUUAUUUUGAACCUGAAGGAUCCCAAAAUUUCUAGUUAUUUUUAUAUGUAGAUAUAUAAUUUAUUUUUUAUUUGUUUAACUGUCUAUUCAUAUAUAUAUAUAUAUAUAUAUAUUAUCUUUCCCCCUUCUUUUUUAAUUAGAUUUGAACCGUUCGAACGGAUCGAAAAAAGUCAUUUUAAAAUCAACCUUUCACAUAUUUACUCGUAUAUGCAUACAUUUUUAUUUUUCUUAUUUUGUUGCUAUUAUUAUUUUUAAGGGUAAUCACUUCAAAAUCGUCCGAUCUUUCAAACCCAAUCCAAAAACACCCGACUAGCACAGAUUAAUCUAGUCUGCAAAUUUUUCUUUCUAAUCCGAGGUUCCCGAAUUUUUAAAUGUUUAUAUAUAUAUAUAUAUAUAUAUAUAUAUUAAAAUUAUAAUUUACCUUUUUAUAUAUUUUUAAAAUUUAAACUAUUCUAAUCAAAAUCAAACAGAUCAGAAAUUAAUUGAUUUUAAAUUAAUUUUUUCAUAAUAUUUAUUUAUAUAUACGCAUAUAUAAAUAUUUGUAUAGUUAUUAUUUUAAGAUGAUGUUUUAAGAUCGGACGAAUCAAAAUUGAUCAAGAUUUUGAAAGAAUAGUGCAUUAAAUGCACAACUACCGCGUCUCCCAAAAAUUAGAAUAAGCGUAUGGUUUCUUCCAAAACAGUCAUUAACACCUCUCUUUCAUAUUCCCCCAAAUAAAUGUAGAAAAUACAGGAGCCUUUUUCUCUCUCCUUUUUUCUUUUUCUCCAUCAUACUAAAAACGCAGCCCUAGCACUGCCAUGGCUGUCGCUCCUAUGCAGGAAUCUCCUCAAAAUCGCCUCCCUUAACUCUCUAAAACCAAAAAUCAGAAAAGAAGAAGCACCAAAUUCAUGUAAAGAUGGAAAAUCGGUCCAAGGCUGCCAUUAAUGGCUUCAAAGUUGUGAGGAUUCGUUUCAAUAUUUUGAAAUCAAAUUCUCCUUCUUCUUCCCAAUUUUUUCAUUUUGAAUUUUCCAAUUUUGACUUUCAAGUCCGGAUUUGUACCUAUAAAUACAGUGUCUCUAUUUCCAUGGGGGGAUAAGAAAAGAGAGAGUAAAAAUUUGAGAGAAAAGCAAGUUUCAAAGAGGUAUAUCGAAUCUGUGGGGAAAGUAAGAAUAAUUGGGAAUUUCAAGUUCUAAAAGAGAGAAAAGAAAAAUGGAGUGAGGAGAUUUGGUCUUCCUUUUGAUUUUCAAAAUACAAGUUUAGGGAAUAGGUUCGGAUCAACUUCUGAAAAAAAGAAUUUUUUUCUUUUCAAAAUUGUUACUUCUUUCUGAUUUUGGGUCAAGUCGGAGUCCGAUAGUUGCGUUAUUUGUUGCCGAAAAAUCCUCAUCGUCGAACUUUGUUUUAAAUAUAUUAAAUUUCACAUUUAUAAUUGAAGUGAUCAGUNNNNNNNNNNNNNNNNNNNNNNNNNNNNNNNNNNNNNNNNNNNNNNNNNNNNNNNNNNNNNNNNNNNNNNNNNNNNNNNNNNNNNNNNNNNNNNNNNNNNNNNNNNNNNNNNNNNNNNNNNNNNNNNNNNNNNNNNNNNNNNNNNNNNNNNNNNNNNNNNNNNNNNNNNNNNNNNNNNNNNNNNNNNNNNNNNNNNNNNNNNNNNNNNNNNNNNNNNNNNNNNNNNNNNNNNNNNNNNNNNNNNNNNNNNNNNNNNNNNNNNNNNNNNNNNNNNNNNNNNNNNNNNNNNNNNNNNNNNNNNNNNNNNNNNNNNNNNNNNNNNNNNNNNNNNNNNNNNNNNNNNNNNNNNNNNNNNNNNNNNNNNNNNNNNNNNNNNNNNNNNNNNNNNNNNNNNNNNNNNNNNNNNNNNNNNNNNNNNNNNNNNNNNNNNNNNNNNNNNNNNNNNNNNNNNNNNNNNNNNNNNNNNNNNNNNNNNNNNNNNNNNNNNNNNNNNNNNNNNNNNNNNNNNNNNNNNNNNNNNNNNNNNNNNNNNNNNNNNNNNNNNNNNNNNNNNNNNNNNNNNNNNNNNNNNNNNNNNNNNNNNNNNNNNNNNNNNNNNNNNNNNNNNNNNNNNNNNNNNNNNNNNNNNNNNNNNNNNNNNNNNNNNNNNNNNNNNNNNNNNNNNNNNNNNNNNNNNNNNNNNNNNNNNNNNNNNNNNNNNNNNNNNNNNNNNNNNNNNNNNNNNNNNNNNNNNNNNNNNNNNNNNNNNNNNNNNNNNNNNNNNNNNNNNNNNNNNNNNNNNNNNNNNNNNNNNNNNNNNNNNNNNNNNNNNNNNNNNNNNNNNNNNNNNNNNNNNNNNNNNNNNNNNNNNNNNNNNNNNNNNNNNNNNNNNNNNNNNNNNNNNNNNNNNNNNNNNNNNNNNNNNNNNNNNNNNNNNNNNNNNNNNNNNNNNNNNNNNNNNNNNNNNNNNNNNNNNNNNNNNNNNNNNNNNNNNNNNNNNNNNNNNNNNNNNNNNNNNNNNUUAGUGCUCUACUUGAUUUUGCUUGACUUUUGAUUCAAAGGAAAAGGUGUGGAGCUUAAAUAACUCACUCAGAAUGCUUUUUAAAAGAUUACGUGGUACAAUUAGGUCAAAUAAACCCUUUUGGAAUAAGUAUUCAGCUACUUGUGAACCUUCGGGUACUGUUUUAUUCAAUGUUUGUUCAAUUACUCUUUUACCUGCAAAUGCAAUGUAGGCAUUGGGUUCGGCAAUAAUGAUAUCCCCCAACAUACCAAAACUAGCUGUCACUCCACCAGUUGUCGGAGAUGUAAGGAUUGAUACAUAAAAUAAUUUUUUAUUUAAUUGAUAAUCAUAUAAAGCAGACGAUAUUUUAGCCAUUUGCAUCAAGCUCAAACUUCCUUCCUGCAUGCGCGCCCCCCCAGAAGCACACACUAUAAUAAGAGGUAAAAUUUGAUUGGCAGCGUGUUCAAUCAAACGGGUGAUUUUCUCUCCGACUACGGAUCCCAUACUACCCCCCAUAAACUGAAAAUCCAUAACCCCAAUUGCUACGGGAAUGCCGUUUAUUUGGCCUAUGCCUGUUUGAACAGCCUCGGUUAAUCCUGUCUUUCUUUGAUAAGAAUCAAUACGAUCUUUAUAAGGCUCCUCUUCCGAAUGAAAUUCAAUGGGAUCCAGAGAGACCAUGUCUUCAUCCAUAGGAUCCCAAGUACCCGGAUCGACCAAAAGUUCAAUUCUAUCCGAACUACUCAUUUUCAAAUGAUAUCCACAUUGUUCACAAAUAUUCAUUUUUGAUUUAAAAAAUUUCUUAUAAUUUAAUCCAUAACAAUUCUCGCAUUGAACCCACAAAUGCCUGUAUUUUUGAGUUACCUCGAGAUCAUUAGAACUUUCUCUUAUAGUUAAAUCACUGCCAUUAGUUAAAUCACUGCCAAUAGUUAAAUCACUGCCAUUAGUUAAAUCACUGCCAAUAGUUAAAUCACUGCCAUUAGAACUUUCUCUUAUAGUUAAAUCACUGCCCUUUGUGCGAGUUUGUAUACUGGAACCCUCGUUUUCACUACUAUUUUUACUUUCACCACCACAAACGGCCCUAUAAAUGUAACUGUCACUGUAAUUCUCACUACCACUUAUAAUGGAAGUAUCUAUACAGAUUUGAGACUGAAGAUAAUUAUCAAUGCAACUAUUAAUGUGAUUAUUCCAACUAUAUUGAGUAUCAUACAUGUAAGAAUUAUAGUAGGGAUCUUCGCCCCUAAAUCCAUUAUUCAGAUAACUCGAGUUUCGAUAACUAUAAAAAGAACUUUCUAGUUCACUCAGAAAAGAAUGAUCGUUGUCAAUCUCAAAAAUCUGAUUUUCAAUAUCAAAAUAGAUGGAAUAACUGUCUCCAUUCCUAUCACUAACUACAAAAGUGUCAUCAGAGAUGAAAUUCCGAAUGUCUUUAACGCCGAAUAAAUAAUCAACAUUACUGCAACUAGGAAUGUUUUUCACUUUUCGAUUUGGAUCUUCACUGGUAUUUUCAAUAGGACCAAGACUGCCCAUUGAUUUAUUUAGCCCACACCUGCGUUCGAACUCCUUCUUAAACAACAUCGAAUUAAACCACCAUCUUUCCAUAGAGUUUUCUUGCCCCCUAUUUGCAUGAAAAUACAAUAGAUGAAUAGUCAUUCGCUAUAAAAUUAUUUAUUUGAAUAUCUUAUUUCCUAUCAGACUAAGCAUAGAAAUCCAAUCACUAGGAUUAUUAGUAGGAUUAUUAGUGAGUAUUGAAAAAAAGUUCUGAAUCUGGGGGAACACUUCACUAUAUAUUAAUAUGUCGGAACCCCCUUUUAUUAUUUUAUUAUUAAAAAUAAUAUAAAUAUAAUAAUAUAAUUUUUGAUAAGGGGCGGCUUCUCCUAUGUCGUGUCAAAUUCGCAUCGAAAAAAAGAGAUUUGUCCUCUCCUAUACUCCUAUAAAGAAAUCAAAAAAAUUUUCUUAAAAUCUCGUCUAAUACUAAUAUCUAAUCACUAACUAAUCUAAAAUCUAAUAAAAUAAUAAGUAAUAAAUUAAGCUUCCAUUUCAACACGGAACGGAACAAAGGGGACAAUAUACAGGAUGGGUAGAAAGAGUUGUGCUACUUGGCUUGAUUCAGGGAAACUACAAACUACAGGAUAGAAAAAAAUAUACCAAUCCUAAGAAUCCGUAGGAUUUAUUGUGGAUCCAAGACAACAAUAGAAAGAUUUGAGUCUUAGAUUUUUAUUUAGUUUUCUAGA